rnacentral:lncRNA from 1 species
AAACCUGCAAUGACUCCAGCAAUCAGAUCAGACACCAAAGGAAGUCCCUUACAAUUUUCAGCUAUUUCUUUUCCAACAUCCAAUAGUUCAUCAGGGCAACUCUGUUCUCCAAAUGCCCUUUUCUCUAAUAACUCCCAACUUUCUUCUGGUCUUAGCAAUCGAAGGUUAAGAGGAUCAGUGUUUCCCUUUCCAUGAAAAGCCACUUCCUUUUGUCGAGUCGUCAAAAUAAUUCUACUUCAUUUCUCAGCUUCAGGGAAAGGUUUGUUAGAUCAUCCCAUGUAGUAGUAUCCCACACGUCAUCUAACACAAUUAGAUACCUCUUUCCAUACAAUUGUUUCCUCAGCUUAUCGGCAACAUCAAUAUCCUCACUGGACUUCAAAUCCGAGCCAGUGACCUGAUUGAAAAGUUUCACCAGCAACUUCUUCUCGUCAUAUUCUUGGUCGACAGUGCACCAUGCACGAACGUCGAAAUGACUACAAACUGAUUCAUCAUUGUAUACUUUGUACGCCAAAGUAGUUUUGCCCGAACCCGGCAUACCAGUGAUUGAGAUGACAUCAACAUCUUUCGGUCCACUGGUGAGCUUACUAAUUAACCAGUUUGUCUCCUCCUUAAAACCUACAAUUAUUUUACCAGUUGUCAAUGAUUUUCUUUCAACUGGAUUCUUGGGAGAGUUUACAACAAUGAGGCUCUUGUUCUUGGGAAUCUUCUCCGGUAAUUGGGAGAGAUCUUCUUUAAUAAGGCUGAUCUUUUUUAGGGUAAUGGGAAGUGAGAAAAUAAGAUGUAAAAGACCAUUAUCUCUUAUGAUAAUUGAAUCUAUGACAUCUUUAGCCACAUAUGCCACAUCUAAAACAUGUGUCCAGAAAUCUUUAUACAAUCCUUGCUCAACAUUCACGAAGAACGAUCUUAUGAAUUCGAGGGCUUCUUUCACCAGUCUAAUGUCAUCCUUUAUCAAAGCAAUUGAAUAAGCAUUGGAAUCUAGCAGAUCAUUCAAGUGGAUGAGUAGAAGAUGCAUCAAGAGCGGUCCAUCAUUCAUGGGGAAGCAACAUUGAUAUGAGCCCGGGGCUUUCAGAUAAACACAUUUGAGAUCUUCCUUGAGGAGUUCAAUAUUUUCCAGCAAGUCUAGAGCUGCACGAUUUGUUCCAUUUGUACCCUGUUUAUUCCUUGAUUGCUUUUCUAAGUCGCGAACAAGAGUUGAUACCUUCCUGAUGAGUGCUCCAACACGUGCCAAAAGAUCAAACAAUUUGCUAUGAUGAAUAAAGUCCUUGGGCAUAUCAGUAACAAUAAUUAAUAGGAACUCUAUCAUGACAUGAAUGUUUCGAGCCCCUGAAGUGCUUGCGGUAAUAACAGUUACCAUGUGCUCUUGUAGAUGAAUCAGAUAUUCUCUCAGAACUUCUGGAGAGAAUUCAAGGAGUUUCAAUAAAGCGUCUAACUUCUACUGAUGGUGAAGCUUUCAAAUUUGUAUAGCAUAUUUGCAUCACCUCCAGUUCAAUUGGAAUGAUCUUCAUGAGUAGAUGUGCUAGCUUGAAGAGUCGAGAGUCUCCAAGUCGAUCAUGCCAUAGGAAGAUUGCAACUCUCUCAGCCAUGAGUUGAAACUGAGGCAAGACAUAUUCAACAAUCUCGCGCUCAAUGCAACCAUUUACUAUCAACCCAUGGAAAUAUUUCAUGUUGCCAGACACAGUCUGCAGAAUCUCAUACUGAGUCUCUAAUGGAUAAAUCUGUUCAGCAAGAAACUCGGAUAGAUAAUGGAGAUCCAGGAGGAGGAAGUCCAACUGUUCGUCAGUCAUGGUGACACUUGAUGUAGAAUGAUGACACGAGCUGAUACAAUCAUCGAUAUUAUCGAUGAGGCUAGGAAGAACAUGAUCCAUGUUGUAUUCACACCUGACAUUGUUGUCAACAACGUUCAAAAUUGGUCGAAGCAGAUUCUCAACCCUUUGUCUUGAAUCACUCAUUGCAUCUUCAAACUUUUCUAAAUCACAAUGAGAAAGCCCGACGUACGUACAAAUAAAUGCCAGCUCAAAUUUCAGCUCUUCAAUUUGAUCGGCCAUGUCGACAGCAUUAUGACCUUCUUCAUUCUUUAACCUCUCCAUGAAAUCCAGAACGUUGACAACGUCCUUGCGAAGAGCAGAAAAUGACAUCUGCCAAACGACCAAAUAUUAUAUCAAAAUCUUCAUAGCUAACAUAUAUACCAUGCAAUAUUUAAUAUUUACUUACAGGCAACCAACACAUGCACAUGUAUUUUAUGUGAAUUAUAUUCUACGAAGAUAAUUCAAAUAACACAAAUCAAAAUAAUGGGAAAAGGUCCAAAUAUGCCCUCCCCUAUAAAAAAAAAAAGGGGGGGGGGGGGGCUAUUUAUACACCUGACAUAACACCAAUGAUUCCAAUAUACCCUUUUUGACUAAUGGAAGUGAAAUAGUCGAUGUUAAAAUUAUUUUUCUAUUUUAUUUUUACUAAUGGAGGUGAAAUAGUCGAUGGCCAGAAUUACCGCCUCUACUUUCAAAACUUAUAUACAUCUAAUCUCCAUCUUACAAUCUGAACAAAAAUUUGACCUUUCCGUGAAUUGUAUUUUCAGAAUACUUAACACAUAGUUCAAUGACUUAAAUGUGACAAAAGUUUAAUUUUGUGACUACAUUGAUACAACAAGUAAAGUUCAGUGAUUUUAGUGAGUCAAAAUUAGUUUAUAUAAGUAACUAAUUACAGAUACAUACAUAAGUAAAGUUUAGCGAUCAUGACAUACCUCAAAAUUGUUUGCUUUCCCUUUCUCUAUUUCUCCUUGUUUUUCCAUGACACUUCCUAUCUGAUGUAAAAAAGAAAGAAGCAUAAAAUUAAUUUAAUAGCAGAAAACGUACAUUUUCACACAUAUAAAUAAGUCAAUUAUUUUCCGUCGACUCCAAUGAGUGAAAUUACAGAUGUGAGUACCAUGAUUAAACACACUAUAUUUUGAGUUACUGUUAGUGACUAACCUUUUUUGUUGAUGAAAAAUCUGAAAUGAUUUCUCUUUGUUUUUGUGUAUGACUAUAUUAACUUGAUAAGAUGUGUGUGGAGGAAAAGAUUAAGAGAGAAGGGUUAGACAUAAAAAAAUAUGUUUGGAGUAGUGAACAAAUGCAGCAUUGAUUGUAAGACUAAAUGUUCCCCUUUGCAGAAAAGUAUUAGCUUUGAUAAAAUUUGUGUGGAGGAAAAGAUACAAAAAAAAGAGGGUGGGCCAAUAAUAUGUUUGUUUGAACUAGUCAACAAGUAGCAUUGAUGGUAAGACUUGUACACUUGUCUAUUUAAGUUAUACAUAUUGAUAAUAUUAAUGCAAUGUGAUGAGGUCUUAAAAAUUGUACAGAAAUAUAAAAUAAGAUUGUGUAUAAUACACCCUAUGUUGGGCCAUUCCUCAGACCCUACGCAUAUCGAGAGCUUUAAUAUAUCAGACUAUCAUUUCUUUAUACUAAUAAUGUUAGUUUUGAAUUCAAUUCAAUUUAGCUUUUAAAGAUUAAUCAAAUUGAGUUUAAUGAAGUGAAAAGCGACAUGUAAAAUGAACGGUGGGAGUACUAAAUAAAUAAUACUAGAGAGUGUUGCUUAAUGAGUAAAAAUUAGAAAAUAGACACUAUUAGAUAUUUGAGUUGACUAACCUUUUUAUUUGAUGAAAAUAUUCUUUGGAAUUAAACACAAAAACAUAUCAAAAAUAAAUAUAGAAAAUAUGAUUCGUACAAUAACAAAUUCAAUGUAUUCUUAUAAAAUGAAGUCUAGGAGGAUAAAAUGUAAGCAAUUCAUAUCACUAGCUCAGAUGAAGUAGAGAGGUUGUUUUCGAUAGACUCCCAACUCAAGAUAGAUAACAGUAUAACAAACAAAAAAUAUAAAAAUAAACAACAAAAUGACAUAACACACCGCUAGAUAAUAAAAGAAACAAGACACUGAUUAAGUAUUACUAUAAAUUAUUUAUUCGAGAUCACAAACAUCAUCAGAACACUAGGAACAAGAAAACACAGGCAAAGAUACAAACUCAACACUCUUCCCUAAUAUUAUGAAUGCACUCCUAUCAAUUAAACCUAAUUCGCAUCCACCACACCUUCCUAUCAAAGAUCAUACUAUCUGUAAGUAGUAACCGCUCCAUAUCAUGCUUAAUCACCUUCAAUUUGGCUUUAACUUGCAUCUAUGCUAUUCAAUUUUGAGUGUGUAUAAAUAGAUACUUACUAUUAUAACAUUUAAUAACUAGACAAAUGCCUCCUAAAUGGAAUAAUACACAUUGAAUGCUAUGUAGAACAUAAAUUGAUCACGUUUAUUUUUUAAAGGUAUAAUGCAUAAACGUGUCUUUUAACUUAACUUCAGAAUACAUCUGUGACCUAGCUUCAACUUUAAAAUUUUAAUAUGCAUCUCAUACACCAUUUCGUAAUUGUAUGAGGCAUUUGUUAUUUUGACUACUGAGCUUUUUGCCCCCACUCAUCAGAAAAUGUUUUUUUUCCGCUCAGCAUUUUCAUUCAUGUUCACUGUAAACUUUUUUUUUUACAAAUUAUUUUUUUCUCUUCUUUUCUUGAAGCUAUCUUUUUAUUUUAUUUUAUUGUUUAUCCUUUUUCUUUCAAUUAUUUUCCUAUCUAUCCAAUACUAAGUAUGCGUUAGGUCAUGAAUAUUAUUCACAAUAUCUUGAAAUAUAAUAUUUACUUUAUUUUGAAAUAUUUAUUUAGUCAUAAAUAUUUUGAAAUAUAUUUUAAUAAUAUUUGAAUAUUUAAAAAACACUUCAAGAGGUGUUUUUACUAUUUUAAAAUUUUCUUUUUAAACUUUUUAAUUUAUUUUUUAAAUCUAAAUUUAUUUUCAAAAAACAAUCCCAUUUUUAUAAAAAUGUAGUUUUUUUAAAUCUACUUUCACUUUUUGCAUUUUCUUUUUACUUCAAAAAUACCCUAUUUCCCAAAUACUAUGUCAAACACAACUCCAACUCUAUUUUCAACUUCAAAAAUAUCAAAUAUGAAGAACCAUACAUCAUAUAUUUUUUUAUUAUUAAAUGCAUCUUCUGUAUAGUAAAAUUAUUUUAAGCAGGUUGGAUUAAGAAUUGGAUCGAAUUUAAAAUGGGUUCGGUCUUGACUUUAAUAUAGUUUUUUUAACUUUUUUUUCUCUAAAAUUAGAGUUGCCACAUCAUUAAAUGACUCAAAAAAUUAUAGUUCGAGCUAAAAUAAUACUCCCUCAGCUUCGGAAUAAGUGAAUUGUUGGGGUAUUUAUUGGUGUUUUAAAAUAAGUGAAUCAAUGAAUAUUUUACCAAAUUUACCCUUAUGAUUUGACAACCAAUUAACUUUUAAAAAAGUAUUACAAGGUUAGCUUUUUCCUUUUUAGGGGUAAAAAUGAAAAGUUGUAUUAAAUUUAUGUCUUUAAUGUUUUUUUCUUAAUCUGUGUGCCAAAAUCCAACAAUUCAUUUAUUAUGAAACAGAGGAAGUAAUGAAAAUUAAUUAAGCAAAGUUGAGUGACUUUGAUGAUCAAUUAUUAUAAGUUGAGUGAUUGUUCAUACAUUUAAUUGAUGAAAAGAAUAUUCUCUAUAUUUAAAAUCUUUUUUCUGAUUUUUGUUUUGGUACAAAAUCUAAGAAAGUGAAAAAAAAAUUAGAAUAUUUUUAGUGUUAAAUCAAAAUAUGUAGAAUAUAUCAAAAUAUCCUUUUAAUUUUUGUCAUUUUAAGCGUGUCAUAUAAAAAAUUUAAAUUGAAAAAAAUAUUUCUUUUGAAAUAGACUAAAAAAGGUGAGAUAAGUAUAUAUAACAAAACGAGUAUUAUAUAAAUUUGAUUUGCUUAGUAUCAUGAGCACCGAAAAAAAUUGAAAGAAAAAAACAAAGAAAGAAAAUAAAAGAAAAGGUAACCCCCAAAAAAGCAAAAAAUGAAUUGUUAAAAAAGAAAAGUUAAAAAGUGCACUGAAAAUGCAAAGGGAAAAAGAAAACUGCCUGACAGGUGGGGCCAAAAAGCCCACUUGUUAAAAUGACAAAUGCCUAUACAACUAUGACAUAGCGUAUGAGAUGCAUAUUAAAAUUUUUGGGGUGUGCACAAGUAAAACAUUUAAAUUUAUAUAAAAUUGAAUAAGUGGACACAUAUGUCCUAUGUGGCAUCUUACAUAUCAAUUCCUGUCGUACAUGAUAUCCUAAGUGUAUUAUGCCACAUGGAACAUGUGUGCGUACUUGUUUUUAACAUUGGCAAGAAUCGAUUUAACUAGUGUGUAUUUUUGCUUCUAAUCAGAAAAAAAAAAAGGUUUACGAAUGAUGAAGGACCUGUUUUUGUGGUUUUGGAAGAUUUGAAAUAUUUCUUAAAACAUGGUCAAAAAUACACAUGAACUUUUCCGAUUUUUUGAGUUUUGUAUCUAAACUAUUAGGUUUGUUAGUUGGCUAUCUAAACAAUCACCAAAUAUUUAUCAAAAUACAGUCAGUUAUUCUCUUUUUGUACCUGAAAUAUCACUAUAAUUUAGGUAGAAAAAGGUAAAAACUGAUAGUUAAGGCGUGUUUCUUUAAAAAUUCCAAAGCCCACGUCCCAUCAAUUCAUAGCUAACACCCAUCAAAAUUUACGGUAUCGGUUUUAACAUGUUUGAUUAAUGAUAUAAACUAGUCUCGGGAUAAAUUUAUUUCAUCAACAAACAUGAUUUAAAUUUUAUCCAUUAGAUAUCUCAAACUUAUCAAUGGAAUGUCUCACCUUAUAUCUUCUACCAAAUAACCCCUUAGUGAUUGGACCCAUGUUCAUACAACAAAUAAAAUAAUUUAAUUUGGUGCAAUUUAAAAAAUGAAAUUUAAAAUAUAUAUUAUUUAAUCAAGUGGCAACACUUAUUUUACAUAAUUGAUUUGACAGGGUUAUUUUUUUUUCCUACUUUUGAUUAUGAUGCAAAUGGGGAUAGUCAAAAUAUUCUCUGUUAUGUUCCACAAUAAGUGACACUCGAUCUUUCUUAUUGAAUAGCCACCGUUAGAAAAGUUUGGAAAAAGACAUAAGUAACCAUUAGAUAAUUGACGUGACAUCUUUAUUACAUAAAAUGAGAUCUACGUCAAAGAUGCCACAUCAGUUAUGGAGGUUGACAAAUGGCACCACAUUAGCUAAAAAAGUUGACAAAAAUAAGCUAAAAUUGAGUUCGGGGCAAUAGACCCUCGUAAAGUUGGAGUGUAUUGUAACAAAUUUGGUCAUAAUUCAGGGUACCAGAUGCUUUACUCUUAAAAAAAAAUAAAAUCUAGUCAAUCUUUAUAUAAGUAAAAUGUUGAAAUCGAGGAGGAAAAAUGCUAGAGUUUGUGACCCAAAUUUUGUUGAUUUGGCCCUUAAAAGUUUAUGGUGAGACCCAUGUUUGUGAUUUUUCAUGGGAUUUGUGGUGGUAGCGUAUGUUUUUGGGCCUAGACGCGUAUCAUAUAAGAGCGUUUAGUUGGCUAUUUUGGGUUGUUCUAAUAUACACGAAAUUGAGACUAUCGUCUCCACAUUGUACUCCUCUCAGUAUAGUUAAUUCCUCUGCCUCUGCCCGUGGUUUUUCCCGCAAGGGUUUCCACGUAAAUUUGUGUGUUCUUGUUUUUCUUUUUGCUUGUGGUUUGCUUAAUACUGUCCGAUUCAUAACAAAAAAACAAAUGCUCAUCUACUCAAUUUCUUUUAACAUUCACAAAUAGUUCAGUCGAGACUUUCAUCAAAUCACAUUGGCCUAAUCAAAUCAUGAUGCUUUAAAGUAAUUUGAUGAUCUUGCUCUUUGUUAGUUGCACCUUUCUAGGCAACUAGCCCGACUGAAGGACUGCACGUCUUGCUUUUACUGUCAUAUCGGGAGUUCCUCCAUAUGUUUUGCUGUACGUAAAAAUGGAGAGUGGAUUCCUCUUUGGCGUUUUAGGAAGAUGCCAUGGUGAUAUAUCCACACUGUUCUAACCACAUAAGAAUAACUCCGCGCAACUAAUUCUUCAUCCCCGUCCGAACCUUCCUGCAUUAGAUUUUGUGAUCCAAUCCCUCAAGGUGAUUGCUGUUGCUUCACAGCAAAUUAAGAAGCAAGAGUAGCAACUAGAUAACAAACUUGGAAACGAACUUAAUCCUCUUCGUUCAGCUCAUCAAUCCUAUGCGUUUAAUGGACUUAAAGGUGCCACCUGCAGAAAAGAAGCAACAGUUAGAAAGAUAUUAUCACAACAAAGCACGAGCGAUAGUACUCAAAUUGCUUGCUUGAGUGCAACAGUGCAUCUUUCCAGUUCACAUUAAGACGAGUACAUUCUUUCUUGAAUGAGUUUGUCUCAAGUUUGAGAUAGCAUAUCCUGAAUUGAUGUAUUAAUAGGCACGGGAGGAAUUUUAAUAACACACUACUGUUGCAAACGAGGACAAAUGUUGUACAGCAGCACCUAUUCGAACAAGUUGAUCAUUACAUACAGAAGCGUCUCAACUCCAAAUGCUUGUCGAUGGCUGAUUCUUGGUGCACGUGAGUUCCACCGUGCAGCAUCACAAUUCAAACUCUUUGUACGCGAAAAUCCCACUUCUUGUUGCAUUGGAGUUUCUCGAUAACAUCGUUGCCUGAAGAGUUUUCUGAUGUUUGUUAUGAUGGUCUAUCUUGAAAGAUCUACAGAAACUUGAAAAAACUGAGAUAUAGGAUAUCAAUAUAGUACAGAUGCCUCCAACCUUUUGUUUCACUUCCUUCUUUCCCAUCAUAACAGAGAGUCAGCAAUUCCAUGUAUGUUUCCGUACGUGAGGAGUAACCAUUCCAAGAAGAAAAGAGAGUAUGCAACAACAACCAUUUGAAAGAACAAAUUUCGGAGUACAUAAUUCUGUCAGCUUCCUUUAUAUUUUUACGACAACAAGUAGUUUCAACACUCAGAUUGAACUUACUUUUUCUUGAUGGUAUUCUGGCUUGAGUGGAAAGCUGGAUCAUUUUCUAAAGUAUGAGAUGGGGCAUUCAACAUCGAUGUAUUAAUAGGAACAAGAGAAUUUUUAAUAACGCAGACUGUUGCACAUGAGACCAAAUGUUGUACAACAACACCUAUUUAAACAACUUGAUCAUUAAACACAGAAGCCCUCAACUCCAAAUGCUUAUCGAUGGUUGAUUCCACCAGCCUGCAUGACAAUUAUAACUCCUUGUAGGCAGAGAUACCACUUUUUGUUGCAUUGGAAUUUCUCAAUGACUUCAGUACCUGAAGAGUUUUCACAUGUUUGUGAUGAUGUAUUUCUUGAAAGAUUUACAGAAACUUUAGAAAAACUGAGAUAUAGGAUACCUUUCAUAUAGUAGAGAGGCUGCCGACCUUCUGUUUCACUUCAUUCCCGAUAGCAAAGAGUCGGCAACUCCAUGUAUGUUUCAAAGAGAUACUAGGAGGUGAACUGAGGAUGGAAGGAAGGGUUCUGAUUUUGACAGGGACAGAGAAUGUUUGUGGGAAAGAAAGGAACUUUUUAUUAUUUAUGCUUCAGAUAAAAAGUUGUUUAGACAUAUGUAUGGCAUUCUGUAUCGUAAUGUUAGUGUUAAUAUGGAUGACUACUGUAUGACGUACCGAUGAGUUGUAAGAAGUAAGAUUAGAAAGAAAGAAACAUAAAAAGUCAUAUUAGAAACAAUUUUGCAGUAGUCAGACAUAUAAAAAGUCAUUUUCGAGAUACUGGGAAAGUUCAAACAUCAAAUGGUGUUACAAAACAAUGUUAAUGUGUACACACACACACAAAAAGGAGGAAUUUAUACAAUAAAGAAGAAAAAAGAAGACCAUUCACAAAGACUUCAGUUGAGACUUUCAUCAAACUACGCGUUCAGGGUAGACAUCUUUUUAAAGUGCAGCAAUUUCCACAAAAGGAAUCAGAAUGGAGAAGAACCUGAUCUGCUGGUGCUCAAGAUAUUUCGACCUUAAGUGUGUCCCCUCCCGUCAUAUCUUCAACAUAUUGUUUAAUCUUCGGAGAUGAAUCUUCAAGUUGAGGGCUCUCGAAAAGUUCGAUAAUUUUCAAUGAAGAAAUAUUUCUGAAACUAGGCGGAAUCUCCUCAAGCUUAUGACAUUCCCACAGUGCUAAUUUCUCAAGCAUGGGAAAGGAUUCCUCUCCAAGCUCCCACUUAGCAAGAGUCACUUCUUCAAAACACAAAUAUUUGAGAUUCUCAAAGGUGUCUUCCUCCCCCAUGUUCCAUUCCUCCCCCUGCAUGAUUGUUCUAGCAACGAACAACUCUUCAAGGUUGGGAAGUCUCGCUAUUAUUGAUAGUGAAUCGGAGGACAGAGGAAAGUCACACAACCACAAUGCUUUCAAAUUUGAUGGGAAGUGAAAAUCCCAUGACCAAUUUGUCGCUAAAGAGGGCCCACUGUCAUUUGCGUUUGAGCUUGCAAAUUCUGCUUUGAGGAAUUCUAGUUCAGUUAGGAAAUCCAAUUUCAGGAACCAAUAUUGCUCUUUGAAUAAUCCCAUGAUUCCUUGAGAACAAAUGAAAGACACUGAAGAUUGGGAAACCUUUUGAAAAUAUCCUCCGUAUCUUUUGAAUAGGAAAGCACGAGUUUCCCUAAUUCUCUCAAGUUAUCUAAUUUUGCGUCCUCUGCUAUCAGUAUUGGUUCAUUUGUCUCCAUAGCAAAGAAAGAACAAGCAUAAAUGGACAGCUCUCGCAACUUUAUAAGAUCCCAAAUACUCGGUAAUAGUACCAUGAUUAAUCCUUUGUUAGUCACAAACAGGAUUUCUAGAUUCCAGAGGUUUGAGAAAGAUGACGGCAGAGGUUUAACUUCUGUCCCAAUUCUUAAGAACCUCAAAUGAUUCAGCAUGCCUAUUUCAUUCAGCAAAGAAUCUUUCACCCUCAUAAAAGAGGUACUCAGGUCCAACACUCUAAGAAGCCUCAAGUCUCCGGUUAUCAACAAAGAACAGAGGUGCUUACCAGAAUGCCUUUUCAUUUUUGAAUCGAGCAGGACGAAAUUGUUAGGCCCGAAGUGCUCCUUAUCAAAAAGAAUGGUCACUCUGCGUGGCAUCAAAUCUGAAGAAGAAGAUUGAUCACUUGAACUUAUCCUGCCAAACAACUUUUCCUCUUUUGCUUUUAUUAAACAAAAGUCGUGCACAAGAUCAUGAAGUUGGAAAGUCGGGUAAUAACCCAUCUCAUUGAAGGCAAUUACCAAGCUACUUGAAAUUAAAUUAUCCAUAUAAAUUUCCGUCACUUCAUCCACACUCAUCAUCUCUGUCUGUUCAACAAGCCCUUCAGCACGCCAAUACAUUUUCAACACCUUUCUGUGGAUUUCUGUGUCCUUCGAAAAACUUGCAAGGUAGAGAAAGCAUGGCAUCAGUUGAAGAGGUAAAUGGUCAUAACUUAAUUCUAUAACCUUCAUCACAUCCACUUCACUAUUCAAAAUAAAUGAACUUAAAUUAUUUCGAACUUCAAGCCACACAGACUUUUCCUUUUCCAAACCUGUAAUGACUCCAGCAAUCAGAUCAGCCACCAAAGGAAGCCCCUUACAAUUUUGGGCGAUUUCUUUGCCAACAUCCAAUAGUUCAUCAGGGCAACUCUCGUUUCCAAAUGCCCUUUUCUCUAAUAACUUCCAACUUUCUCACGUCUCAGCAAUUGAAGGUUAGGAGGAUUAGAGUUGCCCUUUCCAUGAAAAGCCACUUCCUUUUGUCAAGUCGUCAAAAGAAUUCUACUUCCUUUCUUAGCUUCAGGGAAAGGUCUUGUUAGAUCAUCCCAUGUAGUAAUAUCCCACACGUCAUCUAACACAAUUAGGUACCUCUUUCCAUACAAUUUUUUCUGUAGCUCAUCGGCAACAUCAAUUUCCUCGCUGAAUUUCAAAUCCGAGCCAUUAACUUGAUUAAAAAGUUUUACCAAUACCUCCUUCUCGUCGUAAUCUUGGUCAACUGUGCACCAUGCACGAAGGUCGAAAUGUCUACAAACUGAUUCAUCAUUGUAUGCUUUGUCCGCCAAAGUAGUUUUGCCCGAACAAGGCAUACCAUUUAUUGAAACGGCAUCAAGAUCUUUCGGUCCACUGGUGAGCUGACUAAUUAACCAAAUUGUCUCCUCCUUAAAACCUACAAUUAUUUUUACCAGUUGUGAAUGUUUUUCUUUCAACUGGAUUCUUGGGAGAGUUUACAACGAGGCUCUUGUUCUUGGGAAUCUUCUCAGGUAAACUGGAGACUUCUUCUUUGAUAAGCUUGAUCUUUUUUAUCGUAAUGGGAAGUGAGAAAAUAAGAUGUAAGAGACCAUUAUCUCGAACAAUAAUUGAAUCAAUGACAUCUUUUGCCUUAUAUGCUGCAUCUAAAACACGUGCCCAUGGAUUCUUAUACAAUCUUUGCUCAACAUUCACGUAGAACGAUCUUAUGAAUUCUAAGUCUUCUUUCACCAGCGCAAUUUCUUCCUUAAUCAAUGCAAUUGAAUAAGCAUUGGAAUAUAGCAGAUCAUUCAAGUGUAUGUGCAGCAGAUGCAUGAAGAGAGGUCCAUCAUUCAUGGGGAAGCAACAUUGAUAUGAGUCCGGGGCUUCCAGAUAAACAAAUUUGAGAUCUUCCUUGAGGAGUUCAAUAUUUUCCAGCAAGUCUCGAGUUGCACGACUUGUUUCAUCAGUACUCACUUCAUUCCUUGAUUUUUCUUCUAAGUCUUGAACUAGAGUUGAUACCUCCCUGAUAAGUGCUCCAACACGUGCCAAAAGAACAAAUAAUUUGUCAUGAUGAAUGAAGUCGGUAUCAGAAACUCCAUUAUGACAUGAAUGUUAUGAGCCUCUGAAGUGCUAGCGGUAAUAACAGUUACCAUGUGCUCUUGUAAAUGAACCAGAUAUUCUCUAAGAAUUCUGGAGAAGUUUCUAUGAGCUGCUUGAUGAAGCAUCCAACUUCUGCUGAUGGUGAAGCUUUUAAAUUUGUACAGCAUAUGGGCAUCACCUCCAGUUCAAUUGGAAUGAAUUUCAUGAGUAGAUGUGCUAGCUUGUAGAGUCGAAAGUCUCCAUCAAGUCGAUCAUCCCAAAGGAAGAGUGCAACUCUCUCAGCCAUGAGUUGAAAUUGAGGUAAGACACAUUGAACAAUCUCGUGCUCAACGCAACCAUUCACUAUCAACCCAUGAAAAUCUCUUAACAUUUCCACAUACAUUCUGAAGAAUCUCAUACUGAGUCUCCAAUGGAAAUAUCUUUUCAGCACGAUACUUGGACAUAUGAUGGAGAUUCAGGAGGAGGAAGUUCAACUGCUCGUCAGAAUGAUGACACGAACUGAUACAAUCAUCGAUAUUAUGCAUGAGGCUAGGAAAUCAUCGGCCAUGUCGACAGCAUUUUGAUCUUCUUCAUUCUUUAACCUCUCCAUGAAAUCCAGAACGUUGACAACGUCCUUGCGAAGAGCAGAAAAUGACACCUAUGAGCAAACCAAUGUUUUAUUUGUUUUCUAGAUUUAUCAUAAUAUCAAGGAAAUAAACAAACCCAUUAACUUGAAGUCUUUCAAAUAAUUUCAUAUCAGGAAGGAAAAAUUUAUACAUUGGUUUGUACGACUGUGGGGUUUAUCAACAGUUUGGUGCUUAAAAUUUUUCUAUUACUGAAGGAAUACAUUUUCAUUGCAGUUGGAUUUUUGAAAAGAAAUUAAAAUAAUUGUUUACAUGUUAUUUUUUUACGCCCGAAAAGUUGACUUUCUGUUGAAUUAUACUUUCAAGGAAUUAUUCCCUCCGUCCCAAUUUAUAUGACUUAGUUUCCUUUUUAGUCAUUCCCAAAAAGAAUGACAAGUUUCUAAAUUUUGUAGCAAUUUAACUUUACAAGAACAACAUAACCAGUGUAUUACCACAAAGUGGGGUCUGGGGAGGGUAAAGUGUACGUGUUCCAUACUACUACCCCAAAUGAAGUAGAGAGGUUGUUUCUUAUAGACCCCCGGCUCAGAUAACGGUAUAACAAACAAGAAACAUAAAAAUGAACAACAAAAUACGAUAACACACCGCUAGAUAUAAUAAAAGAAACAACGCACCGACAGAAUAAUACUAUAAACUAUCUAUUCGAGAUCACAAACAUCAUCAGAACUACAAGAAACUUCAGGCAAAGAUACAAACAAAUUACUCCUUCCUACUACAGACGCACUCCGACCCACUAACCCUCUACCCUAAUUUGCGUCCUCCAUAUUUUCCUAUCAAGGUCAUGUCCUCCGUAAGCUGUAACCACUCUAUGAAAUGCCUAAUCACCUUCCUCCAAUAUUUCUUCGGCCUACUCUACCCCGCCUAAAACCAUCCAUAGUCAGCAUCUUACACCUCCGUUCUGGAGCAUCCGUGCAUCUCCUCAUCACAAGCCCCACUCCCACCUUCUCUCGAAUAACCUCAUUUCUAACCCUAUCUCUCUUUGUAAGUUGACACAUCCAUCUCAACAUCCUCAUCUCUGCCACCUUCUAUUUAACUUUAAAAUACUAAUUUUACCCAUCUUUAAAUAAACAGAAUUUUAACUAAUCAAGAAACCAGUACUAAAUGGUUACAUCUUUUUCAAGAAACUACUAAGGAGUUGCAUUUUAUAACGUAUUUAUUAAAGCUAAAUUAGUAAAAACAGUAUUUAUUUUUUAGAAAAUGAGUAAGACAUACCAUAAAGUUGUUUGCUUCCCCUAUCUAAGACAUACCAUAAAGUUGUUUGCUUCCCCUAUCUCUCUUUGUCCUUCAUUUCCAUGUCUAAAAAUGCCUUUCAAUUUAGUUUUCUUUCAAAUUUUCAGGAUCUGACGUAUAAAAUGUAGAUAAAAAAAUUAUCAGGAGAAUAAAGCAGCAAAAAUUAUACAGAUAUAAAUAAGUAAAUUGUAUUCUGUGUUUACUUUCUCAAUAUUUUCUAUGAAUCUUAAUAUCAAAGAUAAACAAACUAAGUUUAUCAGAGACUAACCUCUAUCACUUGAUGAAAAUUCUGAUAUAGUUGCGUUGUUCCUCUAUGUUUUUGUGUGCUCUCCAGAAAACUAUUAGCUUGAAUAAUGAAAAGCUGAAAAUUAGAAGAUAGAGAGAACAAAUGAUUGAUGUUAGGUAGAAAAUGAUGCAUAGGGUUAGCUUGAUGUAAAUAUUGUAUAUUAAUGUAAUCAUAUAUUAUUGUAUAUUGGUGUAAUUACAUAGAUUUGAUUUAGUAGUUAAAGAGAAUAACAGUGACUUUAGUAAGACCAGAUUUGGUGGGAUAGAAUAGCGGAUUUAGAGGGAUAGAAAAGCUGAUCUUUAGGGAUAGGAAAACGGAUCUUUAGGGAUAUAAUCAUUGAAAAUUUUCUAUUUAAUGACAAAACUCUCAAUAUUGAGAGGCAUUCAGCAGAUAAUUGACAUGGUAUCAGAGCCUUCUCUUGGCUGUCUUGUUUCAUAGAGUUCAUUUGUGGUUUCUUUCAGUCUUUUUAAAAAAUUUUGGUUUUUGUUGAUUGUUCCUCGGCAAUUAACACCUUGGAUUUCGAUCUUGGCCAUUUUGGUUAUUCUUUUUGGGUCAGUGUUUCUAGUUUUCAUAAAUAUGACUUCAUAUCAGUUUGAAUCAUUCAGUGUUCGUUUCACUAGAAAGAAUUUCUUGUCAUGGGAGUUUUAGUUUCAGUUAUUUGUCACUGGAAAAGAACUAUGGGGCCAUAUAGAUGGAGUCGAUCCCGCUCCUACUGAUCCUACAAAGUUAGGUGAAUGGAAGAUUAAAGAUGCUCGGGUGAUGACAUGGCUUUUAGGGUCAAUUGACCCUCUUAUUGUUCUUAAUAUCAGGCCUUACAAGACACCUAAAGCCAUGUGAAAUUAUUUACAAAGGGUUUACAAACAAGAUAAUAGUGCCUGACGCUAUCACUUAGAGUAUGAAAUUACUAAUUACUCUCAAGAAGAUCUUUCUGUUCAAGAUUAUUUUUCUGAAUUUCAGAACUUAUGGGCUAAAUUUAUAAAUAUUGUUAUGCCAAAAUACCGGCCGAAUCUCUCUCUGUAGUUCAACAAGUUCAUGAGCAAAGCGAACGAGAUCAAUUUUUGAUGCAGUUACGCUCUGAGUUUGAGACUGUUCAUUCCCACUUGAUGAAUCGUGACCCAUCUCCCUCCUUGGAUGUUUGUUUAAGGGAAUUACUUUGGGAAGAUCAGCGUUUUGUCACACAAAAUUCUUUCAAGCAAAUUGAUGAUAUUGUUGUUGCAUUUGCUGUCCAAGGUAAAAGAAAGGGUAGGGAUAUGACUAGAACUCAAUGCUACAGUUGCAAGAGAUAUGGUCAUAUUGCUAGAAAUUGUGGCAGGAAGAUUUGUAAUUAUUGCAAACAACAAGGACACAUUAUCAUAGAGUGUCUCACAAGCCCUCAAAAUCGUAAGGUUAAUGCUUUUCAAGCUGGGACAAAUGGUUUCACUACUGAGAACUCAUCUUCGGGACAAGUUCUUACUCCUGAAAUGAUAAGAUAAAUGAUAAUGUCAGUUUUUUCAGCUUUAGGGCUACAAAGUAAUGAUCUUGCAUCUAGUUUUUGGCUUGCUGAUUUUGGAGCUUCCAAUCAUAUGACUAACUCAUCUAGUAUGCUAAAAAAUAUUCAUAAGUAUCAUGGUCCUUCACAAAUUCAAGUUGCCAAUGGUAGUAAUUUACCCAUUACCAAGGUUCGGGAUAUUACUAAAUCUUUCAAUAAUGUUUUUGUGUCACCAAAGCUCUCCACUAAUCUUAUUUCAGUUGGACAAUUGGUAGAUAAUAAUUGUGAUGUGAAUUUUUCUCGUAAUGGUUGUUUUGUGCAGGAUCAGGUGUCGAGGACGAUAAUUGCGAAGGGGCCUAAAGUUGGACAACUGUUUCCUAUAUACUUUUUCAUUCCUCGUAUUCUAUCAUUUGCUUGUACUUCUACACCUAGUAAGACUGAGGUAUGGCAUAAGCGCUUAGGACAUCCAAAUUCUAUUGUGUUAUCUCAUUUAUCAAAUACGGGUUUAUUGGGGAACAAAAAUCAAUUUUCCACUGCUUCCUUUGAUUGUUCCACUUGUAAAUUAGGCAAGAGUAAAAUUCUUCCUUUUCCUAAUUUUGGUAGUCGUGCUACAAAGUGUUUUGAUAUCAUUCAUAGUGAUGUUUAGGAUAUUUCACCAAUUGUUUCUCAUGCUCAUUUCAAGUACUUUGUGAUAUUUAUAGAUGAUUAUAAUCGAUUUACGUGGGUAUAUUUUCUUCGUUUCAAAUCUGAGGUAUUUUCCAUAUUCAAGACAUUUUUGGCCUAUAUUGAGACUCAAUUUUCUACUUAGAUCAAAUUAUUGAGAUUUGAUUCUGGUGGAGAAUAUAUGUCUUAUGAGUUCAAAAAUUUUUUGCUUGAAAAAGGAAUUAUCUCACAACGCUCAUGAUGUAAAUAUUGUAUAUUAAUGUAAUCAUAUAUUGUUUUAUAUUGGUGUAACUAAAAAAAUUUAAUUUAGUAGUUAACGAGAAUAAUAGUAACUUUAGUAAAAGCAGAUUUGGUGAGAUAGAAUAACGGAUUUAGAGGGAUAGAAAAGCUGAUCUUUAGGAAUAGGAAAACGGAUCUUUAGGGAUGUAAUCAUUGAAUAUUUUUUAUUUAAUGACAAAACACUCAAUAUUGAGAGGCAUUCACAAGAAAAUUGACAAAUAGUAUUAAGAAUAAAGUCUAUAAAGAAAAAGCAUAAAGCAAUGGCUUCACUUGUCUGCCAUUAAUCAUAUUCUGUGAUAUACUCCUUCACAGGGAUUCUAUUACCCGAAACUCAAUUUUAAUAUAUUUUUGUCACUUUUUUGGACUUCGUGGAACCUUUAUAACAUAAAAUGGAGUCCACGUUAAAGGUGUCAUGUCAACUAAAACGAUUAACAAAAGUUGUCACGUCAGCUAAAAAGGAUGACAAAAACGCUAAACUUUAAUUCAGGGGUAAUAGAACUCGCGUAAAGUUGAAGUAUGUCGUAGCAAAUUUGGUCAUAGUUCAAGGGUAUUAGAUGCUUUGCUCUAUUUUUUUGGUGUUGUGUCUGGCCAUAAAAUUCAGGAAUAUUUAGUAAUUUGAAAAAUACCAAAAUAUUGUUUUCAUUCUAUAUUACUCACAAUAAUUCAAAAACAAUUUCAAUUUAUAUUCUUUUUCUACUUCCGACCUUUUAUUGUUACUAAUCGUUUCCUUCCACAGUUCCUUUUAUUAUCCAUAGAGUAGUAUGUUUUUGUAUUGUUACUCUAUGCACAAAGAUAAUAUUGUGAAAGUAAUCUAUCUGUGGGAUCAAAAAGAUUUUGUCAGAUUUUUAAUGUCCUUUUAUUCUACUUUCACAAUCCUACUUCAGAAGAUAUCAGUGUAUCAAUUUUUUUUUUAAAAACACUAUUAGAGACUAACCUUUUAACUUGAUGAAAAUAUCUUCUGCUUGCUUUAUUAUUCAUCCAACAACUUCAAAUUGUUGGGAGAUAUUUGGCUUGGGGGUGGUGAAGAAAAUAAUUUUAGCAUUGAAAAAAAUUGUAGAAAAAACCAUGCCUAGUGUUUUCUAAAAGUCUAAAAGGAUGAAGCAAUGGGUCCUCACAGCUUGUCUACCACAAGUAUAAAAGGAAAAAGAAAAGUAAGUUAAUCAAAGAGAUAAGCAUCCAGUACCCCUUCGAACUUUGAUCAAAGUUGCUACGACACACUUCAACUUCAUAGGGGUUCUAUUACCCGAACCUAAUUUUAGCGUGUUUUUGUCAUCCCUUUUGCACUGAUGUGGCACCUUUAUUACAUAAAAUGGAGCCCACAUCAAAGGUGCCACGCCAUCUAUAAAGCAGGUGUCACGUCAGCUAACAAGGUUCACAAAAUACGCUAAAAUUUAGUUCAAGGGGUAAUAGGACUCCUAUGAGGUUGGAGUGUGUUGUAGAAGAUUCGGUCAUAGCUCAGGCGGUACUAGAUAUUUUACUCUUAAUCAAACUCUCAAUACUUUGUUCACAUUAUAUUAUUUCCUUAGUUUCAUUUUGUUUGACACUAUUUUCUUAUUACAUCAUCAAAAUAAUAUUAACAUUCUUAUAAUUUCUUAAUUCAAAGCUUUUAUAUUCACACAAAUAUUAUGACAUGUGUUAGAGUUUAUGACCCGAAUUUUGUUGAUCCGGACCUGAAAAGUUCACGGUACGACCCAUGUUUGAGAGUUUUUGGGGGGUCUGUGGUGGUAGCGAAGGGAUCAGGCCAAUAGUGGGUUAUUUUUGGGCUUAAGAUUUAUUUGUACGCACGUAUUAUAUAAGUGCGUUUAGUGGGGUUGUUUAUGGUGGUUUUUGAUACACGUCAUUGUGACUUUCGUCUUCUCCAUUAUAGUGAAUUUCCUCCUUCUCUGCCCGUGAUUUUUCCCGUCAAGGAUUUCCACGUAAAAUUUGUGUGUUCUUCUUGUUUUCUUUUGUUUGUGGUAUUGCUUAUUCCUUUCCGUUCAAUAACAACAUGUUUAUUGUUGGAACACCUCUUGUUUGAGAAGUAGUAAGUUAGAAAGAAAUUGGCUAAACAAGUAUUUUGAAAGUUCACCUGCAGAAAAAAGAAUCAAAUUCCAAGAGUAUUAGAACAAUAUGGAUUCAAUUUCAAUGGGGCCUUACCUGUCUGCCACUUUGCACAGUGUUUGAUUAUAUAACUGUGUAUCUAUAAAAGUUUCUAAGUUUUCUAACGAGAUAAGGCACAAGUAUACCCCUAAACUAUAUCUCAAGUUCCUACUACCCCUUCUAAACUCUUUUUUUGUUCUAAUUAGCUUAAGAUUAAUGUCUUGAUGAAACAGGAUCGUACCAUAUACUCAUUGCUACAUAAUAUUCACAAAUAGUUGUAAGUGGUUGUGCCUAUUCACUUUGGUGGCGCACAUUGGAGGAUCUAUACAAGACAUAGGUUGUUCAAUUGGAAUAUUACUACAAUUCCAAUAUAAAACUACAAUUGAAUUCUAUAUGAAGUUGAUGCUGCUGCAUCUUCAUCAACGGUCCAAAUGGAAUCAGUCUUGUCUAUUGGUUUUAAUAGAGAUGAGUUAUUUAAUAGAGAUGAGUUAGAAGAGAAGAGAGGCAGACAACUUUAUUUUUCUUUUCUCGUAAAAGCUCCAUAUUAUUGAUCAUCAACUCCUCCUUAAAUAGUGCUAUUACAACCAAAAAUAGAUUAAACUUACCAUAAGAGAAACAACCUAUUUGCUACCAAAAAUAAUAACUAAUCAGUUCCUACCAAAAUUAGGAAUCCCAAUUUGACUUAAUCAAAAAAUAAAUCGCGUGCAUUAUCCCUUAAAGCAACUUUUAACACUCCUCCUUGCUUUAGGAACUGCAAAAUUAUGAUCUUCUGUCUUGGGAUCUCCACAUUUGAUAACCAAAAGUGACCUUGCGAAUAAAUUUGCAGAUUAAUCUUUUGGUAUGUAGUGAACUAAAUUCACUUCUUGUCUUGAAUGUAACCCUUUACUAUUAAAUCCUUUUGGCAUGUCUUCCUGCUUCGUUUGCAUCCUGAAUUUGAAUUUACCCGUUUUAUUUUCCUGAAACACAGAUAACUUCUCCUUUGCUUCAAUCCCUUUAGGAACAUUGAUAUCUCUUUUAAACUUAGGAGGUUCACAUAUUGCUUGUGCUUUUUCAAUUAGAGGGUCAUCUUCUAAUUUUUUUCAUCCUAUGAUCUUUUUCAUGUUCUAUAGAAACAUCUUUCAUUGGAUCAAAUAAGAAAUGUUUACCUCUCAUCCUAAUGUUUAAAACUUCUUUUCCAGUAUCAUCAUUGAUAUAGCAUUGUUUAUCCUCAAAGGAUACUUUGUAUCCUUUUUUUACCAACUGAAAAAUACUCAACAAGUUUUGAUCAAUAUCAGGUACAUAAAGAACAUCUGAAAUUGCUUUAUUACCUGAACUGGUUUUGAUGACAACAGUUUCUUUUCCUUCAACAAGAAUCUGGGCACCAUUUCCGAUCCUAACUUUGGAUAUUUUAGUAGGUUUUAAUUCUUUAAACAAACUCUUGUUAUAAGUCAUGUGGUUGGUGCAACCGCUAUCAAUCAACCAUAAAUUUGAUGAAGCCUUACUUGAGAUACAUGUUGCAACAAAAAGAUGGUUUUCUUCUUCUUCUUCAUUGACCACAUGUGCAUUUGCUUCAUGUUUUUCAAAUUUGCUUUUGCAAAUCACUGCUUCAUGGGCAAGUUGAUUGCACUUGUUGCACUUCACGUCUGGCCUUUUCCAACAUCUGUAUAGUGGAUGACCCAUUUUUCCACUGCUCCCAAGGUGGGUAAUUUUUUAAAUUUUUACCCCUUUUUUUUUUAUUUUUGUGGUUGGCUACUAAGACUCCUUCAACUAUACCAUCUUGCCUCAUAAGUUUUCUUUGUUCCAGUGCCUGAAAAGAAUUUAACAACUCCACCAAAGUAAUCUUGGACUGAUCUUGUGUAUUUUCCAAGGUAGUUAUACAUACUUCUUAUCUUUCGGGUACUGUAACAAGAAUUUUUUCAACAAUUCUUGAAUCUUUCAAUUCAGUGCCUAGUAAUCUUACCUUCUUAACAAUGCCAAGUAAUCUAUCAGAAUACACUUUGACUGUCUCGGCGUCUUUCAUUCUCUGCAACUCAAACUCUCUUAUUAAAUUUAGUACUUGCAUUCCACGGAUUCUUUCAUCGCUACCAUAUUCUUUCUUCAUAUAAUCCCAAAUUUCUUUUGGUGAUGUGAGAUACAUAAUUCUUCUAAAAAUAGUUGUUGAAACAGAAGCAAACAGAGUUGCCUUUGCCUUAGAUUUCGUGGUUUUCUUUUCCCUGUGACUCUUGAUUUGGGCUAUGGUGAGAUUAUUUGACAGUGGAACAAUUUCAUAAUCAUCUUCCACAGCUUCCCAUAGAUCAAGAGCCUCCAAGUAUGUUUCCAUUCUCACUGCCCAUAAUUGAUAAUUUUCACCAUCAAAACGGGUGGAGCCAUUCGUGAAAAACUAUUUUCAGAAUCCAUCUCUUCACUCACAGGUCCCUCAAGAAAAAUAGCUCUAGACAUUAAUUGUUGGUUUUAAUAGAGAUGAGUUAGAAGAGGAGAGACGCAGAGAAUUUUAUUUUUCUUUUCUGGUAAAAGCUCCAUAUAAUUGAUCAUCAACUCCUCCUUAAAUAGUGCUAUUACAACCAAAGAUAUAUUAAACUUCCCAUAAAAAAACAACCUAUUUGCUACCAAAAACUAACUAGUUCCUACCAAAAAUAGGAAUCCCAAUUUGACUAGGAGUUGGAUGUAAAAAAAAACGGGAGAAAAUCAAAAAAUAAAUCACGUGCAUUAUUCCUUAUAGCAACUUUUAACAAUGUCGAACCUCCGUGCUGCCACUGUUCUGUAUAUGAAGAGUUUCUCAAUUGGGAAACUUUCUGGUCUCGUGUCCGGAUGAUCGUAACCCUUGGCAACUUCUGAGCUAGCAACAAACAUGCGCCAUAACUUAAUGAACAAGAAGACAUCCAAAAAUACCACAUUAUCCCCAGCCAUGCAGCAUUGACCAACAGCGUUGCCGCCAAAGGAGCGCAAUCUCUGAUCUCCAAGGUCAGGAAUCUGCGGAGGCCUAGAUUUACGAAGAGCAUCUCUAGUCUCUUAGCAUGGGCCCUCAUGUAAUAUAACACACGGUCUGUAUGGAGGCCAGAAAGGGAAAGUUGUCGCAAUCCCUUGCAGUGAUGGACGAUGGCCCCAAAACCAGCAUCGGGCUGCCCAAGAGUUAGGUAAUCAGGAGAUUGAGGCUUGACUAAACACAUACAAAAUCAGAUCAUGUUAGGACGGUUCCUUGCAGAAGUAACUAAGGCAGCAUUUGUCAUUUUGCGGCAGAAGUAUAGAACUAAGUGGAGCUUAGGGAAGCCAGCGGAAAUAGCUACAAGGCCUCGCUCUGUCUAGGGGACAUUUGGUUCUUGCGCAUAAGGACAUGCCCUAGGGUCCUCAAGGUCCUUACAAUAGGUGGAAAUAUCUCAAUACCGGUUUCGUCAACGUAACCACGAACCUGCAGUCAAAUUCAGAUGCCAACUAAGAUUAAAACUUUUUUCACCUGUAAGGACAAAAGUACUUGGAAAAGGGUAAUCUACAAAGUAAAAUAUACUCUCUCCAUUUCUAUUCAUGCGUGUUACCUUCCUUUUUAGCCUGUUACAUUCAAUGAUACUCCUAAGUAGGAAUGGUUUUGCAGGUCUGAAACCACAAGAUUCAAGGAUUUUUUUUCUUUCAGAAAGUUUUGCUUUUGUGACUAGACAACAUACUGCACAUUUAUCUUAACUCCGUCAGGAUCAGCCUGUACACCAGCAAAGUAGGCUCCAGUAACAAAAUUCAACCAACUGGGUAGCUUGGCGAAGAAUGUUAGGAAGAGCCUAGAGUCCUCAAAUUAGUGGCAUUUCCUGCAUUGAUGUAUCAAAAGGAACAUCAACUUACUGUUGCACAUGAGGCCAAAUGUUGUACAGCUAGAGCCUAUUUGAACACAUUGAUCAUUGCACACAGCAGCCUUUCAACUCCAAAUGUUCAUCGGUUGAUGAUUCGUGGUGCACAUCAAUUUCACCACACUGCAUCACAUUUCAAACUCUUUGCACGUGAGUAUCCCACUUGUUGUUGCAUUGGAAUUUCUCAGCAACAUUAUUACCUGAAAACUUUUCACAUAUUUGUGAUGACGGUAUUUCUUGAAAUAUAUACUAAAACUUGAAAAAACUGAAAUGAGUUGGAAAGAAAUAAACUUUUACUAUUUAUGCUUCAGAUUAUGAACUUUAGAAUAACAAUUCUUUAAACAAUGGAUGACUAUUGUUUGACGUACCGAAGAGUUGUUUGUUUUCAUUGUCUUUUCCUAUUUCCAUGACUGUACUUUCCAAUAGUCAAUACCAAAGUAACUUCCCCUUCUAUUCCUUUCAAUGUUCUAACGAUCUGAUGUAUAAAAUGUGCAUAUAAUUUUAGUAGGUGGAAGAAGUAAGAAUACAAGAAAACUGAAGAAAGGAGCGUAAAAAGUCAUGGAAGUAAGAACACAAGAAUAUAGCUAGAUUUGAUACUUCUAUUUUUGAGUUAUGAAGGUCAGGUCCAGAUGUAAAUUUUUAUACAUGUAAAUGAGACGAAGAAACAAAACAGCAAAUACUUGCUAAAUUUCGACUUAGUAUUAUUCACAAACAGACAUAUACAGAAGAAUCAGAACAGCACGCGUAUGUAAAAGAGAAGAACCUGUUAUGGUGGUGCUCAAGGCUUCCCCCACAAUAAUUCUUCAAGCUACUUAAAUAAUGGGAUAUUAUUUGGGCCAAGGACCUCAAGCUCCCCUCCCAUCAUAUACUCAACAUAUUCCUUAAUCUUCUGAGCUGAAUCUUCAAGUUGAGGGCUCUCGUCAAGUUUGAUAAUUUUUAAUGAACCAAUAUCCCCAAAAUUAGGUGGAAUCUCUGAAAGCUUAUGACAUACAGACAGUUCUAAUUUCUCAAGAACGGGAAAUGAUUCCACUUCAAACUCCCACUUAGCAAGAGUCACUUCUUCCAAAUACAAAUAUUUGAGAUUCUCAAAGGUGUCUUCCUCCCCCAUGUUCCAUUCUUCUCCCUGCAUGAUUGUUCUCGUAAGGAACAACUCUUCAAGAUUGGGCAGUCUCACUAUUGUUGAUAGUGAAUUGGAUGCCAAAGGAAAGUCCCAAAACUCCAAUUUCCUCAAAUUGGAAGGGAAGUGAAAAUCCCACGACCAAUUUUUUGGUAAAGAGGGCCCACUGUAAUUUGUGUUUGAACUUUCAAAUUCUACUCUGAGGAAAUCUAGUUUAUCUAGGAAAUCCAAUUUUGGGAACCAAUAUCGCUCUGUUGAAUAAUCGCACGAUUCCUUGAGAACAAAUAUAAACCUUUGAAGAUUUGGGAACCUUAUGAAAAUAUCCUCUGUUUCUUUUGAAUAGGAAAGCACGAGUGUCCUUAAUUCUCUUAAGUUCUCUAACUUUGAGUCCUCUGUUAUCACUAUUGGUUCAUCUAUAUCCAAGUCAAUGAAAGAACAAUCAUACUGAACGGACAGCACUCCCAACUUUACAAGAUCCCAAAUUCUCGGUAAUAGUACCAAGGUUGAUACUUUGUUAGUCACCAACAGGGUUUCUAGAUUCAAGAGGUUUGAGAAAGAUGGAGGCAAAGAUUUAACUUCUGUCCCAAUGUGUAAGUACCUCAAAUGAUUCAACAUGCCUAUUUCAUUCAGCAAAGAAUCUUUCACCGUGAUAAAAGAGGGAUACAGGAUCAACACUCUAAGAAGCCUCAAGUCUCUUAGAUGACAUGCAUCAUCUUUCAUCUCGUCUCCAGCUAUCUCCAAAGAAUAGAGGUGUUUACCAGAAUGCCUUUUCAUUUUUGAACUAAACAACACAAAAUUGUUAAGCUCAAAGUGCUCCUUAUUAUAAUCAAUUUUUACUAUGCGUGACAUCAAAUGUGAAGAAGAAAAAGACGGAUCACUUGAACUUAUCUGCUCAAGCAACUUUUCCUCUUUUGAUUUUAUCAAACAAAAGUCAUGCACAAGAUCAUGUAGUUGGCAAAUUGGUUGAUCACCUAUAUCAUUAUAAGAAAUUACCAAGCUACUGGAAAUUAAAUUAUCCAAAAAAAUUUCCAUCACUUCGUCCAAACUCAUCAUCUCUGUCUGUUCAACAAGCCCUUCAGCACACCAAAACAUUUUCAAUCUAUUUCUGUCCAAAGCUGUGUCCUUCAGAGAACGUGCUAGGUAGAGGAAGCAUGGCUUCAGGUGAUGAGGUAAAUGGUCAUAACUUAAUUCUAUAACCUUCAUCACAUCAACUUCACUGCCGAAAAUAAAGGAAUUCAAAUUAUUUCGAACUUCAAGCCACACAGACUUUGUCUUUUCCCUCCCUGCAAUGACUCCAGCAAUCAGAUCAGCCACCAAAGGAAGUCCCUUACAAUUUUCGGCUAUUUCUUUUCCAACAUCCAAUAGUUCAUCAGGGCAACUCUGUACUCCAAAUGCCCUUUUCUCUAAUAACUCCCAACUCUCCUCUGAUUUUAGCAGCCGAAGCUUAAGAGGAUCAGUGUCGCGCUUUCCAUCCAAAGCCACUUCCAUUUCCCGAGUGGUCAAAAUAAUUCUACUACCAUUCUCAUCUAGAGGAAAAGGUCUUUUUAACUUAUGCCAUGUAUCAGUAUCCCAUAAGUCAUCUAAGACAACAAGAUACUUCUUUCCAAUCAGGUGUCUCCGUAGCUCAUCAGCAACAUCAAUAUUCUCACUCAAUUUUGAGUCUGAGCCUGUAACUUGAUUAUAAACUUUCUCCAACAACUUUCUUUUGUCGUAUUCCUGGCCAACUGUGCACCAUGCACGAGUGUCGAAACGUCUAGCUACUGACUUAUCAUGGUAUACUUUGUACGCCAAAGUAGUUUUUCCCGAACCUGGCAUACCAAUGAUUGAAAUGACAUCUAGAUCUUUCGGUCCACUGGUGAGCUUAGUAAUUAACCAGUUUGUCUCCUCCUCAAAACCUACAAUUAUUUUACCAGCUGUCAGUGACUUGCUUUCAACUGGCUUCUUCGGAGAGUUUACAGGAAUGCAGCUCCUGUUCUCUGGAAUCUUCUCAAGUAAAUUUGAGACAUCUUCUUUGAUAAACCCGAUCUUUUUUAGGGUGAUGGGAAGUGAGAAAAUAAGAUGUAAGAGACCNNNNNNNNNNNNNNNNNNNNNNNNNNNNNNNNNNNNNNNNNNNNNNNNNNNNNNNNNNNNNNNNNNNNNNNNNNNNNNNNNNNNNNNNNNNNNNNNNNNNNNNNNNNNNNNNNNNNNNNNNNNNNNNNNNNNNNNNNNNNNNNNNNNNNNNNNNNNNNNNNNNNNNNNNNNNNNNNNNNNNNNNNNNNNNNNNNNNNNNNNNNNNNNNNNNNNNNNNNNNNNNNNNNNNNNNNNNNNNNNNNNNNNNNNNNNNNNNNNNNNNNNNNNNNNNNNNNNNNNNNNNNNNNNNNNNNNNNNNNNNNNNNNNNNNNNNNNNNNNNNNNNNNNNNNNNNNNNNNNNNNNNNNNNNNNNNNNNNNNNNNNNNNNNNNNNNNNNNNNNNNNNNNNNNNNNNNNNNNNNNNNNNNNNNNNNNNNNNNNNNNNNNNNNNNNNNNNNNNNNNNNNNNNNNNNNNNNNNNNNNNNNNNNNNNNNNNNNNNNNNNNNNNNNNNNNNNNNNNNNNNNNNNNNNNNNNNNNNNNNNNNNNNNNNNNNNNNNNNNNNNNNNNNNNNNNNNNNNNNNNNNNNNNNNNNNNNNNNNNNNNNNNNNNNNNNNNNNNNNNNNNNNNNNNNNNNNNNNNNNNNNNNNNNNNNNNNNNNNNNNNNNNNNNNNNNNNNNNNNNNNNNNNNNNNNNNNNNNNNNNNNNNNNNNNNNNNNNNNNNNNNNNNNNNNNNNNNNNNNNNNNNNNNNNNNNNNNNNNNNNNNNNNNNNNNNNNNNNNNNNNNNNNNNNNNNNNNNNNNNNNNNNNNNNNNNNNNNNNNNNNNNNNNNNNNNNNNNNNNNNNNNNNNNNNNNNNNNNNNNNNNNNNNNNNNNNNNNNNNNNNNNNNNNNNNNNNNNNNNNNNNNNNNNNNNNNNNNNNNNNNNNNNNNNNNNNNNNNNNNNNNNNNNNNNNNNNNNNNNNNNNNNNNNNNNNNNNNNNNNNNNNNNNNNNNNNNNNNNNNNNNNNNNNNNNNNNNNNNNNNNNNNNNNNNNNNNNNNNNNNNNNNNNNNNNNNNNNNNNNNNNNNNNNNNNNNNNNNNNNNNNNNNNNNNNNNNNNNNNNNNNNNNNNNNNNNNNNNNNNNNNNNNNNNNNNNNNNNNNNNNNNNNNNNNNNNNNNNNNNNNNNNNNNNNNNNNNNNNNNNNNNNNNNNNNNNNNNNNNNNNNNNNNNNNNNNNNNNNNNNNNNNNNNNNNNNNNNNNNNNNNNNNNNNNNNNNNNNNNNNNNNNNNNNNNNNNNNNNNNNNNNNNNNNNNNNNNNNNNNNNNNNNNNNNNNNNNNNNNNNNNNNNNNNNNNNNNNNNNNNNNNNNNNNNNNNNNNNNNNNNNNNGUUGACAACGUCCUUGCGAAGAGCAGAAAAAGACACCUGCCAAAUGAACAGUUAGUAAAAACACCUUUGUUUUCUAGAAAUGAAUAGUUUCUUAUGGGUGUACCCUGAAACAACAAUUAUUUAGGAAUGGAGCGAGUAUGACUUACCACAAAGUUGUUUUUUCUUUCUUCUUCAUUUUCCAUGACUGAAGGCGUCUUUCAAGUUCUCUUUCCUUCAAAUUCUGAGGGUCUGAUAUAUAAAAAGUUUAUCAGGAGAAGAAAAUUACAUAGCAAUUGAAAUCCCUGGUAGAAGAUAGAGAAAACUAGAAAAAAGAAGAGACUUUGAAACAGCGGCAAAGAGAGUAAGCUGUUGGAUCAAAAGAAAUUUAGUCAGAGUAGUUAUGCAGUUGAAAGGCCAACAACAGAAAGAAGUAGUUGAAGGGCUACUAUUUUUACAAAUCCAAAUUUAUUAGUCAUGUUAAUCAAUUGUUAAUUCUUCCGCAUUGUGUGAGUGCUUUUAGAUGCUCAUGACAAGUUGGUUGAUUUUUGAUGAAUCUGGUGAACUAGGUGAAAAAGAAAUCCUGAAUGAAGCUGAGGUUGAGGAUACUCUUGAUGGUGUGGAAGGAAGUGAUUACUAGUCGAUUCUUAGAGUAACUGUUAAAGUUGUUGUUGGGUCACGGAACAGCCUCUUGCAAAAAAUGCUUACAAUACACCCCUGUGGCUCGGCCCUUCCCCGAAUCCCGUUCUUUUUGGUUGAGUUUCUGUCAAGUCAAAUUAUAAUUAACAAACUGAAACAGAGAGUAUACUUUACCCAGUUGACCAUGUACAGUUGUGUGUGAAUUUCCGAGGGUCAAAUUCAAUGACUUGUCAAGUUUUCAAAAUAUCCAUUAUCAUCUAAUUAGUCUUCUUAAUCAUUACUUAAUCUGAUAUACGUAAUGCUAUCCAUAUCAAUAAUAUUUCAUCCCAAGUACAACUUAUUUACCAUUACUUUCCAGACAUAGCUUCUAUUUGUGAGUUAUCAAGAGACCUUCUACAUGUUUAUUGGAAAUAAUAACAAGUACCGGGUGACUCUAGCUUUAUUCAACUCAUCAAGGCCAGAACAGAUGGGAAGAUAUCACUAGAAAUAAUCAAGAAUUUUAACAGAAGAGGCUUUCUCGACCAUCCACAUCAUGUUAUUAUGUUGUAAAUAAAAUCAAAAGAAAACUUUUUGUUAUAUCUUUGAGCCGUAAAAAACUAGAAUAGAAAAAACACAGACACUUUCAAAGUGAUCUUACCUUUUCACUGUUUGAAGUUCAGCAGUAGAAGCCCUUGUUUAAGAAAUAAUGUUGAACAGUGGCAAAGAGAGUAUGCUAUCUAUGGGAUCAAAAUGAUUUUGUCAGAGUAGUUGAAGUACUUUGGUAGAUCCAGAUUUACGAUUCAAAGAUUAUUAAAAUACAACUCAUUGACUUUUGGAUUGUUUUAAGAGUAAAGCAUCUAGUAUCCCUCUGACCAAAUUUUCUAUGACACACUCUAAUUUCACGGGAUCCUUUUAUUUCCGAACUCAAUUUAAUGUAUUUUUAUCACUCUUUUUAGAUGACUAUACCUUUAAUAUGGAUCAUAUUUUUAUGUAAUAAAAGUGUCAUGUCAGCAUAAAAAGGUGACAACAGUACAUUAAAAUUGAGUUCAGGGUAACAGGACCCAUGUGAAGUUCGAAUGUGUCGUAGCAAUUUUGGUCAUAGUUUGAGGGGCAUUGAAACACCCCGGUUGUUUUAAUAAUCAUUAUCCUCUUAGUCUUUUUAUUCAAUUGUUAAUUCUGCUGAUUUGUGUGAAUGCUUCAUGAUUAGUUGGUGCUGUUGUGAUAAGCAUUCACAUAGGCAGAUUGUUUAUUUAUUCAACUUGGCUACAGAUGAACUUAAAAGGCCACCACCAACAAAACUAAAGGCUAUCAAUUAAACAAUAAUAUUAAAAAUACAAAUCAUUGACUUGGACUUAAUCAAUUGUUUGCACGUCAAUCUCUUAUAUAUUGACAAUAUAUAAGUGACCAGUAAAUUGUGGUGGUGUUCGGGCCAACUUUACCACACUUUGAUUACGUACACGGAAUACUUGCAACCUCCAGCCGGCAUCAGAUAUCAUGUAACUAGCUGUCAGGUAAACUAUGUCCACCAAGACUAGGACACGUGGAAAGAGCGUUUUCUUCUAAAGAAUAUUACUUUUGAUAAGCGUAGUGUUUGGGCUGGCUUUUGCGCUCCUCCACUAAAAUCCAUGGAAUACCUCCAAUCUCUCACCAACAAUAACUGAUAUAGGUAACUCUGCCCACCAAGGCUAGGACAGAUCGGAGGAGUGGUUUUUUUUUUUUUUUGGUCAAAAACUAAGAAUAUUAUUUUUAAUAAUUGUGGUGUUGUAACACCCCAUAAAAUGCGUGAACGUGCUAACCCCUAGUAGUGUACUCUUAGCCUUGGAAACUUGAAAAUAUUCUAAGUGUCAAGAGAUUUAGUCUCAUUUUUAGCUCUUAAUCUUCGGGGAUUUUAUUUUCGAUCCUCUCGACCUCCGAUUUUAGAUUUUCUUGUUGUGUUGCGAUGGGGCAAGGUCGUAGUACAUCUCGGGUGAGUUUCAAAAUUUUUAGACGAGCCUAAGGGCAUGUUUGGUGUUGCAUUCUAGUAGCUCCGGGCGAUAAGGGGGCGCCGCCCGGGUUCUCCCCCGCUCUAAGGCAGGCGCUGCCCGGGCUACCCCACUACUAUAAGGUGACGACGCUUGGGGUACUUCGGUGCUCUAGGCAGGGCGCCGCCCAGGGUAUCGCGCCCGGCCAAAUUUCAGCACCCUAUUCCGUCUCAUUAAGGGAAAAAUGGUACUUCUCCAACCCCUUAUCACCUCUAACACGGGAUAAGGCUCCCAAAUACCCAUAUCAUUGAUACUUUUCCCAAAAAAUCACCAAGAACACUCCCAAGGGUUUCAAACUAGAAACCCAAAUAACUCAAGAUUCAACCGUGGUUUUCAAAAGCAAUUGAAGAUUUAGAAUCCCCAAUUCGUAAGCUUCAAGAAUUACUUAUUAUCUUCCGGAAUUAAGGUACGCGAGGUUUUCCUAAAAAUCUCAUGGACAUAGGAAUCAUGCUUUUAUGAAAAGGGUUUCGGAUUAUGAAUAUAUUCGUGUUUUAGAAGCUUUAAUGACAUUGUUUUGGUAUUUCGGCCUUUCCCCGAAGUGAUUUGAAAACUUAUAUACUUAUGUGUAUGUGAUUUGAGUUGAUAUUUGAAAUUGAGAGCAUGAUUCACAUGAAAUCCCUCUCUUGAUGUGAUUAUUUCCAUGUUUCACGUGAUAUGAAUUGUUUUGAAAUGCAGCUUGAAAAGUUUGUUACGAAAAGCCUUGAUUUAUGAAUGAUUUGGUUAUGAAUCUUGAAUAAAAAAGAGAGGGUGGUUUGUAUUGAUAAAUGUUGAAUAUGCAUAUAAUGAAAGAGUGCAUGGUUUUGCCAAAAGCACAUAACCACCUUAUGUUUGAAGGAUUCUUGCAUAGUUUUGACUUAUGUUUCAGAACAUGAAAUCUGUUAUACUAAUUUGCAUGUUUAGGUAGUUUGAACUAUGUUUUAAUGAAAGAUCAUGCUUACUGCAUUAUGGCUCAGAAAUAAGACUUGCAAGUCUUGGUGUGAUGAUACCAAUUCAGAUUAUGCCAUGAUAAUUUCAGCACAGAAUAGAAUGUAUGUUUGAAAUCAGACUUUUCAGAUGUUGAAACUAGAAAAUGCAUGAUUCAGAACAGGAUAAAAAUGGGCAUAAAGAGAGCUUAGGUGGUUCCCCAAAGAAGGCAUGAGUUCAGAUAACUCAUUCCCCAAAAUCGUGAUUUGCCGAUCCGGGUAUAUUAUAUUAUGUUGGCCUAGUGCUGUGUGGCACAUCAAAAUCAGAAACUCCAACUCUUGCGGCACACUCGGGUUGGGGGCUUCCCCACCGAGUCAAUGGCGGAUUCCAUACCGCCCGUGGAAUAUUAGAAUUGUAGGGGAGUGCCACCUAACUCAGAAUUAAUACGAAGAUGAGAAACUACAUUAAUAAGAAUGAUUAUGAUUUUUCAGAAAAGUGCCCAUGUGUUUCAGAACUAUUACAUGCAUAACAUUUUGACAAAUUGCUCUCUCUUUAUUUUAUAUAUAUAAAAGCUUCAUUUUGGAUUGUUUUGCAUACCAGUACAUCUGUAUUGACCCCCCCCUCCUACCUCCAGGUUCUGAGGCUCAGUCUAGGGGUCCAGAAAAGCAGUAGAUUUAUCAGACAGAGUUGUAGUGUUCGGUUGGUGAGCCUUCUCUAUUCCAGAAGGUUCGUCUUUCUAGAUUUUGUCAUUUAUUUCCGUUUUGGUCUGUCACACCCCCUUUUUACGUACUCCAAAAAGGUUUAUAUUUUAAGUUCGAAAGGGUUUUAUUAUUUAAGUGACAAGAAAUGAAAGAUUUGUUUCGGAAAAGGAUUAUUUACAUUUUUUACUCAGAGUCGCCACUUGGCAUAAUCUGGUGUGCCAAGUCACCAUUGGAAAAAUCCUUUUCAAAACCAUUUGACUCUUUAAACCGGUUUGCGAACAGAGACUCCGGCUAAGGAAUUCUAUUGACCGAGGGGAAGGUGUUAGGCACCCCUCGAUCCCGUGGUUCAACCACGGUCGCUUGGUAGAAUGUAUCCACUAUUUUGGCGUUACGAAAUGUAUAAACCACACAAAAGCACGUAAAAUAAUUAAACAAUAAACAAAACAAAACAAUCCAAAAAUAUAAAGUCCAGUCCAAUUAUUACAACCCAAAAUUAAAAGGUACUGAAAGUAAACCUACGGUAAUCCUAAACUAAGCCCAAUGCUUUACCCAAUGCCUCGGGCCUUCACCACGAACGUCCUCCAGGUACAUGAUACCUCGGGGCAUUCCCCGGUGAAUAAAUAUAUAUAGAUACUUUGGAGCAUUCCCCGGCCAAAUUAUACAAUUGAAUUAAAUGCAACAAAAAAAACAAAAAACAAAAACCAUUCCAACACAUAUUUCAAACAUGUCAUCAAUCCACCAUGCCUAAAUUUUCCUACCCGAACCUACCAUUUGCAUAUCCAAUUAGCGACCUAAAAUCGUGACACUAUAGAGUUCACCAACAUUAUUCAUGUUUAUUCCAAGUUGAAUAAAAAGUAACAAUAAAACCAUCAUUAACCCAAAUUCAUCAUUUUAUCAAUAUCGUAAUUCCACCCCAAUUUUCCUUUUAUCAACCCAUUAAAACAUGAUCAAACUCAUUCCUCAAACCAACAUAGUCGAAUCACUAACGUCAUGAUCAACACCAAUUAAAUAAACCGAUCAACUACAAUAACUAAAGAGGCUCAAACGAACUAUCAAAAAUUAACCAUCAAACUUAAACAUGAACCACAUAAAUCAAGGACAUCAUCACAGAUAAAAUGAGAAAGAUAGAGUUGAAGAAUUUGGACCUUAGUUUUAUUUCAAAUCAGAUCGUUCGACUGAAGCCGCUUCACGGACUCAACGAAUCUCGACUCUACAACUCGUUAGCCCUUGAAUAAAAUCAACUCGGCCACAAAAUGAAACCCCGAUAAGUAUCCAAAAUUGAGACUAAGAAAAAGAAGAAAACCACAACCCCGAAUGACGAUUUAGUGGUCGGAACUGAUGCUAGCCGAUGGGAUUUGACCAAAAAAUAAGAGGCACGAGCUUAGAACGUGAUUUCAAAUCGUAAUAGAGCCGGUGGUACUAUUUUUCGUCAGGUUUUGUCGGAACGGUAGCCAGGCCAUGGCUAUUGACGUUUGAGCAGUGAUUCCGAUAGAUCUCCGGCGAUAACCCACCGGAGAAAAUACCUCUUACCUCAAUUUCAUUCUCGUCUCAGCUUUUCUCUCUCAAUUUUCUCCAAUCUCUCGCAGCUCUCUGUUGCUCUCUCAUAGCUCUCUAUUACCCUCUCCCUCUGUUCUUGCUACUGAUUGUUUUGCAUCAACAUCAGUGUGCGCGUGUUCUUCCCUGUGUGCGUAUGGAAUUGUGUAUGAGAAUAUCCCAGAUCUAGUGAAGAGAGGCUGUGAAUCGUGAGGAAGAAAGAAGAAGAGAAUCCAAAAAAAAAAUCUCCAAAAGGAAGCUUGUGGGUGUAAUUCAGUAAAGGUGACAGUGAGAAUUAUCUUCCAAAAAAAUGGUGAGGAAUUUUUUUUUGUAUUAGGCGUGAAUGAUGGAUGAAGAUGAUUGUCUUUUCUGUGAGGUCCAAUCCCCCUUUCUUUUUGUUUUUGUGUGUAUGUGUGUAUAUAUGAGGUGGGGGUGGGUAUUGGGGUAGGGUAGGUGGGGUAGGGUAUUAAAGGUGACAGUGAGAAUUAUCUUCCAAAAAAAUGGUGAGGAUUUUUUUUUUGUAUUAGGCGUGAAUGAUGGAUGAAGAUGAUUGUCUUUUCUGUGAGGUCCAAUCCCCCUUUCUUUUUAUUUUUGUGUGUAUGUAUGCAUAUAUGAGGUGAGGGUGGGUAUUGGGGUAGGGUAGGUUGGGUAGGGUAUGGGGGUAUGUGGUAGUGAUGUGUUGUCCAAAAUUGAUAAGAGGGGUGGUUAAUUUUGUUACAAAAGAAUAAUUGGGGAUUAGGUUUGUUAGUGGGUUUGUUAUUUUUGUAUUUUUAUGGGAUAUAAUCAUACGGGUGAGGGCACGUGGUAAAAUAGGGAUAAAAAUGUGUAACUUGGGUCUUCGGGAGGGACAUAAUUAGGUGUCUACAUCAUGCCCCAUUUGAAUGUAAACAUGAAGUGUUUUCAGGCAAAGAAGUAGACAGCGAGACCAAAUUUUGACCCGACCAUUAUUCAAAGGAAGAAACAGAAGAAAGAAGGACAACCGGGUCUUGACUUAAGACAUCCUCCCUACCUAAGUUAUGAGAGAAUCAAGUCACGGGUUUUCCAAAGGAUUGGAAGAGGUGGACCAUACCGAGUUGGAGAGUCGAGUGAGGUUCCGUUGAGGUUCCGGUCCGCAACUCUGUUAUUACAUCAAAAAUGAAAAUUAAAAGUUAAAACAUAAAUGAAAUUACGAAAAUCCUAUCUAUACAGCUUCUGUUGGUUCUUGACUCGACUUUCAUCACCCUAUUCUUCAGGCGGGCUCCUGACUUGCAAUUUCUUUCAACUUGUUGCUUGGAUUUCAAUUGCUUCACUUUGUUGCUUAACUUUUUUGUUUCUUUACCCUAUUCUCCAGGCGGGCUCCUGACUUGCUAUUUCAUCACUUUGUUGCUUGACUUUUCAUUUUCUUCACUCUGUUCUCCCGGNNNNNNNNNNNNNNNNNNNNNNNNNNNNNNNNNNNNNNNNNNNNNNNNNNNNNNNNNNNNNNNNNNNNNNNNNNNNNNNNNNNNNNNNNNNNNNNNNNNNNNNNNNNNNNNNNNNNNNNNNNNNNNNNNNNNNNNNNNNNNNNNNNNNNNNNNNNNNNNNNNNNNNNNNNNNNNNNNNNNNNNNNNNNNNNNNNNNNNNNNNNNNNNNNNNNNNNNNNNNNNNNNNNNNNNNNNNNNNNNNNNNNNNNNNNNNNNNNNNNNNNNNNNNNNNNNNNNNNNNNNNNNNNNNNNNNNNNNNNNNNNNNNNNNNNNNNNNNNNNNNNNNNNNNNNNNNNNNNNNNNNNNNNNNNNNNNNNNNNNNNNNNNNNNNNNNNNNNNNNNNNNNNNNNNNNNNNNNNNNNNNNNNNNNNNNNNNNNNNNNNNNNNNNNNNNNNNNNNNNNNNNNNNNNNNNNNNNNNNNNNNNNNNNNNNNNNNNNNNNNNNNNNNNNNNNNNNNNNNNNNNNNNNNNNNNNNNNNNNNNNNNNNNNNNNNNNNNNNNNNNNNNNNNNNNNNNNNNNNNNNNNNNNNNNNNNNNNNNNNNNNNNNNNNNNNNNNNNNNNNNNNNNNNNNNNNNNNNNNNNNNNNNNNNNNNNNNNNNNNNNNNNNNNNNNNNNNNNNNNNNNNNNNNNNNNNNNNNNNNNNNNNNNNNNNNNNNNNNNNNNNGGGUCCUGAACAGAAAGUAAAAUCCCAUUUUUCAGGAGAGUCCUGAACAUAAAAUAAAAUCCCAUUUUUCAGGGGGGUCCUGAACAGAAAGUAAAAUCCCAUUUUUCAAGAGGGUCCUGAACAUAAAGUAAAAUCCCAUUUUUCAGGGGGGUCCUGAACAGAAAGUAAAAUCCCAUUUUUCAGGAGGGUCCUGAACAUAAAGUAAAAUCCCAUUUUUCAGGAGGGUCCCGAACAAAAGGAAAAUCCCAUUUUUCAGGAGGGUCCUGAACAGAAAGUAAAAAUCCCAUUUUUCAGGAGGGUCCUGAACAUAAAGUAAAAUUCCAUUUUUCAGGAGGGUCCUGAACAGAAAGUAAAUCCCAUUCUUCAGGAGGGUCCUGAACAUAAAGUAAAAUCCCAUUUUUCAGGAGGGUCCUGAACAUAAAAUAGGGUCCUGAACAGAAAGUAAAAUCCCAUUCUUCAGGAGGGUCCUGAUCAUAAAGUAAAAUCUCCUGAACAGAAAGUAAAAUCUCAUUUUUCAGGAGGGUCCUGAACAUAAAGUAAAAUCUCACGGAUGUGCAUUUCCAAUGGUAGCUGAAUUAAGUGAAGCGAAUUUCCCCCUAUUUCAACUAAGAAAAUUUGUCAGUUAAAAACUUAGUGGUGGCUUGCAGCUCUUGGCUUCUCAGGUAUCUGCCCAGUACUCGUUCCUUUCUUCUUUGUUCUGAAUUGCUAACACUUGCCCUAUCUUGCCGCAUCAUUGACCUGGAUCCAGAUUGAGGAAAUGAGUUCUCACUCAAACAAUGGGUUUCCAUGUUAUUAUGCCCCUGAGGUGCACUCUUUUCCCAAAUCUGAAUGCUUCCACNNNNNNNNNNNNNNNNNNNNNNNNNNNNNNNNNNNNNNNNNNNNNNNNNNNNNNNNNNNNNNNNNNNNNNNNNNNNNNNNNNNNNNNNNNNNNNNNNNNNNNNNNNNNNNNNNNNNNNNNNNNNNNNNNNNNNNNNNNNNNNNNNNNNNNNNNNNNNNNNNNNNNNNNNNNNNNNNNNNNNNNNNNNNNNNNNNNNNNNNNNNNNNNNNNNNNNNNNNNNNNNNNNNNNNNNNNNNNNNNNNNNNNNNNNNNNNNNNNNNNNNNNNNNNNNNNNNNNNNNNNNNNNNNNNNNNNNNNNNNNNNNNNNNNNNNNNNNNNNNNNNNNNNNNNNNNNNNNNNNNNNNNNNNNNNNNNNNNNNNNNNNNNNNNNNNNNNNNNNNNNNNNNNNNNNNNNNNNNNNNNNNNNNNNNNNNNNNNNNNNNNNNNNNNNNNNNNNNNNNNNNNNNNNNNNNNNNNNNNNNNNNNNNNNNNNNNNNNNNNNNNNNNNNNNNNNNNNNNNNNNNNNNNNNNNNNNNNNNNNNNNNNNNNNNNNNNNNNNNNNNNNNNNNNNNNNNNNNNNNNNNNNNNNNNNNNNNNNNNNNNNNNNNNNNNNNNNNNNNNNNNNNNNNNNNNNNNNNNNNNNNNNNNNNNNNNNNNNNNNNNNNNNNNNNNNNNNNNNNNNNNNNNNNNNNNNNNNNNNNNNNNNNNNNNNNNNNNNNNNNNNNNNNNNNNNNNNNNNNNNNNNNNNNNNNNNNNNNNNNNNNNNNNNNNNNNNNNNNNNNNNNNNNNNNNNNNNNNNNNNNNNNNNNNNNNNNNNNNNNNNNNNNNNNNNNNNNNNNNNNNNNNNNNNNNNNNNNNNNNNNNNNNNNNNNNNNNNNNNNNNNNNNNNNNNNNNNNNNNNNNNNNNNNNNNNNNNNNNNNNNNNNNNNNNNNNNNNNNNNNNNNNNNNNNNNNNNNNNNNNNNNNNNNNNNNNNNNNNNNNNNNNNNNNNNNNNNNNNNNNNNNNNNNNNNNNNNNNNNNGCACGGGCAGAUUUAACAAAUAUCUUUUGAUUCGAUCGAACGCUUUCUAACAUUUUUCAGUCCAUUUUACCGCAGCACUCCUUUUCAGCAACUUGAAUAUGGGCUUAUAAGUGGUUGUGAGUUGAGCAAUAAACCUGCUAAUCUAGUUCAGUCUACCCAGCAAACUCAUCACCUCCAUUCUAUUCUUAGGCGGGGUCAAAUCCUGAAUGACUUUGAUUUUUGAGGGAUCCAAUUCAAUUCUCCGACGACUGACUACAAACCCCAACAGCUUUCCAGAUGGAACUCCAAAUACACAUUUUGCCGGGUUGAGUUUGAGAUUAUACCUGCGAAGCCUUUCAAAGAACUUUCUUAAAUCUUUAACAUGGUCGGCCUGACUUUUNNNNNNNNNNNNNNNNNNNNNNNNNNNNNNNNNNNNNNNNNNNNNNNNNNNNNNNNNNNNNNNNNNNNNNNNNNNNNNNNNNNNNNNNNNNNNNNNNNNNNNNNNNNNNNNNNNNNNNNNNNNNNNNNNNNNNNNNNNNNNNNNNNNNNNNNNNNNNNNNNNNNNNNNNNNNNNNNNNNNNNNNNNNNNNNNNNNNNNNNNNNNNNNNNNNNNNNNNNNNNNNNNNNNNNNNNNNNNNNNNNNNNNNNNNNNNNNNNNNNNNNNNNNNNNNNNNNNNNNNNNNNNNNNNNNNNNNNNNNNNNNNNNNNNNNNNNNNNNNNNNNNNNNNNNNNNNNNNNNNNNNNNNNNNNNNNNNNNNNNNNNNNNNNNNNNNNNNNNNNNNNNNNNNNNNNNNNNNNNNNNNNNNNNNNNNNNNNNNNAAGUUGUUUCAUGAUUUCCUCUUUGAUUUUAAUACUUACAUCUGUUUUAAACUUCCUCAACGUCUGUUUGAUGGGAGGGAACGCGGGAUCAGUUGGCAAUUUGUGAGCCACUAAUUCAGUGCUUAAACCAGGCAUAUCAUCAUAAGACCAUGUAAAAACAUCCUUAUAAUCAAUUAAUGCUUGAAUCAUUCCAUCUUUUAGCUGUGGCAAAGUAUGUACAUUGAUUUUAGUUUCCCUAACAUCUUCUUGAUCCCCUAGAUUUAUUGGCUCAGUCUCAUUCAAAUUAGGAUUCGAUUUGUCUUCAAACUGUUCCAACUCUUUGCUUAUUUCUUUUAUUGCUUCUUCUUCAUCAUAUUCCCCAUCCUGCUUCGCUACAUCUUGAUUAGUUUGGAUUUUAAGAUCAGGCUGAAAAUUCUGCAUGCAUGUCAUGUCAUUAGAAUCAGCAUAAAGAGAACUGUGUAAAAAAAAAAGAAAAACAAAAUAUAUUACACACAAAACAAAAUGGACAUUGCAUUUCAUUAAAUAAAAAGAUAGAAGGGUUUGAACACAGAUGCCAACAUAACAUAAACAAACUAAAAUUCGAAUUACAACCCUGAAAUAACUUGGAUAAACAGAAAGAAAAACAAAAUAAACUACCAAAACUCCCUCCUGUCCCUCCUGACGGGGAGAGGAGUGACUUCCCAAUUAUUGAGCCGGACAGCUGGACCUAUAAAUUGCACGUCUGCCAUACUGGUACCUUCGCCUGCUUCGACCAUAUCAACUUCAAUAAAAAGGUUCUAGAAGUCAACAACCAAUUCAACCUCAAAUUCCAAAGGCUUUGUGACAUCGCUCUUAACAAAUGAUUCGCUGAGUAGUGGUAUUAGAUGAGGGAGUGACCAUGUUUUCUUUUUCCUUCCCUUGGCUUUCUUCAGAUCUUCAGCCGUAGGCUCAAAUACCAGACCAAACGUGCCCACGUUCUCACUCGGACAUAUGGGAUGAACUAUACCAUGCAAAGACGCUCUUAAACCCUUUCCUGGCUCAAAUCCGUAUUUCUAAAGUUCACUCACCAUCAUGAUAGAAGCAGAAGACAAUUGCGGUCCCGGUAUAGCCUGCCAUUCAAGGAUACGAUUCACUGGUACUGUAUCAAAAAUUUGAUAGACGAAUAUCUCCUCUNNNNNNNNNNNNNNNNNNNNNNNNNNNNNNNNNNNNNNNNNNNNNNNNNNNNNNNNNNNNNNNNNNNNNNNNNNNNNNNNNNNNNNNNNNNNNNNNNNNNNNNNNNNNNNNNNNNNNNNNNNNNNNNNNNNNNNNNNNNNNNNNNNNNNNNNNNNNNNNNNNNNNNNNNNNNNNNNNNNNNNNNNNNNNNNNNNNNNNNNNNNNNNNNNNNNNNNNNNNNNNNNNNNNNNNNNNNNNNNNNNNNNNNNNNNNNNNNNNNNNNNNNNNNNNNNNNNNNNNNNNNNNNNNNNNNNNNNNNNNNNNNNNNNNNNNNNNNNNNNNNNNNNNNNNNNNNNNNNNNNNNNNNNNNNNNNNNNNNNNNNNNNNNNNNNNNNNNNNNNNNNNNNNNNNNNNNNNNNNNNNNNNNNNNNNNNNNNNNNNNNNNNNNNNNNNNNNNNNNNNNNNNNNNNNNNNNNNNNNNNNNNNNNNNNNNNNNNNNNNNNNNNNNNNNNNNNNNNNNNNNNNNNNNNNNNNNNNNNNNNNNNNNNNNNNNNNNNNNNNNNNNNNNNNNNNNNNNNNNNNNNNNNNNNNNNNNNNNNNNNNNNNNNNNNNNNNNNNNNNNNNNNNNNNNNNNNNNNNNNNNNNNNNNNNNNNNNNNNNNNNNNNNNNNNNNNNNNNNNNNNNNNNNNNNNNNNNNNNNNNNNNNNNNNNNNNNNNNNNNNNNNNNNNNNNNNNNNNNNNNNNNNNNNNNNNNNNNNNNNNNNNNNNNNNNNNNNNNNNNNNNNNNNNNNNNNNNNNNNNNNNNNNNNNNNNNNNNNNNNNNNNNNNNNNNNNNNNNNNNNNNNNNNNNNNNNNNNNNNNNNNNNNNNNNNNNNNNNNNNNNNNNNNNNNNNNNNNNNNNNNNNNNNNNNNNNNNNNNNNNNNNNNNNNNNNNNNNNNNNNNNNNNNNNNNNNNNNNNNNNNNNNNNNNNNNNNNNNNNNNNNNNNNNNNNNNNNNNNNNNNNNNNNNNNNNNNNNNNNNNNNNNNNNNNNNNNNNNNNNNNNNNNNNNNNNNNNNNNNNNNNNNNNNNNNNNNNNNNNNNNNNNNNNNNNNNNNNNNNNNNNNNNNNNNNNNNNNNNNNNNNNNNNNNNNNNNNNNNNNNNNNNNNNNNNNNNNNNNNNNNNNNNNNNNNNNNNNNNNNNNNNNNNNNNNNNNNNNNNNNNNNNNNNNNNNNNNNNNNNNNNNNNNNNNNNNNNNNNNNNNNNNNNNNNNNNNNNNNNNNNNNNNNNNNNNNNNNNNNNNNNNNNNNNNNNNNNNNNNNNNNNNNNNNNNNNNNNNNNNNNNNNNNNNNNNNNNNNNNNNNNNNNNNNNNNNNNNNNNNNNNNNNNNNNNNNNNNNNNNNNNNNNNNNNNNNNNNNNNNNNNNNNNNNNNNNNNNNNNNNNNNNNNNNNNNNNNNNNNNNNNNNNNNNNNNNNNNNNNNNNNNNNNNNNNNNNNNNNNNNNNNNNNNNNNNNNNNNNNNNNNNNNNNNNNNNNNNNNNNNNNNNNNNNNNNNNNNNNNNNNNNNNNNNNNNNNNNNNNNNNNNNNNNNNNNNNNNNNNNNNNNNNNNNNNNNNNNNNNNNNNNNNNNNNNNNNNNNNNNNNNNNNNNNNNNNNNNNNNNNNNNNNNNNNNNNNNNNNNNNNNNNNNNNNNNNNNNNNNNNNNNNNNNNNNNNNNNNNNNNNNNNNNNNNNNNNNNNNNNNNNNNNNNNNNNNNNNNNNNNNNNNNNNNNNNNNNNNNNNNNNNNNNNNNNNNNNNNNNNNNNNNNNNNNNNNNNNNNNNNNNNNNNNNNNNNNNNNNNNNNNNNNNNNNNNNNNNNNNNNNNNNNNNNNNNNNNNNNNNNNNNNNNNNNNNNNNNNNNNNNNNNNNNNNNNNNNNNNNNNNNNNNNNNNNNNNNNNNNNNNNNNNNNNNNNNNNNNNNNNNNNNNNNNNNNNNNNNNNNNNNNNNNNNNNNNNNNNNNNNNNNNNNNNNNNNNNNNNNNNNNNNNNNNNNNNNNNNNNNNNNNNNNNNNNNNNNNNNNNNNNNNNNNNNNNNNNNNNNNNNNNNNNNNNNNNNNNNNNNNNNNNNNNNNNNNNNNNNNNNNNNNNNNNNNNNNNNNNNNNNNNNNNNNNNNNNNNNNNNNNNNNNNNNNNNNNNNNNNNNNNNNNNNNNNNNNNNNNNNNNNNNNNNNNNNNNNNNNNNNNNNNNNNNNNNNNNNNNNNNNNNNNNNNNNNNNNNNNNNNNNNNNNNNNNNNNNNNNNNNNNNNNNNNNNNNNNNNNNNNNNNNNNNNNNNNNNNNNNNNNNNNNNNNNNNNNNNNNNNNNNNNNNNNNNNNNNNNNNNNNNNNNNNNNNNNNNNNNNNNNNNNNNNNNNNNNNNNNNNNNNNNNNNNNNNNNNNNNNNNNNNNNNNNNNNNNNNNNNNNNNNNNNNNNNNNNNNNNNNNNNNNNNNNNNNNNNNNNNNNNNNNNNNNNNNNNNNNNNNNNNNNNNNNNNNNNNNNNNNNNNNNNNNNNNNNNNNNNNNNNNNNNNNNNNNNNNNNNNNNNNNNNNNNNNNNNNNNNNNNNNNNNNNNNNNNNNNNNNNNNNNNNNNNNNNNNNNNNNNNNNNNNNNNNNNNNNNNNNNNNNNNNNNNNNNNNNNNNNNNNNNNNNNNNNNNNNNNNNNNNNNNNNNNNNNNNNNNNNNNNNNNNNNNNNNNNNNNNNNNNNNNNNNNNNNNNNNNNNNNNNNNNNNNNNNNNNNNNNNNNNNNNNNNNNNNNNNNNNNNNNNNNNNNNNNNNNNNNNNNNNNNNNNNNNNNNNNNNNNNNNNNNNNNNNNNNNNNNNNNNNNNNNNNNNNNNNNNNNNNNNNNNNNNNNNNNNNNNNNNNNNNNNNNNNNNNNNNNNNNNNNNNNNNNNNNNNNNNNNNNNNNNNNNNNNNNNNNNNNNNNNNNNNNNNNNNNNNNNNNNNNNNNNNNNNNNNNNNNNNNNNNNNNNCUCCCUGCUAGCCAUGGCGAGUUUUGCUUUGGAUCUAGUGAAGUAUGGGUGACUAGCCAGAGUGCUGCAAACCUACCACUGUUAUCUUAAAGAACAUGCUCAUCAAAGACGACAUCCAUUAGGAUUAGGGUACGCAACAAGCAUGGGAAUCACAAUGGUAGAAUUAUCCUAAAUUCAUGUUCAUUUCUACCAGCUUUUGAGGGUAGCGAGGUCAUUUUAACAUCAUCCUGAUUUUGUCUACACUAUUUUUUUAUCUACACUUAUUAUUAUUAUUAUAUUUUCUUUUUCGUAUCCAUCUCUGUNNNNNNNNNNNNNNNNNNNNNNNNNNNNNNNNNNNNNNNNNNNNNNNNNNNNNNNNNNNNNNNNNNNNNNNNNNNNNNNNNNNNNNNNNNNNNNNNNNNNNNNNNNNNNNNNNNNNNNNNNNNNNNNNNNNNNNNNNNNNNNNNNNNNNNNNNNNNNNNNNNNNUUCGGGCAGCAUGUGCAUAAACAUUACCCACUUUUUUUUUUUGCGAAAACGAAAAUAAACAAACAAAAGAAAGAUGAUAACAUCAUAACAAUUUGAAGAAAGGAAACAACAAAAAACAUACAAAAGUUUGGGACCACUUUAAAACUAAAUAACAAAUACGAAACAACAUCCUAGACCCCUAAGACGACAUAGGUGAAAUCACUAAUAAAGACUUUAAUACCAAAAAAACUCGACUUUGACUUAAAGAAGAUACCACCCUACAAUGACAGACACAUAAAAGAGGAGUGCUUCGGGCCUGUAUUCCUGCUUCAUGAGGAGUGCACUUGGAAAGAUUAUUCUGACACCUUUCUACCGUCUUGAACAAAUCUGCUAACUGAACUCUCAGUGUUUCGACUUUGGACCCUAUACUUUCAUCCUGAUGNNNNNNNNNNNNNNNNNNNNNNNNNNNNNNNNNNNNNNNNNNNNNNNNNNNNNNNNNNNNNNNNNNNNNNNNNNNNNNNNNNNNNNNNNNNNNNNNNNNNNNNNNNNNNNNNNNNNNNNNNNNNNNNNNNNNNNNNNNNNNNNNNNNNNNNNNNNNNNNNNNNNNNNNNNNNNNNNNNNNNNNNNNNNNNNNNNNNNNNNNNNNNNNNNNNNNNNNNNNNNNNNNNNNNNNNNNNNNNNNNNNNNNNNNNNNNNNNNNNNNNNNNNNNNNNNNNNNNNNNNNNNNNNNNNNNNNNNNNNNNNNNNNNNNNNNNNNNNNNNNNNNNNNNNNNNNNNNNNNNNNNNNNNNNNNNNNNNNNNNNNNNNNNNNNNNNNNNNNNNNNNNNNNNNNNNNNNNNNNNNNNNNNNNNNNNNNNNNNNNNNNNNNNNNNNNNNNNNNNNNNNNNNNNNNNNNNNNNNNNNNNNNNNNNNNNNNNNNNNNNNNNNGUCUGACAACCCAACAAUACUAUCUUUGGGCGAAGCCACAGAUAAGUCCACAAAAUGUUAUCCCUGGUUCUUGACUCAAGAAAUUCAAUCCAAGCGUUGACUCCUACGGGUAAUGAGAAUUUAUCCAAACGCAACCUGGAGUCCAUGGCUUUCACUCGAUUGGGAAUACAAUGAUCCAACAUGUCUGGUCUAACUAAAGCAGGCGCAUGCAAAUGCUCCAUUAUCCAUAACUGCAAUAUCAGGUUACUGCCCUACCAAAAUCUCCUUCCCCCCUUCACUUCGGUUAAAGCCUUAAAUAUUUCUAUUAAGAUCAUGGGUAUGAGAGUGAACCUUCCCUUUUGAUUAAUGCCCUUGUCGUUUUGAUCCUUAUGAAAUAGGGCCAUCACUACAGAUUGCAAAUGGGUAUUAAUAUGUCUUUCUUCUGGUGGAAACACUAAAGUACCUAACAAAGCGAGGGUGAAGACUUCAAGACGCUUUCUCUACCACUUCUCCUUAGUCACAUGAAAUUCAUCCCAAAAGUAAUCAAAACCUUCCGAGGGUCCGAAUCUAGUGAACAAAAAGUCUAAGGAAACCCAUGAAUCACUUAAACAACCCAAACGCAUACCCUUACUUUUUAAACUAUAAGACUGUAAAAUCUCACACCAGUAUGAUUUCAUGCUCGGAUCAUAUACUUCUCGAUAUAGGGCAAAUGCAACAAACCAGAUAUUUCCACCAAAGUAGGAGUCAUUUCAUAUUCCCCAAACCUGAAUACCAAACCACUCGGAUCUCAAAAGAACAACAAAGCCUCUAUUAAAUCUGGACGAGGGGUAACAUGCAAAAGUUCCGUAAGAUCACCUAAUAUUUUAACCAGUUUCUGCUGAUCAACAUAGUUAAACAUUUCCCACCAUUUGAUUAACUUUUUGGGCACCUUGACAACCAUCAGAACGCUAGACUUGGUGGACAAAUCCAUCCUGUAAUAACACAUAAGACGUUAUCUCAAAAAUUCGACAGGAGUAGAAGAUUCCCAACCCUUGGGAUUUUUGACGCAAACAUACGUCGAUGGGACAGACCACAUUCAUGACUCCAAUUUGCCGAACAGAAGUACUGAGCGAAAUCAGUCUACUUGGCAAACAACUCUAGAUUACGGGGCGAGAGACCUAGGCUAAUAAGAAGACAAAGACCAACACAAAGAUUUACCGGACCCACGGAGGGUUGCCUACUUAUCCCAACCCAAGGGAAGGGAAUCAGGUAUGCGUAGUUCAUCCAGAUUGGAUAAUUAGCGAUUAACUUAAUAAAUUGACCCUAACUUAAGAGACACAACCAAAAACAAACGAAAAAAACUUUUGGAUUUUCAACUAGACACUUUAACUAAGACUGACACCACCAAUUAUGAAGAAAAAAUCUUUUUGGCAUUUUUGUGUGUAUUUUUUUUUUUUUGACAAAUAAGUAGAAAAGGCAAACAAGCUUUUUUUUCUUUUUUCUUUUGUUGUUGUUUUUUUUGAAAAACGUAAAAAAAAAUCUUUUUGAGUUUUUGGAUUGUGAAGAACAAAAGCCAUAAAGAAUUCUAAAAUAAACUACGACAUUCCUCUCUUUUUUUUUCAUUCUUUUGACUCACUUUUUCUAUUUUUUUUUGUUUUUGCCUACGCACCUUACUCCUAAAAUUUUUUUUUGGUUUCAAAAAUCAGUCCGUCAAAUGACCACAUUAUCCUCAAAGAUGCAACAUUUAGCACGUAGGGAUGCUUUAGAGGUGAGUCUCCUACAAAGGACCAAGUGGGCCCCAUUAGGUCUCAAUAUGAUGCACAUAAGCAUGACCUAAAGGCUGACCUACGUUGUGGUUCACUAACAAGGCUGUUCGGGGGAGCGUAUGGUCGAUAGUGGUUGCUUUGCUUUCCACCUACUCCAUAACACCGACGGCUCCCCCCCUAAAAUAAGGGUGACUCAACUAGAGGUUGUGUACAACAUGUGUACGGACUUGUUACAGAAAAAAGGCCGGGGGUGGACUCAUGAUGACAGAUAUAAAGCGGUAAUACAUAGGAUAAAUACUAUAAACAAAGAGCACGAAAAAGCACAAAAUUGAAAAUAACACAAACAAUAACCACAAACAAUGCUUAUACACUCGUAAUGCCAAACAAAGCCGAUACGACUCCAAAAAUAGCUCGAAUUCUGAAAACUUGUCAUUGACAUCCCCAACAGAGUCGCCAGAAGCUGUCACACCCCCUUUUUACGUACUCCAAAAAGGUUUAUAUUUUAAGUUCGAAAGGGUUUUAUUAUUUAAGUGACAAGAAAUGAAAAAUUUAUUUCCGAAAAGGAUUAUUUACAUUUUUUACUCAGAGUCGCCACUUGGCAUAAUCUGGUGUGCCAAGUCACCAUUGGAAAAAUCCUUUUCAAAACCAUUUGACUCUUUAAACCGGUUUGCGAAUAGAGACUCCAGCUAAGAAAUUCUAUUGACCGAGGGGAAGGUGUUAGGCACCCCUCGAUCCCGUGGUUCAACCACGGUCGCUUGGUAGAAUGUAUCAACUAUUUUGGCGUUACGAAAUGUAUAAACCACACAAAAGCACGCAAAAUAAUCAAACAAUAAAAAAAACAAAACAAUCCAAAAAUAUAAAGUCCAGUCCAAUUAUUACAACCCGAAAUAAAAAGGUACUGAAAGUAAACCUACGCUAAUCUUAAACUAAGCUCUAAUGCUUUACCCAAUGUCUCGGGCCUUCACCACGAACGUCCUCCGGGUACAUGAUACCUCGGGGCAUUCCCCGGUGGAUAAAUAUAUACAGAUACUUCGGGGCAUUCCCCGGCCAAAUUAUAUAAUUGAAUUAAACACGACAAAAAAAAAAACAAAAAAAAACCAUUCCAACACAUAUUUCAAACAUGUCAUCAAUCCACCAUGCCUAAAUUUGCCUACCCGAACCUACCAUUAGCAUAUCCAAUUAGCGACCUAAAAUCGUGACACUAUUGAGUUCACCAACAUUAUUCAUGUUUAUUCCAAGUUGAAUAAUAAAAAGUAACAAUAAACCCAUCAUUAACCCAAAUUCAUCAUUUUAUCAAUAUCGUAAUUGCACCCCAUUUUUUUUUUAUCAACCCAUUAAAACAUGAUCAAACUCAUUCCUCAAACCAACACAGCUGAAUCACUAACGUCAUGAUUAACACCAAUUAAAUAAACCGAUCAACUACGAUAACUAAAGAGACUCAAACGCACUGUCAAAAAUUAACCAUCAAACUCAAACAUGAACCACAUAAAUCAAGGACAUCAUCACAGAUAAAAUGAGAAAGAUAGAGUUGAAGAAUUUGGACCUUAAUUUUAUUUCAAAUCAGAUCGUUCGACUGAAGCCGCUUCACGGACUCAACGAGUCUCGACUCUACAACCCGUUAGAGUUGAGGGAGGCCAAGGUAGUAGAGUUCAUGAAUCUUAAGCAGGGGAAGAUGAGUGUUCGAGAGUAUACUCUGAAGUUUAACCAACUGGCUUGUUAUUUUUGUGGUCAGACGGGUCACUUUCAGAGGGAUUUUCCUUCGGCAAAAAGGAAUGUUGGGGGUGCCAAAUCUCAGGCAUACUCUUCUACACCACCAUCACCUCAAAAGGGCACUAUUUCAGUUGUCGGGAGUGGUCGUAACCGGCUGUAUGCUUUGACUAAUCGCCAGGAGGCGAAAGCCUCGCCAGACGUGGUCACCGGUACGUUACAAAUCUUUUCCCGUGAUGUAUAUGUGUUGCUUGAUCCUGGGUCUAUCUUAUCUUAUGUGACCCCGUAUGUGGCUGUUGGUUUUGGGUUUGAGCCCGAUAUGAUUGCUGAAUCUUUCUCUAUUUCCGCUCCGAUGGGUGAUUUCGUUAUGGCUAGGAGAGUGUAUAAAAACUGUGUUGUGUCUAUUCUUAGUCGGGAUACUGUGGCCGAUCUCUUAGAACUUGAUAUAGUUAAUUUUGAUGCUAUCCUAGGGAUGGACUGGCUCCAUUCGUGUUAUGCCACACUAGACUGUAGAACCCAAAAGGUUACUUUUUCUUUUCCAAAUGAGCCAAUAAUAGAGUGGGAAGGGCAUUCUUUAGCACCUAGAGAGCACUUCAUAUCUUAUCUUAGAGCCCGUAAACUUCUUUCCAAGGGUUGCUUGUACCAUCUUAUUUGGGUUAGAGAUUCUAAGGCCAAAAGUUUUCCUCUUCAGUCUGUCUCAAUGGUAAAUGAAUUCCCAGAAGUUCUUCCAGACGAUCUCCCAGGAAUUCCACCUGAUAGAGAGAUAGAUUUUGGCAUUGAUGUGCUGCCAGAUACCCGUCCUAUUUCUAUUCCGCCAUGUAGAAUGGCUCCUGCAGAGUUAAAAGAGUUGAAAGAACAGAUAGCAAAUCUCCUAGAUAAAGGUUUUAUCAGACCUAGUGUUUCCCCUUGGGGUGCAUCGGUACUCUUCGUGCGAAAGAAAGAUGGUUCCCUGCGUAUGUGCAUAGAUUACCGUCAAAUGAAUAAGGUCAUUAUUAAAAAUAAAUAUCCUAUUCCUAGGAUUGAUGACCUCUUUGACCAAGUUCAGGGUGCUAAGUGCUUUUCAAAAAUAGACCUUCGUUCGGGAUAUCAUCAGCUGAAAGUUAGGGAGUUGGACAUUCCAAAAACAUCCUUCCGAACCAGAUAUGGUCAUUAUGAGUUCUUAGUCAUGUCCUUUGGGUUGACUAAUGCUCCUACAGCUUUCAUGAACCUAAUGAAUAGGGUCUUGCGUCAGUUCCUAGACCUGUUUGUCAUAGUUUUUAUUGAUGACAUCUUGAUUUACUUCAAAAGUGAGGAGGACUAUGCCAAUCACCACCGAAUUAUUCUCUAGACUCUCAAAGAUCAUAAGUUGUAUGCCAAAUUCUCCAAGUAUGAAUUUUGGCUGAAUGUUAUUGCCUUCUUGGGCCAUAUUGUGUCUAGUGAAGGGAUUCGGGUUGAUCCCCAAGAGGUUGAGGCAGUGAGAAAAUGGCCCAGACCCACGACUCCAACUGAUAUUCAGAGUUUCUUGGGUUUGACGGGUUAUUAUAGAAUGUUCGUAGAGAGUUUCUCUUCCAUAGCUGCACCGCUUACUAAGUUGACUCAGAAAAAGGUGAAGUUUUUGUAGUCUAACUCUUGUGAGAAUAGUUUUGAAAAUUUGAAAGACAAGUUGACUACUACUCCUAUUUUGACUCUUCCAAAAGGCUCAGAGGCUUUUGUUGUGUACUGUGAUGCGUCCCGUGUGGGACUUGGGUGUGUACUUAUGCAGUAUGGUAAGGUGGUGGCUUAUGCAUCUAGGCAGUUAAAGGUGCAUGAAUAGAAUUACCCAACUCACGACUUGGAAUUAGCAGUUGUACUAUUUGCACUUAUAAUUUGGAGGCAUUAUCUUUAUGGGGUGUAUGUUGAUAUUUUCACUGACCAUAAAAGUUUGCAGUAUGUUUUCUCGCAGAAAGAACUAAACCUCAGGUAGAGGCUUUGGAUGGAGCUUUUGAAAGACUAUGAUAUGAGCCUUCACUAUCAUCUGGAUAAGACAAAUGUUGUAGUCGACACCCUCAGUACGUUAUCUAUGGGCAGUCUUUCUCAUAUUGAGGAAGGGAAGAGAGAGAUGGUGAAAGAUAUUCAUCGGCUUGCAAAUCUAGGAGUACAACUCUUGGAUUCCGAAGAUGGGGGAAUGGUUGUUCAUGAGAUAGCUAAGUCUUCCCUUUGUGCAAAAGUUAAAGAGAAGCAGGUUGAAGAUCCUAUCUUGAUGCAGAUCAAGAAAGAUGUGGGUCAACAAAAGGUGAUGUCCUUCGAAAUUGGUGUUGAUGGUAUUUUGAGGUAUCAGAGUAGAUUAUGUGUAUCAGAUGUUGAUGGUUUGCGGAAGAGAAUCCUUGAUGAGGCUCACACUUCGAGGUAUUUUGUUCACCCAGGCUCUACUAAGAUAUACUAUAAUCUAAAAUCUGUGUAUUGGUGGAAUAAUAUGAAACGUGAUGUGGCUGACUUUGUUUCUAAGUGUUUGAACUACCAAUAAUUUAAAGUAGAGCAUAUUAGGCCAGGCGGUUCUUCCUGAGAGAUAGCUUUACCCUUAUGGAAGUGGGAGAUGAUUAAUAUGGACUUCAUUAUAGGACUCCCGAAGUCCCGAAACCAGUAUGAUUCUAUUUGGGUAAUUGUGGAUAGGCUGACCAAGUCAGCCCAUUUUCUGCCUGUCAUGACUAACUAUUCAGGAGAGGAUUAUGCCAAGCUGUUCAUUGCUGAAGUAGUUCGUUUGCAUGGUACACUUGUGUCCAUCAUAUCCGAUCGAGGUACCCAGUUUUCUUCUCAAUUUUGGAGAUCCUUUCAGAGAGGUCUAGGUACCCAAGUGAACCUAAGCACUGGUUUUUACCCUCAGACUGAUAGGUAGGCUAAGCGUACCAUUCAGACCCUUGAGGAUAUGUUGAGGGCCUGUUUGAUUGAUUUUAAAGGUAGUUGGGUUGAGCAUUUGCCAUUGAUAGAGUUCUCAUAUAAUAACAGUUUCCAUUCCAGUAUUAAGAUGGUACCAUUUUAGGCAUUUUAUGGGAGAAGAUAUAGAUCACCAAUAGGAUGGUAUGAAGUAGGUGAGACGCAGAUGUUUGGGCUUGAUCUUGUUCAUCAGGUAAUGAAAGACGUGAAACUUAUUAGGGAACGACUUAAGACAGCUCAGAGUCAUCAGAAACCUUAUGCUGAUGUUAGAAGAAGAGGGUUAGAGUUUGAGGUUGGAGAUUGGGUAUUCCUAAAAGUGUCUCCUAUGAAGAGAGUCAUGUGAUUCGAAAAGAAAGGUAAAUUGAGUCCUUACUAUAUAGGACUCUAUCAGAUCUUGAGGAGGAUAGGUGCAGUUGCGUAUGAGUUAGAGUUUCCUGCUAGUUUGGGUUCUGUUCACCUGGUAUUUCAUGUAUCCAUGUUGAAAAAGUGUAUUGGGGACCAUUCAUUAGUGUUUCCUGUUGAAGAAAUCAAAGUGACAGACUCCUUAUCCUAUGAAGAAAAAUCGGUGGAAAUCUUAGAUCGUCAAGUUCAAAAAUUGAGGAACAAAGAGAUAGCCUCAGUUAAAGUGUUAUGGAGGAAUCAAAAGGUUGAAGAGGCUACUUGGGAAUCCAAAGAGGACAUGCGAGUUAGAUACCUUGACUUAUUUGAUCCGAUGAAUGAUGAAACGGAAGGUACGAAUCUUUGUCUUAUUCUCUUAUAUCUUAUUAUGCUUGAAAUCGUGCUUGGCUGUCUUUCCGCAUCAUCAUUCGAGGAUGAAUGAUCCUAGGGGGGAAUAAUGUAAUGCCCCGUAAAAUGCAUGAACGUGCUAGCCCCUAGUAGUGUACUCUUAGCCUUGGAAACUUGAAAAUAUUCUAAGUGUCAAGAGACUUAGUCUCAUUUUUAGCUCUUAAUCAUCGGGGAUUUUAUUUUCGAUCCUCUCAACUUUCAAUUUUAGAUUUUCUUAUUGCGUUGCGAUGGUGAAAGGUCGUAGUACAUCUCGAGUGAGUUUCGAAAUUUUUAGACGAGCCUAAGGGCAUGUUUGGUGUUGCAUUCUAGUAGCUUCGGGCGAUGAGGGGGCGCCGCCCGGGGUUCCCCACUCUAAGGCAGGCGCCGCCCGGGCUACCCCACCUCUAUAAGGCGAGCGACGCUUGGGGUACUUUGGUGCUCUAGGCAGGGCGCCGCCCAGGGUAUCGCGCCCGGCCAAAUUUCAGCACCCUAUUUCGUCUUAUUAAGGGUAAAAUGGUACUUCUCCAAUCCCUUAUCACCUCUAACACGGGAUUAAGCUCCCAAAUACCCAUAUCAUUGAUACUUUUCCCAAAAAAUCACCAAGAACACUCCUAAGGGUUUCAAACUAGAAACCCAAAUAACUCAAGAUUCAACCGUGGGUUUUCAAAAGCGGUUGAAGAGUUGGAAUCCCCAAUCCGUAAGCUUCAAAAAUUACCUAUUAUCUUCGGGAAUUAAGGUACGCGGGGUUUUCCUAAAAAUCUCAUGGGCAUAGGAAUCAUGGUUUUAAGAAAAUGGUUCUGGAUUAUGAAUAUAUUCAUGUUUUAGAAGCUUUAAUGACAUUGUUUUGGUCUUUCGGCCUUUCCCCGAAGUGAUUUGAAAACUUAUAUACUUAUGUGUAUGUGAUUUGAGUUGAUAUUUGAAAUUUAGAGCAUGAUUCACAUGAAAUCCCUCUCUUGAUGUGAUUAUUUCCAUGUUUCACGUGAUAUCAAUUGUUUUGAAAUGCAUCUUGAAAAGUUUGUUACGAAAAAUCUUGAUUUAUGAAUGAUUUGGUUAUGAAUCUUGAAUACAAAAGAGAGGGUGGUUUGUAUUGAUAAAUGUUGAAUAUGCAUAUAAUGAAAGAGUACAUGGUUUUGCCAAAAGCACAUGACCACCUUAUGUUUGAAGGAUUCUUGCAUAGUUUUGACUUAUGUUUCAAAACAUGAAAUCUCUUAUACUAAUUUGCAUGUUUUGGUGGUCUGAAUUAUGUUUUAAUGAAAGAUCAUGUUUACUGCAUUAUGGCUCAGAAAUAGGACUUGCAAGUCUUGGUGUGACGACACCAAUUCAGAUUACUUCAUGAUAAUUUCAGCACAGAAUAGAAUAUAUGUUUGAAAUCAGACUUUUCAGAUGUUGAAACUAGAAAAUGCAUGAUUCAGAACAGGAUAAAAAUGGGCAUAAAGAGAGCUUAGGUGGUUCCCUGAAGAAGGCAUGAGUUCAGACAACUCAUUGCCCAAAAUCGUGAUUUUCUGAUCCGGGUAUAUUAUAUUACGCUGGCCUAGUGCCGUGUGGCGUAUCAGAAUCAGAAACUCCAACUCUUGCAGCACACUCGGAUUGGGGGCUUCCCGAUUGAGUCAAUGGCAAAUUCCAUGCCGCUCGUGGAAUAUCAGAAUUGUAGGGGAGUACCAUCUAACUCAGAAUUAAUACGAAGAUCAGAAACUACAUUGUUAAGAAUGAUUAUGAUUUUUCAGAAAAGUGCCCAUGUGUUUUAGAACUAUUACAUGACAUUUUGACAAAUUGCUCUCUCUUUAUUUUAUAUAUAUAAAAGCUUUAUUUUGGAUAGCUUUGUGUACCAGUACAUUAGUAUUGACCCCCCUCCUCCCUCCAGGUUCUGAGGCUCAGACUAGGGGUCCAAACAGGCAGUAGAUUUAUCAGACAGAGUUGCAGUGUUUAGUUGGUGAGCCUUCUCUAUUCCAGAAGGCCCGUCUUUGCAGAUUAUGUCAUUUAUUUCCGUUUUGGUCUACUGGGGGGCUUGUCCCAGUUUCAAACAGUUGUCAAAUUUUCAUGUAGUAGAGAUUUUGUAGAUUGAGUCAGAUGUUAUUCAGAUGUAGUUGAUUUACAGUUUCUAUACUUAUGUUGAAUUCAGAAUUGACCAUGUUUUCGUAGCAGAUUAUGUUUACCACAUCUUCUUCUAUUAUAUGAAUGUUGUGCAUGAUUUCCAUAUAGAGAAGGGCGUUCUGGGCCUUCAUGGUUCGGGAUGUCCGUCACGGCCAGGCCCUAGUUCGGAUCAUGACAGGUGUUCAGGCAAGCUUUCGCGCACCUCGACUAAAUUCAUGUAAUACCUGCAACCUUUCACCAACAAUAAAUAUUAAGUAACUCUUUCCGCCAACGCGACGAGAAGAGUGUUUUUUUUGUGUCUCUGUAAACAAUUUAAUCUUCAUUUCCCUUUUUUUCUUUUAUUCGGCGAGUGUUACAUACUUCAAUGUCUGAAAUUUACUACUUUUUCUGUCCAGUGAUUAGUCCAUCCCGGGCAUAAAAAAAGACACAAACAAAUAUACCCUCUCUCAGUUCUGUUGUUCGAAUUUUUCCAACGAACCACUAUACUUUCCUUUAAACAUUCAGUGCUAGUAGGUUGUUUACAAAUGAACAAACGCAAAAUGGGAUGUGACAACAUAAAGCAUUGGACUAGAGAAAAUGUACUGUACAAACACUGCUUUUGUUCCAGUUAUGUUCAAAUUUCAAAAUGCGGUGUCCAAUUCUAUGUGCACCUAGAUUCUAGAAUCAGUGGAUAAGUUCUUUGUGCAAAUGACAUGAUCAAAAAUUUGUGUAGAUCCGAAGGGAAAUAAGAAUGAAGAGAUCUCAUAUUCCUCUUGGAUGACUUAGGCAGAUGCCCGGGUGAAAUGUCCAUGCUGCACUAGCCAUAUUUGAAUAGUACCAAGAAAUAGAUUCUUCAGCUCUGCCUGAACCAUCCUGCAUUAGAUUUUUAAUUAGCUUCUUGUCUGUUGUUUAACAGCUAUCGGAGAGCAAGCGUAGCAGCUAAAUUAUCUCUUCUUAUAGAGCUAACUGCAACAGCAACUCUAUUCGAGCAUAGCUUUUUCCUCUGUUAUGUUAAAAGUGAAUCCACGUUGUCUAAUUUGUACUUCCGAAGUACUAAAGAAUUAACUGUAACAGUUCUAUAUAUGUAUCAAAGGAAAUAGGAGAAACUGGGAAAACAAAAGUGUAAGAUAACAACUUGGAAACAAAGGCCAGAUAGCAUUUCCCUUCACAUAUGAAAUUCUGGCGGAGUGAAGCUGCAUCGUUUCAAUUCACAUUAACACUAGUACANNNNNNNNNNNNNNNNNNNNNNNNNNNNNNNNNNNNNNNNNNNNNNNNNNNNNNNNNNNNNNNNNNNNNNNNNNNNNNNNNNNNNNNNNNNNNNNNNNNNNNNNNNNNNNNNNNNNNNNNNNNNNNNNNNNNNNNNNNNNNNNNNNNNNNNNNNNNNNNNNNNNNNNNNNNNNNNNNNNNNNNNNNNNNNNNNNNNNNNNNNNNNNNNNNNNNNNNNNNNNNNNNNNNNNNNNNNNNNNNNNNNNNNNNNNNNNNNNNNNNNNNNNNNNNNNNNNNNNNNNNNNNNNNNNNNNNNNNNNNNNNNNNNNNNNNNNNNNNNNNNNNNNNNNNNNNNNNNNNNNNNNNNNNNNNNNNNNNNNNNNNNNNNNNNNNNNNNNNNNNNNNNNNNNNNNNNNNNNNNNNNNNNNNNNNNNNNNNNNNNNNNNNNNNNNNNNNNNNNNNNNNNNNNNNNNNNNNNNNNNNNNNNNNNNNNNNNNNNNNNNNNNNNNNNNNNNNNNNNNNNNNNNNNNNNNNNNNNNNNNNNNNNNNNNNNNNNNNNNNNNNNNNNNNNNNNNNNNNNNNNNNNNNNNNNNNNNNNNNNNNNNNNNNNNNNNNNNNNNNNNCUCCAUGUAUGUUUCAAAGAGAAACUUACAGUUGCAAUUGCCAGCGUUCUGUGGCAGCAAACUCUCAGAGCUAUCCCACUAUGUUAAUUUACACACACAAAAGCUAGGUUGAUUUUCCUAAUUACCUUAAAGCUUAGUGUGAUGAAAGUUCACGAACAGACAGUUCAGUUGAGAUUAACAAUAAGAGCAGAAACAAAAGAAUAGAGAAGAACCUGUUCUGGUGGUGCUUAAGAGCUACUUGAAUAACGGGAUAUUAUUCUGGCCAAGGACCUGAAGCUCGUUCCCUCCCAUAUCUUCAACGUAUUGUUUUAUCUUCUUAGCAGAAUCUUCAAGUUGAGGGCUCUUUACAAGUUUAAUAAUUUUCAAUGAACAAAUAUCGCCGAAACCAGGAGGAAUCUCCUCAAGCUUACUACAUCCCCUCAGGUUUAAUUUCUCAAGUACGGGAAAAGAUUUCUCUCCAACCUCCCACUUAACAAGAGUCACUUCUUCCAAAAACAAAAAUUUGAGAUUCUCAAAGGUGUCUUCCUCCCCCAUGUUCCAUUCCUCCCCCUGGAUGAUUGUUCUCCAAAUGAACAACUCUUCAAGGUUGGGCAGUCUCGCUAUUGUUGAUAGUGAAUCAGAUGACAGAGGAAAGUCCCACAAUGACAAUAUUUUCAAAUUGGAAGGAAAAUGAAAAUCCCAUGACCAAUUUGUCGCUAAAGAGGGCCCACUGUCAUUUGUGUUUGAACUUUUAAAAUCUACUCUGAGGAAUUCUAGUUCAAUUAGGAAAUCCAAAUUUGGGAACCAAUAAUGCUUUGUUGAAUAAUCCCAUGAUUCCUUGAGAUCAAAUACAAGCCUUUGAAGAUUGGGGAAUCUUAUGAAAAUAUCCUCUAUUUCUUUCGAAUAGGAAAGCACGAGGGUGUCUAAUACACUCAAGUUCUCUGACUUUGAGUUCUCUGCUAUUACUAUUGGUUCAUUUGUAUCCAUAUCAUAGAAAGAACAAGCACCAAUGGACAGCACUCGCAACUUUGCAAGAUCCCAAAGUCUUGGUAAUAGUACUAAGGUUGAUAAUUCGUUAUCAACCAACAGGGUUUCUAGAUUCCAGAGGUUUGAGAAAGAUGAAGGCAAAAAUUUAACUUCUGACCCAAUUCUUAAGAACUUCAAAUGAUUCAACAUGCAUAUUUCACUCAGCAAAGAAUCUUUCACCAUCAUAAAGGAGGGAUACAGGUACAACACUCUAAGAAGCCUCAAGUGUCUUAGGUGACAUGCAUCAGAAAGAUAAUUUUCCAUCUUGUCUCCACUUAUCAACAAAGAAUAUAGGUGUUUACCAGAAUGCCUUUUCUUUUUUGAACUGAACAGGACGAAAUUGAAAGGCCCAAAGUGCUCCUUAUUAAAAUUAAAGCUUACCAUAUGUGGCAUCAAAUCUGUAGAAGAAGAUGGAUCACUUGAACUUAUCUGCUCGAACAACUUUUCCUCUUUUGCUUUUAUCAAACAAAAGUUGUGCACAAGAUCAUGUAGUUGGCAAGUCGGGUAAUGACCUAUCUCAUUGAAAGCAAUUACCAAGCUACUGGAAAUUAAAUUAUCCAAAUAAAUUUCCAUCACUUCUUCCAAACUCUUCAUCCCUGUCUGUUCAACAAGCCCUUCAGCACGCCAAUACAUUUUCAGCAUAACUCUAUCCACUGCAGUGUCAUUUGGAAAAGAUGCAAGGUAGAGAAAGCAUGGCUUCAUGUGAUGAGGUAAAUAGUCAUAACUUAAUUCUAUAACCUUCAUCACAUCAACUUCACUGCCAAAAAUAAAGGAAUUCAAAUUAUUUCGAACUUCAAGCCACACAGACUUUGUCUUUUCCCUCCCUGCAAUGACUUCAGCAAUCAGAUCAGCCACCAAAGGUAGUCCCUUACAAUUUUCGGCUAUUUCUUUUCCAACAUCCAAUAGUUCAUCAGCGCAACUCUGCUCUCCAAAUGCCCUUUUUUCUAACAACUCCCAACAUUCUUCUGGACUUAGCAAUCGAAGAUUAAGAGGAUCAGUGUUGACCUUUCCAUGAAAAGCCACUUCCUUUUGUCGAGUCGUCAAAAUAAUUCUACUUCCUUUCUCAACAUCAGGGAAAGGUCUUGUUAAAUCAUCCCAUGUAGUAGUAUCCCACAUGUCAUCUAACACAAUUAGGUACCUCUUUCCAAACAGUUGUCUCCGCAGCUUAUCGGCAACAUCAAUAUCCACCCUGAACCUCAAAUCCGAGCCAGUAACUUGAUUAAAAAGUUUCACCAGCAACUUCUUCUCAUCAUAUUCUUGGUUGACUGUGCACCAUGCACGAAUGUCGAAAUUACUACAAACUGAUUCAUCAUUGUAUACUUUGUAUGCCAAAGUAGUUUUGCCCGAACCCGGCAUACCAGUGAUUGAGAUGACAUCUAGAUCUUUCGGUCCACUGGUGAGCUUACUAAUUAACCAGUUUGUCUCCUCCUUAAAACCUACAAUUAUUUUACUAGUUGUCAAUGAUUUUCUUUCAACUGGAUUCUUAGGAGAGUUUACAACAACGAGGCUCUUGUUCUUCGGAAUCUUCUAAGGUAAAUUGGAGACUUCUUCUCUGAUAAGCUUGAUCUUUCUUAUGGUAAUGGGAAGUGAGAAAAUAAGAUGCAAGAGACAAUUAUCUCGAACAAUAAUUGAAUCAAUGACAUGUUUUGCCUCAUAUGCCGCAUCUAAAAGACGUGCCCAUAGAUCUUUAUACAAUCUUUUCUCAACAUUCACGAAAAACGAUCUCAUGAAUUUUAGGUCUUCUCUCACCAACUCAAUUUCCACCUUUAUACAAGAAAUUGAAUAAGCAUCGGAAUCUAGCAAAUCAGUUGAGUGUCUGUGUAACAGAUGCCUAAAGAGCUGUCCAUCACUCAUGGGGAAGCUCCAUUGACACAGGUCCGGGGCUUUCAGAGAAACAUAUUUGACAUCUUCCUUGAGGAGUUCAAUAUUUUUCAGCAAGUCUUGAGUUGCACGACUUGUUUCAUCAGUACUCUCUCCACUCCUUGAUUUUUCUUCUAAAUCGUGAAUAAGAGUUGAUGUCUCCCUGAUAAGUGCUCCAAUACGUGCCAUGAGAUAAAAUAAUUUAUCUUGACGAAUAAAGUCCUUGGGCAUAUCAGUAACAAUAAUUAAUAGGAAAUCUAUCAUGACAUGAAUGUUUCGAGCCCCUGAAGUGCUUGCGGUAAUAACAGUUACCAUGUGCUCUUGUAGAUGAAUCAGAUAUUCUCUCAGAACUUCCGGAGGGGUUUCCAGGAGCUGUUUAAUGAAGCAUCCAACUUCUGCUGAUGGUGAAGCUUUCAAAUUUGUAUAACAUAUGUGCAUCUCCUCCAAUUCAACUGGAAUAAUCUUCAUGAGUAGAUGUGCUAGCUUGAAGAGUCGAGAGUCUCCAUCAAGUCGAUCAUCCCAAUGGAAGAGUCCAACUCUCUCAGCCAUGAGUUGAAACUGAGGUAAGACACAUUGAACAAUCUUGUUCUCAACGCAACCAUUCACUAUCAACCCAUGGGAAUCUUUCAUGUUGCCAUACACUUUCUGAAGAAUCUCAUACUGAGUCACCAAAGGAAAAAUCUUUUCAGCAAAACACUUGGAUAUAUGAUGAAGAUUCUGGAGUAGGAAGUUCAACUGCUCGUCAGUCAUGGUGGCACUUGAUGUAAAAUGGUAGCACGAGCUAAUGCAAUCAUCGAUAUUAUCCAUGAGGCUAGGAAGAACAUGAUCCAUGUUGUAUUUACGCCCGACGUUAUUUUCAACAUCAUUCAAAAUUGGUCGAAGCAGAUUGUCAACCUCUUGUCAUUUGCCAGUCAUUUUGUCUUCAACUCUUCCAAAUCAGAAUAAGAAAGCUGGACGUAUGUACAAAUAAAUAAAGCACCAAUUUCAACUAUUCAAUUUGAUUGGCAAUGUCGACAGCAUUUUGACCUUCUUCAUUCUUUAACCUCUCAAUGAAAUCCAGAAUGUUGACAACGUCUUUGCGAAGAGCAGAAAAUGACACCUGCCAAAUGAUCAAAACCAAUGUAUUAUUUAUUUUCUAUAUUCAUCAAUAUAUCAAGGAAAUAAUCAAAUCCAUUGAUUUGUAGUCUUUUAUUGAAUUUCAUAUCAGGAAGGAAAACUUUAUGCAUUGGUUUAUACAAUUGUGAGGUUUAUCAACAGUUUUGUGCUUAAAGUUUUACUAUUACUUAUGGAAUACAUUUUUAUUGCAGCUGGAUUUUUGAAAAGAAAUUAAAAUAAUUGUUGACCUAUUAUUUUCGUACACCCGAAAAUUUGACUUUCCGUUGAAUUAUACUUUUUGGUAAUUACUCCCUCUAUCCCAAUUUCUAGGGCGACGGGGCCGGAUGAGAUACCGGUGGAAUUUUGGAAGUUCGUUGGAGAGGCUGGUGUAAGGUGGUUGACUGCAUUGUUCAAUGAAAUUUUCAGGACGGCAAAGAUGCCCGAGGCGUGGAGGUGGAGUACCAUGAUCCCCCUCUAUAAGAAUAAGGGGGACAUUCAGUGUUGCAAUAACUAUAGGGGGAUUAAGUUACUGAGUCACUCUAUGAAGAUAUGGGAGAGAGUGGUCGAGGUGAGGCUGAGACGGAUAGUGUCUAUUUCGGAAAACCAGUUCGGAUUUAUGCCCGGCCGCUCGACGACGGAGGCAAUCCACCUGGUACGGAGGUUGGUGGAGCAGUAUAGGGAGAGGAAGAAGGAUCUGCACAUGGUGUUCAUCGACCUGGAAAAGGCGUACGACAAAGUCCCCAGGGAAGUGCUUUGGAGAUGCCUGGAGGUGAGUGGAGUACCGCAGGCAUAUAUCAGAGUAAUUAAGGAUAUGUAUGAGGGAGCGAAAACCCAGGUGAGGACGGCGGGAGGAGACUCAGAGCAUUUCACUGUCCUGACAGGAUUGCAUCAGGGAUCUACUCUUAGUCCCUUUUUGUUUGCGUUAGUAAUGGAUGUGUUGACGCGGCGUAUCCAAGGGGAGGUGCCGUGGUGUAUGCUUUUUGCAGACGAUGUAGUCCUGAUAGAUGAGACUCGAGGGGGUGUGAAUGACAAAUUAGAGUUGUGGAGGCAAACUCUGGAGUCUAAAGGGUUCAGGGUGAGCAGAACCAAGACAGAGUAUGUGGAAUGUAAGUUUAAUGACGUGAGGCGGGAGAAUGAGGUAGUAGUGAGGCUAGAAGCACAGGAGGUAGGGAAGAGGGAUAAGUUCAAGUAUCUCGGGUCCGUGAUCCAGAGUAACGGUGAGAUUGACGAGGAUGUCUCGCACCGUAUUGGGGCGGGAUGGAUGAAGUGGAAACUCGCAUCGGGGGUGCUGUGUGAUAAGAAGGUGCCGCCCAAGCUUAAAGGCAAAUUCUAUAGGGUGGUAGUCCGUCCGGCCUUGCUGUAUGGAGCGGAGUGUUGGCCAGUUAAGAACUCCCACAUCCAAAAAAUGAAGGUGGCAGAAAUGCGGAUGUUGCGCUGGAUGUGUGGACUGACCCGAGGGGAUAGAGUUCGGAAUGAGACUAUCCGGGAGAAGGUUGGUGUGACUUCAGUGGAGUGUAAGAUGCGGGAAGCACGAUUGAGAUGGUUCGGACACGUGAAGAGGAGGGGCACGGAUGCCCCGGUCCGUAGGUGUGAGAGGCUAGCGUUGGAUGGUUUUAGACGGGGUAGGGGUAGACCGAAGAAGUACUGGGGUGAGGUGAUUAGGCGGGACAUGGAACAGUUACAGCUCACCGAGGACAUGACCCUAGAUAGGAAGGUCUGGAAGACGCGAAUUACGGCAGAGGAUUAGGGCCAGUGCGGGUCGCUAGUGCAGGGAAUUAAUUGGUGGGGGUGUAUGCCUGUUAUGAUUCUGUAUUCAGUGUUUCGUGUUCCGUGUUCCAUGUUUAUUACGAAUAUGUGUGCUUUCCUCUGCUUUAUAUUCCUGCAUUCCCGCUUUACUCUGUUUUAUAUUCCCAAUGGGUGCCGUAUUUAUGUUAUGUCAUCUGCUUCUGUGCUGUACUAUGUGUUGUGUGAUAUCUCGUGACUUGAGCCGGGGGUCUUUCGGAAACAGCCUUUCUACUUCAUCAGAGGUAGAGGUAUGGACUGCGUACAUCUUACCCCCCCAGACCCCACUAAGUGGGAAUACACUGGGUUUGUUGUUGUUGUUAUUAAUACAGAACACAACUUGGACAAUGGACUGCGUACAUCUUACCCCUCCCCAGACCCCACUAAGUGGGAAUACACUGGGUUUGUUGUUGUUGUUGUUGUUGUUGCUUUCCUUUUUAGUCAGUCCCAAAAAGAAUGACAUGUUUCUAUAUAAGACAAAAUUGAAAGAAAGGUGUGUUUUAAGUAUUGAAUGAAGGAUUGGUGACAUUGACCAACUUAAAGGGUCAAACAUCAUUAGUAAACUUGAUUAAGUUAAUUGUGGACUUGAUUAAAAUUUUCAAAACUUUCUAAUCUUUUCAAAAAUACAAAUCAACCCAACACACACCCUUCUUCAAUCCAAAUCAACCACUCUCUCUCCUCUCUCUCUCGAUAGCUUCUCUAAACUCUCUCUCCCAACCAACAGUUCUACAAAUUUCUCCUUUCAAUCCUCGGAGACUUCAACCUCCGAUGAUAAAUAUUUGGGCUUCAGGUUUCUUUUCGACUUCAACCUUCAAUCGACCUGACAACCUUUCUCUCCGGCCACAACAGCUUCGAAUUCUUCAACCUUCAAUCAACGUGACAGCCUUGAUCUCCAGCCACAACAGCUUUGAAUUCUUUAUCGUUCCUUUUCGUCUUUCACAGGUAAAAAUUUAUAGCCUUUUUAGUUUUAAAGAAAACGAGGAACUUGAGCCAACUUCUCUUAUAGUUUUGGUUAACAAUUUCAAUAUUUGUUGCUUUAAUUGAAAUACAGUCUGAAUAAAACCCUAAUUUCUGGUAUUUUUUCUCUUCUCUUUUCGAAGUGAAUUAUGAUUUUUUGUUGUUUGUUGCAUUUUUUUGAAGUUUGAUUUUUGUUGUUUGUGUUUAUACAAACAAAACGAUGAUUUGGGUUGAUUUGUUUUGUUCUUGUACUUGGUAAAAAUGGUAAUAUUGCUAUUUUUCUGUUGAACAAAAUCAUGCUACUCUUUUUUGUUCUUUCCAAUAGAUUAUCCAUCUGGUGAAACAUAUUAACCAUCUGAUGCAACAGAUUUAUCAUAUGAUGUAACAAAUCAACCAUCUGAUGCAAUAGAGGAACCAUCAGAUUAAAAUUCUAAUGCAAUACAUUAAUCAUCUGAUGCAGCAGAGGAACCAUCGGAUAAAAAUCUAAUGCAACAGAUUUAGCAUGUGAUGCAACAGUUUAACUAUCUGAUCCAACAAAUUAACCAUAUGUUGCAACACAUUAACCAUCAGAUAAAAAAUGAGGAACCAUCGAAUUAGUGAUCUGAUGCAAUAGAUGAACCUCCUAUUGGAUAAAAUCCUAUCAACUUUUCCUACAAAACAUGUCAAAGACUUGAUUGUUUCAACUGAUCAUUCAUUUACCGCGAUAAACGACCCUUCUGUUGGAAGAAAUAUAAAUAAUAUUGAUCAUUGAUAGUUGUUCUAAGAGUUCACUCAUGUGUUACAUCAGAUGUGUGACCUGUUGCACAGACCAUUCAUCAUCCUCAACAGAUAAGUGAUAUGUUUUGUAUUAUCACAAUAGAUUACUCAGUUGUUGUUGCAGGUUAGUUAACUGUUCUAACAGAUCACUCAUAUGCUGCAACAGAUAUGUGAUAUGUUGCAUAGACCAUUCAUCUUUCUCAACAGAUGAGUGAUAUAUUAUGUAUUAUCGCAAUAGAUUACUCAGCCGAUGCUACAGGUUAUUUAACUGUUCCAACAGAUCACUCAUAUGUUGCAAUAGAUAAUGUUGCAACAAUGUGUGAUCUGUUGCAUAGACCAUUCAUUUUUAACAGCAGAUGAGUGAUAUAUUUUGUAUUAUUAUAACAGAUUACUCAUCCACUGCAACAGGUUGGUUAUAUAUUGCAACAGAUAUACUACCUGGUGCAAUAAAUCAGUGAUCUGUUGGAACUGUUAUUUUACUAUUUUGCUUAUUUGAUUUACUGUUAUCCCUUUUUAACGAUGCAUUAAUCAACUAUAAUAUAUUUUUUUAUGUUCCUGUUAAUUUUAGAUAAUAUGGUUCCCAAAAGAACAGAAACCGAAUCAAGUCCAAGUAAAGGAACAAGUAAAGCAGCUAGGCUAUAACCACCACUCUAUGAGCUAGCUUUACAAGCAUUAUCUCAAUUGGGAGAAGAAUAUUAUGAACAUGGGAAGGAGGAAUGUUUCAAAAGAGAUGAUCCAAAUGUUAAUAGCCCUUCCACCGAAGAGAUGGUCAAAACCUUCAGCAUUGAUCGUUAUCCUAUGAGAAUGCAAUACGAUUGUGCCACAGAUUUAAUGGGUCGUGGUUAAGUCAGCCAUGGGAAAAUAUUUUGACACCUUCAGAAAAAUACUUCAGGAAUAAAAAUUGAAUGGUUAUUUCAGGGACAGCUUCUUUAGGAAAUAUUUUGAUUUGCCGGAGGACAACAAUGCUCGUUUCUAAAUGAAAAUGGUCUAUGAACUUCUCAAGCGUAGAUUUAUGUUUGAAAAUAAAGAUAUGAUGGAUGAGGUGUGGAUAAAUUACUGUGGAAUGCCUGUUUGUUUUUGUUGGAAGGAGUUUGUCAUAGUUACUGGACUAAAAUAUUAUCCUCCUUCUCAAGUUAUACCUAUUCUAACCAAAAAAAAACAUCCUAUACACCCAAAAAUGGCAAAGGCAAGUCGUGUGAUCGUGAUGACCUGGUGUCCAUUGUUGGUCUAAGCAUCAAAAACAAAAAAUUGAUAGAAGCGUUGAAAGGUAAAGGACUUUAAAAGAAGCACAAACAGUUAUAAUUGUGCUUGAUUUUGUUUGUACAUAAUAUUCUUUGGGUGAGAGACUUAACAACAACAUAAGCGUUGGUUUAAUAAAGCUCUCCGAGGAUCUUGAGGCAUUUAACAGCUAUCCUUGGGGUUAUGAAAGAUUUAAAAUGACUGUCAAAUAUUUGUUAAUUUCGUUAGCGCCAAAGACAGUCAACUUGUAUGGCUUUUCAUAGGUUUUCAUAGUAAAUGUUUCAUUCUUUUAUUAUGAUAUCAUUCAAUUUUUUUACUUAAUGAUGGUUUUGAUUUAUUGGCAUUAUUUUAUAGUCUUGGGCGUUUGAAGCCAUUCAUUAUUUGAGACAACAAGUGAACUACCAGGAAGAAGUUUUCUGUCCAAGAAUCUUUAGAUAGUUGUCAGCCAAAACUGAUAAAAAUGCAAAAAAAUUUUAUCUCUUCAUCCCCAUGAACGAUGCAGUAAGUAUAAUUAUAAUUAAGUUUUUAUUUUAAUUAAUGAUUUUUUUGAAUGAUCUAAUCAUCAUUCUAAUAUAUGUAAUGAUUUAUGUUAGAUUGUGCAUCCGUCGCUAGUUUUGAUCAAUUGAGAGUUGAAGAUACCAUUUUUUCUUACUUUACGGUCUGUGCAAACUUUAUUGGAUCCUAAGGUCAUCGACAGAAUAAAAAUAGAAUUAUUUAGAGCAACAGCCAUUACAAGAAAACAAUUUUAGAGGGUGGGCUUGUUGUUAUUCAUGGUCUUAGUGGUGAUGGAGUUGUUGGUGGUGGUAGUGGUGUUGAUGUUGAUGCUGAUGAUGCUCCUCUUACAGUAUUUAAAACAAACCAUUAUGAGUAUGAUCAUACUGGUUAUACAAAUUUUGCCUCUCCCAGCGAAUGUUUUGCAUGCAAAUGUCAAGACUGCAGGGUGAAACAUGAUGUUGUGAUUAAUGUUAUUAAUGCAUUAACUGUUUCUGUAAAGGAAUUGACAUCUAAGAUGUGAUACAAGUGCAAUCAUGUAGAUGAACUUAUGAGGAUGUGUAUUGAAUUCGUCCAUGUGUGUAUGCAAGAGAAGUGGAAUUAAGGGCUUAAAACAUAUCAAAACAGCCACUAAUUCACACUAGAGAGGCACCUAAUCUCUAAGGGACAUUUUGGACUUUUUGCCUUCUAUUUGUAAUACACUAUAUAAGAAACAUUUUAGGGUUACUUAACUUAGUUUUUGGAUAUUGAAUAUUGUAUAACACACUUGAAAAACACAAGUUCUCUCUUCCAUAGAGACUUGGUUGAAACUAGGAAACAACUUACGUGUGGAAUCACUUUUGUUGUUUGUUUGCUUGGAUCGUUGGGUGCUAGACGGAUUGAGGUCCUAUCUUGUGUCCACCGCAUAGUGUAGGUGUUUCUAAUAUCUUUAUCAAGGGUCUUUGUGCUUGAAUACACUUAGGUUCUUGGUUUUUGUAGUAGUGUAUGUCACACUCUCUAUCAUUUCCUUUGUUGUAAUCUUGUAGUCGUGUAGUGUGUUGUUUCUCUUGUAACCCGUACGUUGUUGUUCAUCUUGAUGUUGUUAUCAUAGUUUGUUGUGGGAUAUUUUUAGGUGUUAAACACCACAAUACAUUAUGUUUUUGUUGUAUCCGAGAGUGGUCAUCAAAAGGGUCCACGAUUCUUUCAACUUGUGGACUGAUUUUGGUGUUGUUUGUGUGUUCCUUGUAGAUCUUGUAUCAUUUGGUAUCAGAACAAGGAUUGAUUUUGUUCCAACAAAAUCAAUCUUGGGAUUGUUAGCUUGAAAAUUAAAAAAAAAGAAAAAAAAAAAGAAAAAAGUUGUUGUUCACGUUAUUAGGAUUUUUCAAAAAACUUGAUUUUCGUGUGUUUCUAGUGUUAGAUCCUUGUUCCCUAACAUUAUUAGAGUUUAGAAAUUGAAAAUCCCAACAAAAAAGAAGUGUCAAAUCUUGUGUCCACCGCAUAGUGUAGGUGUUUCUAAUAUCUUUAUCAAGGGUCUUUGUGCUUGAAUACACUUAGGUUCUUGGUUUUUGUAGUAGUGUAUGUCACACUCUCUAUCAUUUCCUUUGUUGUAAUCUUGUAGUCGUGUAGUGUGUUGUUUCUCUUGUAACCCGUACGUUGUUGUUCAUCUUGAUGUUGUUAUCAUAGUUUGUUGUGGGAUAUUUUUAGGUGUUAAACACCACAAUACAUUAUGUUUUUGUUGUAUCCGAGAGUGGUCAUCAAAAGGGUCCACGAUUCUUUCAACUUGUGGACUGAUUUUGGUGUUGUUUGUGUGUUCCUUGUAGAUCUUGUAUCAUUUGGUAUCAGAACAAGGAUUGAUUUUGUUCCAACAAAAUCAAUCUUGGGAUUGUUAGCUUGAAAAUUAAAAAAAAAGAAAAAAAAAAAGAAAAAAGUUGUUGUGCACGUUAUUAGGAUUUUUCAAAAAACUUGAUUUUCGUGUGUUUCUAGUGUUAGAUCCUUGUUCCCUAACAUUAUUAGAGUUUAGAAAUUGAAAAUCCCAACAAAAAAGAAGUGUCAAAAUCAAAAAUCCCAAAAAAAAUACUAAACCUGUUUUUGACCCUAGGUCAAAUUUUGAGUUUUUGAUUUUGUGUUUUUCUUGUGUUUUUAGUGUUAGAUUUGUGAUCUAUAACACUACAGGAGUAUAGGGUUCGAAUUUGAGCUAAAUUGGAGGUAAUUUGAGUAAUCCACCAUUGUUGAGCUUGAGUUUAAAGAAACUUGAAGGGUUAUUUUCGGUACAACCACAAUGGAACCCGAGGCUUUAAAUGCUCAAACAAUGGACAAUAAUGCCUUCAAUCUCAUUUUGGCUCGCCUUGAAACUAUGUCUCGAGAUGUGGCUAGGUUUAAUGUGGGGCUUGGGAAAUUAGAUACGGAUAUGGCAUCAAUGAGUGGGAGAUUAGAAUGUGUGGAAAGUCAAAGGAGUCAACCUUCCACCCCUCAAAAUAUUUCCCCAACCAUAACUCCCAAGGCCUUGCACCAAAUGAACAAGUCACUGAGCCAACCACCAAAUGUUCCCUAAAACCAUGAGUAUGAUAGAGCAACCCUCCCUCCACUUCACCAAGUCCAACAUGACGGAUUUGGAACCCAAAUGCCACCAAAACCAAACCCUCUACUUAUCCAAAGACCUCACUUUCUAAUCCAAACUCCAUUGAACCAAAGGCCUUACUAUCCUCCAAAUCCGAAUCGACUUAAUCCAAAUCCACCAAACCGUUUUGAGGGUUAUAGUAGGGAGGAACAACAUGGGGGUUAUGGGGGUUAUGGUGAUGCUUACUUGAGGGAAGAAGAGGAGAGGGGUAGGCAAGGUGAUUUAGGCCGAGAAGUGAGGGGUGGUAACCAAACUCGAGAGCUUGGCCAUAAUUCCAUCAAAGUUAGCCUUCCGAUCUUCAAGGGUGAGAGUGAUCCCGAGGCAUAUCUUGUUUGGGAGUCAUCUUGUGAUAGUAUAUUCCAAGUGAAUGAUCUAACCGAAGAAAAGAAGAGUUUUUAUGCAAUCGCUCACUUUGAGGGGUAUGCAAACACUUGGUGGGAGUAUGUGAAUAGGUUUGGUGAUGUGUUGAUUGCCAGGCGGUUUAAAAUACCCAUGUGAUUUCUUACUAUGUGAUAUGUUUAUGAACUGCUUUAAAUUGCUCUUAUAUAUGUUGAAUAUAAAUGAUUAUUUUGGAUUUGCUCUGCAUACCAGUACAUCUGUAUUGACCCCUCUCCCCUACCUCUCAGGUUCUGAGGCUCAGUCUAGGGGUCUGGAUAAGCAGUAGAUAAUUCAGACAGCAGAUCAGAUUGUGCAGUGGCGAGCCUUCUUUAUUCCAGAAGGCCCAUCCUUUCAGAUUAUGUCAUCUAUUACAGUUUUGAUCUACUGGGAGCCUUGUCCCAGUUUUCAGAUAGUUGUCAGAUUUUCAUGUAGUAGAGAUUUCGCAGACUAUUAUGGAUAUUAUUAAUGUUUUUCGGAUUUCAUUCCUUAUUGUUAAACUUAAUCCAGAGUAUGACCAUGUUUCCAUAUUAGAUCGUAAUUCCGCAUUUUCUUUUAUUAUAUGAAUGUUGUGCAUGACUACCAGAUAGUGUAGGACGUCCGGGCCUUUAUGGUUCGGGAUGUCCAUCAUGGCCAAGCCCUAGUUUAGAUCGUGACAACAUCACUAGCCAAAAUGAGCAAGGACUCCUCUACAAAGGCCAACUACUCAUCUAACUCUACUAAGUCCCACCUUACCAUAUGGGAUGGGUCAGGAAUAUACUUUUACAGCAUAGAGUCAUGAAAAAUUGGAUGAACAACGACAAAGUAUGGAGGUAAAUUUAACUCAUAGGCCACCUCGUCAACUAUACGGAGAAUCUCAAAAUGGCCAAAGCAGAUAUACACAGCAUACAAACAGAAUGAAAACUACACCCAAAAGUCCAGAAAACAUAUAAUAAGUCAAUAUGAAUAAUAAGGGAAAACCAUCCUAUUCAUAUCCAAGAGUCUUUAACAUAAUAAGAUUAAAGAAGUAUCGACUAUCUUAUUCCAGCCUCAUUCAAUUUACGUCAAUAAUAUACCAUAUAUACCAGGUAUAUAUACGAAUAAGGAGAGAAAGAAAUAUAUAUAGUAAUAUACAAGGCAAAGUAACAACUAUACAAAAUGAAUAAUGAAGGAAGGUAUAUACAGUAGUACCAUAUCUUCAUAUAGCUAUAUAUAUAUAUAUAAAUAUAUAUGCAUAUAAACCUGAGCUCAUCUCAAAGCAUAAUCUAUAUCAUCAUAUUCUCAUUUAAGACCUCAUUAUAACACUUAUCAAGAUUUAAAUACCAUCAUACUCAGGGUUUCUAAUCCACAUGGAUAGAUAUGAAGAAAUUGUGCAUAAUAAUGCAAUCAUAAGAUAGGAGAGGCCAAAAACGUACCUUAAAUCCCGAUACCGGAACAAUGACCAAUCUGUCAUAAGCUAGCCAUAAUAAUGAUAACAAUAAUAUCAAUAACGACGUGAGUAACCGGCUACUCCAAACAACCAAAUACAUAGCCGAGCUUAUGCGUACCCCUACCGCCCCAGACUCGGAAGCUUCAAUCAAUAGAGAACAACACAAGGCAUAUUCUUCACCCAUAUUUAUGCUACUAUCCCAUACCGUCUGAUAGACAUAGGUGCAUACUGGUGAUAGGCGAUGCGCAUGAAGGAAUGAAUGCAAGGUACACAAUCAAUAUCACAACUUAUCAUAACCGUCAUCAUCAUGACCAUCAUCAUUGUAAUCAACCUCCAUCCUUGUCAGGUAUCAACGUAUCAUCAUAAUAUCCUCCAACCCUGUCGGGUAUCAAUAUCAUCACAAUAGCAUCCUCCGACUUUUCCGGGUAUCAAUAUCACAACAGUCAUUACAGAAUAACAUAUACUAAUAUACUCAAGAACAUAAUCAUAUAACCAGAAAGUAUCUAUCUAGUCAUUACUUACCAACUACGCAUUUUUGGUUAACCAACACUUAUUAUAAUAGAAUCACUAGUUCGCAAGUCAUCACAAAACCUCUAGUUAUUAGCCCAAACCUUAUCCGUCACAUGAUCCUUAUUCAUGGGAUAAAAACUAACCACUAUUUAUUUAAUAAUCAAUAUCUGACAUCUAGUCAAGGUUCAACAUUAGACCAAAAAAGUCAUUUAUCCACCAUUCAUUAUUAUCAACUACUCAUCUUAUAUCUGUUAAUCAUUACUAGACAACACAUUACUACUUGUCACCCAACCUAACCAUCUUCUAUUAGCUGACAUCAUUCCUUAACUAACCAUCGUUAGCUACCAUGUUUCAACUAAGCAAAAUUCAUUAACUAAUACAUUAGAUUCCUAGCCAUCAAGUGCUAUAGUCCCCUAAUAGACAACUAGUUACCACAUAGCUUAACCGUCUAACAAGAAUAGUAGUCAUAAGAUCACAUUUCAGCUAUAAUCACAAUAUUUAUAAUUGUAAAUAAUCAUGAACAUACUGAAUCUAUGCAUUCCAUCACCAGUAUUCUGUCACGCAAUGUUUCCUAUAUUAAGAGUUAUAUUCUUCUAAAAUUUUAAAAUAAAUAUUAAAAACUAUCAAGGUGUUACAUAUUCAUUUAGUGGGAUAAUAAGCAUCAUACCGCAUUUUCUUCCAUCCCAUACCUGAGAGAUGAGUAUAUAAACAUAUACAUAUUUAUAUUCUAUUCAAUCAAUAUCAUAACACGACCCUUGGUCUAUCAAUUUAUCCAAAAUAUCAUGGCCUUAGGUACAUACACAUAUCCGGAACUCAUAUCAAUAAUCAUAUUUAUAAGACGUAGCAUAUCCCUAAUCAUCUAACAUAUAGGAGGCAUAAUAUUGAUAAGCAUCUCAUCAUCUCUCACACAAGAGGCAUCUCACAUCUAGGAGGCAUAAUAUUGAUAGAAAUGUAAUUAUCUAUAGGAUAUCAUAUAUCAAUAGCUCAUACAUCAUGACAAUGAGGAAUAUUACUUCUCUAGGCCAAUUUACAUAUCCAAGAUAAACACCGUCUCUGUAGGUCCAACAAUCUUGACUAAAGGAAAUAGAAACUCUAUAGGCCAAUCAUCAAGUCUAAGAGAAAAUAGCAUCUCUAUAAGACAACCAUCAAGUCUAAGAGGAAAUAUGACAAUCAUCAAGUCUAAGAGGAAAUUGCAUCUCUAUAUGCCAAUCAUCAAGUCUAAGAGGAAAUAAUAACUGUAUAGAACAAUCAUCAAGUCUAAGAGGAAAUAGUAUCUCUAUAAGUCAAUCAUCAAGUCUAAGAGGAAAAGAUCAUUCCAUAGGACAAUCAUCAAGUCUGAGAGGAAAAAGCAUCUCUAUAUGUCAAUCAUCAAGUCUAAGAGGAACUAAUAACUCUAUAGGAAAAUCAUCAUGUCUAAGAGGAAAUAAGAUCUCUAUAUGCCAAUCGUCAAGUCUAAGAUGAAAUAACAUCUCUGUAGGCCACAUAACGUAUCUAGGAGGAAUAUCAUCUCUAAAUGACCAAUAUCACUUCUACAAGGAGUGUCAUAACUUUAACUCAAAAGCCACAAUCCAAGAACAUCAAUAUAAGUUACCAAGUUAUGAAAUAACCUUAUUCUAAGGUUUUCUAGCUUCAUCUAUGUCUAACAUCCACAACUAAGUCUACAGGACUUAACGCAAGCUUAGGCCUAAGUGGGCUGAAGGAUCCCACUUCUAAUCCACAAUUUCCAUAUUUAGGCAUACUACACCCCAAACUAGGCUAAGGUAUCUAGUUCGUCUUUUAGAUGUAAAGUAAGCCAUAUUCAAGCCUAAGAUAGCAACUUUGACUAGAAACAAGGGCACUUAAGUCAACUUUACCCAACUUACGGAUUCAAGACUACCACAAUAUCCCAACAAGGCUAAAUAUACAAAUCAUGCUUCAAAUGCUAAAACCAUAUUACAAACAUAGUAUUAUAUCAUAUCCAUGCUAUAACUAAGCUAAACUAAAGAGGAAAGGCAAUAGGAUACAAAAGUGUCAGAAACAUGUCAUCUUAUGGGUCCAAAACCCUCAUCUAUUCCCCAAACAUCAACAAUCAAGGUCAAGUUAUCUUACUCAUAAUCAAGCCUAACAUCCAUAUUCACACGCAACAUAUAUCACACAUCAUCUAUAAAGAAAAGUAAACAGAAGCCUACCUCAAGGACAAACCACAAAAUCUCACUUCAUGUACCACAUGCUCGUCUUCACUUUAUAAUCCUCAAAAUGUCAUCGCACUAUCAAAACCAUAAUAUACUCAUUAAUACGAGUCUAAUGAUACUCAUAUUGUACUAUUGUGCUUCGGAUACAAAAACAACACCAAAACCCCAAGUGGGUCCCACAUACGGAAAAUGAAUUUCCUAGGCCAACUUAAUGUUCACAUGUGAAAAAGAAAUCAUAACCCUAAAAGAAUAGGUGAAAAAUAAGCAUACUUUGGGUUAAAAUCAAGCCCUAGGCUAAAUUGGGGUUUUGGGUCCAAACAAAGAAAUUCAAGCAUGAAUUCAAAAAAUUCUUGCCUUAAUCUUGAAGAUAAUUGCGAUAUAGGAUGAUAAUUAAGCUCCCAAAUCACCCCCCAUGAUAUUGAAAAUAUACUACAAACCAACUCAGACACUUAGCACGAUAUGAAUGAAAAAAAAUGAAGGAAUACUAAGAAUUUCAUAUAGCCUCCCGAAGAUAGAAAACUGACAUCAACGUUCUGAUCUGCAGGACUCUAUUAGACACUUGCUCUUCUACCAAUAAUACCAGUGAAACCUAGGCUCUGAUAUCAAUUUUUCAUGACACUGUUUGGAGUCAUGAUGGCCCCUACCACAUCCCACCGGUAGGUAAGCCAAUACCAUACCUCGAGGUAUUGCAAUGGGUUACCUUGGUAUGAACGUCCAACUUAGGCCCUAUAUGUGAACACAAUAUAAAACAACAACAUUUCACAACUAAAGACAACCGACAUUUAAAUACAAAUCCCACCACCUGAUAAUAUUAAUACAAGAGCUUACAAGAGGAAUUUACAAUCUCAGAAUCUAAAAUAUCUUAAAUAAUCUCAUACAUUUGUCUCAAAAGAAAAACACAAAUAAGGAUAGAAGGGAAAGAGGGAAACUUGAUCUCCAAGAUCUCACCCUGUCUCUGAUUUGUUAGCUCGCAAGAACUAGCUCAACAGACACAACUAAAACCUAGGUCUGGAACAAAAAGAAACAGAAGUGUAGUAUGAGUACCAAAACACAGGUACUCAGUAGGCAUCAUCAGCCGACUGAGCUCAAAUAUAAUUAAAGUCAAGGGGUAGGAUCGGACCUAAAUUUGCUUUGAUACCACUGUAACAACAUCUAUACUACUAAAGCAAUAACAUGACAUACUAUUUCAAUAUACUCCAUAAUCACCAUAAAAUCUGAGAAUCAUUUCAAAAACGUACAAUCAUAUACACAAUAGCAAAACAUCUACUUGCCAUAAUCAUCAUCAACCUCCUUUAAAACAUAAACACAAGAACUUACCACAACAUCCUACACCGCCGGGAAGUACACGAAAGAGAGCACAACAAAGAACUCAUCACAGCGUCUCAUACCACCGAAAAGUACACAAAAGAACAUCAAACAAGAACUCAUCACGGCAUCCCAUACCACCGGAGAGUACACCAAAGAAUACAACCAAUAAUACAAUAAAGCACAACUACUCCAUCAAUUUACCGAAAACCAUGAGUAGCACAACCCCUUCAUUGCUCAUUACCAAAAUCCACUUCCAAAUACCCAUACCGUAAUUCAACAUAAAGAAAGCAACAUUGUCAUAGCAUAGGUAUGUAAUCAUUAAUUUUAUAAUUCAUUAAUAAAUACGCCAAAGUCCAUAAUAAUUAACCUUAUUUUUUCCGAAAGUCAAAAGAUUACAUGUCUUAAAAUUACUAGUCAUCAAAUCGGGGAAAAACUACAAGCCACCCAUAGUAUAGGUUAUUCAACCAUCAUAAGGCCAUUCUUUUACUAGCAUCAUCAUGACAUGAGUUAUCAACUAAGCUAUCUCAACUUCACAUGUUAGGAUAUAAUUUAGCUAAUCAUCACACAAUACUAGAUCCAUCAUCUCUAAGCAUGUCACAACCUUAAGGAUUAGUUUUCAUAUUUUAAUCAAAUAAAGUCCACAAUCUAGUUUACUAGGUUUCUCGGUUCCAGAUAAUAAUCAUAUAUUUUAGAAGGAGCUAGUUAUCACAUAAGAAACCUUACUACGCAAGAUUUCAUAAUAUAACCUCUUAUUCAAGUCAAGUAUAUAUAUUAGGUUAGCCCUUGAAUUUUUAUGAAAGUUUACACAUAACGCCAAGCCUUAACUCAUUAUUAGUCAUAAAUUUCCUCUAGUAGAUAAUUUAGCAUAACAAGGGUCACACUCUUAUAUAGUGAUUUGGAAUAAGAAACGAAUAACAAUUUACCAAGAGAGACCUCAUAAUUCAAGCACAUAGGCGGUUGGCCCCACACGGCCUAACCUUACAAAUAUCAAUGAAUAUAAGUAAAUUUGCCCCACACAUCAUCAUAAUGUUCUUACCUCUUUUGGAUUCACGGGGCAUCAUGACAAUUUCAACAUAUUCCUCCAGAUUCAUCGAGCAUCGUCAUAAUAUCACACAUUCAUCCGGACUCAGACCGGGCAUCAGCAUAAUAUCACUUAUUCCUUCUAAUUAAUCGGGCAUCAUCAUAUAUCACACAUUCCUCCGAACUCAAAUCGGGCAUCAUCAUAAUAUCACAUAUUGUAAUACCCUAUAUUUCUCAAGCUUAACUUAACUCUCAAUUCAUGAGUUAUCAGAUAUAAAAUUUUUAAAAUAAUUAGUAUUUUCAGUUUAGAGCCUGCCAUUAUGUAGAUAAUUGAAUUAGAUUUUCAACGAUAUAAAAUUCACCUAAAUUCGAUAAUCGGGUAAAACACUAUGGCUAUUUUAAGUUUCAGUCAAUAAACACCGUUAUUCAGGCCAGUAGCGCGUCGCGGAGUAUGUUAAAAUGACAAUUGUCAGUUUCCAGUAAUAUAUCACAAUACAAGCGUGCCAUGCCACCAUAUAAUUUCCCAAUUGUCAAAAUCUAGUAUUGCUCCACGAUAUUGGUACGUCGUGCCAAGGACCCAAUCCACAAUUGCCAAUUUCCAAUAAAGCAACGCGAUUCCACCUCGUCGCGGUGAACUUCCAGGUCCCAUCCAGUAUUGAAAUGCAAUUCCACCACAUCGCACCACUAGCCAUAUUUAUAGUUGUCAUUUUCCAGUGGCUUGGCGCGAUAGUGGCACGUCGUGCCAGGUACCCAAAUCGGGAAUUUUUCAGUAAUGAUUUUAAAUCAGUUCCAUGGGUAAUUGGGUAUUUUUUUCAUGACCCAAGUCAGCAUUUAACAUGUAAAUUACCCCAAAUUAACCUAGUUACAUCAUUAUUAUUCAAUUUUUCCCAAAAUCGAAGCAUUCUCUCUCAAGAAAAUAAACCCUAGCUUCAAGAAUCAAGGACAAAACUCAAGAAUUUCUUCAAGCACCUUCAAGAACUAAUAACCUAAGGUAUGUUAGGUGUUCAUCUAUGGGUUUCUUUCACUCAUAGACUCCACGAAUCCAUUUUCAAAAUACAAGAUUGUUGAAUUAUGAACUUUCAUGCUUGAAUUGAAUUGAAUUCAUGUUCGUGUUAUUGUUGGGUUUUAGUCCAUGAUUAAAUUACAUGCUUUUAUGAAAUUAAUCAUUGUAUGUGUUGAAUUACAUGAUCUUCAUGAUAAACCCCUUAAAUUGUAAGUUGAUUGAUGUAGCCAUGAUGACUAUAUGUUUUGAUUAUUGUAUAACAUAAGCAUGCUCCGCGUGUGUUUGAUAAAAUGCAAAAGUAAAUGAAAUAGUGCCAUUAUAACAUGAUAGCAUGUAUUCCCCAUUCAUGUAUAAGUAGAUGCAUUAGAAGUGCUUGAUUAAAUGCCUUUAUGAGUGAACUAUGGACAAGUAUACAUUGUUAUGAUUUUCAAGAGUAUAUUAUACUUUAUUUUUCAUGCUAUUGAGUCCUAGGGUAUUUAAUACCCUACAAUUUUGUUGUGUUUCUAGAGCCAGUGUCGGUUAUAGAAUCUUAGUCAUGUCAUGAUCAGUAGUACUCUCAGUCAGUUACAGAACUCAGUAGAACAUAGUCAGUUACCGAACUCAGAAAAACUCAGUAAACUCAGUAUCAUCCCAGUUCAAUUAAGUAUACUCAGUUCAGUGUCUUUCAGUUUGCAGUAGGAUUCAGCACCGAGUGAAUCCAAGGAUGGGGGCUCACCUGCUAGUAGAAGGUGUGAUCCUUAUAAGCAAUCCUUGCAUUCCAGAACUACGUAGCUAAUGUAGAUUGAGACAUCAAACCUGCCGGUUAAGGGUUGAUGAGGUAUUUUAACUUACCAGUUGAGGGUUCCACCGUUCUCAUUAGAGUACCUUCCAGAUGAGGUUAACUCUUUAGUUUCUUUACCCGUGGCACGGUACCUACACCCUUUCAACUGGGGUCAAAAGUUGGACCCCAACUCAGUUAUAUUAUUUAGGGCAUAUCGGUUAGAUGAUUACCUCCCAAAAUCUCAGUUUCAGUUAUCAGAAUAGAACUCAGUUUAGUUCUAUAGAAUCAGGACUGUCAGAUACAGUCAACCAGUAUCAGUAAAUCAGUUAUCAGUACUUCAGAUAUCAGUUACUCAGUAUCAAAACUCAGGACUUAGUUUCAGAUAAGCUUAGUCACGGUAUUUAUUUAUAUGCACAGUAGUGCAUACUCAGUAUUUACAGUAGUAUAAGUUAUCCAUGUACUCUCAUGUUCAGUCACUUUAUAUCAUGCAGUCAGUUAUUGUUCAUGCAUAUGAACUCUUGCAUUCAUCCUUACCUAAUCUAGCAUACUAGUACAUUCCACGUACUGAUUCAUACUCUUUCUUUGCAUUAUAAAGUCUCAUAUCAUAGGUACGGACCCUCAGAUUCCCGAUCGUGCAUAGAGAGAUUAAGAUUCAUCCAGCGUCAGUUGAUUAGAAGUGCAUCCUCAUCAUUCGAGGAUAUUCUUUUAUUUUAUUAUUUCAUUAGACUCAGUAUUUUAGUAGAUAGAGUUAGUUGGGGAUUGUCCCAUCAACUCAACUUUCAGACAGUUUUAGUUAGAGACUUUUAAAACUAGUUUUUAGACAGUGUUUAAUUUUACAGAUUGUUAUUUCAGUUGAUACACUUUAGCAGUAUUUAUAAAUUUUUAACCUUAUGGAAUUUCAACCUAUUUUCACAUUUAUUACAGUAUCAUGUUUCAGUGCUCACAACAGAUAUCAAUCAUGGGUUAGCUUGUGGUCCUUUAGGGUCGUAAGCAUCCUGUAGCAUCCGGGGUACAGACUCGGGGCAUUACAAACUUGGUAUCAUAGCCUAAUGUUCAAUAGAGUCCUAGGGAGUUUGAAAGCCGCAUCUAGUAGAGUCUUGUGCAUGGGUGUGUAGCGCGCCCCACUUAUGGAUAGAAGGCUAUGAGAUGUUUUAGGAAAAGUUGCCCUUCUUUUAGUAUUCAUGUUGUGUGAGUGAGCAUGAGCUCAAGUUAAACUCUCAGUCUAAUCCAUUGUAUUCAUUUCAUUUAUAGAACAUGCCUCCCGGAAAGACUAAUAAAAAGAGAACUAAAAAUUAGUCAGCACCUCAGCCCGUUCAGGCAGAUCCCAUGGAUGACCAUAUCUCUUAGGUAGAAUUUAGAGUUGCAUUCACUACUCUAGCCAAUUCUGUAGCAGCUCAAAAUGAAUGGUCAGUUUCUGUUCCAGCCAACCUAGUGGUCAAUACUUCUGCAGCCAGGAUUCGGGACUUCACCCAAAUAAAUCCUCCUUUAUUCUCAGGAUUUAAGCUAGAAGAGGAUCCACAGGAGUUUCUCAAUCAGGUUCGAAAAGUCACAGAUAUUAUAAGAGUGACUUCCAGUGAAAACUGAGCUAGCUGCCUAUCAGCUGCAAGAUAUAGCUCAUAUAUGGUUUAAGCAGUAGAAGGUAGACAAGGGCAUAGAUGCAGAGCCCAUGGAGUGGGAAGAGUUUGCUACUGUUUUCCUAGAGAGAUUCUUUCCUUGAGAGAAGACAAGGUGUUAGAGUUCCUAAAUCUCAGGUAGGGCAGUAUGAGUGUGAAGGAUUAUUCCCUCAAGUUUACUCAGUUAGUUAGGUAUGCUCCCCAUGUAGUAGCAGACAGUAGGUUUAGAAUGAGCAAUUUCGUAUCUGGGGAGUCAGAUAGUGUGGCUGAGGAGUGCAAAAAUGUGAUAUUGAUUAAGGAGAUGGACAUAUCUAGGCUCAUGGUCUAUGCUCAGUAGAUAGAAGAGGCUAAGAAUAGAGAGAGAGAGAGGCAGAAUAAGAGAUCUAAAAUAGGUAGUUUCAAUUUCAUUCAGCCUAAGUCAGAGAGCGGUAACCAUUCCCAGUUUUUCCCAAAAUCUUUAGUUCCUACUCCGUCCUUAGCCAGUGCUCCAGUACCUAAGUUCAGAAAUGGUAACAAUGAUAGGGCUCCAAGAUCUAAAUACCAAGGUAGUGUCAACAAUAAUCCUCUUUGUCAGACAUGUGGCAGAAACUACAAGGGUAUUUGCAGAGCUGGCAGUGAUGUUUGUUUUGGGUGUGGCAAGCCAGGCCAUAGAGUUAGAGAUUGUCCUCAGUUAGGUUCUCAGGGUUAGCAUACUCAUUCUUUAGCUCAGUUAGGUUGCCCAAAUCAGCAGGGUACUGCUUCCAGUGUCACCAGUGGGUAAUGCCCAAACAAGCUUUAUGCACUUCAAACCAGAAAAGAUCAGGAAAUUUUUUUGAUAUGGUCACUGGUAUAUUACAGAUCUUCCAUUUACAUAUUUAUGCCUUCAUAGAUCUAGGAGCUUCUUUAUCUUUUGUAAAUCCUUAUAUAGCCAUUAACUUCGGAGUCCGUCCAAAAAUCCUAGCAGAGCCUUUAUCAGUUUCUACCCCAGUGGGUAAAUCUAUCAUAGCCCGAUGGGUCUACACGAACUAUCCUAUUAUGAUAUCUCAGAAAGUUACUUCAGCAGACCUUGCAGAGCUAGAGAUAGCAGAUUUUGAUGUCAUUCUCGGCAUAGAUUGACUUUAUUCAUGCUAUGCCUCAGUUAAUUAUAGAAAUAGAAUAGUUCAUUUUCAGUUUCUAAAUAAACCAGUCCUUGAAUGGAGAAGUAGUACCACAGCGCUUAAGGGUCAGUUGAUUUCAUACCUUAGAGCGAGAAAAAUGUUAUCCAAGGAAUGUGUCUAUCAUCUUGUAUGAGUCAAGGACUCUAGUUCAGAAACUCCAACUCUUGAGUCAGUUCCAGUAGUAAAUGAAUUAUCAGAUGUGUUUCCCAAAGAUCUUCCCGAAAUUCCUCCUGAAAAGGAAAUAAACUUCAGAAUAGACCUUCUUCCAGAUACUCAGCCCAUAUCUAUUCUGUCAUACUAAAUGGCACCAGAAGAACUCAGGGAGUUAAAAGAAUAGUUGAAGGAUAUCCUAGAUAAGGGAUUCAUUAGACCCAGUGUUUCCCCGUGGGGCGCACCAAUCUUAUUCAUGCAUAAUAAAGAUGGCUCUCUUAGAAUAUGUAUAGACUACCAUCAGUUGAACAAAGUUACAGUCAAGAAUAAAUACCCACUUCCUAGAAUCGAUGACUUGUUCGACCAACUUUAGAGUGCUAGUUACUUUCCUAAGAUAGACCUCAGAUCAAGCUAUCAUUAGCUCAGAGUUAGAGAAUGUGACAUUUCAAAAAUAGAUUUCAGAACUCGAUAUGGUCACUUUAAGUUUCUAGUCAUGUCCUUUGGUCUUACUAAUUCCCCAGUAGUUUUCAUGGGCUUAAUGAAUCGCAUGUUCAAGUAGUACUUGGACAUGUUCAUUGUAGUCUUCAUCGAUGAAAUUCUUGUCUAUUGCCUUAGCGAGAAUAAUCACACAGAUCACCUCAGAAUCGUACUUCAAACUUUUAGAACUCAUCAGCUAUUCACCAAAUUUAGUAAGUGCAAAUUUUGGCUAAGGUCGGUAGAAUUCCUUGGUCAUAUUAUUUCUGGUGACGGCAUUAGAGUUGAUCCUCAAAAGACCAAAGUGGUGAGAAACUGGCCUAAACCCAUCUCCCCAUCAGAUAUCAGGAGUUUCUUAGGUUUAGCUGGCUAUUACCAUUGGUUUGUUGAAGGGUUUUUGUCUAUUUCAUCCCCCAUGUCCAGAUUGACUCAGAAGAAAGUCCAGUUUCAGUGGUCAAAUUCCUGCGAGAAGAGUUUUUAGGAGUUAAAGACUCGACUCACCUCAGCCCCAAUUUUGACUCUACCAGGUGGUUCAGAUGGGUUUGUUGUGUACUGUGACGCAUCCAGAGUAGGUUUGGGCUAUGUCCUUAUACAGAGAGGUAAGGUCAUAGCCUACGCCUCCAGAUAGCUUAAGCCCUAUGAGAAGAAUUAUCUUACUCAUGAUGUUAAUUUAGCAGCUGUAGUAUUUGCCUUAAAGAUUUAGAGGCAUUUAUAUAGGGUGCAUAUAGAUUUGUUCACAGAUCACAAGAGCUUGCAGUAUAUUUUUUCUUAGAAAGAUUUAAAUUUACGUCAGAGAAAGUGGUUAGAGUUCUUAAAAGAUUAUGACAUGAGUGUCCUGUAUCAUCUAGGCAAAGCCAAUGUAGUGGUUGAUGCUCUCAGUAGACUAUUUAUGGGUAGUGUUGCUCAUAUUGAGGAUAGUAAGAAGAAGUUAGUUCAGGAAGUUCAUCAUCUUACCCGACUAGGUGUCCACUUAGUUGAUUCAGCAGAAGGUGGUGUGUGGGUUCAGAACAGUUCCGAAUCCUCUCUAGUUAUCAAGGUGAAGGAAAAGCAGGAGAGAGAUCCUAGUCUUGUUAAGUUGAAAGAGUCAGUCAAAGAUCAGAAAGUAAAGGUUUUCUCCCAGGUGUAGAUGACUUGAGGCAAUGAAUUCUUGCAGAAGCGCAUGGUGCGCAUUACUCGAUUCAUCCUGGGGCCACUAAGAUGUACCGCGAUUUAGGGGAGAUCUAUUAGUGAGUGGGAUGAAGAGGGAUAUUACAAAUUUUGUAGCUAAAUGCUCUACAUAUCAGAAAGUUAAGAUUGAGCACCAGAAGCCUAGUGGGUUCAUGCAGGAGUUCAGUAUUCCCAUAUGGAAAUGGGAAGAAGUGAACAUAGACUUUGUGAUGGGCUUGCCUCGUACUCGUCAUCAGCAUGAUUCUAUAUGGGUUAUCAUAAACAAGAUGACCAAAUCAACUCAUUUCUUACCAGUUCAUACUUCUUAUUCAGUCGAGGACUAUGCCAAACUCUAUAUCAGAGAGUUGGUCAAGUUACAUGGACAAUCAUCUCAGAUAGAGGUACCCAUUUUACCUCUAAUUUCUAGAAAGCAUUCCAAAAGGGUCUUGGUACCUAAGUUCAUCUCAGUUCAGCCUUCCACCCUCAGACAGAAGGUCAAGAAGAAAGGACCAUUCAGACUCUAGAAGAUAUGCUAAGAUCCUGCGUUGUCGAUUUUAAGGGUAGUUGGGAUGACCACUUGCCUUUGAAUUGAAUUCACAUACAAUAACAGCUAUCAUUCCAGUAUUCGGAUGGCUCCGUUUGAGGAUCUGUACGGUAGGAUAUAUAGAUAUCCAACUGGUUGGUUCGAGGUAGGUAAGGUCAUAGUAGUAGGGCCUAACUUAGUGUUUGAUGCCUUAGAGAAGGUUCAGCUGAUCAGAGAAAGACUUAGGGCAGCCCAGAGACAACAGAAAUCAUACAUAGAUGAGUGGAGAAAGGAUCUCGAGUUUGAGUUCAAUAAUUUUGUGUACUUGAAAAUCUCUCCGAUAAAAGGAGUAAAGAGGUUUGGCAAGAAGGGAAAGCUCAGUCCCCGAUAUGUCGGUCCUCACAGAAUUCUCAGUAUUUUGGAAGGGUAGCUUAUGAGCUCGAGUUGACUUCAAACCUAGCUUCAGUGCACCCAGUAUUCACAUCUCCUUACUAAAGAAAUGCAUUGGUGACCUAGCAGUCAUAGUUUCCUUAAAGGGCGUAGAUAUUCAGAAGGAUCUCUCUUCCGAAGAGGUUCCUGUCUAAAUCCUCGAUCAUCAGAUUUGCAGACUGAGAAACAGAGAAGUUCCCUUAGUAAAAGUUCUUUGGUGAAAUCAGUCCGUAGAGGGAGAUACUUAGGAAGAAGAAGUAGAUAUGCGGACCAAGUAUCCUCACCUCUUCUCCACAACCUCAUAUCCACCUUAAGGUAACAGUCUUCCUUAGCUUUACUCAGUAAUAUGUUCAGCUAUAAUUAUAGCUUGGGGUCCAUUACCGUUGCAUAUUCAGUCAUGCAUUUAUGAAUCAGUUCUAUCAUGCAGUCAUGCAUCAGAUAUGCAUGUUUAAUGUGUAAACUCAGUCUAUCAGUGCCUCAGCUUAAUCAGUCUCAUUCGAGGAUGAAUGUUCCCAAGGGGGAGAUAUUGUGUUACCCCGUAUUUUGCAAGCUUAACAUAACUCUCAGUUCAUGAGUUAUCUGAUACAAAAAAUUUUAAAUACUCAGUAUUUUUCAGUUUAGAGCCUGCCAUUGCUUAGGAAAUUGAAUCAGCUUUCCAAAGUUAUAAAAUUUGCCUAAAUCUGAUAACCGGAUGAGAAGUUAUGGAUAUUUUAAAUUUCAGUCGUUAAACACCAUUAUUCAGGCUAGUAUCACAUCGCGAAGUAUGUCAAAAUGGAAAUUGUCAGUUUCAAGUGAGGUACUGUAAUACUAGCAUGUUGCACCACCAGCUAAUUUCCCAAUUGUCAAAAUUUAGUGUUGCUACGCGAUAUUGGCGGGUUGCUCCAAGGACCCAAUCCACAAUUGUCAAUUUCUAGUAAAGCAACAUGAUUCCACUACAUUGCGGUGAACUUCCAGGUCCCAUUAAGUAUUGCAACAUGAUUCUACUUCAUCGCGUCACCAGCCACAUUCCCAGUUGUCAUUUUUUAGUGGCUUGGCGUGAUAGUGGCGCGUCGCGCCAGGUGCCCAAAUUGGGAAUUUUUCAGUAAUGAUUUUAAAUCAUUUCCAGGGGUAAUUAGGUAUUUUUUUCAUGACCCACGUCAGCCAUUAACACAUAAAUUACCCCAAAAUUAACGUACUUACACCAUUAUUAUUCAACUUUCCCCAAAAUCAAAGCAUUCUCUCUCAAGAAAACAAACCUUAGCUUCAAGAAUCAAGGUCAAAACUCAAGAAUUUCUUCAAGCACCUUCAAGAACUAAUAACCCAAGGUAUGUUAGGGUUCAUCAAUGGGUUCCUUUCUUCCAUAUAGUCCACGAAUCCAUUUUCAAAAUACAAGAUUGUUGAAUUAUGAACUUCCAUACUUGAAUUGAAUUGAAUUCAUGUUCAUGUUAUUGUUGAGUUUUAGUCCAUGAUUAAAUUACAUGCUUUUAUGAAAUUAAUCAUUGUAUGUGUUGAAUUACAUGAUCUUCAGAAUAAAACCUUCAAUUUGCAAGUUGAUUGAUGUACCCAUGAUAACUAUAUGUUUUGAUUAUUGUAUAACCUAAGCGUACUCCCCAUGUAUUUGAUAAAAUUCCUAUGUAAAUGAAAUAGUGUCAUUACAACAUGAUAGCAUGUAUUCCCCAUUCAUGUAUAAGUAGAUGCAUUAAAAGUGUUUGGUUAAAUGCCUCUAUGAGUGAACUAUCGACAAGUAUACAUUGUUAUGAUUUUCAAGAGUAUAUUAUGCUUUAUUUUUCAUGCUAUUGAGUCCUAGGGGUAUUUAAUAGCCGAUAAUUUAGAUGUGUGCCUAAAGCCAGUGUCGGUUAUAGAAUCUCAGUUAUGUCAUGAUCAGUAAUACUCUCAGUCAAUUAUAGAACUUAGUAAAACUCAGUCAGUUAUCAAACUAAGGAAAACUCAGUAAAAUCGGUAUCAUCCCAGUUCAGCUCAGUAUACUCAGUUCAGUGUCUUUCAAUUAGGAGUAGGAUUCAGCACCAAUUGAACCCAAGGAUAGGGGCUCACCUGCCAGUAGAGGGUUUGAUACUUAGAAGCAAUCGUUGUGUUCCAGAACUAUGUAGCUAGUGUAGGUUUAGACAUCAAACCUGCCAGUUGAGGGUUUCACCGUUCUCAUUAGAGUACCUUCCAGAUAAGGGUAACUCUUUAGUUUCUUUACCCAUGGCACGAUACAGACACCCUUUCAACUGGGGUGAUAGGUUGGACCCCAACUCAGUUAUCUUAUUUGGGGCAUGUAGGUUAGAUGAUUACCUCCCAUAGUCUCAGUUUCAGUCAUUAGAACAAAACUCAGUUCAAUUAUACAGAAUUAGGACUGUCAGAUACAGUCAACCAGUAUCAAUAAAUCAGUUAUCAGUAACUCCAGAUAUUAGUUACUCAGCAUCAGACUUAGGACCUCGCUUCAGAUAAGCUUAGUCAUAGUCUUUACUUAUAUACACAGUAGCACAUACUCAGUAUUUAUAAUAGUAUCAGUUAUCCAUGUACUCUCAUGUUCAGUCACUCUAUAUCAUGCAGCCAGUUAUUGUUCAUGCAUAUGAACCCUUGCAUUCAGCAUUACCUCAUCUAGCGUACCAGUAUAUUCCACGUACUAACCCAUACUCUUUUCUUGUGCUAUGAUGUCUCAUAUCAUAGGUUUAUACACUCAGGUUCCUGACUGCGCAUAGAUAGAUUCAGAUUUAUCCAGCAUUAGUAGAUUAGCAGUGAGUCCUCAUCAUUCAAGGAUAUUCUUUUAUUUUAUUAUUUUAGUAGACUCAGUAUUUUAGUAAACGGAGUUAAUUGGGGGAUUAUCCCAUCAACUCCACUUUCAGACAGUUUCAGUUAGAACUUUUCAGACAGUGUUCAAUUUUACAGAUUGUUGUUUCAGUUGAUACACUUUAGUAGUAUUUAUAGAUUUUGAACCUUAUGGCAUUUCAGCCUAUUUUCCGUAUUUAUUACAGUAUCGUGUUUUAGUGCUCACAGCAGAUAUCAGUUAUGGGUUAGCUUGUGGUCCUUCGGGGUCGUAAGCACCAUGUAGCAUCUGGGGUAUAGACUCGGAGUGUUACACAUAUUCCUCCGAAUUCACCGAGCAUCAUCAUAAUAUCAUAUAUUUCUCUGGAGUCAAACCGGGCAACAUCAUACAAUCUCAUAUUCCUCCGAAUUCACCGAGAAUCAUCAUAAUAUCACAUAUUUCUCUGGACUGGAACCGGGCAUCAUCAUAAUAUCACAUAUUUGUUUGGAUACAACAGCAUACAUCCACAUUCAUAGCCAAACCAAUAAGCAUACACAAAAUCUCACAAUAUAUAAAGAAGUAGGGAUGUGGGAUAACCCUUGCCAUUUUACCUUACUAAUAAGCUUCACACGUAAUAUGAGCAUCAACAAGAGCACAAAUAUUUACCAAACAUGCACAAUAAUCACUUAACAAGGGUAUUCAAGUCAUGAUCACAAGAUAAUCCAAUAAUCGAUUGCGACCAUCACAACUCCUACACACACACACACACACACACACAUAUAUAUAUAUAUAUAUAAAUAUAUUGAACAAUCACCACGUAUCUAGGUUGCUAAGCAUUUACUUAGUUCAAGAUUAAGGUGAGUCAAGUCCCACUUCUAAAUACCGAGAAUGCCAAACUUACUAACAUAUGUCUAGAUUCUAACCGGAAUUAGGCUAAGUCAUCCAUACCGUACCAUGUGGGCUUACCAAUACUUUCAAGGUCUAUAAGGAAAGUCUCUUCAAGAAUCCUUCCUAAGUCAACCGAACACCAAGGUCAUCUCCUAUAUAGGCAUUAUAUAGGUCAAUACACUCCUAAGGAUAGAUAAUUAUACCAUUCAUGUCUACUUAGAACAACUAUAGUGUUCUUACACUAGUCAUGAGACCACAAUUAAGCUAACCAAGGUCCUAGACUAAGGGUCAAAUAUCGUACCAUACAAAUCCAUGGCCUAUAGCAAUUAAUAAAUCCCAUGUUCACCAUUUAAUAAACUAUCAUCUUAAUUCCCCACCCAACCUCGCAAUAUAUCAAUGAUUACAUUACAAACAAGCUUAAUCUAUACUACGGGUAAGCCUAACCUACCUUGAAUCCAAGCAACUCAUGAUCCAACGAGCUUUUCCUUUCCUUUUAAGAAGCUUCCCCUUCCACAAGCAAUGCUAUCAACAAUACAAUCUAAGAAUUACAACAAGAAUGACAAUACCCAUUAUAUAACCAUUGUGCCAUUGGUUUCAAAAUGACAACAAACCCCAAGUGGAUCCCACCUUCGGAAAAUGAGUUUUCGAGAGCAACCCAUAGUCUAAAUAUCAUUAGGGGGAUAAAACCCUCAAGAAAUUUGAGUAAAGCAAUCACAUUUGUGGCUACAAUUGAGCCUCAAAGACUUAGCAUUUUUGGUCUAGAAAUCAAGAAAUUAAUACCAAAUUUGAAGGAAUCUUACCUUAGAUUUGUAGAAAAAAAUUGGAUUACACAAGUUGCUAAGCUUCUAAUCAACCCUCAAGACUCAUUUUUCUAUCAAAAAAUAUUUAUGGCUGUUAGAGUUUUCAAAAUACUGAAGAAUCUCCCAGAAAUCGGCCAACGGGCCUUUUUGUACGAGUUUAAAUGGGCCUACAAGGUCAAAAACUUAUUUUUGACCUCUCGGACUCAUUCGGACUCCAUUUUUUGCAAAUGAACUAUGUAACCCCACUAAAUUUGACAUUCCAGACACAUUAGUGAAGUCAAAUUUUUUAUUCAAGGUCAUUUAGGUCACUUGUGGGUCCCACAUCCAUAUAUUUCAAUUUUUGACUUUUCGACUAAUAGGUUGAAAUGAGCUCGGGUGCUGUGGGAUCCAAACCAAGGGUCUAUCUACCCUAAAAUCAAUAUUACAUAGCUUUUGGCACAGUCAAAAUUUAAAUCCGAAAUCAUUGCAAGACAGCUAUUUGGAAUAGACAAAGACUUCAAAUUGGAAAAGUGGUUCUAAAAACUAAAUGAACCGUCAGGUAACUGAACUAUCAAUUCCAGCAAGUCACUAAUAACUUGGGACAGCUAUGAAGGAGCUCUAUUGGCAAAAAUAAUCAAGAACACGGAUAAUGACCUGAAGGGUCAUUAUAGACUCAUUGUUGUAAAAUGGAAUUUUAAAGUAGUCUAAAUAUAUGCAUAGGUAAGUAAGUAUGAUGUGAGAAAGUACAAUGUGUUUAUAACAUCUUAAGGGGUUAUAUUAUAAGAUUAAGAUCAAUUGUCCCUAUUAUGUGACUUUACCCCCUUUGAUUGUCUUUUCUUUGGUAGUUGGAAGCUAGUACUGCACGUGAGAAUGUGGGUGGUAGUUUCUAAGGUAUGGUAAAAAUAGUAGCUUAAAUUUAAUGAUGCAUUUUUUGUGUUAGUAAGUAGUAGGCUUUAUCCGAUGUGUGCAAUAGCCUAGGUUUGAAACUUGUGGAAAAAGGAGUGGAUAAUUAUAAUAUAUUUAUAUACUUAGGACUAGUGUUAUAACGAUGAAUUGUGGUUGAUUCAUUAAGUGGAUAAGAGCAUGGGUAUGUAAGAAUAAGUUUUCCCCCCCCAGGUAACAUGUUAUUAGAUAAGGUUGGUAGAUAUAUAAGUGUCAUUUGUACCUUGUUCAUAUUCUUGAAUUUUUUAGUAUGGAAAAGUUUGGGGAGUUGUUGUAUGGCAUUCUUCAUAGUUAAACUGAGGAAAUAUAGGUAGGCAAUAUGCGCCUUUGGUAUAGUUUUACAAAUUUUAUUAAGAUUUUAAGUAUGUGAGUAGAUGUCUAAUAUUGGCGUGUUAAGUAGUGGAGAAUGAAUUAUUAUGUGAUAAGGAGUGUGAAUGUAUGUGCUCACGAGAGUAGAAGUGAUAGGGUGAUGGCUAUAGAGGCUAGAGAGAGUUAAGAGUAGCAGCAAUGCCUUCAGAGUUAGAGUUCAACCUAGGAGUAUUAUAUAGUGGGACUUAAACUCUUGCGGUUAGAAGUUUUAUGGGAGAAUUGCAAGUUAGAAGUGAUGAAGUAUGUUAUUUGUCGUUUGGGGCAUAGUUGAGUAGUGUCUCUCAGUUUUAGGUCAAUUAGUUGUAACUUGUAAGGCAGAGAAUGCUUCUAUUUCUUAUCUUUCGCGAAAUCUUAUUUCAUGAUUAGUACCAAUAUAAAUCAGGUAUAUGCUACCAAAUAAACUUAUUCCUUAUGUUGUGAUGCUAAUUUUUCAUAAAACUCAUGUGCAAGAUCAUCCCUAUGUAAAGUCUCGUUACCUCGCGCUUCGUGCUUACAUGUUUUACUAGGGGUUAUCAUGAAGCUCGUUUGAUGAAUUGUAUAUUUUGUUGACAAAAAAUGUUCAAUGCAAGAUUAUAUUCUUUAUUCUACACUUUUAGAGCUUCAAAAAGUCCUUGCCGAUCAUUCGGGGACGAAUGAUUCCAAGGGGGAGAUAAUGUAACACCCCGCAUUUUCUAGCUAAAAAUCAAACCGUUGUUCCUACGUGUGUAAGCUCUAAUAGAAAUUAUUUUCAAGUGAGAAUAAGUGUCAUUAUCUUUAUCCUCGUGUUUGAAGUGCUUUUGAGGUGAAAAAUCUUCAUAGGAAUCACUUAGAGCGAAGUUGAGCUAAGAACCAUAGAUUUGGCUAAAUCUUUGUAUUCAGUUUUAUAAGGGUCCACUUUGAAUGUGUAUAACAUUUGAUACACGUAGAGUUUUUCAGCUCAAGACCCACCAAAUUAUAUAUAAUUGAUUUAUAUUUCCAAUGAUACCAAUUUUACCUUAAUCCGAUACUCGAGUAAAAUGUUAUAGUAUUUUUCGUGAGAGGCAAUAAACAGAAGUGAUUGGGACAUGGUGCACCGGUCUAUUGACAUGAUAAAUGACGUGGCAUGUUUCUCUCCCCAACACGAUAUCUAACGCGACCUGAAGCUAUUUCACACGUUGUUUCAAUUCCUUAAGGGUCUAGGGGCACUUUGGUCAUAUUCCCUCACCCGAUAUCCGUCCAUAACACAAAAUUUCAGCUCCCAAAGAGCAUUAGCUGCCUCUUCAUUCAACGUUCUCUCAAACCAAAACCCUAAACACCUCCCAAGAACAAGAUUAAAUUCUUCUUUUCAAUGAUCAAGAAUUCAAGCCUUUCAAUUCAAGAUUCUCAAGAAAGGUUUCAAGAUUAAGGUUCUAUUUUUCAAACUAAACAACCUAAGGUAUGUGGGACUACUCUAAACACCAUGGGCAUCAUUUUUACUAUUUUUAUCUAUGUUAAAGAUCCUCGAUCAUGUUUUAUAAAGAGUGUUUUGUUAUUAUAUUGAAAAGUAUGUAUUAUGGAGUCAUUUUGAAGUAAGCAUAUGUUUGUCUCGAUCUUAGUUUUCAUGAAAUUAAAUUGUUGCAAUAUAUAUAUAUAUAUAUAUAUAUGAUUUCAUUGUAUUUUAAAGUGUGAAUGAGAGCAUGAAUGAUUAAACUCCCUCUCCUAUGAUGUUAUUUUUUAUUUUCAAAUGUGGCGGCUUGUGUAAAUGUAUGAAUUUCGUUAAAGGAAACUAAAUGAUGAAUGUUUUACUGAUUUUCAUGAACAAUUCGGUUUACUACAUGUAGAGGGGGUAUUUUCGUAUGGUAAAUGUCUACUUGAUCAACUUAACACUUUUCUUGAGUUUGAAGUAAUUACAAAUAUGAGGUGACCACCUAUUGAUUUUAUAAUUGGGAGGAGAAAGUUUUGAUGAAAAUUUGAAUGUAAGGUCUAUUGCAUAACUCUCUCUCAUCUGAUGUUUAAAAGCUAAGGGUGGUCAUUAAUAUGAUAAUAAGUGGAAAGGGCUGCAGAUAUGAUAUGAUGUGAUUUGAUUAACUUCUAAGUCAGGGUAUGACGAUACCCGAUGAUUUCAUGCUCCUAACAAGAUAGUGUUGAAUGUUUUGAAAGUAUGAACAUGUUUUAUUUAAAGAACAAAAAGUUAGGCUUAAGAGAGCUAGUAGGUUAUCCGAAGAAAGCAUUUGAGUGCAAGAGCCCAUCGCUGGAAACCAUAGUUACCGAUACAGGACUUAUGAUAUAUUAUCCUACAUGAAAGGACAUCUUUUAAGGACAUCUCACAUGGGGAGUACCACCACUCCAUUCCUGGUGGCUACUUGGAUUGGAGGCUUGGCCUCCGAGUCAAGGACGGGUUCCACAUAGCCCGUGGAAUUCCAUAUUUGUAGGGUGUACCGACUAGCUCAGAAGAAUAACAAAGAGUGAGUCAAAGUUGUCAAGAAUUGUUUUGAAGUGCACUAAAGUAUGCCCAUGUAUUUUUACUUGCUUUGUGUUCAUAGUUAUAAUGAAAUUCUCUCAUCUAUUUUGUAUAAGAAUAUAUUAUUUUGUGUUGUUUCAUAUACCAGUACAAUUGUAUUGACAUCCUAUACUUCAGGAUCUGAGGCACAAUCCCGGGGUCCCGCUAAGCAGUAGGUUGAAUCCUGUCAGAGAUUACAGUUGGUGAGUCUCCCUUAUUUUGGAAGGCCUAUUUUAGAACAUCGUUAGUUUAUUUUGAUCAAUGGUUCGACUGGGGUCUUGUCCUAGCUUUCAGAGAAUAUUGUUUUCGUAUUAUUAAAGAUUUUGUAGACUGGUGUCAUGUGUUUUUAAUGUUAUCAACUUAAUUCCCUAUUGUUCACUUGAAGUAAGGGAUUGACGAUGUUUCUAUUUUGUUAUGUUUUUUCAUAUUUUCUUACAGUAUAUGAAUUGUGUAUAUGAUUGCCUGGUAUGGGUCAAAGAAGCAUCUUAGCACUCGAGGACAUGAAGACAUGAGUGAAAACCCGAGCUUGUUGGGCUUCCCAUCCAAGUAACAAGCUUUGAAGUGUUGAGAAUAAGUCCCAAUACUCCAAAACCGUCCAAGGAAUACACUACAAGGCCGCCCCUUUAUUUGGGCUCAUUAAGGGUCUUUUGGUCAUUUUUGUAAUAAGUGUUGCCCUAGUAUAUAAAUAGAAUAUUUAGGUCAUUUUAUCAUUUAGAACUUUGAUGAUAUAUCUUGUAAACUCAUUGAGAGUGUUUGGCAAGGUGGAAUCAUUGUGGCAACGUGGAAUCCUUGUGUUGUUAACUUGCUUAGAAACGGUGGUUGCUUGGGAGUUCCGAUUCCCUUGAGGUCUCCGUAAGAGUUUAGGUGUAUUGUAUUCAUGUUGUUUGUGUUUUGAUGUUUAAUAUACAUCUUAGUGCCUAUAACGUGUACUACAUUAUGUCUCACUAUCUAUCCUCUUAGUUAUAGUCAUCUUGUUUUCCAUUUUGUGUUGCUUGUUCAUCUCGUGAUAGUGGACUAUUUUGUGCCAUUUCGUGGGCUGUUUUAGUACUUCAUAGGUCGUUCUUGUAUCAUUGCUAGUUAGACAAGGGCUCUCGUGCUUUCACGGUUCGGGGUGCCUAUCACGACCAGAGCCUCGAUUUGGGUUGUGACAUAUAGUCUACAACCUUUUCACUUUACGACCUGACUUUUGUGAUUAAUGUUUGUUGAUUUCGUGACAGAUUGAUAUCAGAGCUUCAUUUUGAAUCUGUACCCCAAUUGAGGUUGAACGAUUUCUCUGACCACAUAAGAUGGAACUUCAGACCCAAUAGGUUUGGAUUAUCAAAUGAAAAUCUAUAGUGUAAUCUAUGGCUUCACGUGAAUCUAAUAGCUUCACGUGAAAUGCCUAGUUGGUUUAAAUCCAUCAUGGAAAAGCUUGAUGUCAUGGAUAGCAGUUUGGGAUCUUCUAAAGGGAAAAUGGAGAGAAUGGAAGGAUGAAUGGAAAGAAUGAAAAGAAUAAUGGAUAGAAUGGAAGGACGAAUAGAAAAGAUGGAGAGAUGUAUUUGCAAAAAGUUGGAUAACUUGAUAGAGCAUCCAAGCUUUCCUAAUCCAAUUCCUGUGAGUGGCCAAGCUCCACAUGAGCUACUAGGUAAUCAAACUAACUCUUGCACUCUAGUGAAUAAGGCUAAUAACCAACUAAGUUUGAAUGAUAGUUUGUCUUUAGGUGAGCCGAAUGUGCCUUCAUUUUGUGAUGAUAAUGUACAACUUGAGAUUAUGGAUACACUAGUUGAUCCACCUAGUGUUGAAUCCAUUGGGGCAAGUAAUAGUACAUUGUCUUACGGAAGUCAUGAAGAACAACUUGUGUGUGAAAAUGGUGAUGUUGAACAUGUUGGCCGAUUGACUAGGAUAACCCUCUAGUUGUUUUUGUUGUAGAUUAUGCGAGUAUAGAGGGAACAUUUGAUCGUAAUUGUAGUAGUAUUGGGGUAGGGAUGUGUUUCCCCAACCCGUUCCAUGGACACUCCACCCAUUUGACCCCGGUGAUCAUUUGAAAUACGGUGAUGAUGUCUUUUGGAAUGACUUGAAUGUGCAUGGAAUGUAUGGUUUUCCUAUCUUGGCUUUCCAGCCUAUUUGUUGUUCCAAGAAGAGUCUAAGUUUUCCACUUGAUAAGCAACUCUUGUUCCUUGUUUCUUGUCAUACUUAUGUGGGUUGCCUAAUUUAUUCUUUCUUGGGAGGGUAUUCGAGUAAGAGGGAUGUUUGGUUGUAUAUGAAGUUUGAGCCACCUUGGCAAAAUGCUAUGAUUGAUUACACUAAUCCUAACCCUCAUACCUUGAUGAACUUGUUUGCUUGUCCUUCCUAUUGUUUGGCAAGGUUCAGAUUCGAGGACGAAUCCUUUCUAAGGAGAAGAGGAUGAUACGGGUAAAAAAGGCAUCUUAGCACUCGAGGACAUGAAGACGUGAGUGAAGACCCGAGCUUGUGGGGCUACCCAUCGAAGUAACAAGAUUUGAAGUGUUGCGAACAAGUCCCAACACUCUAAAACUGUCCAAGGAGUAAACUACAAGGCUGCCCCUUUGUUUGGGCUCAUUAAGGGUCUUUUGGUCAUUUUUGUAAUAAGUGUUGCCCUAGUAUAUAAAUAGAAUAUUUAGGUCAUUUUAUCAUUUAGAACUUUGAUGAUAUAUCUUGUAAACUCAUUGAGAGUGUUUGGCAAGGUGGAAUCAUUGUGGCAACGUGGAAUCCUUGUGUUGUUAACUUGCUUAGAAACGGUGGUUGCUUGGGAGUUCCGAUUCCCUUGAGGUCUCCGUAAGAGUUUAGGUGUAUUGUAUUCAUGUUGUUUGUGUUUUGAUGUUUAAUAUACAUCUUAGUGCCUAUAACGUGUACUACAUUAUGUCUCACUAUCUAUCCUCUUAGUUAUAGUCAUCUUGUUUUCCAUUUUGUGUUGCUUGUUCAUCUCGUGAUAGUGGACUAUUUUGUGCCAUUUCGUGGGCUGUUUUAGUACUUCAUAGGAUGUUCUUGUAUCAUUGCUAGUUAGACAAGGGCUCUCGUGCUUUCACGGUUCGGGGUGCCUAUCACGACCAGAGCCUCGAUUUGGGUUGUGACAUAUAGUCUACAACCUUUUCACUUUACGACCUGACUUUUGUGAUUAAUGUUUGUUGAUUUCGUGACAGAUUGAUAUCAGAGCUUCAUUUUGAAUCUGUACCCCAAUUGAGGUUGAACGAUUUCUCUGACCACAUAAGAUGGAACUUCAGACCCAAUAGGUUUGGAUUAUCAAAUGAAAAUCUAUAGUGUAAUCUAUGGCUUCACGUGAAUCUAAUAGCUUCUCUCCAGAUCCUUUAUAUGUAUUAAAAUGUCGACUAAAAAACUAUUCACAUGUGAUUAUGAACUCAAUUACUAUCCUAUUAACUUGAUUUUGCAGUAGGAACUCCUAUACUUCAAAUCCAAUGUAUCUGUAUCACUUUUUUUGCUAAAAAAGUCUAUUAAUGUUCAAAAUUCCAAACGAAAAUAUUCCUUUCACAAGUUCAUUCAUGUAGGUAAUUGUUUUUAUUGGUAUAUCGAGAGUUCCUCCCCAUAUUAUUUGACAUAAAACAGAUAUCAGAUUCCUCUUGGAUGAUUUAGGCAGAUGGUAGGGUAAUAUAUAUCUGUGCUACUCUAACCACUUGAAUAACUCCGAGCGAUAGAUUUUUCAUCUCCUUCUAAACCUUCCUGCAUUAGACUUUGUGAUGCAAUCCCUCUAAGGUGAUAGUUUCCAUGAUGUGUAUCUGAGUAAAAGUUGCUUCAUUUCUAAUUGAGUAGCAGCUAGAUAACAGACUUCUCUUCGUUAAGAUCAUUAAUCGUAUAUUUAAUGGACUUAAAGGUGCCACCUGCAGAAAAGAAGACACGGUUAGAAGCCAAAAUUCAAAAAGAAUUAACUAGGACGAUUUACCCUAGAACCUCCAUUACCCGGGACAGAUUCAAUACUUCUAAUAAUGGCUUUGUGGCAUCAACUUUGGCGUCAAAUCAUGAGAAUAAACAAUUGAGGCCUUGAGGAUUCUUAACAACGGAACAGGAGAAGCGUGCUCAUCAGUGAAGGAGGCCGAUAGCCAUGUUGAGCCUGUCGAACAUAUUCAACUUGCUAUCUACCAAUGAAAGAGGUAAUAGUCAAUUACGUAGUGCAAUCUAUCAAUAAACUUCUUUUGUCUUAGAAACAAGAGUAAAAUGUGCACCAAUUCAUCUGAAAAUUUAUCACCUUUAGGUAAGUUUUGAGGCAUGACAAAGGCAUCCUAUGACCCUUAGGUGUGCCAAUCUAGGCUCCUUACAAUACAAUAAUUCAUAUGAAGUCUUGUAGCCUAGAACUAAAUAUGGCAAUCUGUUCAUCAAGUACACUUAAGCCUUAAUACAAAAACCCCAAAAUGUAAUAGUAGUUUUGACUGAAAUCGGAUAGCUUUGGUAAUCUCUAGAAUUUGACUAUGCUUCAUCUCCACAGUGUCAUUCUGCUGUGGAGUAUAAGGACAACUACUUUGAUGCAAUAUGUCAUGGAGUUGAAAUAACUCAAUAGUUUGAUGAUUAAAAAACUCAGUACCAUUGUCUGAUCUCACAACCUUAACAUGAGAGUCAAAUUGAGACUUGAUCAUCAACAGGAAAAAUUUAAUGGCAACAAUAGUUUCAGAUUUUAAUGACAACAGAUAAACCCAUACAAAUCUACUAUGAUCAUCUACAAGAAAAUAAUGUUUCUUGUCAAUGGUAGGGACUUGAAAUGGUCCCCAUAGAUCCACGUGAACAACCUCAAUCAUAGUAGAUGCUCUAGAAGUACUAGAAGGGAAAGGGAGUUUAGCUUGUUUAGCUAGGGGACACAAACAGGACAAUUAUUGAGAAUUUCACAAUCAUUCCUGCAAUCCAUCAACUUGAAUGCCACGGCUAGACAUCAGGUAUUGUCACAUUGGCUCUUAUUGUUCCCUUUGAGUUAUUACCGUCCUUAUUCAGAUGCUUUAGCACAGUCUCAGUUUUGAAGAUGUACAAUUCCCCAUUCUCCGUACCAACCCCCCUCACUCUGCCACUCAAGAGGACCUGGAAGACACAAAAGUCAGGGUAGAAGGAAAUGGUAUGUUUUGUAGAGUAUUGUUGUCCAUGUAAUGAACUUUCUAAAAAUGAACAGGGCUUUAUGAUUGAUCGUCACAGUCUGAGUAGGUGAGACUUUAGUCCUUACUGUUGAAAAAAAAUCUUAAUGUUGCAUCUGGGGUUAGUUGUCUGAGUAUUUUAGCUUUACUUGGAUGGUGUUUGGUGGCACUUGGUGGAAACAGUAGCAAGAGUGAUAACCGCCAUAGUGUCCGAGCGAGCUUUCAAGUACCUCGACUAAAUUAAAGUGAUACCUGCUACCUCCUACCAGGAGCAAAUAUCAUGUAAUUUUGUCCACCAGAGCUAGGACAGAGAACGGGGUGGGGUGAUAGGACACCAAAUUAUUGAUUUUAAAGAGAAAUGACCAAAAAUAUGUUUGAACAUUUUUACAAAAGCAUUGAGACAUGAUACAAGACUAAGUGUGUAUCAAGGGAUUCCAACCAACAUAAGAACAACAAGAUGAACAACAAAGUGCCAGUGAAUCGAAAAAUGGCCACACACGGCUUCACUAGGCUUGCAACACUUGUUUUGAACGAGAAAAAUGAUUUUAACAGCAAUAACAACAAAGACAAUAUUGCUGGUGAAUUUAAAGAGCACCACACGGCUUCACUAGACAUUUAGAUUCAACAACACAAUGUUACCAAGAUUUGCAAAAAAAGAGAUAGAAACUUCACACACAAUAUUCAACUUGACACACAAUAUUCAUUCAUCUAAGAACCCUAACAAGAAAAAGGACCCUAAGACUAAUGAAUAUCAAUACCAAGUUCUUACUUGGACCAAGAGGAACUCAAAGAACCCCAAGAACCUAGUUUCUAGCCAAGAUACAACACUACUAUCACUCUACUAGUGAGAUUCGAUUUUGGCCUCUCCAAAUGAGAAAGAGAAGUCAAAAAUAUUACAAGUCUUUUUGUCUUCUAUGAUAUGAAUAAACUAACUAAAAGACUAGCCCUAAUAAAUGGCUUAUAUAGUCAAUUACAAAGGAGGGCAAAAGACCAAAAUACCCUUGACAUUAAGUAGGUGGGUUUAGGGUGUUUUGUUGGGCCUCUUCACACUUUAAUAAGUAUAGGCCCUUAGAUGGGCUCACAAGGGCCUCACACACGGCCAAGGAUGUGAACAAGGCUUGAAGUCAUUGCAACUCACGCGCUUGACUUCGUGUGAAAGGUCUCGAGCUAGGAAUUCCCAUAUCAAGACACAGGGUAUAACAUGUAGCAUUCAGGGUCAAGUUGGCAAUAUUUCCUUUUUCCAAUUUCAGAAAAGUCACUUAUCUGUGUUAUUUCCUUCAAAAAGUUAUUCAUGCACUUUGGUGUACAAAAUUAAUGUUCAAAAUUUCGAACCAAAAAUUAUCCUUUCAAAAGCUCAUUCAUGCACAUAAUUGCUUUUAUUGGUAUAUCGAGAGCUCCUCCAUGUAUUAUUCAACAUCAAACGGAUAUCGGAUUCCUCUUGGAUGAUUUAAGCAGAUGCCAUAGUGAAUAACUCUUGAGCGAUAGAUUCUUGAUGUCUAUCCGAACCUUCCUGCAUUAGACUUUGUGAUGCAAUCCCUCUAAGGUGAUAGUUUCCAUGAUAUGUAUCUGAGUAAAAGUUGCUUCAUUUCUAAUUGCGUAGCUCUAGAUAACAAACUUCUCUUCAUUAAACUCACCGAUCCUAUAUUUAAUGGACUUAAAGGGGUCACCUGCAGAAUUUAACCUAGUAACUCCAUUACCCCGGACAGAUUCAGUACUUCUAAUAAUGGCUUUGUGACAUCAACUUUGGCAUCAAAUUGUGAGAAUAAACAAUGGAGGCCUUGAGUAUUCUUGACAAAGGAAUAGGAGAAGUGUGCUCAUCGGUGAGGGAGGCCUUGAGUACCUCUUAUUGCAUUGGACUUUCUCGGUAACUUUACUACCUACAGAGGUUUCACAUUGUUUGUGAUGAUGGUAUUUCUUUUGAAUAACAAUUCAUUGAACAUAUGUAAAAUAUGUAAUAUGGAUGACUGUUUUAUGAUGUACCGAUGAGUUGUUUGUUUCCUCCUUCAUUUCUCAUUCAUUUUCUUCAUUCUACCAAAGUAACUUCUUCUUCCCUUCCUUCCAAGUUCUCAGGAUCUGAUAUAUAAAACAUGCAUAAAAUGUCAUUUUCGAGAUAUUGGUUAAGGUCAAACAUCAAAUGGUGUUUACAAAAGAUUAUGCCAAAAUGUUAUAUACAUUAUCGUCAUAAGUCUUCUGAAAAAAUUUGCGAAAAUUAUCUGCACACAUCACAACAAAUGCUUGCCAUUUUAAUUUGUUUUUUCCUUAUUACCGAAAGCUUAUUGUGAUGAAACAGGGUCACAUCAUCUACUCAUUUCUACUUAAAGUUAACAAAAAGUUCAGUUGAGAAUUCAUCAAACACAUCGUAAACAAUACGCAUAAAUUUGGUUUCUAAGAAGCAAAACAAUAGAGAAGAACCUGUCUUAGAUAAUGGGAUAUUAUUCGGGCCAAGGAUUUGAAGCUUGUCUUCUCCCGUCAUAUCUUCAACAUAUUGUUUAAUUCCAGAGUUGAAUCUUCAAGUUGAGGGCUCUCUACAAGUUGGAUAAUUUUUAAUGAACAAAUAUCCCCAAAAUUAGGUGGAAUCUCUGUAAGCUUACGACAUUCCCACAGUACUAAUUUCUCAAUCACAGGAAAGGAUUCCUCUCCAACCUCCCACUUAGCAAGAGUCACUUCAUACAACUCCAAAUAUUUGAGAUUCUCAAAGGUGUCUUCUUCCCCCAUGUUCCAUUCUUCCUUCUGCAUGAUUGUACUAGAAAGGAACAACUCUUCAAGGUUGGGCAGUCUCGCUAUUGUUGAUAGUGAAUCGGAUGUCAGAGGAAAGUUCCACAAUACCAAUUCUUUCAAAUUGGAAGGAAAAUGAAAAUCCCACGACCAAUUUGUCGCUAAAGAGGGCCCACUGUCAUUUGUGUUUGAACUUUCAAAAUCUGCUCUAAGGUAAUCUAGUUCAGUUAAGUGAUCCAAUUUUGGGAACCAAUAUCGCUCUUUUGAGUAAUCCCAUGAUUCCUUGAGAUCAAAUACAAGACUUUGAAGAUUGGGGAACCUUAUGAAAAUAUCCUCUGUUUCUUUCGAAAAAGAAAGCACGAGUGUCCUUAAAUCUCUCAAGUUCUCUAACUUUGAGUGCUCUGCUAUCAGUAUUGGUUCAUCUGUAUCCAUAUCAAUAUCAAGGAAAGAACAAGAAGUCAUGUACAACACUCGCAACUUUGCAAGAUCCCAAAUACUAGGUAAUAGUACCAAGGUUGAUCCUUUGUUUUCAACCCAUACGGUCUCUAGAUUCCAGAGGUUUGAGAAAGAUGAAGGCAGCGAUUUAACUUCUGUCCCAAUUCUUAAGAACCCAAAAUGAUUCAACAUGCCUAUUUCAUUCAGCAAAGAAUCUUUCACCAUCAUAACAGAGGGAUCGAAGUACAACACUCUAAGAAGCCUCAAGUCUCUUACGUGACAUGCAUCAGAAAGACGAUCUUCCAUCUCGUCUCCAAUUAUCAACAAAGAACAGAGGUGCUUACCAGAAUGCCUUUUCUUUUUUUAACUGAACAGGACGAAAUUGUUAGGCUCAAAGUGCUCCUUAUCAUAAUUAAUGGUCACUAUGCUUGCCAUCAAAUCUGAAGAAGAAGAUGGAUCACUUGAACUUAUCCUGCCAAACAACUUUUCCUCUCUUGCUUUUAUCAUACAAAAGUCUUGUACAAGAUCAUAUAGCUGGCAAGUCGGGUUAUCACCUAUCUCAUUGAAAGCAAUUAUCCAAGUAAAUUUCCAUCACUUCUUCCAAACUCUUCAUACCCGUCUGUUCAACAAGCCCUUCAGCACGCAAAUACAUUUUCAACAUAACUCUAUGCACUGCAGUGUCCUUUGGAAAAGACGCAUGGUAGAGAAAGCAUGGCUUCAUGUGAUGAGGUAAAUGGUCAUAACUUAAUUCUAUAACUUUCAUCACAUCAACUUCACUGCCGAAAAUAAUGGAAUUCAAAUUAUUUCAAACUUCAAGCCACACAGCCUUUUUCUUUUCCAAACCUGCAAUGACUCCAGCAAUCAGAUCAGCCACCAAAGGAAGUCCCUCACAAUUUUGGGCUAUUUCUUUUCCAACAUCCAAUAGUUCAUCAGGGCAACUCUGCUCUCCAAAUGCCCUUUUUUCUAUUAACUCCCAACAUUCUUCUGGACUUAGCAAUCAAAGAUUAAGAGGAUCAGUGUUGACCUUUCCAUGAAAAGCCACUUCCUUUUGUCGAGUCGUCAAAAUAAUUCUACUUCCUUUCUCAAGAUCAGGGAAAGAUCUUGUUAAAUCAUCCCAUGUAGUAGUAUCCCACACGUCAUCUAACACAAUUAGGUACCUCUUUCCAAACAGUUGUUUCCGUAGCAUAUCAGCAACAUCAAUAUCCUCACUGAACUUCAAAUCCGAGCCCUUCACUUGAUUAAAAAGUUUCUCCAACAACUUCUUCUCAUCAUAUUUUUGGUCGACUGUGCACCAUGCACGAAGGUCGAAAUGACUACAAACUGAUUCGUCAUUGUAUACUUUGUACGCCAAAGUAGUUUUGCCCGAACCCGGCAUACCAGUGAUUGAAAUGACAUCUAGAUUUGCUGGUCCGCUGGUGAGCUUCCUAAUUAACCAGUUUGUCUCCUCCUUAAAACCUACAAUUAUUUUACCAGUUGUCAAUGAUUUUCUUUCAGCUGGACUCUUGGGAGAGUUUACAACAAUGAGGGUCUUGCUCUUGGGAAUCUUCUCCAGCAAUUGGUAGACAUCUUCUUUGAUAAGGUUGAUCUUUUUUAUGGUGAUGGGAAGUGAGAAAAUAAGAUGUAAGAGACCAUUAUCUCGUACAAUAAUUGAAUCAAUGACAUCUUUUGCCUUAUAUGCCACAUCUAAAACACGUGCCCAGAGAUCUUUAUACAAUCCUUGCUCAACAUUCACAAAGAACGAUCUUAUGAAUUCGAGAGCUUCUUUCACCAGUCUAAUGUCAUCCUUUAUCAAAGCAAUUGAAUAAGCAUUGGACUCUAGCAGAUCAUUCAAGUGGAUGAGUAGAAGACGCAUGAAGAGCGGGCCAUCAUUCAUAGGGAAGCAACAUUGAUAUGAGUCCGGAGGUUUCAGAUAAACAUGUCCAAAAUCUUCCUUGAGGAGUUCCAUUUUUUCUUCCAGCGAGUCUACAGUCGCACGACAUGUUUCAUCGGUACUCUCUUCAUUCCUUGAUUUUUUUUCUAAGUCGUGAACGAGAGUUGAUACCUCCCUGAUAAGUGCUCCAACACGUGCCAAAAGAUCAAAUGAUUUGUCGUGAUGAAUAAAGUCCUUCGGCAUAUCAGUAAGAACAAUUAAAAGGAACUCUAUCAUGACAUGAAUGUUUCGAGCCCCUGGAGUUGUAACGGUAAUGACAUUUACCAUGUGCUCUUGUAGAUGAAUCAGAUACUCUCUAAGAAUGUCUGGAGAGAUUUCCAGGAGAUUCUUAAUGAAGCGUCCAACUUCUGCUGAAGUUAAAGGUUUCAAAUUUGUAUAACAUAUUUGCAUUACCUCCAGUUCAAUUGGAAUAAUCUUCAUGAGUAGAUGUGCUAGCUUGAAGAGUCGAGAAUCUCCAUAAGUUCGACUAUUCCAAAAGAAGAUUCCAACUCUCUCAGCCAUGAGUUGAAACUGAGGCGAGACAUAUAGAACAAUCUCGUGCUCAACGCAACCAUUCACCAUCAAUCCAUGGAAAUCUUUCAUGUUGCCAGACACUUUCUGAAGAAUCUCAUACUGAGUCUCUAAUGGAAAACUCUGUUCAGCAGCAUACUUGGAUAGAUAAUGGAGAUUCAAGAGGAGGAAGUCCAACUGCUCGUCAGUCAUGGUGGCACUUGAUGUAGAAUGAUGACACAAGCUGAUACAAUCAUCGAUAUUAUCCACGAGGCUAGGAAGGACAUGAUCCAUGUUGUGUUUACACCCGACGUUGUUGUCAACAUCAUCCAAAAUUGGUCGAAGCAGAUUCUCAACCGCUUGUCUUGCCUCACUCAUUACAUCUUCAAAAAAUUUCAAAUCACAAUGAGAAAGCUGGACGUACGUACAAAUAAAUGUCAGCAUCGAUUUCAGCUCUUCAAUUUGAUUGGCCAUGUUGACAGCAUUUUAACCUCCUUCAUUCUUUAACCCCUCCAAGAAAUCCAGAACGUUGACAACGUCCUUGCGAAGAGCAGAAAAUGACACCUGCCAAAUGACCAAGCCAUUGUUUUAUUUAUUUUCUAUAUUUAUCAGAAUAUCAAGUAAAUAAGCAAACCCAUUAAAUUGAAGUCAUGCAUGUAUUGAUUUUCAUAUCAGGAAGGAAAAAUUUAUACAUUGAUUUUGCACGAUUGUUGGGUUUAUCAACAGUUUUGGUGCUUCAAAUGUUCUAUCACUAAAGGCAUAUAUUUUUCUUGCAAUUGGACUUUUGAAAAGAACUUAAAAUAAUUUUUAAUGUGGCCAUAAUUUUUAGCUAAUGUUUUAUUCAAAAUCUCUUGAAAAUCUCAUGAUAAAUGAUACAUUGUAAAUCUCUCAAGAAUUUUUUUAGUUAUCAUUUAAUUUUUUCUUCACCCACCUAAUUAAUAAAUCUUCAAUAUUGCUCUUUUUCCGCAAUGAUAAAAGAAAUUAGAUGUCAUUUUCAUCUUUGAGCUGAAAAUUAUGAAAAAAUAAUAGUGAAAAGUCAUUUAAAGGUUAUAUUUGUGUUGUUUUGAAUAGUGCACCGUCAAAAUUUAAGGUCAAAGUUAUAAUUUAGUGUCAAGUUUAGGGUCAUAUUUAUGUAUUAUGCCCUUAGAUUUUAAGUUGGACGCGCCCAGUUUUGCAUGUUGAACACGCAUUUUACCACGUAUGAUCGGGGGUCAUAUUUGUGCAGUUUUGAAUAGAUAAAGGUCAUAUUUGUGCACUGUCAAAGUUUAAGAUCAAAAUUAUAAUUUGAUAAAGUUUUGGAUCAUAUUUAUGUAUUAUCUCAUUAUUUUUCUAAUUUUUUUUUUGUUAAAAUAAAAAGCCACAUGGAUUUAGCCACAUGGAUUUAAUUAAACGAAAAUUUGCCAGAAUAACCCCCUCUACUUUCAAAACUUAUAUACAUCUAAUCUCCAUCUUUCAAUAAUCUGAACCAAAAUUUGACCUUUUAUUGAAUUGUAUUUUCAGGAUAAUUAACACAUAGUUCAAUAACUUAAAUGGAACAAAAGUUUAAUUUUAUGACCAGAUACAAGUAGUAAAGUUCAUUGAUUUUAGUGAGUCAAAAUUAGUUUAUAAGUGACUAAUUAACAGAUACAUAGAUAAGUAAAGUUCAGUGAUCAUGACAUACCUCAAAAUUAUUUGCUUUCCCUUUCUCCGGAUCUGAUGUAUUAAAAAAGUAGAUAAAAACUUCACCAGAUGAAAAAAGAAGAAGCAUAAAAUUAAUUUCUUUAUCAUUUUUAUUUCUACAGAUCUUAAUACCAGAAUUAAACAAAGUAAAUUUAUUAGAGACUAACCUUUAUCACUUAAUAAAAGUAUGUUUUUGUGUACUCUCCAGAAAACUAUUAGCUUGAAAAAUGAAAAGCUGAAAAUUAGAAGAUAAGAGAGAACAAAUGAUUGAUGUUAGGUAGAAAAUGAUGCAUAGUAUUUCCAAAAAAGUUUAUAAAGCAAAAGCAAAUGGGGCCUCUACUCAAGUGGGAAUAAUAAUAUGCAAUAGGGAAUAUUGGCCAUGAAAUUUUUAUUUUUUUUUAGAUAAGUAUCCAUUAUCUUUCGAACUAUGAUCAAAGCUGCUCCGAUAUAUUCCUUCACAGGAGUUAUAUUAUCCCUGAAUUCAAUUUUAACAUAUUUUUAUCGCCCAAUGUGGCACCUUUAUAACAUAAAAUGAGGCUCACGUUAAUGAUAUUAUAUCAGCAAAAAAAGUUGACAAAAGGUGUCACGUCAGUUAAAAAGAUUGAGAAAAAUACGUUAAACUUUAGUUCAGGAGGGUAAUAGAAUCCUCGUAAAGUUGGAGAAUGUCGUAGCGAAUUUGAUCAUAGUUCAAAAGUUACUAGGUGUUUUACUCAAAAGAAUACAUAAAAAUCAUAACAAGAAACAAUUUUGACAUCCAAAGUCCUAACUGAACCAUUGAAAACGUCAAUAUCUAUCCACCCAACGUAGAGAGUUUGAUUUCAAAUCUUAUGAUUUAUUAACCUCUAUGUGAAAUCUUUCCUUCUCCCACAAACUCUUUCAGUUGUUGGAUGCACAAAAUAACCUAGUGGAUGAAAAUAAUUUCUGUACGAAAAAGUUAAAGAAAAAAAUGGUGCAUGGUAUUCCAAAAAAGUGAAUCUAAAAAGCAGAAGCAUUAAUCAAUUUCAAUGAGGCCUCACUUGUUUGCCACUAGGCCCUCGGCAUAAAAUAUCAAAAAUUAAAUUACCGAAUCGAAUUUAAAAAAUUUGAUAAUUAGUAUUCGGUAAUUUGAUAUUUGAUAUGAUAUUUGGGAGUAAAAUUUCAAUAUUUUGGUAUUCGAGAUUGAAUUUGGUACAAGAUAUUAAUACCGUUUGGUAUUCGGUAUUUACCGAAUAAAUAGACAAUAAUAUUAGUCAUCCCAAAGAAUCUUUUGGACCUUGGUAAUAUAUUCAUAAAAAGCAACAAAACAAAAUACUAAAUAGGGUUUCUAUUAAAUAUACUCUUUGAAGUUUAAACGUACAUGUGCACAUGUCCAACUUUAAUAUGGUAUUACCAAAUACCGUACUUAACCAAAGUUUAAUUUACCGAUUACCGAACUGAUGUUUAUAAGUAUGUUAUAUGAUAUCUAUGUUCAAAUACCGAUUAUCGAAUUAUCGAACCCAAACUUUGAAAAUACCAAAUCGAAUACCGAACGCCCACCCCUAUCUGCCACAAAGUCUAAAAGGAAAGAAAGUUAAUCAGACUUUUAAUACUGCUCACUUUGUAUGAGACUUUAUUAUUAAAAUUGUUUGAAAGUUAAUCGGAUAACAAUUCUAAUAGAGAAAGUGUAUUGAAAAAAUUGAGUAAGAGCAAAUCAGAAAUGCAUGUAAGGAUGUGUACAAUAGGCACUUGUGAUUCAGCCUUCUUAGAUUUUGUGCAUAACGGGAACUUACUACCUACAUAUGAGAAAAUUAAAAAUAUAUUUUUCUCCAUACCAAACACACCCUUUACUUAUAAGUAGAGAUUGUUUUCUGGAGUUGAUUCAUUAAAUGGUCAGAAAAUCACUUACUUUUUGAAGAAAAUUGAAAUGAUUUUCUGAGAUAAUAACUACUCUCUUCAUUCAUUUUUGCUCGUACAACAUAUUGAAAAUAGAUGUCCAAUAUUUCUUUUUCAGUUUGAAAAAUCAAUGAAUAGUUUACUAAAAAAAGAAGUUUAACGCUAAAAUAAUAAGCAAAUAGACGAGUAUUGAUAAUAUAAAUAUCCAUAUCAAACAGAAUAAUGUUUAUAAAAAGGCCAAAUCAAUGAAAUUAGUUUGUUUAGUUGAUGACUAUAAUAACUUGAUAACAUUUGUGUGGAGGAGAAGAUAAAGAGAGAAGGGUUAGGUAGAAAAAAUUCCUUAAAUCUGGUGUAAAAAAGAAAGAAGCAUAAAAUUAAUUUCAUAGCAGUUUUUGCACAUAUAAAUAAGUCAAUUAUUUUUUGUCGACUUCAAUGAGUAAAAUUAGAGAUGUGAGUAACAUAAUUAAACACACUAUAUUUUUAAGUUAUUAGUAGAGACUAACCUUUUUAGUUGAUGAAAUAUCUGAAAUGGCUGCUCUUUGAUUUUGUGUAUGACUAUAUUAACUUGAUAACAUUGAAUGGAGGAGAAGAUAAAGAGAAAAGGAUGUGCGGGUAAUAAUAGGACACCAAAUUAUUGAUGUUAGUAAGAAAAUGUAGAUAGCUUGCAACUAUUAUAUAUAUGUUGCUCGGAUACUUCAAAAAUGUUAUUACGCUAAUGUCGGAUUCUUCGAAAAUACGCUACUUUUGGAGGAUUCAAUAUGUACCCUUCGACAUUAUUGAAGAGUUUGAACUACAUAAUUUUUAAGAAGGUAUGUAAAGUGUGACUGGGUGGUGUUGCUCUUUUGACUCUGGUUACCCUAUUGACAAAAUUUCAAGAACAAUAUGAUCCUUUUACUUACAGGACUUAGAUGUCUCAUAUUUUUCAAAAAAGUGAUUAGAUUGAUACGAUUUGGUAUGAGAUCGAUGAUCUCAAUGAGAUUGAUAUUCCAAUCUUUCUUCUUACAAAGUAUUGAUUUGACCCCUUAAGCAGAAUCAAACAUAUUGCCUCUAAAAGGAGAACUUAAUAUUUCUUUUAGAGAAUCUCCUAAUUAUUGCAGAGCAACUAGAAAGAGAUUCUUUAACUAGAAAGAAUUAGGUCCAAAUGUAGGAUACCUAUCCAUAAGUUUUCGCAACUCAAUCAUAGAUGAUGGAAUCAUAAAAAAUUUGACAGUUUUGAUCUACAGGCAACGCUUUUGACUUUUGACCAUAAAGGUUUGCGCAUGAGGCAAGUGAAGUCAAAAGUCCAAGACUACUUGAUUAUUAGGUAUAUCAAAAGUAGCUAAAUUAUGGCUAUCAAGCAUACCAGUUUCCUAACUAAAUUAUCACCAAAUGUAUAUCACAACUCUAUGAAUUGUUUACUUUUCUAUCAUCAGGUCCCAAAAAAAAAGAGGAACAAAUGAUAGUUGAGGCGUAUUUUGAUAAACAUUUUGAUAAUAGUUUGACUAGAAAACUAGCAUAAUGAAUAGUUUAGAUAAGAAACUCGAAAAAAUAGGAUAUUUUAGACGUGGCGUAAUUUAUGUACAUACCUCUAGUCCACUUGGAGUAAUUUUCAUGAGUAGAUGAGCAAGCUUGAAGAGUAUUGAGUCUCUUUCAAUAUCAUGCUUUUUUAUAUACAUAAUAUGAUUUUUCUAUGAAAAAGUAAUAAUUGGCUAUCUUUCAUUAAUAGGUAACAUUUCUUAUUUUAAAAAUUGAAUUUUCAAAUUUCCUGAGACCCAUCACGAGAUCUGAGCGAAAAUUGACCAGCGGCCCUCCGGCGGACUAUGAAGCGGAUCUGAGUGGUCCGACGGGACCACCUAGUCCACUUGGGUGGUCAAAUGGACGAAACGGUGAGAACCGAGUAAUUUUUGGUCUCUUUCGAUGGGUGUACGCCCACGGUUUGGUGGAUGGGCCUAGGGCCCAACACAGGAUUUGGAUGAAAAUAGAUUGGUGCCCCCCCCCCCUCCCGGCGGCCUGUGGAGUGGAUUAAGUGGUCCGACAAGGCCGCCUAGGUCAUUUGGGUUGUCAAGUGAAACGGUGCGAACAGACCAUUUUUGACCAUUUUCGGUGGGUGUUAGCUCAAGGUUUGGCGGAUGGGCCCAUGUCCCGAUGUGGGAUCUGGAUGACAAGGUUACGAAUUAGACACUUAAAAAAAUUAAGGAUAAAAUUAUUUUGUGUCGAGUACAUCAAAGAUAUAUUUAGCGAUUUUUUUGGAUAUAUCACAUUUUUUGAAUACAUCACUUAAUUUUACAAGGAUAUAUGACAUUCUUCAGUGAUGUAUUCACACUUUUAAAUAAAAUCAAGGAUUUAUGUAAUUAUGUAAAAAAAGGUUAGGAUUUUAAGCAGUUAUGAUAAGAUAAGUAAGUGGUAUUAAGUGGGAAUUUUAAUUUGCACACAUUAUUAAUUUUUCAUUGAGAAUCUAUAAUCUAUAAUAUACAAUAUAUAAUAUAUAAUCUAUAUCUAUAAUCUAUCAUAUAUUAAAAGUGUAAAGACCCUUAGAAAAGUGAAUUGAACGUUUUGCCAUUCAUUAAAAGUCACCGCUUUAGAUAAAAUCAUUUUUUCGCUAUUUUUUUAUUAUUUUAAUGAUAUUAAAUAUUGACUAUAGUAACAAAUAAAAACCUUCCCAAACAAAAAUAAGAUAUUGUUUUGACAAAAACCUUUCCUGGCUAAAAUAGAAUCAAUCAAAAUUUAAGAUUAUAUUUUCUACAAAUUAUUUUCUUGAAUUAAAUAUCACAAUUAAAAUACUUGAAUACUAAAUCUUUUCUUAUAUUCUUCUUCUUUUCAUGUUCUUUUUCUUCUUUUCAUGUCAAAUAAAUAUAAGGAAAGAUUAUAUUGGACACAUGAAAACAAAAGAAAAAAUUAUAUAGAGAUUUAUGAUAGUAUUUACUAAUACUGACUUUCUCAAGUAUAUUUAAUGUUCAGGAAGAAAUUACUAGUACAAAAGAAAAUGUUCAGAAAGAAAUUUUAUGAUCUAGUAUAUUUAUGAUAUACUUACUAAAAAAAAUAAUUUUUGAAUAUCGUAUUAGUAAGUAUUUCAAAAAAUUUAAAAUUUAUUUGAUAAUUUAUUUGUUUUAUUGUUAUUCAAGGUUUAUUUAAUCUGGAGAAAAACUUAUCUUAAAAAUUAACUUCUAAUUGAAGAAGUUUUAUUUUCUCAGGGUUUUUAUGCACUCCUUUAUAACAUUGGCUUUUCAUGGAAUAAUGAGGGAAUAAUGCAAAGACGAUAAAUGUUGGUAAUAGUUCAUGUAAUAAACUAAAAAUAUUGAGAUAUUUUAUGCGUGUUUUUGACCCUUCACUUUUUUUCAUAAGUCAUCAUAAGAAUUUUUAAGUUGUUUGUUGAAUAGGGGGAAAGAGGGAUUUGAAAAUCUCAUAAUUUAUUGUGGACGAUCAUUUAAAUGUAUAGAGCAAUUGGUGAAAGAUAAGGUAGGAAAUUAAAAAUUUUGAGAUACUUUAGGUUAUGUUUUUGACCCGUCGCUUUAUUGAUCAUAAAUCAUCAUAAUAAUUUCGAAGUUGUUUGUUGAUAGAGGAAAAAGAAAGAGUGAUUUGUAGUAUGAGAUCUCAUAAUUUGUUUCAGACUUACACAAUCAUAUAGAUGUAUAGAACGUUUGGUGAAAGUUUGGAUAGAGAACUAAAAUAAUUGAGAUACUUUAGGUUAUGUUUUUGACCCGUCGCUUUAAUGAUCAUAAAACAUCAUAGUAAUUUUGAAGUUGUUUGUUGAUAGAGGAAAAAGAAAGAGUGAUUUGUAGUAUGAGAUCUCAUAAUUUGUUUCAGACUUAGACAAUCAUAUAGAUAUAUAGAACGUUUGGUGAAAGUUUGGGUAGAGAACUAAAAUAAUUGAGAUACUUUUUGUGUAUUUUUUAUUCUCACUUUAUUUAUACAUCAUUAUAAUAAUUUUCAAGCUAUUUGUCAAUAGAAAAAAAGAGUAGUGUGUUGUAGUAUGAGAACCCAUAGUAAUUUCGAUAUGAAACUAAAAAAAUCUAGAUAUUUUAGGUGUGUUCUAAGUUACUAAGGAAAAGUGGAGGACAAGGACAAAUUCGAAUAAAAUCUCUAUCGAUCCUCAAGUAAUGAAUGUUAAGCCCAGAUUGACGAAUGACAUUCCAACUAAAGUAAUUAAUUUCUACAAUUACUUUAAGAUUUAUCUUUUAUCUGAUUUGAUUUAAAUAGAAGAAAUUUAUUAGCUAGUCAUUUUCAUCCUUUUAAAUACACCCAUAACCAACUGAAUACAAAUUUAAAUUACUAAAAGAUUUUGCUAUUCAAAUUUUGAAGUGAAAAAUUGACUUGUACCCUACAAUUCUGUUGUAUUUGAUCUAAGUAGAUUUAUGAUGCAAAUAAGAUUUCAAUGCUUCCUUCAGUUGUCGUAUAUAGACUAUAAAGCAUAUUUUUUCUUUGAUAAAGUUGAGUGCAUUAUAAGAGAAUAGCUAUUUUAUCUAUGAAUGUGGCCAUGAUUAUCUAAGAUUUGAUAGGAAUAAUUGACAUAUUUGGUUGUUAGUAUUAUUUGUCUAACUACAUUAUUUUACAUACCCGUGAAAUAAUGGUUUAUAUUAUAUUUAUACUAUAUUAACAGUGUGAAGACCUUAGAAAUAUUAUUUGAUUUUUUGUCCUUUAUUAAAAGUCUCUGCUUUAGAUAAAAUCAUCUUUUUAUUAUUUUUUUAAACAUUUAAGAGUUGAAAAUUAAUUAAAUAUUUAUGAUAAAACCUUUUAUUAAUAGAAGUAAUCAGAAUUAAUGAUAACUAAUAUCUUUUUCAUUAAUUUAAGAAUUCGAAAUCAACUAAAGUUGAUUUAAAGAAGGUUUGAAAAAUCUAGAAAUAAAUAAGUUUGAAAAUUCUAGAAAUAAAUAUGAAAGCAAUAAGAAAAGUCAAAUUUUGAAAGUUUUAAGUAAGUAAUCAAAGAUUUUCUAAAUAUUUAACUUUAAAAUAAGGAAAGAUUUUAAAUAUAGAUAAAUAAAAAAAGACUAUCGUACUACAAAUAUAGUUCAAGUCGAUGUCUCUCUCUUACCCUCUAACAGCAAAGAAAAGAGGUACCACAUGACAAACGCAAAAGUGACGAUCCAUUAACCACUUGAAACUUUUGGUAGUAUAUGUUAUAUUUACAUUACUAUAUUAAAGUGUGAAGGAUAUUUGAGAAGUGAUUUGAACUUUUUGCAUUUUACUAAACAUCUUCGCAAUAGAUAAAAUUGAAGCGUAUUACAACAAAUUUCGUCAAAGAUUAGGUAUAUUUCGAAUCCUUUUCCCUUUAAGAAACUAAAAAUAUACCAAAACAUUAUAUUUAAAGGGUCAAAAUAGACAUUACACACAUAAAUAAGUAAACAAUUUUGGCUUUAUAAAAAAAAAAAACUUAUUAUUUCAAUUGAAAUUUUGUAGAAGUAGAAUCUUGAUUAAAAAUAAAAAUAAAAAAUCCUCCAUAGUUUAGAUUCCUUGGAGUUUUGUCAGAAGUACUAGGUAUAUGGGGUUCCUCCAUUUUCAACACUUAUGACUUUGCAACUCCAAAAAAACAAGAAUCACCUUUUACAAUCUACUUUAUAGGUAGUUUACUUUAAGUUUUGCUUCAUUUUUUGUUGUGUUUCUUGUUUAUUCUUUGUUAUUUUUACGAAAUAUGUAGUGGGGUUGUGCUAAUUUGGGUGAAUUCAAUGUUUAUUCUUUGUUAUUUUGCUGAAAUAUGAAGUGGGGUUGUGCUAGUUUGGGUGAAUUUAAUGAGCACAUCGUUCUUUUUGGGUAUUUAAGGGGCAUUACUGCAAGUUUUGGUUCAAGAUUUGAUUUUUUGCUGUGUAUUUCUGUUUGUUUUUUUGUUAUGUUGAUGAAUUAUGGAAUGGGGUUGUGUUAGUUUGUUAUUCCUUUCUUUUUUAACCCAUCUCUAGCUCCAUUAGUGACUCGAACUCACAAUCUUCGGUUUGGAAGUGAGGGGUGCUUGCCAUCCGAGCAAGUUUGUUAUUCUAUUUUGGGUCAAGAUUUGAUUUUUUGCUGUGUAUUUCUGUUUGUUCUUUGUUGUUUUUCUGAAAUAUGAAGUGGGGCUGUGCUAGUUUGGGUGAAUUUAAUGACCACAUCAUUCUUUUUGGGUAUUAAGGGGCAUUACUGCAAGUUUUGGUUCAAGAUUUGAUAUUUUGCUGUGUAUUUCUGUUUGUUCUUUGUUAUGUUGAUAAAUUAUGGAAUGGGGUUGUGCUUGUUUUUUUUUUUCUUUUUUUAACCUCUCCCUAGCUCCUUUAGUGACUCGAACUCACAGUCUUCGGUUUGGAAGUGAGAGCUGCUUGCCAUCCAAGCAACUUUGUUAUUCUGUAUUGGUUCAAGAUUCGAUUUUUUGCUCUGUAUUUCUGUUUGUUCUUUGUAAUUUUGUUGAAUUAUGGAAUGGGGUUGUGCUAGUUUGUUAUUUUUUUGUCUUUUUUAACCCCUCUCUAGCUCCCUUGGUGACUUGAACUCACAACCUUCGGGUUGGAAGUGAGGGGUGCUUGCCAUCGGAGCAACUCCGUCUUGUCUGCUAGUUUGUUAUUCUGUUUUGGUUCAAGAUUCGAUUUUUUGCUGUGUAUUUCUGUUUAUUGUUUGUUAUUGUACUGAAAUAUGAAAUGGGGUUGUGCUAGUUUGCUAUUCUUUUCCUUUUAAACCCCUCCCUAGCUCCCUUGGUGACUCGAAUUCAGGACCUUCGGGUUUGAAGUGAUGGGUGCUUGCCGUCCGAGCAACUCCGUCUUGUCUACUAGUUUUUAUUCUGUUUUGGUUCAAGAUUCGAUUAUUUUGCUGUGUAUUUGUGUUUAUUCUUUGUUAUUGUACUGAAAUAUGUAACGGUUUUGUGCAAGUUUGGGUGAAUUUAAUGUCCGCAUCAUUCUUUUGGGGAAUUUAAAGGACAUUACUGCAAGUUUUGGUUCAAGAUUUGACUUUUUGCUGUGGAUUUCUGUUUGUUUCUUUGUUAUUUUGAUGAAUUAUGGAAUGGGGUUGUGCUAGUUUGUUAUUCUUUCCUUUUUAACCCUUCCCUAGCUCCCUUGGUGACUCGAACUCACGACCUUCGGGUUGGAAGUGAGGGGUGCUUGCCAUCCAAGCAACUCCGUCUUAUAUACUACCAUCAACUUUUAUGGUCUGACUUCUCGGUGCUUCGCUAUAUUUUGAUCCGUUACUGCUUCAUAAAUGCCACAAUAUCAUUCUUUUUGGGAAUCUAAUAUCUAUGAAUUAAAUAGAUCCAAAUAGAUACAUAGGAUGAUUGAGUUGGCUACAUAGGUGGUUGAUUGAUUCUUUUUCAAGAAAAAGGAAAGUAGUGUCUAGAAGGGAAGUGAAGCCAUUGUUGAAGGAGAGAGAUGGCGGAUAGGUCUGAAUUCGUACGAGUUACAGGACACAGAUUAACAGCAAGUGCAUUUGCUAUUCCAUCCUUAAAAUUCUCUCUCUUUUUUAAUGUAACCCGUUAGACGAACUUGCUAGGAGAAAUUAAUUAGAGUUUCCGAGCUAAGAUGUUAUAUGAAGAGUGUAUCCAGUCAAUUACGGCUAGCAGCGCUGCAUUUUCUCUCAGAUAUGGAUUUUGCGUGACUUUGCUUCAAUUUUUAUUACUUCCCCAAACCUGUUGACUUUCUGGGGAGAAGUGGGAUCAGGAAACCAACAAUAAAUCUGUGGGUUACCGUGCCGACUUGCAUCUGUUGGAUUUUGUUGACGGAAAGCUUUCUCUGUACUAAGGUUUACAGAUGUCUUUGGCUUAUGGCUUUUUGGUGCAACUUUCAGGAUGUAAAGAAUGAAAACAGUAUGUUCGAUUUCAGCAAUUCACUACAAGAAUAGAUUUCUGUAUAGACUGCGUGCCCCUCUUUUGUUCUUGCAUGGGGGGAUAUUCUGCUUUGUGCCUACAGAGAACCUUCUCAGCGCUUUGCUGUUUAUCUCAAUAUAGUUAAUUGCCGGUUGUGAAAAAAGAAAAUCAGAUUAGGUUCUUUCUGUUGUGUAUCCCUUCCCCCCCUUACUUUUGGUUUUCUCUGGGUAACAAGAUUUAUGUUCUUCAAUUUACAAAAGGAAUUUCAUGAAGAAUUUGUUUGAAAUUCAUCCACACCUAUUCUUAUCAACCUUGCAAUACCAGGCUCGACCAAAUUCUUUUUUUUGUUACUUUUUGUAUAUUAUUUAAAAUUUUACCAUAUGUCAUAUUUGGCUAGUAUUUUCUCAUUUAUCUGUGUUCUCUUGUUGCAGGUCAGUUCUGAAGUUGGAUGUCUGAUUGUGCUCGACAGAGAUAUAAAGGUGAAGUUAAGAGAUAAAACUUACAUUGACAUUGAUGAACUAUGCCUGUUUUUGGUUAUUUUCUUCCUUAGUGUCUAUGUUGCUCGGACUCUUCAAAAAUAUCAGCGGGUGCGUGUCGGAUUCUCCAAAAGGAGUGUACUUUUGGAGAAUCCGACACGGGUGCGACAUCGAAAGUAAAGAGUCCGUGCAACUUAGCUUAGUGUUAAAAGCCAAAAUAAGUCCAUGCCACGUUUCAUGUUCACUAAUGCUUUCCCUUUUGUUCCAGCGCUAUUUUGUUUCAGUGCUAAUGGGGGCCAAGCGCACAAGAUUACAUGGUGAAAGUGACGACUGGAAAAAGUAUCCAAUUCCACCUGGUUUUGAAUCGCCAAUGCCCUUCACAUUAAAGGAGGUAGAAAAUAAUGAGAAAGCCUGUAAAUUUGUCGCUGUUGGGAAUGAGUCUGAGCAAGAUCCCAGCCAGGCGGCAUCUACUUCAACAAUUAUUAGCGUAGGAAAGCUUAAGAGUUCUGUUAGGUGUAGGCCUUGGAUACUUGAUGAUGAUGUUGAUCACAUGGAAGAAGAUUCUGGAUGUGAAGCUGAUAAGGUUAGUAAGAUUUUCAUAAUUUUUUCUCAUAAAUCCUGUUUUAAUUUCCAUUACAGUAUAAACAACGCUACGUCUGUUGUUGUAUGCUUAGUAUAAAAAAAUUAAUAGUAGAUUUCAAUUAAAUUGAUUAUGCUAUAAGUUUUGAGCUUGUGUCACCUUCAAUAUCCCCUCGUGCUUUUUUUUUAUUGAGAAGGCAUGAAAAGAAGAGUGAAUACCAUAGCUGAUGCUCCUGGUUUGAGAGGAUGAGAUAAACAUAUCUGGUGAGAGAUGCAUAUACAGAAAACUAUUUUUGUGCUUUACCGAGGAUUAUUCCUGUUGAUCGUAUGCAUCCCUAUAUUUUUUGGAACAAGAAGAAACCCAUGUUAACUGUCAAAAACCUGGUGAUUUCUUCCCAUCUGUCAUUGCCGUAGUGACAGAGUUACCUGUUACCGGCAGGAGGUGGUGGAUAUCUCGUGAAUUAGUUGAGGUGUGCACAAGCUCGCCCAGACACUAUGGUUGUCAAAAAGAACUCUAUGUUAACUGACAGGUGAUUGGAAAUAGGAAGAAAUGGAGAAUUUUCUUCAAGAUAUUUAUCGCCACGUGCGAUAGCAAGGGCAGGACAGGAUGGUAUGUUUAGGCCCAGUAGCAAAACGCAAAUCUUGCUAUAGAUAUCUGGAUUAUAGAGGGGGAAUAGAACCUAUAAGUCGCAGAUACCUUUGCGACAUGGAAGUUCAGCUUAAGGAAAGAAUGGAAGAAAGUUUGGGAAAUAGCAUCAGUAUACUUUUUUUGGGACGAUGGAGAGAAAAGAUCAGGAGGAUUUCUAAAGGGGUGGAUAGAUUUUUUGGGAGCUAUACAACUGAGCAUUUAUACCUAUUAACCCUGCAUCAUCUUCUUGCACAUUUAUGAAAUUUAUUUUGGAUUUAUCAAUAGGAAAGUUGCAUCAGCUGAUAAGUUUGUGUUCUCUCAUUGCCGCUCACUGUAUAGGGGAAGGGCCUAAUGGUGAAUUCUUUUGCUCCUUUACUUGUCAAUAAUGAACUAGUAUAUGUAAAUAGUACUCCCUCCAUCCCAUUUUAUGCGUCAUAGUUUGACCGGGCACGGAGUUUAAGAAAUAAGUAAAGACUUGAUGCUUUUUACUAAAUUGUCCUUUAUUAAAAUAAUGUAUUAUUAUUUUUAAUUAUGUGGGCCUUAUAAGUGGGAUCAAUAAAGGUAAAAGUGGAAUUGUGUCUUUAAAUAGUUACCAAAUAAGCAAAGGUGACAUUCUUUUUGGGACGGACAAAAAAGGAAAUGAUGACACGUAAAAUGGGACGGAGGGAGUAGUUAAUAUGGAAGUGUAUAUACGGAACUAGCGUUAAAACUGAAUCGUAGUGUCUCUGGAUGUUGAGCCCUUGUCGCCCAUACUAUCCAGUAACAUUCCUCAAAAGCUUGUACUAUUAAGUAAGUUCUUCUCUGAUUAUAAAAUGAGAGGUACUAACUAGUCCUAAUCCUAAUAUACGUGCUUGUUUUCUUAUAACUCUACCUAGAAAAAGCAAGUUAAUUAGAUAGAGAAUUGUCCAAGAGACCAUAUACCAAUACGAUGUCCCAUUCCAUCAACCUAGUUAGAAAUAUGUGGGACUCCAACAUUCAAUGUAUCGCCUAAACCUGGACAUUUGAAGUGUGGACGACAUAGUAUGAUGCUCAACAAAUCAACAAGAGGAUGUGUGGCUUUGAUACCAUGUUAAGAAAAUGAACUUUGAAACUAAGUCAAUGUAAAAUGUUAUCGCAUUAGGUGAGAGUUGUCCACGACCAUAUGAGGAGUCAAUAAUCAAUUCCCUCAAUCAAUGUGGGACGCUGUAAAUUUGUUAAUGGGCUUUAUCAAAACAUAUUUCUUGGCAAGUGGGCUUGAGUACCGGUCAAUGAUGAUGUUCUUUUCUGUUUUCUACGGGUUUUCUUUUCUUCAUUUGAUUGUCUUGUGCGUUACUUGGAGUUAAGGUCCAAGAUAUAUUGAGUUAAAGGCCCAUCUGGUUGCAUCUUCGCUUGUGGUGGCUAGUCAAAGAAUGUUGCAGCAUCUAUUGUUUCUCUGUGUAAUUGUUGGCAUGUAGCGCUGCUAGUUAGAAAUAAUGGUUUGGUCUUUUGAUUGUCUCUGGGUUCAAUUUAUUUCUUAGAGUUCGCCUUCACGUGCUUAUCUCCCAAAAGGAGUGAUUCGAGGAUGUUCCAGUUGUCACAACUGCCAGAAGGUUCAUUCUUCCUUAAUAUUGUAUAAUAUUUGGUUUUAAGGCAAGGAUUAACUGUUUUCUACCCAAAAGUUAGUUGCGAUCGACAUCUGUCUUUUUUGGUUUUCAGUUACCAUUGAGCUUAUGAUGUUUCUUAUAUGCUUUUUCCACAGGUUAUUGCAAGAAGUCGUCCGGAAUUGGCACAGAUCCCUUCACUUGAUGAGGCUCCUGUACUCCAUCCUACUGAGGAGGUAUUCCUUGACAUCCCUUCGUUCUUUCAGCCUGGUAUAUGCCCUCUAAGUUGCACGGACUCUUCACUUUCGAUGCCGCACCCGUGUCGGAUUCUCCAAAAAUACACUACUUUUGGAGAAUCCAACAUGCACUUGUUGACAUUUUUGAAGAGUCCAAGCAACAUAGUAUGCCCUUUAUUGCAUCAUAAACAAGUACUCUGGAUGCUGCUUUCAUGACAUUAAAUCUUAUGUUAGGAGUUUGAAGAUACUCUCAAGUAUGUUGCAAGCAUCCUUCCAAAUGUCAAGAACUAUGGAGUAUGCCGUAUUGUUCCUCCCUCUUCCUGGAAACCACCUUGCCGCAUUAACGAAGAGGACACGAGGUAUGGAGUUGACACCCAUGUCCAGCGCAUUAGCGACCUCCAGAGUCUGUUUUUCAAGAAUAGGCUUGUGGGAGACCAUAAAAAGACAAGUAAUAGACGGCAGAAAAUCCUAAGUAUGAAGUCAGAUUUGGAACACGACGUGGAACUUAAAGAAUUUGAUUGUUGUAAUGAACACUUUGAAUUCGAAAGUGGGCCAAAGUUUAAACUGAAAGCUUUCAAGAAUUACGCUGAUCAUUUCACGAGGCAGUACUUUGUCAAGGAAGAUCAGGUCACAGUGUCAAACGACAAAGAAGAUGCAACGAAGAUGCUGUCAGAACCAUCUAUUCCUGAUAUUGAAGGAGAAUACUGGAGGAUUAUUGAGAAUCCAACUGAAGAAAUUGAGGUUUUUCUCUGGAAGUGCAAUUUUCUUUUCUAGAAAUCCGUCAAACACGUUUUCUUCUAUCAUUUUUUUUCUUACUUUUCGUUGUCAAUUUGGUUUAUUAGGUGCUCCAUGGGAAUAUUACGGAAACUAGUGGUUUUCCACUUAAAACCAAUCCACGGGAUGUAACCGAGUGUCCCCAAUAUGUGGAAUCAGGUUGGAACUUGAACAAUACCCCUAAGCUUCAAGAUUCUCUUCUCCGCUUUGAGAGUUGUAGCAAUUCCUCUAUUUUCUUUCCCCGGCUCUCCGUUGCAAUGUGUUUUUCAUCAAAUCACUGGGUAAGAUUUACAGUCUUUUCAUUGAGCAAGGAUUUUCGUUCUUUUAAUUCGAAUUAUGCUUGGGAAUUUGUUCUUGUGUCUUAGUUUUUUCUGGGAAGGGGCAUCAUCAUUCUCGGGGCAGUAUCUCUCUUGGGAGGAAAAAGUACGAUGAGCAUUAUUUCAUUUGUUAGCGUUUUCUUUUUGAUUGAUUAAUUGCCUAUAUUUUCUUCUUUUUCUGUCCUCUAUUAGAGAACUGAAGAGCACCACUUAUAUUUGCUAUCCUACAUACAUUUUGGUGCCCCGAGAAUAUUUUAUGGGGUUCCUGGCAGUUUUCGUUGCAAGUUUGAGGAAGCUGUCAAGAAGCAUCUGCCACAGUUGUCAGCACAUCCUUGUUUGCUUCACAACCAUGUGAGUUUCAAAUUCGUGAAUAUAUUUUUCAUUAUUUUAAUUAGGAAAUGUCUUUUACUACUCUGUGGGUGUUUUCGUUUCUUUUAUUAUCUAGUGGUGUGUUACCCCAUUUUGUUGUUUGUUUUUAUGUUUUCUGCUUGUUAUACUGCUAUUUGUCCUGAGCCGGGGGUCUAUUGGAAACAACCUCUCUACUUCAUCUGGGGUAGUGGUAUGGACUGCGUACACUUUACCCUCCCCAGACCCCCCUUUGUGGGAAUACACUGGGUAUGUUGUUGUUGUUUGCCUUUUACUGGAAAGAAAGGAAUGAAUGUUUAGCUGGUUCCAUUUUCAAUUUUACUAAUAAAAUGAACUCUCCUAACGGAAUCCGAAUGAUCUCUGGAUUGUUGUUGUUGUUCUUAUAAAUUGCACGAUGAAGAUGAAAAGUUUGUCUAUUACCUCCCAUUUGAUCGAUCAACCCUUAUAUUUGAUGCAGGCCACACAAUUCUCUCCUUCUAUAUUGACUUCAGAGGGUAUACCUGUUUAUCGUUGUGUGCAAAACCCGAAGGAGUUUGUUCUCAUUCUCCCUGGAGCAUACCAUGCAGAGUUCGAUUGUGGAUUUAAUUGUUAUGAAGCAGUAAACUUUGCUCCCUUUGACUGGUUACCACAUGGUCAGAAUGCUGUGGAGCUGUACCGUGAGCUGGACAGAAAGACAUCAAUCUCCCAUGAUAAGCUGUUGCUUGAUGCAGCUGCAGAAGCAAUUAGGUCUUUAGGAGAACUUGCGCGACAAAACAAUAAUUCGUUUGAUAAUUCAAAAUGGAGGGCAGUCUGUCGGAACUAUGGUUAUUUAACGAAAGUAUUCCAGGUUAGCCUCUAUUAUAAUUGACUUCUAUAUAAGGAGCCAUUCCAAAUUCCUGAACUUCAAUUCUAACAGGCUUUCUGCGACUUGUUCGUUUCAUUUGACAUUGCCAUUUCUUCCAUUCCUUGUUAUGUUGUACUUCUAAUUUUGUUAUCAACCACAACUGUUUUCCCUCUCUAGUUGUUCGAUCUCUUUCAACAAUAACUCCUGCGUAAUGCUCUCUUUUUGAUAUGCUUUCUGUUGUUGUUACUGUUCCUUUUCUGGAUGCUGUGUAGUCAGUACUGCUUUUCUUAUUCGUUGUCAGGUUUGCUUUGCUGUCGUGUUUUCUUUUCACAGCUAUUUGAUUAACCUGAGCUAAGGGUCUCAGAAUCAGCCUCUCUACCUCCACGUGGUAGGAGUAAGGUCUGCGUACACUCUUACCUUCCCCAGACCCCACUUCUGUUGGUCCCUCGUUUUGUGAGGAAGUUACUAUGCUAACUGGCCCUUAGUAAGGGCUAAUGUCAUGUUGAGUUAGAAACUCUCGUAAGAGAUGCACGCAUUACUGACUAGUUAUGUUUUUUUUGAAUAUGAUACAUCGUUUCAUUUUUAUGUUGGAUAGACUCGGGUUGCCGCUGAAGUGAGACAACGGAAAUAUCUGUGUGCUGCUCUUGAAUCACGAAAGAUGGAGUAUGACUUUUGCGCUACCACCAAAUGGGAGUGUGUUACAUGCUUCUAUGAUCUAUACCUUUCUGCCAUUGGCUGCAACUGUUCUCCGCAUAAAUAUACUUGUCUUCUUCAUGCCAAGCAGCUAUGUGCUUGUGCUUGGAGCGAGAAGUAUUUGCUUAUACGGUAUGAAAUAGAUGAGCUGAACAUCAUGGUUGAAGCUUUGGAUCGAAAGUUAAGCGCAGUUCAUAAGCUGGCAAAAGAAAAACUUGGAUUGCCUGUAUCCGACGUUUCUAAAGAUGCCAAAAAGGAUGGAGGUACGGUAACAGUGAAGGACGAACCUGUAAUUCCUGACGUGAAACUCUCUGAGAGUGAAUCUCACCGAUCAACCUCCAGACAAGCGUCAGAUGCUCAACGGUACAAGAAAGCAGACGUGUUCUUUGCACCUUCGGUUCGUCCAAGUUCAACGACAAAUACUUUGGAUCAGAUAUCUGGAUCGUGUGUUGGUGCAGAUGUUGGUGCAGAUGCAUUGAAUCAUCGAUCACAAUCAAAAGAAAACACUCCAAUACAGCAUACUGCCGUUGGAAAAACUAUUCCGACUUGUUCCACAGUUGGUCCAAGUUCAACGACAAAUACUGUGGAUCGGAUAUCUGGACCGUGUGUUGGUGCAGAUGCAUUGAAUCAUCGAUCACAAUCAAAAGGAAACGCUCCAAUACAUCAUACUGCCGUUGGAAAAACUAUUCCGACUUCUUCCAAUACAGAUCUGAAGAAGCAUCUUGCACGGGGGUCUUCAUCGACUGAUAGAAAUGUGAUUGUUCUCAGCGAUGAUGAAGACUAGCUACCCCAAGUUCACCAUAUCACGAAUGGUAAACGAGCGUUUAUUACACAUUAAUCUGUUGCUGUAAGUCAGUUCUUUGAUGUAAAUUUGCAGAUAGUAAAGCUAGAAUUCUGUUACAGAUUGUAAGUCAGUCUUAAAUUUUGUUUUUCUUGAAGUACAUUCAUCAUCACCAUCAAAUAUGUAAAUGCCACUAAAAAGAUAUGUACAAAGAAGUACUAACAAGUGUUUGAAUAGUGUGAGGAAGUAAGAGAAGUUUUCUGACGGUGGAUUUAUCGGAUACAACCUCUCUAAGCUACAUAGGUAGGGGUGAGAUCAUACAUCCUAUCCUUUUUAAACCCCACUUGUUGUAUCUUUACCUUGAGCCGAGGGUCUAUCGGAAAGAGCCGCUCAUCAAAACCUUCCACGCCCCACGCUGGAUUUACAGGUACUUUUCACGUUGGUCCAUAAGGAUUGGACACCCAUAUUCCGGGACCAUGAAAUGCAUUAAAACCAAAGCAAGCUAUCCUUGAGAGAAAUAAAUGAAUUCUAAAGAUCUUUGACAAAUCCAAAGAGGUUUUCCUGUACGUUCGUCACAAAAUAUUUUUAGAUCUCAAUACACCCAAUGCUAGCUAGCUGCCAAAAAGCAUAAGCUAGUCCACCGUGAUACUCCAACUGCUCCAUGAAUUGGUUAUUCCUAAACGAGUCAUAAGGGUAUAACGAACAUACCCUGUCUCCACAUUGGAUCAAGAACAGAAUCAGAAGGAUCAAAAACCACUAAUUCAUACAAAGCCAUCGAACCGGCCCAACCAGCAACCAGAGUUGUAUGCAUAGAGUGGAUUCGAAACGAGGUAGUGAAUGAGUCAACCGAAACUGUAACUAUGGAGAAGCAACUAAAAUGCAAGUAUUAUCUUUUUUGAUAAGGUAUGUAAAACUCAUUGAUAACAAGAAGGCCAGCUUGGCAGUAUACAAGAGGUAUACCAAAAAUAUAGAAGCAAAUCACAUAAAUAUACACUUUAAGAGUUAAUAUUACAAAAACUAUCCAUAGUUUCUAUUUUACAAAAUAUAACAAUAGAAAUAUAACAAAAUCUACCAAAUAAGGCAAAAGAAAAAAUAAAAGACAAUAAAUAAAAUAGCAUGAUUUAAGGGGGCAACUUAAUAGUUGAUGUUUUACCCUGCAAAUUCUCCUAUAUUGUUUUUCAUCAAUUUUUUUUAAAAAAUAAUAAAUAAGGCAAACGAAAAAACAUUGCAUUUAUUUGAUAUUUGUUUUAUGUUUUCAAGUUUAAUUUAUUUAAUUCAAUUGACCUUAAUUUUUAAUAUUUUUUAGGAGAAAACAUCAUUAAUGGUAGUAAAUUCUCCGGUUGAUUCAAACUACAUCCUAUACAAAUUUUAUACACCAUAAAAUUAUUGAUACACCUAUUUUUAUAUACACUUAUUUCUAUAUCGAUCAAACACCAUAAAAAUAGAUCAAUUUCUAUACAUAUUAGACACCAUAAAAUUAUGAGAAAAUGGCCAAAAGACCCCCCAACCUUUACCCCAAAUUUCAAUUACACACUUAUACUUUGCGGGUGUCCUAUGACCCCCUGAACUAUUUAAAAAUGGAAUAUAUGCCCGUCUAAAAACUCAUACCCAGAUUUGUACAAUCGAGUGAGCUGCACGCGCCUAUCAGCUAAUACCACGUAAUAUUGUUAUUUUUUUGAUAUAAAAAAAUAUUUUUAUCCUACUUUUUCCUUAUUUUUUCGAGGCCCAUUUAAAUGGUCUUCUCAAUGGAAAAAACUUCAAUCCAUGGAACCCAGAACUUCAAUUCACUCUCACAUGAAGAAUCAGAAGAAGAUGGUGAUUUCAUCUACCUUCAAUUAACCCUCAAUAAAAUCCCACCCAAACAACUCACUAUCUCUCACAAAAUCACCCUUGCCACAACUCAAAAUCCAUUCUUGAUGCUAAAACAGACAAUUUCAACAAAUCCACAACUCAAAAUCCAAUCUUGAUGCUAAAACAGACAAAAUUAAGAAACCCCACAACUCAAAAAUCAAUCUUGAUGCUGAAACAGUGCAAAAAAAAAAAACUUAAAUAUGAAUAUUGAUUUUGAGAUAUAAUAUUGAUUUCAUGGCUUGAAAUCGUUUCACUUGAUUCGGAAUCCUCAUGAGACAUAAUUUUUUGAACUAAUUCCCACUUUUUCUCAGAAAUUACCCUAAGAAUCGCUUUAAUCUUUUCAAAUUUCUGAGAAUUGUGAGAUGAAUAUGUGUGUAAUUGUUUAUGGGAUUGGUGCGUAUCACUGAUAUAUUCAUUUUGGAACUGGUCCGAUGGCCGGACAAGCUCCACCGGCGGCUGUGAAGCCAUUCCGGCGGAAACACUUGGAAUUAUUUAUCCUCAUUCACAAGAAGGAGAAAUUAGUUGGUCUAAAAAUGAUAAUUAAAAAAAUAAUGAUGAAAAAAGUGUUGGGCUUGUGGUAUAAAUGAAAAUGGAGAUAAAAAAAUGAAGAUGGAGAUGAGAAAGAUGAAGAUGGUGAAGGAAGAUGAAAAUGGAGAGAAGGAGAGGAAUAAAGGAAUAAAAUAAAUAAAGAAAAAAAGAAUCUAUAUAUAUAUAUAUAUAUAUAUAUAUAUAUAUAUAGUCAAAUAUUAAAUCUGCUACUCACAAUUUCAAAACAAUAUCUAGUGGAUGCUCAUUCUCUCAAGGAGAGUGAGAUUCACUCGCAUUGCCACGUAAGCAUUUAGGGAGGUAAUAAUAUCAUUUUUAAAUAGUUCAUAGGGGUGAUAGGACCCCCGUGAAGUAUAGGUGCGUAGUUGGGAUUUGAGGUAAAGGUUGGGGGACUUUUGACCAUUUUCUCUAAAAUUAUUGAUACACCUAUUUCUAAAGAGUUUGAACACUAUAAAAUUAUUGAUACACCAAGACACCUUAAAAUAAAAUUGAUGAUAUACCAAUCUCUAUAUAAUAAUUCAAACACCAUAAAAUUAUCAAUAUAUCAAUUUCUAACUAUUUCAAAAAUCAUAAAAUUAUUGAUACACCAAUUUUUAUACUUUUCAGACGCCAUAAAGCUGUUGAUACACCAAUUUCUAUACAAUUCAGACACCAUAAAACUAAUAAUACACCAAUUUCUAUACAAUGCAUACACCAAUUUCUAAACAAUUCAUACUGAUACACCAAUUUCUAUACUGCACCAUAAAAUAACCGCUGACAGUAUGGCUGGGCAUAUUUUGGUUUAAACUGAAAAAACCAAAAAAUCGAAUCGAAAUUUAAUUUUGGUUUGGUUUUUCGAAUUGGUUUCGGUUUCAAAUUUUAGAAAUUUGGUUGAACGGUUUGGUUUUUGGAUUUACAAAAAAGAGAAUUCGGAUAAACCGAAAAACCGAAAUUAUAUAAAUAAUAUAUUACAAUAUAUAUAAUUUAAUAUAUAUGUAAAUAUACUAAAAAUAUAAUAUAAUCUGAUAUAAUAUAUAAAUAUAUAAAUUAUAAUCAUUUAGUAACCCUAAAUCCUAAUAUACUGCUUUGCUUUACACCUUAACAUUAACAUGAAGGCUGCAACAACUCUCAACCAUCCUCAGUUCGUCAAUUCAUUUGAAAUUUCAACAUCGUCAACAACAGUCGUUUGUUCAGUUCGUCACUGCCAUCGGCAGUCGCUGCCGAGUGCGAUCACUGCCGUCACGCCAACGGCGAUGACUCAGUGAGGUCGAUAUUUAUAGUUAUUUCAUGCAUGUUGAAUUAAUUAUAUUUGGGAAUGAAAAUUAGGUUUGAAAAAAAAGAUUAUUUUUCUAGAAAAAUCAUCAACUUUAAAUACUCACUACUUUAAUCUUUAAAACCGAAAUAAAAAUUCGAAAUAACCGAACUGAAUUUGUAAAAACCGAACCAAACUGAAAUAAUUUUGGUUUGGUUAUGGUUUUCAUUUUCGUCAAUCCGAAAAUCGAACCGAUAUUCAAUAAUCAAAUCGAACAAACCGAAUGUCCACCCCUAGCUGACAGUCAAGAUACUCAAGGAAACUUUCAGCAGUAUGCUUAUCAUAAGACUAAUGGUAGCAAUUGGAUUAGAGUUUGGAAGAUCCCUUCAAAGCCAUGUAUGGUGAAUGCUAUUUGUGGGGCUUAUGAGCCAUGUUUGGAAGAUCCUUCAAAUACCCUUUUAAUUGGGUUUUUCAAUCAAGAAAGAAGAGAGGAGAUAAAAAAGGAAGAAGAAAAGGGGUUUUUGGAUUAAAUUUUUUACACACACAAAAAAAAAAUGAAUAUUUGGUAGAUUUUGUAAAUAAAAAUUAGAUUUUAUAAAUAAAAAAAAAGUAGUGAUAGAUUUUGUAAUAUUUACUCUUAGAGCGUAUAUCUAUGUGACUUUUCCUAAAUGAUAAUAAAAUAUGAAAAUAUAGAAUACAAAAGACACUGAUUCAGGGGCUUAUCUAGGUGGGCAUUACCAGAUUCAUGUGAACUCAUGUUUUCCACCUUAGAUCAUAUGUAGUGAUGUUAUAUUCUUUUAAAAAUAUUUAAAUAUAGAUGAAUGAAGCCACGCUUGACGUAUUUUCUUAAUAGUACAUCCACCCUCUCAAAAUCCUGCAUACGCCCCUGCGCACAUUCCUGUAUACAAACAUGAACUACAUGGGUGCACCAAAAGAAAAUAAGAGAUCGAAUACUACUAGUCAAUCGAGCAAAGCUCGUAUACACCCCUUCAAACCAUGCCUUUUGCGAUCUUCUUCUAGCUCCACUCCUUCAACUGAACAUGAACUAAGAAACGUUAAAUCAAAUGAAGAUAUCCGCCAAUAACCUCAUGGUUAAUUUAGGCGCAAUAUAUAAACAUGCCCUUUAACUUGGCCUCAGAUCACAUCUACGACCUUCAACUUUGGGUGUGCACAUGCAGACACUUAAACUUGUAUGAAGUUUUAACAAGUAGACACAUAUGUCCUAUGUGGAGUCUUACGUGGCCAGUUCUUGUCCCACAUGACAUCCUACAUGUAUUAUGUUACAUUGGACGUGUAUAUCUAUUCGUUCAACUUUAUACAAGUUUAAGUAUCUGCUGGUGCACACCUAAAGUUGGAGGUCAUAGAUGUGAUUUGAGGCCAAGUUAAAGGCUUGUUUAUGUAUAAUGCCGUUUGCAAAUGAUAUAGAAAUGACAUUCGAUAAGAUCAGGUUGCGCCUGAGUGUAGUUUACUACGAUAUCUAGGCUCGAUCUUCUAGGAGAACGACAUGACAUUUACCUCUCAAACGGAGUAGAGCUUUAUAAUCUGAUCGAUUUUUACUCGACAGAUGGGGCAUUCCCCUUUCUUGGAUUUGAUCUGGUUCAAACACUGGAUGCAGCCAACCAUGUGACCACAAGGUACACAGGCUCCUUCAACUGAACCUUCCCAACAUAUUAUACACAAUGCAGGUUCAUGUUCAUGUUCAUGUUCAUUUUCCUUUUGAGUCGUAACAGAAGCUGUUUUUUGAUCCACAUGAGGAUUCAACAGGUGCAAUGGGCUAAGAUCUAUGGCCGGAUAACAAACAGUUUCUUCGUGUACAACCUCUUCUGGAAGUGGUGGAGCUGAAGGGGACGCAAAAUCAAAAGCAGGAUUGUUGCCUUCUCGAGUUUCAGCAUUUUCAACCAGAUAGACAAUCGGUCUAAACUCAGAUGCAUUGUCUGCAUUAGCCAUUGAUUCACGGCUAGUUACACCUGGGGAUUCUGUUUUGUCCUUUGCGGUGUGUCCCCAUCCUUGAUAAUGAACUUUAUCCGAGGCAUCUCUAUGUCCCUGCCGAGGCUCAGGCAUGCCCCAUCCAUUGUACUGUUCUACAGCAGGCUCGGCAUUCCAUCCGCUGCAGCUUAGUUCAGAAGAUGUGGAUUUAGGAAGCGAUUGCUGCUGUCGUUGACUGGAUACAUCUGCGUUACUUCCCCAUCCAUUUUCUUGGACCUUAGUUCUGUCACCCGUCCAAUUGUAGUUAGUAAUUUCACAUGUAGGCUCGGAUCUGACAAGUGAACCCCAUCCGUUGUAGGCAGAAUCAUCGGUGUCAUCACACCAGUCAUUUCCAUUUUUCACACCGGAGCUUUGUCCGUGAUGAUGUAAAAUCUUAUUUUCUUUAGCAGAAUGAAUGGAAGAGUUGAUUCCAAUUGCUAAUUCCAUUGCUUGUGCAGCAGUUUCAGAUUGUGGCACUGUGGUUCGGGUUUUCUGUGGUAAGCGACGAGGCGUGACCUGAAAUGCGAACAUGUCAAGCCCCAGAGGUGGUUCUACUAUACUAUGAUAUAUACCUUAUUUGUACCCUCCGUUAUACUUUGGGAUCAUUGAUACCGUUGUCAUUAGCAAAUCACCGUAUAAAGUCCAGAGCAAAUAUGAGACGAUUUGCUAACAGCAAGGGUACGGAUGGUUCCAAAGUAUAACAGAUGGUAAAAUUACGGUAUUCCGUAUAUUAGAGGAAUAAAUUUGGAUCUUUUCCCCUAUGCGCGGGGUUCGGGGAAGGGCUGGACCACAAGGGUCUAUUUUACGCAGCCUUACCCUGCAUUUGUGCAAGAGGCUGUUUCCACGGCUUGAACCUGUGACCUAAUGGUCACAUGGCAGCAACUUUACCGGCUACUCCAAGGCUCCCCUUCAGGCAUAAUGCACGUGUUUCAAACACAACUUGUGUAAUAUCGCAAGGUACAAACUCAUCCGACGAACAAACAACAGAUACAGAAUUGGUAAAAAAGUAUGAUUCAGUCUGAGUUGGUAAUAACCUCAAUUGCAGCAAUACAUGCUCUGUGCAACAACUGAAGCUGUUGUUGCUCGGAAUCGCUCACUGAUGUAAAGUUAUAUCGAGUAUCUGAUACGAAAGCAGCAAAAUCAAAGAACUAUUAUAAAGUCUAUUCUGUAAAGACGCGUUUCAGGAAAAGAGUAUUACUACUGGUCUUGUCGAAAAUUGUCAGCACAGGAUCUGAUCGUUGCCACCUUAGAUCCUCAACAUUAGCCUUCCAUAAGGCGAUAACAUUACGAGGCUGGGCAUCCUGUUCAACGGAACAUCAUUUCAGUAAAUUCUCCAAUUUCAUAGUAAGGAGAGAAGAAGUAUCACGAGUCCAUUGAAUUGUCAACCAACUCUAACUAGUUUGGUUUUGAGCAUCGUUGUUGUUGCUGCUUUAUUGAAGUUUCAACCAAGCACAGAGAACCAUGUAUAGAGAAGAAGGAUAACUCGACCACAGCAUAUACCGAGGAGCUGGCUCAUAUACGGCUUAUGCUUAAACCUCACAUAGAUAUAGUAUACCUACAUUUACGUCCAGUUUUCAUACCUACUCCUCGCUGGCAUACAUCAUUAUCAAGAAUUCUCUAAAGAUGCUGCGAGCUAAACGACAGGUACCUCACAACAUUGCCAGAAGAGUUUUCAUAGAAGUGUUUAUUUACCUGUAAGGAUGAGUAUAUCGCCAGCUCCAAUUUAAGAGGCUUCGCAGGAUCAGCUAUACUGCAAGGUACGACUACAACCCAACUGCAUUUUAUAAUCAUUUGUCAGCAAAUAUGCGAGACAGCUUACAACAACAACAACAACUACGCUUAGGGUGUGUUUGGUAUAACGGAAACUGUUUUACUGUAUUUCUGGUAUUUGGUAAAUAUGCAGGAAAUAUAGUCUCAAAGCAUUUGUACAAGUCUGGCGAACACUAUUGAGGUUGACGUGGGGGAUGUGUUGGAGGGCGGAAUUAGACAGUUAGUAUGGAAGGUCACUUAUGCAACCUAUUUUCCCUAUUUCCACUAUGUACAACCGAACAUGAGAAAAUUGGAAAAUAUUUCCAUACCAAACACAACCUUAGUCCCAAACAGGUUAAACAAGACUGCUUACAUAUGUCUAUUUCAACAGCCUUCGGCAGAACAAAAGUUUUGAAACUUGAAACAUUACAACAACAACAACAACAAUUGGAGUAUAGAGGUUGUUUCCGAUAGACCCCAAAACUUGUAGCAUUAUAUACAGAAAAGAAUUCAAAGCACAGACAAGGGGUACUUAUAAGAAAAGACAAGUCGGAAUCAUACUGACAUCUUCCUAGAUAACAAUUGAGGAGCUAAAGCUUCAAGAAUUCCUCGACCAUAGAACUCCCUCAUCCAGCCGGAGAAAAUGCAGAUUUGUCUCUGCAAGUGAAAGCAAUACCAGAAUAAAUGAAUUUACGAACAUACAAUCCAAGUCAAGAAGGGGGAGAACGUACAAAAAUCUUGAAACUAAUAUCAAGUACACCUCAAUAGUACGAACGACAUUGCUAAAACCCUUUGCUCGAGCAACUUCAAGUGGAGUUUGGCAACCAUCGUUCUUGAUCAAUGGAUUUGCUGGUAAAUUAGUUGCAUAGUAAGUUAGAUACAUACAUUAAGCGGCUGAUAACUAUGCAAAAAUGACAAUCGCUCCAUCCCAAUUUAUGUGAAGGUAUUUGAUGGUUGCGUAGUUUAAGAAAGAAAAAAUUGCUUUUGAAACUUAUGGUCUAAAAUACAACAACAACACACCCAGUGUAUUCCCAUAUAGUGGGGUCUGGGGAGGGUAAAAUGUACGCAGUCCAUACCACUACCUCGGAAGAAGUAGAGAGGUUGUUUCCGAUAGACCCCAGCUCAGGACAAAGAGAUGGUAAACAAUGUCGUAAUAAAACAUGAAACAAGAUGAAAAAACAGAAAUAAGACACUCACAAAGUAGUACUACGCACUAUCGAACCAAAAGGACACAAUUCAGCCAAAAUCUCCUAACUAGAAGCUCCAACCUAUGUACAAAGCCCUACGACUACUAGUCAGGCUACACUAAAGCACUCCUAUCUACUGGCUACAAACUCACCCACAUGCACUAGUCCUCUAACCUAAUUCGCAUCCUCCAUACCUUCCUAUCUAGGGUCAUGUCCUCAAUAAACUUUAAAAUAAACCAAAUAUACUUGUGUGACUAUGAAUCAUCUCACUAAGGGUAAAUCAACAUUUUAAGUUAAAUUGUACAAAAUAUAGAAAGAUGUCGUUCUUCUGGGACCGACCGAAAAGGAAAGACUCUCGCAUAAAUUGAGACGGAGGUAGUACUAGAUCAUCGAGAAAUGCAGUCUGGAUCGAUCUAUAGAGCAAAGCCAGAAAGCAUGUUCACUCUGCAAAGCUAUAAAUAUGUACCUCCAUAGGAAAGAAGUAACUGAACGUUAUCAUCCAGACCUCUCUUAGCUGCGUGAUGCAGUGCAGUUCCAGCACCAUAUCCUGAAGAAAAUUAGUAAUCGGAAUGAUGAUUAUCGUAAUAACUAAAGCAGAUUACAACAAAGUAAUGAAGGUCGUGACACUUAAAGCCUACUGACUUAAAAUCCAGGAGCCGCCUCUAGUGACAAGUUGGGCGAGAAAGGGAUACCUGGCCGGUAAGCAUUGACAUUAGCACCGAGCUCAAGCAAAGUUUUUGCAACAUUCAAGCCAUUCGGCUUCAUGCACGCUACAAUCAAUGGUGUCUUUCCUUCUUUGUCGGUCCACUGAUUCAAAGGGGGCACACAAUUACAUUUAGUAUAUACAGAUAACUCAUGUAACCUCCUAAACAGCGAAGCUCUUUUAUGUUCACCAAAACCGGAGUUGAUGUAGAGCUAAACUUUUCAAGUAAAUUGGCGCAUAGAACUUGUAUACUACAGACUUGCACCAGUUAAAAGAUCACUUAUAACACCUCCUAAAAGUUGAAUUUUUUGUAUAUUUACCAAAAGUGUAUUGCUAUAGAGUUAUAUUCUUCCAGUAAAUCGGGUACAUGGGUGAAUAUGUAUGACUACGGACUUAAAACGGCAGCUCGGUGCACUAAAGCUCCCGCUAUGCGCACGGUCUGGGAAGGGCCCCACUACAAGGGUGUAUUGUACUCAACCUUAUCUUGCAUUUCUAUCAUCAGAGGAUGUUUCCAAAGCUUGAACCCGUGACCUCUUGGUCACAUGGCAACAACUUUACCAGUUACUCCAAGGCUCCCCUUCCAAAAGGAGGGAUGCAACACGAGGACUUCUCAGGGGGUCACCCAUCCUAGUACUACUCUCACCCAAGCACGCUUAACUUCGGAGUUCUGAUGGGAUCUGGUAUGUUAGUGCUGGUAUGAUCGUAUCAUCUCCGAAAAGAUGUUUGUAUAUUCACCUAAAUUUAGAACUUAGUUAUUAGCACUUGAAAUCGUCGUUGCAAAAUUAAGAACUAGUAAAGCUGAAAGCUCCACCUAUGUGCACCAGUGACAAAACUUAAUGUCAUAUCCUAAAAGUUGAAUCUUUUUCAUAUUCACCAAAAAGGAUGUUAAUAAAUAGUUAAAUUCUUCUGUAAAUUGGCAGCAUUUGUAUACCUCCUAACUUUCACCAGUUAAAUUACUUACGAUAUCUCCAAAAAUAACAACAACAACAACGACAACAUACACAGUAUAUUCCCACAAAAUGGGGUCUGGGGAGGGUAAAGUGUACGCAGUCCAUACCGCUACCUCGGAUGAAUUAGAGAGACUGUUUUCGAUAGACCCCUGGCAUAUCUCCAAAAAUAAAUAGGAUCUUAUUCAAGUUUAACCAAAAGGGUGUUGAUAAAAAGCUCAAAUUCUCAAGUAAAUUGUGGUUCAUAAUUGAGUUUAUAUACUUCAAGAAUUGCACCAGUGACAAAAAAUACUCAUGACAUCUACUAAACAUUGAAUUUUUUUCAUAUUUACCAAAAUGGGUGUUGAUAAAAAGCUAAAAUUUUCAAGAUAAUUGGGUACAUGAGCAAACUUAUGUUUUUUAUUUUUAUUUUUGGUUUUCCAACCAGUGUCCGGUAACCAUAUCGGAGCCCAAAUAAAUCCGAAUUAGCACCGGGAAGUGCCACAUUAGGGGAAAAGCGCUCUCUAACAAAGGUAACUCCAUACCCAGGGGAAUCGAACCUAAGACCUCUGGCAAACUUAUAUACCUAUACUUCAAGACUUGCACUAUUGAAAAAAACACUCAUGGUACCUUCCAAAGAUUGAACAUUUUUCAUAUUCACCAAAAAGGGUAAAAGGGCAGCCUGGAGCACUAAAGCUCCCGCUAUGCGCAAGGUUCACGGAAAGGUUCUACCACAACGGUGUAUUGUACGCAGCCUUACCUUGCAUUUCUGCCAGAGGCUAUUUUCAAGGCUUGAACCCGUGACCUCCUAGUUAUAUGACAAGAACUUUAUCAGUUACUUCAAGGCUCCCCUUCAUAUUCACCAAAAAGGCUGUCAGACAAAAAGUUACUUUUGUCCAGGUGCACGGAAGCUAGCCUAUACACCAGGAUUAUCGUAAAAAAAAAAGGGCUAAAUUAUUCAAGAAAAUUUUUAUACAUAGGUGACAAUAUAUAUACCUCAAGACUUGCACUAUUGAAAAAAUCACUAAUGGUAUCUUCCAAUGAUUAAAUCUUAAUUUUCAUACUCACCAAAAAGGGUGUCAGACAAAAACUAAUUUAGUCUAGGUACGCGAAAGCUGGCCUAAACACCGCUACCACAACAACAACGACAACAUCGCCAGUGUAUUCCCACAAAAUGGGAUCUGGGGUAAAGUGUACGCAGUCCAUACCACUAUCUCCUAUGAAGUAGAGAGGUUGUUUCCGAUAGACCCCGGCUCAGGAUAGAUAACAGUAUAGCAAACAAAAACAAAAAAAGCAAACAACAAAAAUGGAUAUCACACUGCCAUAUAAUAAAGGAAACAAAACAGGACGAAAACAACAACAACAUACCUAGUGUAUUCCCACAAAGUGGGAUUCAGAGGUAAAGUGUACGCAGUCUAUACCACUACCUCACCUCAGAUGAAGUAGAAAAGUUGUUUCUGAUAGACCCCCGGUUCAGAACAGAUAACAGGAUAACAAACAAAAAUAUAAAAGCAAACAAUAAAAAGGGAUAUCACACCGCCAGAUAAUAGGAAACAAGACACACAAGGAGGCUGUUUCCGGUAGAUGCCCGGCUCAGGACAUAUAAAGUAUAGCAAGCAAAAACAUAAAAGCAAGCAAUAAAAAGAGAUAUUACACUGCCGGAUAAUAAAAGAAACAAGACACCCACAAGGAGGCUGUUUCCGAUAGACCCCCGGCUCGGAACAGGUAACAAUAUAGCAAACAAAAACAUAAAAGCAAAUAACAAAAAGGGAUGUCACACGCCAAAUAAUAAAGGAAACAAGACACCCACAAGUUCAUACUACUGGUCUAGACACCACGAUUAUCGAAAAAAAACAAAAAUAAAAGCUAAAUUAUUCAAUAAAUUUUUUUUACAUAGGUUAAAAAUUUUAUAUACCUCAAGACUGGCACCAUUAUUAUGAAUAGCUUUGAUAGCUUCAACAUUUCCUUCAAUGACUUGUUGAUACAGUAACUCAUCUUUUGAUUGUUGUUGCCCCAUUAAUCAAUAAUUGCUAAACAUUUCACUUCAAAUGUUAGAUUUUUUUCUUAUAACAAAAUGUUCCGGCUAACUGACGCGCACCUCGACUAAUUAUAUGUAAGAUUUUAUGUGCAAUCAUUUGUAUACAUGUGGCAUAAUUUGAACUCCCUGCCGCUGAUAAACCAAAUCAAGUCUGUCCAAUUGGGAAUAUUUGUGGAUAGUAAUUUUUCUCCCAAUUUUUUUAAUAAUAAUAAUAAUAAUAAUAAUAAUAAUAAUAAUAAUCUUGGUACAAAAUUUAACUUGCAAAACACAUAGAUUAAAUGGAAAAAGGUUUGAAAUAUACCUAAACUUUGACGAAAUAUAUUGUAACGUGCCUCAACUUUGCGGGGUCCUAUGACCCUCUUGACUAUUUAUUAUCAUAUUUCUGUGGCAGAUUUUGCCCAGCUGAACUACUGCAUGAACACACGUACACUGAGCAUGUAAGGAUUUGAAGUGAUCUAGCUAGACAAAUAUAUAUCACAGAAAUACGAUAAUAAAUAGUCGAGGGGGUCAUAGGACCUCGGCAAAGUUGAGGCGUGUUACAGCAAAUUUCGCUAAAGUAUAGGUAUAUUUCUGACUAUUUCCCUAAAUAAAAUCUUAACUUGGUUUCAACCGUCAAUCAUACACUUUAAUUUUGAGAAUGCACAUGUAGAUAUUUCAAAUCGUCUUUAUCAUGUUAGUUGAACGUUCUGACUUAAAAAAUGAUUGUGUUAGACACCUUUAAAAUAUAUGUGUUACGUUAGCGUAGAAUAUCCAUGAGACACAAUGAGAACAAGUUGAGGAGUCAAAAUAUAAAGUAUCCUUGAACAACUAAGUCAACCUCUAAUCUUAUGUUCGAGAUUCAAUAUAUACAGUGGCGGAGCCACCUUAUGAUUAGGGGGUUCAUCCGAACUCCCUUCGAUGGAAAAUUAUACUAGUUAUAUAUGAUUAAAAUUAUUUUUUUAUGUAUAUAUCAUUGAUAUUGAACUCCCUUCGGCUAGUUCAUGUGCCUAUUUCUUUUGAUUUUGAACCCCUUAGUGAAAAUUCUGGCUCCGCCAUGAUAUAUAUAUAUAUAUACAUGUGUGUACAUAUACAUAUACACACACAUCACCCUCCAAUAAACCUCAUCUUUAUCGCACUCUUGUAGCCUUCAUCCGCAUUGCCUCAUAUUUUUAGGAUAAUAUUUUUCGCAUAUAUACCACACAUAAGAAAAUAAUCAGCAUGGAAUAAUAAUUUAAAUUAGAGUAGAAAACCAAAUUUAUUUAAACCAAGUCUCAAUAAUGAAACGAAUCCCUUCGCUCCUUUUUACUUUGUCACUUUUCAUUUUUUCGAUUGUCAAACAGUAUGAACGUACCUAAUAAGUUGUUUUAGCGUUUUUCGUUUUGUUUCUGAAUAAGUAAUGUUUCACAUAGUCAAAAAACAUUAAUGACAUUAUUCCAGUUUUACCCUUCUUUAGAUGAAGAGAAUUUUACCUAAUCAAGAAACGUCUCCUUUUCACUUGUCACAUUUCGUUUCUUGAUUGUCAAACUGCAUGAACUUCAAUUUUAAAAUCUACUAUUUCAUUAUAUUAAUUGUAAUAUUUCAUGAUUGCUAAUUAAUGACUAAUUAGUAUAAAUUAAUAUCUCACAAAGUACAUAUAUAAAUUAUAAUCACAACUACUAGCUAUUACAACAUUAUAUUCAUAUACUACAAAAUGACCUUGAUCAUUAUACCUUGUAAUUUUCACCUAAUUCAUAAAAUUUCUUAAAAGGCGAGUAAUUUAACUCUUCAAUUCUUGAUUUAUUUUAUUUUAAUGAGGUUGAUAAGGUUUGAGAAGUUGAAUUAGAGAAAAUAUGUAAUAACAAUUAAGCUGCAUAUAUAUAAUAUAUAAUAUAUGGUUCAUGAUCGCAAAUUAAAUGACUAAUUAGUAUAAAUUAAUAUCUCACAAAGUACAUAUAUAUAUAAAUUAUAAUCACAACUACUAGCUAUUACAACAUUCAUAUACUACAAAAUGGCCUUGAUCUACAUGACAAGUGUAAGUCGAUCGAGCCAUUAAAAUUUAUUUGUUCGUAUAUUUUUAUUAUUAUACCUUGUAAUUUUCACCUAAUUCAUAGAAAGGCGAGUAAUUUCUCUCUUCAAUUCUCGAUUUAUUUUAUUUUAAUCAGGUAGAUAAGGUUUGAGGAGUUGAAUUAGGGAUCCUUUAAGGUGAAGUGACAUAACUUCAUUUGUUGAUCCAACUAAUUUCCCUCCAAUAAAUACUGCUGGCACUGACGCAUUACAACCCAUUCUCAUAAGAGCCUUUUCCAUAUCCUUUCCAUCAUUAUCGUGAUCGAGUUCAUGUACGUAAGGAUCAACACCGAGAUCGCGAAAUAAUAUAGUGACCGCGUAACAUAAACAACACGUGCUCUUGCUAAAGAUCACGACCCCGUGCUCUGAUGCCAUUCUUUGUACCUUAUCCAUUUCAGGUCGUGAAAGAAUCGCCUUAUGCCCUUGGAGUAACAACAAUGUCUAGUAGUACAAGAUGAAAUUAGGGUUUUAUUGCCUCUGGGUGGAAUCAGACUGUUUGUACGAUAUAAAAUUAGGGUUUUAUCACCUCUGAGUGGAAUCAGACUGUCUGUACGAUAAAAUUAGGGUUUUAUCGCCUCUGGUUGGAAUCAGACUGUCCCACUCUCAAUUGCUAUAUUAUGUUGGUUGCCUUGUUAAGCUUUUAGGUAGUAUACACCUUCUCAAAGCUUUAGUGGCUAGAAGACAGAUUGGUACGAGUUACACUUGAUAUUCAGGUAUUUGGAAACUUAUCAAAAAAUAGGGUUAAAUGAAGGUACGCUUUAGUAUACCAUCGGAUCUAAGUUCAACAGAAAAUGAACAUCGAUCCGAUGGUUAAUAAGAAGUGAUGAAGGAAGAAGCAAAUAGAAAGAAAAAAAAACUUGAGAAAUAUUAGGGUUAAUUUUUAGUUUUUUUUAGAGGUUGCUUGGAAAUGUAGGGAUUUCAUGGCCACACUAUUUAUAAUACAAGGAAAAAAAAAUGGAACAAUCUAAAAAUGAAAGUGGAAUUCUCUGACUAAAUUGUAAAGAUUCAAAAGAUGGUGUGCUUUAUUUAGAUGCUCCAAAAAUUGGACUACAGCUCUACUAAAAAGAAUUUUAUUUUAAUAAAUAAAUCAAAAAGAAGAAAGGAAUUUUAAUAAACAAAUAAAUAAAUAAAAAGAAGAAGAAGAGAAUUUUAAUUUUUAAUAAAUAAAAAAACAAAAAAGUAGAUACUAUUUCAUUCCACAAACUUUGAGCAAGUUGUAGGAUAGUACAUAUAUUCUAUUUAUUUAGUCAUGCACUUUUUGAAUAGAAUCUUUUUGGUGGAAAAGUCUUAUUUGAACCACCUAGAAAUAUAUACCUAUAUGCACAUUCCAUAUAGUUAGCAUUUAUUAUUUUUUAUGUAAAAAAUUUAGUAUCUUUGAAUUAUGACGAGAUUUAUUAAGAUACACUCCAUAAUUUCACAAGUGUUUUAUUAUUUUUGAACUAAAUUUUAGUAUAUUUUUAUCAACCUUUUCAGCUGAUGUGAUACCUUUUGUCAACCUUUUUAGCUGACGUGACACCUUUGACGUGAGUCUCAUUUUAUGUAAAUAAAGGUGUCAUGUCAGCACAAAAAAAUGACAAAAAUAUGUUAAAAUUAAGUUCAGGGGUAAUAGAAUCCUUGUAAAGUUGGAGUGUAUCGUAGCAACUUUGGUCAUAGUUUCGAGGGAUACUGAAUGCUUAUCUCUUAUUUUUUUUUGGUACAUAGUUAUAUAUUUUUAUAACAAUCAUCUUUUAUAAUAACAUAUUAUUACACACUAUUUCAUUCUACUUCUUAUUUGGAAUUGCUAUAUUUGGUCUUUCGAAAAUAGUCUCUCUACCUCCAUGAAAUAGUGAUAAGAUUUCACGGGGUAUUUUAUUAUUGUUGAUUAAGUUUUCCUUCAAACCGACAAUUCAUUAUGUUGUAUUAUAUAUUCUUUAUAAUAACGUUUCACUAUAAUAACAAAAAAAAAAAUAUCCAUAAAAUGAAACUGUACUAUUAUUAUAGAAAGAUUCGAGCAUAACAAAUAACCUGUUAUUUUUCCUAAGUUAAUUACUAUUUCCUCCGUUCAUUUUACGUGACACACUUAUAUUUUUAAUUCAUCCCCAAAAAAAACGUCACCUUACUCUAAUUAAAAAACAAAGUUUACUUUAUAUUAAGUAUGCAUGUUAAAAUAAUUAAUUAGACUAAUGAUUAUCCAUAAUUAGUAAUUAAUUCCUUACUAUAAAAAGUUCUCUAGACAACGUGGACAUAAAACUAGCCGUGGAAGAUUAAACUUUAUUAUAAAAAUUUUAUUCUUGAAGAAUGAAGAUGCAUUACAAUAAUUAUUUAUUUAUAUACAAUAUAAUGCAUGUGUAGUCAAUUUUUUGAGAUUCUUUUCCAAUAUUCUUGGAUUAUAUUCUUUGCUCGAAUAUUUAGCAAAGAAUUGAAAAGUUUUUUGGUGGCUUUUAUUCUUUUUCUUUGUGUCCAUUUCCAACUUUAAGUUAUAUUCUUCACACACUAAAUUUUAUCAAUGGUGGUACACUUGUACACAACGGAGAAGUCAGAAAUUUCGUUAAGAAUAUUUAAAAUUUAAUAUAUAUGUGAAGAAAAAGUUUAAAAUAUAUCUAAAUUUUAAUGAAAUUUAUUGUAACAUGUCCCAACUUUGCAGGGUCCUAUAACCCCCUAGAUUAUUUUUUAUCGUAUUUCUGUGACAUAUAUUUGUUAGUUGGACCACUGCAUGAAUACACGCAUACUAAGCGUGUUAGGGUCUCAAAUGAUUCAGUUAAUUAAAUAAAUGGCAGAGAAGUACAGAAAAAAACAAUUUAUGGGGGUCAUACGACUCCCGCAAAGUUGAGGAGUGUCACAACCAAUUUUGCCAAAGGUUAAAUAUAUUUCGGACUUUUUUUCCAUAUACAUGUAUGAAAAUAUACUUUAUUUAAUUUUCUAUAUGUGCGGUAUAAUAUUUUAACGAAAGUUGUUCCACUGACCACCCUUAAUUGUAUAUGGCCGUACACGUGUACACGACAGUGAAAUUAGAAAUUUUGUCAAAAGUACAAAAAUUAAUAUAUAUGUAUGAAAAUAUACUUGAUAUAAUUUUCUAUAUAUACAAUAUAUAUUUUUAACAAAUGUUGUUCAACUGAUCAUCCUUAAUUGUAUAUGGCUAAGCCAAUGCUUAUAAAUAUUCUAGUAGUGUAUGUGUGAGGCAAAUGCAAGUUUUAGCCUAAUUUGGGGGGUGUAAAAUAUGUAUUCCUAAUCUUUCAUGUGAGUUAAAGGGGUUAAUUGACUAAUUAAUUAAUAUAUUGUCUUGCCUCGCCAUAUUCAGGGAGGUGACUUGGUGUAUGUUAUUUACUGAUGAUGUAGAGGUUAUUGACGAAAUUCGAGGAUGAGUUAAUGAUAAGUUGGAGGUUUGGAGACAGACCAUAGAGUCUAAAGGGUUUUGGUUGAGUAAGACCAAGACGGAGUACUUGGAGUAUAAGUUCAGUGAUUUGACGAUUUUACCUGUAGUCUAAGUGUUAUGAAUGUGUCUUGACGUAGUUUCUUAUUCGUGGUAUUUUAGGGAUGUUUGUGAUUUUGGAUAAGUAGUUCAUAGUAUUGCUCAGCGGAUAAGUAGUUUAUAAUAUUACAUAUUACACACACACACACACAUAUAUAUAUAUUAUUUGAUGAUGUUGUAGUGCUUAUUGACGAGAUUCAGGGAUGAGUUAAUGAUAAGUUGGAGGUUUGGAGACAGACUAUAGAGUCUAAAGGGCUUAGGUUAAGCAAGACUAAGAUGGAGUACUUAAAGUGUAAGUGAAGUGAUUUAACGAUUUUACCUGUAGUCUAAGUGUUAUGAAUGUAUCUUGUAAUUUCUUAUUCGUAGUGUUUUGGAGAUGUUUGUGGUAUUGGAUAAGUAGUUCAUAGUAUUACAUAUAUGUGUGUGUGUAUAUAUAUAUAUAUAUAUAUUUCUAUAAUAUUUGAUCGAUAUACAUUAUAUAACUUUCCGGUGAAAAGGUAUUCAACUGACCAUCCUUCAGCAUACGCAACUACGCGCCAUGUGAUCUCUCCAUCUUAGGGUGAUCUAAAGAUAGCAAUCAAAAGAAAAAUUUUCAAGAAAAAAUUAGUAUGUGCUGCAUGAAUAUUUUUAUGGUCAACAACAACAUACUGAGUGAAUUCUCAUAAGUGGGGUCAAUCUGCGGAGGGUAGAGUGUACGCAGACCUUACCACUACCUCAUGGAGGCAAGAGAAGUUGUUUCCAAGAGACCUCGAUCCAAGUGAAUAUUUUUAUGGUCACUUUACUAAAGUGAGUUGAGGGAUCAAAUAUAUAUGUCAAAGUUUACGGAGAAUAGAGUGUACGCAGAUCUUACCACUAUCUCGUGGAGCCAAGAGAGAUUAUUUUUGAGAAACCCACGGCCAUGAAUAUUCCUAUGGUCACUUUACUAAAGUGAGUUGAGGGAUCGAAUAUAUAUGUUAAGUUUGCAGAGGAUAGAAUGUACGCUGAUCUUACCACUACCUCGUGGGGGCAAGAGAGGCUGUUUCCGAGAGACCCUCGAUCUAAGUGAAUAUUUUUAUGGUCACUUUACUAAAGUGAGUUGAGGGAUCGAAUAUAUAUGUCAAGUUUGUGGAGGGGAGAGUAUACGCAAAUCUUAUCACUGCCUCGUGAAGCCAAGAGAGAUUGUUUCUAAGAGACCCUCGGCUAUGAAUAUUUCUAUGGUCACUUUACUAAUUAAGUGAGUUGAGGGAUCGGAUAUAUAUGUCAAGUUUGCGGAGGGUAGAGUGUACGCAGAUCUUACCACUACCUCGUGGUGACAAGAGAGGCUGUUUCCGAGAGACCCUCGAUCCAAGUGAAUAUUUUUAUGGUCACUUUACUAAAGUGAGUUGAGGGAUCAAAUAUAUAUGUCAAGUUUGUGGAGGGUAGAGUCUACGCAGAUCUCAUCACUACCUCGUGAAGCCAAGAGAGAUUGUUUCUAAGAGACCCUCGUCCAUGAAUAUUUCUAUGGUCACUUUACUAAAUUGAGUUGAGGGAUCGAAUAUAUAUGUCAAGUUUACGGAGGAUAGAAUAUACGCUGAUCUUACCACUACCUCAUGGGGGCAAGAGAGGCUGUUUCCGAGAGACCCUCGAUCCAAGUGAAUAUUUUUAUGGUCACUUUACUAAAGUGAGUUGAGGGAUCGAAUAUAUAUGUCAAGUUUGUGGAGGGUAGAGUAUACGCAAAUCUUAUCACUGCCUUGUGAAGCCAAGAGAGAUUGUUUCUAAGAGACCCUCGGCCAUGAAUAUUUCUAUGGUCACUUUACUAAAUUGAGUUGAGGGAUCGAAUAUACAUGUCAAGUUUGCGGAGGAUAGAAUGUACACAGAUCUUACCACUACCUCGUGGGGGCAAGAGAGGAUGUUUCCGAGAGACCAUCGAUCCAAGUGAAUAUUUUUAUGGUCACUUUACUAAAGUGAGUUGAGGGAUCGGAAUAUAUAUGUCAAGUUUGUGGAGGAUAGAGUAUACGCAGAUCUUAUCACUGCCUCGUGAAGCCAAGAGAGAUUGUUUCUAAGAGACCUCGGCCAUGAAUAUUUCUAUGGUCACUUUACUAAAGUGAGUUGAGGGAUCGGAUAUAUAUGUCAAGUUUGUGGAGGGUAGAGUAUACGCAGAUCUUAUCACUGCCUCGGGAAGCCAAGAGAGAUAGUUUCUAAGAGACCCUCGGCCAUGAAUAUUUCUAUGGUCACCUUACUAAAGUGAGUUGAGGGAUCGAAUAUAUAUGUCAAGUUUGUGGAGGAUAGAAUGUACGCAGAUCUUACCACUACCUCGUGGUGGCAAGAGAGGUUGUUUCCGAGAGAUCCUCGAUCCAAGUGAAUAUUUUUAUGGUCACUUUACUAAAGUGAGUUGAGGGAUCGAAUAUAUAUAUAAAGUUUGUGGAGGAUAGAGUAUACGCAGAUCUUAUCACUGCCUCGUGAAGCCAAGAGAGUCAAGUUGAGGUGGUAGAAUCUCUAAGAAAAAUAUGAGAUUCACCUUGCAAGAAAUGACAUUUGUUUAACUUAUGGAUAAGUUCUUAUUCAUCUUUAGAGCUUUGAUUCCAUGAAGAUGAUAAGUUCUUUUUAGCUUCUCAUGUCUAUUUUCUUUAUAUAUUCUUUUCCUUACUAUGUGGAGGAAAAGAUAAGAUAUUCCUUUCAGUGACGAAUUCAGAAUUUAAAGUCAUUUGGCUGUAAGAAGAGGAGGUCAAGCCACUCUAGCUACUUCAAUCNNNNNNNNNNNNNNNNNNNGACAGAUCUGAUAGGUGGAGAAUACAUUUAGCCGAUAAAACCAUUAGUUUAUUUCUCUAUUUAUUGGAUAUGGGACAAUUGGCACAUAAAUCGCCCCCGCUUGAGAACCAACGACCUCAUUGGUCACGACUAGCAUCCCUCUUGGGUCAAGGCCACCACUUCGAGUCGCGCCCCCUGCAUGGAACGGAUGACCUUGUUUGUCACGGCUGAGCUCAUUUGGUCACGACUGACAUCCCUCUUGGGUCCAGGUCACCACUCAUGUCACACAAGCCACCACUUCGAGUCGCGACCCCACGCAUGGAACCAACAACCUUGUUGGUCGGGGCUAGCACCCCUCUUGGGUCCAGGUCACCACUCUGAGUCGCACCCCCACGCAUGGAACCAACGACCUUGUUGGUCACGGCUAACACCCCUCUAACCAGGACAUCCUUCCACCCCUCUUGGGUCCAGGCCACCACUCGUGACACACAAACCACCACUUCGAGUCACGGCCCCACGCAUGGAACCAACUACCUUGUUGGUCACGGCCGGAACCCCUCCUAGGUCCAGGUCACCACUCCUGACACACAGGUCACUAAUCCGAGUCGCGGCCCCACGCAUGGAACCAACGACCUUGUUGGUCACGGCUGGCACCCUUCUCACCAGGAAAUCCUUCCAUCCCUCAUCAUUCAAUGAGAUCAAUCUUAAAGUUUUGCUUUCAGUGCCUAGAAGACUCAAUAGCAACUUUUAAAAGUUAAAAUAUUCAUAUUAGUUCAUGUUGGAUCUUCAAUAUGAAAGUUGUGCUGAAUGUUGAUGAGUAAGUAGUGUUGAUGAGUAAGUACUUAUGCAUAUAUAGAAAACAUUGUCUCAGUUGGAACAAUCUGCAACUCGAGAACAUAAAGUUGGAGUCACUAGUAAUCACAUGUCAACAUGUUGAUGUGAAUAUAUCAAGCCUUGUAUGUAUCGAACCAAUGAUCAUCUAUGACUUUUUUGGCACUAUUCCAUGCAACUUAAUUUUUUAUUUUUUUUUGCGUUAUGUUAAGUAUGUGACAUUAUAAUCCAUAGGCAGAUUUAGAAUUUAUAAUUUUUGCGAGUUCUUUAACACAUGCAAUAAGUUCUUUCAAAUUUGUAUCGCGUAUACUCUACAUCUGCCUCUGUUCGAAUCCAAAUGUCACGACAAACGGGAAGAAUAAUAGAUUGCGAACAUCCAACAACAACAACAACAUCAGCUAUUAUGUUUCAGUCUCAAACAAGUUACAAUCGACGAAACAGAAAAUUUUACAAGCAUGAGAAAAGUUUUCCAUUAUUAGCCAUUUUGACAAAAUAUAUGGCUUCCUUUUCUCCCUCAAUCUCCAUUCCUUUUAAAGGAAAAGAGGACUACUUAGAAAGCAAAAAAAAAAAAAAGACAUUGGGUUGAAGUUGACACACAAAAAAGUUUGUGUACAAGCUAGGAACCUACAUGUUGUUUUUAUAAUACAAAAACUUACAAUAAACCUAAUUUGGUCAGAUCCUUCUGCGAAUCCAUGCAAGUAAAAACUUAGUCCAGUGGACUAUUCUUUUUUUCUUCACUACAAGAAAUCAGUCAAUUUUCGACGGACAGUCCGUCGUCCGUUGGAAACAUCUCAGACGAGUGCAUUUUUGACGUAUUUAUCGACAGAAUAAUGUUAUCGAAAAAUUGACUGAUUUCUAGUAGUAGUGUUUUUUACUUAUAAACUAAGUUGUUCAGACUCUUCACUUUCGAUGCCGCACCUGUAUCUGAUUCUCCAAAUAUACACUACUUAUGAAGAAUCUGACACGUAUACGCCGACAUUUCUGACGAUAUUUUUGAAGAGUCCGAGUGGCAUAGCUUAGAACCAAAUAGCUUUGGCAUCAAUAAGCAUUUGUUUAAGUGAUCCAUCAACUUGUAAAGAUAUAAUAUCCUUAGAUGAUCCAACAAAUUUCCCACCAAUAAAAACAGCAGGAACACUUGGAUUACAACCUAAACUUCUCAAUGCUUUCUCCAUUUCUUUCCCUUUUGGAUCUUGAUCAAGUUCAUGAAUUGCUGGACUUGCUCCAAUGUCAUAAAAUAAUGCUUUAAUACUAUGACACAUAAAACAUGAACUCUUUGUGAAUAUUACAGCUGCCUUCUUUGAUGCCAAGUCACCUAUUCUAUCCAUAUCGAUCGAUAUGUAUAGAUAUAGAUAUAGAUACAGAUAUGGAUAUAAAUAUAUACGACGGUGAAACGAAGAAAAUAUGAAGAGUUGAUCACUAAGUUUAGUAGUAGAUGUUGGUGAUGAUAUUUGAGGUUACAUAUCUUGGUUAUUUAUAGGGAUUUUUAGAUAGAUAUGGAUUACAUUAUUUAUCCAGAAAAGGAAAAAAUAAAUUAUACUAAUGCAUAAAUGAAAAGGCAAUGUUCCUUAAAGAUAUUUCUUUAGAUAAAGGAAAGCAAAAGUAAGAAGAAAUAAAAUGUCACAUACUUUGAGAAAUUGAGUUUAACUUCUAUGUACUGACAGUUAAUGUGGAUUUUUAAGCGUUCAGAUAGUACUAUAGUAGUCAUCGUAUUGUCACUGUAGUUUUUAGUCCUUCGAUUCUUGUUACUAUAUGAUAUUUCUAUGCACUUACGACGAUUUUUAAGAGUUCAGAUAGUGGUAGUACUGUGUUGUCUUGUUAUUUGUCCAUACUAUAGUAGUCAUCGAAUUGCCACCGUAGUUACUAGUCCUUCGAUUCCUGUUACUAUCUGAUGUUUCCUGUACUUUGAUUAUUGUAUUAUUUAGAUGUAGUCACUUUUCGGUGUGUUUUGUGAUGCUUUCACUUCCUUGUUCUCUUUCUAAACUUCUUUAAUUUGAACUGUUUUUUCUCGAGUCGAGGGUCUAGUAGACGCAGUCUCUCUACCUUUGAGAUAGGGUAAGUUCUGCGUACUUUCUACUAUCUGUGUUUAUUGCUAAUUCCUAUGUUCUUAAAGUAGUAUUUGUCGAAGAGAAAUCGGUUGACAUCUCUUCAUCGGAAAAUUACACUAUGAAGAUCAAUCAAUUUCUUUUUUUGAUGUAUAUAUACUAUAUAUUGAAUCCCGUUGGCAUAUUUCUGCGUAUACUUUUUUAUAUUUUGAAUCUUCAUAGUGAGAAUUCUUGGCUCAACCUCUUUGUUCAAAUUCAGUUCAUCUAAAAGAUAUUUACAUGUACAUAAAAUCCUCAUAAAAAGUGGAAGGAAUAUCACAAAAAUAAGGUAAAUUGCUAAUUACGAUAGAUUGAAUAUUAGAUGGUUCUUUUCAUUUGUUUUAAUCUUGAAGAACAGAAUUACGAUAGAUUUAAUUAAGGUGCACGAAAACUAGUCCAAACACCACAGUUAUUAAAAAAAAAUCACUCGUAGUGUAAAAAAAGUUAUAUUUUGAGUGUAUAUUAAACUAAAUUCUUCUAUUUUGACCCUUUAAUACUAUGAAAAGUUGACAGACCAUAAAGAUAAUACCAAACUUUUUGUAGAAUCCAUACAACUAUUUAAUAAUAGUUAUUAAUUAAUAAACAAAUUGAUGGGGUAAAAGGCAAAGAUAUUAUUCCUUGAUUUUUUUCAUGAAAAAUUCUUUCAUUAGUGGGUAAAGUAAUUCUAAUUUUGGAGAUCUAGAAACUAAUACAGUAAUAUAUAGAUUUUUUUUUUCAAACUUUAAUGAUGUGUAAAGACAAUGCUACUGGUACAAGAGAUGUAUAGGAAUAUGGAAUAAAGAAAAAAAAAUUGGAAUAAAGAAAAAAAAUUAUGUUCUAUAUUCAAUUCAUAUAUAUAUAUAUAUAUAAUAGUAUAUUUUUAUGUGUCAUCUAAAAGAUAAUUAAUAUAAUUUUACUUUUGUAUAAGGAUGGUGUAAAUUUUUUAUUUUUUUUUACACUAUUAGGUUCGUUUAAAAGGUAAUUUCGGUAACCGAAAAGUAUAAUCUUUUUUAACCGCUUAAACUUUAUCAUUUUAUCAUAGCAAGUAAAGGUUUUCCCGCCCGCAAUUGUCUAAAAGAAUUUACACGUAUUUGGUCCAAAACGUAGGCAAAGACCUAGAUGUGUGGAAAUGCAAGUUGGUUUCGCGUCUGUUAUAACAUGUUAAAUUAUACUGAUAAAGUAAAAGAGAUAAGCAUUCAAUACCUCCACCAUCCACCCACCCGAAUUAUGGCCGCCCAUCCGAAUUAUGAUCAAAGUUGCUACGACACACUCCAACUUCACAAGGGUCCUAUUAUCCCCUGAACUCAAUUUUAGCAUAUUUUUAUCAUUUUUUUGUGCUGUCGUAAUAUUUUUAUUACAUAAAAUGGACCCCACGUCAAAGAUGCCACAUCAGCUAAGAAGGUUGAUAAAAGAUGUCACGUCAGCUAAAAAGGAUGACAAAAAUAUGAUAAUAUUUAAUUCGGGUGGUAAUAGGACCUUCGUGAAGUUAGAGUAUGUCGUAGCAAAUUUGUUCAUAGUUUUAAUUAUGAUGUAAGUGCAUAUGUGUUAAAAGGAGAGAUAUUUACAUUAUUACAUGUGUGGUGGUCCAAUAUGAUGAUUAUUGGUAGAGAACUUGGAGGAUUUUUAGAUGAUGUGGAAUAGACAAGAGCUUCUAUUAUUUUGUUCUUAUAACCUUUCUUUACUAUCAUGAGAUUCAAUAUUAUUUGUUCAAUGGGAUGUGUCACAAUUGUAACCAAGUUGAGUACUCUUCUUUUACUUUGUUAAAAUGGAUGAUAGAUAUUAUUGUUUCAUGUAGUUGAAUCUAGAUUAAUGAAGAUAUUCGAGAUAAGAUGGGAAUAGUCUGUGUAGUGGACAAAUGAAGUAGGCAAGGUUGAGAUAGUAUAGGCGUGGAGAUAAGCAUUCAGUGCUCCCGAACUAUGAUAAAAGUUUCUACCGAACUAUGAUAAAAGUUUCUACGACACACUCUAACUUCACAAAGAUCCUAUUACCCUCUGAACUCAAUUUUAGGGUAUUUUUGUCACUCUUUUGUGAUGAUGUGGCACCUUUAAUACAUAAAAUGGGGCCCACACCAAAGGUGCCACAUCAGCUAAAAAGAUUGACAAAAGGUGUCACGUCAGCUAAAAAGAAUGACAAAAAUACGCUAAAAUUUAGUUCGGGGAUAAUAGAACCCUCGUGAAGUGGAGUGUGUCGUUGCAACUCAUAAUUCGGGGGUACUAGAUGUUUUACUCUAUAGGCGUGCGAAGAAGAAAUGUCAAAUGUCGUAGUGAGGAGGUGUGAAAGAUUCAUAUGGUGGGAACGAGGAGAGGUAGAAGUAAGUUAAAGAAGUAUUAGAGAAGGUGAUUAGACAGAACAUGACGUAGUGGCAAUUUACUGAGGACAUGACCUUAGAUUAGAGGCUAUGAAGGAAGCAGAUUGGGAUAGAAAGUUAGUAGGUAGUAGAGCGCUGUCUCGCUUUAUGACGUAGAGGUUAUGGAGGAAGCCGAAGGAGUAUUAGAGAGAGGUGAUUAGACAGAACAUGACAUAGAUGCAACUUACUAAGGACAUGACCUCUAGGAAACAGAUCGAGGUAGAAAGUUAGUAGGUAGUAAAGCAUUGUCUCGCUUCUUGGUGAUAUAGUUUGAAGCACCGUUUAUGUCGUAGUAUUAAACUUAUUCAUGAAUUUCUUGUUUUUUCGAUAUAUGCUACCAUAUAAAGUCGAUGUUAUUGUUCCUUUUCUGUAUGCUUUGCAUUGCUUUUCGUAUUAGUUACCAUGUUUUCCUUGUUGCCGUAUUCCCUCGUGCAUGACUAUUUUGACUUAAUGCACUUGACUCGAAGAUUGUUCAGAAACAACCUCUUUGCCUCCAUGAUGUAGGGAUAAAGUUUGCAUACACUCAGGAUGGACCAAUGACCAUCUUCUUGGUGCUCCGGCACCCGUUGAAUUCGAGGCAGACUUAUAAAAGCACCUAGUAAACCGAACCUCCUAAGCACCCACGACUCCUAAAUCCUGAGUCCGCCACUACUUACACUGAACCCUCCCCAGACCCCACCAGUUGAAUUACAUUGAGUAUGUUAUUGUUUUAUGUAGUUGAAUCUAUAUAAUCCGUCUAAGGGAAUGAAAGAAAAAACAAAGAGUAUCUUGUAGUGAUAGAGAUGCAUCUUAAUUUGCUUCAUCUCUUUUUCUAUUGUAUAUGAUGAUGUUUUCAAAUACUUAGGACAGGGAAACCCCAUGCCCAAAGCAUCCCACGUUUACGCAGGGUCCAGAGAAGGGCCGCAUGGCAAGGGGUCCAAUGAGACACGUUAACACAGGGUUAGGGGAAGCCGCAAGGGGUCCAAUGAGACGUUUACACAGGAGAAGGGGAAGGGCCGCACCACAAGGGGUCCAAUGAGACACGUUUGCGCAGGGUCAGGGGAAGGGCCGCACCGUAAGGGGUCCAAUGAGACAAAUUUACGCAGGGCAGGGUUAGGGGAAGGACCGCACCGUGCAAGGGAUCCAAUGAGACAAUGAGGAGAUUCUUCAAUUGAAAGAAGGUAACAUUGAGCCAUUUAUUCAUAAUGUACAGAAAUUACCAGGAAAAGCAUACAUAGGAGUUGUUGUUUACAUCAACUUUGCUGGCCAACUUCGCCGACUUGAGAGUUGCAUAUUCGGUAUUGAAGAAAUACCAGACGCUACGCUACACAAUGAGGAGGGGUCCGUAUUGGAUCCUGAAACAAUCCGGAUUGUUAUUCUGGCGAUGACAUGUAAGGGGCAUUCGGUAUAUCAGGAAGAGAAGAAGCUGAUGAACUAUCUCGUACUGUUCCCAUUGGAUGAUCGAAUUUACAAGUGCCACCGAAUUUGCAGAAUCCUCUUUGCAUAAAGAAGGAACAAGGCUGCACCCCCUACUUUCACAAGUGAAAUUAGUCGAGUCUCAAAACAGACUAACGAGUUACACACAUCAAUACUUUCAGACUCAACAAAGCUAAUAUAACAAGAUGAAAGUGUCGCAAUCGUUCAGGUAUCAUGAAGCUCACCAGAUAUCUGAACCAGAUAUGAAGGUUUUGAAACCGGAGAAAGGAGAUUUUACACUUCCUCCAACCAAGGCAAAGAAGUAUUCAUGUAUCAUGCAGAGACUCGAGAUGAUAACAAACAUACUUGGUUAUACUGGAACCAUCGAAGGAGGCUAACAUCUCUAGUGUAGCUAUAUGUUCUCGAGUCUAGAAGAUGUGCAGCCAUCAUUUUGGCAUUUGAAAGUUAGGCAAUCGUUAGAAUUCAACCGUUUGUAUUCUGUGUGAACAUAUCGUGACAUUUUCAAAUCGCAACAUAUUUUGUUUCAUUUCUUGUUAGGACUGAUAACUAACAGCAGCCUAAUAAGUCAUACGGACCAGCGGCCAGCGACUAAUGCAGAACAGGUAAGAGUAGUCAGACUGCCCUUUUGUAGUUUAUCUACAUGGCAUAGAGCAUGCAAGAGGCAAGUACCUCUGUAGCUCCAAGAAGAACCGUAAAUUUAGAUUCAACAAAAUAAUACUACUUGAAUUCUGUGACAACUAUGCAGCUGAGCAGGCUAAGAACGGUAAUGCAUGGCAGGAUCUCAGUUUCAGGCAAGACCAGAUAGACAACGAUGCUCAUCACAGAUUUAUCCAGAUUGGAUUCUAAAUUCGCGAUGCCAAGUCAAACAGAAGGAAGAAAGAAGGAUAUUAGUCAUACCGGGCGCAAAGGAAGGCCUAAGGAGUUGACAGCGCAAUCUGUCUUUGAUGGACUCCAGUCGGCAGGAUGAUGAAACUUACAUGAUGAUCCAAAUUUACAAUCCCCCGUUUGCAUGUAAUAUUGACAUACUCGUUGGCCUGGUCUUUCAGGAAAAUGCUUUUCCUGCAAUGCACUGCUUGACGGGCCAUCAGCUAAGUGUAACGAGGAGUAAGGUGCUGCAAUGGCAGGUGUCGAAGAUGCUAGUUGUGAUAGUGCAAGACUUCCCGGUGCCUGCAAAAAGCAAAUUAAUCACCCGAUAGGAUUGUUAUUUUCCGUCAUAUCAGAUAAUCGACUGAGAGAAUAUCUCCAUCAUACCGAAUAAGUGCUCCAGUUCUGAACGGUCGCUAAUCCUGGGUGAAGCAGAACUGGACCGUAAGUACCAGGUACAUAAGAACUAGGUAAGAGUUGAGGCCUCGUUUCUUCAAGAGGUGCAGGAAGAGACGGCACUGUCGGAUAAAAUGGCCGUGCAGUUACUGGCGCUGAUACCUCAGCAGGGUUAGGAUGAUGGAAUUUACAUGUUAAACCAAAUUUGCAUUGCCCCGUUUUCAAAUAAUAGGAGCAUACUCUUUCCUCCUGUCGUAAUUGAUAAAUUUUGAGAGCUCUUAACCAAACUUAUCGAUAGAGUACACAAAUGCAUACAUACAACGAAAUAGAUCAAUUACCGGGCGUAAUGGGUAUCCAUAUUCAUUUAGUGGUACAUUGCUCAAAGAUCCACCCAAGUUUCUUGGAUGGUGGAACUUGCACGAUGCACCAUAUUUACAGGUCGCUGUUCUUAGAUAGUACUGCAAAUAGAAAUUAUCCAUUCAUCACACACGAAAUCAAUAUUGCAUACACGCGUACUUGAUAAAACAACAUGAUCAAACACGAACAAACUCAGGAUGUUAAAUAGAGUUACCUGACAUAUAGGCUCUCCUAUUCGUUCUGGAUAUUCACUUCUUUCCAACGGCACAACACCAACCUUAAAUCCGAGCCACACCCAAGUAAGAGUCAAAGUAACUCAUGCUUACCAUUCCGAGAAACUAACAGAACAAAUAAAAAUCGUCCAUUUCUACUUCAUCUUGUUAAGUAUACAAAUAGAAAAACAUAAAAUGAUCGGCCAAAUAGUACCACUCUUUUGUUAUCGUUAUAAUAUUUCUUCAAACACUCUGCUUUUGAUUAGAUUGCCUUUGAUUUUCUUGCCGUGCCUACUCAGUGCAUUCUCUGUGCAGGACCUUUUCAUUCAAAUCCUCACUCUCAACUAGUCUUAGUUGAAAUGUAAAGUUAGCUACCGAGUUACUUACGGUGUAUAAUUGUCUUUUACAUCACCAAUAUGAGCGAAAACGACCUAAAUGAUCCCUUAUAGUUGUGCGUAGACACAUAACAUCAACCUUAUUCUUUAGUAUGGUGCAUGCACUAUUAGCGCAUCAAAAUCGGUAAACAAUAAGGAGUAAUAGUGCACCAGGUAAAAGAAUACAGAUAACUAUAUUACUCAGCUCGAAAUAAGGGACUAUUUUAGACUUUUUUUCCCAAUGAGACAUUAAGGUUUCAGCGUAUAACGUUAGUACCAAUUCAAUAAGCUUGUCGGUUCAUGAUUCUCUAUGAAACUAUAGGCUCCAUUAAACAAGUAAUGAUCAGUAUAGUCAUCAGGAGCGGAUCUAGCCUUCAACGUAAGGGUUCACGUGAAUCUAGUAGCUUUUCGUCAAACUCUAUGAAGCCCAUUGGUAAAAGUACAUCAAUUUGAGGUCGCGAUAGGAACUCAUAAACUUCAAAUCUUGAAUUCGUCUGAUGAUAGUAAGCUUAAUUAACACAAUAUAUAACUACAAGAUGAGAUCAAGAAACUUACAGAGGUUAAAUCAGGAGGAUGAUUAUACCGACAUUGAGCACCAUAUCCACAAGACCCCGUACGCAUAUAGAAGGAACAAUUAGGUGUCCCGGACCUUUCCGGGUACCCUUCAUUGCUCCAUAACCCCAACCUCCUCAUUGAUUCUACAUUGUCAAAACACACACACACACAAAGAAUGUGGACAGACCCCAAAAAGUCAAAUUCAUUAAAUCAAAAAAUACCAAAGGAAAAUUCUUCCUUUAUAGACAUGAACAUAAGAAGGAAAAAAUACUAUUUACACUAUAUUUCCACUCCAUUCUUUCAUUUUCUUGAAAAAAAAAGUCCGUCGCUUAUGUUUCCGAUGAUCUUUCGGAAACAGUCUCUCUACCUCCACGAGGUAGUUAUAAGGUCCGCAUACACUCUACCGUCCGCACAUCCCACUUGUGGAAAACCCCUUGGUCCCCGAGUGUCUUACGGAAACAACCUUUCUACCUCUACAAGUUAGUUAGUGGUAAUUAAGUUUUGCGUACACUCUACCCUACUGUCACCGAUUUGUCAUCAAAUUUGUGCAGUGAAAGAACUCACCUUCUAGACCGGUUUCCGGUCCAACAGGUACCCAUUCUGGCUGCUGAUCAGAUUGUGAUCCACCAUACAUCUCCAUAUUUUUUUACCUAAAAUUCACUAAAAAAAGUGAAAAAAAAAAUUAGGCAAAAAAUUUACUAUUCAAAAGAGCAAGAUCGUGCAUAUAACAGUCCGGUGCACUAAAGCUCCCGCCAUGCACGGAGUCUAGAGAAGGACCGGACUACCUGAGUCUAUUAUACACAACCUUACCUUCCAUUUCUGCCCGAGAUCGUGCAUGUAUGUAACACAAACAUUCAAUUUAUGUAUAGAUAUGUGUUAUGAGUAGGAAAAACACACACAGUGAGUGUGUGUUUUUGGUGUUUUUUUCUCUUUUUUUUGCAAGAAUCUAUUCUACGAAGCCUUACCUUGCAUUUCUGUUAGACAUCAUGCAUUUAUGUAACAAAAACAUUGAAUUUCUAUAUACAUAUGAGUUAUAAAUAUGAAAAAAAAACACAGUGAGUGUGUGUUUUUGGUGUUUUUUUCUCUUUUUCUGUACGAGUCUAUUAUACGCAACCUUACCUUGCAUUUCUGUCAAAAAUCAUGAAUAUAUAUAACACAAACAUUCAAUUUCUGUGUAGAUUAUGAGUUAUCAAUAUGAAAAAAACACAGAGUGAGUGUGCGUUUUUGGUGUUUUUUUCUCUUUCUUUAUGCACGAGUCUAUUAUACGCAGCCUUACUUUGCAUUUCUGUCAAAGAUCAUGCAUAUAUAUAACACAAACAUUGAAUUUCUAUAUAGAUAUGAGUUAUCAAUAUGAAAAAAACACACAGUGAGUGUGUGUUUUUGGUGUUUUUUCUCUUUUUCUGUACGAGUCUAUUAUACGCAGUCUUACCUUGCAUUUCUGUAAGAAAUCAUGCAUAUAUAUAACACAAACAUUGAAUUUCUAUAUAGACAUGAGUUAUCAGUAUGAAAAAAAAACACAGUGAGUGUGUGUUUUUGGUGUUUUUUUCCUCUAUUACUGCAAGAAUCUAUUAUAUACGCAGCCUUACCUUACAUUUCUGGCAGAGAUCACGCAUGUAUGUAACACAAACAUUCAAUUUCUGUGUAGAUUAUGAGUUAUCAGUAGGAAAAACAAACACAGUGAGUGUGUGUUUUUGGUGUUUUUUCUCUCUGUUUUUUUGCACAGUACAGUGAAGUUCAAGAAGUGAAGUAAACUACUUUUUCUUCUUAUUAUUUUGCUUUUAUAUUUUCUCAAACUGUAACCGUUCAUUUUUAUUUUUUAUUUUUGUUUCCUUUCAUUAAGCUACCCGCCAAAGUAUGUUUGAUGGGGGGUAUGCAUUAAUUAAAUUAAAGAAAAACAAUAAAUAAAAUAAUUAUGUCAUUUUAGUUAGUUUUUGUGUUUUUAAAUUUUAGAUGUGUGUAACUAGUAUUUAAAUUUGUAUAAAGUUGAAUAAAUAAAUACGUGCAUUGCCACGUAGAUGUCACGUGCAUCCUUGUACUUUUCAAAAAGAAAAAUAAUAUUUGCCCUUUAUUAUACUUUUUGGAUAUAUUUAUAUUUAUCAUCGAAUUUUGAGUACAUAUUUAUUCCUGAAUUGUUAAUUUCUCUUGUCUCGCCUUUACAUCCUACGUGGCAUGCUCACGUGAAUUUUUCAUCUUCUUUCUUUUUGUAACCAUUCUUUUCUCACCUUUACCUCCUAUGUAGCACGCCCGCAUGAAUUUUUCAUUUUUUCUUUUUGUAACCGUUCUUUUCUUUAUUUUCUUCCUUUCAGUACCUGCCAAAGUAUGGUAUAGGGCCAAGCAUGAUGAAGUAGGAGUAUUCGGUAGGCAAUCUUUUUGACUUGAUCAAAAAAUGAGUCAUUCAUUAAAGUAAAUAGAACCGAUAAAUGUAUAAUAUGUGUUUUGUACAUAAACUAUUUUAACAGUAUUAAAUUUACAUGACUUAGUAUAAACAUCGAGCACGGAUGAGAUAAUUAUUUGCCUUUAUCAUUGAACUUUGAGUACAUAUUUAUCCCUGAACUGUUAAUUCCUCUUCUGGAUCAUCUUUACUUUCUAUGUGGCAUGCUCACGUGAAUUUUUCAUCUUCUUUCUUUUUGUAAGCAUUUUUUCUUUCACUAUCCGCCAAAGUCUGGUAAAGGGCCCAACAUGAUGAAGCAAAAGCAUUCAGUUGGCAAUCUUUUUGACUUGACCAAGAAGUGGGUUAUGCAUUAUAGUAAAUAGAAUCGAUAAAUGUAUAAUAUGUGUUUGUAUAUAAAUUUUUUAACGGCAUUAUAUUUACAUGAUUUAGUAUAAACAUCGAGCAUAGAUAAGAUAAUUAUUUGCCUUUAUCAUCAAACUUUGAGUACAUAUUUAUCCCUGAAUUAUUAAUUCUCUUGUCUCACCUUUAUCUUCCACGUGGCACAUUCACGUGAAUUUUUUUAUUUUUUUUUUGUAACCAUUUUUUUCUCACCUUUACCUCCUACGUGGCACGUUCAUGUGAAUUUUUUUUAUCUUUUUUUCUUUUUGUAACCGUUCUUUUCUAUCUUUACCUUUUACGUGGCACGCUCACGUUAAUUUUUCAUAUUCUUUCUAUUUGUAACUGUUCUUUUCUUUGUUUUCUUCUUUUAGUAUCCGCCACAAUAUGGUAAAGGGUCAAACAUGAUGAAAUUGGAGCAUUCAGUCGGCAAUCUUUUGGACUUAAACCAAGAAAUGAGCUAUGCAUUAAAGUAAAUAGAAUCGAUAAAUGUAUAAGAUGUGUUUUGUUCAUAAAUUUUUUAACAGUAUUAAAUUUACAUGACUUAGUAAAACAUCGAGCACGAAUGAGAUAAGUAUUUGCCUUUAUCAUCGAACUUUGAGAACAUAUUAUCGUUCUUUUCUUUGUUUUCUUCCUUUCAAUACUCGUCAAAGUAUGAUAAAGGGCCAAACAUGAUGAAGUAGGAGCAUUCAGUCAGCAAUCUUUUUUACUUGAUCAAGAAAUAGGUUAUGUGUUAAAGUAAAUAAAACCGAUAAAUGUGUAAAAUAUAUGUUUUGUACAUAAUCUUUUUUAGCAUUAUUAAAUUUACAUGAUUUAGAGUUAGAGUUUGUGACCCAAAUUCUGUUGAUCUGACCCUGAAAAGUUCGCGGUACGACCCAUGUUUGUGAUUCUUUGUGGGGUCAGUGGUGGGCUCCGAGAUCGGGCCGAUACUUGUGUGUUUUUGGGCCUAGAAUUUAUUUGUACACACGUAUUAUAUAAGUGCAAUUUAAUGGGUUGUUUUGGACGGUUUGAAAUACGUCAUUGAGACUUCCGUCUCCUAUUGUACUCCUCUCCAUUAUAGUGAAAUUCCUCCUCCUCUGCCUGUGAUUUUUCCCGCAAAGAUUUUCACAUAAAUCUAUGUGUCUUCUUUUACUUUGUGAUAUUACUUAUUCUGCCCAAAUAUAACAUUUAAUAUAAACAUCGAGUAUGAAUAAAAUAAAUAUUGUACCCUAGUAAAUGAGGUUUCAACAAAGUGGUUUAAAAGAAUUUUUAAAGUCUCAACUAUUAACAAAAGAGUUUAAAAUAUUUUUUUAUGUCCAACUAUUCAUGUUAGAAGCACCUGAUUAAUCAUUUUGUGUUGAAAAACUGCACAAAAUUUGCACUUUUACUGAUAAAAAUUUGCACAAAUAAUUAUAUAUAAAAAAAAAAAGAUCUAGACAAAAUACAAAGUGAGCACUUAUAUUUCACACUUAUAUUUUCUUUCUUUUACACACAGAGUAUUGGAAAUGGGGGUUAUCCAUUAAUUAAAUAAAAAAGAGCCAAUAAAUGAUACUCCCUAUGUGUAUCAUGUGGUAUAAUAGAUUUAUAAUAUGAAUUGCUCCGUACGAUGUCAUAUAAGACACAUGUAUUAUUUAUUUAAGUAAAUAGAUUUAAAUGUCUAUUUGUGUACAUCUAAAACUGAAUAACGUAAAUGUCAGUUGAGGUUAAAUUAAAGGACACAUUUAUAUAUUAUAUCUCAUCUAUUCAUGAAAUCUGAGAAGAAUUUGAUUAAUCAUUUGUUUUUGAAGAAUUUCUUGAAAAUUCUUCAAGAUUAAAUUGUUUUUGUACUUUUCAAAAAAUAUUAGUAGAUUUGCUUUUCGUUUUCUUAUCGUUCAACUUUACACACAUAUUUAUCCUACGUGGUGCGUCCACAUGAAUUUUAUGUUUUCUUUCUUUCUAUAACAGUUCUUUUUUUGUUUUCUCCGUCUUAGUACCCACCAAAUUAGGGAAAGGGGGUUAUGCAUUAAAUUACAUAGAAUCGAUAAAUGUGUAAUAUGUGUUUUGUACAUAUUUUUUUAGCAAUUUACAUGAUUUAGUGUAGACAUCAUGUGAUACGUAUUUUAUCUUAGUAACAGUGAAUCUAGAAUUCAAAAUUUGAUUCUCAAAAUGGUUUUCUGGAUAUUCUUUUAUAGCUCUACUAUUCACGAAAUGUGAGAAGCACCUGAUUAAUUAUCUAUUUUUAAAAACAAAUCGAAAAAUUUCUUGAGAUUUUACAAGAUCAUUCGUUCUUUUUUUAGGAAACAAAUUUGUUUUUGUACUUCUCAAACAAAUUAUAUUUGCUCUUCAUUAUAUAUAUAUAUAUAUAUAUAUAUUUGUUCUUAUCAUCCAACUUUAAAAAUAUAUUUCUGAAUUAUUAAUUUUUCUUACAUGCCAUCACUUUAUUUCCUACGUAGCGCGCUCACGUGCAUAUAUUUUUAGUGUACUUUUUUUCUUUGGUUAACCAUUCUUUUUUCUUUGUUUUAUUCCUCCCAAUUUCAACAGUCCACCCAACUAGGGGUGGGCAUGGUAUGGUAUGGUACGGUAUUUUAAAUUUCAGUACGGUAACUUUGGUUUUCGGUAUCUAAAAGAACAAUACCAUUACCAUACCAAAUUAGUUUGGUAUGGUUCGAUAUUUUUGAAUUCGGUUUUGAUAUUUUAUGGUACGGUAAUUCAGUAACCAUACUUUAUUUGAUUUCGAUUUACAUAUAUUCAUAUAAAAAAACUAUAACUUAAAAACUUAAAAACGUCUCAAUCAUAUCAGACUAACAACUAUCUUUGUUAAUCAUCUACACAACUAUCUUUAUUAUCCAACUUUGCACACAUAUUUAUCCUUGAAUUGUUAAUUGCCCUUGUCAUCCCCAUAUUUUUUUCCUACGUGGUGCGUGCCCACGUGAAUUUUUUGUUUUCUUUUUUUCUAUAAUAAUUCUUUUAAUUUGUUUUCUCCAUCUAAAUACCCACCAAACCCGCCAAAGUAGGGAGAGAGGGUUAUGCAUUAAAUUAUAAAGAACCGAUAAAUGCAUAAUAUGUAUUUUGUACAUAAGCUUUUAGUCAUUUACAUGAUCUAGUGUAAAUUUAUCCUAGUAUCAGUGAAUCUAGAAUUUAAAAUUUGAUUCUCAAAUAUUUUUUCUAGAUAUUCUUUUAUAGCUCAACUAUUCGUGAAACGUGAGAAGCACUUGAUUAAUCAUCUGUUUUAAAACAAAUCGAAGUAUUUCUUGAAAAUUUUACAAGAUCAUUUGUUCUUUUUUUUAGAAAAGGGUCAAAUUUGUCGUUGUACUUCUUAAAAAAAUUAGAGAUAAUACCCAAUUACCUCCCUGAACUAUACCCAAAAAGGCUAUGACAUACCUCAACUUAAAGGGGGUCCUAUUACCCCCUGAACUAAUUAAAAAUGUAAUUUUGACACCCUUAGUGCCUAUGUGGCACAUACGUGGCACAACACACUGAAGUGUCCACGUAGGCACACGUGUGUGCCACGUAGGCACUAAGGGUGUCAAAAUUACACUUUUAAUUAGUUUAGGGGGUAAUAGGACCCCCUUUAAGUUGAGGUGUGUCACAAUCUUUUUGGGUAUAGUUCAGGGGGGUAAUUGAGUAUUUUCUCAAAAAAUUAUGUUUGCUCUUCAUUAUAUAUAUAUUUUAGAUAUAUUAGUCCUUAUCAUCCAACUUUAAGAAUAUAUUUCUGAAUUGUUAAUUCUUCUUACACGCCAUUACUUUAUUUUCUAUGUGGCGCGCUCACGUGCAUUUUCAAUGUACUUUUUUCUUUUUGUAACCGUUCUUUUCUCUUUGUUUUCUUCCUCUCAAUUUCGACAUCCCACCCAACUAUUCACGAAAUGUGAGAAGUAUUUGAGUAAUCAUCUUCUUUUACAAAAAAAUAAAAUAAAAAAAAAUUGAAGCAUUUCUUGAGAAUUUUAUCAAAUUCGUUCUUUUUUUUUUUUUUUUUUUUGAGAAAAGGUCAAAUUUGUUGUUGUACUUCUCAAAAAAAAUUAUAAUAUCUCUUCAUUAUACUUUUUUGUUAUAUUUGCCCUUAUCAUCUAAGUUGGAGCAUAUAUUUAACAUUGACUUGUCAAUUCCUCUUGCAUGUCCUCACUUUAUUUCCUAUGUGGCGCGCUCGCAUGCAUUUACAGUGUUCUUUCUUCGCGCUCGCAUGCAUUUACAGUGUUCUUUCUUUCUUUUUUCUUUGUUUUCUUCCUCUCGAUUUUAAUAGUCCACUCAACUAUUCACAAAAUGUGAGAAGGACCUGAUUAAUCAUUUUUAAAAAUAAAAAAAAGUCAAAGAAUUUCUUGAAAAUCUUAUUAGAUUUUCAUUCUUUUUUGGGGAAAGAAUGUUAAUUCCUCUUGUGACCUCCUACGUGGCACGCUUACGUAAAUUUUUCAUGUUCUUUUCAGCAUCCGUCAAAGUAUGGUAAAGAGCCACACAUGAUGAAGUAGGAACAUUCGGUAAGCAAUUUUUUUGCCUUGACCAAAAAUUUGAAGUAAAUAGAAUCAAUAAAUGUAUAAUAUGUGUUUUGUACAUAAAUUCUUUUGAUAGUAUUAAAUUUACAUGACUUGGUGUAAAUAUCGAGCGCGAAUAAGAUAUCUAUUUUAUCCUAGUAAAUGAUGUUUUAACAUCUGUGGCCGGUUUCCUACCGCUUAAUGCACUGACAGAGGAACGAAGGAUUAGUCUCAUGAUUGCCGGCUGUGGGGAUACCUUGGGAAACCAAAAAAAAAAAAUAAACAAAAAAAGUCUCAAUUAUUAACAAAAGAGUUUUGAAUAUUUUUCAGUAUCUAAUUAUUCACGAAAGGUAAGAAGCACCCGAUUAAUUAUUUUGUGUUAAAAACUCCAUAAAAUCUGCACUAUUACUUGAUAAAAAUCUAAAUAAAAUUAUAAAAGAAAAUCUAGAUAAAAUACAAAGUGAAAUGUGAGAGAAUUUGAUUAAUCAUUUAUUUUCUAAGAAUUUCUUGGAAAUUCUACAAGAUCCAUUCGUUUUUAUUAGAAACGAAUCAAAUUUUUUCUUGUACUUUUCAAAAAAUAUUAAUAGAUUUACUUUUCGUUAUAUUUUUUGUGAUAUAUUUGUCCUUAUCAUUCAACUUUACACACAUAUUUAUCCUUGAAUUGUUAAUAUUCCUAGUGUUAUCCCUAUAUUUUUUUUUCCUACGUGGCACGUGCCCACGUGAAUUUUCUUUUCUUUUCUUUUUUUUAUAACAAUUCUUUUUUAUUUGUUUUCUCCAUCUCAGUACCCGCCNNNNNNNNNNNNNNNNNNNNNNNNNNNNNNNNNNNNNNNNNNNNUAUGCAUUUUGUACAUAAAUUUUUAACAAUUUACAUGAUUUAUUAUAAACAUCAUGUGAUACACAUUUUUAUCCUAGUAUCAGUGAAUCAAGAAUCUAAAAUUUAAUUCUCAGAAAUAUUUUUCUAGAUAGUCUUUUAUAGCUCAACUAUCACGAAGCGUGAGAAACACCUGAUUAAUCAUCUAUUUUUAAAACAGAUCGAUGAAUUUCUUGAAAAUUUUAUAAGAUCAUUCGUUUUUUUUUUUUUAAGAAUAGAGUCAAAUUUGUCUUUGUACUUCUUAAAAAAAUUAUAUUUGCUCAUUAUAUAUAUAUUUUGGAUAUAUUUGUCCUUAUCAUUUAGCUUUAAGAAUAUAUUUCAGAACUGUUAAUUUUUCUGAUAUGCCAUCACUUUAUUUCCUAUGUGGUGUGCUCACGUGAAUUCUCAAUAACCGCUUGACAUAUUUUUUAGUGUUCAAUUAUUCAUAAAACGUUAGAAGCACCAGAUUAAUCAUAUUGUGUUAAAAACUGCACAAAAUUUGCACUUUUAUUUAAUAAAAAUCUGCACAAAAUUAUUUAAAAAAUCUAGAAAAAUACAAAGAAAAAUUAUAGAGCAUUUGAUUAAUCAUUUAUUUUCGAAGAAUUUUUUGAGAAUUCUACAAAAUUCAUUCGUUUUUGUUUAGAAAAGAAUCAUAUUUGAUCUUGUAGUUUUCAAAAGAUAUUAACAGAUUUGCUUUUCGUUAUAUUUUUUUGAUAUAUUUUCCCUCGUCAUUCAACUUUACACACAUAUUUAUCCUUGAAUUGAUAAUUGCUCUUGUCAUCCCCAUAUUUUUUUCCUAUGUGGCGCAUGCCCACGUGAUUUUUUUUUUUUUUUAUAACAGUUCUUUUACUUUAUUUUCUCCAUCUCAGUACCCGCCAAAGUAGAGAAAGGGGGUUAUGCAUUAAAUUACAUAGAACCGAUAAAUGUAUAUUAUGUGUUUUGUACAAAAUUUUUUAGCAAUUUGCAUUAUUUAAUAUAAACAUCAUUUGAUACGUUUUUUAUUCUAAUAACGGUGAAUCUAGAAUUUAAAAUUUGAUUCUCUAAAUGUUUUUCUGGAUAUUUUUGUUAUAGCUCAAUUAUUCACGAAACGUGGAAAGCACCUGAUUAGUCAUUUAUUUUUUAAAACAAAUCAAAGAAUUUCUUGAAAAUUUUACAAGAUUAUUCAUUCUUUUUUAAGGAAAAGGUCAAAUUUAUUUUUGUACUACUAAAAAAAUUAUAUUUGCUCUUCAUUAUAUAUUUUCUUUUUUGGAUAUUUCUUUCUUUAUCAUCCAAAAGAAUAUAUUUCUGAAUUGUUAAUUCUUCUUACAUGUCAUUACAUUAUUUUCUACAUGGUACGCUCACGUGCAUUUUCAGUGUACCUUUUUUUUUUUUGUAACCGUUCUUUUCUCUUUGUUUUCUUCCACCCAAUUUUUAGUGCAUUUUUAGUGACCUUCUACAUUGCACACUCACGUUAAUUUUUCAUAUUCUUUCUUUUUGUAACCGUUCUUUUCUUUGUUUUCUUCCUUUCAAUACCCGCCAAAGUAUGAUAAAGAGCCAAGUUUGAUGAAAUGGAAACAUUCAGUUGGAAAUCUUUUUGAUUUGACCAAGAAGUGAGUUAUGCAUUAAAGUAAAUAGAACAGAUAAAUGUAUAAUAUGUGUUUUGGACAUAAAUCGUUUUAACAGUAUUAAAUUUACAUGAUUUAGUGUAAGCAUCGAGUACGGAUGAGAUAAUUAUUUGUCUUUAUCAUCGAACUUUGAGUACAUAUUUAUCCUUGAAUUGUUAAUUCCUCUUCUCGAUCUCCUUUACUUCCUACGUGGCACGCUCACAUGAACUUUUCAUAUUCUUUCUUUCUGUAACCGUUCUUUUCUUUGUUUUCUUUCUCUCAGUACCUGUCAAAGUAUGAUAAAAAGUCACACAUGAUGAAGUGGGAGUAUUCAGUCGUCAAUCUUUUUUGACUUGACCAAGAAUUGAGUUAUGCAUUAAAGUAAAGUAAAUAGAACCAAUAAAUAUAUAAUAUGUGUUUUGUACAUAAGUUCUUUUAACAAUAUUAAAUUUAUAUGAUUUAGUGUAAACAUCAAGAACGGAUAAGAUAAGUAUUUUAUCCUCGUAAAUGAGGUUUCAACAAAGUGAUUUAAAAGAAUCUUUAAAGUCUCAACUAUUAACAAAAGAGUUCUGAAUAUUUUUUUUAAUUUUCAACUAUUCACUAAACCUGAUUAAUUAUUUUGUGGUAAAAAUUGCACAAAAUCUGCACUUUUACUUGAUAAAAAAUCUUCACAAAAUCAUUUAUUUUCGAAGAAUUUUUUGAGAAUUCUACAACUUUUUUAGAAAAGAAUCAAAUUUGUUCUUGUACUUUUCAAAAAAUAUUAAUAGAUUUGCUUUUCGUUAUAUUUUUUUAAUAUAUUUACUUUUAUUAUCCAACUUUACGCACAUAUUUAUCCUUGAAUUGUUAAUUGCUCUUGUCAUCCCCAUAUUUUUUUCCUACAUGGCGCGUGCCCCCGUGAAUCUUUUGUUUUUUUCUAUAACAGUUCUUUUUUCUUCAUUUUCUCCGUCUCAGNNNNNNNNNNNNNNNNNNNNNNNNNNNNNNNNNNNNNNNNNNNNNNNNNNNNNNNNNUGUUUUGUACAUAAAUUUUUCGCAAUUUACAUGACUUAGUGUAAAUAUCAUGUGCUACGUAUUUUAUCCUAGUAUCAGUGAAUCUAAAAUUUAAAAUUUGAUUCUCAAAAUAUUUUUUUUGGAUAUUCUUUUAUAGCUCAACGAUUUAGAAACAUGAGAAACACCUGAUAAAUCAUUUAUUUUUUAAACAAAUAGAAGAUUUUUUUCAAAAUUUUACAAAAAUAUUCGUUCUUUUUUUAGGAAAGGGUCAAAUUUGUUUUUGUACUUCUCAAAAAUAUUAUAUUUGCUCUUUAUUUUAUAUUUUUUGGAAUAUAUUUAUCUUUAUCAUCCAACUUUAAGAAUAUAUUUCUGAAUUGUUAAUUCUUCUUACAUAUCAUCAUUUUCUUUUCUAUGUGGCGUGUAUUUUCAGUGUACUUUCUUUCUUUUGGUAACCGUUCUUUUCUCUUUGUUUUCUUCAUCUCAAUUUCAACAGUCUACCCAAUUAUUCACGAAAUGUGAGAAGUAUGUGAUUAAUCACCUUUAAAAAAAAAAAGAAAUUGAAGAAUUUCUUGAGAAUUUUACCUGAUUCGUUCAUUUUUUUUUUAAAGAAAAGAAUCAAUUUAUUGUUGUACUUCUCAAAAAGAUUAUAUUUUCUCUUCAUUAUAUUUUUUUUCGGUAUAUUUACCCUUAUCAUCUAAUUUUGAGCUUAUAUUUAAUACUGAAUUGUUAAUUUCUCUUGCACGUCCUCACAUUAUUUCCUACGUGGUGUGCUCACGUGCAUUUACUAUGUUUUCUCUUUCUUUUUGUAAUCGUUAUUUUUUUUUGUUUUCUUCCUCUCAGUUUUAAUAGCUCACCCAACUAUUCACGAAACGUGAGAAGUACUUGAUAAAUUAUCUUUUUAAAAAAAUGUCAAACAAUUUCUUAGAAAUUUUAUCAGAUUUAUUCAUUCUUUUUUGGUGAAAGGGUUAAAUUUGUUGAGAAAAUUGAAGGAAAGGUGUCUUUUAAGUCUUGAAUGAAGGAUUGUUGACAUUGACCAACUUAAAAGGUCAAACAUAAUUAGGAAACUUGAUUAAGUUAAUUGUGGACUUGAUUAAUAUUUUUAAAACUUUCUAAUCUUUUUAAAAAUAUAAAUCAACUCAACCCACAUCCCUCUUCAAUCCAAACCAUCGACUGUCUCUCUCCUCUCUCUCGACAGCUUCUCUCAACCAGCAGUUUUGCAAAUUUCUCCUUUCAACCCCGGCGACUUCAACCUCCGAUGACAAAUAGUUGGGCUUCAAGUUUCUUUUCGACUUCAACCGUCAAUCGACGUGACAGCCUUGCUCUCCGGCCACAACAGCUUCGAAUUCUUCAUCGUUCCUUUUCUUCUUUCACAGGUAAAAAAUUAUGGCCUUUUUAGUUUUGAAUAAAACGAGGAACUUAAGCCAAUUUCUCUUAUAGUAUUGGUUAACAAUUUCAAUAUUUGUUGCUUUAAUUUGAAAUGCGGUCUAAAUAAAAUCCUAAUUUCUGGUAUUUUUUCUCUUCUCUUCUCUUCUUUUUUGUUUUAUGAUUUCGAAGUUUAAUUUGUUGCGCCGUUGCUGGGUUGAUUUGUUCUUAUUCUUGGUAAAAAUGGUGAUAUUGUUGUUGUUCUAUUGAACAAAAUUGUGCUACUAUUUUUUUCCAAUAGAUUAUCCAUUUGGUGCAACAUAUUAACCAUCAGUUGCAACAGAUUUAGCAUAUGAUGCAAUAGAUCAACCAUCUGAUUCAACAGAGGAACCAUCAGAUUAAAAUUUUGAUGCAACAGAUUAACUAUCUGAUCCAAUAGAUUAAUCAUCUGAUGCAACAGAGGAACCCUCGGAUAAAAAAUUUGAUGCAACAGAUUUAGCAUAUGAUGCAACAGUUUAACCAUCUGAUGCAAUAGAUUAAGCAUAUGUUGCAAUAGAUUAAUCAUCUGAUGCAACAUAAUUACUAUCGAAUGCAACAGAGGAACCAUCGAAUUAAAAAUAUGACGCAACAGAUUAACCAUCUGAUGCAAUGAAGGAAACAUUGGAUUAAAGAUCUGAUGCAACAGAUGAACCUUCUGUUGGAUAAAGUCUUAUCAACUCUUCCAACAGAACAUGUCCAAGACUUGAUUUUUUCAACUAAUCAUUCAUCUAUCUCGACAAACGACUCUUCUGUUUGAAGAAAUCUAAACAAUAUUGACUGUUGAUAAUUAUUUCAACAGAUCACUCAGAUGUUGCAACAGAUGUGUCUUCUGUUGCACAAACCAUUCAUCUUUCUCAAUAGAUAAGUGAUAUAUUUUGUAUUGUGGCAACAAAUUACUUAGUUGUUGCUACAGGUUAGUUAACUGUUCCAACAGAUCACUCAUAUGUUGCAAUAGUUGAUUUGUCAUGUAGAAAUUUAUCCCAACAGUUGAUUCAUCUGUUGCAACAGAAAUAUAAUCUGUUUGGGACAAUUUAAAAUAGGAGGAAGACUUGUUUGAUUUGCUAGAACAAAUGAGUUAUCCUUUUCUGUUUUGUUGUAUCUCCGUGAUUAGCAUUGACCAAUUCUGGCUUUCCAGGUGGAUGUAGAAGUUGCUGCUGAAUAGCAUUGAUAAUAUGCUACUCUUUUUAUGGAAAUACGGAGAACAGAAAGCGCAGAAAUCAUACGUAAGCGACAAUAAAGAUCCACGACGACCAAAACCAAAUUCCAUAGCACCGGAUGAAGAACAACUUGUCCAUAUUGAGUAGAUCUUUAUAGCUUGAGUCUGUCAAAGUAAUAACUUCACCCCUCCUUAGGAAUUCUUGGCAUCAAUACUUAGAUUAUUGAAGUAUUUGUUGAGAUCUGUACCCAUAACAAUUUUUUUUACAUUUCAUUUAUUCAUUGAUUUAUUUCAGUUAAUUUCUGAAGACUUCAAUUUAUUUUAUUUUGUCUAUGAAUUUUAUUUUUUCUUAGAUUUGAACUUAUUAAUAAAAUAAAAUACUAAAUUUAAAUAUUGCAACAAAUAAAAAUAUCAAAUAGAUUUAGACAUAUGUUGCAAUAGGUAGGUAAUCUGUUGGAAAUUAUCAAACAGGUCUUCCUACUGUUGCAACAGAUAGAUUUAGAUAGAAACAUCAACAUAAUGCAACAGAUGACCAACCUAUUGCAACAGAUAAACUAUAUGUCAUAAUAGGUAAAAUAUCUAUUACAACAGAUGGACAAUCUGUUGCAUUAUAAAAGUUCAACUUUUCUAAGACAUAAAAAAUUGCCACUACAUGUAAAAAGUUAAAAUGACUUGAAAUAAAAAAGGUGGAACCCAUCUACAAUGUUCAGUUUAAACACCUAAAAUAAAAUAGGCAUCAAGUAGACAGUGUUCAUUUUAAAUAUGUAAAAUAAAAUAGGCAUCAAAUGUGUCAGUUGUCACUUUUUGCCCUGUUGACUGCUCACAUGUAAUUCACGCAGCCAAGGUUCGUUGAACCUCUAUUUUUGCUGAUUUGGCCCCCAACGGUUACUUUUCUUCCAUUGUCUUAUAUAUUCAUCUUCUUCCUAAAAUUUAACCCUAAAUUCCUAAAGCUUCUUUUUCUUCUUCAUCUUUUUUCUCUAUCCAAUUCAUCUCAAUUAUUUGUAUUUUUUUUGCGCAUUUUUUUUUUCCAACUGAGCUUGACAAUGUCGAGUUCAUCUUCCACUGUUUUUUGUGAGAAAGAUUUUUGAUAUUGUAAGUGCAGUCAUAAAGCUCUAUUUAAGAAUUCUUGGACUCAACAAAAUCCAAGUCGUAGGUUUUUUACUUGUAAGAUUUCAAAGGUAAUAUUUUUUUAUUUAAUUAGUUGAUUAAUUAUUGACUUGUAAUUAUUUUGUAAUUGUGUUUUUGUUUUUAUAGAAAUUGGGUGGAUGCGAUUACUUUGAUUGGUAUGAAGAAAGACACCCUUCACAAGCAAAUCGUGGAAUAUAGGGUUUGUUGAAGAAAGUCAAGGCUUCUGAAAAGAAACAAAAUCGAGCAAGAAGAUACUACAUUGUUGUCAUUAUUUGUACUGGUUUGGUGGUGUUGGGUACAUAGAUAUUCAAGCCUAAUUGCUGAAAUUUUCAUGGUGGUGUAUUUGCUACUGGUUUGGUAUUGUCGAGCACAUAGAUAUUCAAGUGUAAUUGUUGGAAAAUAUCAAACAGAUUUAGGCAUAUAUUGCAAAAUUUAGGUUAUCUAUUGGAAAUUAUCAAACAGGUCUUCCUACUGUUGCAACAGAUUUGACUUAGAUUUGAUAGAAAUAACAUUGGCAUAACGCAACAGAUGACCAACCUAUUGCAACAUAUAAACUAUCUACCAGAACAGAUAGAAUAUAUUUUACAACAGAUUGAUAAUCUAUUGUAUUAUAAAAAACUCAAAUUUCAUCAGAAAAAAAUUAUUGCCACUACAUGGACAUGUAAUUUAAAGUGAAGUGUGACUUGAAAUAAAAAUUAUUAUUUCACAGGCUCUUCUUUAUACACAGGCUCCAAGCAUCCAGUUAGUACCACAUAAAUCCAAACCUCUUGCAAUUUUGUCAUAGCAUUGUCGCACAGAAAGAUCGCUGGCUUGAUCAUUUCUAUGCAGGUCAGCAAACAUUCGAUGUAUGAAAGUGCGUGUGAGCUGCACGAGAAAUUGAUAUCAUUUUUUGAAAGGUUCAUGCCCUUGUUUCGCCUUUCAAAACCCCAUGACUUCUUCAUCAACACUUUCUCUGGCAAAUGUUACAUCAGUUUACUCUGCCUCAACAAGAUGGGGAAUAGGUCCAUCAGUGGCUGCACGUUGAUAAAAAAAUGACCUCAUCGAUGGCAGGUUCGUUGCAGUCAUAAUCAUUGAUCUUUCCCUCCUCAAGUAGUAUCUCAACAGCCCGAUAAUGUAUGUCGUCCACGUUCAUGACUACAAUAAUCCUCUUUUCCUCGAUUCAGCUCUUGUCAUGUGGAUUUGGCCUCUCCCCUCUAACAUAUUUUAUCAUUUCUUAUUCAUCCCAGUCUAAUGUAGAAACUAACGACUCAAAUCCUGCGCCACAGGAUGACGCUAGACAAUUGAGUUUAUCGUACUUAUCCUUGAGCUUCUUGUAGAAGUCGAGGUCCAUUAUCCUAUCAGCAGCGUCAUAAGCUUUCGGGUACGCUAAUUGUCUUUUCUCAUAAGGCAGAGAAUUUCGUCAACAUACUGUGAUAUAAGAAGUCAAUUUUUAAAUAGGUUAGUAUUUGUAAAUAUGCAAUGGAUGGUCCAUCUGUUGCAUAGGGUUCUCUGAAUCAAUAAUCCAAUGCAACUUAUGCAACAAAUGAAUAAUAAGUUGCAACAAAACCACUAUCAGUUGCACCAGAAUACCCAGUUGUUGCAACAGAUUUUACAUCUGUUGCGUAUUUGCUUCUUCAUGGAGUAGAUUAGAAGGCUAGGUUAGGAAAAGUAAACUUACCUUGUCCUCGUAUCAUAUACGCAUAUCUGCUAUAAUCUGGAAGUCUUAGGGGUAAAAAGGAGGCCUGGGGUAAUUUGGUGUGCCUCGCUUGGCAUUCUUGGCUCGUCGCAGAUCCUUCUUCUCUUUGGUACCAAGUUCCACGUAUAUGUUGACCUUUUUAAUGGCCUUUAAUCUUUAAUAUUUUUUUAUUUUCGACUGGAGAGUACGUCGCUAAUUGAUCUUUUUUUCCUCUUAACCGCCAUUGUAUGAGUGUAUGGCUCCCUCACCUUCUUGGAUGGUAUGACACCUCUUUUGGAUUUGAACUCCUCGACAGCUUUAGCGAUAGCCUCUACCAUUUCAAAGAGUUUAUCCUAGUUUUCCUUGCACUCUUUAUAUUUGCAACAUGAAUACAAGGGUGAAGAGGGGUGAGAGGGACCGGUGUAAGGGUGAGAGGGACCUGUGUAAGGGUGAGGGAGACCUGUGAAAGGGGUGUUUUAAACAUAUUUAUUUUUUCUUGAGCACCAACAUGCUCAUCAUUACGAGUGGUAUCAUCAUCAGCAUACCUGCCACCAACACCAACAACUCCACCAGAAGAAGCACCCAGAUCUGCCUCAGUAGGUUGGUCAUGAAGAGCCUCAACAUUAGGCUGACCUUGCCUAACUACUCUUCUUAUGGCUAUUUCUCCAGCCAAUUUCUUCUUUAUUAACUCCAUAAUUGGGUCUGCUAUAGUAUCAACAUGACCUAGAGUAAUAAAAGAAGUCAUCCCCAACUCCUGCUCAGUAAGCACGAUCCAUGGAUGAAACCUAUAAAAAAAAUAGAUACAUUUAAAUCAUAUGAUAUAAUAAUUUUCAUAGCUAAGUUACAUGUUAACAUAGAUAACUUAUGCAACAGAUGAUCUGUAUGUUGUAACAGAUUAACAAUAUAUUACAUCAGAUUACACAUCUGUUACAUAUUUUGCAUUAGAUGAUUAAAAUCCAUUUGAGUCGGGUUCAGAGCAACAGAUGGAUAAUCUGAUGCAAAAUAUCAAUCAUCUAUCUCAAUAGAUUACCAAUCUGUUACGCCAGUUGGCACAAGACGAGUAAUCUAUUGGGUUACAUGUUAUACAAUAGAUGAUCUGUAUAUCACAACAGAUUAACAAUAUGUUACAUCAGAUUACCUAUUUGUUGCAUAAUUUACAAUAGAUGCUUAAUAUAUUAAGAGUCGGGUUUGGAGAACCAAAGCAACAGAUGGGUAAUCUGAUGCAAUAUAUCAAUCGUCUGUUGCAACAGACUACCCAUCUGUUGCACCAGUUGGCAUAGGACGGUGUUGCAACAGAUGUCCCAUCUGGUGUAUCAGAUAUAAUAUUCGUUGCUCCAGAUAUAAUAUCUGUUCAAUAUCUUUCAUUGAAUCAAAUUAUUUUACUUGAAGAAGACGUACUGCAUUAUCCAGAGGGUUAAAGAAAUCAACUUCCUUAAUUCUUGUGUUGUUCUUUGUAGCUAACCACCUAAACAUUCUUGGAUGAGAAACCUCAUCUGGGUAAUCCAUUACCCACUUUCGGAGGGGAGGAAUGACUUCAAAUUCUCAAGCCUAAAAAAUGUAAACAGGAAGCAAGAAACUUUUUUUAUAAUAACUAUAUUCAAUAUAAAUUAAUGGAUGAGUAAAAAUAAUGAUUAAUUUUACAAUAAAAGCCCAAGAAAAUACGUAUAAUGUGGUCAUCCCUAGGGAUAGCUUUGUUAGUAAAUAUUGGAUAGUCAAGUAGAAGCCGUCAUAUCCCCAGGGAUAAUUGUUGAAUUUAUCAAAAUCCUCAGCACACGCCAACAAAUCAUCUUUUAUGACCUUGUUGACAUCUCUUGCCAAUAUAACCAAAUGGGAAAACCAAACUAAGCACAAUUUCUCCCUGUACUGCUUUGGUAUGGUUUUAUCCUUGAUAUUUAUCAUCAAAUCCGAUGCUUUGUAGCCACGUCCAGCAAUGUCCAACAACCCAUCUAUGUUUUUCUUCCAUUUGUUAGUUUUACUGGGUGGUGGCUAGGACAAUGCCUUCCCUCUAUUUGCUUGUGGUGAUUUGUCUAUCCUGCUUGCCUUGGACCUUUUGCGGGGUAUUUCCUUGGAGAUAGGUUCUUCUGUACGAUCGCAUCUCAAGCCCGUCACUAUGGCAAACUCUUGCAAGCCAAAACAAACCAGCAUGCCACAAUACUUGAUCAAGAUUUCAUCCAUCUUUUUGCCCACUCCUUCGAAUCUUUAUCAUCCCCCACGUACUUGAUCCUGCACUUGAGAAGACCAUAUACCAUCCUUAUUUGGAAACAAGCAGGGGGUCCUCGGGCAGCUCGAGAAAGCGUCCAAAGCAGCUCCUAUAAAAAAGUCCAUCUAUGUUUUCCUUCUUCAUAAUAUUCCUAGAAUAAUUAAAAAAUUUCCCCAACUGACAUUUAAGUACAAGUUCACCAGUUAGUUCUUUUGGGUCAUCUAUCGACAUCGCAACUUGAAACCUAUCAAUACUAAUAAUUUUGACAGAAUCAUGCUGGGAUGUCGAUAUUAAUUCACGCCCCAUUGGUGAUCCAUUGUUAUCAUGUUGAUGAUGAUCUUCUUUAUCACUUUCUAAUUCCUCCUCUUUCUCACUGUCAUUUUCUUCAUCACCAUUUAAUGACCCUUAUCCAUCUCCUUCAACGUUGUUUUCAUAUCUCUCCUCAGCUUCACUUUUUCCUGACUGAGAUUGUUCAGGAAGCUCCUUUGAAUCCUUUUGUACUGUAGCCUUUGUUGUUGGGUGGUCAGAAGUUGAUCCACUUUCACUUUUUUUUCUUUUGGGAGACAUGUUUUACCUACAAACAACAGAAAAACAAAAAUUAUAUUACAAUUGAUGUAUGCAUAAAUUUUAAAAAAUACAUUACAAACACCACCAAUAUCGACACACCAACAACCACCACCACAAACACAACCAACCAAUGCCACAAACACCACGGAUACCGAUACAACCAACAGCCACCACAAACACCACCAAACAAUUCUACUAACAGACACUACAAACACCACUAGUGCCACCACGACGACUACCAACACUAACACCAUGACCACCAACACUACAAAUAACAUCAAACAAUACCACGAAAGUCAACGGAACACUGCGACAAAAAUUAGGGUUUUCUCGAGUUCUUCCUCUGAUUGUACCAUCAAAACUCAAAAUUAUAAAUCCAUUCUUGAAGAUAAUACAACUAAAAGUCUUUUUUUCAUCAUUAACUUAAAAACCCUUAUUUUUUAGAAAAAAUAACAAAUAUAGAACUCUUCUCAAACUCUGUUACCUACGAAGACAGAUAAAAUGACUGAUACAAGCAAGAAUGAAGUCGAAAAUACACCUACAUAGUCGAAAAUGAGAAGAAAAAUAAUUUGUUAUGAAGGGUUGAGCAAUUUGUUGAGUAGCUGUUGUAUUGUUGAGAGAGAGAAAUAAGCGAGAACUCAAGAUUUGAAAUGAUGAAACGUCUUUCUCACAAAUGGAUGAUUUGUAUGGGUUGAUUUGUAUUUUGAAAAAGAAUGAAAAGUUUUAAAAAUGUUAAUUUGGUCCGAAUUGAUCUUUAUUAUUUUUAAAAAUUAUAAAAGAUAUGCAUAGUUUUUAAACCUCUCAUCAUGUGAUUGCUAAAAGACUCAAUUGAAGUUAUAGUUGACACUAUGAGAACUCACCCCUAGUCCUAGAUUAAUCAAUUAAGGCAUUAGUUGAACAUAUGAACUCAUUUGAAUUUGUAUAAAACAAAUGUUCAACCUGUUGCAACAGAUUACCCAUCUGUUGUAAAUUAUCAGAUAGGCGCUGCCAUCUGUUGUAGUUUACCCUAUGAUUAAUUAAGGUAAUCGUUGAACAUAUUAGGUAGUAAGAAUCGCUUCACCUCAAAGUGAUCGAUCGACGACUCUGGUCGGGAGAAACGCAAUACCAUCUCAUCAUGUAUUUGCCAAAAGACUUAAUUGAAGUUGUAGUUGACCAUAUGAGAACUCACCCCUAGUCCUAGAUUAAUCAAUUAAGGUAUUAGUUGAACAUAUAAGGUAAUAAGAAUCGAUUCAGCUCAGAGUGUUCGAUCGACGACUCUAGUCGAGAGAAACAAAAUACCGUCUCAUCAUGCGAUUACCAAUAGACUCAAUUAAAGUUAUAGUUGACCCUAUGAGAACUCACCCCUAGUCCUAGAUUAAUCAAUUAAGGCAUUAGUUGAACAUAUGAACUCAAUUGAAAUUAUAUAAAAAUAAAUGUUCAACCUAUUAAAAAAGAUGACCCAUCGGGUGGAAUUAAUCAAAUAGAUUAAGUUAUCUGUUGCAACAGAUUACACAUCUGAUGGAAUUAAUCAAACAGAUUAAGUCAUCUGUUACAACAGAUUACCCAUCUAUUGUAAACUAUCAAAUAGAUGUCGCCAUCUAUUGUAGUUGACCCUAUGAUCAAUUAAGGUAUUAGUUGAAUAUAUUAGGUAAUAAGAAUCGCUUCACCUCAGAGUGAUCGAUCGAUGGCUCUAGUGGGGAGGAAUGCAAUACUGUCUCAUCAUGCAUUUCCUAAAAUACUCAAUUGAAGUUGUAGUUGACCUUAUGAGAACUCACCCCUAGUCCUAAAUUGAUCAAUUAAGGUAUUAUUUGAACAUAUAAGGUAAUAAGAAUCGAUUCAGCUCAUAGUGAUCGAUCGACGACUCUGGUCAGGAGGAACGCAAUACUGUCUCAUCAUGCGAUUGCCAAAAGAAUAAAUUGAAGUUGUAGUUGACCCUAUGAGAACUUACCCCUAGUCCUAGAUUAAUCUACUAAGGCAUUAGUUGAACAAAUAAACUCAAUUGAAAUUAUAUAAAAACAAAUGUUCAACCUAUUACAAUAAAUGACCCAUCUAUUAGAAUUAAUCAAAUAGAUUAAGUUAUCUGUUGCAACAGAUUACCCAUCUGUUGGAAUUAAUCAAACAUAUCAAGUCAUCUAUUGGCAUAAAUUACCCAUCUCUUAUAAAUUAUCAAAUAGGAAAUGCCAUUUGUUGUAGUUGACCCUAUGAUCAAUUAAGGUAUUAGUUGAACAUAUUAGGUAAUAAGAAUCGCUUCACCUCAGAGUGAUUGAUCGACGACUCUGGUCGGAAGGAACGCAAUUUCGUCAAAUUAUGUAUUUGCCAAAAGACUCUAUUAAAGUUGUAGUUAACCCUAUGAAAACUCACCCCUAGUCCUAGAUUAAUCAAUUAAGGUAUUAGUUGAACAUAUAAGGUAAUAAGAAUCAAUUCAGCUCAUAGUGAUCGAUCGACGACUCUGGCCUGGAGGAGCGCAAUACCGUUUUAUCAUGAGAUUGUCAAAAGACUCAAUUAAAGUUAUAGUUGACCCUAUGACAACUCACCCCUAGUCCUAGAUUAAUCAAUUAAGGCAUUAGUUUAACAUAUGAACUCAAUUAAAAUUGUAUAAAAAUAAAUGUUCAAUCGGUUGCAACAGAUUACCCAUCCAUUUGAAUUAAUCAAAUAGAUUAAGUUAUUUGUUGCAACAAAUUAUCCAUCAGUUGGAAUUAAUCAAACAACUUAAGUCAUCUACUAUAAAUUAUCAAAUAGGUGCUGCCAUAUGUUGUAGUUGACCCUAUGAUCAAUUAAGGUAUUAGUUGAACAUAUUAGGUAAUAAGAAUCGCUUCACCUCAGAGUGAUCAAUUAACAACUCUGGUCGGGAGGAACGCAAUAUCGUCUCAUCAUGCAUUUGCCAAAAGACUCAAUUAAAGUUGUAGUUGACCCUAUGAGAACUCACCCCUAGUCCUAGAUUAAUCAAUUAAGGUAUUAUUUGAAUAUAUAAGGUAAUAAGAAUCUAUUCAACUCAAAGUGAUCGAUCGACGAUCUGGUCGGGAGGAAUGCAAUACCAUCUCAUCAUGCAAUGGCCAAAAGACUCAAUUAAAGUUGUAGUUGACCCUAUGAGAACUCACCCCUAGUCCUACAUUAAUCAAUUAAGGCAUUAGUUGAACAUAUGAACUCAAUUAAAAUUAUAUAAAAAUAAAUAUUUAACUUGUUGCUACAGAUGACGGAUCUGUUGGAAUUAAUCAAAUAGAUUAAGUUAUUUGUUGCAACAGAUUAUCCAUAUGUUGGAAUUAAUCAAACAAAUUAAGUCAUCCGUUACAACAGAUUGUCCAUCUGUUGUAAAUUAUCAAAUAGUCACUGUCAUUUGUUGUAGUUGACCCUAUGAUCAAUUAAGGUAUUAGUUGAACAUAUUAGGUAAUAAGAAUCGCUUCACUUCAGAGUGAUCGGUCGAUGACUCUGGUCGGGAGAAAUGCAAUACCGUCUCAUCAUGUAUUUUCCAAAAGAAUUAAUUGAAGUUGUAGUUGACCCUAUGAGAACUCACCCCUAGUCCUAGAUUAAUGAAUUAAGGUAUUAGUUGAACAUAUAAAGUAAUAAGAAUUGAUUCAGCUCAUAGUGAUCAAUCGAUGACUCUGGUCGGGAGAAACGCAAUACUGUCUCAUCAUGCGGUUUCCAAAAGACUCAAUUGAAGUUGUAGUUGAACUAUGAGAACUCACCCAUAGUCCUAUAUUAAUCAAUUAAGGCAUUAGUUGAAUGUAUGAACUCAAUUAAAAUUGUAUAAAAACAAAUGUUCAACCCAUUACAGUAGAUGACCCAUCUGUUGGAAUUAAUCAAACAGAUUAAGUCAUCUGUUGCAAUACAUGACCCAUCUGUUGUAUUUAAUCAAACAAAUUAAGUCAUCUGUUGGAAUUAAUCAAACAGAUUAAGUUAUCUAUUGUAACAGAUUAUCCAUCUGUUGUAAAUUAUUAAAUAGGAGCUGCCAUCUAUUGUAGUUGACCCUAUAAUCAAUUAAGGUACUAGUUAAACAUAUUAGGUAAUAAGAAUUGCUUCACCUCAGAGUGAUCGAUCGACGACUCUGGUCGGGAGGAACGCAAUACCAUUUCAUCAUACAUUUACCAAAAGACUCAAUUGAAGUUGUAGUUGACCCUAUAAGAACUCACCCCUAGUCUUAUAUUAAUCAAUUAAGGUAUUAGUUAAACAUAUAAGGUAAUAAGAAUCGAUUUAGCUCAUAGUGAUCAAUCUAAGACUCUGGUCGGGAUGAACGCAAUACCGUCUCAUCAUGCGAUUGCCAAAAGACUCAAUUGAAGUUAUAGUUGACCCUAUGAGAACUCACCCCUAGUCCUAUAUUAAUUAAUUAAGGCAUUAGUUGAACAUAAUGUUUAACCUGUUGCAACAGAUGACUCAUCUGUUGAAAUUGAUCAAACAGAUUAAGUCAUCUAUUGCAACAGAUUACCCAUCUGUUGGAAUUAAUUGAACAGAUUAAGUCAUCUGUUGCAACAGAUUACCCAUCUAUUGUAAAUUAUCAAAUAAACACUGCCAUCUAUUGUAGUUGACCCUAUGGUCAAUUAAGGUACUAGUUGAACAUAUUAGGUAAUAAGAAUUGCUUCACCUUAGAGUGAUCAAUCGACAACUCUGGUCAGAAGAAAUGCAAUAACGCCUCAUUAUGUAUUUUCCAAAAGACUCAAUUGAAGUUGUAGUUGACCCUAUGAGAACUCACCCCUAGUCCUAGUUUAAUGAAUUAAGGUAUUCAUUGAACAUAUAAGGUAAUAAGAAUCAAUUUAGCUCAGAGUGAUCGAUCAACGACUCUGGUCGAGAGGAACGCAAUACUGUCUCAUUAUGAAAUUGUCAAAAGACUCAAUUAAAGUUGUAGUUGACCCUAUGAUAACUCACCCCUAGUCCAAGAUUAAUUAAUUAAGGUAUUAGUUGAAUAUAUAAGGUAAUAAGAAUCGAUUCAGCUCAGAGUGAUCAAUCGAUGACUCUGGUUAGGAGAAAUACAAUACCGUCUCAUCAUGUGAUUGCCAAAAGACUUAAUUGAAGUUGUAGUUGACUCUAUAAGAACUCACCCCUAAUCCUAGAUUAACCAAUUAAGGCAUUAGUUGAAUAUAUAAACUCAAAUGAGAUUGUAUAAAAACAAAUGUUAAACCUGUUGCAAUAGAUAACCCAUCUGUUGGAAUUAAUCAAACGGAUUAAGUCAUCUGUUGCAACAGAUUACCCAUCUGUUGUAAAUCAUCUGUUGCGAUAGAUGACCGAUCUUUGAAAAUUUUUAAACAAAAAUUGUCAUCUAUUGCAAAGUAUGACUUUGAUAUUUCAAGAUUCUUUUUUUAAAAGUAAUUUAGAUAUUUUUUAUCCGAGAUAAAAAAACAUAAAAUACUUAGGCGGUAAAAAAUAUUACUUGGAUAACUCAAAAAUCUCCCUAGUGAGUAGUCUUAUCUGGUCUUUUUAAUAUCACCGUCUCCUCGUGCCCCUCAAAAGUUAUUAAUGAAUAUUUAAAACUCGUAUCUACUCCUUCCAUUUCAUUUUAGUUGACCCUCUUUCUAAAAGUAUUUGUUCAAUUUAGUUGUCCCAAUGAUGAAAUCAAGAGGAUUUUAAUAUGUUCUUCCAAUAAUACCCUUAUCAUUAAAUGACUAAACAAGUUGUAUAUAUUCAAAUUUAUAUUUUUAAAGCAUAAUUAAUAAGGCUAAUUUGGUAAAAUAGACCCCUAAUAAAAAAAAUUCUUAAUGGAUGUGCCAAGUCUAUAGGGGCCAACACAACUAAUAUGAAAUGGAGGGAGUAGAAUACUCUCUCCUUCAGCCAUAAACUCGAGACGAGAAACUCAACUCAUAUCUCUCUCUUCUUUAUUCUCAAUUCUUUUUUUUUCUUCCUCUCUUUUCUCUCUUCUUUCAGAUGAUGAUCCUUUAGGAUCUCAACCUAUCAAUAUCUUUUCUCGACUGAACUAGAUGUUCUGAUCCCUUUGCUUUUUUGACAUUGCAGGUAUGGUUUACUAUUGCUCUGUCCUUCUCGUCUUCUUCUUUAUAUGUUAUUUAAAUUAGAUAUUUAUAUCUAUUGCUAUUAAUGAUUUACCCAUUACCAGUUUCCUAUUUAUUGAGAAAAUUGAAGGAAAGGUGACUUUUAAGUCUUGAAUAAAUGCAUUGUUAUUUUUAUUAAAAUAUGCAAAAAAAGUCAUUUUUUGUGAGAACUUAAGCCUUGUUGUCAGUGUAGUUUUUUUUAUGUGUUGGGGGUGGUGGUGGUGUUGGAACAUGUGGUGUUGGUGUUGUUAAUGGUGUUGGAACAUAUGGUGCUAUUUUUUUUGUUGUUGGUGGUGUUGCAACAGUUUUCUCAACUGUUGCAAUCGAUGAAUCGGCUGUUGGAACAGACGGAGCAACUGUUUGAAAAAAUCAAACUAGUAGAAAGGCUGGUUUGAUUUAUUCCAACAGAUAACCCAUCUGCUGUAACAUAUCAUUCAUCUGUUACAACAUAUGCCUCAUCGGUUGAACAGAUGGGAAUCUGUUGCAUCAGAUUGGUCUUCUAUUGAUUCAUUCAAUUUUGUGUUACCCUUUUGUAAUGUUCUUUUUAUUCUUCUCUUGUUUGACAUCAAAUGUAUUUCUCUUAUUUGCAGAUAAAAACAAGUAAAACUAGAACAACUUUUGCCCGACCAGCAUUAAAGGUUAGACUAAAGAUCGGUACGGAGGAAUAAGCUACUUGUAGAUGGAACCACUUCAUAUGUGGGAGGUAUGUAUUACUAAUCAAUCUAUCAUAAAAACACACAUCCAGUACAAUAAUUUUGUGAAUGUUGGUUCUUUACCUAUUAGGCAUUAAUCCUUUAAACAAGAUAUGGUAUUUUAUAGUUAAGAUUGUUAAGUUCGAACUAGUAAGACUGAGGGACCAAGUAGGUGGUGUCGAUACCCUGUUACAAUUUAAUAAAGAUUUUACCAAUGUUUAUGUGUUAAGUUUGGAGAAGGGUUAGGGUUUUUGGUGGUAGUGCAAAAUUUAAAUAGUGAUUGCACUGACUUUAAGGGUUCAAUAGACUGUUGAAAGGCCUCCGAAGCCUCGUACUGCUGCGAACAAGAAUGGAAAUGAAUAUAGUUAUUGCUCUGGUCCAAAUUUAUAUGGAUGGGUAGUUCGAGAAGACUAUUAUACAACAAAAGGUUGUUGUAAGAAUACCUUUGUAGAAAGAGGGAGGUGAAGAAGACCAUUUAUAAAAUUAGACCUUAUUAAAUAAGAAACACAAGGUAGGAAGGAAAGUGUAGCAAAACUGGCUGAUGAAAUUGACAUGAAAAAUUAAAAAACUAAAUGAGUUACGAAUGUGAAAGUGUAUCCAAAAAGUGAAAAUCCAUCAGUUUUCUUGAAAACGAAAAAUGCUCAAGUGGAAUGGAGCAGUGCACUUUGUUAUGGGGCAACAACUAGCUAACGUGGACUGAAUAAAGACUCACAAAAUGUAGGAACAGAACUCUAAGGAAGCAGCUUUACGAGCACGGGAGGUGGUAAGAUUGUCGGUCAGAAUUGAAACCUGAACCGACUACUCCUGAAUUAAAAAUAAGGGAUCAAGCCAAGGUGGUAAUUUUUCAAGUUAAACUUGCAUCACAUGUCUCCUGUUUAUGGCUCUGGUCAGGUUAAAGGCAGUGGAAACAACAAGGCAUGGGAUUUUUGCCUAAAUUCAGAUCUUUUUGUUUCUACUGCCAUUGACCUGAUCACAUCCACAAACAUAAGGCAUGGCAUGCAAGUUAGACUUCAAAAAUUGACGCCUUGGCUUCCCUUAUUUUUACUUCUGGAGUUGUUAGUUCAGGUUUUAUUCUUAACUAAAAAUCUUACCAAUUUCCUGCGAUCGCGAAGCUUCUUCCUUAGAGUUCUAGUCCUGUACUUUGUGAGUCUUCAUUGAGGCCACGCUCACUAGUUACAGUCUCUAGCAAAGUGACCAGCUCCAGUCCUCUUGACAUUCUUCUUUUUCUUCAAUGACUGGCAGAUUUUUAUAUUUGAAUACACUUCCACAUUUGAAGCACAUUCAGUUUUUUCAUUUCUCAUGUCAAUUUCAUUGGCCAGAUUCGCUAGAAGUUCCUUACUUUCUUUCCUGUGUUUCCUCUUAAACAAGGUCUGAGAUGAUAUAUGGUCUUCUCUACCUCUUCCUUCCCACACAGGUAUCCUCCUAAGCACUUUUUGUUGUAUAAUAGUCUCCUCGAGCAACCCAUUCAUAUAAAUUUGGACCAGGAAAAUUUCUAUUAGUUCCAUCGUUGUUUGAUACAGUGCGAGGCUUUGGAGGCCUUUUAAGAAGUCCAUUGCGCCAUUAAAAUCGGUCCAAUCACUAUUGGAUAUUUACACUGCCGCCAAAAACUUGAACCCUUCACCGAAAUUGACACAAAAACAUGAGCAUAGACUAUCAUUAAAUUAUAACAGGGUAUCGACACCACCAUCUUGGAACCCUUCGGCCUUAUCAGUUCACACCGAUCAAACUAAACUGUACAAUGCAGGAUCUUGUUUGAAGGAUCAAUGUCUAAUCAGUAAAAAACUCCAUUUACAAAAUCGUUAUACUUUGUGUGUCUGGUACAGUAGCCUGAUCAAUAAUACAUAACUCUCGCGCAUGAAAGUGGAUCCAUUCAUCUGCACGCACCUUAUUUUUCCUACCCCAUCAAUACAUGUCAGAUAGUGUUUAUUUUUCAGCACGCAUGUGAUGACUAUUAAAAAAGAGGUGAAGAGUCAUGACUUUUUAUCUAACACAUUCAAAACAGCUGAUGAACCAAAUUCUCCAUCUGUUGCAACUGAUGAAUUAGCUCUUAGAAGAAAUCAAAACAUCUCCUCCAAUAUAUGGUCCAUCUGUCAUAACAUAUAAUCCAUAUAUUGUGACAGAUGGUAAAUCUGUUACGAAAGAACAGACAAUAUUUAUUCAUCUGCACGCAUGUGAUGACUAUUAAAAAAGAGGCGAGGAGUCGUGACUUUUUAUCAAACACACUCAAAAUAGCUAACAUAUCAAAUUCUCCAUCUGUUGUAACUGAUGAAUCGGCUGUUAGAAGAAAUCAAAAUAUCUCCUCCAAUAGAUGGUCCAUCUGUCGUAACAGAUAAUACAUAUGUUGCACCAGAUGUUGCAACGGAUGAUAAAUCUAUUGUAACAGACCAGACAGUGUUUAUUCAUUUGCACGCAUGUGAUGACUAUUGAAAAAGAGGAGAAGAGUCAUAACUUUUUAUCUAACACAUUCAAAACAGCUGAUAAAUCAAAUCUCCAUCUGUUGCAAUAGAUGAAUCAGCUGUUAGAAGAAAUCAAAACAUCUCCUCCAAUAAAUGGUCCAUCUGUCGCAACAGAUAAUACAUAUAUUGCAACAGAUGUCUCAUCUGUUGCACAUAUAAACCAUAUAUUUCAACAAAUGAUAAAUCUAUUUUGACAGACCAUCUGUUGCACAUAUAGACCAUCUAUUGCAAUAGAUGAUAAAUCUGUUAUGAAAGAUAGACGAACUGUUACAACAGCUCAAUAAUAACGGUUGUUAUCAAGUGUCAAACCAUUUUGAAAAGGUGAGAAAUAUUAAUGUAAAAGAAAAAGUCGCGACUUUUCACAGGAAACAAAAUGCCACUAGUUUGAAUGUAAUUAAUACAAUGGAGCUGAACAGUCAUGCCUUUUUUCCUAACACAUCCAGAUUCAAUCCUCCAUAAAUAGGUCCCUCCUUAAUCUUCAUUCUAGUCAACUUUAUUUAUUUAUUGUAUUUUUCUUUUUGUGUGACAUCUUCAACCACUUCUCUUCAAAGAGCAUAUUCCUUUCUCAUUGAGAUAAGUUUUUUUUUGUGUAAAUCUACCAGUUGGUAGUAUAUGUUAUAUUACAUUUGGAUUAUUUUCUUUACAUUUGUCAAUUCAUGCGUGUUCUAGAUAUGGCUGAUCCUGUUUGGGAUAUUGCUAUUCUGCGUGACACAGUGUGGGAACUUCAGAGGCAAUUUAAUGACCUUCAUAGGGAGUUGGUCGCCGUGAGAGCGACGAUGUUCAGAGAAAUGCAGAGGCUGAUGAGGGCCCUAUUGCUGGGAGUUGAUUGGUUGGCUGUCAUUAAUGAUGAUGAUGAUGAUAAUAAUAAUAAUAAUAAUUAGAAUGUGUUUUUUCUUUUAGCGUAUGUAUUUUAAUUUUUCUAUAGCGGAUCUAUACCUAAUGUAUUUUAUUUUUCAUUUAAUGAAAAAUUUAUUUUUAGUCGAUUGUAGCUUUUUAAUUCUUAUUCAAUUUUCAUUCUGUCUAUUUCUUCUAAACAUAACAUACAUGUUAACAUGUCGACGGUUGGAGGCAAGGAGUAAUUUUGAAUCUAGUAGCAAUAGAAAUUUUGGCUUUUGAGUUCUUUCAAUAGAUGGACCAUGUGUUGGAACAGAUUGAUCAUCGAUUGGGUUUCUGUCAACAGAUUAUUGAUCUGUUGUGACAGAUUUGUCAUCUGUUGGAGAAAAAUAUUUCAGUUUGAUGGAACUGUAUUUUGUUCUUCCAGCUAAUGUCCAUCUUUUCCAUAGAUGGGUAAUCUAUUAAAAAUAAUUAUGGUCUGUUGUAUUAUUUAGUUCAUAUUUUGCCUCUUUUUAUUGAUGCACAAGUUAUUAAAAAAGAUAUUUUAUAUAUAAUAAAUAAUAACAUUACGUUCACAACAAUGAGUUAAAUAUAUAAAAGUCUACAAUAAACAACAACACAAGUUUUUGCAAUUACAACGAUCACGGUGGAUUAUGAUCCGGGCAUGUAGUUCUUUUGUGGCCAGCGCGCUUACAUACAAAGCACUUGUUUCUUCUUGAUGAAAAUGAUUCUCUGACUCCACGCCUCCUCUUAUAUGGAUUUCUUCCCGAUUUGAUAGUGCUUGGAUCAAUAUAUGGAGGAGGUAUUAAUCUCCCUAAAAGCUCUGCAGGAACAACUCAAGAUUCUUCGGGAGACACCAAAGUAAUAUGCCCACUAUAUGCCAUUGUAUAUUUUUCCACCGAAUAAUAUUGAGAGGAGUGCUUGUAAAUUUCAGGUCCAUAUUUUAUAUCGUAUUAAGCUUGAAGCACUGUCAUAGCAUGUGGACAGGGUAUUUUGUCCAAGUAAAAAACUUUGCACGUACAAGAUCUUGUUUGAAGAUCGAUUGUGGCAACAUCACCAUGACCGGUGAUACUAAACUUGUAAUCUUCUAUUUGAUGGGAUAAUAAACUAUUCCUCAGACUGAUGUUCGUUGAUAUUAUUUUUUUCAUUUCUAGAACAAAUGGGGUUCCUGCGUCCUUGAACUGCACACGCCUUUCGUUAAAAAAUUGGCCACACUUUUUGUUUAUUUUUUCAACAAAGCCUUGAUAGGAAAUUCUCUUUCAUCGUCAAACAAUGAAUUCACCGAUUCAGCUAUGUUUGAUGUCAUAAUAUUGUACCUAUACAAAAGAAUCACUUAGUACGACAUCAUACUAAACUUGUAACUCAAACAAGACAUUAAAUUCAUAAGAAUGUACCUAUCUACCGGACAAAAUGUUCGACUCCAUCUCUCGAAAUUGACACAUAUGAGAAGUUUUGCUACCUUGAGAUUCAUAUCCGUUAUUUGAUUGAAAUGGUCUAAAAACUCCUCUCUACUAUAUGCUUUAACUGCUUUAUUAAAAAGGGUCACAACCCAUUCGUCGUGAUAGUUGGUCCGAAUGUUCUUUCUAAGAUGCCUGAUGCAACAACCAAAGUAAGCUGAAGUGAUGAAAAUUGAACCCAUCUUUGGAAUACUUGGAUGCCUAUCCGAAACAAAACACAACUCUUCGGUAUCUUCAAUGCAACUUUGCAGUUGUUCAAAAAAACCCAUAAGAGGCAUCACAUUCCUUGUUCUCUACACAAAAAGCAACAGGAAAGAUGUGAUUCUCCACAUCCUGUGCCACCGCCGCUAGCAAAACUCCAUUAUAACUGCUCCCCAAGAAGGUACCAUCGACGGCUAUGCCUUUUCUCAAAUGUCAAAAACCUUGAAUCCAAGCACCAUAGGAUACAAAAAAGUACUUGAACCUGUCACACCCCUUUUUAAAAGCCAAAAAGAUUCGUUUUAAAUUCGAAAGGGUUUUUAUUAUUCAGUGGCAAAAGAAAAUAAUUUGUUUCGAAGAAGGAUUGUAUUUCCAUUCGAAAUCAGAGUCGCCACUUGGCAUAGAUCGGGUGUGUCAGGUCACCUUUGGAAAUCCUUUUUUCAAAAUAGUUUGACUCUGAAUACUGAUCCACGAACAGAGAUUCCGGCUAAAGAAUUUUGUUGACCGAGGGGAAGGUGUUAGGCACCCUUUGAUCCCGUUGUUCGACCACGGUCGCUUGGUGAGGCGUAUCGGCUAGUUUGGCAUUACAAAUGUAUAAACCACACAAAAUACAUAAAACAAUCAAUCGAAGACACAAAAUAAAACAAAUCCAGAAGUGUAGUGUCCAGUCCGAAUUAUACAGUUCCAAAAUAAAAAUACAGAAAUAUAAACCCUAUUCUAUUCUAAACUAAACUCCACCCGACGUUCCGGGCCUUGACCGUGAACCAUAUUUCGAUACAACUUUCUCGGGGCAUUCCCCGGAUAAGGCAAUACAGAUACCUCGGGGCGUUCCCCGUCCAAAUGAGUAUAAUUGAGUCAAAGGCGAUAAAAUAAAGCUAUUCAACAUAUAUUUCAAGCAUUCCAUAAUCCACAAGUUCUCAAUUUGCCUACUCGAGCCUACUGUUGCCUACACCGUUCGACCUAUCAUGAUACUUUCGCGAAGUUGAUAAUUAGAUGCAAAAUUAACAAUGACAAUGAAUCAAAGCAGCAAAUUUAUCCAUCUUUUAUCAUCCGAUCCCCCAAUCCAUCAACCAAAUUAUCACAUGCUUCGAUUAUCAAUUCAAGUGUUCAAAGUUUGAAACCAACGUCAACUAACACACAACAAAGAUUCAAAUAUACCAAAAAACAAAUCAUUCAUAUUCAUGACAUCAAUGCAUCACGUGAGGGUAAAAUAGGAGAAGAAUAGAGUUGAAGAAUUAGACCUCAAAUGACGACUUUAUUUCGAUCAAAUCGGGUUACUUGAUUAGAGAGCCACCGAACCUUAAACCGGGCCCAAACUCACAAAACUUGAUCCCGAACUUGGUUUAAUCGCCAAAUCAGACCCAAAAUAUUAAAAUAUCAAGAAUGCAUAAAAGAUUUCGCCGAAACCAAAUCCAAGAUUGGUUGACUUGUUUUGUUGCGGGACUUAGACUGCUACGGGUUGAUCGGAGCUCCGGCGACCCCCAAUAGCGACAGGAAGAUGACGGGAUGAUGGUUGGAUUUACUUUUCAUAUCGUCGGAGCUCCGGCGAGCCCCAACAAUGGAUGAAACGGAUAAGAAAGGAUGGUAGCAGCGUUUUUCCGAUGAGAACUUGUCGGAAAAAGUCCUCUCCCGCGUAUCUCUCUCACUCUUUAGUAGCUCUCUCCCUCUUUCUAUUCUCAAUUCCGAUCUCUCUCUAAUUACUGUGCAUGAGUGUGUGUGGAAUUCUAUAUUUUCUAGUGUGACCCGUGUGUGUGUGGUAUAUUGUGAAGGUGAUGAUGAGUGUCUGUUGAUGGUGAGGUCUUUUUGUGAGGGUCAGUAAUGGAUAAGAGGCGUAUGUGUGUGUGAAUUGUAUAUAUGGCUUGUAUUGUUGUUCCCCUUUUUGCUCCCCUAUCACUGUAUUCGUAGGUGGGUAUGUAUAUUGUAAGGAAAAAAUGUGAGUAGGGUGAGGUUAGGUAGGGUAGGGGUAUAGGGUGAGGUAGGAUAGUGAUGUGUUGUCCACUUUUAAUGGGGAAGGUUGUUAAUUUGUUAUCAAUUGGGAUUAUGUGGGAAUUUUUAGGAUAAGAUUUGUUUAGAGCUAGUUUUGAUUUUUUGUCAUUUGUGAAGGGAUAAUUACAUGGUUGAGGGUACACGGUAGGAUAAGGUAAAAUGAGUAAAAGUGAUUGGGGAGGGACAAAAUUAGGUGUCUACAUCAUGCCCCCUUUGAAUGUAAACACGAAGUGUUUUCAGACAAAUAAGUAGAUAACGAGACAAAAUUUUGUCCCGGCCAUUAUUCAGAGAAACAGAUGGAAAAAAAAAAGCAAUUGGGUCUUGACUUAGGACAUCCUACCUACCCAAGUUACGAGGUAAUCAAGUCACAGGUAUCUUAAAGGAUUGGAAGGAGAAGGACUAUACCGAGUUGGAGAGUUGAGUGAGGUCCCGUCGAGGUUCCAGUCCGCGGCUCUGUCAUUACAUCAAAAAUAAAAAUUACAAGUUAGAACAUAAAUGAAAUUACAAAAUCCUAUCUAUGCUGCUUCUUUUGGACUCUUAACUUGAGUUUCAUCACCGUGUUUUUCAGGAGGGUUCCUGACUUGCAAUUUCUUCAACUUGUUGCUUGAUUUUCAAUUUCUUCACCUUGUUCUCCAGACGGGAUCCUAACUUGCUAUUUUUCGAUCUAUUGACUUUCAUUUUCUUCACCUUGUUGCUUGACUUUCAGCUUCUUCACUUUGUUGCUUGACUUUCAGCUUCUUCACUUUGUUGCUUGACUUUCAGCUUCUUCACUUUGUUGCUUGAUUUCCUAUUUAUUCGCCUUGUUCUUCAGGCGGACUCCUACUUGCAUGUUGCAAUGAUGAACUAAGACUCUGACCAAGAAAUGCAUCUCUUGAGAGUAAAAUUGAAUGACCAAGACUAGGAAGUGCAUCUCCUAAGAAUUAAAGUGAGGGAUUCCGACUAGAAAGUGUCUCCUUAUAAAUACCGCUUGAAUUACCAAACAAGGAAGUGCAUCUCCUUACCAAUGCCGCCUUAAUUACCAAACAAGGAAGUGCGUCUCCUUACAAAUGUUUCUUGAAUUACCAAACAAGGAAGUGCAUCUCCUUACCAAUAUCGCUUGAAUUACCAAACGAGAAAGUAUGUCUCCUUAUAGAUGCUGCUUGAAUUACCAAACAAGGAAGUGCAUCUCCUUACCAAUGCCGCUUGAAUUACCAAAAAAAGAAAGUGCAUCUCCUUACCAAUGCCGCCUUAAUUGCCAAACAAGAAAGUGUGUCUCUUUACCAAUGCUGCUUGAAUUACCAAACAAGAAAGUGUAUCUCCUUACCAAUAUCGCUUGAAUUACCAAACACGGAAGUGCAUCUCCCUACCAAUGCUACUUGAAUUACCAAACAAGGAAGUACAUCUCCUUACCAAUGCCUCUUGAAUUACCAAAACAAGGAAGUGCAUACUCUUACCAAUGCAACUUGAAUUACCAAAAUAAGGAAGUGUGUUUCCUUACCAAUGAUGCUUGAAUUGCCCAAACAAGGAAGUGUGUCCCCUCACAAAUGUUGCUUGAAUUUCCCAAAUAAGGAAAUGCGUCUCCUCACAAAUGUUGCUUGAAUUACCAAAACAAGGAAGCGUGUAUCCUUACAAAUGUUACUUGAAUUACCCAAACAAAGAAGUGCGUUUCCUUACAAAUGUUGAUUGAAUUACCCAAAAAAAAGUGUCUCCUUACCCAUGUCGCCUAAAUUACCAAACCAAGGAAGUGUGUCUCCUUACCAAUGUUGCUUGAAUUAUCCAAACAAGGACUAUGAUCAAGAAAGACUUCAUUUUUCUGAAAAUAAUGUCCCAUUUUUCAGGAGAGUCCUGAACAUAAAGUAAAUUCCCAUUUUUCAGGAGGGUCCUGAACAUAAAAUAAAUUCUCAUUUUCUAGGAGGGUCCUAAAAAGAAAGUAAAUUCCUAUUUUUCAGGAGGGUCCUGAACAGAAAGUAAAUUUCCAUUUUCCAGGAGAAUCCUGAACAGAAAGUAAAUUCCCAUUUUCCAGGAGGGUCCUGAACAGAAGCAAAUUCCCAUUUUCCAGGAGGGUCCUGAACAGAAAGUAAAUUUCCACGGAUGUGCUUUUCCAAGGGUAGCUGAAUUAAGUAAAGCAAAUUUGCCCCUGUUUCAACAAAAAAAAAAUUGUCAGUAAAAACUUAGUGGUGGUUUGCAGCACUUGGUUGUCCCAACACCUGCUCCAAUGUUCAUUCCCUUCAUUUUGUUUUUGAUUGCUGGCACUUGCCCCUGCUUUAUCGCGUCAUUGACCCAAACUCAGAUUAUUAAGAGUGACUCUGAAAUAAACACAGUAUCUCUGCUUUACCAUGCUUCCCAGAUAAAUCCAUUAAACCUUGGUAUUUUCAUGAGUUCCCAGAUUUGCCUAUUGACAAAGCUUUCUGCGUGCCUUUUUUCGGCUUACAAUCAUGUCUCUUUCAUGCGCUGGCCUUUUGUCUUGCUUAGUGCAAUUGAAGAAGCUGGUAGCUAGUUUUGGAAUCUUUUCUCACUUGUUUUGACAUGGACUUUUGACUCAAAGACAAGAGAAAAAUGACAAUAAUUUUUAUUUUAUUUGGAUAAUUGACUUAAGAAGAUAAAAAUAUAACUAUAGAGAAGAAACAAACGACAAUGAAUAUCCCUAUUGAAAAAUAUAAAAUAAAAGUUUAUCUGAAAAUGACAGUCAACUCUAAUGAUUAUGACAUGCAUAUCGGAUUAAACUGCAUGAUCUUUCCAUCCAAAACUCUCACAAAUUGUUAUUGAGUUAAUGACCCUGAACUAGAGUUGCUUCCUUGGGCCAAUUGCAUUCGGAGACCUCAUUCGGCUAGUGGCGGCCUGGAGAGUUUUCGCCAGCAAGCCUCUCUCAUUCUCUUUCUCUCAGCUCAACAUCGCCUGAUGGUGCCCGUGAGGAUUUUCAUCGAUAAGACUCUCUCAUUUUUAUUUCUCUCAACUCACAGUCAUCUUACAGUGCCCAUGAGGGUUUUCACAGAUAAGACUCUCUCAUUUUUAUUUCUCUCCUGAUUCCUUAUGCUGAUGAAGACAGGUAGUUCCCAAAAUGUGUCAUUAUAUCCAUUGCAUGCUUAGCCUUAAUAUUCUCAAAGAUUGAUCUGAAGGUCUAUCUUUGGUUGUAACUUGACUUUUGGAUAAGGAUAGAAAAAAAGGAUGAUAUGAGGCCCAAACGACACUUGAAGUUGGGUGGGACUUACAACUUUUAGAAUCGACUCAAACAAUGAGGAUUAACUCAUGCCCCAGUUUCUUUUGGCUGGUUGACUUUAAAUUAUUUAUCUGGUUGGACCGAGCCCUUAGUAGGGCAGCCUAUGUAUCUCAUCCCGAGAGAGGAGAAUCAGGUCAUGCGUAGUUCUGGCAGCUUGUUUUGCAUGAUUUAGACUUUUGAUUCUUUUUCUUUGAUUGACACUCUUUUCUCUUUGAAUUUUUUUGACUCUAUUUGUCUUGGCACUUUUUUUUUGGACAUAUAUAUUUUUUUGACUCUAUUUUGAUUCCAAAAGAGGGGUAUGAAAGAAAAUAUGAGUAAAGCUCAAAUGGGGUAAACAAAGGAGACACGAUGUUUGGAUAGCAGAAUGAAAUGCCUUCAUCAUAUCAAUUCUUGAAAAUGCAAGCACAUAUCAUGCAAUAUAAAAGUGCACGAUCAAUAUCACUUAUGACAUGUUUUACAAUACUAACUUGCCCCGAACAUAUGUACCACCUCUUCUUCUACACUUGCCGAACAUACAACUCCAUCUUUGUUGUACAUCCCUCACAUUGAAUGACUCACGCUUUCGUGGAGUUGAUUUUCGUUCUAUUCCUCGGGAUCACAUAUCUUCUACUUGACCUAAUUGAGCUAUGUUUUUCAAUUGAUAACCAAGUUAUUCUUGUGAUUCUCUAAAUAAUUGCCUUAAUUUUCAAAGAAGGCUUGAACUUGUCACCAAAUGUCUCAGCACUCUACCUGUUUUCUCAGAUGCUUUCUUUUUCUAACUUUAACCCUCUGAUUCAAUGUUCAUGCUUAAAUUAGAUUUUAAGAUCUGGCUGAAAAUUCCGCUAGCAUGUCAUAUUACUAGAAUCAACAUAAAAUGUACUAUGUAAAGAAAACAAACAAACAACACAUAUUUAAAACACAAAAAAAAAAUAGGACACUUCAUUUAGUGGAAACAAAAUAUAGAAGGGUUUGAACAUAAACAACAAAAGGACAAAACAAGAAAGAUCCCGAAGUACAACCCUGAAAUAAUUCGGACAACAGAAAAUAAAACAAAACAAGCUACCAGACCCCUUCCUAGUAAGGAGAGAAGUGACUUCUUAAUUGCUCAGCCUGACAUCUUAGCCACUGGUUUGCAUAUCAGCAUGACUAGAGCUUUCCUCACUGUCAAUGUUCUAUACCAUGAUUGAUUUAUCUUGAAUUAUUUUUUCAAUUUCUCUUUUCAAAGCAUGAUAAUCUUUAAUAUUGUAACCCUGAACAUCAGAAUGAUAUGCACAUCGUACAUUAGGAUCAAAACUUCUUGAAUGUGGGUCAGGAGUAUACCCAAGGAGAGGAGUGAUUAUGCCCUGUUGUACCAAUAUAUGGAAUAAAAUUGCAUACGACUCUCCAAUUGGUGUGAAGUUAUCCCUCGACUUCUACCUCAUUUCAUUAUUUAACUUGGACCGAACAUCUGGCCUAGAAGGGGUUUGGUAUGUUUGUGGAGUUUGAGGAAGACUCUGAAGAGUUGGUACACGCCAUUAUGGGUAAGAAGGGAAUUGAUCAUAGGGUUGUGCAUUGUAUAUUAGAUAUGGAGGUGGAGGAAUAGAGUAUAAUGGAUUUCGGGAAAGAUUCUGUGGAGCUUGGGCAUAAACUUGGGUUUGAGCCUGUGGAUAACGAUGGUGGGGUCCUCUUUCCCGUGCCUGUUGUCCAACUACAAUGGUAGAUGUAUAUUCCUCAUACUUCUUCCCUCCGACACUUUCCAAACCUUUUUGAAUUGCUUGAGUAGUCGCUUUCAAUAUUGCAAAACUCACAAUGUGACCGGUCUUAAUUCCAUCCUCUACCAUCUCCCCCAUUUUGAGGACCUCAAUAAAUGGCUUGCCUAAUGAAGGUAACAAGUGUUAAUAAUAAGAUUCAUCCUGCGCUUGAAUAAAUACCUCCACUAUCUUACUUUCUUUCAUUGGCGGUUUCACCCAAGCAGCUUGUUCACGCCAUCUAACCGCAUACUCUCUGAAAGUUUUAGUACUCUUUUUCUUCAUAUUAGUUAGGGAUUUCUCUUCAGGAAUCAACUCCAUAUUGUAUUAAAAUUGUUGCACGAAUUCAUUAUCUAGGUCAUCCCAACUAAUCCAUUUGUCAAUGUCUUGGUCAACAAACCAUUCCGAAGCAAGGCCUGAAAGACUCUCCCCGAAAUAAGCCAUGAGUAGUUCUUCCUUCCCUCCAGCGCCUCUUAAUUGGUUACAAUAGCAUCUCAAAUGUGACACUAGGUCCCCAUGUCCGUCAUAUUUCUCAAACUUUGGCAUUUUAAAGCCAGGAGGAAGGUUGACCCCUGAAAACAUGCAUAAGUCCUUAUAUGAGACACUUUUGUAACCCCCAAGUCCUUGCAAGUUCUUCAUAGCCAGUUCCAAACUUCUCAAUAUUCUGGUCAUUUUCUCUUGUUUCUCUGUCAUAACAGGCUUCUCAGUGUUAGGAGGAAAUUCAGGCGGGUGAGUGUCACCAUAAAGACCAGUCAACAUAAAUGUAGGCUCGAAAGUGUAAUACUGAUCACCAGUAAUAUUCAAUACAGGCUCUCUUAUAGAGUAGGGAAGCACAACUUGUGAAUGAACAUCAAAAGUAGGAGCUUCAGGUGGGGGUGGCACUGAAAAAUCAUGAACAGCAAGUGGAGUCGAGUAUGUGGUAGUCUUGGAUUGGGGAGUGAGAAAAUGAACAUUGAAAGUGGUUGGAUAUUGUUGCCCCGGAGUCGAUCCUGAUGCAUGUUGUGGCAUAUUAACAAAAAUGGAAAAUUAUGCAUAUGACACGGGAGGCAAUCUAGAAAGAUAUUCCAGAUUAUCAGUGGGAACUGGAGGAGGCGACAAUCCAUUAGCCCAAGCUCGAUGUAUUUCUAUCACUUGUUGCCUUAAUUUCCGAAUCUCUUCAUUAUCUCCUAAAUUCUCAUUUCCCAAACUCCCUGUCUGAUUAGUGACAACAAACUCGAUAUCCUUGUUGGCCAUAACCUUCUCUGUGACUUGGUGCAAUAUGGAGGACCAACCAAAAUGCCACAAACCAACCACCUCAAACUAACUGAACAAGAGAUAGCAAAUGUGUUAGAGUUCAACACUUUCUCAAAAUCUCUCCUUUUAAAAAAAAAGAUCACCAAACCCAAGAAGGGUGCCUACGUAUCUCACUCCCGAAAGAGGAGAAUCAGGUGUGCAUAGUUCGUGAAGUCUUGCCAAAAUGACCAAUUAAACUCUUUUUCUUUUUCUUUUUAUUGAAAUUUUAAGAAGAAAAGAAAAAUGACAAAUUUUCAAAAGAAUAGACGAAAAUAUUUUUUUUUGAAUUUUCUAGAUUUAAUAACCUAUAAAAAAAUGAAACUUAUGAUUACCAAAGAAACUCCUUUUGGGUUUUCGAUUUUGAAUUUCAUAAGAAAAUGAAACUUGAACCUAUUAAAGAAAAAUAUUUUUUUUAGUUUUAUUUUUAAGGAAAAUCUUUUUUUGUAUUUUUGUUUUCAAGGCAUAUAUGAAACACCUACUCUAAAUGACGAGAAGAAAAUCUUUUUUUGAUUUUUUAAAUAAGAUCCCCGAACCAACAAUAAGCUUCCUACGUAUCUCACUCCCGAGAGAGGAGAAUUAGGGGUGUGUAGUUCGUCCAGAUAGGACAAUUAAGGAUUAAAUAACAGACUGAACCCUGACUUGAGAGACGCGACCACAAACAGAAGAUGAAAAACAAUAAAAUAUUUUUGAGUUUUUAGUUUGACACUGGGUUUGUUGUUGUUGUUGUUGUUGUAGUUUGACACUUCACAGAAGACUGACACCAACAACUAUGAAAGAGAAAAUCUUUUUGGUAUUUUCGUUAUAAGAGAUGCACAAAACUUUUACCAUCUUUUGACUUUCUUUUAUAAAACGCUCCUAUUAAGGAAAAAAAAAUUUGAAAUUUUUGAAUUAUGAAUGCUUACUAAAGAAACAAAAGAAAAUCUUUUCAACAUUUUUGAUGUUUUGGGAAAUGAGUGCAAAAAGUAAAAAAAAAAUAUUUUUUUUUUGAAUUUUUGAAUUGUGAAAAAACAAAAGCCAUAAAGAACCCUAAAAACUACCAAAUCUCUUUUUUUUCACUCUUUUUUUUUCUUCCUUUUUUCAACAAUUUUCUUCCUACACACGUUGCUUCUAACUCAUGCUUUUGCCCAAAUCAGUCUGUCAAAUGACCUUGUUACUCUCAAAGAUGCAAUAUUUAGCACGUAGGGAUGCUUUAGAGGUGAGUUUCCUACAAAGGAUCAAGUGGGCCCAGCUAGGUUGUCACGCCCCAAAAUCCCAUCGGGCCGGACUGGCACCCNNNNNNNNNNNNNNNNNNNNNNNNNNNNNNNNNNNNNNNNNNNNNNNNNNNNNNNNNNNNNNNNNNNNNNNNNNNNNNNNNNNNNNNNNNNNNNNNNNNNNNNNNNNNNNNNNNNNNNNNNNNNNNNNNNNNNNNNNNNNNNNNNNNNNNNNNNNNNNNNNNNNNNNNNNNNNNNNNNNNNNNNNNNNNNNNNNNNNNNNNNNNNNNNNNNNNNNNNNNNNNNNNNNNNNNNNNNNNNNNNNNNNNNNNNNNNNNNNNNNNNNNNNNNNNNNNNNNNNNNNNNNNNNNNNNNNNNNNNNNNNNNNNNNNNNNNNNNNNNNNNNNNNNNNNNNNNNNNNNNNNNNNNNNNNNNNNNNNNNNNNNNNNNNNNNNNNNNNNNNNNNNNNNNNNNNNNNNNNNNNNNNNNNNNNNNNNNNNNNNNNNNNNNNNNNNNNNNNNNNNNNNNNNNNNNNNNNNNNNNNNNNNNNNNNNNNNNNNNNNNNNNNNNNNNNNNNNNNNNNNNNNNNNNNNNNNNNNNNNNNNNNNNNNNNNNNNNNNNNNNNNNNNNNNNNNNNNNNNNNNNNNNNNNNNNNNNNNNNNNNNNNNNNNNNNNNNNNNNNNNNNNNNNNNNNNNNNNNNNNNNNNNNNNNNNNNNNNNNNNNNNNNNNNNNNNNNNNNNNNNNNNNNNNNNNNNNNNNNNNNNNNNNNNNNNNNNNNNNNNNNNNNNNNNNNNNNNNNNNNNNNNNNNNNNNNNNNNNNNNNNNNNNNNNNNNNNNNNNNNNNNNNNNNNNNNNNNNNNNNNNNNNNNNNNNNNNNNNNNNNNNNNNNNNNNNNNNNNNNNNNNNNNNNNNNNNNNNNNNNNNNNNNNNNNNNNNNNNNNNNNNNNNNNNNNNNNNNNNNNNNNNNNNNNNNNNNNNNNNNNNNNNNNNNNNNNNNNNNNNNNNNNNNNNNNNNNNNNNNNNNNNNNNNNNNNNNNNNNNNNNNNNNNNNNNNNNNNNNNNNNNNNNNNNNNNNNNNNNNNAGCUCACAAUCAGAAUGUAGCAGUAUAUCAAAACUUCUGAUUCUUUGAACACACUCAACGGUUGAAGAUCACAAAGAGCUUUUUGAAAUUAGAAAAGUGUUUUCAAUACUGAAAAUUUUCGUUACCACCUGAGGAAAAAGUGCAGUAUUUAUAGCCAUAAAGUGCCCCUUCAGAAAGGAAGCAAUGGCUCAUCAGAAAGGUGCAUCGCUUCGGCACAGUCAUGUCUGUUUAUUUUGAAAUAAUGUCUUUUCAGAAUAGCCACAUCCGACGAACAACCACCGUUUUUCCAAUACAGUAUGUCAUUUCCUUGAAGGGUUGUAUCCCUUUUGAGUUACAUUUCAGUGUUUAUGCAUGCAUGUUCAUGAAGAAAAUAUUUUUUUUCCGUUGGUUUUUUAGAUUUAAAAAUUUCACUUGGUUUUUCCAAGUUCCAAAACAACUUUGUCUAAAAAAUUAAUCUUAUCUUUGACCGAACCCGAAGCCGAGUGAAUGAUGACGGCGAUGAUGACGGCGUGAGGAACCUCUUGGUUCUUGCCCCACUAUCCACUUGAAGGAGUGUUUCUUAAUAAGAACACAAUAAAGUUGCUUUCUUCCACCUGGGAGGAGUUGUCACAACUCGAGUCGAGGCCCUAGCCGUGACGAGCAUCCUGAACAGCAAAGGCCCGAGAGACCCCUUAGCCCACCCAGUAGUGAUAUUGUACGCUCAGAGCCCAGGCCCGCAUGGCUUUAAAAUACGUGUAAGGCUUGCUUACUUAUAUACCCAAAAUCCCUCCUAUGUUUUACCGAUGUGGGACUUCUUAUCUUAAGUUGGUGUGUUACAUACACCCUCUUCCCUUAUGGACACAGCGUCCUCGCUGAGGUUUGCCUCACCUAAUUAGAUUUGCAUAGACUCAGGACUCUGGCCCACAUCGACAAGGCUGACACAGGAGCGACUCUGAUACCAUUUUGGUCACGACCCGAGUCGAGGCCUUGGCCGUGAUGGGCAUGCCGAACCACGAAGGCCUAAGAGACCCCCCUUAGCCCUCCCACUAGUGAUAUUAUUUGCUCUGAGACUAGGCCCGCACUACUUUAAAAUGCUUCACUAGGGAGUAAGGCUUUCUUACUUAUAUAUCCAAUAUCCUUCUUGUAUUUUGCCAAUGUGGGUGUUACAUACACCCCCUUAUGGACUCAGGGUCCUCGCUGAGGUUUGCCCCACCAAAUGGAAUUUGCCUAGAUUCAGGACUAAAGUUUGCCCCACCCUAUCGGAAUUUACAUAAACUCAGUUUGGACUCUAGCCCACAUCGACAAGUCUAACACAGGAGCGACUUUGAUACCAUUCUUGUCAUCACUCAAGCCAGGGUCCUGGCCACGACGGGCAUCCCAAACAAUUAAGGCUCGAGAGACCCCUUAGUCCAUCUACUAGUGAUAUUGUCCGCUCUGGGCUCUGGCCCACACGAUUUAAAAUGCAUUACUAGGAAGUAAGGCUUUCUUACUUAUAUACCCAAUAUCUCUCCUGUGUAUUACCGAUGUGGGACUCUUUAUCCUAAAUUGGGGUAUUACAUGCACCCCCUCUUAUGGACUCAAGGUCCUCGCUGAGAUUUGCCCCACCAAAUAGGAUUUUCCUAGACUCAAGACAUAGGUUUGCCCCGCCUUACUGGGAUUUGUCUAAACUCAGUUUGAACUCUGGCCCACAUCGACAGAGCUGAACACAAGAGCCGCUCUGAUACCAUUCUUAUCACGACCCGAGACAAGGCCCUGGCCGUGAUGGGCAUCCCGAACAAUGAAGGCCUAAGAGACCCUCCUUAGCCCGCCCACUAGUGAUAUUAUCUUCUCUGGGCUCAGGCCCGCAUAGCUUUAAAAUGCAUCACUAGGUAGUAAGACUUGCUAACUUAUAUACCCAACAUCCCUCCUGUAUUUUGCCGAUGUGGGACUCCUUAUCCUAAGUUGGGGUGUUACAGAAGUAUACUUUCCUUUAGUGAGUACACUUUCCUUUCAAGUGUGUGAUCACUUUCCUUCUAAAAAUUUCCUCAAUUUUCCAUCUACAUCCUAUUGAACCCAACAAUGUCUUUCUAUACAAAAAGAAAUCUUUCAUAAUAUUAGAAAAAAAUUAUCAAAACACACCUUCAUUGUCUAUUGUUCCCUUUUCCUACAUGAAAUAUCACCAUCAUUCAAGUAGGAAACGAGAACAACUGAUAGUUAGGGUAUGUUCCAAUAAAUAUUGUGAUAGUUUAGGUAGAAAACUUGCUCACCGAAUAAUUCAGGUAUAAAACUCAAAAAACCAGCUAAGGGCAAGUUGAAGUACACGUUUAUGUCUUAUGUUUAAAAGAAAACCAGAAACCAAAGAAAAUUAGUGAUUUUCAACAUGAAAAUAUCUCUGCUUGCUUUGUUGUUAUUGAACUACAUUCAUCAUCACCAUCAAAUAAGUAAAUUCCACAAAAAUAUAUGUACAAAUAAGCACUAAUAAGUGUUAGAAUAGUGGGAGGAUGUAAGAGAAGUUUUGUAUAACAGUGGUUUUAUACCAGGGAUCUUUACCUAGAGUUGAGGGACUAUAGCAAAUAGUCUUUCUACCCUACGCUUUAAUGAUGGUAUUUCUUGAAAGAAUUACAAAAGGCAAAAUUCAUAAAUAUGCGCUUUAACUUGGCCUCAGAUCACAUCUAUAACUUCCAAAUUUGGGUGUGCACAAGUAGGCACUUAAAUGAAGGAUUCUUUGUUAAAUGGCAUUUUCAAGUCUUCUUUUUAAUUAAAGAAACUACACAUUUUUUUUAGGCAAAUGACACAUUUUUUAGAUAGAUCUAUUAUCUAUCCGAUUGAUAUAUAGACAGAUCGAUUAUCGAUCUGACCUAUAUAUUGACAGAUCGAUUAUCAAUCUGACCUAUGUAUAGAUGGAUCGAUUAUCAAUCCGACAAAUGAGAAAAUAUAAGUAUGCCAUUUUGCUAAUUGGAAACUUGAAGAGGCUUAAUAACCAAAUUUACUCAGUAGGCCAUUUUUCUAAUUGGAAACAUGAAGAGGCUAAUAGCAAAAUUUUCUUCUUAAGCUUGUAUAAAGUUGAACAAGUAGACACAUAUGUCCUAUAUGGCAUCCUAUGUGGCCAAUUCUUGUCCUACAUGGCGUCCUACGUGUAUUAUGCCACAUAGGACGUGUGUGUCUAUUUGUUCAUCUUUAUAAAAGUUUAAGUGCCUACUUAUACACACCCAAAGUUGAAGAUCACAGAUGUGAUUUUUAGUCAAGUUAAGGGAAUGUUUAUAUAUUAUGCCUUUACAAAAACAUAAAAAACACUGAGAUAUAUGUAACACAUCGAUAUUUUUGAGCUAAAAUUCAAACCGUCAUUUCUAUGUGUAUAAUCAUGGAUUCUAUUAUUUAUAUAAAAAAAUAUGUAUAAUUUUCAUUAACCUAGCAUGAAAAGUGCCUUUUAGGGGAAGAAUGUUAGUAGUAAACACUUAGCAUGAACUGGAGUUAAGAACUUUCACUAUCGACCAAAUUUUAAAAUUUGCUUCUACAUGGGUCAACUUUGAAUGUGUAUAACUUGCGAAAUAUGUGUAAUUUUGGAGUUAAAUACCUACCAAUUUGUACAUAAUUGAAUUAGAUUUCCAACUCCUCCAAUUUCGCCUUAAUCCGAUACCCGAGCCAAAAGUUAUGAACAUUUUUGUACAAACCAGUGAGCGUCCGUGAUAGCAGCGCGACACGGAGCUCAUCAUGGAUAUUAGACUCUACGACGCACCGAUGUUUUAAAUUCAUCAAUUUUUGGAUUUUUUGAUUUGGAAAGAAGGGUAUUGAAGUCCUUUCACUUUUAAAUGACCCCUAAACGCUAUAUUAUUCUAUUUCUAUUCGUUUCACGAUAUAACAUUGUUAUAUCACCUCUCCAAAAUCCCUAAUCAUUUCUCCAUAAGAAAGAAAGUAGAAACUACCCAGGGUUUGAGAAAUUCAGGCUUCGGGGGUCCAAUUUCUCUAUGUUCUCUUGGAUUUCUCUCCGUCAAAAGGUAUGUGGGACUAUCCUAAAUCUCAUGGGCAUGAUUUUAUCGUUUUACAAGCUUUACGAAUAUAUAAUUACGUAUAUGCAAUGGGUUUUGAAAUUAUUGAAGAGCAUGCAUUGGGGACCCCGUUUUAUGAUGAAAUCUUGUUAAAACUAUGGGGGGUUUCCUAAACUUGAAUUAUAUUUUUGUGUAUGAAUGUUAUGAGUUUUGAGAAUUCAUAUGAGAGCACAAUUUACGAGAUUCCCUCUCUUGUUAUGAAAGUCAUUGUCUUAAUGUGUUGUGGGUUGUUCAAAUGCAUGAAUUACAAGCUCGAGAUUCAAAUCUUUACAGUCAUGAUGGGUUAACAUUGUUUAUGAUAUGAUGAGAGGGUAUUUCUCUUGUUUAUAAUUGUUUAUCCUGUGAAAGAAUUGCAUGUAUUUUAUGAAAGGAUUGGCCACCACAUUAUAAAGUAUUGAAAAGGGAGUAUUCAGCAAAUGUUUUCAUAUGUUUUGAAAUAAUAACUCUCUUGUGUGAUGUUUAAAUCUUUUGGGUGACCAUCAACAUGAUUUUUGAAUGAAAGGGGCUAUGAUUAUGACAUGACAUGAUAUGACUUGCAAGUCUAGGUAUGAUGAUACCUAUCACGAGAUGCCCUUGACUUGAAAGAGAUAAAUGUUUUAAAAGCAUGAAGCAUGAUUUUAAUGGACUAAAAUUGAGCUUAAAGAGAGGUAGUUGGUUAUCCGAAGAAGUCUUGAGUUAGAUAACUCAUAGCCCGAAAUUGUGUUUUGUCGAUACGGGUUUUAUAUGUUAUUCGGCAAGUGGAAUAACAUGGUAUGUCGGCAAGUUGGGCAUACCUUUUCAUGAUACUGCAAUCCUUGAGGCAAACUCGGAUUGGGGGGUUUGGCCAACGAGUUAAUGGCGGACCUAUAUAGCCCAUGGGUAUUAAUGUUUUGUAGGGUGUACAUCUAACUCAGAAGUAAUACGAAGAGUUGAGUCAGUGUUCUACAAGAAUGGUUGAAGCUCAUCAAAUUAUGCCCAUGUGUUUUCAUUUACAUUAUCCUAAAUUGAUUUAUGAAAUGCUCUCACCUAUGUUGUAUAAAAAUAUAUGUUAUAUUUUUGGAUUGUUCUGCAUGCCAGUACUUUCAAGUAUUGACCCCCCUCCUCCCCCCAUAUUACAGGUUCUGUUGUAUAGUCUCACGGUCCAUCACAUCAAUAGAACACUUGAGGUAUGACAGAAUUGGUGAGCCAUCUAUCUUUUGGAAGGCAUUUACUCAUAUGUUGAGUAUUUUAGUAUAUGGUCUAGCCGGGGGCUUUAUCCCGACCUAUACAGUUUAGUUUUCAUUAGAAGCUUCGUCAAUGGAAUUCGAGUACUGUAUUGUCAUACUUUGUUGACACAGUUUGUAUUAUAAGUUUUUGUUGAACUUCAUUAUAUAUUCCGCACUUUGAUUUAUGUAGGUAUUAUGCUUAUGAUAAAAUGCAAAGGGGUCUCUCGAGCCUUCUAUGGUUUGGGAUGCCCGUCGUGACAAUAUAGAACAAAUUUCAUGUAGUACAGAGUUUUCCAACCUUUUAUUUAACUUCAUUCUUUUCCAUUACAGCGGAGAUUCAGUGAUCCCAAGUAGAUUUCUUGAUUUGCCAACAAUUCAGUCCGUACCAAAGAAGAGAUAAGAGUAUACGAGAAGAAGAAUUUGAAAGAACAAAUAUUGGAAUAUUACUAGACAACUUGUUUUUAACUAUAGGCAAACAAAAUGAAGAAAAAGGGAUAAAAUUGAAAAAAAAAACCUGUCAUAACAAUAGCAAUACAACUUCAUCACUUAUUCACCACAAUAAAAUAAAAGAAAAAAGGGGAAAAUAGCUCGGAGAAUGCAAUCGAUGUCUGACAAUUUAUCUUUAGCCUCUGACGUCUUGGCGAAGGAAUUGUAACCAUCUUCUUAACAUAUGCUCUGCAAAUAAAAAUUACACUGGUCAAAGUAAUUGGAAAAAAUAUAAAGAAGAGACGUUACUCAAUUUUAUGUGGCACUCUUUUUCUUUUUGCUAUGUCCAAAAAGAAUGUAGCUACACCUAUGUUGCUCGGACUCUUAAAAAAUGUGGGUGCAUGUCGGAUUCUCCAAAAGUAGUGUAUUUUUGGAGAAUCCAACAUGAAUACGGCAUCAAAAGUGAUGAGUCCGCGCAACUUAGAGCUACACUGUUAAAGAAUAGAAGUUUCAAAAGUUAUUAUUGACUUUCUCAAACUCCACCGCAUAUCGACAACACAUUAAUAAAGUUAUGCUAGUUUUAACAUGAAUAACUCUUCUCUAACCCGGAAGUCAGAAGUUGUAAUGUUUUGAGUUAGAAUCUGUUGUUGCCCAUUUAGUCUUUGCUACUUUAUUGACAAUUUGAAACAAAAAAGAAAUUGUACAUCUGCAUAUGCAUCAGACUUCUGAAGGAAACAGGUUACCACUGCUUUGUACAUUCCCAUUACUCGUUCCAUACUUGCCUCGGCUUCUUCCUUUCCGUGUUUCUCUGCCAAGGACAGUGAAAAGUGUAAUCAACAAGUUGAUGAUUAGCUAGAGGAAGUUAGUGUGUGUGAUGUAUGUGCGACUGAGUUAGUUAGUUAAGUGUGACAGCUGUCAUUAUACAACUGUCACAAGGUGCAAACCAACUCUAUAAAUGUGACUUGUAGUGCCAUAAAAAGCUAAGAGAAAAUCAAUCAAUGAAAACUACUCUUCUUCUAGAAUCUUCUACUCCUCUUCUUCAAGAUCUUAGCUCAAUACUAUAGAAAGCUAAUAUGGUAUCAAAUCCACUACUGAUCGCUAGCUGUAAUCGGUACUAGAGACUAUCGAUUUCACUUGAUCAGUGAGAAUAACAGCUACUAUUCUAUUGGUUACAGUGAACUUUAAUGGCGGUUACUCGAAACUCAGUUGCAUAUCCUUCAACUACAACUGCAGUACCUGGAAAUACACCUACUUCAACUGGUACAAUUGAAAUUGACCACAAUUAUCCUCUGUAUUGGCGUCCAAAUGACACUCCAGGUAGCUCUCUUAUUUCUAUCCAGCUUACUGGCACUGAAAAUUAUGCCCUGUGGAGUAGAUCUAUUGCGUUGAGUCCCAUAGGUAAGAACAAAAUAGGCUUUGUUGAUGGGAGAUAUCCUAAAAAUCACAUUGAUGAAUCAGUACAUGAUCAGUGGGAGAGUGUUAAUGCUGUUGUUUUGUCAUGGAUUAUGAAUUCAGUACGAAAGGAUCUGUUGAGUAGUAUUAUGUAUGCCUCUAAUGCUCAUAAUGUGUGGAUAGAUUUAAAGAAAAGGUUUGAUAUGGUGAGUGGCUGUAGAGUAUUCUACUUGCAUAGAGAAAUUAUGACCUUCUCUCGGGGAACUCUGUCAGUUGCUGAUUAUUUUUCUCGAAUGCGAACUCUUUGGGAUGAAUUUGAUGCUAUUAUGCCUUCUCCUAGAUGUAGAUACCCUGAAUCUAGAAGUUAUGCUCAACACUUUGAUUAUCAAAGAGUAUUACAGUUCCUAAUGGGUCUAAAUGAAACAUACUCUCCGUGUAGAAGCCAACUCCUAUUAAUGACCCCUGUACCAUCCAUUAGCAAAGUGUACUUCAUGAUUGUAGGUCAUGAAAGCCAUAGAUCCAUAGCUUCUAGUUCCUCUGUGGAUCAUCUUAGUGAUACACUGGAUGUAGCAGCUCUCUUUACCCAUAAACCAGGUUACAAAGGCAAAGGUGGAUAUCUAGGUCCUGGUGGUUCAGUUGGUACAAGUAUAGUUAAGACUACAGGUAUCGAUGAAGGAAGACCACUAGCUUCUACUUAUAGAGGUGCUCCACAAAAAAAACCAUCAGUGGUUUGUGAGUUUUGUGGUUAUAAUGGUCAUACUAAGGAUCAAUGUUUCAAGCUGAUUGGUUACCCAUCAGAUUAGCCCAAGUCCAAUAAGAAAGGAUCAGGACAGUAUGCACAUAUGGUAGACUCUGCAUUCCCUGUGGACACAUACCCUACUAGUAAUAAGUUGUCUCAAGCCAGUUCAUCCCCAACUACUUCAAGUCCUACUCCUCAUUUUACACCAAGAUUAUAUCAACAACUUGUCAUGCUGCUCAACAAAGGGAAGGAAAAGGAUUCCAUUUCACCUGCAUCAAAUGCAGGCAUCACGAUAGCUCCAACUAGUCCUACUUUAAGUGAUAGGUGGAUUAUUGAAUCUGGUGCUACUAAUCAUAUGGUCUCCAACCCUGAUAUGCUUCAUAGUUAUCAUAAAAUGCAUCAGUCUUUAUAAAGUCAGGUCUAUCUUCCAACAGGUAACUAGGUUUCAGUCUUUCACAAAGGCACCUCUGGUGUACUCAACAAUUCCCUCAUUACUGAUGUCUUAUAUCUGCCUGAGUUCAAAAUAUAAUCUUCUAUCUAUUUCAAAACUUACCAAGGAGUUGCAAUGUUCAGUGAAGUUUUUUCCUGACUUCUGCAUCUUCUAGGAUCUCUAUACUAGCAUGGUGAUGGGGAUUGGUAAAGAAUAUCAAGGACUUUACAUUCUCCCAAAUGCUUCCUCUAAACCUACAAGUGUAAAUAAGUGUGCCAAUAAUGUGAAGUUGUUGUCGGAUUCUAGUGUUCUUUGGCACAAAAGACUGGGUCAUGCACCUAUUGAGGUGCUUAAAAGGCAUGCUGAACUAAGUCAUUUGAAGUUUGAAGAUCACAUAUGCACUGUGUAUCCCCUUGCUAAGCUGAUUAAACUUUCUUUUCAGCAUAGUAUCUCUGUGUCUAAGGCUCCCUUUCAUCUGCUUCAUUAUGAUAUAUGGGACCUUAUAGAGUGCCUACCUAUGAUAAAAAGAGAUUCUUUGUUACAAUUUUUGAUGAUCAUUCUAGAUUAACUUGGUUGUUUCUUAUCCAGUUUAAGUCUGAAGUGAUAGUUGUACUCAAAGAUUUUCUGACUAGAAUGCAAAACUUGCUCUCUACUUCUGUAAAAAUUCUUAGAACUGAUAAUGCCUGUGAGUUCUUUAGUCAUGAAUUUAAAUCUCUUAUGUCUAAUCUUGGUAUUUGCAUCAAACUUCAUGUGUCUAUACCCCUCAACAGAAUGGGGUGGUGGAAAGAAAACACAGAACUAUUUUGGGAGUUGCAAGAUCCCUCAAAUUUCAAGCAGGUGUACAUCUCAAGUUUUAGGGUGAAUGUGUUGAGACUGUUGUGUACUUGCUGAACAGAAUUCCCUAAGAAAUACUUCACUAUAAAUCUCCCUUUGAAAUCCUCCAUCAACAGGUGCCUUCACUUUUUCAUUUAAAAGUCUUUGGCUGUUUAGGCUAUACCUCUAGUCCUUUGUUCAGAUAAGUUUGCUGCUAGAGCAAUUCUUUGUGUCUCUAUGGGCUACUCAUCCACCCAGAAAGGGUACAAACUAUAUGAUUUUCAUACCAGACUAUUCUUUACUAGUAGAAAUGUCAGCUUUCAAGAGUCCACCUUUCCUUUCCUUCACCAAGCUACCAUUGACUCUUAAUUAUUUCCUGACCUGCUGACCACUCUUGUUGAUCAUUCUGUUCCUUUUUUCUCUUUCCCCUCCAUUCCUUUAUCUACUUCUUUUCCAGUCUCUCCUGAGCUGGAGCAUGGUCGGGCCUAUACCUUCAUCCUCAGCUCCUACUCAUCCCUCUGUAUCUCAUUCUGACCCCCCCUCUUCUCAAAAAAUCCACCAGACAUAAGAAACCUCCUAGUUGGAUCCAUGACUUUGUCACUACCAAGCUUGUCUCAGCUCACCAAUGUUUGUAUCCAUUAUCUUCCUAUGUCACAUACUUUCAGUUCUCUUCAUAUUUUAAUCAAGCUCUCUCUGUCUAUUUUUCUAUUCCUGAACCCUCUACUUUUCUUGAAGCCUUCAAAGAUCCAUCUUGGGUUGAGGCUAUGAAGCUAGAGAUUGCAGCUCUUGAGGAGAAUCAUACUUGGUCUAUUGUUGACUUUCCACCUGGUAAAGCUCCUAUUGGUUAUAGGUGGGUGUACAAAGAAAAGUACAAGACAAAUGGAGAUGUAGAAAGUUAUAAAGCCAGACUAGUAGCUAAGGGCUAUAGUCAACAGGCUGGGGUUGAUUACUCAGAUACUUUCUCUCCUAUGGCAAAGAUGGUGACAGUAAGAUCCCUUAUUGCUCUUGCUGCUUCUCGACAAUAAUUGUUUUUUCAAAUGGAUGUGACAAUGCUUUUCUUAAUGGUGAUCUGUCAGAAGAGGUCUACAUGCAUAUUCCUGAUGGUUUUUGCAGACAGGGAGAGACUCAGAAAGUCUACAAAUUACACAAGUCUUUGUAUGGUCUAAAGCAGGCCCAUAGACAAUGGAAUAUGAAGCUGACCGAUGCUCUCUUACAAGUGGGGUUCAGUCAAAGUUAUUAUGACUACUCCUUGUUUACCAAAAAAUCAGAAAAUGAAAUAGUGAUUAUUCUUGUCUAUGUGGAUGAUUUAUUAAUAACAGGAAACAAUGUCCCCUUGAUUAAUCAAGCUAGAUCAGAUUUAUAACAAAAGUUUAAAGUGAAGGAUCUUGAUGAUCUGAAGUUCUUCUUGGGCAUAGAGGUAGCCAGGUCCAAGGAAGGGAUAGUGCUGAAUCAAAGAAAGUAUGCUCUUGAACUUAUAUCUGAGGCUAGACAAAGUGGAUCAAAAUGUGCUAGUACUCUACUGGAAAUGAAUCAGAAACUAACAUUUGUGGAAUAUGACAAUCAUAUGUCCAAUGGAACAGGAGAUGAUAAUGCAACGCUGAAGGAUCCAACAACAUAUCAAAGACUAGUAGGAAGGCUAUUGUAUNNNNNNNNNNNNNNNNNNNNNNNNNNNNNNNNNNNNNNNNNNUGGGGUGCUUGCUUACAAACUAGAAGAUCAGUGGCUGGGUAUGUAAUAAAGUUUAGAGGUGCUUUAGUCUCUUGGAAAUCAAAGAAACAAGAGACUGUGUCCAGGAGCUCUGCAGAAGCAGAGUUUAUCCCUCCCGAAGUCAUUUUUUUUACUCAUUUACCACUUUACCAUACACCUCCUUUUAGUUGAUAAUUUUUCCACAAAAGAACAAAAAAUAAUAAUCAGCCCUUAACAAAAUCCCUAACAAAUUUUAUCUUGUUUUAAUCAUCCUAACAACUUACCCCUACCCUACCCUUAUCCUACCACGUGGUCCCCACCUCCCUAACAAGACCACGAAUUAUACGCACAUAAGAAUACAGGAUAAACACAAAAAAUUGGAAGCAUAUAUAGAGAAUUCCAGUAAGAGGAGGGUGGGACCCACAUGUAUUAUUCCCUCAACAUAUACAACACACAACCUCCAUUAAAGGACCAUCAAUACACUCUCCAUUUUUGGAUUUCAGGGGAGAAACACUACAUACACCAAAAAUACUCUCCAUAUCCUCAUGAACACACACACAGACGCAUACACACAUAUUACACAUCGGAGAAAAGGGGAAUUCUCAAAGAUAAAAAAAAAUAUGCACAAAGUAGAGAGAGACAUCAACAAAUAUCAUCAUCCUCCAUUUUCUUUCAUCUUCCAAAAAUAUACACACACUAAAAUCGUGACUACACAAAGAGAAUAGCACUCCAUCUUUGAACACUUCAUUUUUCUUUCCUUUUCUUCUUCUUGGAACACACAAUUUCCAUGGAGAGAGUUAGAAAUUGAGAGAGAUAGAAAUUGAGAGAGAAUGACAGAUUGAGUAAGACAGAGAAAAGAGAGCUUGAGGGAGAGAAACAACGAAAGGAGCUCUAUUCCGGUGGUUGAAAAUUUGGGGAGCUUGAGGGAGAGAAACAGCGAAAGGAGCUCUAUUCCGGUGGUUGAAAAUUUGGGGGGUGGGAUUGUUUUUUUUUUGGUUUAAUUUUACUUUUUAUUAAAAAUAAUCACAUGAUGGACCAACCCAUCUUACAAAAAAUUCAUCCCUCCCAUUAUUCCCAUACCCGGCCCAACCCAAAAACCAAAAUAAAACAUUUAACAUGAGUAGGGUUUCUAAAAUCAAAAGUUUCCUAAACCAUAUUUCAGCUCCACCGCCUCUUGCACUACUGUUUCGCUUCCUCCCGUUGAAGAUGAUAAUCGAUCUUGUAAAUCCUUCUUCAUGGUAUCGUGUUUCUUUCAGCUUACAGAGAUGACUGAAAUCUCUUUGAAAUUUUACUCUUUUGUUUCCGAUUCCCUCUAACUAUUGAUACUCUCCUCUUCUUAGCUUCAUUCUUCAAUCUUUGCAAAAAUUGAAUAUUGUUUUGCAUCUAAGAAGACCUGAUCUGCAGAGUAUACCAGCUAAGUAUGUUAUCUUCUUAUUUUGUCCCCUCACCUUUUCUGGAUCUGCUUUGACCGCAUCUUUAUUUGCUUGUACGAUUUGAAGAUCAAUGGAGAAUUGAUGUCGCAUAUAUUCAACUAUCCGACUCCAUCUCAGGUAUUUGCAGCUCUAUCUGGGUCAUCUACACUUUCUUGAUACUGUGCACUAGUUACUGCUCACACUUAGUAAUCUAACCCCUUCUUUUUUUGUUUGUAUUCCAAAACAAAAAACCUGAUAGAUUUGAAGAGCAAGUAAUUAUUGAUGUCAGAUAUAAUCAGCUAUCCGCCUCCAUCUCAGGUCUUUUCAGAACCCUAUGGUCCAUCUACACUUUUUUGAUGCUGUGAACUAAUUUCUGUACAAGCUUAGUAAAACAUGCACUUUCAUUGAUGAUACAUACUUCUGUAUAUAAAUUACAUGUAAACUAUGAAUCUUGAAUGUUUUCCUGUUCCUUAUUAUCUUACUGGUAUGAUCCUCAAGCAUGGCCUUUGCCAUUUGUCACUAUUUAAGAUUGCUUUACCUUUUUCCCCUAAUUGCUGAUAGCUUGUGAUGAUGAAAGCACCCGUGUCUAUUGCUAAAUUAGCUAAAUAAUCAGCUAAUUGAUUUCUCUCUCUAUAUAUAUAUAUGUUGAUACCGCACUUGCUUGUUUUGCAUGAAACUGUGUAUCUGCUUGACUGUGUUUGCUAUGCUCCAUGGACACAACCAAACAUUUGUCAAUACCUUCUGCAUUAAUAGGGAGUCCGUCUGAAUGAUAAUCUUAUUGUGCUACAAUUGUGAACAAUGCUUAACUGCCUGUAGAAUUGCAUUACCCUCUGCCUGCAUACUAUCUGCAUAAUGUUGUGGUUCUCCCUUAGCAAAUAAGACAUCUCCAUCUUUAUUCCUCAAACGAAAAGCAUAGGAAUUUCCUCCAUUCUCUCCUCUUACAUCUCCAUCAGUAUUAUAUUUUACCCAGCCCUCCUAAGGUGUCUUCUACAGUACUAUUAUAGCCUUCACUCUUAUUUGCAUUUGCUCAAUUCUGCAAUUAUAUGUGGCCAUUCUGUUGGGAAUUCCAUUUGUGGUUUCCCGACCUUCAACAGCUUUCUAAAAUUCCUUAUAACAUUAUAUAUGAUCCUCAAUCCUGUAGUUUCCUUAUCUUCAUGUUUCUUCCUGUUCCUUCUUCUCCACAAUUCCCACAGAAUCAUGCUAGGAAUUGCAAAGUAGUAAGGCUUUUCUCUUCCUUUUACUUCAGCAUUCCACCAUCUUAGAAUUGUUCCCCUUAGAGUCAAACUGUGAACAUGAAUACCUUCAUAAGAAGAAAAAUAGGACCAAGUCCUAUUAGCUUGGUAAGAAUUCUUGAAUACAUGAGAAAAUGUCUCCACUUCUGGGGCAUUACAACACCAGCACUUAGAUGGCCCCUACAUCCCCAUCUCAUAAUAGUAUCAUCUACAGGAAUUCUUCUUUUCCACAGUCUCCACAUGAAAAACUAAUCUUAAAAGGUACUCCUUUCACCCAUAUCUUCUUGAAAAUGUUUUCUAUCCCCUCCCUAUUCCUUAUAUACUGCCAGGUUGAUUUAACUGUAAAUAAUCCUUUAGAAUCAAUACUCCAUAUAGGCCAGUCCUCCUCUAUUCCUAUUGGAGGGAUGAUUUUGGUAAGAACAUGAUCUGCUACUUCAUCAGUGAAUAACUCUCUAAUCAAUUGUUCAUCCCAUGUAUCAUUUCUCAGGUAAAAAAUAGGGCACCCUAGGUUAAUGAAAGGGAAUUAUCUUAUCAAAAUAACAGUAGCCACUUCUGCUAACACCCUUACUGCAUGAGAUACUCCUUUGUGCAUAUAAAUUGCACUCUUCUCCUUGUUUAUUUUUUGUCCUGAUAUUUCCUCAUAUUUAUCCAAAACUGUAAUGACCAACUGUAAAUUUUUCACUUCAGCUUUGCACAAGAUGAUCAUAUCAUCUGCAAAUGCAAGGUGAUUUAAUUUUGGACUUUCUCUCGGCAUCCCAAACAUCCUGAAAUCCUUCUUCUUCUUCAGUUUCUUCAGUGCUCUUGAUAAAACCUCUGCUGCUAUUAUAAACAAAGUUGGUGACAAAGAAUUCCCCUGCUUCAACCCUCUUGUAGAUCGAAAAAUUCUUUAGGCUGACCAUUCAAAAGUAUUGAAUACCAAUUAUUUUCCAAUAGUCUAAAGACCAUGUCUAUCAGUACCUCUGAAAAACAAAAUGAUCUCAAUAUCUUUGUUAAAAACAACCAUUCUACUCUAUCAUAGGCUUUCAUCAUGUCAAGCUUCAACACCAUGUUAGGUGACUUCCCUCUCUUUCUAAUUUUAGACACAACUUCCUACACUACCAAAACAUUUUCAGUAAUACUCCUACCUUUAACAAAACCUUCCUGUUCCAUGGAUCAAAUGGGGUAAAAUUCCUUUUAUCCUUUCAUGAACUAUUCUUGAGAAAAUCUUAUUGAAAAAAUUACUAAGUGAAAUAGGCCUCAUGUCUGAGAAAUUAUUCACUACUAACUUCUUUGGUAACAAUACCAAAUUAGUAUGAGUAAUAAAUCUAGGAAGUUGAAAUCCACAAAAGAAAGAUUUUACCAUUUUAUGGAUGUCCUGCUUAAUGAUUUCCUAAGCAUCUUUGUAGAAUGCCGUUGUCAUCCCAUCUGGUCCACCUGCACUAUCUCUAUUCAGCCCCAUCACAACAUUUUUGACCUCAUCCUCAUUAGGAAUUCUCAUUAUUUCUACAUUUUGUUCAUCAUUCACCAAUUCUGGUAUUUUCUUCGGCAUGCUAAAAUCAUCUGCAUCAUUUUGUUUUGUAAACUAUUUCUGGAAAAAAUUAACUGUAGCUUCUGCAAUAUCUGGUACUUCUUCCAACCGUUGUCCAUCUUCAUUUUGUAUCUUACUGAUCCUGAGCCUGCUUCUCCUUCCUUUCACAAUAGUGUGAAAAAAUUUGGUGUUUCUCUCUCCAUCUUUGAACCAUUCAUACCCAGCCUUUUGUCUCCAGUAAUCUUCUUCCCUUUUUAAUUGCAUAUUCAGUUCAGCAUGAGCUUUAAAAAAAUUAGCUCUGUUCAAUCCACUAGGAUCCUCCUCCAAUUGUUUUUCUCUUACCUUGAUAAUAUCCUCCUUUCCUGGAAAAUAUCUCUUUACUCCAUUUAGUUAAAGCUGACUUAGUGUUUUUCAACUUUUGUUUAAACACUAUAAAUGGAUUUCCUUCAAUCUAAGAAUUCUAAUUUUGUUUAAUCACCUCCAAACAUGCUUCCUCUUUUAACCAAAAAUUCAGAAAUUGGAAAGAUUUAACAAUCUGCUCAUUGUUUGUUUUGCACUGAAUUAGCAUAGGAGAAUGAUCUGAUCCACUCCUAACUAGAUGUUCCACUUCCAUCUGCUGAAACAUAUGUUGCAUUCUAUCAUUGCACAAAACCCCAUCUAACCUCUUGAAAAUGCAAUCCUCAUCUGUUCUCCCAUUCCACUAAGUGAAUUUACUCCCUUUAAAAUGGAUUUCUUCCAUAUUACAUUAGCUGAUCGACUGAUUAAAGUCAUGAGUUUCAUUAAAAGUAACAGGUAAACCCCCUAGCUUUUCUUCUUCACUUCUAAUCACAUUAAAAUCCCCUCUAAUCCAAGUACUUGAUAGAAAUCUGACAAAUCUGUUAAUGGAUCCCAAAGUACCACCCUUUCAUUUGCAUUACAUUUAGCAUAGACUAAAGUAACCAACAAUGAGAUACCUGCAUUUUGAUUGGAUACUUUCAGAGUUAGCUGCUUCUAUUCAUCUUUCACAAUGCUAAAUUCCACAUUGUCUUCCAUAAAUGCCCAAAUUUUUCCAGAUACAUUUAGCACAGCAUGCUUCAUCCCCAGCCUCCUCCUAUACUCUUCAAUAUAUUGACCAUCUUGGAAAGGUUCCAUUAAUCCAAUGAAGUAAAACUGGUACCUUUUUUGCAUUUUUAUAAGUCUAGUAAAAGCCUGUUGGGUGUUAACAGACCUUAUGUUCCAAAUCAAUGCAUUCACUUGGAUUUUGAUUUAGCAGUGUGACUCCUUGUAUGCAUUGUUUGUGAUUUAGCCUCUGCUCCGCUACCACUCUUUUUCUUUUUCCUUAUCCCUACUUGUUUCUCCUUCAUAGCUUCUAUUUGUUUAGGGGAUAGAUCUGCUGCUUUAGCCACCUGAUUGAUGUUUUCUUCAAUAUCAUUCUCAUCAAUAUCUUCCUUUGUCUGAUUACUAUUUUCUAUCAUGUUCUAUGCUUGUAUUGCUAAGGGUGUAAUCCCCUCUAAUACCAUCAACUCCUCCAGCUCUUCAUCAUAGGCCUGCAGUUGCAUUUUUUCAGUCCCUUCUUCCUGAUCAUACUGAUCCAUAUCAUAAUGUGAAAUCCUCUCCUUGUUACUAUCUUCAGUUGGCUCCACAAUUUUACUUGAGUCAGUCUGUUCCUCAAUGCUGUUGUGAUCUGCUGCACUGUAAUUCUUUGCAUUCCUAUCAAUUACCUCCUGAUUUAUUUGCUUUUCGUCAGCUGACUUAUCCCCUUGAUUAGCUACUUUGCCUUUGCCAAAACUUGUAUUGACCUAAUCUUUAGUGCUGAUCUUUUCUCCCCCCUUCUGAUUAUUAGAUUCACCUUGUCCUUCCUUGUCAUUAUUGGUGUUUUCCAUGUUAUCUGCAUCUUUAAGAGCUACAAGAGUAUUUGACAUCUGUAGCUCCUUUCCUUCUUCUUCGUUCAACUCUCCCAGAAUGUGACCAAAUCUAUCCUUUUUAUAUUUGUUUUUCCUUGUAAGCCACUGAUUAGUAGUGAUACCUCUCUUUGUACUAUUCUGAUUAUGUGAUUGAUUCAUCUGUAUAUUAUUCUCUUUGUCUGUCACCUUUGUUUCUGCCUCCUUACUCUCCUCCUUCUGUUUGUCAUAUAACUCUGGGUGUUUAUUCCAACAACUUGCCUCAUCAUGUCCUUGCAAAAAACAUUUUGUACAGUACUUUGGCAUGUAAUCAUACUGAAUUUGGACCCACUUGGAUUUGAUUUCCUAUGUAACUUCAUUCUCUUCAUUAAUUCGAAUCAUUUGGGGUAAUUUUGCUACUAGAUCCAUCUCCACUUUCACUCUUGCACAACUAGGUCUUGUGUAAUUUUUUGUGGCCAUAUCAACAGUAAGAGGUUUGCCAACUGCUGAAGCAAUAGAAAAAAUUGCAUCUUUUGCGAAAAAAUUCGGAGGUAAAUCUGGCAUGGAGAUCCAGGCUACUGCAAUUGUGGUCUCAAUAUCUGGUUCAAAUCAUGGAUCCCAUUUCAAUGUCCUCAUCUGCCAAUAUUUUUCCAUUGAACCAAUGUAAUAAGCUGCAGUUGACAAUAAUUGAACGUAGCCCUCAAACAUCUCCAGCCUUAAUAAUAGUACAUGCCUUUCAUCCAAUACUCCAAUGGUGCAUGCCACUUUAUACGCAUUGAUUUGGGAUGAUUUUACGUAAAACUUCAAUAUGUGGCUUACCAUAUGAGAAUUUACCUAUGAUAGCAUAUUGUAAGUUCUCUUGCAUGAUAAUAUUUUGCACUUCUGAUGAUUUCCACGUAAUAGAAGGCUCUCCAUGCAACAUAAUAAUGGGUUUAGGCGGAACCCUAAUAUUAGUCAUAUCCACCACUAUUGGCUUCAAUAAAUUUGCAUAUUUCUUAAUUUCAUCUCCUUUUUGAAUGUUCUAAUUACUGUCUUCAUCAUUACUAUUAUCCGGUGGGAUGGUCCCACCGGCUAUGCUGGCCAUAAUGGCCGGAACAAAAACAAUUUUGGUAUUACUCGUCCAUAGGGUUUAGGGUUUUUCCGUCCUUGUUGGUUGAAAAAUAUCAUUAAAAGUGUGUUUACCCAUGGGGAAUUGAGAAAUUGAUAAAAAGGGUGAAUUUAGAUUUCUUUUGGUUUAUUGUUGUUCCGGUUAAAUAAGCAUGAAUGUCGUUGGAAUAUGAUAGAAUUAUGACAUGUUGAAAUGGAUAGGCAAAUAGUAGGGUCAGGUAGGCAAAUGCAGAACUCAUGGAAUGUUGAAUGUUGAAAAUGUGUGUUGAAUGUCUUGGUUUUUAUGGUUUUUUUGGAAAAAAAAAUGUACUCAUUUAGCCGAGGAAUGCCCUGAAGUCAUUUGUAUUUGUUCACCAAGGAAUGCCCCGACGUAUUAUGUUGGCGGAAGAUGUUCAUGAUGAAGGCUCGAUGCAUCGGGUAAAGCAUUGAAGCUUAGUCUACGAUUAGUUUAGAAUAUGAUUUAUAUUUCCGUAUUUUUCUAUUUUUUGGACUGUAUAACUCGGACUGAACACUAAAUUUUGAAUUGUUUUGUUUUGAUUGGCUUGAUUGAUUGUUUUACGUACUUUGCGUGGCGUAUACAUUCAUAGUGUUAAAAUUAGUCGAUAUGCUCCACCAAGCGACCGUGGUCAAACCACAGGAUCGAGGGGUGACUAACACCUUCCCCUUGGUCAACAGAAUUCCUUAGCCGGAAUCUCUGUCCACGGAUCAGUUUAAAAGAGUCAAAACUGUUUUGAAAAGGAUUUUCCAAAGGUGACUUGGCACACCGAAUUAUGCCAAGUGGAGACUCUGAAUUUGAAUGUAAAAAUCAUCUUUUUUCGAAAUAAACCUUCAUUUUGUCACUUAGUAAUAAAAACCCUUUCGAACCUUAAAAUUUAAUAUUUCUUUUGGUUGAAAAAGGGGUGUGACAGUAGUGUCAUAACAAGCUAAGAGAAAAUCAAUCAAUGAAAACUACUCUUCUUCUAGAAUCUUCUACUCCUCUUCUUCAAGCUCUUCACUCAAUACUAUAGAAAUCUAGCAAAGGCAUCACCUUCAAUCAAAGAGUAUUUAUCAAUCAUAUGUCUAUUUGUGUAUCUCACCAAUCCUAUAUUUAAAGUUCUCACCUGCAGUAAAGAAGACACAGUUAGAAGAUACUAGCGAAAAGAAAUAACUAGGAUGAUUUAACCUACAGUAGAGCUGAUAUUCUCGAUGAUAGUAUCUCCAUUACCCUGGACAAAUUCGGCAUGGCUAAUAGCUUGUGGCAUCAACUUUGAUAUCAAAUUGAGAGAGUCAAUAAUGGAGGCCGAUAGCCAUGUUCAAUAUGCAGAAGAUAAUCAAAGUGUAAUCUAUCAAUGAAGGAUGUGAUAGCUAUUUAUCUAGUGGCACUUGCACAUUUGAAUUAAUUUCUUUAGUAGCGGUAGUAGUCAAAUCGAACUUCUUUUUCUUAUAAAUAGGAGGGAAAUAGGCACCAAUUUUUUCUUGAGUUUGAGAUGGCAUAUCCGACUCUUACAGUUGCACAUGAGGCCAAAUGUUGUACAGCAGCAUCAAUUUGAACAGCUUGAUCAUAAGAAACAGCAGGCCCUCAACAUGAAAUGCCUAUCGGUGGCUGAUUCUCGGUGCAAGUGAAUUCCACCACCCUGCAUCACAAUUCAAACUCUUUGCACUACAAAUAUCCCACUUCUUAUUGAAUUGGAGUUUCUCGGUAACUUUAUUACCUGCAGAGGUUUCACAUUGUUUGUGAUGAUGGUAUUUCUUGAAAGAUCUACAAAAACUGAGAUAUAGCAUAACUUGCAUAUGGUAUAGAGGUUGCCGAUUACCUUAUGUUUGAUUUCCAUCUUGUCCAUCAUAUUAGAGUCAGCAAUCCCAUGUUCAGUUGAAGUCGCCAGCGUUCGGUAGCAGCAAACUCACAGUGCUAGGCAUAGCAGCAGACGCCAACUAGGAGGUGUGAACUGAGCAUGGCGGCAGAGCUCGGGGAAGAAGGGAAGGGUUCUGCUUUUUGACAGGUACAGAAUGAAAGAAACUUUUAUUAUUUAUGCUUCAGAUUAUGAACUUUUGAAUAACAAUUCUUUAAACAUUUACUAUGGAUUACUAUUGUAUGACGUACCGAUGAGUUGUUUGUUUCCCCCUCCUUUAUUUCUCCUUCAUUUUCUUCAUUCUACCAAAGUAACUUCUCCUUCCCUUCCUUUCAAGUUCUCGAUGUAUAAAACGUGCAUAAAAUGUCAUCUUUGAGCUAUUGAUCACGGUCAAACAUCAAAUGGUAUUUACAAAACAUUAUCCCAAAAUGUUAUACACAUUAUCGUCAUAAGUCGUCUGAAAAAAUUGUGAAAAUUAUCUGCACACUUGAGCAGACAUCACAACAAAAGCAAGCCAUUUUAAUUUGUUUUUUCCCUAUUACCAAAAGCUUAUAGCGAUGAAACAGAAUCACAUCAUCGACACAUUUUUACUUGAAGUUCACAAAAAGUUCAAUUGAGAAUUCAUCAAACACAUUGUAAGCAACACGCGUAAAUUUGGUUUCGAAGCAGCAAAAUAAUAGAGAAGAACCUGUCUUAAAUAAUGGGAUAUUAUUUGGGCCAAGGAUCUGAAGCUUGUCUUCUCCCAUCAUAUAUUCAACAUAUUGUUUAAUCUCCAGAGCUGAAUCUUCAAGCUGAGGGCUCGUCAAGUUCGAUAAUUUUCAAUGAACCAAUAUCCCCAAAAUUAGGCGGAAUCUCUGUAAGCUUACGACAAUCUCACAGUGCUAAUUUCUCAAGCACGGGAAAUGAUUCCUCUCCAAACUCCCACUUAGCAAGAGUCAAUCCUCUCAAAUCCAAAUAUUUGAGAUUCUCAAAGGUGUCUUCCUCCCCCAUGUUCCAUUCUUCCUCCAGGAUGAUUGUUCUCCUAAGGCACAACUCUUCAAGGUUGGGCAGUUUCGCUAUUGUUGAUAGUGAAUUGGAUGUCAGAGGAAAGUUCCACAACGACAAUAUUUUCAAAUUGGAAGGAAAAUGAAAAUUCCACGACCAAUUUUUCACUAAAAAGGGCCUACUGUCAUUUGCGUAUGAACUUUCAAAAUCUACUCUGAGUAAAUCUAGUUCGGUUAGGAAAUCCAAUCUCGGGAACCAAUAUCGCUCUGUUGAAUAAUCCCAUGAUUCCUUGAGAAUAAGUGUGAUCUCUUGAAGAUUGGGAAACCUUUUGAAAAUAUCCUCUGUAUUUUUCGUACAAGAAAGCACGACACUAAUAUUCUCAAGUUCUCUAACUUUGAGUCCUCUGCUAUCAGUAUUGGUGCAUUUGUAUCCAAGUCAAAGAAUGAACAAGGAUCAAUGGACAGCACUCGCAACUUUACAAGAUCCCAAAUACUCGGUAAUAGUACCAAGGUUGAUCCUUUGUUUUCAACUAAAAGGGUUUCGAGAUUCCGGAGGUUUGACAAAGAUGAAGGCAGAGAUUUAACUUUUGUCCCAAUGAAUAACAACCUCAAAUGAUUCAACAUGCCUAUUUCAUUCAGCAAAGAAUCUUUCACCGUGAUAAAAGAGGGAUACAGGACCAACACUCUAAGAAGCCUCAAGUCUCUUAGGUGACAUGCAUUAGAAAGGCGAUAGUUCAGCUUGUGUCCAGUUAUUUCCAAAGAACAGAGGUGUUUACCAGAAUGCCUUUUCAUUUUUGAACUAAACAGGAUGAAAUUGUUAGGCUCAAAGUGCUCCUUAUCAUUAUCAAUUCUUACCAUACGUGGCAUCAAAUGUGAAGAAGAAGAUGGAUCACUUGAACUUAUCUGCUCAAACAACUUUUCCUCUUUUGCUUUAAUCAAGCAAUAUUCAUGCACUAGAUCAUGUAUGUGGCAAGUCGGUAGAUCCCCUAUCUCAUUGAUAGCAAUUACCAAGCUACUGAGGUGACAUGCAUUAGAAAGGCGAUAGUUCAGCUUGUGUCCAGUUAUUUCCAAAGAACAGAGGUGUUUACCAGAAUGCCUUUUCAUUUUUGAACUAAACAGGAUGAAAUUGUUAGGCUCAAAGUGCUCCUUAUCAUUAUCAAUUCUUACCAUACGUGGCAUCAAAUGUGAAGAAGAAGAUGGAUCACUUGAACUUAUCUGCUCAAACAACUUUUCCUCUUUUGCUUUAAUCAAGCAAAAUUCAUGCACUAGAUCAUGUAGGUGGCAAGUCGGUUGAUCACCUAUCUCAUUGAAAGCAAUUACCAAGCUACUGGAAAUUAAAUUAUCCAAAUAAAUUUCCAUCACUUCUUCCAAACUCUUCAUCUCUGUCCGUUCCACAAGUCCUUUGGCACGCCAAAACGUUUUCAACCCAUCUCUGUUGAUUUCUUUGUCCUUCGGAUAACUUGCAAGGUAGAGAAAACAUGGCUUCAUAUGAUGAGGUAAAUGGUCAUAACUUAAUUCGAUAACCUUUAUCACAUCCACUUCACUGUUCAAAAUAAAGGAAUUCAAAUUAUUUCGAACUACAAGCCACACAGACUUUGUCUUUUCCAAACCUGCAAUGACUCCAGUAAUCAGAUCAACAACCAAAGGAAGUCCCUUACAAUUUUGGACUAUAUCUUUUCCAACAUCCAAUAGUUCAUCAGGGCAACUCUCUUUUCCAAAUGCCCCUUUCUCUAAUAACUCCCAACUUUCCUCUGAACUUAGCAAUCGAAGAUUAAGAGGAUCAGUGUUGCCCUUUCCAUGAAAAGCCACUUCCUUUUGUCGAGUCGUCAAAAUAAUUCUGCUUCCUUUCACAACUUCAGGGAAAGGUCUUGUUAGCUCAUCCCAUGUGUCAGUAUCCCACACAUCAUCUAACACAAUUAGGUACCUCUUUCCAUACAGUUGUUUUCGUAGGAGCCAGUAACUUGAUUGAAAAGUUUCAUCAGCAACUUCUUCUCGUCAUAUUCUUGGUCGAUUGUGCACCAUGCACGAAUGUCGAAAUGACUACAAACUUAUUCAUCAUUGUAUACUUUGUAUGCCAAAGUAGUUUUGCCCUAACCCGGCAUACCAGUGAUUGAGAUGACAUCUAGGUCUUUCGGUCCACUGGUGAGCUUACUAAUUAACCAGUUUGUCUCCUCCUUAAAACCUACAAUUAUUUUACCAGUUGUCAAUGAUUUUCUUUCAACUGGAUUCUUAGGAGUGUUUACAACAAUGAGGCUCUUGUUCUUCAGAAUCUCCUCAGGUAAAUUGGAGACUUCUUCUCUUAUAAGCUUGAUCUUUCUUAUGGUAAUGGGAAGUGAGAAAAUAAGAUGCAAGAGACUAUUAUCUCGAACAAUAAUUGAAUCAAUGACAUCUUUUGCCNNNNNNNNNNNNNNNNNNNNNNNNNNNNNNUUUCUUCCUUUAUCAAAGAAAUUGAAUAAGCAUCGGAAUCUAGCAAAUCAGUUAAGUGUCUGUGUAGCAGAUGCAUAAAGAGCGGUCCAUCACUCAUGGGGAAGCUCCAUUGACAUGGGUCCGGGACUUUCAGAUAAACAUAUUUGACAUCUUCCUUGAGGAGUUCAAUAAUUUUCAGCAAGUAUUGAGUUGCACGACUUGCUUCAUCGGUACUCUCUUUAUUCUUUGAUUUUUCUUCUAAGUCGUGAACGAGAGUUGAUACCUCCCUGAUAAGUGCUCCAACACGUGACAAAAGAUCAAACAAUUUAUCAUGAUGAAUAAAGUCCUUGGGCUCAUCAGUAAGAAUAAUUAAUAGGAACUCUAUCAUGACAUGAAUGUUUCGAGCCCCUGAAGUGUUUGCGGUAAUAACAGUUACCACUUGCUCUUGUAGAUGAAUAAGAUAUUCUCUCAGAACUUGCGGAGAGGUUUCAAGGAGUUGCUUAGUAAAGCGUCCAACUUCUACUGAUGGUUAAGCGUUCAAAUUUGUAUAACAUAUGUGCAUCACCUCCAGUUCAAUUGGAAUAAUCUUCAAGAGUAGAUGUGCUAGCUUGAAGAGUCAAUAGUCUCCAUCAGUCAAUCAUCCCAAAGGAAGAGUGCAACUCUCUCAGCCAUGAGUUUAAACUGAGGUAAGACAAAUUGAAUAAUUUCAUGCUCAACGCAACCAUUCACUUUCAACCCAUCGAAAUCUCUUACAUUUCCACAUACAUUCUGAAGAAUCUCAUACUGAGUCUCUAAUGGAAAUAUCUUUUCAGCACGAUACUUGGACAUAUGAUGGAGAUUCAGGAGGAGGAAGUUCAACUGCUCGUCAGUCAUGGUGGCACUUGAUGUAGAAUGAUGACAUGAACUGAUACAUUCAUCGAUAUUAUCCAUGAGGCUAGGAAGGACAUGAUCCACGUUGUAUUUACACCUGACGGUGUUGUCAACAUCAUCCAAAAUUGGUCUAAGCAGAUUAUCGACCUCUUGUCGUUUGCCAGUCAUUAUAUCUUCAAACUUUUUCAAAUCAGAAUAAGAAAGCUGGACGUACGUACAAAAAAAUGCCCGCAGCAAUUUUAGCUUUUCAAUUUGAUCAGCUAUAUCGACUGCAUUUUAACCUUUUUCAUUCUUUAACCUCUCCAUGAAAUCCAGAACGUUAACAACGUCCUUGCGUAGAGCAGAAAAUGACACCUGCCAAACGACCAAAUAUUAUAUCAAAAUUUUCAUAGCGAACAUAUAUACCAUGCAAAAUUUACUCUAUACAGGCAACCAACACGUUGCACAUGUAUUUUAUAUAUAUAUAUGCUUUAUCUUCUACGAAGAUAAUUCAAAUAACACAAAUCAAAAUAAUGGGAAAAGGUCUAAAUAUACUGCAAGACUUGAACCAAAUAUGCCCCCCGCCCCCCCCAAAGAAAAAGGGCAAUUUAUACCCGUGGCGUAACACCAAUGACUCCAAUAUGCCGUUUUUAACCAAAGGAAGUGAGAUAGUCGAUGUUAAAAAAAAAUUUCUAUUUUUUUUUUAAAACAAAAGCCACAUGGAAAAAUGGUCAAAAUUAACCCCCUCUACUUUCAAAACAUGUAUACAUUUAAGAGAUAAGCAUCCAAUACCUCCCCGAACUAUGACCAAAAUUGCUACAACACACUCCAACUUCACAGGGGUCCUAUUGCACCCUUUGUGCUGACGUGACACCUUAAUUACAUAAAAAGGGGUUUACGUCAAACGUGUUGUUGAGUUCAAAAUCGAGAGGGCGUCAUGCGGAAGCUUAAAGUUUGCAAAUCAAGAUGACGAUAAUUCAGAUGAUACAAUAUAAACUAAAAACAUAAUAUUAUUGGUAUAAUUUGGCCAACUGCCCUACACAUGAAAAACAAUAUUAAAGAAAACAUAAAACUAUUGGGAGAAAAUCUCCCCCUAAACAAGACUCGUAAAUGACUACAUUUUGGACUGUGUCAUGGUAUGAGAAGAGGGGUCUUCUAUUUAUAGAUGUCCAAAACCUUUUUUCCAAGAAAGAGUUUGCCAAAUAUGGAAAAGUUUUAUAUUUUUCUUUUAGGAAAAGUAAAAGUAAUUAUGGUAUUACUUUUUUUUUUUCAAGAAAAGUAAAACUUAAACUUGGUGAUAAAUUAGCUAACAGAUGUCAUGUUAGCUAAUAAGAUUGACAAAAGGUAUCACGUUAGCUAAACAGGUUGACAAAAAUAUGCUAAAAUUUAGUUAGGGGGUAAAGUUGAAGUGUUCGUCGCAAAUUUGAUUAUAGUUUAGGGGUACUAGAUGCUUUACAUUUAAUCUCCAUUUUACAAUCUGACCUUUCGGUAAAUUGUAUUUUCAGGAAAAUUAGCACAUAGUUCAAUGACUCAAAUGGGACAAAGGUUUUAUUUUGUGACUAUACUGAUACAACAAGUAAAGUUCAGUGAUUUUAGUGAGUCAAAAUUAGUUUAUAUACGUAGCUAAUGAACAGACACAUACAUAAGUAAAGUUCAGUGAUCAUAACUUACCGCAAAAUUGUUUGCUUUCCCUUUCUCUAUUUCUCCUUGUUUUUCCAUGACUGUAAGUGUCUUUCAAGUUUUACUAGCCAAAUUCUCCGGAUCUAAUGUAAAAAAGAAAGAAGCAUAAAAUUAAUUUCAUAGACGUUUUUGCACAUAUAAAUAGGUCAAUAUAAUCUAGCACCUGCAGUCACAUUCAAAAGUAAAGAAAAAAACUUUUUUCGCCAGUAAGGACGGAAGUACUCAGAAAAGGGUAAUCUAAGAAGACAAAUAUACUCCCUCAUUUUCUAGUUAUGUUUCUUUCUUUUAUCCUGUUUGGAAAAGAAUGCAUCAUUUUAAUUUCAACAUUCCCAUUGGACCAUUAAUGACGCUCUUUUGUGGGAAUGGCACAGCAGGUUUAAGACCACAAAACGAGACAUCAAUUCCACCUUGAGUUGCACAUGGUCAUCGUCACAAUCUGUUGGAUCUUGUGGGAGUUGCAGCUUUGGCAACUAGCCUCGCAGAAAUGGCUGUUGGAGCAAUAUCAAAUCUCUUAAGCGUCAAUACAACAGCACAUGCUAUAACUGUUAUACUGGGAGUUUGCUUUACAUAAAACAGACAAUGGAUUCCUCUUGGAUGACUUAGGCAGAUAAUGGACAGCAUCCAUGGACAGCAUUCGCAACUUUACUGAGAGUAUGGACUAUGGAGGAAUAAUAAAUUGUUAUUUUCGUUUGUACCUCGGGUACACAGAAUCAGUAUAUGUAGAACAAUAACUUCAACUAGAGUUCAAGUAUAAACAAGAACACAAUAAAGUAUAUCAAAUACCCUCAACACAAGAUCAAAAUGACCUUUCCAAGAGGUGUAUUUUAUUCUUUCAGAAAUUAAGAUGAAACAGAAAAUAGCCAAGUCGUCCGAAUUCACGGAGUUUCCUUAAGGAAAUAAUUCCCCUCACUAUACCCGAGGUUGUGGAAUUUUUCCUCCCAGGAUAAAAUGGCUAAACAGACCAACUGUAGCGGUACCUCAAACGGUUGGAAUAUCUUCGAACGCAAAGAACGUUUUGAUUAAUCAUACAGAGUAAUUUGGAAGACAAGAAGUGAUGUAUCAUUUCUAAAGCACCAGUUCACUUGAAACAGUGCGCAUGUAUAUAUAAAUGGAGGUUCGAAAGCAUUUUUCCUUGGCAUUCUUCGGAAUUCAAAUAAAGUUUGUCCAAAAAUUGGAAUAUCUUCGAACGCACAGAACGUUUUGAUUAAUCAUACCGAGUAAUUUGGAAGACAAGAAGUGAUGUAUCAUUUCUGAAGCACCAGUUCACUUGAAACAGUGCGCAUGUAUAUAUAAAUGGAGGUUCGAAAGCAUUUUUCCUUGGCAUUCUUCGGAAUUCAAAUAAAGUUUGUCCAAAAAGAUAGAUCUCAUCGAUCCAAAUCCAAAUCUGAGCUGAGCAAGCGACAACGACGCGAAGCAUCUCUUAUUCCUUGCCUCACUUAUCUAUGUGGGAGUGUGUUUCACAAUAUAAACACUUUAAAGCUUCUUUCUCCCACCAAUGUGGGAGAAUUUAGUAAGCUUUCCUAUUUUUGAGUACACUUUCCAUAUUGGUGUGAUCUCAAUUUUUCUCUUCCACUUGAUUUUUCUCCAUUUUCCAUUCACACUUCUCAUUUACUAUGAACCCAACAUAAAUGACACCAAAUCAUGGUGCUGAUGGGUUUAAUGCUUAUAAAAAGACAAUAUUUUUUUGGUUCGUAGGAGUGAACAUGUACAACUUUGUUAGCCUAAAAAAUAAUAAUAUGGGAAGCUUUAAUAAAGAAAAACACAUUUUGUUCAUUCCUCUUUUUUGCUACAUGUAUAGGUUAUACACUUAAAUAGAUAAGACCUGGAUAAACUUAUUGAAUAGGCUUGAUCCAUUAUAUGAGAAUGGAGCCAAAGAAUUUCUUCAUUUUGCGUCCUUAGAUAGCCCUAAUGCAUCUUUAAUCUUGUGUCCAUGCCGAAAGUGUCGUAAUAUGAAAUUUGUCAAAAAAGAUUUGAUUGUUGAACAUGUUGUGGUUGAUGGAUUUGUAACUGGUUAUACCUUCUGGAUUUAUCAUGGUGAGCAAUUAUAUUGUGGUUAAUGAAGUUCUAACUAGAUAUUCGGUCGGUCAACUAUGAAGUGGUGAGCCCUCUAUCUUUCGAAAGGCCUGGUCUCUCUUUUAGUUUUCAUCUAUUAUCCUAGAACUUUGAAUUUCCUUUGUCAUAAUCGGGGGCAUGUCCCGACUUAUUUGGUAUUCUUUGGAUUAGAGGCUUUUGUGGAGAGUAAUGAUGUAUCUUUAUGGAUGGGGUUUUGACUCUUAAAUAUAAAUUUUAUUUUGCUAUUUUGUUCUUUGGUUAUAAUAUUAGAAAAUAUUUACUUUACAUAUAUUUCAUGUGGUUGUUACUUAUGAAUGUACAGAUUAAAUUAAAUAUAAAUAUUUAUGUUAUGGGAAAAAUUAUAGAGAAUUUGUAUCCAUAUUUAAAAUGAUAGUGGCGUUAAUCUAAAUGCACUAAUAUUGAUGAUAAAUUUACAAUGUUCUAAAUAAAUGUCACUAAAUUUUACGACAUUAAUAUUUUAUUUAUUGACAUUAACUAAAAUGUUGGUAAUUUCAAUGCAACAUUUUAUGAACACAGCCUUUUUGCAUCCUUGUUUUUGUCUUAAGAAUCGAAGUACUAUAUAAAAAUGAGAGUUGUUGCCUCUUUAUGAUAUAUGAAAUGCGAAAUAAAUAUAUCUAGGUAUAUAAAUAAUCAAGACUUAUUGUCACGACCCGAGUCGGGGGCCUUAAGACUAUACUUCUUCUUAUGGACUCUGUGUUCAUAUUUUCCGCUCUGGGUCUAGACCCGCACAACUUUAAAACACAUCACUAGGGAGUAAGACUUGCUUACUUAUAUACCCAGUAUCCCUCCUGUAUUUUGCCGAUGUGGGACUUUUAUGGACUCAGCGUCCUCGCUGAGAUUUGUCUCACCGAAUGUGUUUUGCCAAUGUGGGACUCCUAUGAACUCAGCGUCCUCACUGAGCUUUCCCCCCACCAAAUGGGAUUUGCCAAGACUCAGGACUUAGGUUUUUCCCGCCUUAUCGAGAUUUGCCUAAACUAGUGAUAUUGUCUACUCUGGGUCUAGACCCGCACGACUUUAAAACGUGUCACUAGGAUAUACCCAACAUUUCUCCUGUGUUUUGCCAUGUAGGACUCACUAUCCUAAGUUGAGGUGUUACAUAUCUAGAUGGAGAAAUAAAAAAAUAGUAUCAAAUAAAAAUGAAAUGAAAAGAAGUUUGUUUCUUGUGAGAAAUUGUGAUUAGCUUUCUAACUAAAUUAAUCUAAACCCAACUAUCAAUCCUGUAAGUGUAACCUUUUGAACUUUGUUGCAGACAAGUGAUUAAUGUUUUUGCUUUUUAGACUUUCAUGGAAGUAGCACCAACUUACCUUUAUAAACUUUUUAAGAUAUGAUUUUUCUUAGUACUGAUCCUUAUUAAUGGUGGUUUUUCAAAAACAAUUUUGCCUCGUGUCAUCUUACUAGAGAUACACAUCAUUAAUUUAAAUUAUGGAAAAAGGAUCAAAUAUGCUAUCAGACUACCAGAAAUGACUCAUUUAUGCCAUCCGUUAAAAUUUCAAUAAUUUUUCCUUAAUUGAAAGGGAAUAAGAGAUGAAAAUUUUGUAGGGUUUUCAUCAGAUUUCACAUCUUCUAAGUGAACCUUUUAAUUUUCAUCGGACUUGAAUGUUAUUUUAAUGAAGGAAACCUUUAAUGAAUUAUUUUUUACUUUUUUAAAGCAAAACUCUAGAAAGUACAUAUAUUUGUGAUAGUCCUAUAUUAAGUUUUCUUUUAACAUCUAAAGGCUACGUGUAUCUUUUUAAUUAGGUGGCAGCAUUUGGUUGGAGUAUUAGUCCAUGUAGGAGCGAUUUUUAUGCAUAUGUGUUGCAAGAUUUAAUGGAUGACAUAAAUGAGCCAUUUCUGAUACUUCGAUGACAUAUUUGAGUCUUUUCUUUUUGUUUUAAUUAAAGAUGUGGACCUCUAGUAAGACGACACGUUAACAAGUAAUGACAUGGGUCCUGUCAAACACUCAAUUUUUAGGAUACAAUUGACCCACAAUUAUUUAGGGUUUUGAGUCAAGAAAUAUUGAAAUUAAUAUCAAAUUAGAGGAAUUCUUACCUUGGAUUUGUAGUAAAAAGAUGGAUUACACAAGUUGUUUAAGUUUCCAAUCAACCCACAAGACCAAUUUUUGAGUCACCACUCUUUUAGGGCUACAAGGGUUUUAAUAGAGGUGAAGAAUGCUCAAAAUCUGUCAAAAGCCCUUUUUUAUAAAGUUUUAGAUGGGCCCACAAGGUCAAAAUUUAUUUUUGACCGUCCGAACUCAUUUGGACUCCGUUUUUCGCAAAUGAACUAUGUAACCCCACUAAAUUCGACAUUCCGAACGCAUUGGUGAAGUCGAAUUAUUCAUACGAGAUUAUUUAGAUUAUUUGUGGGUCCCACACCCCUAUAUUUCGAUAUUUGACUUUUCGACUAAUUGGUCAAUAUGAGCUCGGGUGCUAUGGGAUGCGAACCAAGGGUCUAUUUAUCCUAAAAUUGAUCUUACAUAGAUGUUGGCACAGUCGAGAUUUGCAUGCGAAAUUAUUUUACUGAAAUUUCGUUCGGCGGACGUUUGGAAUCGAUGAAGACUUCCAAUUAUAAAAGUGGUUCUAAAAAUCAAACGAACCGUCAGGUAACCGAACUAUCAAUUCUAGCAAAUCACUAAUGACUUGAGAUGACUAUGGAGGAGCUAUAUCAGCAAAAUAAGCAAGAAUACGGCUAAUGACCUGAAGGGUCAUUACAAUUAGAAAGCAUUAUAGGAACAAUACUCUGCUUAAUUUAUACUCUGACCAGGGAAACCUUAUGGUAUCGUAUCAGAUGACACCUCUGAUGAUAACUUCAAAAUUAAUCCUUGGCAAUUUCUGAGUUAGCAGACAUUGACCAACAGGCAUAGAUCGCCAUUCCCCGCCAAAGCUAUGGAGAGCAUCCCUAGAUUCUUAGUAUGGGCCCCGAUGUAAUCAAACACCCGAUCUGUAAGGAGGCCAGAAAGGGCAAGUCGCCACGAUCCCUUGCAGUGAUGGACAAACAAUGGCCACAAAACCAGUAUGGAGCGGUCCAAGGGUUAGGUAAUCUGGAGUUUGAGGCUUGACUAAACACAAACGAAAACAAGUGGAGCUUAGGGCAGCCAGAUGAGACUGCUACAAGGCCUCUCUCAGUCAAGGAUACAUUCGUCAUCUUCAAUAUAAUCUAGCACCUGCAGUCACAUUUAGAAGGAAAGAAUAGAACUCUUUUCCAGUAAGGACGGAAGUGUAACAGAUAGGCUUCAUAUAUAGAUUAGAUUCCUAUUAGAUCUAAACUAAUCCAAACUAUGUAAGAAACCUACCCGUUACAGGAAGUACUUAGAAAAGGGCAAUCUAAGAAGACAAAUAUACUCCCUCAUUUUCUAGUUACGUGUCUUACUUUCUUUUAUCCUGUUUGGAAAAGAACGCAUCAUUUUAAUUUCAACAUUCCCAUUUGACCAUUAAUGAUGCUCUUUUGUGGGAAUGGUACUGCAGGUUUCAGACCAAAAAACGCGACAUCAAGCCCACCUUGAGUUGCAGAUGGUCAUCGUCACAGUCUGUCGGAUCUUGUGGAAGUUGCACCUUUGGCAACUAGCCUUGCAGAAACGGCUGUUGGAGCAAAUAUCAAAUCUCUUAAGUGUCAAUACAACGGCACAUCUUGCUAUUACUAUUAUACUGGGAGUUUGCUUUACAUAAAACAGACAGUGGAUUCCUCUUGGAUGACUUAGGCAGAUAAUGGGUUAUAUAUCCUUGCUCACAGCUAAAAUUCUUUGCUCACAGAUAUAUCCCACUUCUUGAUCACCUGAUGAUUUAUCACAAAUUACUGACGGUAUUUCUUGAAAGAUUUACAAAUCAGGAAUUACUUCAUGCAUUGCUUGACAUAAAACUGUUGGUCGAUUCUUCUUUGAUGGUCUAGGCAGAUGCUCGGGUGAUGUAUCUGUGCUACUCUUGAAUGAUUCUGAGCAACAGAUUUUCCAUCCUCAUCCUUAUCUUCCUGCAACGGCAAUUAUAUCCCAACACUGUCAAAUUUGUAUUUCAGAAAGCACUAAAGAAUUGACCAGUUCUGUUUCUAUAUAUAGAUAUAUUGAACAUAAGACUCUUAGCAUAAUUAUGAAACUGACGAUAACACACUUGGAAAAAACAUACACAAUAAAGGUCAGAUAGCAUUUCUCGGAACAUAACCAUAUGCAUCAGGGUUCUGAAGGCGAUAGACUUGUUGAAAUGUCACUCCAUGUAGUAUGUGCUUGUCUACCAAAGUUAAUGAACUUAAAGGCGACACCUGCAGAAAAGAAACCAUGGUUAGAAGAUAUUAGUGAUGAAAAUGAGAGUAUCCAAAGUUCGAAAAGAAUUAACCUUCAGGAAUAUUGUUAGAACCUCCAUUACGUUGGACUCAUUCGAUUUUGUCUGAAGUUUGAGAUGGCAUAGCCAGCAUCGAUAUAUUAAUAGGCACAUGAUGCCAAAUGAUGUACAACAACUCCAAAUUCUUAUCAAUGGUUGAUACCACUUCAGGUUGCCUUAGAAUUUGUCAAUGACUUCAGUAUCUGAAGAGUUUUACAUGUUUGUGAUGAUGGUAUUUCUUGAAGGAUAACUUUCAUCAUAUGGUAGAGAGGUUGCCGACCUUUUUUUUCACUUCCUUCUUUCCCAUAUAGCAGAGAGUCGGCAACUCCAAUUAUGUUUCAAAGAGACAUUUACAGUUGAAGUCGCUGGAGUCUGAUGGUAGCAAACUCGCAGUGCUAGACAAAGCAGCAGCACACAGACUAGAAGGUGAACUGAGCAUGGUGGAGGAGAUGGGGUUCUGCUUUUUGAAAGAAUGAAAGAAACUUUUACUCCGUAUUAUUUAUGCUUCAGAUUAUGAACUUUUGAAUGACAAUUCAUUAAACAUAUGUACAACAUUUAAUAUGGAUGACUAUCGUAUGACGUAUCGAUGAGUUGUUUGUUUCUUCCUCCUUUAUUUCUCCUUCAUUUUCUUCAUUCUACCAGAGUAACUUCUCCUUCCCUUCCUUUCAUGAUCUCAGGACCUGAUGUAUAUAAAACAUGCAUAAAAUGUCAUUUUUAAGAUAUUGAUCAAGGUCGAACAUAAAAUGGUGUUUACAGAACGCUAUCCCAAAAUGUUAAUUUACACACACACACACAAAGAAGAGUAGUAAAGAAGAAAACAGAAGACCCAAAUAUUCAAUGCAAUCCCUUCUGAUCCAAAUAUUCAAAUCCAAUAGUUUUGGCUUGUAUGUGCAUUAAAAAAUAUCCACUAAAUAAAUAUCUGCACAUUAUCCCUUUUUUAUACACAUUGUCGUCUUAACUUGUUUGGAUCCACCCCAACCCAAUAUCUGCUUGCUCUUUUAAAGCUUAUUGUGAUGAAACGGGAUCACAUCAUCUACUCAUUUCUACUUAACGUUCACAAAAAGUUCAGUUGAGAAUUUCAUCAAAUACAUUGUAAAUUUUGUUUCUAAGAAGCAAACUAAUAGAGAAGAACCUGUCUUAGAUAAUGGGAUAUUAUUCGGGCUAAGGAUCUGAAGCUUGUCUUCUCCUGUGAUAUCUUCAACAUAUUGUUUAAUCUCCAGAGCAGAAUCUUCAAGUUGAGGGCUCUCGUCAAGUUGGAUAAUUUUUAAUGAACCAAUAUCCCCAAAAUUAGGCGGAAUCUCUGUAAGCUUACGACAUCUCCAUAGUGCUAAUUUCUCAAGAACGGGAAAGGAUUCCUCUCCAAACUCCCACUUAGCAAGAGUCACUUCAUUUAAUCCCAAAUAUUUGAGAUUCUCAAAGGUGUCUCCCUCCCCCAUGUUUCAUUCUCCCCCCUCGAUGAUUGUUCUAAUAAGGCCCAGCUCUUCAAGGUUGGGCAGUCUCGCUAUUGUUGAUAGUGAAAAGUCAACGCCAAUUUUUUCAAAUUGGAAGGGAAAUGAAAAUUCCACAACCAAUUUGUCGCUAAAGAGGGCCCACUGUCAUUUGUGUUUGAACUUUUAAAAUCUACUCUGAGGAGUUCUAGUUCAUGAAGGAAAUCCAAUUUCGGGAAAGACAUGCAUCAGAAUGACAAUCUUUCAUCUCAUCUCCCGUUAUCUCCAAAGAAUAGAGGUGUUUACCAGAAUGCCUUUUCAUUUUUGAACUAGACAGGACGAAAUUGUUAAGCUCAAAGUGCUCCUUAUUAUACUCAAUGUUUACUAUGCGUGGCAUCAAAUCUGAAGAAGAAGAUGGAUCACUUGAACUUAUCCAUCGAAACAACUUUUCCUCUCUUGCUUUUAUAAAACAAAAAUCGUGCACAAGAUCAUGAAUUUGGAAAGUCGGGUGAUUACCUAUCUCAUUGAAAGAAAUUACCAAGCUACUGGAAAUUAAAUUAUCGAAAUAAACCUCCAUUACUUCAUUCGCACUCUUCAUCUCUCUCUGUUCAUCAAACCCUUCAGCACGCCAAUACAUUUUCAACAUAUCUUUUUCAAUUGCUUUGUCCUUUGGGAAACAUGCAAGGUAAAUUAAGCAUGGCUUCAGGUGAUAUGGUAAAUGGUCAUAACUUAAUUCUAUAACCUUCCUCACUCCCUGUUCACUGUUCAAAUUAAAGGAAUUCAAAUUAUUUCAAACUUCAAGCCACACAGCCUUUUUCUUUUCCAAACCUACAAUGACUCCAGCAAUCAGAUCAGCCACCAAAGGAAGUCCCUUACAAUUUUGGGCUAUUUCUUUUCCAACAUUCAAUAGAUCAUCUAACACUCUAAUAACUCCCUAUAAUUUUGGGCAACUCUCUUUUCCAACUUUUCCAAAGGAAGUCCCUUAUAAUUUUGGGCAACUCUCUUUUCCAAAUGCCCUUUUCUCUAAUAACUCCCAACUUUCCUCUAAACUCAGCAAUUGAAGGUUAAGAGGAUCAGUGUUUCACUUUCCAUAAAAAGCUGCUUUCUUUUCUCGAGUCAUCAAUAUAAUUCUACUUCCUUUCUCAACUUUAGGAAAAGGUCUGGUCAACUCAUCCCAUGUAGUAGUAUCCCAUACAUCAUCUAACACAAUUAGAUACCUCUUUCCAUGCAAUUUUCUCCGUAGCUCAUCAGCAACAUCAGUAUCCUCACAGAACUUCAAAUCCAAGCCAGUAACCUGAUUGAAAAGUUUCACCAGCAACUUCUUCUCGUCAUAUUCUUGGUCGACAGUGCACCAUGCACGAACGUCGAAAUGACUACAAACCGAUUCAUCAUUGUAUACUUUGUACGCGAAAGUAGUUUUGCCCAAACCCGGCAUACCAGUGAUUGAAAUGACGUCAAGAUCUUUCAACCCACUGGUGAGCUUACUAAUUAACCAGUUUGUCUCUUCCUUAAAACCUACAAAUAUUUUAGCAGCCGUCAAUGGCUUUCUUUCAACUGUCUUCUUGAUACAGUUUACUACAGUGAGGCUCCUGUUCUUGGGAAUCUUCUCCGAUAUACUGGAGACUUCUUCUUUGAUAAGCUUGAUCUUUUUUAUCGUAAUGGGAAGUGAGAAAAUAAGAUGUAUGAGACCAUUAUCUCGUACGAUAAUUGAAUUUAUGACAUCUUUUGACUCAUAUGCCACAUCUAAAACACGUGCCAGAGAUCUGUAUUCAAUUCUUGCUCAAUUGCCAGACACAUUCAUUAGAAUCUCAUACUGAGACUCUAAUGGAUAAAUCUGUUCAGCAUGAUACUUGCAUCGAUGAUGUAGAUUCUGGAGGAGGAAGCUCAACUGCUCGUCUGUCAUGGUGGCACUUGAUGUAGAAUGAUAACACGAGCUGACACAAUCACCAAUAUUAUCCAAGAGGCUUGGAAGGACAUGAUCCAUGUUGUAUUUACACCUAAUGUUGUUGUCAACAUCAUCCAAAAUUGGUUGAAGGAGAUUCUCAACCUCUUGUCUUGACUCACUCAUUGCAUCUUCAAACUCUUCCAAAUCCCAAAAAGCUGGACAUAUGUACAAAUCACUCAAGUUUCAGCUCUUCAAUUUGAUCCACUAUGUCAACAACAGUUUGAUCUUCUCCAUUCUUUAACCUCUCCAUGAAAUCUAGAACGUUGACAAUGUCCUUGCGAAGAGCUGAAAAUGACACCUUAGUUGGUCAUCUAUAGUUGUGUCUACAGAAUGUUGCGGCGCGGCGAAGAUAUUGAUGAUGGAGGAAUAUUAUUUUUUUUCGAGAAUGUAAUUCUUGGAUGACAGAAUCAGUCUCCAAGUGGGAGAAUUGUUGGGUUGUGGAGCCUGAUUAAUAUGUGAUGUACCGUUAUAUAUUAAUGUUCACCCAAAUUUUAGGUUGUACUGUUCAUUCUCAUUUCUCUGUGUAAAUGUACAUACUCUGAAUCAAUAAUAUAAAUAGCCCGUCCGCCGUGGAGGUUACCCACGGGUGUUACACGAAAAAUAUUUCUCUCUCUUUCUCCUCACUUACUCUCUCUCUCAUCUUUUUCAUCCUCGCCGCAGAUCUAGUGUGUGUAUGCAAAUCGAUCCUAACAUUUCUCUCGGAUAUGGAUUUUGCUUCAUUUUUUAUUACUUCCCCAAACCUGUUGACUUUCGUGCCGUGCCGACUCGCGUCUGUUGGAAACCAGCAAUAAGUCUGUGGGUUACCGUGCCGACUUGCAUCUGUUGGAACUGUGGACGGGAAGAAAUGCUAGGUGUUUUGAAAGGAAAGCUUUCUCUGUACUAAGGUUUACAAAUGUCUUUAGCUUAUGGCUUUUUGAUGCAACUUGCAGGAUGUAAAGGAUGAAAACAGUAUGUUCGAUUUCAUCAAUUCACUACAGGAAUAGAUUUCAGUAUAGAUUGGCUGCCCCUCUUUUUGUUUUUGCAUGGGGGGAUAUUCUGCUUUGUGCCUACAGAGCACCUUCUCAGCGCUUUGCUGUUAAUCUCAAUAUACUUAAAUGCCAGUUCUUUCUUUUGUGUAUUGCUUUUCCCCCUUACUUUUGGGGUUCUCUGGGUAACAAGAUUAAAGGUAUUUCAUGAAGAUAUCAGUGUAUCAAUUUUUAAUUUUUAUUUUUUUAAAAACACUAUUAGAGACUAAUCUUUUAAAUUGAUGAAAAUAUUGUCACGACCCAAACCAGGGCCUGGCCGUGACGAGCAUUUCAAACCAUGGAGGCCCGAAACACCCCUAUCUGAUAAUCAUGCACAUAAUUCAUAUGAUCAAAGUAAUGUGGAAGAAACACAAUAUAACGGAAACAUGGUCAAGAAUCAUAUGAAAAUGACAAUGGGGAAUAGUGUCCCACAAUCUAAAUCAACAUCUCUAAAACCGUCUGCGAAAUCUCUACUACAUGACUGAAACAAUGUCUAUCUGAAAACUGGGACAAGGCCCCCAGCAGACCCAAAAACUGAAUAUAAGGUAAAAGAACUGCAGGACAUAAGACCUUCCGAAACAUAGAAGGCUCACCACUUGUCUCUACAGCUCUGUCUGAAAGUUCUACUAAUUUUUUUGACCCCUAGACUAGGCCUCUGAACCUGAGAGGUUGGAGAGGGGAGGGGGCCAGCACAAAAGUACUGGCACGAAGAGAUAUCAAAGCAAAACAUAAUAUUUUUUCAAAAUAUAGUUGAGAGCCAUUAUAAAGCAAUUUCGUAUCAAAUCAUUAUAAAACACAUGGGUGUAAUGCAAUAGUUUUUCUCAACAAUAAUGAAAUGCAACUGAGCUAGGUGGAAUAUCCUACAUAAUUUACACCAACUGUCAAACCUCGGUUGCCGCCGAGAUUAGAGUAUAAGUGAGGAAGAGACACAGAAGACCACAAAGCAUGGCGUCUCAACCCAAAUCAAAUAUGGUAGUGCACAAGACCACAAAGCAUGGCUCCUAACCAUAAUCCCAAUUUGGGAUAAUAUAAUAUCAGAUACACAAGACCACAAAGCAUGGUACCGAUAUUCCGUGUCGGCAAACACGUUCUUCCAGCGAUGAGCCGCUUGUGUCUCAAACGCCUUCUUCGGGCAUCCACCUUUCCAAUGUAAAAUCAAUGCAUUCAAAUUUCAUNNNNNNNNNNNNNNNNNNNNNNNNNNNNNNNNNNNNNNNNNNNNNNNNNNNNNNNNNNNNNNNNNNNNNNNNNNNNNNNNNNNNNNNNNNNNNNNNNNNNNNNNNNNNNNNNNNNNNNNNNNNNNNNNNNNNNNNNNNNNNNNNNNNNNNNNNNNNNNNNNNNNNNNNNNNNNNNNNNNNNNNNNNNNNNNNNNNNNNNNNNNNNNNNNNNNNNNNNNNNNNNNNNNNNNNNNNNNNNNNNNNNNNNNNNNNNNNNNNNNNNNNNNNNNNNNNNNNNNNNNNNNNNNNNNNNNNNNNNNNNNNNNNNNNNNNNNNNNNNNNNNNNNNNNNNNNNNNNNNNNNNNNNNNNNNNNNNNNNNNNNNNNNNNNNNNNNNNNNNNNNNNNNNNNNNNNNNNNNNNNNNNNNNNNNNNNNNNNNNNNNNNNNNNNNNNNNNNNNNNNNNNNNNNNNNNNNNNNNNNNNNNNNNNNNNNNNNNNNNNNNNNNNNNNNNNNNNNNNNNNNNNNNNNNNNNNNNNNNNNNNNNNNNNNNNNNNNNNNNNNNNNNNNNNNNNNNNNNNNNNNNNNNNNNNNNNNNNNNNNNNNNNNNNNNNNNNNNNNNNNNNNNNNNNNNNNNNNNNNNNNNNNNNNNNNNNNNNNNNNNNNNNNNNNNNNNNNNNNNNNNNNNNNNNNNNNNNNNNNNNNNNNNNNNNNNNNNNNNNNNNNNNNNNNNNNNNNNNNNNNNNNNNNNNNNNNNNNNNNNNNNNNNNNNNNNNNNNNNNNNNNNNNNNNNNNNNNNNNNNNNNNNNNNNNNNNNNNNNNNNNNNNNNNNNNNNNNNNNNNNNNNNNNNNCGUCGCUUAUCACUUGGAAAGGUCAUAACUUCUUGCUCGGGUGUUGGAUUUUAGCCAAAUUGGUAUCGUUGGAAAGCUAAAUCUAAUACCUAUCAUUUGACACAUAGUAGGCUUCCUAAUUCGACAUAUACAGAGAAUUAUGGUCGAUGGAAGCUGACACACUUUACAACGUCCACUAAAACUUAGUCGACCGAAAUAGUUUCAACUCGUCCUUGAGUUGAAGGACCUCUAUGGUCUAAAUUCAAGCUUGAGCGGAUUCACAUACUACACAAUAAUUAACAUGCCGUAUUGGCAUAGGAUUUUAUGGCUUCGGAAUUAGCAACGCAUCGAAAUCAUGGUUUUUAUUCUAGCCCAAAAUGCGGGGCGUUACAAAUAUCUUCUGCUUUACUUUUAUUAUUCAUCCGGCAACUUCAAAUUGUGGGGAGAUGUUUGGUUUCGGGGUAGUGAAGAAAAUAAUUUUAGUAUUGAAGAUAAUUGUAGAAAAAAACCAUGCAUGGUGUUUUUAAAAAGUCUAGAAAGUAAAAGGAUGAAGCAAUGGAUCCUCACAGCUUGUCUACCACAAGUCUAAAAGGAUAAAGAAGAGUAAGCUAAUCAAAGUGAUAAGCAUCCAGUACCCCUUCAAACUUUGAUCAAAGUGGCUACGACAUACUUCAACUUCACAGGGGUUCUAUUAUCUCCAAACUCAAUUUUAGCGUGUUUUUCAUGACACCCUUAUUACAUAAAAUCAUGCCUACAUCAAAGGUUCUACAUCAGCUAUAAAGGCUGACAAAAGAUGUCAUGUCAGCUAACAAGGUUGAUAAAAAUAUGCUAAAAUUUAGUUCAAGGGGAUAAUAGAGACCCGUGAAGUUAGAGUGUGUCGUAGAAAAUUUGAUCAUAGUUUAGGCGGUACUACAUGUUUUACUCUUAAUCAAACUCUCAAUAGUUUGCUCACUUUAUAUUAUUUCCUUCAUUUCAUUUUAUUUGACACUAUUUUCUCAUUACAUCGUCAAAAUAAUAUUAACAUUCUUAAUUAAAAGCUUUUAUAUUCACACAAAUAUUAUGACAUGUGUUAGAGUUUGUGACCCGAAUUUUGUUGAUCCAGUCCUAAAAACAUCGCGGUGCGACCCAUGUUUGAGAUUUUUUGGGGGGUCUGUGCUGGUAGCGGAGGGGUCAGGCCUAUAGUGGGUUGAUUUUGGGCUUAGAAUUUAUUUGUACGCGCGUACUAUAUAGUGUAUUUCCUCCUCCUCUGCUUGUGGCUUUUCCCGUCAAGGGUUUCUACGUAAAAUCUAUGUGUUCUUAUUUUCUUUUGUUUAUGGUAUUGCUUAUUCCUGUCUGUUCAAUGACAACGUGUUUAUUGUAGGAACCAAAUAAUCAUACGUCAUGAGAAAACUAAUCAAGCAAACCAUCGAAAGAAGGAAGCUAAAGUCUAUAAAGGAAAGAGAACAAAAGGCAAUCAAACUUCUGAAUUUGUUAUAAUCUUACCUUUUGACCACUUAAUGUUCGGUAAACCAAGAUUGUUAGAACACCUCUUGUUUGAGAAAUAGUUAGUUAGAAAGAAAUUGGCUAAAACAAGUAUUUGGAAAGUUCACCAACAGAAAGAAUAAUCAAAUUUCAAGAUUAUUAGAACAGUAUGAGAUUCAAUUUUAAUGGGGCUUACCUGUCUGCCACUUAGCACAGUGAUUUGAUUAUAAAACUAUGUAUUUACAAAAGAUGUGUGAAACAAACAAAUCAACAAAUGAAACUGUGUAGUUAUAAAAGUUUCUAAGUUUCCUAACAGAUAAGGCACAGGAUCGUAUCAUAUACUCAUUGCUACAUAAUAUUAACAAAUAGUUGUAAGUGGUUGUGCCUAUUCACUUUGGUGGCACAUUGGAGGAUCUAUAAAAGACAUAGGUUGUUCAAUUGGAAUAUUUCUACAAUUCCAAUAUAAAACUACAAUUGAAUUCUCCUCAGUUGAAUGAAGGAGAUCUAAUGAUCAUUAGAUACAACAUCCCUCAAAUUUAAAAUAAUUAUCGAUGACUGAUUCUUGGUGCACGUAAAUUCCACCACCCUGCAUCACCAACAGUUGCAGUGAACGCGCAUGGUCAAGGGAGAAAUUGAUGGUGUAUGAGAUUCAAAAGCCUUCUUCAAUAACCUUUAGCUCCCAUGUUCCGUCGACUACAACAGCACGUUAAACCUACCCAAGGGACUCGAGCUACAAAAUUGUGGAGAAAGAUCAGUGUAGAACUGAUAACUACAGUCCUCCUAUGUAGAACCUGCUGCAUAUUCAUCAACGGUCCAAGUGGAAUCAGUCAUGCCGAACCUCCGUCCUGCCACUGUCCUGUAAAUGAAGAAUUUCUCGACCGGGAAACUUUCUGGUCUAGUGUCCGGAUGACCUUAACACUUGGAAACCUCUGAGCUAGCAGAAAACACGCGACAUAACUUAAUGAACAAGAAGACAUCCAAAGAUACCGCAUCGUCUCCAGCUUUGACUUACAGCCUUGCCGCCAAAGGAGCAGUCUCAUAUGUCCAAGCAGAGGACGUUGUGGAGGCCUAGAUAUACGAAGAGCAUCUCUAGAUUCUUAGCACGCGAUCUGUAAGGAGGCCAAAAAGGGAAAGUUGUCGCAAUCCCUUGCAGUGAUGGACGAUGGCGUCAAAACCAGCAUUGAGCGGUCCAAGGGUUAGGUAAUCAGGAGAUUGAGGCUUGACUAAACACACACAAAAUCGGAUCAUGUUAGGAUGGUUCCUUGCAAUAGUAACUAAGGCGGCAUUUGUCAUUUUGCGGCAGAAGUGUAGAACUGAGUGGAGCUUAGGGAAGCCCGCGGAGAUAGCUACAAUGCCUCUCUCUGUCAAGGAUACAUUCAGUUCUUGCGCAUAAGGAAAUGCCCUAUGGUUUCAAGGUCCUUACAAUAGGUGGCAAUAUCCUCAAGACUGAUUUCGUCAACAUAACCACGCACCUGCAGUCACAAUCAGAUGCAAACUAAGAUCAAAACUUUUUUGUAAGGACAAAAGUACUCUGAAAAAGAGUAACCUACAAAGCAAAUAUACUCUCUCCAUUUCAAUUUAUGCGUGUUACUUCCUUUUUAGCCUGUUAAGAAAAGGGCACAUCUCUGUAUUUAGUAUGAUUUUAAUUCCAACAUUGUCAUUUUACAUUUAAUGAUACUCCUAUGUAGGAAUGGUAUUGCAUGUCUAAGACCAACAAUUUUCUCUCGGAAAUUUUUGCUUUUGCGACUAGACAACAUGUUCAUGAAGGUAGAUGAUUAAUAACCGUGAUAAAUUCUUCCAUUUUAUCACAAACACAGUUAUUGUAUCUAGUCUCGAAAGUAUCAAAAAUGUAUAAAACUAUACAAAAGAAAAAUCAAGCUAGAACUUACCGACAGCCACUGCAACUUGUAAGACUGUCUGAUCAUCAUACCAAGAUCAGGGCUUAAAACCAAAGGCGCGAGGCUAUGGUGAACAUGACAUACAAGUGAAAAAAUAGGCUGGCACUGCGUCCCAAAACCUGCUCAAGCCGUCGAGUUUAUAGCUGUCUUGAAAAGCAUACUGCAAAUUUAUCUGAACUCCGUCAGGAUCUGCCUGUACGCCAGCAAAGUAACAAAAUACAACCAACUGGGUAGCAUGGAGAAGAAUGUUAGGAAGAGCUUAGAGUCCUCAAAUUAGUGGCUUUUCCUGCGUUGAUGUAUCAAAAGGAAUAUCAACUUACUGUUGCAGAAGAGGCCAAAUGUUGUACAGCUAGCACCUAUUUGAACAUAUUGACCAUUACACACAGCAGCCCCUCAACUCCAAAUGUUCAUCGGUGGCUGAUUUGUUGUGCACGUGAAUUCCACCAUCCUGCAUAUCACAAUUCAAACUCUUUGCACGCACAUAUUCCACUUCUUGUUGCAUUGGGAUUUCACAUAUUUGUGAUGAUGAUAUCUCUUGAAAGAUUUACAAAAACUUGAAAAAACUGAAAUGAGUUGGAAAGAAAUAAACUUUUAUUAUUUAUGCUUCAGAUUAUGAACUAUUGACUAACAAUUCUUUAAACAACUGAUGGCUAUUGUUUGACGUAAAGAAGAGUUGUUUGUUUUCAUUUUCUUUUCCUAUUUCCAUGAUUGUACUUUCCAAUAGUCAAUACCAAAGUAACUUCCCCUUCUAUUUCUUUCAAUGUUCUCACGAUCUGAUGUAUAAAAUGUGCAUAAAAUUUUAUUAGGUGGAAGAAGUUAGAAUAGAAGAAAACUGAAAUAAGUAAAGAAUACAAGAAUAUAGCUAGAUUUGAUACUUAUUUUUUCGAGUUACCAAGGUCAGGGCCAAAUGUAAAUUUUUAUACAUGUAAAUGAGAUGAAGAAACAAAACAACAAAUACUUGCUAAAUUUUGACUUAGUAUUAUUCACGAACAGACAGUUCAUCAGACAUAUAGUAGACAUCAAACAUAAGAACCGGAACAGCACACGUAUAUAAUAGAGAAGAACCUGUUAUGGUUGUGCUCAAGGCUUCCCCCACAUAAUUCUUCAAGCUACUUAAAUAAUGGGAUAUUAUUCGGGCCAAGGACCUCAAAAUCCCGUCCCAUAAUAUCUUCAACAUAUUGUUGAAUCUCCAGAGCUGAAUCUUCAAGUUAAGGGCUCUCGUCAAGUUGGAUAAUUUUUAAUGAAUCAAUAUCCCCAAAAUUAGGCGGAAUCUCAGUAAGCUUAUGAAAUCUGGACAGUUCUAAUUUCUCAAGCACGGGAAACGCUUCCUCUCCAAACUCCCACCUAGCAAGCGUCACUUCUUCCAACACCAAAUAUUUGAGAUUCACAAAGGUGUCUUCCUCCCCCAUGUUCCAUUCCUCCCCUUGGAUGAUUGUACUCAUAAGGAACAACUCUUCAAGGUUGGGCAGUCUCGCUAUUGUUGAUAUUGAAUCUGAUGCCAGAGGAAAGUCAUACAACACCAAUGUUUUCAAAUUGGAAGGGAAGUGAAAAUCCCACGACCAAUUUGUCGCUAGAGAGGCCCCACAGUCAUUUGCAUUUGAACUUUCAAAAUUUGCUCUAAGGUAAUCUAGUUCAGCUAAGUGAUCCAAUUUCGGGAACCAAUAUCGCUCUUUUGAGUAAUCCCAUGAUUCCUUGAGAUCAAAUACAAGACUUUGAAGAUUGGGAAACCUUAUGAAAAUAUCCACUAUUUCUUUUGAAUAGGAAAGCAUGAGCGUCCUUAAAUCUCUCAAGUUCUCUAACUUCGAGUGCUCUGCUAUAAGUAUUGGUUCAUCUAUAUCCAUAUCAAAGAAAGAACAAGCAGUCAUGAACAACACUCGCAACUUUGCAAGAUCCCAAAUACUAGGUAAUAGUACCAAAGUUGAUCCUUUGUUUUCAACCCAUAGGGUUUCUAGAUUCCAAAGGUUUGAGAAACAUGAAGACAGAGAUUUAACUUCUGUCCCAAUGUAUAAGAACCUCAAGUGAUUCAACAUGCCUAUUUCAUUCAGCAAAGAAUCUGUCACCAUCAUAAACAGGGAAGCAGGGUCAACACUCUAAGAAGCCUCAAGUUUCUUAGGUGACUUGCAUCAGAAAGAAGAUCUUCCAUCUCGUUUCCAGUUAUCAUCAAAGAACAAAGGUGCCUUUUCAUUUUUGAACUGAACAGGACGAAAUUGUUCAGAUCAAAGUGCUCCUUAUCAUCAUCAAUAUUUACUGUGCGUGGCAUCAAAUGUGAAGAAGAAUAUGGACCACUUGAACUUACCCGUCCAAACAAGUAUUCCUCUCUUGCUUUUAACAAACAAAAGUCGUGCACAAGAUCAUGAAUUUGGCAAGUUGCUUCAUCACCUAUCUCAUUGAAAGCAAUUACCAAGCUACUGGAAAUUAAAUUAUCAAAAUAAACCUCCAUCACUUCUUCCACACUCUUCAUCCCCGUCUGUUCGACAAGCCCUUCAGCAUGCCAACACCUUUUCAACUCGUCUUUGUCCAUUGCUCUGUCCUUCGGAAAAGAUGCGAGGUAAAUUAAGCAUGGCUUCAGGUGAUGAGGUAAAUGGUCAUAACUUAAUUCUAUAACUUUCAUCACAUCAACUUCACUUUUCAAAAUAAAGGAAUUCAAAUUAUUUCGAAUUUCAAGCCACACAGACUUUGUUUUUUCCCUCCCUGCAAUGACUCCAGCAAUCAGAUCCGCCACCAAAGGAAGUCCCUUACAAUUUUCGGCUAUUUCUUUUCCAACAUUCAAUAGUUCAUCAGGUCAACUCUCUUCUCCAAAUGCCCUUUUCUCUAAUAACUCCCAACUUUCUUCAGGUCUUAGCAAUCGAAGGUUAAGAGGAUCAGUGUUGCACUUUCCAUGAAAAGCCACUUUCUGUUGCCGAGUCGUCAAAAGAAUUCUAAUUCCUUUCUCACCUUCAGGGAAAGGUCUUGUUAAAUCAUCCCAAGUAGUAGUGUCCCAUACGUCAUCUAACACAAUUAGGUACCUCUUUCCAAGCAAUUUUUUCCGCAGCUUAUCAGCAACAUCAAUAUCCUCACUGAACUUCAAAUCCGAGCCAGUAACUUGAUUAAAAAGUUUCAUCAACAACUUCUUCUCAUCAUAAUCUUGGUCGACUGUGCACCAUGCACGAAGGUCGAAACAACGACAAACUGAUUCAUCAUUGUAUACUUUGUACGCCAAAGUAGUUUUGCCCGAACCCGGCAUACCAGUGAUUGAAAUGACAUCUAGAUCUUUCGAUCCACUGGUGAAUUUACUAAUUAACCAGUUUGUCUCCUCCUUAAAACCUACAAUUAUUUUACCAUUUGUAAAUAACUUUCUUUCAACUGGAUUCUUGGGAGAGUUUACAACAAUGAGGCUCUUGUUCUUUGGAAUCUUCUCCUGUAAUUGGGAGACCUCUUCUUUGAUAAUGUUGAUCUUUUUUAUGGUGAUGGGAAGAGAGAAAAUAAGAUGCAAGAGCCCAUUAUCUCUUACGAUAAUUGAAUCAAUGACAUCUUUAGCCUCAUAUGCCACACCUAACACACGUGCCCAGAGAUCUUUAUACAAUCCUUGCUCAACAUUCACGAUGAACGAUCUUAUGAAUUUGAGGGCUUCUUUCACCAACUCAAUUUCUUCCUUUAUCAAAGCAAUUGAAUAAGCAUUGGAAUCUAGUAAAUCAUUUAGGUGUUUGUGUAGAAGAUGCAAGAAGAGAGGUCCAUCGCUCAUGGGGAAGCUCCAUUGACAUGAGUCCGGGGCUUUCAGAUAAACAUAUUUGAGAUCUUCCUUGAGGAGUUCAAUAUUUUUCAGCAAGUCUAGAGCUGCACGACUUGUUUCAUUGGUACUCUCUUCAUUCCUUGAUUUUUCUUCUAAGUCGUGAACAAGAGUUGAUACCUCCUGAUAAGUGCUCCAACACAUGCCAAAAGAUCAAAUAAUUUGUCAUGAUGAAUAAAGUCCUUCGGUAUAUCAGUAAGAACAAUUAAUAGGAACUCUAUCGUGACAUGAAUGUUUCGAGCCACUGAAGUGCUAGGGGAGGUAACAGUUACCAUGUGCUCAUGUAGAUGAAUCAGAUAUUCACUAAGAAUUUCUGGAGAGGUUUCUAGGAGCUGCUUGAUGAAGCAUCCAACUUCUGCUGCUGGUGAAGGUUUUAAAUUUGUAUAGCAUAUGUGCAUCACCUCCAAUUCAAUUGGUAUAAUCUUCAUACGUAGAUGAGCUAGCUUGAAGACUUUAGAGUCAUUACUAGUUAGAUCAUCCCAGAGGAAGAUUCCAACUUUUUCAUCCAUACGUUGAAGUUGGGGUAGGACAUAUUCGACAAUCUCGUGCUCAACAUAACCAUUCAAAAUCAACCCAUGGAAAUCUCUUAUGUUGCCACACACUUUCUGAACAAUCUCAUACUGAGUCACCAAUGGAAAAAUCUGUUCAGCAAGAUACAUGGAUAGAUAAUGGAGAUUCUGGAGGAGGAUGUUCAACUGCUCGUCAGUCAUGGUGGCACUUGAUGUAGAAUAAUGACACAAACUGGUACAAUCAUGAUAUUAUCCAUGACGCUAGGAAGUACAUGAUCCAUGUUGUAUUCACACCGGCCGUCGUUGUCAAUCUCAUCCAAAAUUGGCCGAAGCAGAUUCUCAACGUCUUGUCUUGAAUCACUCAUUUCAUCUUCAAACUCUUCCAAAUCACAAUGAGAAAGCUGGACGUACGUACAAAUAAAUGCCAGCUCAAGUUUCAGCUCUUUAAUUUGAUCAGCCAUGCCAACAGCAUUUUGAUCUUCUUCAUUCUUUAACCUCUCCAUGAAAUCCAGAACGUUGACAACGUCCUCGCGAAGAGCAGAAAAUGACACCUGCCAAAUGACCAAACCAAUGUUUUAUUUAUUUUCUAUAUUUAUCAUAAUAUCAAGGAAAUAAACAAACCCAUUAAGUUGAAGUCUUCCAUUUAAUUUCAUGUCAGGAAGGAAAAAUUUGUACAUUGGUUUGUACGACUGUGGGGUUUAUCAACAAUUUCCUAUACCUGAAAAUUUGGCUAUUAAGCCUCUUCAAGUUUCAAAUUAGCAAAAUGACCUACUUCUAUUUGCUCAUCGGUCGGAUUGAUAAUCGAACUGUCCAUAUAUAGGUCGGAUCAAUAAUCGAUUUGUCGAAGUUUGGAUCGAUAAUCGAUCUGUUUGAUUGAUAAUCGAUCUGCCUAUAUGUCGUUCGGAUAGAUAAUAGAUCUGUAUCAAAAAUGGGUCAUUUCCCUUAAAAAAAAAAGACUUGUAGUCUAUUUAAUUAAAAAGAAGACUUGAAAAAGCCAUAUAACAAAAGAUUUAAUACAUUUUGGUUGUAGUUGGAUUUUUGAAGAAAUUAAAAUAAUUGUUGAUAUGUUUUUUUCCUAUCCCCGAAAUUUGACUUUCCUGUGAAUUAUAUACUUUGUGGGUAACUAACACAUAGUGCUGUGAUUUUAAUUAGACUAAAGUUUAAAGUAAGUGUUUUAGUCUUUUCAUUUUGUUUCUAACUGUGUUUUUUUACUAAAUAGUAACAUCUUUUUCAAGAAACUACUAAAGAGUUACAUCUUGUCAAGGUAUUAUUAAAGUUAAAAUUAGUAAAAACACAUUUAUUUUCUAGAAAUGAAUAGUUUCUUAAGGAUGUACCCAAAAUGAAACAACAAUUAUUUAGGAACAGAGCGAGUAUGACUUACCACAAAGUUGUUUUCUCUUUCUCCUUCAUUUUCCAUGUCUGUCUUUCAUGUUCUAUUUCCUUUCAAAUUCUGAGGGUCUGAUAUAUAAAAAGUUUAUUAGGAGAACAAAAUUACAUAGCAAUAGAAAUCCCUGGUAGAAGAUAGAGAAAACUAGAUAUCCUAGUAAGAACACUAGAUCCAAGUCCAAGAAAAUAUUUAUCUUUUAUCUCAAAUUGAACCCAGCAACAUCAAGGACUCUAAUUUGGUUAAUGCUAUGCAAGAAGAACAUCAAAAAUGAAAAAACAAGAGACUUUGAACGUGAUCUUACCUUUUAACCGUUUGAAGAGGAGUUCAAGCACCUGUUUGGGAAAGAAUAUUGAACAGUUUUAAAGAGUUGUUGAACUAGUUUGCUAAUUCAAGUGUAGCUAGAUCUAGAUUUACAUCUCCAAGAUUAAUAAAAUACCAACUCAAUAACGUUCCUUUGAAUUAUUUUAAUACUCAAGAUCAUUAAACAAUUGUUAAUUCUGCUGCUUGUUAUUGGAAUAGGUGAUCACAUGUGCAGAUUAUUGGUAGUCUAAAAUGCCAACUCUUGGUGUCUGUUUUCCCUUUCUCCAUAACCUUGGUAUCUUCUUGGAUCCACACACCCCCAUCUCAUCUCCUCCUCCCUCAUGUAAGCAUCGUCAAAGGCUCCAUACCUUUUAUAAUCCUCUCUACCAUAUUCCUCAAAGUGGACGGGAUGGUUUUGGAUGUUUGGAACUUGAUUUGGAUGGAUUGGAUUUUGUGGAGGUGGUGGUCUUUGGCUUAGUGGGGCUCAGAAGAUGGGUUUGGAUUUAGUAGAGGUAUUGGACGUCCAAGUUCCUCUUGAAAAACUUGAGGAGUUUGGGAAUGGGUUGGUCUAUUGGAGUCUCGUUUUAGGGGGUUAUGAGUAGUUUGGCUUGCGGCAUUUAGUGGAGCUAGUGCAGGAUUCGGCAAUUGUGGCCAUGUUUCGGGAGUAACGGUGGUGGAGGAACUUCUAUCAUGUCCACUUGACGAAACAUGUCGAGGAGUAGAAGGGUGAGAGUUCCUUUGACUCUCCACUUGUUCUAACCUCCUACUAAUAGUUGUUAUUUCUCCCCUUAUGGCUCCCACUUCCAUACUCAACUUUUCAAGAGUUCGGGUCAUAGCCUCAAGAGUGACCCUUAUAUUCUCCAUUUCAUUAGAAUCCAUGGGUUGAAAUGUGGUUCCCUCCAUUGUCAAGGUAUCACUUACACAAGCAACAAACAAGUUAGUUUAAAAUCCCUUUCCCCAUUCACACUCUCUUGGUUCACUCACACUCAAAGCUCCACGAGUGUUGUUGAUUGGCUAGUAACCCGUGAAUCCUUAAGGUAUGAGUAUGCUCUUGUCCGGAAUGAAUUCUUGUUUGAAACUCAAAGAAUUCCCAUCGGACUAGAGUCAAGGAGUUCCAACGUAUUCAAAUGACAAAAGCACACAAACAAACGUUGACACGAAUACAAGGCUUCAAAGGACUAAUUGACAACCUAGUAGCAAUGUACUAGCUUGCUAAUUAGUUCUCGAGUCAAUUAGAAGAAACUAAGAAUCAAUAAUUAGAAACUAGAAUAUCCAAAUUGAGCUUAAUUAAUGANNNNNNNNNNNNNNNNNNNNNNNNNNNNNNNNNNNNNNNNNNNNNNNNNNNNNNNNNNNNNNNNNNNNNNNNNNNNNNNNNNNNNNNNNNNNNNNNNNNNNNNNNNNNNNNNNNNNNNNNNNNNNNNNNNNNNNNNNNNNNNNNNNNNNNNNNNNNNNNNNNNNNNNNNNNNNNNNNNNNNNNNNNNNNNNNNNNNNNNNNNNNNNNNNNNNNNNNNNNNNNNNNNNNNNNNNNNNNNNNNNNNNNNNNNNNNNNNNNNNNNNNNNNNNNNNNNNNNNNNNNNNNNNNNNNNNNNNNNNNNNNNNNNNNNNNNNNNNNNNNNNNNNNNNNNNNNNNNNNNNNNNNNNNNNNNNNNNNNNNNNNNNNNNNNNNNNNNNNNNNNNNNNNNNNNNNNNNNNNNNNNNNNNNNNNNNNNNNNNNNNNNNNNNNNNNNNNNNNNNNNNNNNNNNNNNNNNNNNNNNNNNNNNNNNNNNNNNNNNNNNNNNNNNNNNNNNNNNNNNNNNNNNNNNNNNNNNNNNNNNNNNNNNNNNNNNNNNNNNNNNNNNNNNNNNNNNNNNNNNNNNNNNNNNNNNNNNNNNNNNNNNNNNNNNNNNNNNNNNNNNNNNNNNNNNNNNNNNNNNNNNNNNNNNNNNNNNNNNNNNNNNNNNNNNNNNNNNNNNNNNNNNNNNNNNNNNNNNNNNNNNNNNNNNNNNNNNNNNNNNNNNNNNNNNNNNNNNNNNNNNNNNNNNNNNNNNNNNNNNNNNNNNNNNNNNNNNNNNNNNNNNNNNNNNNNNNNNNNNNNNNNNNNNNNNNNNNNNNNNNNNNNNNNNNNNNNNNNNNNNNNNNNNNNNNNNNNNNNNNNNNNNNNNNNNNNNNNNNNNNNNNNNNNNNNNNNNNNNNNNNNNNNNNNNNNNNNNNNNNNNNNNNNNNNNNNNNNNNNNNNNNNNNNNNNNNNNNNNNNNNNNNNNNNNNNNNNNNNNNNNNNNNNNNNNNNNNNAAAAUAACCCUAACACUAUCUAUUUAUAUUAGUCCACAAAGGGAGAUAACAAAUGACCAUCCUACCCUUGCCAAGGGGUGGCCUUGGAGUGUAAGUUUAUUACACUUCAAGGCUCCUCUUCACACUUAAAAACAUUUAAUCCAUUAGAAGGCUUAAGUACCAACUCACACACGGCCAUUUGCAUGAACAUAGCUUGGAGUUUUUGUAACUCCGGAGCUUGGCUACGUGUGAAUGGUCGUGUACUUGUUGGAUAGCUUGUAGAACUUGUUGGACAGCUUGGUACACCCGUAUCAGUUUUAUACUUCUGCCGCCAAAUGACAAAUGACGCGUUGGUUACUAUUGCAAGGAACCGUCCUAAUAUGAUCCGAUUUCGUUUGUGUAUUAUCGAGCCUCAAACACCUGAUUACUCAACCCUUGAACCACUUGAUACUGGUUUUGGGGCCAUUGUGCAACACUGCAAGGAAUUGCGGCGACUUUCUCUUUCUGGCCUCCUUACAGAUCGUGUGUUUGAGUACAUCGGGGUCCAUGCUAAGACGUUAGAGAUGCUUUCCUUAGCGUUUGCAAGGGAUAGCGAUCUAGGCCUCCAUUAUGUUCUCUCUGGUUGUGAGAGCCUCCGUAAAUUGGAGAUUAAAGACUGCCCCUUUGGCGACGAGGCUCUGUUGGCCAAUGCUGCAAAGCUGGAGACAAUGCGAUCCCUUUGGAUGUCCAACUGUUCUGUAAGUUUUGAAGCAUGUAAGCUGCUAGCUCAGAAGUUGCCAGGGCUUAAUGUUGAAGUUAUAGACCAGAGAGGUCAUCCGGAUACGAGACCACAAAGUUGCCCCGUUGAGAAACUUUACAUAUACAGGACAGUGUUAGGAAGGAGGUUCGACACUCCUGGUUUUGUUUGGAUAAUUGCUGAAGAUGCAUCAUCAACUCCAUAUAGCAACGGAAAUUGCUCUCUGGCUUCUUCUUAGAAAUGACUUCAAGUAUUAGUUCCGUGCUAAUCUUUCUCCUUGUGUAGUUGCAGUGCCCAGUUGUGGUGGGGUUGAAGCUCGCAAGCCAUCAAUUUUACCCUUUGUUGAGCGACUUCGCAGCAAUUAGUCACAAAUAAUGAGUUUAAACUCUACAUGUUGUGCUGUAUCAGUAAGGAUUACUAUUGUAUUUUUGGGUGGGAGGGGGCAUGUCCAACUGAGUAUCCUAUUUUGUAUGAUUAUGUAGUGACUCGUUCUUCUGGUGAAAUGGUGUUGUAAUGUACUUCUGGUCAUGUAUGGUUGAACUUUAGUUGUAAUUCAUUUGAUGAUUUGUUGUUUAUUUGAGUACUGGAAUUCCAUUUGUUCAACUUUUAGAAGUUAUUUACUUAGAUAAACAAACACUUCUUUUCGUUCAAAGUGGGAUUUUGGUCAAAGUUGAUUGAAUAUUUGAGGAGAUGGUGUCAUGAGUGCUUAAAUGAUUUCAGACACAGUAGGUUUGGACAGUCAAAAGGUAAAUAUACUGUGUAAUCUACGGCUUCAUGUGAAUGUAGUUGCUUUUCUCCAGAUCCUUUAUAUAUAUUAAAGAUGUCGACUAAAUAACUAUAAACCUAUACUUCAAAUCCUGGAUCCAUCUGUGUGAAUGCAAAGAUCAAAAAAGUUGCCAUGCUACUGUACUAUUGUAACAAAAGCAAAAGCAUGAACCAAUUUAUCUGUAUCACUUUUCUGGUAAAAAAGUCUAUUAAUGUUCAAAAUUCCAAACGGAAAUUAUCCUUUCAAAAGUUCAUUCAUGCACGCAAUUGCUUUUACUGGUAUAUCGAGAGUUCCUCCACGUAUUAUUCGUCAUUAAACGGAUAUCGGAUUCCUCUUGGUUGAUUUAAGCUUAUGCCAAGGUGAUAUAUCUGCACUACUCUAACCACUUGAAUAACUCCGAGCGAUAGACUUUGUGACGCAAUCCCUCUAAGGUGAUAGUUUCCAUGAUGUGUAUCUGAGUAAAAGUUGCUUCAUUUCUAAUUGAGUAGCUCUAGAUAACAAACUUCUCUUCAUUAAGCUCACCAAUCCUAUAUUUGAUGGACUUAAAGGUUCCACCUGCAGAAAAGAAGACACGGUUAGCAGCCAAAAUCGGAAAAGAAUUAACUAGGACGAUUUAACCUAGAACCUCCAUUACCCCGGAAAGAUUCAAUACUUCUAAUUGUGAGAAUCAACAAUGGGUACCUCAUCAGUGAAGGAAUAGGAGAAGUGUGCUCAUCAGUGAAGGAGGCCAAUCGCCAUGUUAGGCUUGUCGAAGACAUUCAACUAGCAAUCUACCAAUGAAAGAGAUAAUAGUCAAUUACGUAGUGCAAUGUAUCAAUAAACUUCUUUUUCUUAGAAGCAGGAGGGAAAUAUGCACCAAUUUUGUCUAUCGAUAAACACUUACUGUUGCACAUGAGGCCAAAUGCAGCAUCAACAUCUGAAUCAUUAGAAACAGCAGCCCCUCAACACCAAAUGCUUAUCGGUGGCUGAUUCUUGGUGACGUAAAUUCACCACAUUGCAUCACAAUUCAAACUCUUUGCACUACGAAUAUCUCACUUCUUCUUGAAUUGGACUUUCUCGGUAACUUUAUUACCUGCAGAGGUUUCACAUUGUUUGUGAUGAUGGUAUUUCUUGAAAGAUAUACAAAAACUGAGAUAUCGUAACUUGCAUAUGGUAUAGAGGUUGCCAAUUUCAUGUAUGUUUCAAAGAGAGACUUACAGUUGAAGUCGCUGGCAUUCGGUAGCAGCAAACUCACAGUUCUAGGCAUAGCAGCGGCACGCCAACAAACUGAGCAUGUAGGAAGAGCUCGGGGAAGCAGGGAAGGGUUCUGCUUAUUGAAAGGGACAGAAUGAAAGAAACUUCUAUUAUUUAUAUUUCAGAUUAUGAACUUUUGAAUAACAAUUCAUUGAACAUAUGUAUAACGUUUAAUAUGGAUGACUAUUGUAGACGUACCGAUGAGUUGUUUGUUUCCUCCUUUAUUUCUCCUUCAUUUUCUUCAUUCUACCAGAGUAACUUCUCCGACCCUUCCUUCCAAAUUCUCAGGAUCUGAUGUAUAAAACAUGCGUGAAAUGUCAUUUCCGAGUUAUUCAUCAAGGUCAAACAUCAAAUGAUGUUUACCAAACAUUAUCCCAAAAUGUUAUACACAUUAUCGUCGUAAGUCUUCUUAAAAAGUUGUGAAAAUUAUCUGCACACAUGAGCAUAUAUCACAACAAAUGCUUGCCAUUUUAGUUUGUUUUUUUACAUAUUACCAAAAGCUUAUUGUGAUGAAUCGGGAUCACAUCAUCGACACACUUUUACUUGAAUUUCACAAAAAUAUUAAUUGAGAAUUCAUCAAACAUAUUGUAAACAACACGCGUAAAUUUUGGUUCUAAGCAGCAAAAUAAUAGAGGAGAACCUGUCUUAGAUAACGGGAUAUUAUUCGAGCCAAGAAUCUGAAGCUUGUCUUCUCCCGUCAUAUCUUCAACAGAUUGUUUAAUCUCCAGAGCUGAAUCUUCCAGUUGAGGGCUCUUUACAAGUUUGAUAAUUUUUAAUGAACCAAAAUCCCCAAAAUUAGGUGGAAUCUCUGUAAGCUUACGACAUCCCAACAGUAGUAAUUUCUCAAGCACGGGUUUCUCUUCCCCGGACACCGAACAAAGGAAAGGAUUCCUCUCCAAACCCCCACUUAGAAAGAGUCACUUCUCGCAACCCCAAAUAUUUGAGAUUCUCAAAAGUUUCUGAAUGACUUCAGUACCUGAAGAGUUUUCGCAUGUUUGUGAUGAUGUAUUUUAUUGAAGAUUUACAAGAACUUGAGCAAAACUUAGAUAUCAGAUAACUUUCAUAUUGUAGAGAGGCUAUCAAUAGCAGACAGUAGGCAACUCCAUGUAUGUUUCAAAGAGAAACUUACAGUUGCAAUUGCCAGCGUUCUGUGGCAGCAAACUCUCAGAGCUAUCCCACUACGUUAAUUUACACACACAAAAGUCGGGGUUGAUUUUCCUAAUUACCUUAAAGCUUAGUGUGAUGAAAGUUCACAAACAGACAGUUCAGUUGAGACUAACAAUAAGAGCAGAAAUAAAAGAAUAGAGAAGAACCUGUUCUGGUGGUGCUUAAGAGCUACUUGACUAACGGGAUAUUAUUCGGUCCAAGGACCUGAAACUAGUCCCCUCCCAUAUCUUGAAUGUAUUGUUUAAUCUCCAGAGCUGAAUCUUCAAGUUGAGGGCUCCCUACAAGUUGGAUAAUUAUUAAUGAACAAAUAUCCCCAAAAUUAGGCGGAAUCUCUGUAAGCUUAUGACAUCUCAACAGAACUAAUUUCUCAAGCACGGGAAAGGGUUCCUAUCCAACCUCCCACUUAGCAAGAGUCACUCCAUCCAAAUUCAAAUAUUUGAGAUUCACAAAGCUUGUCUUCCUCCCCCAUGUUCCAUUCCUCCCCCUGGAUGAUUGUUCUCGUAAGGAACAACUCUUCAAGAUUGAGCAGUCUCGCUAUUGUUGAUAGUGAACCGGAUGUCAUUGGAAAGUCACUCAACAACAAUAUUUUCAAAUUUGAUGGGAAGUGAAAAUCCCACGACCAAUUUGUCGCUAAAGGGAGUCCACUGUCAUUUGUGUUUGAACUUUUAAAAUCUACUCUGAGUUCUUCUAGUUCAGUUAGGAAAUCUAAUUUUGGGAACCAAUAUCGCUCUUUUGAAUAAUCCCAUGAUUCCUUGAGAACAAAUGUAAGCCUUUGAAGAUUGGGGAACCUUAUGAAAAUAUCCUCUGUCUCUUUCGAAUAAGAAAGCACGAGUGUCCUUAAAUCUCUCAAGUUCUCUAACUUUGAGUGCUCUGCUAUCAGUAUUGGUUCAUCUGUAUCCAUAUCAAGGAAAGAACAAGAAGUCAUGUACAACACUCGCAACUUUGCAAGAUCCCAAAUACUCAGUAAUAGUACCAAGGUUGAUACUUUAUUAUUCACAUGCAGGGUUUCAAGAUUCCAGAGGUUCGAGAAAGAUGAAGGCAGAGAUUUAACUUCUAUCCCAAUACUUAAGAACCUCAAAUGAUUCAACAUGCAUAUUUCAUUCAGAAAAGAAUCUUUCACCAUCAUAAAGGAGGGAUACAGGAUCAACACUCUAAGAAGCCUCAACAAAGACGAUCUUCCAUCUUGUCUCCAUUUAUCAACAAAGAAUAGAGGUGUUUACUAGAAUGCCUUUUCAUUUUUGAACUGAACAGGACCAAAUUGUUAAUAUCAAAGUGCUCCUUAUCAUAAUCAAUUUUUACCAUAUGUGGCAUCAAAUCUGAAGAAGAAGAUGGAUCACUUGAACUUAUCCAGACAAACAACUUUUCCUCUCUUGCUUUUAUCAAACAAAAGUCGUGCACAAGAUCAUAAAGUUGGCAAGUCGGGUAAUCACCUAUCUCACUGAAAUCAAUUACCAAGCUACUGGAAAUUAAAUUAUCCAAAUAAAUUUCCAUCACUUCUUCCACACUCAUCAUCUCUGUCCAUUCAACAAGCCCUUCAGCACGCCAAUAUAUUUUCAACCCAUUUCUGUUGGUUUUUGUGUCCUUCGAAAAUCUUGCAAGGUUGAGAAAGCAUGGCUUCAGUUGAUGAGGUAAAUGGUCAUAACUUAAUUCUAUAACCUUCAUCACAUCAACUUAAUUGUUCAAAAUAAAGGAAUUCAAAUUAUUUCGAACUUCAAGCCACACUGACUUUGUCUUUUCCCUCCCUGCAAUGACUCCAGCAAUCAGAUCAGACACCAAAGGAAGUCCCUUACAAUUUUAGGCUAUUUCUUUUCCAACAUCCAAUAGUUCAUCAGGGCAACUCUGUUCUCCAAAUGCCCUUUUCUCUAAUAACUUCCAACUUUCUUCUGGUGUUAGCAAUCGAAGGUUAAGAGGAUCAGCGUUGCCCUUUCCAUGAAAAGCCACUUCCUUUUGCCGAGUCAUCAAAAUAAUUCUACUUCCUUUCUCAGCUUUAGGGAAAGGUCUUUUUAAAUCAUCCCAUGUAUUAGUAUCCCACACGUCAUCUAGCACAAUCAGGUACCUCUUUCCAAACAGUUGUUUCCGUAGCAUAUCAGUGACAUCAAUAUCCUCGCUGAACUUCAAAUCCGAGCCCGCCACUUGAUUGAAAAGGUUCACCAACAACUUCUUCUCAUCAUAUUCUUGGUUGACUGUGCACCAUGCACGACAGUCGAAAUGACUACAAACUGAUUCAUCAUUGAAUAAUUUGUACGCCAAAGUAGUUUUGCCCGAACCCGGCAUACCAGUGAUUGAGAUGACAUCUAGAUCUUUCGGUCUACUGGUGAGCUUACUAAUUAACCAGUUUGUCUCCUCCUUAAAACCUACAAUUAUUUUUCCAGUUGUCAAUGAUUUUCUUUCAACUGGAUUCUUGGGAGAGUUUACAACAACGAGGCUCUUGUUCUUGGGAAUCUUCUCAGGUAAAUUGGAGACUUCUUCUCUGAUAAGCUUGAUCUUUCUUAUCUUAUGGUGAUGGGAAGUGAGAAAAUAAGAUGCAAGAGACCAUUAUCUCGAACAAUAAUUGAAUCAAUGACAUCUUUUGCCUCAUCUUUUCCCACAGAUCUUUACACAAUCUUUUCUCAACACUCACGAAUAACGAUCUUAUGAAUUCUAGGUCUUCUCUCACCAACUCAGUUUCUUCCUUUAUCAAAGAAAUUGAAUAAGCAUCGGAAUCUAGCAAAUCAGUUAAGUGUCUGUGUAGCAGAUGCAUAAAGAGCGGUCCAUCACUCAUGGGGAAGCUCCAUUGACAUGGGUCCGGGGCUUUCAGCUAAACAUAUUUGACAUCUUCCUUGAGGAGUUCAAUAUUUUUCAGCAAGUCUUGAGUUGCACGAAUUGUUUCAUCAAUACUCUCUUCAUUCCGUGAUUUUUCUUCUAAGUCACAAACAAGAGUUGAUACCUUGGUGGUACGUGCUCCAAUACGUGCCAAAAGAUCAAAUAAUUUGUCAUGAUGAAUAAAGUCUCUAGGCAUGUCAGUAAGAAUAAUCAACAGAAACUCCAUUAUGACCUGUAUGUUUCGAGCCCCUGAAGUUCUUGCGGCAAUAACAAUUACCAUGUACUCUUGUAAGUGAAUCAGAUAUUUUCUCAGAACUUCCGGAGAGGUUUCAAGGAGUUGCGUGAUAAAGCAUCCAACUUCUGCUGAUGGUGAAGCUUUCAAAUUUGUAUAACAUAUUUGCAUCACCUCCAGUUCAAUUGGAAUAAUUUUCAUGAGUAGAUGUGCUAGCUUGGAGAGUCAACUGCUCAAAUUGCUCAGCAAGAUACUGCUCAACAACGUCCUUGCGAAGAGCAGAAAAUGACACCUGCAAAAUGACCAAACCAAUGCUUUAUUUAUUUUCUAUAUUUAUUAGAAUUGAUGUCAUUAAAUUGAGUUUAUACAUUGAUUUUGUACGAUUGUGGGUUUAUCAACAGUUUUGGUGCUUAAAAUUUUUCUAUUACUUAAGAAAUACAUUUUUGAAAAGACAUUAAAAUAAUUGUUCACAUGUUAUUUUUUUACGGCCGAAAAUUUGACUCUCUGUUGAAUUAUACUUUCUUGGAAUUACUCCCUGUAUCCCAAUUUAAAUGACCCACUUUUUCUUUUAGUCAGUCCCAAAAAGAAUGGCGGGCUUCUAUACUUUGGAACAAUUUAACUUUGUAACCCUAAUUUCACCUUCUUUAAAUAAAAUAAUUCUACCUAAUCAACAAACGGCGACAAAAUAGUUACAUCUUUUUCGUGAAACUACUAAAGAGUUAUAUCUUUUUCAAGAAACUACUAAUGAGUUAUACUACUCCCUCUGUCCCAUAUUAGUUGGUCAUUUUUCUUUGUACGCACAUGUUAAGAAAUUGUAAAUAAAAAGAAAAUUUUACUGAUUCAGCCCUUAAAAAACUUCUUGGAUACUUUUACGAACAAGUGUGAAUGCUUUCAAAAAGAAUUAAUUACAAGAACAGAAUCUAAGAAAAUUAAUUAAUGCUUUUUGUAGAAAUCUAAAAGAAAUUCAUUGUGGAAAUUUUCUGAUAUUCAUUCUAUUCAGUAUCAACUUUGUAUAAUUAGGCUAUGCUAUGUAUAUAUAUAUACAGCUAAGAAAGAUAUACCCUAAUGGGGUCUCCGGCAAUAUUUUCUUGAUUUACUAAGGUGGACAAUUAAUAAGGGAUAACUAUUUUUAGUAAGAUCGCCAACUAAUAUGGGACAACGGGAGUAAAUAAUUAAUUUUUUUAAAGGUAUUUAUUAAGGGUAAGUUAGUAAAACAAUCUUUAUUUUUAAGGAAACGAGUAUGACAUACCAUAAAGUUGUUAGCUUCUCCUUUCUCUCUUUGUCCUUCAUUCUCCAUGACUCUAAGUGCCUUUCAAGUUUCCUCCCUUUCAAGUUCUCAGUAUCUCACGUAUAAAAUGCAUAUAAAAAGUUUAUCAGGAGAAUAAAGCAGCAAAAAUGUACAAAUAUAAAUAAGUAAAUAGUAUUCUGUGUUUACUUUCUCAAUUUUUUCUGCAGAUCUUAAUACUAGAAUUAAACAAAUUAAGUUUAUUAGAGACUAACCUUAUCACUUAGUGAAAAUUCUGAUAUAGUUGCUUUGUUCCUCUGUGUUUUUGUGUACUCUCGAGAAAACUAUUAGCUUGAAUAAUGAAAAGCUGAAAAUUAGAAGAUAAAAGAGAGAACAAAUCACUGAUGAUAGGUAGAAAAUGAUGCAUAGUAUUUCCAAUAAUGUUUAUAAAGCAAAAGCAAAUGGGGCCUCCAACAUAAUCAUACUCUCAAGUGGGAACAAUAACCUGCAAUAGGGAGUAUUGGCCAUGAAAUAUAUAUAUAUGCUUUUAGAUCAGUAUCCAGUAUCUUUCGAAUUAUGAUCAAAGUUGCUCUAAUAUACUCCUUCACAGGGAUCCUAUUACCCCGAACUCAAUUUUAAUGCAUUUUUGUCACCCUUUUGGGCUGACGUGGAACCUUUAUUACAUAAAAUGAAGCCCACUUCAAAGAUGUUGCGUCACCUAAAAAAGAUGACAAAAUACGCUAAAAUUUAGUUUGGGGUAAUAGAACUCGCGUGAAGUUGAAGUGUGUCAUAGCAAAUUUGGUCAUAGUCCAGAGGUACUAGAUGUUGUACUCUAUUUUUUUGGUAUUGCGCUAGGUCAUAAAAUUUUAAAUUUUUCAGUAAUUUUAAAAAUACCAAAACACUGCUUUCACUCCAAAUUACUCACAAAAGUUCAAAAAUAACUCCAAUUUAUAUUCGUUUUCUCCUUGCGAUGACCUUUUAUUAUUACUAAUUGUCUCCUUCCACAAUUUCUUUUAUUAUCCAUAGAGAAGUGUAUUUUUGUAUUGUUACUCUAUGCACAACGAUAAUAUUGUGAAAGUAAUCUAUCUGUGGGAUCAAAAAUAUUUUGUCAGAUUUUUAAUGUCCUUUUAUUCAACUUUCACAAUCCUACUUCAGAUGAUAUUAGCGUAUCAAUUUUUUUUUUUAAAAACACUAUUAGAAGCUAACCUUUUUACUUGAUGAAAAUAUCUUCUGGUUGUUUUAUUGGGAGAUGUUUGGUUUGGGGUAGUGGAGAAAACAAUUUCAGUAUUGAAAAAAAUUGUAGCAAAAAUGAUGUGUAGUAUUUUCAAAAAGUCGUAGAAAGUAAAAGGUUGAAGCAAUGGGGCCUGAAAAAGUCUAAAAGGAAAAGGAAUAAGAAAAGUCUAGAAAUUUUAGCGUAUUUUUGUCAUCCUUUUGUGCUAACAUGACACCUUUAUUACGUAAAAUGAGACCCACAUCAAAGGUUCUAUGUCGGCUAUAAAUCUGACAAAAGAUGUCACGUCAGCUAAAAAGAUUGACAAAAAUAUGCUAAAAUUUAGUUCAAGGAGGUAAUAGGACCCCAUGAAAUUGGAGUGUAUUGUGGCAAAUUUGAUCGUAGUUCAAGUGGUACUGGAUGUUAUACUCUUAAUCAAACUCUCAAUAGUUGGUUAACUUUAUAUUAUUUCCUUCGUUUCAUUUUGUUUGACACUAUUUUCUUAUUAUAUCGUCAAAAUAAUAUUAACAUUCUUAUAAUUUCUUAAUUAAAAGCUUUUAUAUUCACACAAAUAUUAUGACAUGUUUAUUGUUAGGACCCAAAUAAUCAGGCGGCAUGCAGAAACUAACCAAGCAAAUCUUGAAAGAAGCUAAAGUCUAAAAAGGAAAAAGAACAAAAGGCACUCAAACUUCUAAAUUUGUUAUAAUCUUACCUUUUGACCACUUAAAGUUCAGCAAACCAUAAUUGUUGGAACACCUCUUGUUUGAGAAAUAGUAAGUUAAAAAGAAAUUGUCUAAACAAGUACUUUGAAAGUUUACCAACAAAAAGAAGAAUCAAAUUUCAAAAUUAUUAGUAUUUCGCACAGUGAUUUCAUUAAUGGAAUCUAAGGAUGCAUAUAGGAUGUGUUUGUGUCGCCCUAAUACAACAUACCUCAUUCAUGGUUUGCAGUCGCAGAUUAUAAUGACCCUACAAAUUGAUUUUUUUUUUCUUUUUCUUAUUGUUUGGGACCUAUGCAAGAAACAAAUGUUAGUGGGAAGGAUUCUUUAAAAUAAAAAAAUAAAAAAGUAUAUGAUAACAUCAAAUAGGGUAGAGUAAGAGGAAAAGAACAGUUAUAGCUUUAUUUCUCCCUUUUUUUCUUUUUUUUUUUUUGGUAUCAGAGCAUUUUUUUUUUUUGCCUCUUUUUUUUUCUUUCUUUCUUUCUUUUUUUUCCUUUUUUUCUUUUCUUUUUUUUCUCUUUUUUUUUGUGGUAAUAGAGUAUUUUGUCUUAAUUUAAUUUAGAGAUAAGAAUCCAAUAUCCCCGAACUAUGACCAAAGUUGCUACGACACACUUCAACUUCACAACAGUCCUAUUAUCCCCGAACUCAAUUUUAGCGUAUUUUUAUCACCCUUUUGUGAUGACAUGACAUAUUUAUUACAUAAAAUGGGACUUACGUCAAAGGUGUCAUGUUAGAUAAAAAGGUUGACAAAAGGUCCCAUGUCAGCAUAAAAGGUUGACAAAAAUUGGCUAAAAUUUAAUUCAGGUAGUAAUAGAACCCUUGUGAAGUUGGAGUAUUUCGUAGCAAAUUUGGUCAUAAUUCAGGAGUUACUAGGUGAUUUGCUCUUUAAUUUAACUAGUAUAGUACCCGCGUGAUGCGCGGAAGUUGUUAUUAUUUAAUCGAUUGUGAAUUUAAAUCAUUUUAUCAAUGAUUCAAAUUAAAAGAAUCCAUCAAUACUUUAAAAUUUUAUUAUUCAUUAAUGAAGUUUAUAAUUUUCAAUAAAUUUUGUGAGCAUUUAAAAAUCAUUAUCAUUUCAUUCAUCUAAAAUUAUUUAUUUAUUGUCUUCGUUAAACUAAUUUUAAGUCCUUGAAGUAACAAAACUCACACACAAAAAAAAAAAAUCUAAAGGUGAAGCAAAAUCUGUUACAAACAAUCAAUCAAAAUAUACUUUUUAUAUUUAAAAUUCUAUUUGUUCUAAAUUUACUUUGCUGUUCUGUCUUUCAACUAAUCAUGUUUUAUUGAUUCAUAUUUCUUACUGUUAUUAAUCAUCUCUUAUUACUGAUAACAUAACGUAUUAACUCUACCUUAUCUAAAAUAAAGUACACUAACAAAAGGUAUUUGUUAAUAAACUACCUUAUCUAAAAUAAAGUACAUAACAAAAGGUAUUUGUUAAUAUAACGACUACAACUUCAAUUAGAACAUCUUAUUAAAAUGUAAAAUUUCAUUUGCAAUAUAAGAGAUGACACUAUAUACCCAAUCUUAAUUUUUCAACGUGCACAAUUUCGGAAUCGAUCAAAUUAAAUUAACUAAUGAUAUUUAGUAUUGGCAUCAGUAAAAACCUUAGUAUAGUAGCAGAUGUUAAAUACUAUCGAAAAAUUCUUUUAUCUAUUCUUCAUUAUUAUCUUCCUCGAUCUUUUGUGUGGUUCUUUUUUUNNNNNNNNNNNNNNNNNNNNNNNNNNNNNNNNNNNNNNNNNNNNNNNNNNNNNNNNNNNNNNNNNNNNNNNNNNNNNNNNNNNNNNNNNNNNNNNNNNNNNNNNNNNNNNNNNNNNNNNNNNNNNNNNNNNNNNNNNNNNNNNNNNNNNNNNNNNNNNNNNNNNNNNNNNNNNNNNNNNNNNNNNNNNNNNNNNNNNNNNNNNNNNNNNNNNNNNNNNNNNNNNNNNNNNNNNNNNNNNNNNNNNNNNNNNNNNNNNNNNNNNNNNNNNNNNNNNNNNNNNNNNNNNNNNNNNNNNNNNNNNNNNNNNNNNNNNNNNNNNNNNNNNNNNNNNNNNNNNNNNNNNNNNNNNNNNNNNNNNNNNNNNNNNNNNNNNNNNNNNNNNNNNNNNNNNNNNNNNNNNNNNNNNNNNNNNNNNNNNNNNNNNNNNNNNNNNNNNNNNNNNNNNNNNNNNNNNNNNNNNNNNNNNNNNNNNNNNNNNNNNNNNNNNNNNNNNNNNNNNNNNNNNNNNNNNNNNNNNNNNNNNNNNNNNNNNNNNNNNNNNNNNNNNNNNNNNNNNNNNNNNNNNNNNNNNNNNNNNNNNNNNNNNNNNNNNNNNNNNNNNNNNNNNNNNNNNNNNNNNNNNNNNNNNNNNNNNNNNNNNNNNNNNNNNNNNNNNNNNNNNNNNNNNNNNNNNNNNNNNNNNNNNNNNNNNNNNNNNNNNNNNNNNNNNNNNNNNNNNNNNNNNNNNNNNNNNNNNNNNNNNNNNNNNNNNNNNNNNNNNNNNNNNNNNNNNNNNNNNNNNNNNNNNNNNNNNNNNNNNNNNNNNNNNNNNNNNNNNNNNNNNNNNNNNNNNNNNNNNNNNNNNNNNNNNNNNNNNNNNNNNNNNNNNNNNNNNNNNNNNNNNNNNNNNNNNNNNNNNNNNNNNNNNNNNNNNNNNNNNNNNNNNNNNNNNNNNNNNNNNNNNNNNNNNNNNNNNNNNNNNNNNNNNNNNNNNNNNNNNNNNNNNNNNNNNNNNNNNNNNNNNNNNNNNNNNNNNNNNNNNNNNNNNNNNNNNNNNNNNNNNNNNNNNNNNNNNNNNNNNNNNNNNNNNNNNNNNNNNNNNNNNNNNNNNNNNNNNNNNNNNNNNNNNNNNNNNNNNNNNNNNNNNNNNNNNNNNNNNNNNNNNNNNNNNNNNNNNNNNNNNNNNNNNNNNNNNNNNNNNNNNNNNNNNNNNNNNNNNNNNNNNNNNNNNNNNNNNNNNNNNNNNNNNNNNNNNNNNNNNNNNNNNNNNNNNNNNNNNNNNNNNNNNNNNNNNNNNNNNNNNNNNNNNNNNNNNNNNNNNNNNNNNNNNNNNNNNNNNNNNNNNNNNNNNNNNNNNNNNNNNNNNNNNNNNNNNNNNNNNNNNNNNNNNNNNNNNNNNNNNNNNNNNNNNNNNNNNNNNNNNNNNNNNNNNNNNNNNNNNNNNNNNNNNNNNNNNNNNNNNNNNNNNNNNNNNNNNNNNNNNNNNNNNNNNNNNNNNNNNNNNNNNNNNNNNNNNNNNNNNNNNNNNNNNNNNNNNNNNNNNNNNNNNNNNNNNNNNNNNNNNNNNNNNNNNNNNNNNNNNNNNNNNNNNNNNNNNNNNNNNNNNNNNNNNNNNNNNNNNNNNNNNNNNNNNNNNNNNNNNNNNNNNNNNNNNNNNNNNNNNNNNNNNNNNNNNNNNNNNNNNNNNNNNNNNNNNNNNNNNNNNNNNNNNNNNNNNNNNNNNNNNNNNNNNNNNNNNNNNNNNNNNNNNNNNNNNNNNNNNNNNNNNNNNNNNNNNNNNNNNNNNNNNNNNNNNNNNNNNNNNNNNNNNNNNNNNNNNNNNNNNNNNNNNNNNNNNNNNNNNNNNNNNNNNNNNNNNNNNNNNNNNNNNNNNNNNNNNNNNNNNNNNNNNNNNNNNNNNNNNNNNNNNNNNNNNNNNNNNNNNNNNNNNNNNNNNNNNNNNNNNNNNNNNNNNNNNNNNNNNNNNNNNNNNNNNNNNNNNNNNNNNNNNNNNNNNNNNNNNNNNNNNNNNNNNNNNNNNNNNNNNNNNNNNNNNNNNNNNNNNNNNNNNNUAAUAAUAAUAAUAAUAAUAAUAAUAAUAAUAAUAAUAAUAAUAAUAAUAAUAAUAAAGACUUCGUUUUAACACAAAAAGCAAAACUUUGACCGUGCACAAAUAUGACUUUUAACUAUUUACAACUGCACAAAUAUGACCUUCCUCCAAGUCAACCCUUUUAACGUGUGGCACCGUGUGAUUGGAUGAGCUUUCCACGUAGGCACGAGUGAAACUCACGCAUGGAGAUUGAAAAAUCGGAGGUCCUAUUUGUUUAGGUUUGAAUAGUUAAAGGUCCUAUUUGUGCACUAUCAAAGUUUAAGGUCAAAGUUAAAAUUUUGUGUCAAAUUUAGGGUCAUAUUUAUGUAUUAUGCCAAAAAGCCACCACUAAAUUGAAACAAAUAUUUUUAGAUAGAAGAUCCCAACUAUUUGAAAACACAGAGAGUAUCAAAGUUAAUCUAUAAACACCGAAAGGAAAAAAUGCCCAUUCUCCUUCCCACUCUUUAAAUGCUAGCCAAAUUUAUAUCAAUAAAAUCAAUCAUAUAAUUAGAACGAAGUUUUAUCAUUCAUAUUUUUUUAUUAUAUUGUUCACAAAUUAAAGAUAUUCGAUUGUUCAGAUCAAUUUUUUAGUUAUAAAUCAUUUUUUUUUUAUCUACAAUGAAUUACAGUUCUUCAUAUGUUUCAUGUGAUAUUUCUCAUCAUCUGUAUCUAGUAAUUGAUAAAGGAGAAAUUGUAUAAGAUUAUUAAACUCAAAAGAACAAUACAACCAUAUAAAAAUCAAUGCACGUGUAAACAAAUUACGCUUCACAACAUUUUUAACUUUACAGAACUUAAAUAUCUAUAAUAUAGUACAUACAUCACAAGUUAUUAAGUGUUGUGAAUGUUGCGAAUAUAAAUUGAUAUCAAAUUGUUGACUUCACAAAAACAUUCCUUGAACACUAUAUUAAUGGACGAAGCUUGAAGCUUCAUUAUUGGCAUUAAAUUAAUUUAGUAGCUUAAAACUACUAAAGAGUUACAUUUUAUAAGGAAUUUAUUAAAGGUACAUUAGUAAAAACAAUAUUUAUUAAAGGCAUUCAAGAAACAACUGUAAAGUUGUUUGCCUCCCCUUUCUCUCUUUGUCCUUCAUUCUCCAAGACUGAAAUUACCUUUCAAGUUCCUUUCCUUUCAAAUUCUCAAGAUCUGACUUAUAAAAUGUAGAUAAAAAGUUUAUCGGGAGAAUAAAGUAGCAAAAAAUGUACAGAUACAAAUAAGUAAAUUGUAUUAUGUAUUUACUUUUUCAAUAUUUUCUACGGAUCUUAAUACCAUAGAUAAACAAACUAAGUUUAUCAAAGACUAACCUUUAUCACUUGAUGAAAAUUCUAAUAUAAUUGCUUUGUUCCUUUAUGUUUUUGUGUACUCUCCUGAAAAAUAUUAGCUUGAAAAAUGAAAAUCUGAAAAUUAGAAGAUAGAGAGAACAAAUGAUUGAUGUUAGGUAGAAGGAAAACGGCUCAAAUAUACCACUGAACUAUCAGAAAUGACUCAUUUAUACCAUCAGUUAAAAGUUGAGCUCAUUCAUGUUAUCGUCGUUAUAAAACUAGCUCAUCCAUGCCAUUACUUUUUAAUGGUGGUUUUAAAAAACAACUUUGCCACGUGGCCUUUUAUUAGAGGUCCACGUCAUUAAUUAAAAUAAACAAAAAGGCUCAAAUAUGCCAUUGAACUAUCAGAAAUGACUCAUUUAUGCCAUCAGUUAAAAGUUUGGCUCAUUCAUGCCAUCACCGUUAUAAAUUCAACUUACUCAUGCCAUUACUUUUGAAUGAUGGAUUAUUAAAAAUAGCUUUACCACGUGAUCUUUUAUUAGAAGUCCACGCCAUUAAUUAAAAGAAAUCAAUAUUAAUUUCAAAAUAUCUGAAAUUAGUUAGUACCGGGAUUAUUUAUUCUAGCAUUUAUACCAUAAUGAUGAGAGAAGUUAUUCCAUAUACAUGGCGGGAUAAUUGGAAUAGCAGAUUUCUUUUAAGCUGUUAUUUGAAAAUGAUUUUUCAACAAUGUAUGCUCCACUAAUUCGUGAUGGGAGAAGUUAUUCCAUAUGCAUGGAGGGAUCAUUGGGAUAACAGACUUCUUUUAAGUCGUUAUUUGGAAAUGAUUUUUUCAAUAAUGUAUACUCCCCUAAUUUGUGAUGGGAGAAUGGAGAAGUUCUAUUGGUACGUCUCUUUCUUUUUCUUGCUUGCCUUAAUCAUUCAUUGGUUUAUUUUCUUGCAACUUCAGAGUAUAUAUUGGAGUCACUAAAACUAAAACUAAUCAGUUACUGUAUCAUGGAAUUUUUGAAGUUUUUGUUAAGCGUAGCAUUUAUAAUGAUUUAGAAUCAACUAGAAAUAGCCAAAGGAUAUACAUUAAUCACCAUUUUUUCUAAUUAAAAAAUUGUUGUUGUUGUAGGAAAAAAAAUAUUUUAAUGGGUGUGGGUCAGGUUAUGUUAAAUGAAUCAGUUAUUUUUAAUGGGUCUAAGAUAUUUUGAAACUAAUAUUAAUUUAUUUUAAUUAAUAUCGCGGACCUCUAAUAAAAGGCCACAUGACAAAAUUAUUUUUGAAAACCCACCAUUAAAAAGUAAUGACAUGGGUGAGCUGAUUUUAUAACGAUGAUGGCAUGAAUAGGGCUGUGCAAAAAUUAAACCGACCGAUAAACCGAAUCGAUAAAAAUGUUAUUGGGUUAUUGGGUUAACGGUUUCUUAUUGGUUUUCUACAAAAAUUUAUUGGGUAAACGGUUCAGUUUCGGUUUUAGCUUACUGGGUUAACGGUUAAACCGAUAACCAAUAAGAAUAUACUAAAUUAUUGUUUUAUAUCCCUAUUUAUGUUAUAUAUAUAAAUCACUCUCUCUAUAUAUAUAUUUAUAUAUGUAUAUAUAUUAUAUGCACUACUUAUUCACAAUUUAGUGAUUCACAAAGUAUUAACCUAUUCAAGGCAACAAAGGCACAAUAUAAAACUCGGCUAUUAUCGUAUUGAAAAGCUUGAGGCAUUUAUAGCUUCCAACAAUUGGGAUUCAAUUUUUUUUUCGAACUAAUAUUCAGUUCAAGUUUGAAGAUUCUUGUAAACUAAAAUGCAUUGCGUAGGAUUUUGGCGGUAACUAAGAUUUCAUUUUUUUAUGUUAGUUGUUACUAUUUCUAUUCUAUAAGUAUUUUCUUAUUGGUUAAACCGAAAACUAAACCGUUAAGGACCAAAACCGAUAAACUAAAACCGAUAAGAAAAAAUCUUAUUGGUUGGUUAUUGAUUUUACAUAUUUAAAAACCGAAAAUUGAAAAACCGAACAAUAACACAUAAAACCGAACCGAACCGACCAAUGUGUUGGAAAGGAAAAAAAGAUGCUAAAUGAAUAGCUAGACAGAAACAGAGCAAAGAGAAGAAAAUACUGCAGUGAUUUCUUUAUUUCUGAUUGCAUAUGAAAGUAAAGAUACAUGCCUAUAAAUAGGCUCACAAUAAACUGAAAAUUCUAAACUUUAGGUCCACUAACCCACUAAUUUAUUGACUAGCUAAUAAUCUGCAGCACUAUCCAACUUGCUAGAAUAUAGGAAACUAACUAACAACUCACUAACUUCCUGAAGACUUGGUCAAGAACUUUUUUGAAUCAUUUCUCAACACUCCCCCUUGAUUCAAAACUGCAAACUCCAAGUUGACCUUUAAAGAACUCGUGCUUUGCUUGCGGAAGUGAUUUGGUGAAGAUGUCUGUUGCUUGCUCAUUUGUAUCAUAAGACUUCAAAGUAAUUUCUCCAUUAGAAAUAAGAUCUCGAAUAUAGUGAUAGCGAACAUCUAUGUGCUUUGUUCUACCUUGGAAAGCUGGCUUCUUCGUCAUCCCAAUGGCAGAUCUAUUAUCACAAAAAAUCUCAGUCGCACCAGCUGGUUUCUGAUUAAAAUCUGCAACAAGUCUCCUUAACCAAACUGCUUGACAAGCUGCAGAAGUUUCUGCAAUAUACUCAGCCUUUGAAGUUGACAAGGCCACCACUUCUUGCUUCUUUGAACUCCAUGAAAUUGCUCCAGAUCCAAGAUUAAACAAGAAACCAUAGGUGCUCUUUCUGUCAUCAAUGUUGCCUGCAUAGUCACUAUCAGUAAAACCAGUUAAUGUGAAACUUGUUACCUUAGAAUUCCAAAUUCCAUGAUCUGAUGUCCCAGCGAUAUAUCUAAGUAUUUUCUUUGCAGCUCCAAGGUGAAGCUUGCUUGGAUUGUGCAUAAAUCUGGAUACGACACCGACAGAGAAAGCAAUGUCUGGUUUUGUAUGAGACAAGUAGUUCAAACCACCAACCAGACUUCUAAAAUAAGUUUCAUUUGCCAAUUUAGAACCAUCAUCACGACACAACUUCUCAUUGAUAUUCAUCGGAGUAGAAGCAACAUUACAAUUUACCAUAUUGAACCUUUUCAAAAGAUCUGUUGCAUACUUUCUUUGUGAAAGAAAUAUGCCAUCAACUUCCUGUUUCACCUCAAGAACAAGAAAGUAAUGCAACAUUCCCAAAUCGGACAUAUCAAAAUUCUUCAGCCUGCAGUCUUUAAAUUCAGUGACAAUAGACUCACUUGAACCCAUAUAUAUCAUAUCGUCUACAUAAAGACAUACAACUAGAAAAUCGUUUUUACCUCCUCUUUUUAUAUAAAGAGUAGGCUCAUUGUUACUCCUUUCAAAGCCACUCUCCUGGAAAUAAGAAUCAAUUUUGAAGUACCAUGCCCGCGGCGCUUGCUUCAAGCCAUAAAGUUUCUUUCUUAACCUGUAAACCUUAUCUUCUUUACCAUUUACUACAAAACCUUCAGGUUGUGAGACAUAAACUUCCUCUUCCAAAUCACCAUUUAAAAAAGAGGAUUUAACAUCAAAUUUGUACACUGGCCAAUUUAAUUUCCCAGCUAAGGCUAAAAAGGUUCUCACAGUUUCAAAGCGGGCAACAGGAGAAAAAGUUUCGUCGAAGUCAAUACCUUGCUGUUGAGAAUAACCCUUUGCAAAAAUCCUUUCCUUGUGUUUUUGAAUACUGCCAUCUGCAUGAUAUUUGGUUCUAAACACCCAUUUGAGCCCAAUAGCCUUCUUUCCUUCGGGCAAAUUUACCAAGUUCGAAGUCUGAUUCUUUUGAAUAGCUAACAGCUCUUUCUCCAUAACUUUGCACCAUUUAUCCUCUCCUUCGGCAUCUUUAAAGAAAAUAGGAUCUGAAACAAGUAAAGCAAAAGUACAAGAUGUACUGUCAGUAUAUCUGGGAUUUGGUUUUCUAUCCCUUGUUGAUCUUCUUAAUGGAGUUGGCUUAGCUGAAGGUUCUUCUAAUAUUGGAGAAGUUGGCGGUGCAACUGAUGAGGUAGUCGAUGGACCAUCCAAACCAGGAUCUGCUACAUACUCUUGAUCAACAAUAUUGUCAGAAGGCAAUAAUUGAAUAUUUGAACUUUCAUUUUCAGAAUUAAAGUUCCAUCUUGAAUCUUCAUUAAACAUAACAUUUCUAUUGACCAUAAUUUUUCCACUCACUGGAUCAUAUAGCUUAUAAGACUUGGAUUGUGUACUAUAUCCAACAAAGAUACAUUUUUCACAUUUUUCAUCAAGCUUACGUUGAUCUUCUGAAUUUACCAACGCAUAAGCUAUACAACCAAAGACACAUAAGUGGCUUACCUUGGACUUGUUACCUCUUCAAGCUUCAUACGGUGUUUGAUUAUACACAGCUAUUCAGCAAAUAGAUUGCAGUGGCAACAGCUUCAGCCCAAAAAUAUUUUGGUAAACUUCUCCCUUCCAUCAUGCUUUUGCCCAUCUCAACAACUGUGCGGUUCUUUCGUUCGGCUACACCAUUCUGCUCUGGUGUAUAAGGUGUUGUGAGCUCCCGAUGUAUUCCAUUUUCUUCACAAAAGGAACUGAAUUCUUUAGACAUAAACUCACCACCUCUAUCUGUCCAAAGAGUUUUGAGCCUACAUCCACUUUGCCUCUCAACAAAAGAUUUAAAUUUCUUGAAAUUGCCAAAUGUUUCAGAUUUAAAUUUUAAGAAAUAUAUCCAACUCAUACGACUAUAGUCAUCAGUAAAAAUCAAAAAGUAUCGACUUCCACCUAAGGACUCAACACUUAUAGGACCGCACAAAUCUUCCUAAACUAACUCAAGACAAACAGAAGCUCUCCAAGACUGGCCUACAGGAAAAACCUUUUUACUUUGUUUUCCAUAAACACAACUUUCACAAAAAUCAAGAUUCUCAACUUUUGGCAAUCCAAAAACCAUUUCCUUUUGACUCAAUAACUUCAACUCAUUAACAUUUAAAUGCCCAUAGCACAGAUACCAUAGUCUAGUUUCAUUAUCACCACUAGCUACUGUCACACAUUUCUCGACCAUUGAAACUUCUAAAGGAAACAUUUUAUUGUUAGUCAUUGGAACUUUAGCAAUGGUUUUCCCAGAUUUAUUAUUUUUAAUAGUGCAAAUACCAUCGUCAAAAGAAACCGAAUAUAUGCUAAUCAUUAAUUGUCCAAUGCUAAGUAAAUUAUGAGAUAGACUAGGAACAAACAUCAAAUCUUUUAAAAUUUUAGCAUUACCUUGGCUGGUCAUGAUGCUAACAGUACCUCUGCCUUCAACCUGAAUCUUCUUGCUGUCUCCUAGUCUUACGUCUGACUUUUUGGACUCAUCAAGAUCCUUGAACAAAGAUCUUGUUCCAGACAUAUGUUUGGAACAUCCACUGUCCAAAAAUCAAACAUCAUUAGGAGUCUCUUUUUCACAAUAAAGGGCCAUGAACAACUUACUUUCAUCAUCAUUUUCCUCUGCAAAGCUUGCUUGGCUAUUUUCAUCCUUUUGCUUUUGCCAGCAAUAAGCUUCUUUAUGACCUGGUUUUCUGCAGUACUUGCAUAGAAACAUUCUGUUAUGCUUCUCUUCAUUUGAUCCUCCUCUAUCCCGACUCCUUCCUUGGACUCUUGCAUGACCUCUUCCUCGAAAUCCACCUUUGCCUCGGCCACGAUUUGCAAAGUUUUCUAAUUUAUCCCUUUUAGGAGUGAACUCCCCCUUCACCUGAAAUGCCUUCUCUUUAUUUUUAUCAUGUGACCUUAGGAUCCUCUCUUCAUGAUCUUGCAAAGAACUCAUUAGUUCAUCAAAAGUAUAAUCAGAUAAGUUAUGAGAUUCCUCUAUCGCAUCAAUAACAUGUUCAAACUUUGGAGUAAGACUCCUUAAAACUUUUGCUACAACAAUUUCCUCAGAUAUAUCUUUACCACAAGACUUCAUUUGAUUAACAAGAGAAGAAACUCUAGACAAAUAAGUCUGAAAAGAUUCAUUACUUUUCAUAUAAAGAGUUUCAAAGUCACAAUGAUAAGUCUGCAAUUUUUUGCAAUCACCUUGGCUGAACCUUGAAAUUCCUUCUUUAAAAUAUUCCAUGCCUCCGAAGAUGUAGUUGCUGCUGCAAUUCUUGCAAAAAUUGUGUCAUGGACUGCUUGUUGAAUCAGGAACAACGCUUUGGCGUCGUUCUUUUUUAUCCCUUUCAAUUUGUCUGCCUCCUUUCCAGAGCCUGCUUGAUCUACAAAGCUUGCUUCCACCAGCUCCCAAACCCCUUGUGAUUUGAAAAGAGUUUUCAUUUUGAUACUCCAAAACUCAUACUUUUCACCAAUAAAAAUUGGCAUGAGUGGGUUGCGAAGCCUCACGAUUCACUGCCAUUUAAAAAAAAAAUAGGGCUUUGAUACCAGAUUUGUUGGAAAGGAAAAGAAGAAGCUAAAUGAAUAGCUGGACAGAAACAGAGCAAAGAGAAGAAAAUACUACAGUGAUUUCUUUAUUUAUGAUUGCAUAUGAAAGUAAAGAGACAUGCCUAUAAAUAGGCUCACAAUAAACUGAAAAUUCUAAACUUUAGGCUCACUAACCCACUAAUUUAUUGACUAGCUAAUAAUCUACAGCACUAUCCAACUUGCUAGAAUAUACGAAACUAACUAACAACUCACUAACUUCCUGAAGACUUGGUCAAGAUUCUUUUUGAAUCAUUUCUCAACAUGAUGCACACCCCUAGGCAUGAAUAAUUAAUGGCAUAAAUGAUGGCAUAAAUGAGUCAUUAUUGAUAGUUUAGUGACAUAUUUGAGUCUUUUUCAUUAUUUUAAUUAAUGACGUGGACCUUUAAUAAAAAGUCAUGUGGCAAAGCUAUUUUUGAAAACCACCAUUAAAAAUUAAUGGCAUGGAUGAGCCGAUUUUGUAACAGCGAUGGCAUGACUGAGCCAAACUUUUAACUGAUGGCAUAAAUGAGCCAUUUUUGAUAGUUCAAUGACAUAUUUGAGUCUUUUCCCUAUUAAAAAUACUGUCAAGAAAUGGACCUUAGAGGUGAGGAUUACUAAAGUCCAUAUAAUCAAACUACUAUUCCAUUAGUAGUCCAUUCCCCAACUAAUGUGUGACUUUUCUGGCGCUUGGUGCAUGGACCGACAAGGAGCACCAUUCCCAAACUAAUAUGGAACUUUUUACCCACUCGUACCUGGCUUUGAUACUAUGUCAUUAAAUGGACGUUGAGCCUAACUCAACCUCAAAAGCUAGCUCAUGACGUGAGAAUUACCUAAGUCCAUAUAAGCAAAAUACCAGUCCAUUCUCUAACCAAUGUGGGACUUUUUACCCACUUCUAACAAAUAUAAAUCAUUGACUCGGACUCAAUCACUUCUAAAAAAUAUAAAUCAUUGACUUGAACUCACUCAAUGGUUUGCACGUCAUUCUCUUAUAGAUUGACAAUAUAUAUGUGACUUGUAAAUUGUGGUGGUGUCCGAGCCAACUUUUUCGUACUUUGAUUAAGUACACGGAAUACUAGCAACCUCCCUCCAGCAUUAGAUAUAAUGUAACUAGAUCUCGUGCAACUAUGACACAUGGAGAGAGUGUUUUCUUCUUGUCUCCAUAAAGAAUAUUACUUUUGAUAACAUUAGUAUUCGGUUUAGCUUUUACACACCUCACUAAAAUCCAUGAGAUACUGAUACGGGACAAAUGGACAUCUUAUCUUUUGAUGAUAUUUUUGGAGGCCAACACAUAGAGGCUCAGGACUUGGUGACCUCGAGAAUACAAGAACAUGCAUAGAGGACCCAUUUUGAGCAUAACUUACAGCAAUCUCGCGUGUGGAAGAUUGAUUAGAGCAUUUAAGGUUGAGGACUCAUGGUUUUGGACCUUAAUUAAGGGCAUUUUGGACAUUACACAUGGUGUAUUUACACACGAUGACUGCCCCUCUCAUUAAGGGUAAAGUGGUCUUUUUAUCUUCAUUUGUAAUAUAUUAUAAAUAGGCCCCCUUAGUCUUAUUUUCACUAGAUUUGGAAUGAUGAAGAAUUAAAAGACAUAUUUUCUCUCCUUUAAGAGUGUAACACCCUUAGUUGUAGGGCUUGAAAAAGUCAUCCUUAGCAUAGGGCUUGGAAAAGCCAAUAUUGAUCUUUGCUUGGAAACGAUAGAUCUUGAGGUGAGUUCAUUCCCUUGGUGGUCACUGUAAGAGUGUGGUUUUGAUUGUUACAUUCAUUAGGGGUUAAUGUUGAAAUACACUUGGUUCUUAAUCUUGUAAUAAUCUUGGUCUCACUAUCUAUCUUUAUUUUCUUGCAAAUCGUGUAUGUGUUGUGUAGUGGACUGUUUUGGGGUCUUCGUUGAAUCCAAAACUUGUAUUAUUGUUGUUCAUCUUGUUCAUAAUGUUUUGUAGUUGUUUUGGUGUUAAAAUAUACUCUUGUAUCUUGUAUUCUUGUUGUUGGUAGCGAAUCCGAGUGUGGUCUCCAUCUUGGUCCUAGAAUCCUUAAGAUUAGUGGACUGAUUUGGUGUUUGUUUCGUGCUUCUAUUGUCUUUUUCGUAUCAUUUGGUAUCAGAGCAUGGCUUGAUUUUGUUCCCACAAGAUCAAUCUUGGGCUUGAGACCUUGAAAACUACAAAAAAAAAAAAAACUGAAAUCUAAAAAUUCCAGAAAUAGUCUAAUCUGCCACCUUUGUGUUCUUGGCCAAAAAUUGCGUUCUUGUUCUGUCUUGGUCGAGAUUUGUUUGUUGUAUGUCUAGAUAUAGUAGUGUUAUUAUUUUUUUGGUUGUUUUUAGUGUUAGUUUUCUUGUCCACUAACACUUUGAGUCUAGAUCUAAUCUUGAGCUUGAACUUGUUGAAUUUGUAGUUGUCUUGGCCAAGUGUUGGAGCUAUUGUUAUUGUGGAUUGGAGUUGGCCGUGUGAAAAAUUGUUGGUGUUCUUGAAGAUUAUUGUUGGUGUUCUUGGUGUUGUUGUUUUUGUUGUUCUUGAUGUUCAUCACCACCUUCAUAUAUUGUUGAAGAUAAAGUGAAUGCUAAAUCCAAAAAGUUGAAGGAAAAGGGUGUAUUAUUUGUUAGUCUUGAAAGACACUACAACCAACAAGGACCUAUCAAUCAAGUCUCAACCACUUUCCAACACUUAUCCAUGAUUUAAGAUGUUUUAAGGAGAAUUACAAGAAAAAAGUCAAGUCUUGAAAUUGAAAAAGGCUCCAAGACUUAUUUUCCCUCCUAAAACAAAUUUCACCAAUCUAAAUUAAUUUUUUUUGACCAAGACUUGAACAUUUGAGAAUAACUUGAUAAAAUCGAACUAAUACGUGGCUGCCAUGUCAUCACUGCUACUUUUCAUGCAAUAUUUCCGAGCUCAAAAUUUUAGAUUCUUAGUUUCAUCUUAUUGUUUCAUUAGUUUCAUGUCUUGAUUCUAUAAUUAAUUAACAACUAGUAAUCACCUACUUAGUUGUAGAUUAAUUAUUGAAUCCGUUUCUUCGUGUCUUUGUUAUUGUGUGCUUUUCUCAUUUUUAAAUUGUAGUAACUUCUUUGUUUCAAGUUCGUAAGUAAAUUUUAUUUUUGUGUCUUGAGUUGAUCAAAUAAGAAUCUAUUCCAGCCACCAAGUAGAAUUGACAUCCUAUUGACUACCGGAGUAUAAGCAACUUUCAAUAUUUGCUGCUCUAAUUGUGAGAAUCACAAAGGUGAGUGAAUACGAGUGUUAGUAAGAAGUUUUUACUACUAAUCUUGUUUGUUCAUUUUGUAGGUUUAAAAGGUGAUAUAAGGGGAAUAUGUCUUCGAUAGCCGGGGAUUAUUGUGACUACAACAUGGGAGACUAUGAUUGUAGUGAGGGGUUUUAUGGCUACGAAGUUGAGGGAGAUUGUGGAGGCUAUGAAAAUAGCCAUGAUUGAAACUUGGGCAGAUGAGGAAUAUGAAGAUCCAUAUUCUCCACCUUGUAGUACUUCUUAUCAAAGUCAAUAUAGUGUGAAUGAUUAUACUAGCUCUAGUGGAGGUUGUUCAAUGAGAAGAAGAGGGUAUGCAUCUCCAAAACCAAGGAGUACUCGUAUGCCUUAAAAUGUUGAUCUAAGAAGGAGUGUACACUCCGGAAAGGUGACCAUGUGUGGGAUACUGGGAAGCCUCAUUGUGCUAAAUGAUAGGUACUAUAGAAACUACAUCGUUCCAUCCAUAGUUGACUACUUGGAGUUGUUUCGUGAGCCUUUACUUGUUCCAUACUUCUUGGACGGGUUUAAGGUUACCGAGAGGGUCAAGGUUGUCUUCUCCCAAUUGGAAUACCAUGAUGAGGUGUGGUGCGAUAUUCUUCCAUUGACAUACGAUCAUGUAUGCUUAGGUGCCGAUUGGUUUGCACAAUAUAGAGCUCCAAGCAUGCAAAAUUGGCCAAAUAUUAUUAGAGACCGAUGGGGGAAUCGCCUCAUGACUUACUUACUGCCCAAGCCACAAAGAGAAAUGCCGACCUACUCCAAUCCGAAUUAUUAUGAGAGACAAAAGAUUGGGAGGAGUAAGGGAGUGCAGGGUGGUAAUCCGAGGGUGAAAAAAGGAGAGGCUGUGUGGAGCAAAGUGAGAGGAUUACCACCAAACCAUGCUAACAUUAGUUGUCUUUCUAUUUCUAAGGACAUUUGUGUAGGUACCAACAUGGCAAGCGAACAAGAACAAUGCCAAAAGGAAGUUGCUGCCCAAAUUUUUGGAGAACCUUCACACCAUGACAAAGAAGAAUCUACUCAAGGACUUCAAGGUAAAAUGGAAAACUCUUACACUUUUGUACAUGUGAAUGAUAAUUGUGUGGCUAGUAGCCCAUUGAGUGUGAGUUGUAUCUUGCCUAUAUGUGAGUUUAUUGUUUCUUUGCCACUUGAUGAUGAUGUACAUGUUGUGAGUGUGGAUACACUAGUUGAUCCCAUUAAUGAUCGAAUAGACUCUUAUUGUAAGAUCGAUUUAUGUCCAUCUAGUGUUGAAACCAUUAUGUUGAAUGAAUGUACAUUAUCUUCUGAAAUUUGUGUUGAUCAACUUAUGUGUGAAAAUUACCCACCACCUGAGGAUGUGUAUGAUGUAAUUAAUGAACCUCAAGUGUGUGAUGAUGUUGAAAAUAUUGAUCAAAGUGAGAAUGAACCCGAGAGCUCUUCUUGGGGUAAUGUUGUGUUUGAAACAUCCUUGAAACUUGAUAUUGAUCAUUUAGAGAGUGAGGAAUUUGCUUGUUCUAAAUCUGUCCGUGAGGUAGAUCACACUCUUUUUAUGUAUAAUGUCUUGUUUGAAUAUGAUUUAAACACUCCUAAUGAACCUAGUGGUGAAAAUGAUGGUAUAGCUUGUCUUGGAAGCUAUAGCCUAUAUGCUAACCCACUAUGGUGUGACAACAUUCCUCCUAAAGAAGGAAAUCUCUUCUUGGAAGAUGAGAGUACUCUUAAGGGUAAGGAAUGNNNNNNNNNNNNNNNNNNNNNNNNNNNNNNNNNNNNUUGAGAGUACUCAUGGUGAUUAUUGGGAAACUAGUAGUGAGUACACCCAUGAGAGCACCUUAGUAGAAGUCGAUUUGAGUGAUACCUUUCUCUACUCUCUAUUUGCUUUGGAUGAUAUGUAUUUUAUUGUAGAGAGUAUGUCAUUUAGUUUGGGUAUAGACCACGGGAAAGAGAAGUGUUGUCGAGACCCAUGUCUAUGGCCACUUUUCCCCUUUGACCCCAGUGCCAAAUUUAGAAAUGGUGAUAUUGGUGCACCAAACUUGCUGCUUGGUCUACAUGACAAGCAAAGUGUCACUCUUGAUGUAUCCUAUAACCAAAUCCUUUGUACAUAUUUUAUUGAGUUUUUAAUAUUCCUUUCAAAGGAUUCUUGGUUAUANNNNNNNNNNNNNNNNNNNNNNNNNNNNNNNNNNNNNNNNNNNNNNNNNNNNNNNNNNNNNNNNNNNNNNNNNNNNNNNNNNNNNNNNNNNNNNNNNNNNNNNNNNNNNNNNNNNNNNNNNNNNNNNNNNNNNNNNNNNNNNNNNNNNNNNNNNNNNNNNNNNNNNNNNNNNNNNNNNNNNNNNNNNNNNNNNNNNNNNNNNNNNNNNNNNNNNNNNNNNNNNNNNNNNNNNNNNNNNNNNNNNNNNNNNNNNNNNNNNNNNNNNNNNNNNNNNNNNNNNNNNNNNNNNNNNNNNNNNNNNNNNNNNNNNNNNNNNNNNNNNNNNNNNNNNNNNNNNNNNNNNNNNNNNNNNNNNNNNNNNNNNNNNNNNNNNNNNNNNNNNNNNNNNNNNNNNNNNNNNNNNNNNNNNNNNNNNNNNNNNNNNNNNNNNNNNNNNNNNNNNNNNNNNNNNNNNNNNNNNNNNNNNNNNNNNNNNNNNNNNNNNNNNNNNNNNNNNNNNNNNNNNNNNNNNNNNNNNNNNNNNNNNNNNNNNNNNNNNNNNNNNNNNNNNNNNNNNNNNNNNNNNNNNNNNNNNNNNNNNNNNNNNNNNNNNNNNNNNNNNNNNNNNNNNNNNNNNNNNNNNNNNNNNNNNNNNNNNNNNNNNNNNNNNNNNNNNNNNNNNNNNNNNNNNNNNNNNNNNNNNNNNNNNNNNNNNNNNNNNNNNNNNNNNNNNNNNNNNNNNNNNNNNNNNNNNNNNNNNNNNNNNNNNNNNNNNNNNNNNNNNNNNNNNNNNNNNNNNNNNNNNNNNNNNNNNNNNNNNNNNNNNNNNNNNNNNNNNNNNNNNNNNNNNNNNNNNNNNNNNNNNNNNNNNNNNNNNNNNNNNNNNNNNNNNNNNNNNNNNNNNNNNNNNNNNNNNNNNNNNCAAAACUUGUAUUAUUGUUGUUCAUCUUGUUCAUCACGUUUUGUAGCUGUUUUGGUGUUAAAAUAUACUCUUGUAUCUUGUAUUCUUGUUGUUGGUAGCGAAUCCGAGUGUGGUCUCCAUCUUGGUCCUCGAAUCCUUAAGAUUAGUGGACUGAUUUGGUGUUUGUUUCGUGCUUCCCUUGUCUUUCCCGUAUCAGAUACCUACAACCUCUCACCAGCAGCAACAAAUAUCAUGUAACUCUGUCCACCAAGGCUAGGACAAAUCGGAGGAGUUGUUUUUUUUGUCAAAAACUAAGAAUAUUAUUUUUAAUAAUUGUGGUGAUCGGGCUAGCUUUCGUGCAGCUCAACUAAAUUCAUGUAAUACCUGCAACCUUUCACCAACAAUAGAUAUCAAGUAACUCUGUCCACCAACGCGAUGGGAAGAGUGUUUACUUGUCUCCACAGAGAAUAGUAUUUCCUUUUUUCCUCCCUUUUGUUCUUAUUGUACCUACUAAACGAUUUAAUCUUCAUUUCCCUUCUUUACUUUUAUUGGGUGAGUGUUACAUACUUUAAUGUCUGAAAUUUACUACUUUUUCUGUCCCAGUAAUUAGUCAGUCCUGGGCACAAAAAAGACAAGUAAAUAUUCUGUUUUUGUCUCAGUUCUGUUGUUCGAAUUUUUCCUACGAACCAAUGUACUUUCCUUUAAAUAUGCAGCACUAGUAGGUUGUUUACAAUUGAACAAAACGCAAAAUGGAAUGGGACAACAUAAGAGCAUUGGACUAGAGAAAAUGUAUAGUACAAACUUAGCUUCUGUUCCACUUAUGUUCAAAUUUCAAAAUGUGGUGUGCAAUUCUAUAAACAGUGGAUAAGUUCUUUGUGCAAAUGACAUGAUAAAAAAUUUGUGUAGAUCCAAAUUGUUAUGGAGAAAUAAGAAUGAAGAGAUUUCAUAUUCCUCUUGGAUGACUUAGGCAGAUGCCCGGGUGAAAUAUCCGCGCUUCUCUAGCCAUAUUUGAAUAGUACCAAGCAAUAGAGUUUUCUCUUCUUGUAGAGCUAACUGCAACAGCGACUAUAUUCCAACACAGCUUUUUCCUCUGUUAUGUUAAAAGAGAAUCCACAUUGUCAAAUUUGUACUUCCGGAGCACUAAAGGAACCGUAACAGUUCUAUAUAUGUAUCGAUAUCAAGAAUCCAACAUGAGUAGUCCACAUCAUGAAACUGAAGAUAAAUUUAGCAAGGAAAUAGGAGAAACUGGGGAAAACCAUAGUGUAAGAUAACAACUUGGAAACAAAGGCCAGAUAGCAUUUCCAUUCACCUAUGGAAAUCUGGCGGAGUGAAGCUGCAUCGUUACAAUCCACAUUAAGACUAGUACAUUUUUCUUGAACCAAUUUGUCUUAAAUUUGAGAAGGGGUAUUCAGCGUCGAUGUAUUAAUAGGCACAAGGCCUAUCAUUGCACAUGAGGACAAAUAUUUUACAUCAACACCUAUUUAAACAUCUUUAUCAUUAAAUACUGCUGCCCUCAACUCCAAAUGCUUAUCAAUGGAAAAGAAUUAACCUUGACUCAUUCAAUUCCUAUCAAUUGAUGCAUUAAUUGGCAAAAGAGGAUUUUAAUAGCACUUACUGAUGCACCUCCACUUCAAAUGCCUAUCGAUGGCUGAUUCCACCAGCCUGCAUGAAAAUUCUAACUCCUUGCACACAAAGAUCCCACUUCCGGCUGCAUUGAAAUUUCUGAAUGACUUUAGUACCUGAAGAGUUUUCACAUGUUUGUGAUGAUGUAUUCUAUUGAAAGAUUUACAAAAACUUGAGCAAAACAUAGAUAUAGGAUAAUUUUCAUAUAGUAGAGAGGCUAUCAAUAGCAGACAAUAGGCAACUCCAUGUAUGUUUCAAAGAGAAACUUACAGUUGAAAUUGCCAGCGUUCUGUGGCAGCAAACUCUCAGAGCUAUCCCACUAUGUUAAUUUACAGACACAAAAGCUGGGUUGAUUUUCCUAAAUACCUUAAAGCUUAGUGUGAUGAAAGUUCACGAACAGACAGUUCAGUUGAGAUUAACAAUAAGAGCAGAAACAAAAGAAUAGAGAAGAACCUGUUCUGGUGGUGCUUAAGAGCUACUUGAAUAACGGGAUAUUAUUCUGACCAAGGACCUGAAGAUCGUCCGCUUCCAUACCUUCAACAUAUUUUUUUAAUUAGGUGGCAACAUUUGGUUAUAGUACUAGUCCAUGUAGGAGCGAUUUUCAUGCAUAUCUGUUGCAAGAUUUAAUGAAUGACGUAAAUGAGUCAUUUCUGAUACUUCGAUGGCAUAUUUGAGUCUUUUCUCUUUGUUUUAAUUAAAGAUGUGGACAUCUAGUAAGACAACACGUGGAAAAACUGUUUUUGAAAAAACUAGCGUUAACAAGUAAUGGUAUGGAUGAACCUGUUUUAUAACGACAAUGACAUAAACGAGCCAAACUUUUAACGUAUGGUAUAUUUGAACCUUUUUCCUUAAUUUAAUUAGAAAGUUAAUCAAAAUUAUAGGAACUAUACUCUGCUUAAUUUAUAUUACUUUGCUGUUUCACUUUGUUUGACACUAUUUUCUUAUCAUCUCGUCCAAAUAAUAUUAACAUUCUUAUAAUUGGGUGGGAGCGGUGGGCAGGGUGGAUCUAGGUAAUUCAUUGCAGGUCAUCAUAAAUCUAAUAACUUUUAUGCUAACCGUAUAUUUACACCGAGAAAUCCGUUGGUGGAUGGGGGAGGAGUGUAAAAGAGAAGACGAAACAAAACAACAAAUGACAAAAAUGGUAGUAGGUUCAAAAUGGUCCGUUGUGAUAAUUAAAUUUAAAAGGCAUAAUAAUUUAUAACCCUAAACUUGACAUCAAAUUAUAAUAUUGACCUUAAACUUUGAUAGUGCAAAAGUAGUCCCUUUAACUAUACACAAGCUGAACAAAAAGACACUCCGAUUUUGCAACUACACGCGUAUACCUCACUUUCUCUGACGUGGAUUACUAAUCCACUCAUAUGGUGCCACCUAAUAAAAAAAACACAUUAUAAGUAUGACCUUUAACUUUGUCAGUAUACAAAUAGGCCCUUUAAAUAUACAAAAGUUGAAAAAAAAUCCUUCAAUUCCAACUCGAACGUGCUCCGUUUUGCGUGUACAACAUGCGUUUUGCCACAAAGGAUCGGGGUGUUUAUUUGUUCAGGUUUUGGAUAGCGAAAGAUACUAUUUGUACACUGUCAAAGUUUAAGAUCAAUGUUAUAAUCUGGUGUCAAGUUUAGGGUCAUAUUUAUGUAUUAUGCCAAUUUAAAAUGAUAUUGCCAGACAUAAGAAGUCACUUUAGUCAGAGACUUUUAUAUGAAAAGAGUAGGGAUGGUAAUGGGCGGUGCGGGUUUUAGGUUAUGUGGGGCGGUGUGUGUUUUAGAUUAUGUGGGUGCGGUGCGGGUGGGGCGGAUUUAAGUAAGUUUUUUUAAAAUGGUAUGGUGCGGGGCGGAUUGCGGAUAUAUGCGGGCUUAAACAAAAAUAAAGUUCAAAAUUUGUAUUAUUCUACUAAAUCUACCUAAAAUCAUAUGUAUUAUUCACUUAAAAUUUUAUGAUACUUAAAACAACAUGUAUAACACUACAAAUAAAUAAUUUUAUAACUUCUUUAAUUUUUGUAUUCAUCUUAAUGAAAAUUUGAUAUUUGAUCAUUUACUUGUACACAUGAUACUUUUUUGAUAAUUUCUUAGUGAAAAGUGAUAUAAUAGAAAUUGGUAGUUACUAUUUCCUAAUACUGAAAAUAUUAUGGUUUUCAGUGGAGUUAUAAAUUUUUCAAAAAAGAAAAAAGUAAAAAUGUGGGGCAGUGCAGUGCGGGUAUGCGCAGGUAUGAGUAUGGGGCGGGUCUAUGCGGGUUUAAAGGUGAUGCGGUGUGAGGCGGGGCGGUUUUAAAAUUCACAGGUUUAGAAAAAAUCCACACCGCACCAUUGCCACCCCUAUGAAAGAGUAUCCAUUAAACAUAAUGAAUUUCUGAGGUCCAUCAGAAAUGGCCUUUCUACCUUUUGUCAAUCUUUGUCAAGCCUUACAUUAAUAUCUGGUGAAGUCCUACAAGUGGAGUCUGAGGAUGGAUAAUUCCGAUAUACCUUUGCAGGGUAGACCAUGUCUAUACUAAAAGUUAAUAAUGUUGAAACAACUUGAUGAAGAUUAGUAUUCAGGAAGAGUUAUAACUAAUGUUAAGCCAUGCAGAACAUACUAAUUAUUAACAACACCAUUUUCAUAAAAGAGCAAGUUGAACAUGCUCAUAUUAACCACCCCACAACAUAAUAGUAGCAUUUAUUUUGAUGAUACAGAAUAAACACAGUUCAAAAUUCUCUAUUUGUGAUUACUAAGUGCUCUGAAAUCGCUCGGUUAAUGGUGAAAUUGAUUGCGUAUGAGCUUGUAAAGCUUUCUCCAUAACCUUCAGCACUCAUGUUUUGUCGACUACUACUGUAUGAUGUCGAUGCUGCUGAAUCUCCAUCAAUGUUCAAAACAGAAUCAGGCAUGCCGAACCUCCGUCCUUCCACUGUCAUGUAUAUGUAGUGUUUCUCGACCAGGGAAACUUUUGGUCUCGUCGUAUCAAGAUGACACCUCCGAUGAUAACUUCAAAAUUAAUCCUUGGCAAUUUCUGAGCCUUGUCACUACAUGCGCCAUAAAGUACUGAACAAAAAGACAUCCAAAGACACCACAUCGUGUCCAGCAUUGCAGCAUUGACCAACAGAUCCUUGUCGCCGAAGGGGCAACUCUGAUCUCCAGCAUACAAAGGAAUUUCACAAACAGAGAGCACCUAGUGGAAGCCUAGAUCGCUAUUCCGCACAAAAGCUAUGGAGAGAAUCUCUAGCUUCUUAGCAUGGGCCGCGAUGUAAUAAAACACCCAAUCUGCAAGGAUGCCAGAAAAGGAAAGUCGCCACGAUCCCUUGCAGUGAUGGACAAUGGCCCCAAAACCAGUAUCGAGCGGUCCAAGGGUUAGGUAUUCAGGAGUUUGAGGCUUGACUGAACACAAAGGAAAUCGGAUCAAGUUAGGAUGGAUCAUUGCAAUAGUAUCCAAGGCGGCAUCUUCCAAUUGGCGGCAGAAGUAUAGAACCAAGUGGAGCUUAGGGCAGCCAGCUAAGACUGCUAUAAGGCCUCGCUCAGUCAAGGAUGCAUUUGGCAUCUUCAAUAUAAUCUAUCACCUGCAGUCACAUUCAGAAGUAAAAAAUAACUUUUUUCACCCGUAAGGACAGAAGUACUAGGAAAAGGGCAAUCUACGAAGACAAAUAUACUCCCUCAUUUUCUAGUUAUGUGUCUUACUUUCUUUAUCCUGUUUGGAAAGAACGCAUCAUUUUAAUUUUCAACAUUCCCAUUUGACCAUUAAUGACAUUCUUUUGAGGGAAUGACACAGCAGGUUCAAAACCACAAAACGAGACAUCAACCCCACCUUGAGUUGCACAUGGUCAUCGUCACAAUCUGUCGAAUCUUGUGGAAGUUGCAUCUUUGACAACUAGCCUCGCAGAAAUGGCUGUUGGAGCAAUAUCAAAUAUCUUAAGCAUCAAUACACUGGCACAUCUUGCUUUUACUGUUAUAUUGGGAGUUUGCUUGACAUAAAACAGAUAGUGGAUUCCUCUUGGAUAACUUAUGCAUCAGGGUUCUCUAGGAGAUAGACUUGUUGAAAUCUCCCUCCAUGUAGUAUGUGCUUGUCUACCAAACUUUAUGAGCUUAAAGGUUCCACCUGGAGGAAAGAAACCAUGGUUAGAAGAUAUUAGCGAUGAAAAUGAGAGUAUCCCAAGAUGGAAAAGAAUUAACCUUCAGGAAAGAAUUAUGCUGGACUCAUUCAAUUUUGUCUAAAGUUUGAGAUGGCAUAUCCAGCAUUGAUAUAUUAAUAGGCACAUGAGGACAAAUGUUGUACAGCAACUCCAAGUUCUUAUCGAUGGUUGAUUCCACUUCAUCUUGCCUUCAAAUGUGAAGAGUUCGUGAUGAUAGUAUUCUGGAAGAUUUACAGAAACUUGAGAAAAAAUAAGAUAUAGGAUAACUUUCAUAUGGUAGAGAGGUUGCCAACCUUCUGUUUCACUUCCUUCUUUCCCAUAUAGCAGAGAGUCGGCAACUCCAUUUAUGUUUCAAAGACAGACUUACAGUUGAAGUCUCUGGAGUCUGGUAGCAGCAAACUCGCAUUGCUAGGGAUAGCAGCAGCACACAGACUAGGAGGUGAACUGAGAAUGGCGGAGGAGCUGGGGGGAGCAGGGAAGGGUUCUGCUUUUUGACGGGGACAGAGAAGGUUUGAAUAAUAAUUCAUUAAACAUAUGUAUAACUUUUAAUAUGGAUGACUAUUGUAUGACGUACCGAUGAGUUGUUUGUUUCCUCCUCCUUUAUUUCUACUUCAUUUUCUUCAUUCUACCCUUCCCUUCCUUUCUAGUUCUCAAGAUCUGAUGUAUAAAACGUGCAUAAAAUGUCAUUUUCGAGAUACUGAUCAAGGUCAAACAUCAAAUGGUAUUUAUAAAACAGAAGAGCAGUUUAUAAGAUAAAGAAGAAAACAGAAGACCCAAAUAUUCAAGAAAACAAAACCACUUUUUUCAUACGCAUUAUCGUCAUAAGUCUUCUGAAAAAAUUUGUGAAAAUUAUCUGCACACUUGAACAUACAUCACAACAAAUGCUUGCCAUUUUAAUUUGUUUUUAUCUUAUUACCGAAAGCUUAUUGUGAUGAAACGGGAUCACAUCGUCGACACAUUUUUACUUGAAAUUCACAAAAAGUUCAGUUGGGAAUUCAUCAAACACAUUGUAAACAACACACAUAAAUUUGAUUUCUAAGCAGUAGAAUAAUAGAGAAGAACCUGUCUUAGAUAACGGGAUAUUAUCCAAGCCAAGGAUCUGAAGCCUAUCUUCUCCGGUGAUAUCUUCAACAUAUUGUUUAAUCUCCAGAGCUGAAUCUUUUAGUUGAGGGCUCUCUACAAGUUGGAUAAUUUUAGAUGAACCAAUAUCCCCCAAAUUAGGUGGAAUCUCUGUAAGUUUACAACAUUCCCACAGUGUUAAUUUCUCAAGCACGGAAAAUGAUUCCUCUCCAUUCCUCCCUUGGAAGAUUGUUCUCAUAAGGAACAACUGUUCAAGGUUGGGCAGUCUCGCUAUUGUUGAUAGUGAAUCGGAUGCAGGAGGAAAGUUAAACAACUUCAAUUAUUUCAAAUUCGAUGGAAAGUGAAAAUCCCACGACCAAUUUUUUAGUAAAGAGGGCCCACUGUAAUUUUUGUUUGAACUUUCAAAUUCUACUCUGAGGAAAUCUACUUUAGUUAGGAAAUCCAAUUUUGGGAACCAAUAUUGCUCUGUUGAAUAAUCCCACGAUUCCUUGAGAACAAAUACAAAUCUUUGAAGUGUCACGACCCGAGCUGGGCCCUGGCGCGACGAGCAUCCCGAGCUGGGCCCUGGCGCGACGAGCAUCCCGAACCAUGCAAUAGUUUAAAAUACAUGGGCCCUUUCAAAAGAUCUUAAAACAAUCUUGUCAAUGCGAUUUCAUUCUUUGUAUUACUUUUGAGCUAGAUGAUACACCCUACAUUUCUACAAUCCCACGAGCUAUAUGAAAUCCACCCUUGACUCGGCGGCCAAGCCCCCAAUCCAAGUUUGCCGAAAGAAUUGGGGUGUCAGCAAGGGGGGCACACGCAAGAUCACAAAGCAGGGUGUCAUAAUCCCCAAUCAAGUCAACAUGUCAUGGUAGUGCACAAGAUCACAAAGCAGGGCUCCUAACCAUAAAUCCCAAUUUGAAACGACAUGAAUCAAGGUACACAAGAUCACAAAGCAUGGUACCAUAAUCCCGUGUCGGCAGAUCACGGUUUCUAGCAUAGAGUCUUUCAACUCGUACUUUCUUUAGGUAACCAUCUAACUCUCUUUAAGCCCAUUUUUAACCUUUUCUAAACAUGCAACUUUCUGAAUUCAAAAUCUAAUAAUCUGAGUGAAAUCUGAUUUCUAUUCAAUUCUGUGUCUGUCAUGGCAUUCUCUGAUUUGGUAUCGUCAUAACAAGACUUGCAAGUCAUGUUUCUGAGCCAUAAAAUAUCAUAUCAUAGUUCUCUAUCAAAACAUUAAGUUUAGACCACCAUACUUCAAAUAAUUCUAGAAGAUUCUUUCUUCCAAAAAUAUUUAUCAAAUUAUGCAAAGAUCAUUCUUUUUCAAUCAUUUCAACAAACAUGUGGUGGUCAUGUAUCCUUGGCAAACCAUGCAAUUCUUUCAUUAUAUAUAUAUAAAUUCAAUAUUUAUCAACAUGUAAAAAAACCCCUCUCAUCAAUUUAAAAUCAAUCUUAAAUAGUUCAACAAUAGUCAAGAACAUUGAUAAAAUGCUUCUAAAUAAUAUUCUAAAAUCAAGAGGUGUUGCAACAUGAGAGGGAAUGUAAAUAAUCAUGUUAUAAAUUCAAUUAACAACUUAAACACAUACACACAUUUAUAAGAUUACAAAUCAAUUUGGGGGAAAGGCCUCAUGACCAAAUCAAUAUCAUCAAAAACUUUAAAAGCAUAAAUCUAAUUAUAAAUCAAAAAUCCCUUUUUCUAAAUUCAUGAUUUCUAAAUCUUUAACAUGAUUAAGAAGAAUUUACCAUGCCCAUGUAGAUAUAGGAAAACCCCACGUACCUUAGAUAAUUUAGUUUGAAAGAUGAAACCCGGAUCUUGAUCCUUUUCUUGGAAUUCUUGAUCUUAGGGAUGAGUUCUUAAUCUUUGGGAAAAGGAUUAGGGUUGGAUUUUUGAGAGGAAUUGAUUAGUUUGUGAUGUAGUUUGCACAAAUACUGAUUUUAUUGUGGCUGAGGUGAGAUGAGGUAAAAGACAAAAAUACCCCUAAGGAAACAAAAAAGGUUGCAACAGUCCCUUAGUUGACAGGCUGAUAUGCUGAAAUAAACUGGGCAUAACUUUUUACCUCGAUGUUGGAUUUGGAUGAAAUGAGUUGUGUUGGAAAGAGAACUCAAAUACCUUUCAUUUGAUAUAUAGCAAUCCACCCAGUUCGUUAAAUAACAGAAGAUAUGGUCGACGAAAUUUGACCCAAGUUGAAGUGUCCACUAAAAUUUAAUCGAUAGAAUUGUUUUCAACUCGUCUUCGAGUUAGGGGAUUCUUGCGAUCUCAAUUCAUAUUCAAAGGUUUUCCAACGCUAUAGGAAUGAUCAAAACACAUACAUUAACAAGGAAUAAUUUAGUUCGGGUCUAUACGCAUAGGAACGAUGGUCUAAAUUGAAGCCCGAAAGUACAGGGUGUUACAUUAUCCCCCUUGGGAUCAUUCGUCCCCAAAUAAUGGGAACGUAACAUCGCAUUGACCAUUUUUCCUCAACAAAAUAUGCAAAGUCAGUCAACGAGAUUUAUGAUAACCCAUAGGGAAACGUGUAAGCACGAAACAUGUGAUAGUGAAACUUGAUGUCGACAUGAUCUUGGCAUGUGUUUUAUAGCACAUGAUCAAAACAUUGUAAGAAAUGAUUUUUUCUUCUCUUAUAAUAAUCCUCGGCCUAAUUAAGAUUGGUACAAUAAAUGAGAUGAGAUUCUCGCGGGACAUAAGAAUAUUAACAUUCUCCAUCUUCCAAGAUACAAUGAAAAGACUUAAACUUGGAGACACUAUUUGUCUACGCCCCAAAUAAUAAAUUACAUGCCUCAUCGCUCCCAACUUACAAUUCUUCCCAUACACAUCUACCCACAUGAAUUCGAUUCCACUGUAAUAUACUUCUAUGUCGAAGCCUCACUCGAGGAAAAAAGGUGCUAACUUAAGCUACGGGUCGCUGUACUCUACAUCUUAUCCAGAAAUCAUCUCACCUCAUCACUAUAAUCCAACAAACUACUCAAGUCCUAACUUUAACUCAAGGAAUACUAACCACAUAUUUAGCAUUUUAAUUGGAUCAUGAAAUAGCUUCAUCCAAAUUACAGUUUGAGGGGAAAAAGCUGGAAGAUUGCAAAAUGACCUGCCUGAGACACUGUAAAGCUGUGGUUUUCAGAGAUGACUCGGAUGAGGCUAGAAGUGGGAGCUGCUUAUUAAUGAAUGAGGUCUUUUCUCUCAUAGAUGAGGAAAGAACGGACAAGAGAGUAUUUCUUAAGGUGCAGAAUUCCUCAAAAGCGCAGAAAAAGUCUCCAAUCAUUUCUGGAGAAAAAAAAAAAAAAUCAAGAUCUCACAUGGUGAUAAUAGGAUCUACUCUUGCCGCUUUCUUUGGGAUAAUUGUAAGUAUCACUGCUUGCUUUGUUCUUUUCAAAAAGAGGACACGCGAUUCCAGAAAGUCGGGAGAUUUGUUUGGAUCUCGAACCAAUCUUACCUGGAAUGCUAACUUGGUUCACUUACAAUGAAUUAAAAUAAUAACAGAAGAUUUCAGCAGAAAGCUGGGGGAAGGAGGAUUUUGAUGCUCUAUAUGAAGGAACAAUGAGUAAUGGCAUUAAAAUAGCUGUAAAGAGUCUAGAUGGUCUAGGUCAUGUGAUAACAGUCAUUCCUAACAGAAGUAAAGAUAGUCUGUGGCAUUCACCAUGUCAACCUGGUAAAACUCAUUGGAUUUGUGCUGAAAAAAAAAAACAAAGGCUUUUGAUCUAUGAACACAUGGUAAAUGGAUCACUAGAUAAGUGGAUUUAUAAUAAGAAUCAAGAAAAUGGGCUUACAUGGCAUACAAGGCGAAGGAUAAUAACAGAUAUUGCCAAAGGAUUAGCUUAUCUUCAUGACGAAUGCAGCCAGAAGAUAAUUCAUUUGGAUAUCAAACCACAACAUCCUGCUAGAUCAAAAUUUCAAUGAUAAGAUAUCUGAUUUUUGGGAUGUCAAAGCUAAUUGAAACAGACAAAAGAAAAAUUGAACUAGAAUGAGAGGGACAAGAGGAUAUUUAGCCCCUGAAUGGCUGAACUCAGUAAUCACUGAGAAAGUGUACGUGUAUGCAUUUGGUAUUAUGCUCUUGGAAGUUCUCUGUGCGCGGAAAAAUUUAGACUUAUGAAGAUGUCCAUUUGCUAACUGUUUUUGAAAGAAAAGCGGAUCAACAACAACUCAUGGAUAUGGUUGACAAAAACAAUAAGGAAAUGCAGAUGCACAAAGAAGUAGUGACAGAAAUGAUGAGCAUUGAUGCGUGGUGUCUACAGGGCGAUUUCACCAAGAGGACUUCCAUGUCAUUUGUGGUUAAAGCAUUGGAAGGUUUGGUGUCUGUUGAAACCAACUUGUAUUACGAUUUCACUAGACUACCUGAGGUUCAAGCUGGCAACCAACAGAGCGAAGCCACUGACAGUUCAAUAUUGCCUUCAGUAUUACAUCGAGUCUAAUCCACCUAAGUUUUACUAUGCUUCAAGUUCUCCGGAUAGUAUACAUUUCAGUUUUGAUAGUCAAACACUUACCGCUCUGCAAGAAUCUCCUACAUCACCAGCUCAAUUCAUAAAGCUUCAGCUUGAUGGGCAUUUACGGGUAUACCAAUGGGAUGAGAAAGUACUUAGAUUGGAAGUCAUAUCUGAUCUUUCCCUUUCAUAUGGAGGAAACUGUGGGUAUCCAACUGUCUGUGGAAGAGAUGGCAUUUGCACUGGUGACGGGCGAUGUAGUUUCCCGCCAGAGGAAAAUUUCUUCAUGCCAUCAGAUUAGAGGAAAAAGAAAAAAAAAAUGUAGGAUGUUCACAGGUGAUAUCCAUUAACUGCAACUCUUUGCAGAAUCAUAGUUUCAUAUAGCUCAGGAAUACCACAUAUUGGAGCACAGAGGGACAUUAUAGCUUCUUGUUUUGAGGUCGAAACAUGACAUGAGUUACAUCGAGAGCUCAAACCAUUAGGUACAAGCAAGACCUGAAUACAUAAGACAUAGAUAGAUGUCCGUUUAAAUCGAAGUAGGAGGAGCUUGCUUGAAUAGGAUUAGGAAAUGGUUUAUCAUAAUUCUUACUUGAAACUAGACACUACAAGAAACUUCGGAAACUGCUGCAAUCUAUCAUUUCCCCCUUUCAGAAACACUAAUCGUAAUUACUUCUAACUCCCAAAGUCAUCAACUUACAACUAACAUUUUCAUGGGCAUAGACACCCACACUUUUAAGCUCUUAAUACUCCAUCUUCAAUUUCUUAGAAUACUAUUAUUACUCCUUUAAUCACAUAACUUACAACUUAACAUAAGCUCUAAAACUAUAACAAGGCGCGCAUUGCCUACCUAUAUCUCCUCAAUUCAACUAUAAAGAACACCAUACAACAACUUUCCCGACUUCUCCAUAAUACAAGAUUCAAGAACAAAAUCUAGGCACACGUGACACCCGUACACAUCACCUUAUCUAACAACAUACUACCUCAGGGUUCAACUUAUUCUAAUAUACCCACGCUCUUAUCCACUUAAUGAUUCAACAACAAUUCAUCAUUAUAACACUAGUGUCAUGCAUAUAUACAUAUCACAAUUACCACUUAAACUUUUCAUAAAUCAUCAACUUAGGCUUUUUCACAAAUCACAUCAAGCCCACUAAUUCAUUCCCACAAAACAUACAUCAUUAAUCUUAAGUUACUAUUCUUACCAUCACAUUUUACAUCUAAAGUUCAAGCCUAUAGUCUAGCAUCAAUCAUCUACCGCCGAUGAAGCAUGUAACAUAAUAUACUAGUCCAUCAAAUUGGGAAAUCAAUCCAAAAUACUUCAUUUAAUUUAACUACGACCUACAAUCAUUUCCCCUCGAAAACAUUACUACUACACCUCAAAAUCUACUACAUACUUUCUCACAAGCAGUGCUCGUUUACAACUACUAGAGGAAAGACAAUCAAAGGGGUGAGGUCACAUAAUAAGGAUGGUCGAUCUCAAUCUUAUAAUACAACCCAUUUCAAUCUUAUCAACAUAUUCUAAUUUCUCACAUCAUAUUUACUUAGCCAUGUAUAUAUUCUCACUAUCACCAAAUUCUAGAAACACCAAUGAGUCUUUACCCAUAACUUAUUGACUAGUCUACCUUUUUCCAUUCACAACCUAUAAAUCAUUUCUAUAACCACCAUAACUAUCCACUUUGAGCUCCUUCUCUAUUUUCAAUAAAUAAUAAUCAUAUCCAGUCACUUCCUUCACAAACUACCAUACAAUCUACAAAUAUUGCCACACAUUAGUCUAUCACUAUAAAAUGGCAAACCAUCCUCCAAUCAAUGGUUAUACAACUAAAACUAUUUAUUUACACAAAAGUCACCCUCACUCUGACUUCUAGCCUUGUGACUUCAUAUCACCAACUUCUUGACCCAUUUACUACCAAUAGAUCAUGACACUUUUUUAAUUUCUACUACUCGGGUGGAAAUAUAGUUCCGACAUUCUGCUAAACAUCAUUAGCCUUAUGCAUGACAUCCACAACAAGAAUUUUGAAAGAAAACGGAAUAGACUUUGUAUCUUAGGAUGAAAAGCACGAUUUCAUAAGAAUAAAAGCAUACACUCAAAUCAAUACAACCUAAAGACUAAUGGACUCCUCCCAAGUCCUCAUGCUGUCUCAUAACUUUACGGAUGACUCAAUCAGAGAGAACCACAUUGUUGAGGAGCUAGACUCUUAGACUUGUAUCGCCUCGACAGUGAGGCAUGGCCCAUGAAAUUAGAACAAGGAAUGAAUUUAUAUAACUCUCUCAUGGAAAACUCUAUAGCAUGAACUAGAGUAUGAAAGAAUAAGAAACAACUCCUAAAUGCCCGGUAGCCUCCUGAUUAUAAGUGCGGUGCAUGACACACCCAUAAACAAGACUCUACUAGACACGAUUUCGCAGACACCAUGCGACUAUGAACCGUGCUAUGAUACCAAGUUUGUCACGACACGAGUUGGGGCCUUAGCCGCGACGAGCAUCCCGAACCAUGAAGGCCCGGGCGCCCCUUUCUAUCUGACAAUCGUGAACACCAUUCAUAUACAAUAAAGAAAAAUGUGGAAAACUAUUACAACGGAAUCAUGGUCAACUUUUAUUUCAAACUACUCAAUACUGAAAUAAGUUCGUAAAGAUCAACAUCUAACACUUGUCUGCGAAAUUUAUACAUAUAUAACAUAGGAGAGAGAAAGUCAUAAAAUAUUAUGCAUGAAAUAGUUUAAAAUACAUGGGCCUUUCAAAAGAUCUUAAAACAAUCUUGUCAAUGCGAUUUCAUUCUUCGUAUUACUUCUGAGCUAGAUGGUACACCCUACAUUUCUACAAUUCCACGGGCUAUAUGGAAUCCGCCCUUGACUAGGCGGCCAAGCCCCCAAUCCAAGUUUGCCGCAAGGAUUGGGGUGUCAGCAAGGGGGGAACACGCAAGAUCACAAAGCAGGGUAUCAUAAUUCCCAAUCAAGUCAACAUGUCAUGGUAGUGCACAAGAACACAAAGCAGGGUUCCUAACCAUAAAUCCCAAUUUAGGACGACAUGAAAGCAUAGAGUCUUUCAACUCAUACUUUCUUCGAGUAACCAUCUAACUCUCUUUAAGCCCAUUUUUAACCUUUUCUAAACAUGCAACUUUCUGAAUUCAAAAUCUAAAAAUCUGAGUGAAAUCUGAUUUCUAUUCAAUUCUGUGUUUGUCAUGGCAUUGUCUAUUUGGUAUCGUCAUAACAAGACUUGCAAGUUAUGUUUCUGAGCCAUAAAAUAUCAUAUCACAGUUUUCUCUUUCAAAACAUAAAGUUUAGACCACCAUACUUCAAAUAAUUCUAGAAGAUUCAUUUUUCCAAAAAUAUUUAUCAAAUUAUGCAAAGAUCAUUCUUUUCAAUCAUUUCAACAAACAUGUGGUGGUCAUGUAUUCUUGACAAACCAUACAAUUCUUUCAUUAUAUAUAUAUAUAUAUAUAUAUAUNNNNNNNNNNNNNNNNNNNNNNNNNNNNNNNNNNNNNNNNNNNNNNNNNNNNNNNNNNNNNNNNNNNNNNNNNNNNNNNNNNNNNNNNNNNNNNNNNNNNNNNNNNNNNCAAAUAAUCAUGUUCUAAAUUCAAUUAACAACUUAAACACAUACAUACAUAUAUAAGAUUACAAAUCAAUUUAGGGAAAAGGCCUCAAGACCAAAUCAAUAUCAUCAAAAACUUUAAAAGCAUAAAUCUAAUUAUAAAUCAAACAUCCCUUUUUCUAAAUUCAUGAUUUCUAAACCUUUAACAUGAUUAAGAAGAAUUUACCAUGCCCAUGUAGAUAUAGGAAAACCCCACGUACCUUAGAUAGUUUAGUUUGAAAGAUGGAACCCGGAUCUUGAUCCUUUUCUUGGAAUUCUUGAUCUUAGGGAUAGUUCUUAAUCUUUGGGAAAAGGAUUAGGGUUGGAUUUUUGAGAGGAAUUGAUUAGUUUGUGAUGUAUUUUGCCCAAAUACUGAUUUUAUGUCGUGUUGUGGCUGAGGUAAGACGAGGGAAAAGACGAAAAUACCCCUAAGGAAACAAAAAAGGUCGCAACAGUCCCUUAGUUGACAGGCUGAUAUGCUGAAGUAAAUUGGGCAUAACUUUUUACUCCGAGGUUGGAUUUGGACGAAAUCAGUUGUGUUGGAAAGAGAACUCAAAUACCUUUCAUUUGAUAUAUAGAAAUCCACCCAGUUCGUUAAAUAACAGAAGUUAUGGUCGGCGAAAUUUAUAUCUCUUCCACUUAUAGGCUGUUUCCACACUCUCCCCCCCCUCUCUCUCUCCCUACCCUCUCUCCACCCCCAGCUUACCGACCCCCGGUCCCCGGCGCCGUCGCUGACCUUCGGCGCCGACCCGAUCCGGCCGCCGGCUCCGACCUAAGGUCGCCGGCGCUGACCAGACCGCCUGCUACGACCUCUGGUCGCCGGCUCUCCCUCUCUCUCUCUCUCCCUACCCCCUCUCCAUUCCAAGCCUUGACUGAAAGUGCUUUAUUGUAUAGCUCCUGAAGAUAAUACACAUGUUUUUCAAGAGUCAGUAAGCUGCAAUUUUUGUUUUUUGGAGAAAGGUAAAGAUAGAUCUUCCCGACCUUUUCAGAAUCAAAAUAAAAAAUGACACCAUAAUGAACGGCAUACCAAAAGAUAGAGGAAAGAAAUAACUUGGAAGCAUCCGAGAAAAAUUCGACAGGCACUAAAUCUCCGAUAAAAUUUGGAAUUCUAUGUUGACAAAUGCUUUAAUGGAAUAAAACUAAAGGCCGGAAUUCAUCUGCUAUAUAAAAUCUAUAUUAUAUUAAAAGUAUGAACUCCCUAACUUGAAAGUUAAAUUACCUUAUUUAAAUAUCCAAUUAAAUAGAUUAAAAACAAAAACCUAGCGCUUGUGAAGAGAAGCCAACACUUCAAAAUUAAAAACAAAAACCUAAUGCUUGUGAAGAGAAGCCAACACUUCAACUUCAUACCCCUGUUUCUAACUUGCUCCCAAGAACGUUGAGUGUGUGUUCUAAAAAUACUUUGAUAUGUGACUGCCUGUUUGAUUUCAAUCCGUUACCCUAUGAACUUUAUGUUUACUGCUUCUUUACUUAUUUAGACAAUGCAUAUGUGUUCCGCUGAUGCCUUUGGCUUAUUAAAUGUCGCUGUGAUAGUUUUUAUACGCUUCAACUGUAUUUUUUUCCUUGCAAUUAAAGUUCUCCUCUCUUUGCGCACCCAAGUUUUGCAAAAAAAAUAAAAUCAUUUAAACACCAAAAAAUUAUUCUCAGAAAGGCCAAGUCUUUCUAAGGAUUCUUGUGUCUAUUUUCGUAUCUUCUAAUUGACAUCAUAAACAUAUUCACUCUACUGAACUUGAUCCAACAACAACAACAACAAACCCAGUAUAGUCCCAUAUAGUAGAGUCUGGGGAGGGUAGAAUGUACGCAGUCCAUACCACUACCUCCGAAGAAGUAGAGAGGCAUAAAGAUAGUGGUAAAGGUUUACGUAUAUUGUUGUUCUUAAAAUUCUAGCUUUGAUCUGAACCCAUAUGGAAAUAUUUUUUUUGAUUUCCCAUCCAGUGUUUGAUACCCAUAUUGAGGAUCAACUAAAUUUGGAUUCGCGAUGAGAAGUCCCACGUUGGGCAUGUAUAGUGUUGUUUGCAUAGAGAACCCCAGUACUUUAAUUCGUUAUCUUGUCUUGAUGUUAUAUUUAUUGUAGUUUAUCUUAUAUGCGCUACAUGAUUUGACUACACCUACUUGAAAGUUCAAUUUUAGACGCUGAUGAGAUAUGCUUGACUGGUAGCGAGAGUUAAAAUCUAUUUGAUGUUUUCCUCUAGAAACUAUUUUAUCUUUUAAUAGCACUAGGUCGUUUGGUAUAGGGGAUGGGAUAAGUAGGGAUAUCUUAUGGCUUGGGAGAUCCCAUGGGAUUAUUUUAUCCUACCUUCCAUAUGGAUAGUAAUCCCCCAUUUUAGUAUUAGUGGUCGGAUAAAACAAUCCCGGAAUUAGCUAACACCUCACACCAAACAUGGGAUAAGUUAAUCCCAAAUUUUACCCUGGGAUUGUUGUCCUUAUCCCACGUACCAAACGCCCCCUAAAGACUUGCUCUAGGACUUCAUUUCAUUUUGCGUGUGGUUAAGUACAUCCGUUAUAUUCAAGUUUACUACUUUUGUUUGAUUCCGCUUCUUUUAUUCAAACAUAUUUAUAAUCUUAUAAAUGAAGGAAGCUAUGCUUUAAAAAAGUAUGAUAAAAGCAUGAUAAGUUUAUAUUGCUCCAGCAAUAAUGAUUUAUGAUGAAUGGAUGUUCAUAACAUAAACUUACUUUAUCCAUCUUAAAUGGCUUCUUAUGAUGCUAUUGGGGUCAUUACACACUUAUAGCCUGUUUGGGAUUGUUUUUUUCUCAAAAAAAAAAACUAUUUUCUUUUUUGAAAAAAAAAACACUUUUUUCAAAAAAAGAAUGGUGUUUGAUAAACUUUCAAAAAUGCUUUUAAAAAGACGCAGAAAUUGUUUUUCUGUUGUCGGGAUGAAGCAGAAAAUUUCUACUUUUCAAAAAAAGCAGAAUCAGAAAAUUAUUUUUUUCAGGACAAAAAUAUCCCUAUUACAAACAGACACAUAUGUAAAAAUAUCCCUAUUACACACAAACAGAUGUAUGAAGGACUACUUAUUUUUGUGGUGAACUUUUUCAUAUGUAGUGAUUUAAUUUAUUGAAUAAUUUUUAAAUCCAAUGUUGUUUGAUGUUUUUAAGUAACAUUUAAGUUAUUUUAGUAAUAUUAUAUCAUUAUUUAAUAUUAUUUAAUGUAUCUGUGUAUAUAACUAUUGAUUGAAAAUUUUAUAGUACGUACUUUUUAUUAAAUAAAAAUAAAAAAUUUAAUUAAAAAUAUUAUAAUAGAUAUUUAAAAUAUACUUUCUCUAUAAAAUGAUUUUAGUAGUAAAAGUCUAUUGAUACAUGUCCUUUUUCGUCAUUUGUCUCUCAAAAACACUUUUUGAAAAAGAUUCUAAACACUGUCUAUUUAUCAAAAGCACUUUUCAAAUGAAUUUACUAAACACAAAUUGUAUUUUUUUCAAAAGCACUUUUCUAAAAAGCUAUUUUACAAAAGUGUUUCUCAAAUAAGCAAUUUUCUAAACAACAAUCCCAUACGGGCUCAGUUUAUGUAAAAAGAAUCAGUCUAAUUUAGGCAUAUUUAAAAUCUUAGCAAGUUUUUAUUUUUAUCCAGCCAUAUUCUUCUUUUUUCCCCUUUAAUUUUGCAUUUAUCCUACCGCCUAUUUGAGCUGUAACAGUUACCUUUAGCAAGGUUAAUGAGUAAUUCCACAAAUAAUCACUCUAUUAACAAUUUUUAUCUCAGAAAGUCGCUCGACUAAUGAUAAUUAUCUUAGAAAUCACUCAACUUUAUUUUUUCAUAGAAAAGUCACUCAACUAUUACUAGUUCGCCUACAAAGUCAUUCAACCAAUUCAAGCUAGAUUUUCAGUAGUUUUUGUUUUUUUUAAAUGGUGCUAUAUUUUCGGUAGAUAUUGUUGACGUGAUUCUGAUCUUCCCUUCAACUUAGCUAAACUAGAAAUUCCAGGCAAAAAUACCUAAAAGAACUGUUAGGUGGUGACUCUUGAAUUAAGCCCGAAAUCAUUAAUAAAUUGUGCUUCUACUUAAUCUGAUUAAGAUGGAGUGCAAUCACCCCAAUUUUUGAUAAAACAUACUUCUAUCAAUAUUGGAGAGACGUGAUUAGGCAUGAUAUGGAGCAGUUACAGCUUACGGAGGUCAUGACCUUUAAUAGGAAGGUAAGUGGAGGAUGCGGAUUAGGGUAGAGGGUUAGGGGGUGAGAGUGCACCGGUUACAGUAGGCGAGCGUUCUUUAUUGGUGUUUGAAGUUUCUUGUUCGUAGUGUUGAGUAAUGUCUAUGAUAUCGGAUAUAUAGUUUUUAGUAUUAUUUUGUGGCUGUAGUAUUAUCUUGUAGAUAGCAAGGUUAGUUUAUUUUGCAUACUGUACACAUUUAUGUUUGUGAUCGCUAUACUGUUAUCGGUCCUAAGCCGAGGGUCUAUCGGAAACAGCCUCUCUACUUCACCUACUUCACCUGAGGUAGUGGUAUGGUCUGUGUACACUCUACUCUCCCCAAACCCCACUAUGUGGGAAUACACUGGUAUGUUGUUGUUGUUAUAUACUUCUAUACCAUAAACUGUUCUUACUAUAAAGUAAUCAUGUUUUUAUGCAAAUACGUAUAGCUUACUAAGAGUUCUUAAAUUGAUUAAACCUUCAAUAUAAUCAAGUUCCCUUACCAUAAAGUGAUCCCUUAAUAAGAGUUGGAAUGCUUGGUCCUAUUUGUUAUAUGAUUGAGUACAUCUUUUUAGCCAAAACCUAUGGUGAAGAUUUGCUCCGUAAUGGAGUUAUUGUUUGUUAGGCUUAAGUUAAUCAUAUGAUUGCAAAGUUCGAUGUUUGUUUAGAAAAUUAACUUAAAGCUUUAUGACAUGACCCUAGAUAGGAAGGUCUGGAAGACGGGAAUUACGGCAGAAGAGUAGGGCCAGAUUGGGUCGCUAGUGUAAGGAAUUACUUGGUGGGGUUUUUUUUAUUUUUUAUUUUUUAUUCCCGUUAUGAUUCCGUAUUCAGUGUUCCAUGCUUAUUACGAAUCUGUGUGCUUUCCUCUGCUUUCCUCUGUUUUAUAUUCCUUAUGGGUGCCGUAUUUAUGUUAUGUCAUCUGCUUCUGUGCUGUACUAUGUGUUUGUUUGAUAUCUCGUAACUUGAGCCGGGGGUCUUUCGGAAACAGCCUUUCUACUUCAUCAGAGGUAGAGGUAUGGACUGCGUACAUCUUACCCCCCCCAGACCCCACUAAGUGGGAAUACACUGGGUUUGUUGUUGUGUAUGGUCGGCGAAAUUUGACCCAAGAUGAAGUGUCCACUAAAACUUAAUCGAUAGAAUUGUUUUCAACUCGUCUUAGAGUUAGGGGAUUCUUGUGACCUCAAUUCAUAUUUAAAGGUUUUCCCACACUAUAGGAGUGAUCACCACACAUACAUUAACAAGGAAUAAUUUAGUUCGAGUCUAUACGCAUAGGAACGAUGGUCUAAAUUCUAGCCCGAAAGUACGGGGUGUUACAAAUACAUAGAUGGACGUCUACCUUUAUUUGACCUCAACCUGAAGAUGAUUUGAAACGUCUAGAUGUGCAUUCUUAGAGCGUUUAGUUUCCUGGUGAGACCAAGUCAUAUAAGCACCUUAAAUUUGUGUGUAUAACAAAGUAGAAACUUUUACUUUACAUCAGAAAGUCUCGUGAUCACCCCAAUACAACAUAUCUCAUGCGUAUUGCAAUAGCAAAUGAUGUGUCAAACGAACAAAUCAACAAAUGACAUGUGUAUUUGAUAAAUAUAUAAUUUUUAUUAGAAACUUGUAAGUUUUCUUAAACAGAAAAGUCCUCUCCUAAAGUCAAUACACAUGCAUGUAAUUGUUUUAUUUGGUAUAUGGAGAGUUCCUCCACAUAUUACUCUAUGUAAAGCGGAUACAGGAUCCCUCUCGGAUAAUUUUAGCAGAUGACAGGGUGAUAUAUCCGCUCUACUCGAACCACUUAAUUCCGAGCAACAAAUUCUUCAUCUCCAUCCAGACCUUCCUUCAUUAGAGCUUGUGAUGCAAACCCUCUAGGUGAUCGUUUCCAUGAUUUGUAUCCGAGUAAAAGUUGCUGCAUUUCUAAUGAGCUGCUUGUCUGUUAACAAGCAAGAGCAAAAGUUGGAAACAAUAUAACAAAGGUGUAUUUGUAAACAAAAACUUCUCUGCAUUAAGCUCAUCGAUCCUAUACAUAAUAGAGUUAAAGGUGCCAUGAUGUGAACCAAACCACGAACUAAAAGGAAAUGCGGAAAUGAAAAGGUAGAAGACAGAAGAAAAGACACAGGAAAGGAUAAAUUGGUAAUACUAACAAUAUCAAAGAUAAUACCUCCAAUUUUGAAUCCAAACAAGGAAAACACAACGAAAUUAGAGGAUAUAUUAUAUCCUAAAACCCCGAUAAAUUAAUACAAAAAAGUACCUAAUCUCAUAUGAAGACCUCAAGGAUGAUUGAAUCUCCUUGCAACCCAUGUUUCUAAACAAAGUUCAACAAACAGCUUAAUCUAGCUCUCAAAUAUGUCACAAGAGAUAAUAUUCAUAAUAAAAUGACUAAGACAACUAUUCAUAAUUUUCCUUUUACAAACACAGAACAAAGGGCUGUCUUGGACACCUCCCACCAUUGCCAAAGUGGCAACCACCAAUCCCAAGAUUUGAGAUCUUGGGAUUGGCUUCGCGUGUGUGGUCUUAAAAAGUAUGUGCUAUACAUGAUAGUAUCACCCAUGAUCCAAGCUAUUAUCCAAACAUGGUAUUGCUCUACCGGGAGCUCCUUCCAAGAACGCACAUUCUCAAGUUUCAUGCCUUCCUCCCAAGCCUCCAAUAUAGUGAUUUGAUGACAAGUCUACCAACACCUUAGCUCGUCUUCGUGUGUAAAACUUUGAUGAAGCUCGGAUCGCAUCAUGCCACCUGCAGAAAAGAAGCCACGGUUAGACGAUAUUAGUGAUUAAAAUGAGAGACUAUCCAACAUUGGAAAGGAAUUAACUAGGAUGGUUCAACCAACAGGAAGUUGAUAUUCUUAGCACCUCCAUUACCCUGGACAAAUUCAAUACAAUUAAUAGCUUGCGGCGUCAACUUUGGCAUCAAAUUCUGAGAGUCAGUAACAUUAUUACCUGAAGAGUUUUCACAUAUUUGUGAUGAUGGUAUUUCUUGAAAUAUUUAGUAGAACUUGAAAAAGCUGAAAUGAGUUGGAAAGAAAAAAACUUUUAUUAUUUAUGCUACAGAUUAUGAACUUUUAAAUAAAAAUCUUUAACAAUGGAUGACUAUUGUUUGACGUACUGAUGAGUUAUUUGUUUUCAUUUUCUUUUCCUAUUUCCAUUAUUAUACUUUCCAAUAGUCAAUACCAAAGUAACUUCCCCUUCUAUUCCUUUCAAUGUUCUCACGAUCUAAUGGAUAAAAUGUGCAUAAAACUUUAUUAGGUGGAAGAAGUAAGAAUACUAGAAAAUUAAAGAAAGGAGCGUAAAACGUCAUGGAAGAAAGAAUACAAGAAUAUAGCUAGAUUUGAUGCUUCUAUUUUUGAGUUACCAAGGUUAGGUCCAGAUGUAAAUUUUUAUACAUGUAUAUGAGAUGAAGAAACAAAAGAAUAAAUACUUGCUAAAUUUCGACUUAGUAUUAUUCACAGACAUAUAGUAGACAUAAAACACAAGAAUCAGAACAGCACGCGAAUGUAAUAGAGAAGAACCUGUUAUGGUGGUGCUCAAGACUUCCCACGCAUAAUUCUUCAAGCUACUUAAAUAAUGGCAUAUUAUUCGGGCCAAGGACCUCAAGCUUCCGUUCCAUAAUAUCUUCAACAUAUUGUUUAAUCUCCAGAGGAUAUUAGUGAUUAAAAUGAGAGACUAUCCAACAUUGGAAAGGAAUUAACUAGGAUGGUUCAACCAACAGGAAGUUGAUAUUCUUAGCACCUCCAUUACCCUGGACAAAUUCAAUACAAUUAAUAGCUUGCGGCGUCAACUUUGGCAUCAAAUUCUGAGAGUCAGUAACAUUAUUACCUGAAGAGUUUUCACAUAUUUGUGAUGAUGGUAUUUCUUGAAAUAUUUAGUAGAACUUGAAAAAGCUGAAAUGAGUUGGAAAGAAAAAAACUUUUAUUAUUUAUGCUACAGAUUAUGAACUUUUAAAUAAAAAUCUUUAACAAUGGAUGACUAUUGUUUGACGUACUGAUGAGUUAUUUGUUUUCAUUUUCUUUUCCUAUUUCCAUUAUUAUACUUUCCAAUAGUCAAUACCAAAGUAACUUCCCCUUCUAUUCCUUUCAAUGUUCUCACGAUCUAAUGGAUAAAAUGUGCAUAAAACUUUAUUAGGUGGAAGAAGUAAGAAUACUAGAAAAUUAAAGAAAGGAGCGUAAAACGUCAUGGAAGAAAGAAUACAAGAAUAUAGCUAGAUUUGAUGCUUCUAUUUUUGAGUUACCAAGGUUAGGUCCAGAUGUAAAUUUUUAUACAUGUAUAUGAGAUGAAGAAACAAAAGAAUAAAUACUUGCUAAAUUUCGACUUAGUAUUAUUCACAGACAUAUAGUAGACAUAAAACACAAGAAUCAGAACAGCACGCGAAUGUAAUAGAGAAGAACCUGUUAUGGUGGUGCUCAAGACUUCCCACGCAUAAUUCUUCAAGCUACUUAAAUAAUGGCAUAUUAUUCGGGCCAAGGACCUCAAGCUUCCGUUCCAUAAUAUCUUCAACAUAUUGUUUAAUCUCCAGAGCUGAAUCUUCAAGUUGAGGGCUCUCGACAAGUUGGAUAAUUUUCAAUGAACAAAUAUCCCCCAAAUUAGGCGGAAUCUCUAUAAGCUUACGACAUUCGCAGAGUUUUAAUUUCUCAAGCACGGGAAAGGAUUCCUCUCCAAAAUCCCACUUAGCAAGAGUCACUUCUUCCAACUCCAAAUAUUUGAGAUUCACAAAGGUGUCUUCCUCCCCCAUGUUCCAUUCUUCCCCUUGCAUGAUUGUCCUCUCAAGGAACAAGUCUUCAAGGUUGUUCAGUCUCGCUAUUGUUGAUAGUGAAUAGGAUGUCAGAGGAAAGUCACACAACACCAAUCUUUUCAAAUUCUGUGGGAAGUGAGAAUCCCACGACCAAUUUGUCGGUACAGAGGGCCCACUGUCAUUUGUGUUUGAACUUUCAAAAUCUACUUUGAGGAAAACUAGUUCUGUUAGGCAAUCUAGUUUUGGGAAACAAUAUCUCUCUGUUGAAUAAUCCCAUGAUUUGUUGAGAACAAAUGAAAGCUCCUGAAGAUUGGGAAACCUUUUGAAGAUAUCCACCGUGUCUUUCGAAUAGGAAAGCAUGAGUGUCCAUAAUACUCUCAAGUUCUUUAACUCUGAGCCUCCAGCUAUUGGUAUUGGUUCAUCUGUAUCAAAAUCAAAGAAAGAACAAGCAUCCAUGGACAGCUCUCGCAACUUUACAAGAUUCCAAAUACUCGGUAAUAGUACCAAGGUUGAUGCUUUGUUAUCAACAAACAGGCUUUCCAGAUUCCUGAGGUUUGAGAAAGAUGAAGGCAGAGAUUUAACUUCUGUCCCAAUUCUUAAGUACCUCAAAUAAUUCAACAUGCCUAUUUCAUUCAACAAAGAAUCUUUCACCAUCAUAAUUGAGGGAUACAGGAUCAACACUCUAAGAAGCCUCAACUCUCUUAGGUGGCAUGCAUCAGAAAGACGAUCUUCCAUCUCGUCUCCAGUUAUCUCCAAAGAAUAUACAUGUUUACCACAAUGCCUUUUCAUUUUUGAAUCGAGCAGGAUGAAAUUGUUAGACCCAAAGUGCUCCUUAUCAUAAUUAAUGGUCACUAUACGUGGCAUCAAAUCUGAAGAAGAAAAUGCACCACUUGAACUUAUCUCGCCAAACAACUUUUCCUCUCUUGCUUUUAUCAGACAAAAGUCGUGCACAAGAUCAUGAAUUUGGCAAGUCUGGCGAUAACCUAUCUCAUUGAAGCUAGUUACCAAGCUACUGGUAAUUAAACUAUCAAAAUAAACCUGCAGUACUUCUGUCUUUUCAGCAAGCCCUUCAGCGCGCCAAUAUAUUCGCAACGCAUCAAACUGAAUUUCUCUGUCUUUUGGAAAAGAUGCAAGGUAAAUUAAGCAUGGCUUCAGGUGCUGCGGUAAAUGGUUAUAACUUAAUUCUAUAACCUUCAUCGCAUCAACUUCACUGUUCAAAAUAAAGGAAUUCAAAUUAUUUCGAACUUCAAGCCACACAGACUUUUCCUUUUCCCUCCCUGCAAUGACUCCAGCAAUCAGAUCAGACACCAAAGGAAGUCCCUUACAAUUUUCGGCUAUUUCUUUUCCAACAUCCAAUAGUUCAUCAGGGCAACUCUGUUCUCCAAAUGCCCUUUUCUCUAUUAACUCCCAACUUUCUUCUGGACUUAGCAAUCGAAGGUUAAGAGGAUCAGUGUUGCCCUUUCCAUGUAAAGCCACUUCCUUUUGUCGAGUCGUCAAAAUAAUUCUACUUCCUUUCUCAACUUCAGGGAAAGGUCUUGUUAAAUCAUCCCAUGUAGUAGUAUCCCACACAUCAUCUAACACAAUUAGGUACCUCUUUCCAAACAGUUCUCUCCGUAACAUAUCAGCGACAUCAAUAUCCUCACUGAACUUCAAAUCCGAGCCAGUAACUUGAUUAAAAAGUUUCACCAGCAACUUCUUCUCAUCAUAUUCUUGGUCGACUGUGCACCAUGCUCGAAGGUCGAAAUGACUACAAACUGCUUCAUCAUUGUAUACUUUGUAUGCCAAAGUAGUUUUACCCGAACCCGGCAUACCAGUGAUUGAAAUGACAUCAAGAUCUUUCGGUGCACUGGUGAGCUUACUAAUUAACCAGUUUGUCUCCUCCUUAAAUCCUACAAUUAUUUUACCAGUUGUCAAUGACUUUCUUUCAACUGGAUUCUUGGGAGAGUUUACAACAAUAUGGCUCCUGUUCUUGGUAAUUUUCUCAUGUAAAUUAGAGACUUCUUCUUUGAUAAGCUUGAUCUUUUUUAUGGUGAUGGGAAGUGAGAAAAUAAGAUGUAAGAGACCAUUAUCUCAAACAAUAAUAGAAUCAAUGACAUCUUUUGCCUCAUAUGCCGCAUCUAAAGCACGUGCCCAUAGAUCCUUAUACAAUCUUUGCUCAACAUUCACGAAGAACGAUCUUAUAAAUUCUAGGUCUUCUUUCACCAACUCAAUUUCUUUCUUUAUCAAAGAAAUUGAAUAAGAAUUGGAAUCUAGCAGAUCAUUCAAGUGGAUGAGUAGAAGAUGCAUGAAGAGUGGUCCAUCAUUCAUGGGGAAGCAACAUUGAUAUGAGUCCGGGACUUUCAGAUAACCAUGUUUGAGAUCAUCCUUGAGGAGUUCAAUAUUUUCCAGCAAGUCUCGAGUUGCACGACUUGUUUCAUCUGUGCUCUUUUUAUUCCUUGAUUCCUCUUCUAAGUCACGAACAAGAGUUGAUACCUCUGUGGUAAGUGCUCCCACACGUGCCAGAAGAUCAAAUAAUUUGUCGUGAUGAAUAAAGUCUCUAGGCAUGUCAGUAAGAAUAAUCAACAGAAACUCCAUUAUGACUUGAAUGUUUUGAGCCCCUGAAGUACUAGGGGUGAUAACAUUUACCAUGUGCUCUUGUAAAUGAAUCAGAUAUUCUCUAUUAAUGUCUGGAGAAGUUUCUAGGAGCUGCUUAAUGAAACCUUCAACUUCUGCUGAUGGUGAAGCUUUCAAAUUUGUAAAACAAAUGUGCAUAACCUCCAGUUCAAUUGGAAUAAUCUUUAUGAGUAGAUUUGCUAGCUUUAAGAGUUGAAAAUCUCCAUCAAUCUGAUCAUCCUCAGAUAGCUCGGAGAGUUGAGAGUUUCCAUCAGUCUGAUCAUCCUCGUCUAGCUCGGAGAGUUGAGAGUCUCCAUCAGUCUGAUCAUCCUCAUCUAGAUCGGAGGGUUGAGAGUCUCCAUCAGUCUGAUCAUCCUCGUCCAGCUCGGACAGUUGAGAGUAUUGAUCAAUCUGAUCCUCCCAAAGGAACUUUCCUACACUCUCGGCCAUCAGUUGAAACCGGGGUAAGACAUUCUCAAUAAUCUCAUGCUUGAUGCAACCAUUCACUAUCAACCCAUGGAAAUCUCGUACAUUUCGACAUACAUUCUGAAGAAUCCCAUAUUCAUUCACUAACGGGAAAAUCUUUUCAGCACGAUACUUGGAUAGAUGAUGGAGAUUCAAGAGAAGGAAGUUCAAUUGUUCCUCUGCCAUGGUAGCAUUUGAUUUAGAACAAUGGUCCGAGCUGAUACAGUUAUCCAUAUUCUUGGUGAGGCUAGGAAGGACAUGAUGCAUGUUAUAUUUACACCUGAUGGUGUUGUCCACAUCAUCAAAAAUUGUCCGAAGCAGAUUCUCAACUUCUUGUCUUUUGCCGGUCAUUAUAUCUUGAAACUGAUCCAAAUCGGAAUAAGAAAGCUGGACAUAUGUACAAAUAAAUGUCAGCUUUGAUUUCAGCUUUUCAAUAAGAUCCACAUCAACAGGUUUUUGAUCCUCUUCAUUCUUUAACCUCUCCACGAAAUCCAGAACAUUGAUAAUGUCCUCACGAAGAGCAGAAAACGACAUCUGCAAAAAGACCAAAUGUUAUAUCACAUUUUCAAAGCCACAGCACUUAACAUAGCUAUAGAAAAUGGUUUUUGUCAAAAUUCAAUGUUGCACGUAAGCUAUAUAUUGAUCAUGACAUACCGAUGAGUUGUUUGCUUCCUCUUCCUUUCUCAGUUGUUCCUUUUCUGUUACUCUUUCCAUGAUUGUAAUGAAGUUCUCUGUAACAAAAAGUACCUACAUAACAAAGGAACAGAGUUAAUCACAUUAAGUUCUAUCGUGGUAUUGAUCAAGGCCAAAACAUCAAAUACCUAUAGAAAAACUAUUUUGUCCGAAUAGUAAUUUUAGUGCAUUUAGUCUCUAACACCAGAAUUGUUAGUGUUAAUCACAGAUAAAAUGUUUUCACAUUAAAUUUUCAGAAAAGGAAUUUGUAAGAUUGAGGAAAUUACAGGUCCCAUAUGUUCAAGGACAGAACCUAUCACUACAAAUAUAUUUCCUUUUUUAUGACAUUAAAGGACCAGGUUCCUAGAUCAUCAUGAAGUGGUACAACUGUCACCUCUCUGCAUAGUUUGUCUGCUAGUGCAACUAACUGUGCAGGAGUGCAACGUACCCGAUUAAACACCCGGUCCAAUUAAAAUUCAACCCUGAUUUAUACACCCGUAUAAAUAUAAAAGGAUGCUUCUCAAUCAAAUAGUUUUUGCAAUUUUUGUGAAUCACUGUAAAUGACGAAAACUCUCUAUUGCUAAAGUUCCAAAGCUUUUGUGUGCUUAAGGUUUAGUCCUUCUUGAGUCAAGUCUUGCAUUGUAAUCAUUUUACUCAUCUUAUAAGUGUAAAGAUUUUCUUUUGGCAGUAUAGUGCUUAGGUAGAGUUACCUAAGGCCCAUGGAUUAGAGUUAAUCGAUUAUGAAGUGAUUGAGGUGUGUAGAGUGGUUGUGGUAGAGCUAUUGAAACCUGUAGAACUUAGAUCUAUAUUCUUGGAGUCUGUAAUCAAUGAGUUUUCAUUAUAGUGGAGAUUGAGUGCUUGUGAGGGCAAGCCUUGGUUUUGCAUACCUUGAGCAUGAAGGUUUCCACGUAAACCACUGUGUUUAUUUUAAUAUCUACAAGUUUUUGUUUGUUACUAUUUUAUUGCUAUUCUCUUAGUCUUAGGGACCUGGUCCCUUGUACGAUGGUGCACUCUUUACAUUUCAACAAUUGGUAUCAGAGCAAGGUUACUAUAAAAGGUUAACACCUAGCGUUAUUUCUUGAUCAUGGCUGCUUCACCUAUUCUGGAGGAAAUAAUAUAGGUGGUGGAAAACCAGGAUGUAUGACUUCAUUAUGGUUGAGGCUAGUGAGUUGAUGGAUGUAAUACUUGAUGGUCCUUAUGUGCCUGUUAAGGAGGUUAAAUAAGGAGACAUAACAAGAAUGGUUGUCAAAACCAGGAGAGAAUAUAAUGAUAAAGAAAGUAAGAAAAUUGAAAAGAAUUACAAGGCUAAGAAAUUGCUUGUGUGUGGUAUAAGACCGGAUGAAUACAACAGGAUUCCUCUUGUGAAAAUUCUAAGGAAAUCUGGGAUUGCCUGAAGCCUUCUCAUGAAGGAACCACUGAUGUGAAGGAUUCAAAAGUUGAUAUGCUGACUACUCAGUAUGAAACUUUCUCUACGAAGGAGGGGGAAACUAUUCAAGAGAUGUAUGAUAGAUUCACUUCAAUCACAAAUGAGUUGCACCGCCUAGUAGAAGUGAUUCCUCCACAUAAACAAGUGAGAAAAAUUCUAAGAGUUCUUCCUAUGUCCUGGGAAAGCAAAGUAGAUGCUAUUACUUUUACAAGAAACCUGAAGGCUCUCACUGUGGAUGAACUUAUUAGUAAUCUAAAGACUCAUGCGCACAAAAAUUAGCAAGGGCAAGAGAAGAAAAAAGAAAAAGGAGAAAAGUCUCUGGAAUUGAAGGCCUCAAAGUCUAAUUUAAGCAAGGAGGACACUGAUGUUGCUUAUUUGGCCAAAAGAAUUGUGAGAUUAAUGAAGAAAAGUGGUCAGUUUCAAAGGAAAGAAAGCAGCAACAAAAAGGGAGGUACUAUUAAAGUUUGCCGCAAAUGUGGAAACCUGCGCGUUUCAUCAAAGAUUGCCUAGUACAUAAAAUGGACUAUCAAGAAUAUCUGAAGUCUGGAGGUUAUAAAGGAAAGAAUAAGGACCAAAUUCUUGAGAAGACAAGAAGAAAAGUUAUAGCUGAUUAUGAAGUAAAACAGGCUCUAGCAAUGUGGGGAGAUACUUCUAGUGAUUCUGAUGAAGCAGAAAAGCCUGAAGAUGUCUCUAUGUUAGCAGUGGAGGAUAGUGAAAUCACCUAAGACACUUUGUAUGCUCUUAUGGAAAAAGUAGAUUAUGAAAAAAGAAAAUGAGGUAAGUCUUUCUGACAUUAAGGAAAACUUAGAGAAUUAUUCUUCUAAGAAGAUAAAGAAGCUUGCAAAUGUGCUGAUUGAUUUUGUGUGUCAUUUGACUACUGAGAAAAAUGUUCUUGAAGACAAAAUAGAAAAUCUAGAUAAUGAAUUAAUAGCCUUAACUCUUCAAUUGUCUGAAACUGAGGAAUAAUCCUCAAAAUUAAAAUGUGAAAAUCUGAGAUCUACUAGAUGAGUUUGAUAAUAAAUGGAAGAAAGAAGCAUCAAAGCGUCAAAUUGAGCUUGAAGAAAAGUUAAAGGGGUUUCAAAGGAAUCUCAAUACUGCACUUCAUAAGAAUGAGAAAUUAAAAUGGGAUGUGGUCCGCAUAAGAGAAGACCUUAACAAAUCCCAAAAAUGGACCACAUCCUCACAAAUUCUGACUAAUUUCAAUAGUUAGGGAGUCAAUAAUGGUAGAGGUCUUGGAUACCAAUAUAGAACCCAUGCUUCUGGGUCUCAAGGGAAGCAUGCUUUUGUUCUAAAACCCUAGGUCAAUAGUUAUUUUUAGACCGUGGAAGUGAUGGUCACUUGAUGAAGAAAUGUCAAGGAUGACCUAAAGCUAAAACAAACGGUACUAGAUACAUCCAACAAAAGAAAUAUCAUCCUAAAGUACACAAUCUCUUGAGAAAUACUGAGAGAAACAAACUCCCCAGCUGGACCCAAAAGGAUUUGAUCACUCCCUUGUCUUUUUAUUGGGAACUCAAACUCAAGUGUGUUCCCAAUUCUAACAAAUGACUUUGUUUCCAAUUAAGAGUAAGGGAACACAGUCAGAAUUGGUUCAUGGAAAGUGGAUGUUCAAAACAUAUGACAGGGAGGACUGACUAUUUUCUCUCACUCAAGAUACUUCAAGGUGGAGGUGUAUUAUUUGAAAAUAGUAAAAAGGGUUAUAUUCAUGGUGUUGAAAAGAUUGGAAAGUUUCUUGAUCAAUCAAUAGGAGAUGUGUACUAUGUAAAUGAUCUCAAGUACAGUUUUUGAGUGUAUCUCAAAUCUGUAACAAAGGUAAUGAGGUAAAGUUCGUAUUAGAUGGCUGUAACAUGACAAGCUUGAAGUUUGGAAAAGUCAUUCUCAGAGCUAAAAGGUGCAAAAAUAUGUGUGUGGCUGAUCUGGACUGGACUCUGUAACUGAUUGUGAAUUGACCAGCUUAAGUGUUCAAGGUAAAAAUGUUGAUCUAUGGCACAGAAGACUGGGACAUGUAAUUUCCUCCCUGAUAAAUAAAUUGAUCUCAAAGUCUUGGUCCGUGGUGUUCCAAAGGUGUAGUUCUUAGACAACAAAAUUUGUGAUGCCUGUGUCCAAGAAAAAUAAAGCAGAUCUUCCUUCAAACAAAAAAAGCAGGUUAGCACCUCUAGACCCCUUCAGUUGUUACAUAUGGAAUUAAGUGGACCUAUUAAAGUCCAAUGUAGAGGUGGUAAGAGGCCUGUGUAUACCAUUCUGUGGCUAUUCAAGGUUCACCUAGACAAUGUUCUUUAGAACUAAAGAUGAAACCUAUGAUGUUCUGGUGUUUUUUCUAAGCAAAUUCAGAUGAAGCUAAACUGCAAAACUAUUGGAUUCAGAUAUGAUCAUGGAACAAUGUUUGAAAACUCCCAAGUUGUAGAAUCUUUUUCUGAAAAUAGAAUUAGUCAUAAUUUUUGUACUCCUAGGACUCCUCAGCAAAAUGAAGUGGUUGAAAGAAAGAACAAGACUCUCCUAGAAAUUUCCAUGACUAUGUUGAUUGAUAGUGGCAUUCCAGAAAGUUUCUGGGCUGAGGAUGUUAACACUGCAUGUUAUAUCACUAAUAGAUGUUUGAUCAGGUCACUCUAGAACAGAACCUCUAUGAACUUUGUUCAGAAAAAAGCCAAAAGUAGACUAUUUCAAACCCUUUGAAUGCAAAUGUUUUGUUCUAAACAAUAGAAAGAAUGAGCUUGGGAAAUUUGACUUUAAAAGUGAUGAAGCAGCCUUUAUAGGCUACUCCUCAACAAGUAAAGCUUACAGGGUCUUCAACAAAAGGACUCGGUGUGGAAUAAAGUGUACAUAUAGCCUUUAAUGAGCCAGGAAUGUCCAGAGAUUUUGGUAGAGAUAAAGAUUCUGACAUAGAAGAACUCAUUACCAUUCAAAGGGAUGAUAUAUCUAAAGAUGAUGGUUAAGGACAUGCUGAUAAUGUUUAGAAUAAUGAAGGUGAUGGUGAGUCCAAUGCUCAUUUACAAACUCCAGCUACAGAAGAAAAACAUCAAGAAAGCUUUAGUAAAAAUCUCCAACGACCUAGUCCCAGCAAUACUCAUCUCAGAAUGUCAAACUGGAAGCAUAAAUCCUCUCACCCCCUUGAAAAUCUGACAUCCCCCUUGGAAUCUGGAAUUCAAACAAGAGAUCCAACUAGAAAUUUCAUGAUCUUCUCAGGCUUCUUGUCACAAAUUGAACCCAAAAAUGUGAAAGAGCUCUGAAGGAUGCUAACUGUAUUAGUCUCUCUAUGGAUUAAAGAUGAAACAAGCACCUAGAUCUUGGUAUGAAAGACUUUCAAAAUUUCUUUUGGAAAAUGACUUAAAGAGAGGGAAAAUAGACAACACUCUUUUUCUGAUGUCUAGAGGCAGGAACUUAUUGAUUUUCCAGGUCUAUGUUGAUGGCAUCAUAUUUGGAGCUACUUCUGAGUCUUUAUGUGAAGAGUUUGCAAAGUUAAUGGGUAGUGAAUUUGAAAUAAGCAUGAUUGGUAAAUUGAGCUUAUUUCUAGGCCUACAGAUUCAACAAACCCCUCAAGGAACUAUAAUUUGUCAAAAAAAAUACAUCAAAGAGUUGAUAAAGAAAUAUAAUAUGAGAGAUGCCAAGAAAAUUGAUACUGCAAUUGGAACCAAUUCGAAGAUGGAUAAAGAUGAACCUGGUCCUUAGUGAAUGAGACCAUGUAUAGAGAGAUUAUUGGAUCCCUACUGUAUCACACUGCAGGUAGGCUGGAUAUUGUAUUCAGUAUGAUAAUGUGUGCCAAAUUUCAGGCUUAUCCUAAAGAGUCCCAUUUGAAUGUAGCAAAGAGAAUUCUCAGAUAUCUGAAAGGUACAAGGGACCUGAACCUGUUCUAUCCAUCUGGUGAUAGUUUUGACUUAAUAGGGUAUGUUGAUGCUGAUUAUGCUGGAUAUUUGGUGAACAAAAAAAGCACCUCAAGAAUGGCUCAUUUAAUUGGUUCUUCUUUAAUCUCCUGGGGAUCUAUGAAACAAAACUCAGUUGUCUUAUCUAUUCUUGAAGCUAACUAUGUAGUUGCAGCUUCUUGCUGUACUCAAUUAUUAUGGAUCAAACAGCAACUAAAGGACUUUGGGAUUGCAUAUGAUACUAUCCCCUGAUAUGUGACAAAACAUGUUCUAUAAACAUGACCAAAAAAUCCAGUGCAACAUAAGAGGAUAAAGCAUAUUGAUGUGAGGCAUCACUUUUUGAGAUACAAUGUUGAAAAGGGAGCUAUUUGCAUGAAGUUUUGUAAGACCAAAGAUUAGGUAGCUGAAAUCUUUACAAAGGCACUUCAUAAAGAGCAAUUUGUGAAGAACGGGUUUAGUUGGGAUUGAUCAAGAUGAAUUAACCUACUUGAUGGAUCAACUUUCCCUUAUCAUUGGCUAGGAUCAGGAGGCAAGUAUCCUUUAUAAACUAUGUGCUUAUUGGUCUAACUCAUUACUAUACCUUUACAGGUAUACACAUAUGGUGAACUACUUUGAAGGAGAAUAGUUGUGGCAUACACUAUAUAAAAGAUUCACUCAAGCUAGAGAGGGACCUGGUCCUGUCUCUCAGGUUAGUACUAAAACUGUGUACUUUAAAAUUCAUAAAAAAGAGUGUCUGAAAAAAAACAUAUCCCGUCCUUUCUCUAUGUAAGAGAUGUCAAAUCCCUAAAAAGGUGAAGAGUUGCACCUAUUGGGACUAGACAUGUGAUUUCCUCUAAAAGGUCCCAAAAGGUACAAUAUUUAGUUCCCUUAAGUACAAAAUCAAAUCCUUUUUCUCCCAUUCUUGUCCAAAUUUUUUCUCAAAUCAUCCUCUUUAAAACUCCUCUUCACUGAAAUAAGUUUUUUUGUUCUCAUUCACUCUCUCACAAAUGCUUCAAAUGGAUGAUAUUUCUACUCCCUUAAGCCCCACCGAGGAUUCUGAAAUAUUCAAUACCCAUUAUUCUUAUCAAAAAACCCUGAAAUAAAAAAUCCUACUCUAUCAAUGUCCAAAAGUACAGAAGAUUCCUUUUCUAACCCUCCUCAAGAACAUCAGUUCACUCUACCCUCUACAUAUUUCCUCAAAAAUCCAAAUCCUUUAAAUGAACCCAUUCCAGAAGAAACCUCAAAAACAAUGGAAACCCCUAUUGAAUCAGCCAUAGUGGUGGACCAAAAUCAAGCCUUUGGUUCACCUAUUUAGUUCGAAGUUUCUCAAAAUCCAAUUCGCUCAAAAGAACCAGAAAGAACUGAUCCCUAGUCGUAAGGACUGGGUGGCUGAUUGAACUUGCUUGCUAAUGAUCCUAGGGAGAUUUCCCUUGGUGUAGUGGAGAAUGUGAUUUGUAAGAAGGUGGGAGAUUUAUCUACUUAAGGAGAUGAUUGCAAUGCCCCAAGAUUUUCCUAGCAAAAUUUUUUCCCUUAAAGUAUCAAGCAUUGGAUUUUAGAAUGAUUUAUACAUAUUUUCCUGUGUAAUUUCUUAGAUUUUAACUUUUCAUUACAUAGAUGACUGAAUAAGAUUUCCGAUGAUAUAAGGUUCAUCCAAAAUGGACACUCGGUGAAGAAGUUAUGGCUAUUUUAUGUGCUACUCAUAAAACAUCGUCAUUUUGGUGUUUAGUGCAUCGCGGAGAAGGUUUAAUUAGCAACUGUCAAAUUUCAGUAGGACCUUGCUAUACUGGCGUGUCGUGGAGGAUUCCAAUUUCACAUUCGUUAAUUUCCAGUGAGCCACCACGAUAGUGGCGCGUCAUGGUCGCCCAUCAAAUUGGGCACCAGUUAUAUUUUUACUCCGUCUCAUUAAGGGUAAAAUGGAACUUCUCCAACCCCUUGUCAUCUCUAACACAGGAUUUAAUCCCAAAAACACCAAAGGAAGAUUAUUUUCAUCAAAAUCUCUCAAGAAACUCCAUUAGGGUUUCAAAGUAAAAAUCCUCGUAACUCAAAAUUUAAUCGCGGGUUUUAGAAGAUAAUUGGAGAUUUGGAAUCCUCGCGUCGUAGGCUUUAAGAAGCAUCCGUUAAUUUUUGAAAUAGAGGUACGCGGGGUUUUUCUUAAAUCUCAUGGGCAUAGAAAUCAUGAUUUUAAGAAAGGGGUUUUGAAUUUAUGAAUAUAUUCAUGUUUUAGAAGUGUUGACGAUAUUGUUUUGGUCUUUAGGCCUUCCCCCAAAUUGAUUUGAAAUUAUAUAUAUUGUAAGCAUGUGUUUUAAGGUUGAUGAUUGAAUUGAGAGCAUGAUGCAUGAAAAAUCCCUCUCUUGUGAUGAUUUCAUUUACUUAUGGUAUACUAUGAAUUGUUCUAAAUUGCACCUUGAAAAGAAUGUUAUGAAAUGCCUUGAAGAAUGAUAUAUUUGUAUUAUGAUUUUAAUUUCAAAAGAGAAAGGGUUGUUUGAAUUGAUAAAUGUUGAACAUACAUAUAAUGAACGAGUGCAUGGUUUUGUCAAAAGCACAUGACCACCUUAUGUUUGAAGGAUUCUUGCAUAGUUUUGACUUAUGUUUCAGAACAUGAAAUCUCUUAUACUAAUUUGCAUGUUUUGGUGGUCUAAACUAUGAUUUAAUGAAAGAUCAUUCUUAUUGCAUUAUGGCUUAGAAAUAGGACUUGCAAUUCUUGGUGUGACGACACCAAUUCAGUUUAUUCCAUGAUGAUUCAGAACACAAUAGAAUGCAUGUUUGAAAUCAGACUUUUUAGAUGUUGAAAUUAAAAAAAUGCAUAAUUCAGAACAGGAUAAAAAUGGACACAAAGAGAGCUUAGGUGGUUCCCCGAAGAAGGCAUGGGUUCAGACAACCCACUACCCAAAAUCAUAAUUUGUCGAUCUGGGUUAUUUAUAUUACGCUGGCCUAGAGCCUUGUGGCGUAUCAGACUUAGAAACUCCAACCUUUGCGGCACACUUGGGUUGGGGGCUUCCCCGCCGAGUCAAUGGUGGAUUCCAUAUAGCCCGUGGAAUAUCAAACUUGUAGGAGAGUGCCACCUAACUCAGAAGUAAUACAAAGGCCAAACUUUACAUUGACAAGAGUGAUUUAUGAUUUUCAGAAACUGCCCAUGUGUUUUAGAACUAUUUCAUGCUUGAUAUUUUGACAAAUUGCUCUCUAAUUAUUUUAUUUAUAUAAAUGCUUUAUUUUGGAUUACUUUGCAUACCAUACAUCUGUAUUGACCCCCUCUCCUCCCUCUAGGUUCCGAGUCUCAGUCUAGGGGUCUAGAAAAGCAGUAGAUUUUAUCAGACAGAGUUGUAGCAUUUAGUUGGUGAGCCUUCUCUAUUCUGGAAGGCUUGUCUUUUUUAGAUUAUGUCAUUUAUUUCUGUUUUAGUCUACUGGGGGCCUUGUCCCAGUUUCAGACAGCUGUCAGAUUAUCAUGUAGUAGAUAUUUCACAGACUGAGUCAGAUGUUAUUCAGAUGUAGUUUGAUUUACAGUUUUCAUACUUAUGUUGAAUUCAUAAUUGACCAUGUUUUCGUAGAAGAUUAUGUUUCCGUAUCUUCUUUUAUUAUAUGAAUGUUGUGCAUGAUUACCAGAUAGAGAAAGGCGUUCUGGGCUUUCAUGGUUCGGGAUGUUCAUCAUGGCUAGGUCCUAGUUUGAGUUAUGACAAACUUGGUAUCAAAGCAAGGUUCAUGGUCCCAGGGUAUCUGCGAAAUCGCAUCGGGUAGAGUCUUUUUUAUGGGUGUGUAGCACGCCACACUUAUAAUCAGGAGGCUACUAGGCAUUUAAGAAAUGUUUCCCCUCUUUGUGCUUUAGAUCGUGCCUCAAAGUCUGAAUCAGAAAUUGUCCUCUAAUCAAUGAUCUAUUGUAUUUCAGAAAAUGAUCAUGCCUCCUUUUUGUUCCAACAAGCAGGAUACUCAGGAUGAUGAAUUUUACCUAACUCAUGGCAUGCGAACCUGUAACAGAGACCAUACCCCAGAACCUGUUCCCUCUCCAGAAGUACCUCCUGUCCCGACCAGUCCUCCUCGAACUCCGAGGAUAAAUGUUAACCAUCCUUAAUCUUCUCAGAGGAACAUAUCAAAUGUAGAAUUCAGACAAUCCAUUCGCAUACUUGCCCAUUUGGUGGCCGCACAGACUCAGAGGUCAGAGGAUAGUGGGUCUGCAUCUGCUACUUCUGAGGUAACCAGGGUAGGCCAGUUCAUGAGAAUGAACCUGCGCAGAUUCUCUGGUAUUAAGGUAGAAGAGGACCCACAGGAGUUCGUAGAUGAAAUAGAGAAAAUUUUCAAAGUAAUGCAUGUGGAUCAGGUGGAAGGGGUUGAGCUAGCAGCAUACCAACUUAAGAAUGUAGCGAACCAAUGGUACAAUGAGUGGGAGGAUGCGAAAGGGGAGAGUGCUGAGCCCACAGCUUAGGAUGAGUUUGUGGAAGCUUUUCUUGGCUGAUUCUUCCCUCUUGAGUUGAGGGAAGCCAAAGCAUAGGAGUUCAUGAAUCUUAAACAAGGGAAAAUGAGUGUCCAAAAGUACACUCCGAAGUUUAACCAAUUGGCUCGUUAUGCACCAAAAGUGACAGAAAGUAUAAGAGCCCAGAUGAGGAAAUUUUCAUUCGACCUUUCCGAUGAUCUAGCACUUGAAUUUCAAGGGGCGAUGCUAAGUAGGGAGAUGGACUUUGCUAGGAUGUCAGUCCACAUACAGUAGGUAAAGAAGAAGAAAAAGAAAAUUUUUGAAUCUAGAGAGAGAGACAGGUAGGCGAAGAAGGCUAAAACAGCGGAUCAGAACCCCAGUUAGUAGCAGAGCGAUAAUUGGGGUAAGAAAUGGCAAAAGAAGAAGUUUUGGAGUAACACAAAAUCUACAGCUAGCGCCCCAGCGCCCAUACCCCCAGUUGAUAGACGAUUUCAAAGUUUUCAGACUAGUCAUGGACCCAGAGCUCAGGACACUCAGUCACAGGGUAGAGUGGAUCAGCAGUAUUGUAAUUUUCCAUGGUGCGAAACUUAUGGUAGGCAUCAUCCAGGAAGGUUUUAGCUGGGCUAGAUGGUGUUCUAUUUAUACGGCCAGACGGGUCAUUUCCACAGAGAUUUCCCCUCCACUAGGAGGAAUGUUGGUGGAGCUAAGUCCUAGGCAAAUUCUUCUGCAUCACCCCCGCCUCAGAAGGGCACCACAUCAGCUGCUGAAAGUGGUCGGAACUGGUUAUAUACAUUGACCAACCGCCAGGAGGCGGUAGCCUCCCCAGAUGUUAUCACCGGUACGUUACAAAUCUUUACCGCGAUGUAUAUAUGUUGCUUGAUCCUGGGUCUACCUUAUCUUAUGUAACCUUGUAUGUGGCUUUUGGGUUUGCGUUUGAGCCCGAUGUGAUUGCUGAACCUUUCUCUAUUUCUAAUCCAGUGGGUGAUUCUAUUGUGGCUAGGAAAGUAUACAAAAAUUAUCUUGUGUCUAUUAUUGGUAGGGAUACUAGGGCAGACCUCAUAGAACUUGAUAUGGUUGCUUUUGAUGCUAUCCUAGUGAUGGAAUAGCUCCAUCGGUGUUAUGCCACACUAGACUGUAGGACCCAAAAGGUUACCUUUUUUUUCUGAAUGAGCCAUCAAUAGAGUGGGAAGGGCAUUCUUUAACACCUAGAGGGCACUUUAUAUCUUAUCUCAUAGCCUGUAAACUUAUUUCCAAGGGUUCUUGUAUCAUCUUAUUUGGAUUAAAGAUUCUAAUGCCAAAAGUCUUCCUCUUCUGUCUGUCCCUGUAGUAAAUGAAUUUCCAAAAGCCUUUCCAGAUGAUCUCCCAUGAAUUCCACCCGAUAGGGAGAUGGAUUUUGGCAUUGAUGUGUUGCCAGAUACCCAUCCUAUUUCUCUUCCACUAUAUAGAAUGGCUUCUACAAAGCUAAAAGAGUUGAAAGAACAACUAGCAGAUCUCUUAGAUAAAGGUUUUAUCAGACCUAGUGUUUCUUCUUGGGGUCCACCUGUACUCUUCGUGCUAAAGAAAAAUGGUUCCCUGCUUAUAUGCAUAGAUUACCGUCAACUAAAUAAGGUCACUGUUAAAAAUAAAUAUCCUCUUCCUAGGAUUGAUGACCUUUUGGAUCAACUUUAGGGUACUAAGUGUUUUUCUAAAACAGACCUUCGUUCGAGAUAUCAUCAGUUGAAAGUUAGGGAAUCAAAAAGAUUCCCAAGACAUCUUUCCAAACCAGAUAUAGUCAUUAUGAAUUCUUAGUCAUGUCCUUCGGGUUGACUAAUGGCCCUACAGCUUUUAUGGACCUAAUGAAUAGGGUCUUCCGUCAGUUCCUAAACCUGUUUGUCAUAAUUUUUAUUGAUGACAUCUUGAUUUACUCCAAAAGUGAGGAAGACCAUGCCAAUCAUCUCUAAAUUAUUCUUCAGACUCUCAAAGAUCAUAAGUUGUAUGCGAAAUUCUCCAAGUGUGAAUUAUGAAAGAAUGCCAUUGCUUUCUUAAGACAUAUUGUGUCUAGUGAGGGGAUUCGGGUUGAUCCCCAAAAGGUUGAGGUAGUGAGAAAAUGGCCCAAAUCCAUGACUCCAACCAAUAUUCGGAGUUUCUUGGGUUUGGCGGGUUAUUAUAGAAGGUUUGUAGAGAGUUUCUCUUCUAUAGCCGCGCCACUUACUAAGUUGACUCAGAAGAAGGUUAAAUUUUUGUGGUCUAACUCAUGGGAGAACAGUUUUGAGAAAUUGAAAGAUAAAUUGACUACAGCACCUGUUCUGAGCCUUCCGGAAGGCACGGAGGGUUUUGUUGUGUACUGUGAUGCAUCCUAUGUAGGACUUGGGUGUGUACUUAUGCAGCACAGUAAGUUGGUGGCUUAUGUAUCUAGGUAGUUAAUGGUGCAUGAGCGAAAUUACACCACUCAUGACUUAGAAUUAGCAGCUGUGGUGUUUGCUCUUAGAAUUUGGAGGCAUUAUCUUUAUGGGGUGCAUGUUGAUAUAUUCACUGACCACAAAAGUUUGCAGUUUGUUUUCUCGCAGAAAGAAUUGAACCUCAGGCAGAGGCGCUGGAUGGAAUUGCUAAAGGAUUAUGACAUGAGCCUUAACUAUAUUCGGGUAAGGCAAAUGUGGUAGCCGAUGCCCUCAGUAGGUUAUCCAUGGGAAGUCUUUCUUAUGUUGAGAAAGGGAAGAGAGAGAUGGUAAAAGGUAUUCACCGGCUUGCAAAUCUAGGAGUGCGAUGCUUGGAUUCUGAAGAUGGGGGAAUAGUUGUUCAUGAGAUAGCUAAGUCUUCCCUUUGUGUAGAAGUUAAAGAGAAGCAGGUUGAAGAUACCAUAUUGAUGCAGAUCAAGAAAGAUGUGGGUCAGCAGAAGGUGAGUCCUUCGAAAUAGGUGGUGAUGGUAUUUUGAGGUAUCCGGGUAGAUUAUGUGUGUCAGAUGUUGAUGAUUUGCGGAAGAGAACCCUUGAAAAGGCUCACAUUUUGAGGUAUUUUAUUCACCCAGGCUCUACUAUGAUGUACCAUGAUCUGAAAUCUAUGUAUUGGUGGAAUAAUAUGAAAUGUGAUGUGGCUAACUUUGUUUCCAAGUGUUUGAACUGCCAACAAGUUAAAAUAGAGCAUUUGAUGUCAGGUGGUUCUUCCCAAGAGAUAGCUUUACCCCUGUGGAAGUGGGAUAUGAUUAAUAUGGACUUCAUUACCGGACUCCCGAAGUCCAGAAACUAGUAUGAUUCUAUUUGGGUAAUUGUAGAUAGUUGACCAAGUCAGCCCACUUUCUGCCUGUUAGGAAUAACUUUUUGGGAGAGGAUUAUGCCAAGAUAUUCACUGCAGAAAUAGUUUGUUUGCAUGGUGCACCCGUGUCCAUCAUAUUCGAUCGAGGUACACAGUUCACUUCUCAGUUUUAGAGAUCUUUUCAGAGAGGAUUAGGCAUUCAAGUGAACCUAACCACUGCUUUUCACCCUCAGACUGAUGGACUAGCUGAGCACACUAUUCAGACCCUUGAGGAUAUGUUGAGGGCCUGUGUGAUUGAUUUUAAAUGUAGUUGGGUAGAGCACUUGCCAUUGAUAGAGUUCACUUAUAAUAACAGUUUCUAUUCUAAUAUUAAAAUGGCACCAUUUGAGGCAUUGUAUUGGAGAAGAUGUAGAUCUCCAAUAGGAUGGUAUGAGGUAGGAGAGACAUAAAUUUUUGGGCCUGAUCUUGUUCAUCGGGCAAUAAAGGAUGUGAAAAUCAUUAGAUAACGACUAAAGAAAGCUCAGAGUUGUCAAAAAUCCUAAGCCGAUGUUAGGAGAAGAGAGUUAGAGUUUGAGGCUGCAGAUUGGUUGUUUCUUAAAGUUUCUCCCAUGAAGGGAGUCAUGCAAUUCGGGAAGAAAGGUAAAUUUAGUUCUCACUAUAUAGAACCCUAUCAGAUCUUAAGGAGGAUAGGUGCAUUCGCGUAUGAGUUAGAGUUGCCUGCUAGUUUGGGUUCCGUUCAUCUGGUAUUCCAUGUGUCCAAGUUGAAGAAAUGCAUUGGGGAUUAUUCUCUAGUACUACCUAUAGAGGAAAUCAAGGUAACAGAUUCCCUAUCCUACGAAGAAGAACUGGUAACAAUCUUAGAUCGUCAAGUUCGGAAAUUGAGGAACAAAGAGAUAGCCUCAGUUAAAGUGUUGUGGAGAAACUAGAAAAUUGAAGAAGCGACUUGGGAAUUAGAAGUUGACAUGAGAGCAAGAUACCUAAACCUUUUUGAUCCAAUGGAUGAAGAAAUGGAAGGUACAAUCCUUGAUUUAUUAUUUUUAUGCCUUAGAAUGUUUGAAAUUAUGCUUGUCUGUGUCCUGCAUCAACAUUCGGGGACGAAUGUUCCCAAGGGGGGAAUAUUGUAACGCCCCAAGCUUUUCCUAGCUAAAAUUUUGUCCUUAAAGUAUCAAUAAUUGUCUUUUAGAAUGAUUUAUACUUAUUUCCCUGUGGAAUUCCUUAGAUUUUAACUUUUCAUUACGUAGAUGACUGAAUAAGCUUUCUGACGAUAUAGGAUUCAUCCAAAACGGACACUCGGUGAAGAAGUUAUGGCUAUUUUAUGUGCUAAUCAUAAAACAUCGUCAUUCUGGUGUUUAGCGUGUCACGGAGAAGGUUUAAUUAGAAAUUGUCAAAUUCCAGUAGGACCUCAUGAUAGUGGCGCGUCUCAGAGGAUCCCAAUUUCGCAUUCGUCAAUUUCCAGUGAGCCACCUCGAUAGUGGUAUGUCGCGGUGGCCUAUCAAAAUGGGCACCAGUUAUAUUUUUACUCCGUCUCAUUAAGGGUAAAAUGGUACUUCUCCAAACCCUUGUCAUCUCUAACACGGGAUUUAAUCCCAAGAACACCAAAGUAAGAUUGUUUUUAUCAAAAUCUCUCAAGAAACUCCAUUAGGGUUUCAAAGUAAAAAUCAUCGUAACUCAAGAUUUAACCACAGGUUUUAGAUGAUAAUUGGAGAUUUGGAAUCCUCGCAUCGUAGGCUUCAAGAAGCAUCCGUUAAUUUCCGAAAUAGAGGUACGCGGGGUUUUCCUAAAAUCUCAUGGGCAUAGAAAUCAUGAUUUUAAGAAAGGGGUUUUGAAUUUAUGAAUAUAUUCAUGUUUUAGAAGUGUUGACAAUAUUGUUUUGGUCUUUAGGUAUUCCCCCAAAUUGAUUUGAAAUUAUAUAUAUUGUAAGCAUGUGUUUUAAGGUUGAUGAUUGAAUUGAGAUCAUGAUGCAUGAAAAAUCCCUCUCUUGUGAUAAUUUUCAUGUACUUAUGAUAUACUAUGAAUUGUUCUAAACUGCAUCUUGUAAAGCAUGUUAUGAAAUGCCUUGAAUAAUGAUAUAUUUGGAUUAUGAUUUUGAUUUCAAAAGAGAGAGGGUUGUUUGUAUUGAUAAAUGUUGAACAUACAUAUAAUGAAAGAGUGCAUGGUUUUGUCAAAAGCACAUGACCACCUUAUGUUUGAAGGAUUCUUGCAUAGUUUUGACUUAUGUUUCAGAACAUGAAAUCUCUUAUACUAAUUUGUAUGUUUUGGUAGUCUGAACUAUGUUUUAAUGAAAGAUCAUGCUUAUUGUAUUAUGGCUCAUAAAUAGGACUUGCAAGUCUUGGUAUGACGACACCAAUUCAGUUUAUGCCAUGAUAAUUCAGAACACAAUAGAAUGCAUGUUAAAAUCAGACUUUUUAGAUGUUGAAAUUAGAAAAAUGAGCCUUGUGGCAUAUCGGACUCACACUCCAACCCUUGCGGCACACUUAGGUUAGGGGCUUCCCCGCCGGGUCAAUGGCAGAUUCCAUAUAGCCCGUGGAAUAUCAAACUUGUACGGGAGAGCCACCUAACUCAGAAGUAAUACAAAGACCAGACUUUGCAUUAACAAGAAUUAUUUAUGAUUUUCAAAAAGUGCCCAUGUGUUUUAGAACUAUUUCAUGCUUGAUAUUUUGACAAAUUUCUCUCUAAUUAUUUUAUUUAUAUAAAUGCUUUAUUUUGGAUUACUUUGCGUACCAGUACAUCUGUAUUGACCCCCUCCUCCCUCCAGGUUCCGAGUCUCAGUCUAGGGGUCCAGAAAAGCAGUAGAUUUUAUGAGUUGUAGGGUUCAGUUAGUAAGCCUUCUCUAUUCUGAAAAACCUGUCUUUUUAGAUUAUGUCAUUUAUUUCUGUUUUGGUCUACUGGGGGCCUUGUCCCAGUUUCAGACAGCUGUCAGAUUUUCAUGUAGUAGAGAUUUCGCAGACUGAGUCAGAUGUUAUUGAGAUGUAGUUUGAUUUACAGUUUCCAUACUUAUGUGAAUUCAGAAUUGACCAUGUUUCCGUCACAGAAUAUGUUUUCGCAUCUUCUUUUAUUAUAUGAAUGUUGUGCAUGAUUACCAGAUAGAGAAGGGCAUCACGACCAGACCCUAGUUCGAGUCGUGACAAUGAUGCUGAAGUUAAGAAGUUUGUACAACCUCCAAAUGAGGAGGAUGCGAUUAAUGAAGAGGAACUACCAUUAAGGUGGUCAGUAUAGAAGCAAAGUGGAAGUAAGGGUAAAGAAAAAGUGGUGGACACUAGUGGGAAGGUUACUAGAACCUACUCAACUAGGGUUUGUGAGAAGAAGUUGCUAGGGGAUGCCAUGAAAGCUAACAAGUCAGAAACUCUUUUGGUUUCCUUACCACUAAAGGAUAUAAGUUUUAACUUGUUUUCUAAGACAUCAUACUGGAAACUCCUAUCGUUUUGAUAUGAACCAUGAUCCAUGAAACUCAACUAGAUCACCUCAAUUUCCUCUUUAGUUCCACUAAGGGUUAUGUAAGUUAUGACUUGGAAUAUUGUUAUAAUGAUGUUGAAAGACGUUACUUUUCAUGACUCCCCCAAAAUACUAAGUGCUAGUUUAUGAUUUAUGAAACCAAAGACACUGAAUUCCUAUUUGAGCCCAUAAAAAGGCUGAAAUAUUAACAUAAGCCUAGUAAAGCUAGCAUGUUGAUCAUUAAUCAGCGAAGAUAAUUAUGCUAUAAUGACUUAAAUUUUCCAUGAUCUCCAUAAUAUCAUAAAAUCCCUAUCUUAUGAACUAUGGCACAAUGACACAAUGACACAAUGACACAAUCCGUAUGACUUCUAGCAUUAUGAAUUUAUUCAAGAAUGUCUUCAUUACCUUGAUAUAUGAUUCCAAAAUCAUAAGUUAUGCUAAAAAUACAAUGUACAUUCCAAAAUCUCACACUUGAUAAACUUAUGAAAAUCCUUCACUGAUGAAUUAAUAUGGCAUAAUGAAUUAUGAUUCUACCUCCCAUGAGUUUUAAUGAUAGUCAUACCUUAUUAUGAACCUAAGGUGGCUCAAUCUCAAAUGUGAACCUAAGUUGGUUAAUUCUCAGGCAUGAUCCCAAAAGUGGCUAAACCAUGAAUAUGAGCCUAUUAUGGAUAAUAUAUGAACAUGAAUCAGUAUGAGAACAUUAUGAACUAAGGAAAUUAGUUAGAUAACCGUGAAGCCAUAGGGUUAAAUGACAAAUGUCCGAAACUAUGUUCGCGGACAUAGGAUAGAGAUUAUUCCGCAAAUUGGAUGACUAUUUUUUCAUAUGUCCCAUAAAGGGUAUAACCAUGGAUACUUGCUAGCAAAUUAUGCCAUACGGGCCGAGAUCAUACUCCAUGUGCUCAUAUGGUGGUUUAUGACGGUUCACUACUUUCUGCCAUAAAUAACCAAAAUCCACCUUACUUGGUCAAUCAUAAAUUUAGUUUAUAUUCUUGUUCAUUUCCAGUUGUCUUCACUUAGAUUUGAAUUUAUUGUCAUUUAUAAUCGCUUGAUGUACUACCCUUCUGAAAUGGUUUUGCAUACCAAUACAUUGCAUGUAUUGAACGUCUUUGGCGCUACAUCAUUUUAUGAUGUAGGUUCUGGAUAUCAAGUCCGUGUUCCGUGCCUCAUUAGGAUGUCUAUGUUUUGCCAUUGGUGAGCCUCUUUCCUAUCAGGAGGCUGAACGAGCUAUGAUGACUUCGUUAUAUUUUCUUUCCUUCCAGUAUUGUUACUUAUUAGAGGCUUCAUAGGCUGGUGUAGUUGUCAAUUAAACUUUGUAAUUUCUAGUCUCUAUCAUGACUUUUGGUAUUGUAUAAUAUUAAGUGGUGUUAAUAAACCUUGAUGAAAAUGUUUAUCCUUUAAGAAAUCUUAUUUCAAUCACAUGUUUCAGUUAUAUUCUUUGGUUUAGGUUCUAUUCUCAUGUGUUAUGAUAGAAUGUUCGCACAUACUAGCAAUAAUAUUGGGUGUGUGCCAUGUCCAGGGCCACAGCUCGAGGUGUGACAAAAAUCCUCGAACUAUGAAGAAAAUGUUCACCGUGACUACAUUAGUAGAAAACAAACAUGUUGAAGGAAAAGUAGGGACCAUGUCCCAGGUAUCAGAACUAUUGACAGUUCAAGAGAGUUUGAGUAAGGAGUUGGAGAAAGUGAGAGUUUAUAUGGACUCUAAGCAUGCAGAAAUCCUCAAAUUGAUGUUGAAGAAUCAGAAACUUUCAUCUGAGGGACCAAGUGCCAAUGAAGCACUUAGUGCAGAGAAUGCAGAUCUCUAGAAAAAGGUUUCAACACUCACUAAUGAUGUUUAAAACUUAAAUACUAAAGUGAAGAACCUAACAAAAAAGUUGUUGGAUUCUUAUGCUACUGUGGGUGCUUGAAUGAAAAUGCUUCUAAAGGACCUCUCCCCAAAACCUCCAUCUACCUAAGACCUGUCCCUCCUAUUUUUAUUUUCUCCCUAUGUUAGUUUCCGGUCUUUGACAUCUGUGUGGCUUUUGAACAUUAAGAUGUGUUAGAGUUCUGACCUAAAUUUGGUUGGUUCAACCCUGAAAGUUUUGCGGUUUGUGAUUUUCAAUGGGGUCUGUAGUGGUAGCGUAGGGAUCGGGCCAAUAUUGGGUAUGGACCUUUAUGUUUUUUGGCCUAGGUGUACACACAUACUAUAUAAGUGCAAUUUAGUGGGCUAUUUUCAUUAUUCAGAAAAUUUAGCUUUCUCCAUAUUGUACUCUCUCUCCAUUAUAGUGAAACCUCCUCUGCCUCUGCCCAUAGUUUUUUUCUGCAAGGUUUCCACGUAAAUCUGUGUGUUGUUCUUGUUUUCUUUUACUUUUGGUUUUAUUAUUCUAUCUGAAUCAUAACAAAAUGGUAUCAGAGAGUGUUUGAUUGUUUUCUCGGUGAUGUCAAACAUGAAGUAUGAUAUUCCACUAUUGGAUUGCAAUACUAGAUAUUUGUUAUGACAGGUUAAGAUGUGGGUUGUGCUCAUGCAGAUGGAUAUGGAUGAUGCUCUAUUAGGGUUAUAAAAGAUGCCUUCAUUGUGGAUGGCAGAGGACAAAUAGUGUAAGGAUCGGAAGGCUCUAUCUUAGAUCCACCUUUAUUUAUCUAAUCAAAUUCUACAGGAUGUUUUGAAGGAGAACACUGCCACUGUGUUGUGGUUGAAACUUGAAUCAUUGUGUAUGACGAAGAGCCUAACAAGUAGGAUACAUCUUAAACAAUUAUUACCAUCGCAUGUCUGUGGAUUCAUCCAUAGAGGAUAACCUAUCUGUAUUUAAGGAAAUCAUCUCUGAUUUAGAGACUCUAGAGGUUAAGUAUGAUGAGGAAGAUCUAGAGUUGAUUUUGUUGUGUUCAUUGUCUGCAUCAUACACCACCUUUAAGGAUACAAUUUUAUAUAGUCGUGAUACCCUGAUGACAGAUGAAGUAUAUAAUACGUUAUUCUCUAAGGAAAAGAUGAAGCAUCUUGUCAAUGGGUCGGAGACUCAAGAAGAUGAUCUCACUGUUUAAGGAAGGACUCGUGAGAGGAAUUAUGGGGGUGAUGACAGGAAUAGGUCAAAAUCCAUAAACAGAAAUAAAACUUGUAAUUUUAGCAAGAAGAAGGGCCAUAUCAAAUCCGAGUGUUGGAAGUUACAGAAUAGAGAGAAAAGAAAAGCUCAUAAAUCGAAGGGAAACCAACCAAAGAAGUCCGGUGAAGCCAAUUUUGUUUUAGAUGGCGGUAGUGGUGGAAACUCUUGGUAAUUUCUGAUGGUAAUUCCAAAUGUUGUGAGGAUUGGUUUCUUGAUUCAUCUUAGACGAUUCAUAUGUGUCGCAAUCGGGAUUGAUUUACAACAUAUAAAAUAGUCUCUAAAGUUGUUGUGUUGAUGGGAAAUAACAUACCUUGUAAGAUAGUUAGUAUUGGAAGAAUCAGAAUUAAGAUGUUUGAUGGGGUUGUGAGGACACUUGUUGAUGUGCGAUAUGUCCUGAAGAGAAAUAUCAUUUCCUUGAGUACCCUUGAUUCGAACGGAUAUAGGUAUACUGAAGAAGGUGGAGUCCUGAAGGUUACUAAAGGUCGUCUUACUCUAAUGAAGGGACAGAGAAAGUCUAUAAAUUUAUAUGUCUUGCAAAGCUUUACGAUUACAAGUGAUAUGGUUGUUUCUACCUCUUCUCUAUCAAAAAGUAACGUUGCUAAACUUUGGCAUAUGUGUCUGGGCAUAUAAGUGAAAAUGGGAUCGUUGAACUAAGCAGGAGAGGACUUCUUGAUGGCCAGAGUAAUACAAAAUUAGAGUUCUAUGAGAACUACGUUUUUGGGAAAUAGAAGAGAGUCAUAUUCACUAAAGGCAUCCACUCAACUAAAGGCACACUUGAUUACAUUCAUUCUCAUCUCUAGGUCCUUCUAGAGGAGGUGCGAAUUACUUUUUGACUAUUAUUGAUGACUAUUCCAGAAAAGUUUGGGUAUUCCUGAAGCAAAAGAAUGAUGCGUUGCUUAAUUUCAAGGAGAGGAAGAUUAUGAUUAAAAAGAAAAUAGGGAAGCAGGUAAAACUCCUUCAGACUAAUAAUGGUUUAGAGUUCUGUUCUAAUGAAAUUAAUGCUCCGUGCAAGUCAGAAGGGAUUGUGAGGCACUUGACAGUUCGUCAUACUCCGCAGUAGAAUAGUAUGGCUGAACAAAUAAAUAGGACUAUAAUGGAUAAGGUGCAUUGUAUGCUAUCUAAUGCUGGUCUACCCAAGUCUUUUUUGGGCUGAAGGCGCUUCUACAACUUCUCUUCUUAUUAAUCGCUCCACCCCAGUUGCGAUUGAUAAAAGGACUCCACAAGAGUUAUGGUCUGGUACUCCUACUAGUUAUUCUAAUUUGAGGAUAUUUGGAUUUCCUGCUUAUGCUCAUGUUGAUAAUGAAAAGUUAGAACCUAGAUUUGUGAAAUGCUUAUUUAUGGGUUAUAAGCCUGGUGUUAAAGGUUAUAAGCUUUGGUGUCCAGAAAACUGAAAGGUUAUAAUUAGUAAGGAUGUUGUAUUUGAUGAAACUGCCAUGCUUUGGGCUCCCUCCGAAUCUAGUGCUUCUCCCCGGAUAAGCUUAGUGACAUGAAUUAGCAAAAUUCAAGCACCCACGUUGAGUUGCAGAUUGGAGCAAAGUCUACCCGAAUUUUUAAUAGGGUUUGUUGUGGUAGUGUAGGAAUCGGGCCGAUAGUGGGUAUGGACCUUUAUGUUUUUGGGCCUAGGACCUAUUUUUAUGCACGUACUAUAUAAGUGUGAUUUAGUGGUUUAUAUUGAUUAUUCAGAAAAUUCAACCAUUCUCCACAUUAUACCAUCUCUCCAUUAUAGUAAAACCUCCUCUACCUCUACCCGUGGUUUUUUCCUGCAAGGGUUCCAUGUAAAUCUGUGUUAUUCUUGUUUUCUUUUACUUGUGGUUUUCUUAUUCUGUCCGAAUCAUAACAAGAUGCUCUAGGUUUUUUUGUAUGCUGCAAUGGUACUCCUCUUUAUGAUAUGAAUGAAUCCGAUUUGUGUCUAUCAUCUUCUUCUUUUUUUAAAAAAAAUAGUCCAUUCAUAUUAGUGCUGCCCCAGUGGCCAUGAGUUAACUGAUUUGCACUUAUUCUAUUCUUGGUUUGUUGUUCUUAAUUUUCUAUGACGCCAAAAGGGGAAAUACUGAGUUAUUCAAGCAAGGAACCUGGUACUGCUGGUGCUGUUUGAAACAGGGGGAAUACUGAUAGGGGAAACACAAGGAGGAAGCAUAAGGAUAGGGGGAAUAUUGAUAGUGGUUGCUCUGAGGUUGAAUAAAGUUUGAUGCUCUGAAGUUAUGUUUUGUCAUCUUAAAAAAUGGAGAAAAUUGAUGUCUCAUGUUUUGAUGAUGUUCAGUUGACAUUAAAUGAGCAGGUCCCUGGCUCAUAAUGAAGUGGUACAGCUGUCACAUAUCUGCACAGUUUGUCCGCUAGUGCAACUAACUGUGCAGGUGUACAACAUACCUGAUUAAACACCUGGUCUAAUAAAAAUUCAACCCUGAUUUAGACUCCCCUAUAAAUAGAAAAUGUUGCUUCUCAAUCAAAUAAUUUUUGCAAUUUUGGUGAAUCACUAGAAAAGGAGAAAACUCUAUAUUGCUCAGGUUCCAAAGCUUUUGUGUGCUUAAGGUUUAGUAUUUCAUGAGUCAAGUAUUGCAUUGUAAUUGUUUUACUCAUCUUUUAAGAGUAAAGAUUUUCUUUGGCAGUAUAGUGCUUAGGUAGAGUUACCUAACCUAAGGUCCAUGAAUUAGAGUUUAUCGAUUGUGAAGUGAUUAAGGUGUGUAGAGUGGUUGUAGUAGAGCUGUUAAAACCUGUAGAAUAUAGAGCUAAGUUCUUGGAGUCUGUAAUUAAUGAGUUUUGAUUAUAGUGAAGAUUGAGUGCUUUUGAGGGCAAGCUGUGGUUUUUCCUCCCUUGAGCAAGGAGGUAUCACGUAAACCACUGUGUUCAUUUUAGUUUCUGCAAGUUUUUGUUUGUUACUAUUUUAUUGCUAUUCUCUUAGUCUUAGGGACCUGGUCCCUUGAACGGUGGUGCACCCUUUACGUUUCAACAGAGGGGAUCAUGUCACGACUCAAAUUCUGAAGCUAGGACUGGCACCUAAUAAGCCAUAACCCAUUAGGUCAACCGGUGCAUUCAAUCACCAAACUCAAAUUAAAGUCUGAAUUCUCAUUCAUCCCAGCACACCCCUAGAUCUCUAAGAGACCAUAAUUUUAUUUACAAAUUUCUUUCCUGUUUUUAAAACUCGUACAUGUAUGAUUUUAUUUAGCCGCUACCAUUAUUUUCUUGUGUCAAUCAUCUGAUAUACAGAACUCAAAGGCUAAAAAAAUGUGGAUUCUAGCCGCAUAGAGCACGAAUCAUGUUUCUUCCCAAGUACAGCUUAUUUACCAUUACUUUUCAGACAAAACUAUAUUGAUGCUUCUAUUUGUGAGUUAUCAAGGGACCUUGAUCGGUUGUAGAUUUCUGCUGUUUGACAGUAUAUAUGCUCCGGUUGGGAGUUAUCAAGGGACCUUCUACAUGUUUAGUUGAAAUGAUAGAAAAAAAUGGUCCCUUGUGUUUGGGGUAUGUUAAAAGUAGUUCCUCCGACCCUGCUAACGCUAGAUACUUUAUGCACCAAAUUACCCUUUUACGGAAUUGUUUUUAUCAUUUACUUGACAGCCCACAUCAUGUAAUUAUGCUUCCAAUAAAAUCAUAAGAAAAACCUUUAUGUUAUAUCUUUGACUCAUAAUGUAAAAUGAAAUCGCCGGUAUUUUUCCGGUAGAAGAUAGAAAAACACGAGACUUGAACAAGAUGUUACCUUUUUAAGGUCUAAAGUUUAGUGAUAGAAGUCCUUUUUUAUGAAAUGGUGUUGACCAGUGUCAAAGAAGAAUCAACUAUCUUGAUCUAGAUUUACAACUCAACAUUAUUACAAUACAACUCGUUGAUUUUUGUAAUCAUAGCCAGGCAUAGGAAACAAUUAAACUAAACACAGUGGAUUCAAAUAUUAGAAAUAGUCAAGUGUCUGUUUUUGAUAAGCGUGGUGUCUAGGCUAGUUUGCGUGCAACUCAUCUAAUUCCAUGGUAUACCUUUCACCUCCCACCAACAAGAAGUAUUGGGUGACUCUAGCUUUAUUCUACUCACCAAGGCUAGAACAGAUGAGAAGAAAUCACUAGAAAUAAUCAAGAAUUUUCAUCCACAUCAUGUUAUUAUGUUGUAAAUAGAAUCAAAAGAAAACUUUUUGUUAUAUCUUUGAUUCGUAAGGAAAAAUAAAAAUCCAGAUAGAGAAAACUAGGAAAGGAAAAAAACCAAAAGACUUUCAACGUGAUGUUACCUUUUCACUCUUUGAAGUUCAGCAGUUGAAGUUUGAGAAAUAACCUUGAACAGUGGCAAAGAGAGUAAGUUAUCUAUGGGAUCAAAAUGAUUUUGUCAGAGGAGUUGAAGUAAUUUGCUAAAUGGAGUGUAGGUGAAAGAAGAAUGAAAUAGGUAGGUAGAUCCAGAUUUAAAUUCAAAGAUUAUUAAAAUACAGCUCGUUGACUUUGAAUUUUUUUAAUAAUCGUUAUCAUCUUAGUCAUCUUAUUCAAUUGUUAAUUCUACUGCUUUGUGUAAAUGCUUCGCAUGGGCUGUUGAGAUAAGUAUUCACAUGGGUAGAUUGUUUAUUUAUUCAACUCCUUAAAAUCUGGUAAUUUGCUACAGAAGAACUUGAAAGGCCACCACCAACACAACUAAGAGCAAUCAAUUCAAUGAUAAUAUUAAAAUAAAAAUCAUUGACUUGGACUUGAUCAAUUUUUUGCCAGUCUCUUGUCUUGACAAUAUACAACAAGAAGAUAUCCAGUAAAAUCCCACAAGUGAGGUCUGGGGAGGAUAAAGUGUAUGCAAAUCUUAUCACUAUUUUUGAGAGGUAGAGAGGCUCAAGUGUAACAAAUCCAGGUACAAAGAGGAGGAACAUAAUGAAUAUGACAACACAGGACAAUGAAAAAUCUACCAUAAAAACAAUAAUCAGUCAUAAAAUAGUGUGAUAAGUAUUUACAUGGGCAGAUUGUUGGAAGUCUAAAAGAGAUUGUUUAUUUAUUCAACUCCUUAAAAUCUGGUAAUUGGCUAAAGAUGAACUUGAAAGGCCGCCACCAACACAACUAAAAGUAAUAAAUUAAGCAAUAAUAUUUAAAAUACAAAUCAUUGACUUGGAUUUAUUCAAUUGUUUGCACGUCAACCUCUUGUAUAUUGACAAUAUAUAUGUGACCUGCAAAUUGUGGUGAUGCAUGUUCAGGCCAACUUUCCCGCACUUUGAUUAAGUACACGGAAUACUUGCAACUUCCCAUCGGCAUCAGAUAUCAUGUAACUAGCUGUCAUGUAAUUAUGUCCACCAAGACUAGGACAUGUGGAAGAGAGUUUUCUUCUUGUCUCCACAAAGAAUAUUACUUUUGAUAACCAUAGUGUUUGGGCCAGCUUUUGCGCUCCUCCACUAAAAUCCAUGGAUACCUGCAACUCUUUAGGCAACUCUGCCAACUAAGGCUAGGAUAAAUUGGAGGAGUGUUUUUUUGUCAGAAAUUAAGAAUAUUGAUUAUGACAAUUGUGAUAUUUGGGUCAUCUUUCUCGCACCUUGACUAAAUUCAUGUAAUACCUGCAACCUUUCACCAACAAUAGAUAUCAAGUAACUCUGUCCACCAACGCGAUAGGAAGAGUGUUUUUUUGUCUCCACAGAGAAUAUUGUUUCCUUUUUUCUCCAUUUUGUUCUUAUUGUACCUAAUAAACUAUUUAAUCUUCAUUUCUUUACUUCGGUGAGUGUUACAUACUUCAAUGUCUGAAAUUUAAUACUUUUUCUGUCCCAGUUAUUAGUCCGUCCCGAGCACAAAAAAAGACACAAAAAAUAUACCCUCCCUCAGUUCUGUUGUUCGAACUUUUCCAACGAACCAAUAUACUUUCCUUUAAACAUGAAGCACUGGUAGGUUACUUAUAAAUGAACAAAAUCACAAAAUGGAAUGGGACAACAUAAAAGCACUGAACAAAAAUUUGUGUAGAUCGAAAUUGUUUAUAGCGACAUAAGAAUGAAGAGAUCUCAUAUUCCUCUUGGAUGACUUAGGAAGAUGACCUGAUGAAAUAAUAUACGCGCUGCUCUAGCCAUAUUUGAAUAGUACCGCGCAAUAGAUUCUUCAGCUCUGUCCAAACCAUUAUGCAUUAGAUUUUUAAUGAGCUUCUUGUCUGUUGUUUAUCAGCUAUCGGAGAGCAAGCGUAGCAGCUAAAUUAUCUCUUCUUGUAGAGCUAGCUGCAACAGCAACCAUAUUCCAACAUAUCAUUUUCCUCUUUUAUGUUAGAGUGAAUCCACGUAGUCAAAUUUGUACUUCCGAAGCACUAAAGAAUUAACAGUAACAGUUCUAUAUAUGUAUCAAUAUCAAGAAUCUAACAUGAGUAGUCCACAUCAUGAAACUGAAGAUAAAUUUAGCUAAGGAAACCAGAUAGUAUACUUAGACAAACCUGAGGCAACAAUUGCAAAAAAGCACAGAUAACAACUUGGAAACAAAGACCAGAUAGCAUUUCCCUUAAAAUAUGGAAUUCUGGCAGAGUGAAGCUGCAGCUUUUCAAUUCACAUUAAGACUAGUACAUUUUUCUUGAACCAAUUUGUCUGAAAUUUUAGAACGGGUAUUCAGCAUUGAUGUAUUAAUAGGCACAAGAGGAUUUUUAACAACGCUUACCGUUGCACAUGAGGCCAAAUUUUGUACAUCACCACCUAUUUAAACAUCUUGAUCAUUAAAUACUGCACCCCUCAACUCCUUUCAUGUUGAGGAUGACUUUCAUACUUUAAACGUCAACAAUUUUUUUUAUACCCAAACACCUUCAAUGUCAUACAAAUUGUUACUUCUAUUAAUCCUAGAAGAAAAUCACAUAUGUUAUAUAUCAUAAUAGAGUUUUUUGCAUAGGUCAUGUACAGUGCAUCCCAAGCUGUCUUUGCUGAGGUAGCCGCUGCAACAGUUGUGGCAAUUGUUGGAUCAACAGAUGUCAUAAGUGCGUUUUGAAUAAGUUGGUCUUGUCAAAAACAACUAGUAAACACAGGAUUGGCACUAGGGACUGUGCCAGUUGUGAGAGUGUGAGAUGGGGAAGGUGUAGACCCAUCAAGAAGACCAUAGAGAUCAUGACCAUGCAUAAGCAUGGAAAAUUGCGUCUUCCACGUUGCAAAAUUGUGGCUACCAAGCAAUUUAAUGGGCAAUUGGGACGCAGGGUUAAAUUGAACAACCAACAGAAUGAUGUUGUUGUCAGCAUUAACAACUCGAGGAGUGUCUUCCAUUUGUGGAGGGUGUUUGGGAGGAAAAAAAUCUUACUUGUUAGAGUAUACUGAGGUCUCUGAUACUAUAUAAAGCUGAGUCAAGUAUGAGAGAUUAUUUGAUUUCAUUUACAUGUGUGUAUAUAUACAAGAGAAUACAAACUAAAUAAGGAAAGAAUCAAGUAAUAAAGAAUAAAGAUCUUGUCCUAAAUAGAAACAAAAUCACUUUGAUAUACUAUGAUAUGAAAGAUCUGCUGAGAUAGGGAAGAUCAAUCAUGAGAUAUCUUCCAAGAUAAGAUGUAUGCGCCAAUACCCCCCACCCCCGCCCCCUAAACUCAAUUUUAGCGAAUUGUUGUUAUCUUUUUGUGCUAAUGUGACACCUUUAUUACAUAAAAAUGGGGCCCAUGUUCAAGAUGUCACGUCAGCUAAAAAGAUUGGCAAAAAUACGCUAAAAUUUAGUUAGGAGGUAAUAGGAGCCCCGUGAAGUUGGAGUGUGUCAUAGCAAAUUUGGUCAUUGUCCGGUGUACUAGAAGGAAACAAUUUUGUAGUGCAAGGCAUAGCAGCAGCACGCCUACUAGGAGGUGAACUGAGCAUAGAGGAGGAGCUGAGGGCAGCAAGGAAGGGUUCUGGUUUUGAUGGGGACAGUGAAUGUUUUUGGGAAAGAAAGAAACUUUUCUUAUUUAUGCUUCAGAUUAAAAGUUAUUGUUUAGACAUAUGUAUGGCAUUCUGUAUCUUAACGUUUAGUGUUAAUGUGGAUGACUAUUGUAUGACGUACCGAUGAGUUGUUUGCUUCCUUCUCUCUUUUCUCCAUUAUUCCCUCUUCCCAUGAUUGAACUUUCCAAAGUAGCUUCUCGUGCCCUUCCUUUCUAGUUCUCAAGGUCUGAAGCAUAAAAAUUUAUCAGGUGGAAGAAGUAAGAUUUCCAGAAACUUAAGAAAGAAGGCACAAAACAUAUACAUGCCCUUUAACUUGGCCACAGAUCACAUGUAUGACCUCCAACUUUGGAUUUGCACAAUUAGGCACUUAAACUUGUAUAAAGUUGAACAAGUAGACACAUAUGUCAUAUGUGGCAUCCUACAUGGUAAAUUCUUGUCCUACAUGACAUCCUACGUGUAUUAUGCCGUCACACCCCUUUUUUUAACUCUUAAAAAAGAUUUCAAUUUUAAGUUUGAAAGGGUUUUUGUUACUAAAGUGACACAAAUGAAGAUUUUGUUUUGAAAAGGAUUAUUUACAUUUAAACUCAGAGUCACCACUUGGCAUAAUCCGAUGUGCCAAGUCAUGAUUGGAAAUCCUUUUUAGAAAAAUGAUUUUGACUCUUUUAAACUGAUUCGCGAACAGAGAUUCCGAUUAAAGAAUUAUGUUGACAGAGGAGAAGGUGUUAGGAAACCCUCGAUCCCGUGGUUCAACCACAGUUGCUUGAUGGAGCGUAUCGUUUAAUUUGACAUUACGAAUGUAUAAGCCACACAAAAACACAUAAAACAAUCAAACACACAAAACAAAUCCAAAAUAUUGUGUCCAGUCCAAAUAUACAAUCCAAAAAUAAAAAAAUGUGAAAAUAUAAAUCAGAUUCUAAGAUAAUCCUAAAACUACGCUCCAAUGCCUUACCCGAUGCCUCAGACCUUGAUCACGAGCCUCCUAUACGUACAUGAUACUUCGAGUCAUUCCCCGGAUAAAUCAAUACAAGUCCCUCAGGGCAUUUCCUUGUAAAAUAAAUACAUUUUCUCAAUUCUAUGCAUUAAGAUUGAAAGAACCAUUCAACAAAUAUUCACACAUUCAACAAAUCACCAUCUUCCAUUUUCUACAAUUUGCCUAUCCAAGCUUAGUAUUUUCCUACCCAUUUAACGAUCUAAAACAUGAUACUUUAAAUUUAAACCAUAUCCAAAAUGAAUCAAAUCUAAUCAAUGCUCAACUUAUUCGAUUAUCAAUUCCCCCAAAUUUCAUUCAAAGUUGCAAUAUAACAAUUCACGAUUACCAUUUUUCGACAAUCUACGACCAAAUAAUUCCACAUUAAUCAUUCACAUCACACCCAAAAUAAGAGAAAAUUGAGACGUAACAAUCAAUCACACACUAAAAUAAAGAAUUAACGGAGAAUAAGAAUAAGAUAAAGAUGGACCUUAAUGUGGAAAUUUUUACUGCAAUUUAUGAACACAGAUUGAACGAGAAGCAAUUCAAGAGUCGAACCACAAAUCAAAAGUAGCCAAGAGACAAAAUUGACGAGCCACAAUAGAAAAUUUGAACUGAACCUCAAUAAACAACCAAACUCGACCCUCAAAUCUGUCUCGCACCACUCGACGCAGCCAAGGAAAACCCAAUUAAUCGUGUUCUCCAGACAGAAACUUUCACCGCCGGAACAGUAACAGUGGUGGAGAAGGUUAUUCAAUUACUAUUUAUCGGUGACGGAUUCAAUAGAAUUCGGUCGAAAUGAAGCUCUUUUGCUGUUGUUGGGUUGUCGAUUUAGAUUCUCCGGAGCUCCAACGACUUGAUGACAAUGUGAAUAGGCGAAAGACGAUGUGGCUGGUGCGGUGGUGGCGCUUUUCUGUUGAAGACUCACCAGAAUAGUCAGCCCAUCAUUUUUUUUCUCUCGAUCUCUUCUCUCCCUUUCUUCUCUUCUCUCGAUGCUCUAUCUCUCUCACUCCUUCUCUCUCUAUCCCAUUUUUUAUGUGUGAAUUAUGUCAAUUUAAGUGUUUUUGUGAGUCUUGUGCGUCUGUUGCUGUGUUGUUUAUUGUUGGUCAAGGAAAUAGAAAACGGAGAAGUCUCUGUGGAAUUGUAAGGCGAAGACUAGUGAUCCCUUUCACUUUGGGCCCCCCUGUUUUAUUUUGUCAUCUUUUUUUUUUUUGGAAAGUAACGUGGGAGGGGGGUUAAAGGUAGGGGUAGGGGUGGUGAGGUAGUGAGGUAGGUGGGUUAGGUGUCCUAAUUUCAUAGGCAGGGUUGUUAAUUAGUUAUCACAAGAAUAAUUGGGGAUUGGGUUUAUUAGGGUUUUGUUUAGAUUUGUUAUUUUUCUGUAUUUUUAUGGAGGAGUUAUCAUGUAGAUGAGGGUACACGAUAGGAUAAAGUAAAAAUGGGUAAAAGAUAUCGGGGGGGGGGGGGGGAAAUUAGGGGUCUACAUCAUGCCCCCUUUAAAUGUAAUCACGGAGUGUUUUCAGACAAAGCAGUAGACAACAAGACAGAAUUUUGUCCCGACCAUUAUUCAAAGGAAGAAAUAGAAGGAAAAAGAACAACCGAGUCCUGACUUAGGAUAACCUACCUACCCAAGUUAUGGAGGAAUCAAGUCGCGGGUAUCUCAUAGGAUUGGAAAGAUAAAAACUAUACCGAGUUAGAGAGUCGAGUGAGGUUCCAUCGAGGUUCCGGUCCGCGGCUCUGUCAUAACAUAAAAAAUAAAAAUUACAAGUUAAAAAUAUAAAUGAAAUUACAAAAAUUCUAUCUAUGUAGCUUCUAUUGGACUCUUGACUCGCUACUUCAUCGCCCUAUUCUUCAGACAGGCUCCUGACUUGCAAUUUCUUCAACUUGUUGCUUGCCUUUCAAUUUCUACACCCUGUUCUCAAACGGGUUCCUGACUUGCUAUUUCAUCAACUUGUUGCUAUGCUUUCAAUUUAUUCACCCUGUUCUGCAGCGGGCUCCUGACUUGCUAUUUUUUAACCUGUUUAACUUUUAAUUUCUUCACCUUGUUGCUUGGUUUCCAUUUAUUCGCCCUGUGCUUCAGGCGGGCUCUUGAAAUCACAUCAAAACUAGAAAGAAAAUUAUCCCAAACAAAAAUUAUUAUAAAGAGAAAUUUCGUUUACCAGAAAAGUAAAGUUCCAAAAACAAGAAUUUAAUUUUGCCCCAGUUCAUCAUCAAUGGCUUUUGUGAAAGUCACAUCAUUAUAGGAAUUAAGGAGAAUGACUCGAUUAAAAGGUACGUCUUAUAGGAAUCAAAGGGAAUGACUCGACUAAAAGGUAUACCUUAUAGGGGUCAAGGGAAAUGACUCAACUAAAAGGUACGCCUUAUAGGAAUCAAGGGAGUUAACUCGACUAAGAGGUAUAUCUUAUAGGGGUCAAGGGGAAUGACUCGACUAAAAGGUACAUCUGAUAGGAAUCAAAGGAAUGACUUGACUAGAAGGUACGCCUUAUAGGAAUCACGGGGAAUGACUCAACUAAAAAGUAUGUCUUAUAGGAAUCAAAGGGAUUGACUCGACUAAAAGGUACGUCUUAUAGGAAUCAAAAGGAAUGACUCGACUAAAAGGUAUGUCUUCUAGGUGUCAAGGGGAAUGACUCGACUAAAAGGUAUGUCUUAUAGGAAUCAAAGGAAGACGACUCUACUAAAAGGUACGUCUUAUAGGGGUCAAGGGGAAUGACUCGACUAAAAGGUACGUCUUAUAGGAAUCAAAGGGAGAUGACUCGACUAAAAGGUACGUAUUAUAGGAUUCAAAGGGAGAUGACUCAACUGAAAGGUACGUCUUAUAGGAAUCAAAGGAAGAUGACUCGACUAAAAGGUACGUCUUAUAGGAAUCAAGGGGGAUGACUCUACUAAAAGGUACGUCUUAUAGGAAUCAAGGAGGAUGACUCGACUAAAACGUACGCCUUAUAGGAAUCAAGGGGGAUGACUCUUCUAAAAGAUUUGUCUUCUAGGAAUCUAGGGGGAUGGCUCAACUAAAAGGUAAGCCUUAUAGGAAUCAAAGGGGAUGAAUUAACUAAAAGGUAUGUCUUAUAGGAAUCAAGGAGGAUGACUCGACUACAAGGUAUAUCUUUUAAGAGUCAAAGAGAAUGACUCGACUAGAAGGUACGUCUUCUAGGAGUGAAGGUUCAAUUUAAGAAGUGUAUCACCCAGCAAAUAAAAACUAAAAUCCCUGGACAGUAAAGUGUGUCUCCAAGGUAUAUAAGAUGAUGAAUUUUUACCAUGAUUUAAUUAUCAAACCUGUGCAACAACAUUGCUUCCUGCAUUUGUAAAAGCGAGAAAUUAGGGGCCUUGAUGUUUAGGCUUUGAAAUCCUUGAUUUGAAGGUGACAUGUGUUCCUGUUUCAUGCAAGUAAAAGCUGUGAGUUUAAAAAAAUGGAGACAGGUUUGUGGCUUUGGCUUUCGUGGCAAACGCUCUUGCCGUCAUCAUAUUUAACCUUCCUUCCAACUAUUACAUAUAUCAUUGACUUGAUGCAUCAUUGACCCAAACUCAAAUUAUUAAGAGUGACUUUAAAACAAACACAGUAUCUUUGUUUUGCCAUGCUCCUCAAAUAAACCCUUUGAACUUUGGUAUUUCCAUGAGGUCCCAAACUUGUCUGCUGAUAGAACUUUCUGUAUGCCUUAUUUCGGCUCACAAUCAUAUCUCUUUCAUGUAUUGGCCUUUUGUUACGCUUUUUCAAUUGAAGAAGCUGGUAGCCAGUUUUGAAAUCUUUUCUCACUUGUUUUGACACGGACUUGACUCAAAGACAAGAAACAAAAAAAAAGAAUGACAAUUUUUGUUUGGAUAACUGACUCAAGAAAGAUAAAAUAAAAAUAAAGAGAAGAAAGAAAAGACAAUGAAUAUCCCCUUUUGAAAAAAAGAACCGAAAAAUUCAUCUAAAAAUGAAUAGUCAACACUAAUGAUUAUGACAUGCAUUUUGGAUUAAGCAGCUUGAUCUUUUCAUCCAAACUUUCUACCCAUUGUUGUUGAGUUAGUGUCUUUGAAACUGAGUUUCUUCCUUAGGUCUAUUGUAUUUAAGACCCCAUUCAGCUAGUGGUGCCUUGAAGGGUUUUCGCCAACAAGCUUCUCUCAUUUUCUUUUUCUCAGUUCACCAUUGCCUUAUGGUAUCUGUAAGGAUUUUACACUGAUGAGACUCUCUUAUCUUUGUUUCCCUUAACUCACAGUUAUCUUAUGGUGCCCAUGAGAGUUUUCACCGAUAAGACUCUCUCAUUUUUAUCUCUCUCAACUUACCAUCAUCUUACGGUGCUCGUGAGGGUUUUCACCAAUAAGACUCUCUCAUUUUUAUUUUUCUUUUGUUUUCUUAUGCUGAGGAAGACAAGUAGUUCUCAAAUGCAUCGUAUAUCCCUUGCAUGCUUAUCCUUAACAUCCUCAAAGAUUGAUCUGAUGGUCUUUCUUUGGUUGUAACUUGGCUUUUGGAUAGGGUUGGAAAUAAAGGAUGGCAUGGGCCCCAAAUGAUAAUAAAAGUAGGGUAGAACUUACAACUUUUGGAAUCAACUCAAACAAUGAGUAUUAACUCAUGCCCCAGUUUCUUUUGACUGGGAAAUUCUAAAUUUUAUUUGGUUAGACCGAGCCCAGAGUAGGGCAGCCUACGUAUCUCACCCCCAUGAGAGGAGAAUCAGGUCACGCGUAGUUCUGGCAGCUUAUUCUUUUUUUUUUUGCUUGAUUCUGACUUGUUCUUUUUCUUUUUUUUUUACUCUUUUUUCUAUGUGAUUUUUUUGACUCCAAUUUCUUGACACUCUAUUCUUCCUUCGUGGACAUAUUUUUCUGUCUUUUCUUUUUUUAUGAAACUUUCUGACUCUAUUCUCUGGCUCGAUACUUUUCUUUUGAGCUUUGCUGUCUUUAUCUUGAUUCCAAAAGAGGGGUAUGAAAGAAAAUAACACUAAGGCUCAAAUGGAGUAAACAAAGGAUGACACAAUGUUUGGAUAGCAGAAUAAAUGUCUUCGUCAUAUCAAUCCUUAAAAAUACUAGUACAUAGCAUGCAAUGUGAAAGUGGACGAUCAACAUCACUUAUAACGUGUUUUACAACACUAAAUUUCCCCAAGCAUGUGUGUCACCUCUUUUUCUAUACUUUUCAAACAUACAACUUCAUAUUUAUUGUACAUCCCUCACUUUGAAUGACUCAUGCUUUCGUGGAGUUGAUUUUCUUUCUAUUCCUCUUGAUAGGAUCACGCAGAAACUGUUUGACCUAAUUGAGACUUGUCUUUCAAUUGAUGACCAAGUUAUUCUUGUGAUUCUCUAUAUAAUUGCCUUAAUUUUCAAAGAGUCUUCAACUUGAUCACCAAAUUCCCCAACACUCUAUCUAUUUUCUCAAAUUCUCUCUUUUUCUAACUUUAACCCUCUAAUUCAAUGUUCAUGCUUAAACUAGAUUUUAAAAUCUACUGAAAAUUCCGCAAGCAUAUCAUAUCACUAGAGUCAACAUAAAAUGUAAUGUAUAAAGAAAACAAACAAACAACACAUAUUUUAGAAUACAAAGGAAAAGGGACAAUUCAUUUAGUUGAAAUAAAAGAUAGAAGGGNNNNNNNNNNNNCAAAAGAAGAUAGAUCCCGAACUACAACCCUGAAAUAAUUCGGACAACAGAAAAUAAAAAAAAUACAAGCUACCAAACCUCUUCCUAGUAGGGAGAGGGGUGAAUUCUCAAUUGCUCAGCCUGACAACUUGUAAUACCCCGGGAAAUUUUUCGUUGAAAUUUUGUGCGUAAAUGUGUUGGGUUCUAUCUUCUAGAAUAAAUUAUAAUUUUUUCAUGCAGAAUAUCUUAUAUUAUGACCCACCAUUAAGUAUAGUAUAGAAUAAGCUUUCCAACGAUAUGUGGAUCAUCCAAAACGGAUACCCGAGCGACGAGUUAUGAACAUUCCGAUCGAACUGUGAAUAGUAGUGAACAGUAAAACGUGCAGGAAAAAGUACUGAGGCCUGGUGUAUUUUUGCUCUAAUUUAAAUGAUCAUAACUCCUUAUACAUAAUGAUCUAGGUGAUCUACUAUAUAUCAAUAGAAAGCUCUGUCCUCUUUCCAAUGAAAUUGGUUUCAUCCAAUUUGUCUAUCGAAGCAAAAAGUUAUGGUCGAUCUACUUCAGCCUACCAAAAGUAAAUUUUUGGGUCAACUUCAAACGAUCAUAAUUCUUCGUACACAAUAAUCUGGGUGAGAUACUAUAUAUCAAUGGAAAGAUAUGAGAGUCCUCUUUCUAAUGAAAUUGGUUUCAUCCAAUUUGAAAAUUGGAGUAAAACGUUAUGGUUGAUCUACUUCAGGCUAUCAAAACAAUCCACCAAAGGACAGAUUCGAGAAUUAUUUGAUUUUUAGGAGCGUUUUGGUCAUUCCCCCUCACCCAAAAUCCGUCCAAACCCUUUAUUAAAGCCUAUUAGAAGCAUUAUAUGUUAUAUUUCAUCAAAUUCCCUCAGAAGGAAACCCUAAGCUCCUAUAUCCAACUUCAAGAACGUCCAAAGUUCACCAUUAAUUCUGCAAAUUUAUUCAAGAUUCCAAGUUCCUAGUUCAAGAACUCCAACAACCAUCAUUCAAAGGCACGAUUAAUAUAUCAAAAAUGAGUAUUGAUCUAAAGUUCAUUAUUCAAGGUAUGUAGGGUUUUUCAACAAGAACUCUCUUUCGUUCUUGUGCCCAAAAGUAAUUUUCUUUACAAAGGCAUGUUUUUAUUUGAUUUUUACGAAUUUGAAGCAUGAACCUAUAUCUUAUGAUGAUUAUUAUGAAAUCUUGAUAUUUAUGAUUUUGAAAGAUGAAUUUACAUGUGUGGAGAUAUAAAGCAUGAAUCUUGAACGAUAUUUAUCAUGAUUUUGAUAUUUGGAUCGUGAAUCCCCAUUGGAAAUUGUGUUUUUUUUAGAAAGUGUGUGUUAUAAGCACGUUGAUGUUGAAUAUUUGAGAUAUUUUGAAUGAUUUGACCUUUUGGUCUUAAUGGAGUUGUUUUGAACUCGAGUGUGAAAGAAAUUCACAACAUGGUUGAUUUUGAUAGAUGGGAAGCAUGAUGGCUCCGGAUGUAUACUUAUAUAUUACUGAAAUUAUUUUAUUUUGGAUUGUCUUUGAAAUGAUCGGAGCUAAGUCUGGCAGAAAUCUUUAGCAUCGAGUGGGAGGUAUAAAGCGACCUUACUUCCCUAUAACUGCGUGCCCCCGUAGGAGUGAGCCUGAGGCUGAUUUAUACAGUGAUCACUAGUUUGUAUGGAUUUGAUAUCGAUAGUCUUACUCUAAUGGCAAGGAUAGGAUGGAUCUCCCCAACGUGGGUUGUACGUUGGAAUCCAUGUAGCUCGCAUGGUUUAUGUCGGUUAUAUGAUCAACCAGUGUGUGUGUGUUUGCUUGUGUCUAUGGUGAAUGGUGAAGUGAUUUGAAAGUGUAACUGUGAAAGUUAUUCUUUUGAAAGAUUUAAAUGAUAUUUACAUUAUGAGAAUUGANNNNNNNNNNNNNNNNNNNNNNNNNNNNNNNNNNNNNNNNNNNNNNNNNNNNNNNNNNNNNNNNNNNNNNNNNNNNNNNNNNNNNNNNNNNNNNNNNNNNNNNNNNNNNNNNNNNNNNNNNNNNNNNNNNNNNNNNNNNNNNNNNNNNNNNNNNNNNNNNNNNNNNNNNNNNNNNNNNNNNNNNNNNNNNNNNNNNNNNNNNNNNNNNNNNNNNNNNNNNNNNNNNNNNNNNNNNNNNNNNNNNNNNNNNNNNNNNNNNNNNNNNNNNNNNNNNNNNNNNNNNNGUUCUUUUCCAUGGUACUGACCCACAUCUUCGGAUGUGGGCUAUAUUUUCUCAGAAUGUAGGUUCAGGUGCUCAGUUCCAGGUUCGACAGUGAUUCUUCGGGCACGCUGUUCUACAUCCUCUGUUGUAGUGAGUCCUCAUGUUCCUAGGAUGUGAUGUCUGAUGUUGGUUUCACAGAAUUAUUUACAUUUGAUAACUGAGUAUGAGUCAGUUGGGGCAUGUCUCAAUGGCUUGCUGGUUUUAUUGAUUUUCUUAGAGGCUUGUCAGACUAGUAUAGAUGUUAGGAGUUGACUAAUAAGUCGUAUUUUGUUAUCUUUCUGAAAUUCUUUUAUUCUUGGAUGAUGAUUACUCUGUUGAUAUUUGAGGGUUAUUUAUGAAAACCCCGUUGAUUUGUGUUGAACUGAAUGAAUAUGGCUCAAAGGGUUAGCUUGGGGCUACUCAUAGCCUCAAACACCGUGUGACGCUCCGGAACCCAUUUUCCGAGGCAUUACACAACUUAGCCACUAGUUUUCAUAUUAGCAUGACUAGACCUUUUCUCGCUGUCAAUGUUCUACACCAUAAUCGAUUUAUCUUGAAUCAUCUUUUCUAUUUCUCUUUUCAAGGAAUGACAAUUUUCAAUACUGUGACCCUGAACAUUAGAAUGAUACGCACAUUGUACAUUAGGAUCAAAAUUUCUUGAAUUCGGGUCAGGAGUUUACCUAAGGAGAGGAGUGAUUAUGCCCCCCUGUACUAAUAUCUAAAAUAAAUUGGCAUAUAACUCUCUGAUUGGUGUGAAAUUAUACCUUGACUUCUGUCUCAUUCCAUUGUUUGGCUUAAAUUAAAAACAAGGCCUAGAAGGGCUUUGGUAUGUAUGUGGAGUUGGAGGGUGACUCGGCAGAGUUGGCAUGUGCCAGUAUGGGUAAGAUGGGGGUGAACAUAUGGUUGCACAUUAUACACUUGAUAUGGAGAUAAAGGAAUGGAAUAUAAUGGAUUUUAGGAAAGAUUCUAUGGAGCUUGGGCAUAAACUUGGGUUUGAGCCCAUGGAUAACGAUGGUGUGGUCCUCUCGCCCAUGCCUGUUGUCCAACUAAAAUGGUAGAUGCAUCUUCCUCAUUCUUCAUUCCUCCAACACUUCCUGAACCUUUUUGAAUUGCUUAAGUAGUCGCUUUCAAUGUUGCAAAACUUAUAAUGCGACCGGUCUUAAUCCCAUUCUCUAUCAUCUUCCCCAUUUUGAGGACUUCAAUAAAUGGCUUGCCUAAUGCAGGUAACAAAUAUUGAUAAUAUGUUUCAUCCUACACUUGAGUAAACGCCUCCACUACCUGACUUUCUUUCAUUAGUGGUUUCACCCUAGAAGCUUGUUCACGCCAUCUAAUCGCAUACUCUCUGAAAGUUUCAGUACUCUUUUUUUUUAUAUUAGUUAGGAAUUUCUCAUCAGGAAUUAACUCCAUAUUGUAUUGAAAUUGUUGCACAAAUUCAUUAGCCAGGUCAUCCCAGCUAUUCCACUUGUUGAUGUCUUGGUCAACAAACCAUUUUGAAGCUAAACCUGAAAGAUUCUCACCGAAAUAUGCCAUGAGUAAUUCUUCCUUCCCUCCAGCGCCCCUCAUCUAGUUGCAAUAACAUCUCAAAUGUGCUACAGGAUCUGAUACAAGAAUUCCUAGCUUGAGACCUUUCACACGAAGCCAAGCACGUGAGUUACAACGACUCCAAGCCUUGUUCACAUUCUUGGCCAUGUGUGAGGCCCUUGUGAGCCCAUCUAAGGGCCUAUAUUUAAUAAAAUGUAAAGAGGCCCACCAAGACACCCCAAACCCACCCAUUUAAAUGGCAAGGGUAAUUUGGUCUUUGUACCUCCUUUCUAAGUGACUAUAUAAGCCAUGUAAUAGGGCUAGUCUUGCUUUAGUUCAUUCCUAUUAUUCAAGAAACAAAGACUUGCAAAUUUUUUACUUCUCUUCUCACCAUUUGGAGAGGCCAAAACCAAAUUUUGACUAGUAGAGUAAUACUAGUGUUGUAUCUCGGCUAGAAACUAGGUUCUUGAUAUUCUUUGAGUUCCUCUUGGUCCAAGUAAGAGCUUGAUAUUGAUAUUUAUUAGUAUUAGGGUCCUUUCUCUUGUUAGGGUUCUCAGAUUAAUGAAUAUUGUGUGUCAAGUUUCUAUCUCUUUCUUUGUAAAUCUUGUUAACAUUGUGUUGUUGAAUAUAAAAGUCUAGUGAAGCUGUGUGGCGCUCUUUCAAUUCACUAGCACUAUUGUCUUUGUUGUUCUUGUUGUUAAACUGACUUUUCUAGUUCAAAAAAGUGUUGCAAGCCUAGUGAAGCCGUGUGUGGCCAUUUUCUAUUCACUAGCACUUUGUUGUUCAUUUUGUUGUUCUUGUGUUGGUUGGAAUAUCUUGAUACACACUUAGCAUUGUAUCAUUUGGUAUCAAAUCUCAAGGCUAGGUUUUGUUCUUACAAAAACAAUCUUGGAAAGCUCUUAGCAAAAAGUGUGUUCUUGAACAUUUUGGUAAAAAAAAUUGGUUGUAGAUCUACAAAAGUUUUACUUGUUUAGUUGUUUCUUGUGUUGGUUUCUUUAUCAUCAACACAAAGGGUGUCUAAAUAUAAAGUUGAGCUUAAUGAAAAAGAGAAUUGUGUUGUGAAAAAAAAACUUGGUGGUGUAUUGUUGUUGUGUUCUUGAGGGUGUUGAUGUUGUGUUCAUCCUAAACUUCUCCUCAUCUUAUGUCUUAACUUCUAUAAAGAUAAAUAGAUCCAAAAAUAUUGUAAGACAAAAUUGAAAAUUGUUUGUGAGAAGACUUGCCAACAUCACCUUUUCAAGACUUGACAACCACUUUUCCUUAAAACAAGGAACCUUGUCUUGUGGGACUAGUGAGGUCAAACAUCCCCUUUUGAGUUUGAAAAAAAAAAAGAAAAAAAAAGGGGGUAUGAAAAAUGUUAUAAUACUUUAUGUUUUCCAUCCCAAUAACAAGUCAUCCAUUACAAAAGAUCUAAGGGGACUAAGACUUCAAGUUGAUGAACUAUUUAUGUGAACCUGCGGCCAUUGACAUGCUGCCAGGUCACCCUAGUUACUGUUCACGUGAUAAUUAAGCUCAAAUUUGGAUGUUCUAGUUUCUAAUUAUUGAUUCCUAGUUUCCUCUAAUUGACUUGAGAACUAAUUAACAAACUAGUACAUUCCUACUAGCUUGUCAAUUAGUCACUUGAAGCCUUGUGUUCGUGUCAACAUUUGUUUGUGUGCUUUUGUCGUUUUUAUACGUUGUAACUCUUGGCUCUAUUCCGACGAGAAUUAUUUGAGUUUCAAACAAGAAUUCAUUCUGGGCAAGAGCAUACUCAUACCUUACGGAUUCAUGAGUUCCUAGCCAAUCUACAACUCUUGUGAAACUUGAGUGUGAGUGAACCAAGAGAGUGUGAGUGAGGAGAGGGAUUUUAAACUAACUUGUUUUUUUCUUGUGUAGGUGAUACCUUGAUAAUGGAGGGAACCACGUCUCAAACCGUGGAUUAUAAUGAAAUGGAGAAUAUGAGGGUCACUCUUGAGGCUAUGACCCGAGCUCUUGAAAGGUUGAGUACGAAAGUGGGAGCCAUAAAGGGAGAAGUGACAAGUAUUAGUGGGACGUUAGAACAAAUGGAGAGUCAAAGAAACUCUCGUCCUUCUAGUCCUCGACAUGUUUCGUCAAGUGGACAUGAUAGAAAUUCCUCUGCCACCGUUACUCCCAAAACAUGGCCACAAUUGCCAAAUCCUUCACUAGCUCCACUAAAUGCCGCAAGCCAAACCACUUAUAACCCACUAAACCGAGACUCCAAUAGACCAACCCAUUCCCAAAUGUCUCAAGUUCCGCAAGAGGUACUCAGACGUUAAAUGCCUCCACAAAAUCUGAACCCUCUCUUCCAAUCUCCACUAAACCAAAGACCAUCACCUCCACAAAAUCCAAUUCCUCCGAAUCAAGUUCCAAAUGUCCAAAAUCAUCCCGUCCACAUUGAGGAAUAUGGUAGAGAGGAUUAUGAAGGGUAUGGAUCCUUUGACGAUGCCUACAUAAAGGAGGAAGAGAUGAGAAGAUGUUGUGUGAAUCCACGUAGAUACCGAGGGUAUGGAGAAAGGGGAAACCGACACCUAGAGAAAGACGUAGGCAUCAAUACCAUCAAAUUGAGCCUACCUAUAUUUAAGGGUGAAAGUGACCCCGAGGUGUAUCUUACUUCGGAGUCAGCGUGUGAUAAAGUGUUUCAAGUGAAUGAUAUCUCAGAGAAGGAGAAGAGUUGUUAUGUCAUAUCUCAUUUUGAAGUCUAUGCUAACACUUGGUGGGAAUACGUCAAGUGGUUCGGCAACGAGUUAGUAGAGGGAAAACCACUACCAUGGUUUCGGUUGAGGUACCUAAUGAGGCAACGGUAUCUUCCCGAAAGUUAUCGUCAUGAGUUGCUUACUAGGUUGUACAAUUUACGAAAAGGGAAUCGAAGUGUUAUGGCAUACUAUGACGAGUUUCAAAACUCAUGUUGAAGCUUGAUCAUCGGGGAGAACAAAUUGGCCAUGACAUCAUUCGGUUCAAGUGUAGGUUGAACAAAGAGAUCUCCACUCAUUUGACGCUUCACAAUUUUGAUACCGUUGAAGGGAUUUUCCAAGCUGAUCUUGAGAUUGAAAGGGAGCUUAAAAAGAGGUCGUCGUUCAAGGCAAAGGGACCAUCAACCUCGGGUUGGCCAAGGAGCAAAGAUAUGGUUCAACCAUCUUCGGGUUGACCCAAAAACAAGGACCAACCCGCCACUACAAGGUUGUACAAGCCUAAAACAGUCCAUAAAUUUCCUCCCCGGUAAGAAGCUCACAAGUAUCCUAAUCCUAAAGGGUUCCAAUGUUUCAAGUGCCAAGGUUGGGGACAUAAAGCCAAUGAAUGUCCAAACUGGCGCAAUGUGAUCCUAAGGGAAGGGAGAUUGUAUAACCUUUGUGGGAAAGUGGGUCUUGAAAAAGAAGAGAAUGAGGCCGAGCCUCAAGAUAGAGAGAAACCUAAAAAUGAGCCACAUGAUAAUGAUGAUUAUGAGGAUGCUUAUCCGCAAGAAGGGGAGUGCGUGGUUCCAAACUUUGUAGUGAGGUAUGCCAUGAUUAGUAAAGCGAUAGAUGACCCUAGCCAAUAGUAGAAUUUAUUACAUACUCAAUGUCUUGUGAAGAGAAGUGUGUGUACUAUGGUGAUAGAUAGUGGAAGUUGUGUGAAUGUGGUUAGUGUUGCAAUGGUGAACUUCUUGAAAUUGCCGACUACACCUCACAUUAGUCCUUACAAGUUGCAAUGGUUGAAUGAAUACGAUGAGUUAAAGGUCACAAGAAAAUGUGUGAUACAUUAUAAGGUAGCCAGCUACCAUGACGAGGUGCUUUGUGAUGUGAUACCAAUGCAAGCUUGUCACUUGUUAUUAGGAAGGCCUUGGCAAUACGAUAGGUCGACCAAACAUGAUGGAAGGUCCAAUCGAUAUACACUUGAGAAGGAUGGACAAAAGGUCGUUCUUCAUCCAUUAUUGCCUUCCCAAGUGAAUGAAUUAUACCAAAAUAUGUGAAAAUUGAGGGAAAAGGGAAAAAAGGCUGAGAGUGAGGGAAAAAGAGGGGAACCCGAGAGUAAGGGAGUAGGGGAAACCGAGGGGAUCCUAAUUUCUAAGGGAAAAGGAAGUGUGGUGAUGAUGGCUAGGAGGAAAGAAUUUUUUGUGGACCAUGACGAGGACACUCCGAUGCUCCUCUUGGCUCAUUGUUUUAACACUAACGCCACUAAUAUUUCCAUUUCUCCUCCUAUUUCUCAUGUUUUGAAGGAUUACGAGGAUGUCUUCCCAAAGGAAUUACCGCAAGGAUUGCCCCCACUUCGAGCAAUUAAGUACCAAAUAGAUUUUGUGCCGGGUUCACAAUUGCCUAACAAAUCAACUUAUAGGAGCAACCCGAUGGAUACCAAGGAAUUGCAACGCCAAGUUGAGAAACUCCUUAACAAAGGAUAUAUUAAGGAGAGUAUGAGCCCUUGUGUAGUUCCGGUGCUACUAGUUCUCAAGAAAGAUGGGACUUGGCAUAUGUGCGUUGAUUACCGAGCCAUCAACAAGAUAACGGUAAAAUAUCAUCACCCUAUUCCUAGGUUAGAUGAUAUGCUUGAUGAAUUGAGUGGUUCGUGUUUGUUUUCUAAAAUUAAUUUGAGGAGUGGCUAUCACCAAAUUCGUAUGCAAUCGGGUGAUGAAUGAAAAAUUGCCUUCAAGACCAAAUUCAGUCUCUAUGAAUGGACGGUUAUGCCAUUCGGCCUAACAAACGCUCCAAGUACUUUUAUGAGGCUAAUGAAUCAUGUGAUGAAGCCAUUUAUCGGAAAGUUUGUUGUUGUUUAUUUUGAUGAUGUAUUGGUGUAUAGUAAGUCCUUAGAUGAGCAUGUAAAGCAUUUACAAUGUGUGUUUGAUGUCCUCCGAAAGGAGAAGUUAUAUGCUAAUCUAGAAAAGUGUUCUUUUGGUGUCCAUGAGGUUAUAUUUCUUGGGUUUGUGGUGAGAUCAAGAGGGGUCGAAGUGGAUGAAUCUAAGAUUGACGCCAUUAAAAAUUGGCCAACUCCCAAAACCGUAGGUGAAGUGAGAAGUUUCCAUAGUUUGGCUAGUUUUUAUAGAUGUUUUGUCAAAGGAUUUAGCACCAUUGCCGCCCCCUUGACCGAAGUGAUUAAAAAGGAUCGNNNNNNNNNNNNNNNNNNNNNNNNNNNNNNNNNNNNNNNNNNNNNNNNNNNNNNNNNNNNNNNNNNNNNNNNNNNNNNNNNNNNNNNNNNNNNNNNNNNNNNNNNNNNNNNNNNNNNNNNNNNNNNNNNNNNNNNNNNNNNNNNNNNNNNNNNNNNNNNNNNNNNNNNNNNNNNNNNNNNNNNNNNNNNNNNNNNNNNNNNNNNNNNNNNNNNNNNNNNNNNNNNNNNNNNNNNNNNNNNNNNNNNNNNNNNNNNNNNNNNNNNNNNNNNNNNNNNNNNNNNNNNNNNNNNNNNNNNNNNNNNNNNNNNNNNNNNNNNNNNNNNNNNNNNNNNNNNNNNNNNNNNNNNNNNNNNNNNNNNNNNNNNNNNNNNNNNNNNNNNNNNNNNNNNNNNNNNNNNNNNNNNNNNNNNNNNNNNNNNNNNNNNNNNNNNNNNNNNNNNNNNNNNNNNNNNNNNNNNNNNNNNNNNNNNNNNNNNNNNNNNNNNNNNNNNNNNNNNNNNNNNNNNNNNNNNNNNNNNNNNNNNNNNNNNNNNNNNNNNNNNNNNNNNNNNNNNNNNNNNNNNNNNNNNNNNNNNNNNNNNNNNNNNNNNNNNNNNNNNNNNNNNNNNNNNNNNNNNNNNNNNNNNNNNNNNNNNNNNNNNNNNNNNNNNNNNNNNNNNNNNNNNNNNNNNNNNNNNNNNNNNNNNNNNNNNNNNNAAGUGAAGAGUUAGAAAGGGAUAGGUGGGUUACGGAUAGGGGUUCCCAUCCCUAUACAAAAUUUGAUGGAUACUUGUUUAAAGGUAGACGAUUGUGUGUUCCCUCAAGUUCGUAGAGAGAAUUAUUUGUGAGGUAAGCACACAUUGGCGGUCUAAUGGCCCAUUUUGGGGUCGAGACCCUCGAAAUUUUGGAAGAACAAUUUUAUUGGCCUAGAAUGCACAAGGAUAUGGCCUGGAUUUGCAGCCAAUGUGUUGAGGGCAAAGGAGCCAAGUCACGGCUCCAACCCCAUGGGUUGUACACCCCAUUGUCCACCCUUUUGCGUCCUUGGCUUGACAUAUCAAUGGACUUUGUGUUGGGAUUUCCGAGGACUAGAAGGGGGCGGGAUAGUAUUUUUGUCGUGGUGGAUCGGUUUUUCAAGAUGGCUCACUUUAUUCCUUGUUCUAAAUGUGAUGAUGCGCCUAGCGUAGCCUCUUUGUUUGUUGAUAAUGUUGUAAAACUUCAUGGUGUUCUGAGGACCAUAGUGAGUGAUAGGGAUUCUAAAUUCCUAANNNNNNNNNNNNNNNNNNNNNNNNNNNNNNNNNNNNNNNNNNNNNNNNNNNNNNNNNNNNNNNNNNNNNNNNNNNNNNNNNNNNNNNNNNNNNNNNNNNNNNNNNNNNNNNNNNNNNNNNNNNNNNNNNNNNNNNNNNNNNNNNNNNNNNNNNNNNNNNNNNNNNNNNNNNNNNNNNNNNNNNNNNNNNNNNNNNNNNNNNNNNNNNNNNNNNNNNNNNNNNNNNNNNNNNNNNNNNNNNNNNNNNNNNNNNNNNNNNNNNNNNNNNNNNNNNNNNNNNNNNNNNNNNNNNNNNNNNNNNNNNNNNNNNNNNNNNNNNNNNNNNNNNNNNNNNNNNNNNNNNNNNNNNNNNNNNNNNNNNNNNNNNNNNNNNNNNNNNNNNNNNNNNNNNNNNNNNNNNNNNNNNNNNNNNNNNNNNNNNNNNNNNNNNNNNNNNNNNNNNNNNNNNNNNNNNNNNNNNNNNNNNNNNNNNNNNNNNNNNNNNNNNNNNNNNNNNNNNNNNNNNNNNNNNNNNNNNNNNNNNNNNNNNNNNNNNNNNNNNNNNNNNNNNNNNNNNNNNNNNNNNNNNNNNNNNNNNNNNNNNNNNNNNNNNNNNNNNNNNNNNNNNNNNNNNNNNNNNNNNNNNNNNNNNNNNNNNNNNNNNNNNNNNNNNNNNNNNNNNNNNNNNNNNNNNNNNNNNNNNNNNNNNNNNNNNNNNNNNNNNNNNNNNNNNNNNNNNNNNNNNNNNNNNNNNNNNNNNNNNNNNNNNNNNNNNNNNNNNNNNNNNNNNNNNNNNNNNNNNNNNNNNNNNNNNNNNNNNNNNNNNNNNNNNNNNNNNNNNNNNNNNNNNNNNNNNNNNNNNNNNNNNNNNNNNNNNNNNNNNNNNNNNNNNNNNNNNNNNNNNNNNNNNNNNNNNNNNNNNNNNNNNNNNNNNNNNNNNNNNNNNNNNNNNNNNNNNNNNNNNNNNNNNNNNNNNNNNNNNNNNNNNNNNNNNNNNNNNNNNNNNNNNNNNNNNNNNNNNNNNNNNNNNNNNNNNNNNNNNNNNNNNNNNNNNNNNNNNNNNNNNNNNNNNNNNNNNNNNNNNNNNNNNNNNNNNNNNNNNNNNNNNNNNNNNNNNNNNNNNNNNNNNNAUAUUGUCUUUGUUGUUCUUGUUGAUAAACUCACUUUUCUAGUUCAAACAAGUGUUGCAAGCCUAGUGAAGCCGUGUGCGGCCAUUUUCGAUUCACUAGCACUUUGUUGUUCAUUUUGUUGUUCUUGUGUUGGUUGGAAUCUCUUGAUACAAACUUAGCAUUGUAUCAGGAUCGCCAUGUCCAUCAUAAUUCUCAAACUUCGGCAUUUUAAGACCAAGAGGAAGAUGAAACCUGGAAAUAUGCACAGAUCUUUAUAUGAGACACUUUUGUACCCCUAAGUCCUUGGAAGUUUUUCAUAGUCAGUUCCAAACUUCUCAAUUUUCUAGCCAUUUCCUCUUGUUCUUCUGUCCUAACAGGCUUCUCAGUGUUAGGAGAAAAUUCAGGUAGUUGAGUGUAGUCGUAAGGGCCAGUCGACUUAAAUGUGGGCUCGGGAGCAUAAUACUGAUCACUAAAAAUAUUCAAUACAGGGUCGCUUGUAGAGUGAGGAAUCACAACCGUUGGAUUAACAUUUAAAGCAAGAGCUUCAAACGAGAGUGGGGCUGCAAAAGCAUGAAUAGAAGGCAGAGCCGAGCAUGUGGUAAUUUUUUGUGGAGGGGUGAGGAAAUGAAUAUUUGAAGUGUUUGGAUACUGUUGCCCCGGAGUAGGUCCUGAUGCAUGUUGUGGCGUGUCGACCAAAAUAGGGAAUUGUGCAUGUGACAUUGGAGGCAAACUAGAAAGAUAUUCCAGAUUAUCAGUGGGAAAUGGAGGAGGCGGCAACCCAUUAGCCCAAACUCGAUGCAUUUCUAUCAUUUGCUGCCUUAAUUUUCGAAUCUCUUCAUUAGCUCCUACAUUCUCAUUCUCUGAACUCCCUAUCUGAUUAGUGACAACAAACUCAGUAUCUUUAUUGGACAUAACUUUCUCUGUGACUUGGAGCAAUAUGGAGGACCUAGAAAAAUGCCACAAACCAACCACCUUAAACUAACUGGACAAAAGAUAGCAAAUGCGUUAGAGUUCAACAGUUUUUCAAAACCUCUUUUUUUUUCUUGAAAAGAUCACCGAACCCUAAAAGGGCGCCUACGUAUCUCACCCCCGAAAGAGGAGAAUCAGGUGUGAGUAGUUCAUGAAGUCUUGCCAAAAUGGACAAUUAAACUCUUUUUCCUUUUCUUUUUCUUUUUCUUGAAACUUUAAAAGAAAACAACAAAUUGUCAAAAGAAUUGACAAAAAUAUUUUUAAGUUUUUCAGCUUUGAAAAUCUCUAUACAAAAUGAAACCUAUGAUACCAAAGAAAUUUUUUUGGGGAUUUAGGUUUUGAAUUUCAUACGAAAACAAAACUUGAACCUAUUAAAGAAAAAUCUUUUUUUGUUGUUUUCUUUUAAAGAUGUAUAUGAAACAACUACUCUAAUAAAGAGUGAAGAAAAUCUUUUUGGAUUUUUCGAAAUAAGAUCUCCGAACUAACAAUAGGCUGCCUACGUAUCUUACAUCCCGAAAGAGGAGAAUCAAGGGUGCGUAGUUCGUCCAGAUUGAACAAUUAAGGAUUAUAGAACAAACAAAACCUUGACUUGAGAGACACGACUACACGAUGAAAAUAAAAUCUUUUUGGAUUUUUAAUUUGACACUUCAUACAAAAAUGACAUCAACAACUAUGAUAGAAAAAUCUUUUUGGUAUUUUCGUUAUAUGAAAUGUAAAAAAUUUCUAACAUCUUUUUUUUGCAUUUUUCUUUUAUAAAAACUCUUUUGAAUGAUUUUUUUUUUUUUUUGAAGUUUUCGAAUUGUGAAUGCAUGCUACACGAGAUAAAGGAAAAUCUUUUUGAUGUUUUUGAAAAAAUGAGUGCGAAAGGUAAAAAAAAUCUUUUUAAAAUUUUGAAUUGUGAAAAACAAAAGCCAUAAAAAAACUCUAAAAAAUAAGAAACUCUUUUUUUUUCUUUUCGACUCACUUGUUCUUCUAUUUUUUUCAACAAUUCUUGCCUACGCCCUUUACUUCUAACACAUGUUUUCCCCAAAUCAGUCCAUCAAAUGACCACGUUACGCUCAAAGAUGCAACAUUUAGCACGUAGGGAUGCUUUAGAGGUGAGUCUCUUACAAAGGGCCACGUUGAUCCCGCUAGAUCUCAAUAUGAUGCAGAUAAGCAUGACUUAAAGGCCGACCUACAUUGGGGUCCACUAACAAGGCUGUUUGGGGGAACGUAUGGUCGAUAGUGGAUUGCUUUAGCUAUCCACCUACUCCAUAUAACCCAAUGGCUCCCCCUCUUAAAAUAAGGGUGACUCAACUAGAGGUUGUGUACAACACGUGUACUACAGACUUGUUGCAGAAAGAAUGACUCGGGUUAUGCGCAUGAUGCCAGAUAUAAAGCGGUAACACAUAAGGUAAAAACUGUAAACAAAGAGCAUGUAGGCACUCAACAAUGAUAAAACAAUAACACAAAACAACACAAACAAUGUCUAUACACCCAUAAUACCAAAUAAAGCCGAUACAACUACAAAAAUAAGCUCGAAUUCUGAAAAAGAUCCCCAGCAGAGUCGCCAGAGCUGUCACACCCCUUUUUUUAACUCUCAAAAAAAAUUUCAAUUUUAAGUUCGAAAGGGUUUUUAUUACUAAAGUGACAAAAAUGAAGAUUUUGUUUUGAAAAGGAUUAUUUAAAUUUAAACUCAGAGUCGCCACUUGGCAUAAUCCGGUGUGUCAAGUCACGAUUGGAAAUCCUUUUUCGAAAAAUUAUUUUGACUCUUUUAAACUGAUCCGCGAACAGAGAUUCCGGUUAAGGAAUUCUGUUGACCAAGGGGAAGGUGUUAGGCACCCGUCGAUCCCGUAAUUCGAUCAUGGUCGCUUGAUGGAGCAUAUCGAUUAAUUUGACAUUACGAAUGUACAAGAAACACAAAAACACAUAAAACAAUCAAACACACACAAAAAAAAAAAAACAAAUACAAAAUAUUGUGUCCAGUCUAAAUAUACAGUCCAAAAAUAAAAAAAAUGCGAGAAUAUAAAUCCGAUUCUAAGUCAAUCCUAAAACUACGCUCCAAUGCCUUACCCGAUGCCUCAGGCCUUGAUCACGAACCUCCUCUGCGUACAUGAUACUUCGGGGCAUUCGCCGGAUAAAUCAAUACAAUUCCCUCGGGGCAUUCCCCGGUAAAAUGAAUACAUUUUCUCAAUUCUGUGCAUUAAGAUAGAAAGAACCAUUCAACAAAUAUUCACACAUUCAACAAAUCACCAUCUUCCAUUUUCUACAAUUUACCUAUCCAAACUUAGUAUUUGCCUACCCAUUUAACGAUCUAAAACAUGAUACUUUCAAUUUCAACCAUAUCCAACAAUGAAUCAAAUUUAAUCAAUGCUCAACUUAUUCGAUUAUCAAUUCCCCCAAAUUUCAUACAAAGUUGCAAUAUAACAAUUCACGAUUACCAUUUUUCGACAAUCUACGACCAAAUAAUUCCACAUUAAUCAUUCACAUCACACCCAAAAUAAUAGAAAAUUGAGACGAUAACAAUCAUUCACACACCAAAAUAAAGAAUUAACGAAGAAUAAGAAUAUUAUAAAGAUGGACCUUAAUGUGGAGAUUUUUACUGCAAUUUAUGAACUCAGAUUGAACGAGAAGCAAUUGAGGAGUCGAACCACAAAUCAAAAGCAGCCAAGAGACCAAAUUGACGAGCCACAAUCGGAACUAUGAACUGAACCUCAAUAAACAACCAAACUCGACCCUCAACUCUGUCUCGCACCACUCGACGCAGCCAAGGAAAACCCAAUUGAUCAUGUUAACCGGACAGAGACUUCCACCGCCGGAACAGUAACAGCGGUGGAGAAGGGUAUUCAAUUACUGUUUACCGGUGACGGGUUCAAUAGAAUUAGGUCGAAACGAAGCUCGUUUGCUACUGCUGGGUUGUCGAUUUAGCUUCUCCGGAGCUCCGACGACUCGAUGACGACAUGAAAAGGCGAAAGACAAUGCGGCUGGUGCGGUGGUGGCGCUUUUCUGUCGAAGACUCGCCGGAACAGUCAGCCCGUCGUUUUUUUUCUCUCGAUCUCUUCUCUCCCUUUCUUCUCUUCUCUCGAUGCUCUAUCUCUCUCACUCCUUCUCUCUCUAUCCCAUUUUUUGUGUGUGAAUUAUGUCAAUUUGAGUGUUUUAGUGAGUCUUGUGCGUCUGUUGCUGUGUUGUUUAUUGUUGUCAAGGAAAUAAAAAUGAAGAAGUCUCUGUGGAAUUGUAAGGUGAAGACCAGUGAUCCCUUUCACUAUGAGCCCCCCUAUUUUAUUUUGUCUUCUUCUUUUUUUUUUUUUUUGGGGAAAGCAACGUGGGGGGGUUUAAAGGUAGGGGUAGGGGGUGGUAAGGUAGGGGGUAGGUGGUUAGGUGCCCUAAUUUAAUAGGCAGGGUUGUUAAUUAGUUAUCACAAGAAAAUUGGGGAUUGGGUUUGUUAGGGGUUUGUUUAGAGUUGUUAUUUUUUUUUGUUUUUUUAUGGAGGGGUUAUCACGUAGAUGAGGGUACACGAUAGGAUAAAGUAAAAAUGGGUAAAAGAUAUCGGGGAGGGACGAAAUUAGGUGUCUACAUAUACCACAUAGAAUGUAUGUGUCUAUUUGUUCAACUUUAUACAAGUUUUAGUAUCUCCUUAUGCACACCCAAAGUUUGACAUCAUAGAUAUGAUUUGAGGGCAAGUUAAAGGGCAUAUUUAUUUAUGUAUUAUGCAAGAAAGAAAUAUAAAAAGUCAUAGAAGGAAAACAAUUCUUCUGUAGUCAGAUAUAUAAAAAGUCAUUUUCGAGAUAUUGGGCAAGUUCAAACAUCAAAUGGUGCUUACAAAACGUUAUCCCACAUUGCUAAUUUACACAUAAACACACAUACAAAAAGAGUAGUUACUCAAGCACUGCUGAUUUACCAAGAUCGCUAGAUUUGAUGCUUUCUUUUACACUGCGUCAAUUUCCACUACAAGAAUCGGAAUGGAGAAGAAGCUGUUCUGUUGGUGCUCAAAAUAUUUCGACCUUAAGCUCGUCCCUGCCCGUCAUAUGUUCAGCAUAUUGUUUAAUCUUUAGAGUAGAAUCGUUAAGUUGAGGGCUCUCUGCAAGUUGGAUGAUUUUCAAUGAACAAAUAUCGCCAAAACUAGGCGGAAUCUCCUCAAGCAUACGACAUCCCCACAUUUGUAAUUUCUCAAGCAUGGGAAAGGAUUCCUCUCCAACCUUCCACUUAGCAAGAGUCACUUCACACAACCCCAAAUAUUUGAGAUUCUCAAAGGUGUCUUCCUCCCCCAUGUUCCAUUCUCCCCCCUGCAUGAUUGUCCUCAUAAGGAUCAGCUCUUCAAGGUUUGGCAGUUUUGCUAUUGUUGAUAGGGAAUUGGAUGUCAGAGGAAAAUCAUGCAACACAAAUUUUUUCAAAUUCGAUGGGAAGUGAAAAUCCCACGAACAAUUUGUUGCAACAGAAGGCCCACUGUCGUUUAUGUUUGAACUUUCAAAACCUACAUUGAGGAAUUCUAAUUCAGAUAGGAAAUCCAAUUUUGGGAACCAAUAUUUUUGUGUUGAAUAAUCCCAUGAUUCCUUGAGACUAAAUUUAAGCACUUAAAAUUGGGAAACCUUUUGAAGAUAUCCUCUGUAUCUUUCGAAUAGGAAAGCACGAGUUGCUCUAAUGCUCUCAAGUUCUCUAACUUUGAGUCCUCUGCUAUCAGUAUUGGUUCAUCUGUAACCUUAUCAAAGAAAGAACAAGCGAUCACGGACAGCUCUCGCAACUUUACCAGAUCCCAAAUUCUCGGUAAUAGUACCAAGGUUGAUCCUUUGUUAUUCACAUGCAGGGUUUCUAGAUUCCAGAGGUUUGAGAAAGAUGAAGGCAGAGAUUUAACUUCUGUUCCAAAGAAUAAGUACCUCAAAUGAUUCAACAUGCAUAUUUCAUUCAGCAAAGAAUCUUUCACCAUAAUAAAAGACGGAAACAGUUGCAACACUCUAAGAAGCCUCAAGUCUCUUAGGUGAUAUACAUCAUAAAGUUGAUCAUCCAUCUCGUCUCCAGUUAUCAACAAAGAAUAGCGGUGUUUCUUUUUUGAACUGAACAGGACGAAAUUGUUAAGCUCUAAGUUCUCCAUAUCAUAAACAAUGUUGACAAUAUGUGGCAUCAAAUCUGAAGAACUUAUCCAACAAUGUUGAAGGCAACGAUCACUUGAACUUAUCCACUCAAAACAACUUUUCCUUUAUUGCUUUUAUAAAACAAAAGUAAUGCACAAGAUCAUGGAGUUGGCAAGUCGGGUGAUUACCUCUCUCAUUGAAAAGAAUCACCAAGCUACUGGAAAUUAAAUUAUCCAAAUACAUCAUUUAAGUGUAUAUGUAGCAGAUGCAUAAAGAGCGGUCCAUCGCUCAUGGGGAAGCACCAUUGACAUGGGUCCGGGGCUUUCAGAUAAACAUAUUUGAGAUCUUCCUUGAGGAGUUCAAUAUUUUUCAACAAGUCUAGAGUUUCACGAUUUGUUCUGUUGGUACUCCCUUUACUCUUUGAUUUCUCUUCUAUGUCGUGAACAAGAGUUGAUACUUCCCUGGUAAGUGAUCCAACAUGAGCCAAAAGAUCAAGUAAUUUCUCAUGAUGAAUAAUGUCCUUGGGCACAUCAGUAAGAAUAAUCUUCAGAAACUCUAUCAUGACAUGAAUGUUUCGAGCCCCUGAAGUGCUAGGGGUAAUAACAGCUACCAUGUGCUCUUGUAGAUGAAUCAGAUACUCUCUAAGAAUGCCCGGAGAGAUUUCCAGGAGUUGCUUGAUGAAGCAUGCAACUUCUGCUGAAAUUUAAGCUUUUAAAUUUGUAUAACAUAUGUGCAUCACCUCCAAUUCAAUUGGAAUAAUCUUCAAGAGUAAUUAGCUAGCUUGAAGAGCCGAGAGUCUCUUUUAAAUCGAUCAUCCCAAAGGAAGAGCCCAACUCUCUCAGCCAUGAGUGGAAACUGAGGUAAGACAUAUUUAACAAUAUCUUGCUCAACGUAACCAUUCACUACCAACCCAUGGAAAUCUCUCAUGUUGCCGCACACAUUCUGAAGAAUCUCAUACUGAGUCAUCAAUGGAAAAACCUGUUCAGCAAGGAUCGUGGAUAUAUAAUGGAGGUUCAGGAGUAGGAAGUUCAACUGCUCGUCAGUUAUGGUGUGCACUUGGUUUAGAACGAUGACAUGAGCUGAUACAAUCAUUGAUAUUAUCCAUGAGGCUAGGAAGGACAUGAUGAAUGUUGUAUUUACACUGGAGGUUGUUGUCAACAUCAUUCAAAAUUUGUCAAAGCAGAUUCUCAACCACUUGUCUUGAAGCACUCAUUGUAUUUUCAAACUGCUCCAAAUCGGAAUAAGAGAGCUGGACGAACGUACAAAUAAAUGCCAGCACAAACUUUAGCCCUUCGGUAUGAUCGGCCACGUUGACAACAUUUUGAUCUUCUUCAUUCUUUAACCUCCCCAUGAAAUCCAGAAUGUUGGCAAUGUUCUUGAGAAGAGCAGAAAAUGAUACCUGCCAAAUGACCAAACCAAUGUUUUAUUUAUUUUCUAUAUUUAUCGGAAAUCAGAAUAUCAAGGAAAUAAGACGACUCAUUAAAUUGAAGCUUUUUGUUGAAUUUCAUAUCAGGAAGGAAAAAUUAAAUAUUGGUUAGUACGAUUGUGAAGUUUAUCAAUGGUUUUGGUGCUUACUAUUUUUGGGAUAAGUAUUGCAAACACCCAUAAACAUGACACGAGUUAUCACUUUAGUCCCCGAACUAUUAAAAAGGGUUGCCUGGUGCACUAAAUCUCCCGCUAUGCACAGGGUCCGGAGAAGGGUCAUACCACAAGGGUGUAUUGUACGUAGCCUUACCUUGCAUUACUGCUAGAGACAGUUUCCAAGGCUUGAACCCGCGACCUCCUGGCAACAUGGCAACAACUUUAUCAGUUACUCCAAGGCUCCCCUUUACCAGUUACUCCAUGGCUUUACCAACAAUAGUCUCCUAACUAUUGACAACCUUCAAAACACACCUCGAGUUAACUAAGUGAAUUUAAAAACACUCCUCUUAUUCUACACGUGCGUACAUGUGGAAUUUUUAGCUGAUGUGUUAUACACAUAGAUAUGUAUAAUAAAAAAACAUUUAAAACAUUUAUUUUUUAAAAAUAAUUAAAUCUUUUUCUUACCCCACUCCACCCCCACACUCCACUACCCUUUUUUUUAAGAAAAAUAAAAAUUUGAUGUUAUCNNNNNNNNNNNNNNNNNNNNNNNNNNNNNNNNNNNNNNNNNNNNNNNNNNNNNNNNNNNNNNNNNNNNNNNNNNNNNNNNNNNNNNNNNNNNNNNNNNNNNNNNNNNNNNNNNNNNNNNNNNNNNNNNNNNNNNNNNNNNNNNNNNNNNAAAAAUAUAAUAAUAAAAAAAUUCUACCAUACUACUUCCACCCUAUCAAGAAAAAAUUAUUAUCACUUAAGGAACAGGGUGCCCUGCAAUCUCAGGUCAGUGGAGCUGAGUCAGCCUCACCUUACCUUACGUAUCAUUUUUGUGGGCAGCUUCAUUGUGGAUAUUGUGAGGAGGGAAGGAAUUUGUGCUUUAAUUGUGGUUAGCCUGGUCAUUUGCGGUGAAAUUAUUCUGAAGCUAGGGGUACACUUGGGGCUAAUAAGGCUCAGCCUACUACUUCUUCAGCUCCUGCUGCUAAAGGAACUACUUCAGGGACAAAAACUGGUCGAAACCACCUUUAUGCACCUUCUAGUUGCCUGGAAUCUGAGGCAUCCCCAGAUAUUGUUAUUGGAAUGAUAUAACUUUUUCUCGUUAUGUUUAUUGCUUGCUUGAUCCUGGUUCUACCCGAUCUUAUGUGACCGUACACUUUUGGAUUUGGUCAUAAAAGUAUUUUUGACCCUUUUUUUAGUUUCUACCCCAGUUGGUGAGUCUAUUGUUUCUAGAAAAGUCUAUAGGGGUUGUGUGGUGGACAUUGAUCGAUUUAAUAGCGCCUGAUAAGGUGGAUUUUGAUAUGAUCUUGGAGAUGUAUUGACUUUAUUCGUGUUAUGCUUGUCUGGGUUGUAGGACCCUAAAUGUCACCUUUUAUUUCCUAAUAAACUGGUAAUUGAAUAGGAGGAGAGUUCCCUAUUACCAAAAGAGGAGUUUAUUUCUUACCUUAGGGCUCAGAAAUUGAUAUCCAAAGGGUAUCUGUACCAUCUAGUUCAAGUCAAGGUAUCUAACUUUGAAAUUUCUUCCUUUGUAGUCUGUCCCUGUGGUUGAUGAAUUUUCUAAAGUUUUUCUCAAUGAUCUUCCUGGGAUCUCUGGAUAGGGAAAUAGACUUUGGAAUCGACCUUAUAGUUGAUACUCAUCCCAUUUGUAUUCCUCCUUAUAGGAUAGCCACAGUAGUGUUAAAGGAACUAAAAAAGCAAUUAAGGAAUCUCGUUGAUAUGGGUUUCAUCCGUCCUAGUGUUUCUCCCUUGGGUGCUCCUGUGCUUUUCGUGCGAAAAAAGAAUGGGUUUCUCUGAAUGUGUAUAGACUAUCGUCAAUUAAAUAUGGUCACCAUGAAAAAUAAGUAUCCUCUUUCUAGGAUUGAUGACCUCUUUGAUCAGCUUUAAGGUGUUGAUGACCUCUUUGAUCAGCUUCAAGGUGCUAAGUGUUUCUCUAAAAUAGAUCUCCGUUGCAGAUAUCAUUAUUGUAAGAUAAGAGAGGCUGAUAUUCCCAAGACUACUUUUCAAACUCGUUAUGGCCACUAUGAGUUCUUAGUUAUGUCAUUUGAGUUAUGUAAUGUUCCGGCUGCUUUCAUGGACCUUAUGAAUCGGGUGUUCAAAUAGUUUUUGGAUUUGUUUGUCGUAGUCCUCAUUGAUGACAUCUUGGUAUACUCCAAAAGUGAGUAGGAUUAUGCCAAGCACCUCCAAAUUGUAUUGGAGACCCUUAAGGAUCAGGAAUUAUAUGCAAAAAUUUCUAAGUGUGAAUUUUGGCUAAGUGUUGUGACUUUUCUUGGGCAUGUUGUAUCCAGUGAAGGGAUCAAAGUGGAUCCAUAAAAGAUUGAGGCAGUUAAAAAGUGGCUAGACCCACGAUUACAACUGACAUUAGGAGCUUCUUGGGCUUAGCAGGUUCUUAUAGGAGAUUUAUAGAGAGUUUCUCGUCUAUUCCUGCUCCACUCACCAGGUUGACUCAAAAAAGGUAAAGUUUCUAUAAUCCGACACUUGUGAGGGUAUUUUUGUGAAAUUGAAGGAUAAGUUUACUUUCACUCCUAUUUUAACCUUACCCAAGGAUACUGAAGGGUUCGUUGUGUAUUGUGACAUAUCUCGUGUGGGACUGAGUUGUGUUUUGAUGCAAUACGGAAAGGUGGUAGCUUGUGUUUCUAGGCAGGUGAAGGUUCAUGGGUGAAAUUAUCUGACUCAUAAUCUAGAAUUGGUCAGCGUGAUUUUUUCUUUAGAAAUUUGGUAUCACUAUUUGUAUGGAGUGCACAUAAAUAUUUACUCAUAUCAUAAAAGCUUGCAGUAUGUGCUUACAUAGAAAGAAUUGAACCUCAGGUAAAGGCAGUGGCUCAAAUUGCUUAAGGAUUACGAUAUGAGUCUACACUACCACCCAGGUAAAGUUAAUGUUGUUGCUGAUGCUCUUAGCAGGUUGUCCAUGGGGAGUUUAUCUCACAAUGAGGAGGACAAAAGAAUAUUAGUAAAGGAUAUUCACUGGAUGGCCAAUUUAGAAGUUCUCAUUUUUGACUUGGAUGAUGGAGAGGUAAUUGUUCAGGAAAUGGUUGAAUUGUGUCUUGGGGCUGAGAUCAAGGAGAAGUGGGUUUUGGAUCCUAUACUAGUACAAAUUAAGGAUGAUGUGUGUCAACAGAAGGUUAUGGCUUUUGAAUUUUGGGGAGAUGGCAUUCUGAGGUACCAAGGUAGGUUGUGUGUUUCUGAUGUAGAUAGGUUAUGGGAAAAGAUCUUGAUCGAAGCUCAUGUGUCCAGAUAUAUAGUUCAUCCGGGUUCGACAAAGAUGUAUCAUGACUUGAAAGAAAUUUAUUAGUGGAACAAUAUGAAAAAAGAUGUGCCAAAUUUUGUUACCAAGUGUAUGGUCUAUCAACAAGUCAAGAUUGAGAAUUUGAUGUCCAGUGGCACGUCUCAAGAGAUAGAAUUUCUUAUGUGAAAGUGGAAAAUGAUUAAUUGGAUUUCGUCGUGGGUCUUCGCUAUCUCAAAAUUAGUAUGAUUCUAUUUGGGUCAUUGUGGAUAGAAUGACCAAGUCUGAUCACCUCUUGCCUAUGAGAAUUAACAACAGAUGAGAGGAUGAUGCCAAGUUAUUCAUUCAGGAGUCAGUCAAGUUACGUGGCCCCGGUGUCUUUUAUUUCUAACCGUGGUACACAUUUUUCCUCUCAUGUUUGGCAUUUGUUUCAAAAAGGAUUGGGUACUCAGGUAAACCUUAGCACUUUUUUCCACCCUCAGACGACCGCAUAAGCAGAACGUACUAUUCAUACUCUUGAGAAUAUGCUAAGGGCCUGUAUGAUUGACUUUAAAGGUAGCUGGGUUGAUCAUUUUCCCCUUACUGAAUUUGCUUAUAAUAAUUACUAUCAUUCCAGCAUCCAAAUAACUCCUCUUCAGUCCUUUUAUUGUAGAAGGUACAAGUCCCCAAUUGUAUGGUUCGAGGUGUGUGACUAAAUUUUUUGGGUUUGACUUGGUUCAUGAAGCAAUGGAGAAAGUGAAGGUGAUUCAGUAAGUACUUAAGACUGCUCAAAGUCGCCAAAAGUCUUAUGCAGAUGUGAGGCAAAGGGAGUUGGAGUUUGAAGUCGAUGAUUGGGUGUUCUUGAAGGUUUCUCCUAUGAAAGGAGUUAUAAUAUUUGGGAAAAAGGGGAAGCUCAGCCCCCGUUACAUUGGCCAGUAUCAAGUUGUAAGAAGGAUUGGGAAUGUUGCCUAUGAAUCGGAAUUCCCAACAAACUUGGCCUCGAUUUAUCCACUUUUUCAUAUGUCUAUGCUUAAAAAGGUAUGCGAGAGAUACUUCCUUGAUAGUGCCCGUUGAGGAUAUUGGUUACGGAUUUGUUGUCCUAUGAAGAAAUCGCGAUUGAAAGCUUGGAUAGGCAUGUUCAGAAAUUAAGAACUAAGGAGAUAGCUUCAGUGAAGGUGAUAUGGAGGAACAAAAAAGUACAGGAGUCUACAUUAGAAUCGAAAGAGGAUAUGAAAGCUAAAUACCCAUUUUUGUUUCCAAUGUUGGACGAAAGUGCUUAAGGUGUGAAUCUCACUUAUUCUCUUGAUGCAUUUCAAAUUUUGUUCUUGAAUCCCUCUAUACUCUUCCUAUUAUCAUGUUAAGGGUGUCCUAAUCUCUUAUUCUGGGACGAAUGAUCCUAAGGGGGAUAAUGUAAGUCUUCAAAUUUUUUGAUGAUUUUAUUGUGGACCUUCCCUAGUAUUUAAUAAUAUUUUUUGACUUGAAUCAUGAUAAGGGAUGUUAACGGAAUAAUUGAAAUUUUUUUUGGAAUUUUUGGAAAGCCUUCGAGGUCAUUUCAGGAUUCCAAACCAGUGAGGGCCCGCGAUAGCGGUGUCCCUCUCUUUGUGCAUGCUGCGAUAAGAGCAUGGCACGGCCUUGGGCCUCCAUGAUAGCAGUGUGCCACGUCCAAGGACACACAUCACCUAGUUUUAUUUUAUUCAGUUGGGGUGAGGACUUUUUGGUUCUUUUCUCUUUAAAAUGACAUUCAACAUAUUUUCAUCCUUAUUUCCCACCAGUUAAUAAAAUUAUCAUCAUUCCCCCACCCCCACCUCCUCUCAACUCUUAAGUGAAGUAAACCAAGGAUUUUCUUAAGGAUUCAACUCUCCAGACUCUAAACUCAAAUUCCUCUCAAAAUUCUUCCGUCAUUAAGGCAUGUUGGCAUUCCCUAUUCUAAUUGUUGUAUUAUUGCAUAAAUUUACUUGGAAUUUACGUGUUCUUGAAUAUUUGAUUUAAACUAAGGUUGAGAAUUUUUGGUGGUUAUACUCUUGCAUUGGUAACUUCUUAUUUUAAUGGUUUUUCCUAUGGUUUAAAUGUUGAAUUGCAACUGAAUUGUGUCUUGUGAUAAUGUCGAAAUUUGGUAAUUUAGGUUUCACAAAGUUUGUGGAUUUUGGCAUAAUAAUAACAUGAACCUCAACCCACAUCAUAAUUUGAUUUCUAAACAAAGAUUUCAUAGUGUCUAAACUGUUCAUUAAAAUUUUGCAUAACAUUAACUGGUAAAAAUGUUAAGAGGUUCCCAAAACUCCCUUGGGGCUAUGGUUAUGGAUUUUUAAAUAAAAUUUUGAGUCUAAAUGAUUAAAUGAAUACAGUAUGGCAUAAUUGGAAUGACUUGCAAGUCUAUUGGUAUGAUGAUACCAAUUUGGGAAUGCCUUAAUGAAAAACUCCAUGAUUAAUGAUAUGUGAAAAUAUUUUAGUUGAGCUUAAAGGGAAUUGUGUAGCUCAUCGAGAAGGUUUAGUCCCGAGGGACCAACACUGAAAACCACAUUUGCCGACGUUAAGGGUCUUCUUUACACAAUAUAUUUUUAGAAGACUAUCGUCUUGGUGUCUUUGGCCAAAUUUCCUUGAUUCAAGCGGUUAAUAUGAAUUGGGGUCUUUCUAGCAGGGGAAGCCAGACCCUUAUAGCCCGUCGGUGCCUGAAGGUCGGUAUGAGCUACAUAGUUUAGGAUUAAAUUUUUAAAUGAACUUGUUCAUGUCUCUUGUCCCCUACCCCGGCAUUCUAUUAUCUUUUUAGUUGUUGAGCACAUGUUUUAUGACUGGUUUUCGGCAAAUAUAAAUUUCAUCCAUGUACUUUAUAAGCAUUUUGGUUCAUGUAUAUUUAUUCCUUUUCUUUGGUUGCAUAUCAGUAUCCAUUGUACUGACCGUCUCCAGAUACUACAUCAUUUUAUGAUGUAGGUUCCGAGGUCUUUUCCUGUGGCCUUGUGCAGCGUUAGGUGGUUUGGUACUCCUGUUGGACAACUGUUAUUGUGGUGAGCCCUCCAUUCUCAAUUAGUUAUUGUCCUAAUACAUGUCAUUUCACAAAAGCAAGAUAUAAUUAGUUGUUUGAGUCUACUUUUACCUGCAGUAAUAAACAUGGAUAUAUAUUAAUAUAGUUCAAAAAAAAGAAGCAUUAAAUAAAUAUGAGUAAUAAAUCAGGAUAAUUUAGUUAGAUUACCUUCUAUUUAAGGCUUUUCUAAGGGUUAUGCAACAUUAAAAAGAGACAAGAAAAUAGUAACAGAGGAAGUACUAAAAAGUUACAACUCUUUCAAGGUAUUUACUAACGAUAAAUUAUUAAAACAAUCUUUAUAUUUUAGAAAUGAGUAUAGUUUCUUGAGUACUAAAAAAAGAAAAAAAAAAGUAUAGCUCCUUAAGGGGUGCACGUGUGCCCAAACUGAAAACGCCACUUAUUUAGACAUGGAGUCAAUAUGACAUACCAUAAAGUUGUUUGCUUCCCCUUUCUCUCUUUCUCCUUCAUUUUCCAUGAGUGUAAGUUCCUUUCCUAUCUAAUUCGUAGGAUCUGAUGUAUAAAAUAUAGAUAAAAAGUUUAUCAGGAGAAUAAAGUAACAAAAAAUGUACAGCUAUAAAUAAGUUAGUUGUUUUCUGUGUAUAUUUUACCAAAUUUUUCUAAAGAUCUUAUCAAAAUUAAACAAACUUUUAAAGUUUAUUAGAGACUAACCUUAUCACUUGAUGAAAAAACUGAUGCAACCAAAAAACUAUUAGCUUGGAAAACAAAAGUCUGAAAAUUUGUGUGGAAGAAGAAAUAGAGAGAUAACAAAUAAUUGAUGUUAGAGAAAACUACAAUAAAUAUCUUUCAAUUUGUCAGCUGAAGACAGCCAACAUGUAGCAUUGAAUGCAGAAAUAUCGUUUUCCAAUUUUUUAGCAUGUCCCUUAAAAAAUUAUAAAUAAGAAAUAUAAUUUUACUAAUUUACUCUCUCCGUUUAUUUUAUUUGUUCAUUAUUUUAAUAAUAGAUUUUCACUUCCACUAGCCACUUUUAACAUAGCAAGAAAAGAUAAUUAUUUUUUCAUGUUUAACCCUUAGCAUUAAUUACUUAUUCUACAAAUUAUUUAUUAAAAUCUAAUAUUGAAUAUCAAUUAAUAAGGCUAGUGUGGUAAAAUAACCAUGUCAAUAAGUUCUUAUUAAUGAAUGUGUCAAGUUCAAAUGUUACAAGUAAAAGUAAAAGUUAAUAGAGGGUGUACCUCUUAAGAUACUUUGAUUGAAACUUUACAAAUAAAUUGUUUGCACUUUCUAGAGUAAAGCAUCAAGUACCCUCCUGAACUUUGACCAAAUUUGCUACGAUACACUUCAAUUUCACAGGGGUUCUAUUACCCUUUGGACUCAAUUUUAGUGUUUUGUCACUCUUUUUAGCUAAUGUGACAUCUUUUUAGUUGACAUGACACUUUUAAUGUGGGCCCCAUUUUUAUGUAAUUAAGGUGUCAUGUUAGCACAAUAGGGUGACAAAAAUAUUUAAAAUUGAGUUAAGGGUAAUAAUAACUAUGUGAAGUUAUCUCCACUUUCUAAAUGAAUUAAUUGCAAGGGUGAAAUGCUAAGAAAAUGUAAUUAAUUCUAUUUUGAUUUUGUAGUUUGACAAGUAUUCCUAGCUCCGCUUCAUAUUACUUGGUCUGUAUUGUCCUGCCACAACCCUUAAGAAAAACUUAUUGGUGACAUGAUCUGAUAUACUUUGAACAAUUUAGGAAUGAAGAACAUUCAUGGAUUGUUUUGUUGUCGGUUGACGUCAAGUUGAAGUGUUUGAUGUGCACUCUCGAAGUUAGAUUAGUGCUUACUUUGAGUGUCUAUAUAUAUAUAAAUGUAUUACUAUAUUCCCCUCCUUUCUAAACAUUGGAAAAUUUGUGUGGAGGAGAAGAUAGAGAGAGAAGGGGAGUGGGGUAAUAGGAAACCAAGUCACUGAUUGUAAGCAAUGAGGUAGAUGAGAAGUUACCUAUGAAAGAAAAAAUAUGUUUGAACUAGUCAAACACAUGCAGCAUUUAAGUUGUAUACAGUUAAUGUUAUUAGUUGGAUAGCUGGAUACUAGCCAUGGAGCAAUAUCAGAUCUCUUAGAGUCGAUAUACCCAACUUUUAGCUUUUACUGUCAUAUCGGGAGUUAAUCCACGUAUUGCCCGACGAAAAAUGGAUUGCGGAUUCAUCUUGAAUGAUUUAAGUAGAUGCGGGGUGAUAUAUCUGAAUAAUAGAGCUAGAGUAGGAGCUACAGCAACUACAGCACAACACUUUUCUUAGUAUUGAAAUCUGUACAUGACGAGUAGUACAAAAUUUGAAAGAGGAAAAUACGAGUGUGAACUGAUGAUUGGUGAGUCUAUUUGAUUGAUAUUUAUUGUCAUUCCAAAGAAAAAAUAUAUAAGAAAUUACUUUAAAAUUAUGAAUGUGAGGAUAACAUUUACUUUUUGGAGGUGAAAGUCGAAAAAUAUGUUUUUGUGUGGAGGAGAAGAUAGAGAGGAAAUGACAUAAAAUAUGUCAACUCAUGUGACAUUUUUGACAAAAGCAUUGGGACACAGAUAACUUGCAGCAUUGAUUGUCAAGUUUGAAAUAUUUAUCAUUCUCAACUCUAGGGGGAGCGUAGAAAUAUAGAAAGCUGAAACUAACGGAGUUGUACAAUUAGGUAUUUGAGUUGUAUACGGUCUUGUUCGGCCGUCAAUUCGUACGUAAUUCAGAGUACCAAUUGAAUUUGUAUAGUGUCGUAGGCUAAGCUAAGGUCGACUAAAUAAUGAAAUAAAUAAUAUUAACUCACUAUAUGAAAGAAAUGCAGUUAAAAAAAAAAAAAAACAGAUAAGUACCUUAAAUUUGCAAAUGACCAAAUAGAAAGUUAUACUUAAUAUUGGUAUAUCUUGCUCUCACCCAAAUACAACAUACCUCAUGUUUGACUUGCAAUCGCAUACGACAUAUCAGACAGACAAAUCACUGAAUGACAAGUGUAUUUAUUGAAAUUAUAAUUUUUAUUACGAAAUUGGAAUUUUUCUAAAAGACAUUGAAAAGUCUGCACAAAAUGUAAUAGAAGUUUCUUAGUCAUAUACAGUCUACCCAGCAAAGCACAACUUACUGUUUGUGGUUUGUACAGAAGCCAAUGUCACAGCUAGAGAACUUAAACACACAAAUACAAAGAGUGCUAAAGACUUUUCACACAGAAUGCUUAAAAUCAAUGUAUUAAUAGGUAAGAGGAUUUAUAAUAACACUUGUUAUUGCACAUGAAGCCAAAUGUUGUAAAGAAACACCUAUUUAAACAUCUUCAUAAUUAAUUACAAUAGCCCCAAACACCAAAUGCUUAUCGAUGGUUGAUUCCACCACUCUGCAUCACAAUUCAAACUCUUUGCACGCGAGCAUCCCACUUCUUGUUGCAUUGGAAUUUCUCAAUGAUUUCAGUACCUGAAGAGUUGUCACAUGUUUGUGAUCUAAGUUGCUCGGACUCUCCAAAAAUGUUGCCGCACCCGUGUCGGAUCCUUCAAAAAUACACUAUUUUUGGAGGAUCCGACACACACCCAUAGACAUAUUUGAGGAGUCCGAGCAACUUAGUUUGUGAUGAUGUAUUUCUUGAAAGAUUUACAAAAAUUUGAGAUUAAUUGAGAUUGCAGACCUUUUAUAUAACUUCCUUCUUUCCCAUCAUAUCAGAGUUAGCAAUCCCAUGUAUGUUUCAAAUAGAGACUUAGAGUGGAAAUCGCGGCAUUUGGUGGCAGUAAACUCGGCAUAGAAAUGGCACACUAAUUAAGAGGUGAACUGAGCAUGGGGAGAAACUUUUAUUAUUUAUGCUUUAGAUUAACAAUUCAUUAAAUAGAUGUAUAGCAUUAAUAUGGAUGACUAUUGUAUGACAUACCAAUGAGUUGUUUGUUUCCUCCUUCUCUUGGUCUCCUUCCAUGAUUGUACCAAAGUGACUUAUCCUUCCCUUCCUUUCAAUGUUCUCAGGAUCUGAUGCAUAAAAUGUGCAUAAAACUUUAUCAGGAGAAAAAAGUAAGAAUACAAGAAACUGAAGAAAGAAACAUAAAAAGUCAUAGAAAUAUUGAUCAAUGUCAUCCCACUACAUUAAUUUACACACACACACGCCCUGCUGAUUUUCCUAAUUACCUUAAGCUUUCAUCAAACACAGUGCAAAAGAACAGAGAAGAACCUGUUCUGGUGGUGCUUAAGAGCUACUUGAAUAACAGGAUAUUAGUCGGGCCCAAGACCAGAAGCUCGUCCCCUCCCAAAUCUUCAACGUAUUGUUUAAUAUUCUUCGCAGAAUCUUCAAGUUGAGGGCUCUCAACAAGUUUGAUGAUUUUCAACGAACAAAUAUAGCCGAAACUAAGCGGAAUAUCCUCAAGCUUACGACAUCUCCACAGUCCUAAUUUCUCAAGCACGCGAAAGGAUUCGUCUCCAAAUUCCCACUUAGCAAGAGUCACUUCAUCCAAAUUCAAAUAUUUGAGAUUCAAAAAGGUGUCUUCUUCCCCCAUGUUCCAUUCUUCCCCCUGGAUGAUUGUUCUCGUAAGGAACAACUCUUCAAGGUUGGGCAGUCUUGCUAUUGUUGAUAGUGAAUCGGAUGUCAGAGGAAAGUCCCACAACACUAAUAUUUUCAAAUUGGAAGGAAAAUGAAAAUCCCACGACCAAUUUGUCACUAAAGAGGGCCCACUAUCAUUUGCAAUUGAACUUUCAAAUUUUACUUUGAGGAAUUCUAGUUCAAUUAGGAAAUCCAAUUUCGGGAACCAAUAUCGCUCUGUUGAAUAAUCCCAUGAUUCCUUGAGAAUUAGUAUAAGCUCUUGAAGAUUGGGGAACCUUAUGAAAAUAUCCUCUGUUUCAUUCGAAUAGGAAAGCACGAGUUUCCCUAAUUCUUUCAAGUUCUCUAACUUUGAGUCCUCUGCUAUCAGUAUUGGUUCACCUGUAUCCAUAUCAAAGAAAGAACAAGCCUCAAUGUCCAGCACUCUCAACUUUACAAGAUCCCAAAUUCUCGGUAAUAGUACCAAGGUUGAUCUUUUGUUAGUCACCGACAAGGUUCCGAGAUUCCAGAGAUUUGAGAAAGAUGAAGGUAGAGAUGUAACUUCUGUCCCAAUUCAUAAGAACCUCAAAUGAUUCAACAUGACUAUUUCAUUCAGCAAAGAAUCCUUCACCUUCAUAAAAGAGGGAUCAGUUAUCAACACUUUAAGAAGCCUCAAGUCUCUUAGGUGACAAGCAUCAGAAGGACAAUCUUCCAUCUCGUCUCCAGUUAUCAUCAAAGAAUAGAGGUGUUUACCAGAAUGCCUUUGCAUUUUUGAAUUGAGCAGGAUGAAAUUGUUAGGCCUGAUAUGCUCCUUAUCAUAAAAAAUGGUCACUGUGUGUGGCAUAAAAUCUGAAGAACUUAUCAUGUUAAACAACUUUUCCUCUUUUGCUUUUAUCCAACAAAAGUCAUGCACAAGAUCAUGUAGUUGGCAAGUCGGAGAUCUACCUAUCUCAUUGAAAGCAAUUACCAAGCUACUGGAAAUUAAAUUAUCCAAAUAAAUUUCCAUCGCUUCUUCCAAACUCUUCAUCCCCAUCUGUUCAACGAGCCCUUCAGCACGCCAAUACACUUUCAACCGAUCUAUGUUGAUUUCUUGGUCCUUCUCAAAUGUUGGAAGGUAGAGAAAGCAUGGCUUCAGUUGAUGAGGUAAAUGGUCAUAACUUAAUUCUAUAACCUUCAUCACAUCAACUUCACCAUUCAAAAUAAAAGAAUUGAAAUUAUUUCGAACUUCAAGCCACACGGACUUUAUCUUUUCCCUCCCUGCAAUGACUCCAGCAAUCAUAUCAGCCACCAAAGGAAGUCCCUUACAAUUUUCGGCUAUUUAUUUUCCAACAUCCAAUAGUUCAUCAGGGCAACUCUGAUCUCCAAAUGCUCUUUUCUUUAAUAACUCCCAACUUUCUUCUGGUCUUAGCAACCGAAGGUUAAGAGGAUCAGUGUUUCCCUUUCCAUGAAAAGUCACUUCCUUUUGUCGAGUCGUCAAAAUAAUUCUACUUCCUUUCUCAGCUUCAGGGAAAGGUCUUGUUAGAUCAUCCCAUGUAGUAGUAUCCCACACGUCAUCUAACACAAUUAGAUACCUCUUUCCAUACAAUUGUUUCCUCCGCUUAUCGGCAACAUCAAUAUCCUCACUGGACUUCAAAUCCGCGCCAGUAACCUGAUUGAAAAGU